rnacentral:lncRNA from 1 species
CAAGUUCUUCUACCUCCCCCAAUAGGAAAGAAGGCACCACUGAUGCUGCUAAGAUGUUCACCAAGAAGGCUGAAACCGCUACCACACCUGAAGAGGCCGCGGCUGCCAAGCAAGCUGCAGCCAAGUCUACCGCUGCUGCAUCAAAGUAUGGUGUCAUUUCUCAGCAAGUAGCUGGUACAAGUUCUUCUACCUCCCCUAGCAGGAAAGAAGCUGCCGGUACCUUGGCAGGUGCUCGCAUAGCUGCUGCCGAGAAGUCCAUCAAGAAGGCUGAAACCACCACAAGACCUGAAGAGGCAACAUCCGCUAAGAAGGAUGCCGCGAAAUCCGAGGCUGAUGCAAUGAAGUACGGGGCCAUCUCUCAGCAGGCCGCCGGCAAAAAUGGUGCCUAAGUGGUGCCUUAAACACCUAUUCACACGCAACAUCAUCUACAUACUACCAUGCAUGCAAAAUAGCAGCAUUCAGAUACCACAUUAUGCUAAUUCUCAUGCAUGCACGCUUUGUUUAAACGUUCCCAUUACGAAUCAUGUAUUAAUGUCUUGCUUGUUUUAUUUUUAGUAGUAAGACACGCUUGACUUGCUUUAAAAAAAAUACAACAAUCGACGUAUACAUGUAUUAUCUGAAAAUUAAUAAUAUGAGUUCCACCGCAAUUUGUUUCUUUUUGUCAUAAUUUGGGUGCAAUCAAUGCACACAUCCAAUACACAAAAUUGGACGACUCAAUGUGUUAUGGCUCCAUGGAGCGGCGAAUCAUGUUUUAUUGUCUUGCUUGUUUUACUUUUAGUAGUAAUGUCUUGCUGGUCAAUGUAUUAUGGCUCCAUGGAGCGGCAUAAUGAUAUAUGAUAUAUCUUCACUACUUCAAAAAGAACUUAAGGUUUUGUCAUACAUCUUUCCUUCAUCCAUCCUCCCUACGAAUCCUUCCUGUUUUGAUUUUUUCUCCCAUCUUUGAUUUUUCUCCCCAUUGAUUCUACCUAAAAACCACCUCAAUGUCACAUGUUUACUGUAUAUGUCAAGGCCUCCUUUGGUUCAUAGGGUAGAAAAAACAUAGGAAUAGGAAAGUCAUAGGAAAUGAGAUGACAUGUAUCUCAAAUCCUAUGAUUGGGAAUAGGAAAGGAGAUGCCCUUUGAUUCACAUCAUAGGAUUUUUUCAUUGAAUCUAGGCUAAUGUUUAUUUUCCUAUGAAAUGUGAAGGAGAGGAAGAAUUCCUCCAUAGGAUUAGGAUUCCAUUCCUACAAACCAAAGGACUCUAAAGGAAUUUUUCCUAUAGAAAUCCUAUCCUAUGAAAUUCUUACAAGAUUCCUCCAAAUCAAAGGAGGCCCAAGUGGUUGUGAUGAGACAGUGGCUGGGCACUUCAGAUUUAUUCCCGUAACUGACUGUCAAAUUGAGUCAUCUGUCAUCCUUUCGAUGAUUGUAAGAAAGUUAUAUGUUUAUUGUAUGUGCCAAGUGGUUGUGAUUAUCGUUACCGGCCACAAAGUUAUAUUUUCUUGUCUUAACGAAGGGUUGCAUACAAUGCGUGUAGCUCUUGACGCCUGAUAACCCACAAGUAUAGGGGAUCGCAACAGUUUUUGAGGGUAGAGUAUUCAACACAAAUUUAUAGAUUCGACACAAGGGAGCCAAAGAAUAUUUGUAAGUAUUAACAACUGAGUUGUCAAUUCAACCACACCUGAAGAUUAAUUAUCUGCAGCAAAGUGAUCAGUAGCAUAGUAGUAUGAUAGUUUUGAUAGUAGUAGCAACAUCAACAGUAACGGUAACAGUGGUAGCAAUGGUUUUGUAGCAGUGACAAUAGUAACAGCAGCAGCAGUAACUUAGCAAGAACAAUAUGUACGAAAAUCGUACGCAUUGGAUCGGUGAUUUGUUGGAUGAUAUUCAUCAUGUGACAGUUACAACCUAGGACGAUACGGCACUAGCUCCAGUUCAUAAAUAUAAUGUAGGCAUGUAUUCUAUAAAUAAUCAUACGUGCUUAUGAAAAGAACUUGUAUGACAUCUUUUGUCCUACCCUCCUGUGGCAGCGGGGUCCUAUUGGAAACUAAGGGAUAUUAAGGCCUCCUUUUAAUAGAGAACCAGAAUAAAGCAUUAACACACGUGAAUACAUGAACUCCUCAAACUACGGUCAUCACAGGGAAGUGUCCCGACUAUUGUCACUCCGGGGUUGCCGGAUCAUAACACGUAGUAGGUAACUAUAACUUGCAAGGUUGGAUCUAGAACAUAGAUAUAAUGGUGAUAACAUAAGUCAUAGCAACAUCAAUCAAGAACAUAAUGGAUACUAGGGAUGAAGCCCUAACAAAACUAACUCAAUUACAUGAUGAAUCUCAUCCAACUCCUCACUGACCAGCGAGCCUACGAAGGAAUUACUCACUCCUGGUGGGGAGCAUCAUGGAAUUGGCGAUGGAGAAGGGUUGGUGAUGACGAAGAUCGAAGAUCCCACUCUCUGGAGCCCCAAACGGACUCCAAAUCUAGCCUCCCGAUGAAGAACAGGAGAUGACGGCGGCUCCGUCUUGUGGAUCGUGAUAAUUCUUUCUCCCUGAUUUUUUUCUGGAAAAAUAGGAUUUUAUAGCGUCGGAUUCAGGGCCUGCGGGGCCACCAGGUGGGGACAACCCACCUGGGUGUGCUUGGAGGGGGGGGGGGGCUGGUGGGUUGUGCCCAUCCAGGUGCCCCCCUCCGAUUGUUCUUGGCUCCAGAAAUUCUCUGUAUUUGUAUAAAAAUUCCUCGCAAAGUUUUGUUCCAAUCCGAAAACUUUUAUUUCUGCACAAAAAAAACACCAUGGUAGUUUUGUUGGAAACAACGUCAGUCCGGGUUAGUUUCAUUCAAAUCAUGCAAAUUAGAGUCCAAAACAAGAGGAAAGUGUUAGGAAAAGUAGAUACGACGGAGACGUAUCAACUCCUCCAAGCUUAAACCUUUGCUUGUCCUUAAGCAAUUCAGUUGAUAAACUGAAAGUGAAAAAAAAUUAUGAACUCUUUUGCUCUUGUUUUCAUAAAUAAGCUUAAACAUCACCCAGUGUCGGUGUCGAAACCGGCGGAUCUCGGAUAGGGGGUUCCGAACUAUGCGUCUAGGCGGAUGGUAACAGGAGACAAGGGACACGAUGUUUACCCAGGUUCGGGCCCUCUCGAUGGAGGUAAAACCCUACUCCUGCUUGAUUAAUAUUGAUGAUAUGGGUAGUACAAGAGUAAAUCUACCACGAGAUCAAGGAGGCUAAACCCUAGAAGCUAGCCUAUGGUAUGAUUGUUGUUGUCCUACGGACUAAAACCCUCCGGUUUAUAUAGACACCGGAGAGGGUUAGGGUUACACAGAGUCGGUUACAAUGGUAGGAGACCUACAUAUCCGUAUCACCAAGCUUGCCUUCCACGCCAAGGAAAGUCCCUUCCGGACACGGGACGAAGUCUUCAAUCUUGUAUGUUCAUAGUCCGGGAGUCCGGCUGAAGGUAUCGUCCGGCUAUCCGGACACCCCCUAAUUCAGGACUCCCUCAGAGCCCCCGAACGAGGCUUCAAUGACGACGAGUCCGGCGCGCAAAUUGUCUUCGGCAUUGCAAGGCGGGUUCUCCUUCAAUUUCUGUGUACCUGCUGAAUAAUGUCCGGUUUCUUAUAAAUGUAGCGCUCCUCGGCUUCCACGCCCAAUAAUGGCCGUCUUCCACGUGUCAAAUGAAUACGAAAAGUCUGGGUGUUUUUACAUUCACACCCCCAGCCGCGUAAAUGAGCUGCCUAUUUAAAGGGACGGGGAUUUAGAUCCAAACCACACCUUCUCCUCUCCGCGAGUUUCAUCAGAGCGCAUCCGACAAAGGACCGUUCCAUCAUGGCCAGCGGUCGCAGCUCCUCCUCUCGCCCUUCCAGCCCUCAUCCUGGAGAUUGGGAGAGAUGCUCCGUCCCGCACAUCGAGCUAGUGUCGCUUCGGACCAAAGGGAUUUCUUCCUCCUGCCUAUAUGGUCCCGGUUCGAGCCGGACUUGCCACCUAUAAUGGCGGAGAGCAAGCGGAGAACGCCCCCAAUCCCUCCAAAGGAGAGCGGGUAUGCCUUGUCCCUUAUUUAAUAAGAGGGCUCGGAUUUCCAAUUCAUCCAUUUCUCCGGGGGCUCCUGGAGUUCUACGGCCUCCAGCUGCACAACCUCAUGCCUGUCUCCGUAUUGCAUAUUGCGGGCUUCGUAGCCCUUUGCGAGUUGUUUUUGGGUGUUGAGGCUCAUUUCGCGCUGUGGAAGAGGCUAUUUUGCCUUGUGCCCUGUUCUUAGGAGGGGUCAAUAUAUCAAGUGGGCGGAGCCAAAGUGUGGUGUAUCGCCAGGACCGGAUAUCUAUCCGGAACCCCAAAGAAGGCGUCCGAGGACUGGCCUUCAGAAUGGUUUUAUAUAGAGGACGUCCCGUUGCCGGAUCCUGUUCGGAUCGGCCUCCCUGAGUUCAACAGCGCUCCCCUGAAGAAACGUCUAAGCUGGCACCCACGGAGCCCUCAGAGAGAAAGUGACAAGGACGUUCUUUACCUGAUGGGCCGGAUAAGAUUAUUAGCUCAUUCCGGACUAACCAUGAUCGGAGUCAUGGCCGCAUGCAUCAUGCGAGGGGUGCAACCGCUUCAGUACAGAGGCCACCCCAUGUGGGACUUCAACGGGGAGGAUGAUGCCACCCGUCACGGCCGUAAGGGGCCGGACUCGGCUACCGCUCUAGUAAAGAUCUUGUCCGCUUUGUACAAGGGAGAAGAGGAGGAAUUUCUCCGCGUCAACCCACAGGGUGGAUUUACCAUGUACAAUCCCCCAAGUUGGGUAAGUGGGCAAUUUUACUUGCCCGUCUGUUUUGUAUUCCCAUCAUUAAAUAUAUAGUCUAACGACUUCAACGCAGGAACUGCGCCAGGAAGUAAAGGACAUAAACAGCCCGCCUCCACAGCCUGAGGACCCAGAGUUGUCCCUCGAUCCGGCCUCCGAAGAGGAUCCGGACUUAUCCAUGGAGUUAAUUGAUGGGGUGUUUUAUCAAUUGAGCAAGGACAAUGCCUUGGUGGCCAUUAAGGCCGAUUACCCGGGGCUGCUCCCGGCCUCCCAGGUAACUGAGACCGAAGUCCUAGCACCUCAAAAAGGGAUCCGCCCUCGCGUGUUUUUCAGUUUCCUGACAACAACCGUGUUUUGUAGGGGAGGUUCUUGAGACGGGAGGCCGAGCCUGCGGUGACUAGCCAACGAGGGGCCACAGGGCCCCGUGGGAUGAAAAGAAGUGCAGUCCGGACUGAGGCACCGGCGCAGAGGUAUAGCGCGCCUUCUUAUUCCCAGGUGUUAUUCCUUCAAGGCAUAUUAACACUCGUGCUCUUUUCAGGACAAAAAGACCCCGCCGGACUAUAUCCAGAGAGGCUGCCAAUCGCGCCUCCACCAGCCAGGAUCCAAAGCCUGGUCCGGAGACGGAGGCGAACACGAGGCGCGCACCGGACGCUCCUCCAACAGAUGAUGCGGACAGGCUGUCCGCCACUAAUUCCGAGGUGGAGAGUGCCAUGAACCACAGGCGUCGCCGGACAGUUCUUCGCGACGCUUGUUUCUCCCAAGAGGCAUUGGACGCCUUCAAUUCGGGAGAUGCGUACCUUCGUGCCGCUCAAAAUGGUCUAGCCAGAGCCACGGAGCAAUAUGUAAAAGACAUACGGGUGAGAAAAUUUAAUGGUUAUAUAUAUCAGUAGCCCCCGAGACUUGAAACAGUUAGAAGAACUGAUUUAAGGAUCAUUCAUAAUGCAGGUUCUUGCGGAAAAGAAUACCCAACUGUCCCAGGAGCUAGAAGAGUGCAAAGCCCAACUUGAGGCCGCACUAGCCGCGACAGGGGAGCCCAAGGAGACCCCCUCUGGUAAUAUGUGCUUCAAAAAGAGAAGUAUUUUGUGAAGUGCGGCGUAUGUGCAAAUCUGACGAAUGAAAUUGCAGAUGGCGCCGGAUUAGAUCCGGAAAAGCAACAAAUCCUACGCCAGCUAAAGGCUGGUGAGAGCGUGCUGACAAAGGUGAGGCGGGAGAAGAACGAUCUCCAAUAUGCCAACACCAAGCUGGGCGUUGAACUGAAAGAUGUUUGUGCCCAGUUGUCAGACUCCGCUAAGGAGAAUCAGCGGCUUCGACGCGGCAUAUUUAGUAAGUGCUUAAACGAACUUUGAAUAAAGAGUUCGACAAGGAAGUCGACUAACGGAGUAAUGUCUGUAGGUAUGCUAACAGGUCGUCCUGCAGAGGAGAUGCCCGGUUCUAUGGGUGACCUUCUUCUUGAGCUCUUGCAACUGCACGAGCGAGUUCAACAGGUGAUGCAGGGCGUCGCCCAGGCCUUGUGGCCAUCCAUCUCCAUGCCCGAAGGACUUGGAGAGGUUGCAGAGAAGCUGAAGGGAGCGCGGCGGCGCUUCCGAUUGUGGAAGAUAUCGGCCUGCCGUCAAGGCGCUAGGGAGGCCUGGGCCAUGGUGAAGACGCGGUACACGAAGGCUGACCCAAACCACAUGGCCGAGGUCGGACCUGUGGGGCCCGAUGGGAAGGAGAUCCCUGUAAGCUUAGUAUACGGCCAAGUAGAAUUGCCCGCAAAGUAUUCCCAGCAGGACUGUAAGCUAGACAGCAUGUUAGAUGGUAUUGAAGAGGAAUACAAUUAGUCAUAAUGACUAUGUAAUUUUAAUUGACAUGUGUAAUGCCUUCUAGCCGGAUUGUAGAUCGUUUUUCAUGGCCGACCUUUUUGCUUCGACCUCGGGACCUGACGGUCCGGAGUGUGUCCGAAUACCCUUGCGGUUAUAUAAGAACCGGGGUAUGCAUGGAGACCAGGCGUAGGGGUCAUUAGUGCUUGAACAGACAAGUGCCCGACUAGUUAUGUUAUAUUACAUGGUUAGUAAGAAACAUCUUCCAGGGAGAAUAGUUCCGUUAGGGGUUCCUUUCCCUGGGAGGCAUGCCCUAAAGUGCAUGUCCAUUCUGCGAAAAGAGACGCAGGAAAAAACAUCUGGGGGCGCAUAGAUAAAUAAGUGAAAAAAAUCAUCUUUAGUUCACCGACCGAAUAUUCCCUUAAGGACGCUAGCUUUCGGCUUCACCCAGUCUGAGGUACACAUCGGGCUGACCCGGCAGUAACAAUCGCAGAGGUGCUCCCUUUACCACCUAGCCGAACAAUCGGAAACAUAGGGCUAAGCACAGGAGCCAGGCAACCCAGCUUGGCUAAAACUUAAGUCAUAUCGAUACAUAUGAUGGUGAAUAAAAGGUACAUGCGGAAGUGUGACACAUGUGUUGGGCAUGAAGCCCGUAUAAGCUUCUGUUCAAAGAAGCCCCCAGGUUUAGUGAGCGCGGAUAGCGCGUCACUUGAUGAGCCUUUAAAGGCUAUAAGAGAAAGGAGGGGGAGAAGGAGAAAAUGGAAGACAGAAAAUAUAAAAAAUGGACAGAGGAAGGAGACGAACAUAGAAUCCGGCGCUAGGCAUAGAAUCUUCGGAGACGGGCUGCGUUCCAUGGGUUCGGCUCGAGUCGGUUAUCCGAUGCAUCUCACAGGCGGUACGUUCCACCAGUCAGGACUUGGUCAAUUAUGAAGGGACCUUCCCACUUGGGCUGGAGUUUGUCCUUUUUCUUGUCCGGCAGGCGUAGAACUAGUUCGCCAACAUUGUAAUUUUUGGCCCGUACUUCUCUGCUUUGAUAUCUUCGAGCCUGCUGUUGAUAGAAUGCGGAACGGGCUUUUGCCACGUCACGCUCCUCCUCCAAGGCGUCCAAACUGUCCUGCCGAUCGAGCUCGGCUUCUCUUUCUUCGUACAUGUGCACUCAAGGUGAGUCAUGAAUUAUAUCGCAGGGCAAAACUGCUUCUGCGCCGUACACCAUGAAGAAUGGUGUGUAUCCGGUGGUGCGAUUCGGCGUGGUCCGCAGCCCCCAGAGUACGGAGUCGAGCUCCUCUACCCAGUGCGUGUUAGAUUCCUUAAGGGACCGCACUAAUCUGGGUUUGAUGCCGCUCAUGAUAACACCAUUUGCGUGUUCGACCUGUCCGUUAGUUUGUGGGUGAUAGACGGAAGCAGAAUCGAGCUUGAUGCCCAUGUUUUUGCACCAGAGUUUUACCUCAUCGACCGUAAAGUUCGUACCGUUAUCAGUGAUGAUGCUGUGGGGGACGCCGUAACGGUGUACGACCCCGGAUAUAAAGUCUAUCACUGGUACAGAUUCGGCCGUCUUAAUAGGCUUGGCCUCUAUCCAUUUGGUGAACUUAUCCACCAUGACCAGUAAGUAUUUUUUCUUGUGGGUUCCGCCUUUAAGGGGUCCAACCAUGUCAAGCCCCCAGACCGCGAAGGGCCAAGUGAUGGGGAUAGUUUGGAGGGCGGUGGGUGGCAUAUGGCUUUGGUUUGGCAAAAGCUGGCAACCGACGCAUCGUUGGACUAAGUCCUGAGCGUCUGCCCGGGCCGUUGGCCAAUAAAAGCCUGUACGGAAAGCCUUGCUUACGAGGGACCAAGCUGCGGUGUGAUGACCACCGAGUCCGGCAUGAAUUUCAGCCAGCAAGUUCCGCCCAUCCUCCUCAGAGAUGCACCUUUGAAGGACUCCGGUAGUGCUUUUCUUAUAAAGCUCUCCCUCAUGGACUUUAUAGGCUUUAGAUCGCCGCACUAUGCAGCGUGCCUCAUUUUGGUCUUCUGGGAGUUCCUGCCUAGUAAGAUAGGCUAGGAAUGGUUCUGUCCACGGGGCGAUGACUGCCAUUAUUACGUGGGCUGAAUAUGUGACUUCAUUGGCAGAGUCUCCAAUUAUGUCAGUGUUGGCUAACGUAGCAGAAAUUCAAAAUUUUCCUACGUGUCACCAAGAUCUAUCUAUGCAGAAACCAGCAACGAGGGGAAGGAGAGUGCAUCUACAUACCCUUGUAGAUCGCUAAGCGGAAGCGUUCAAGAGAACGGGGUUGAAGGAGUCGUACUCGUCGUGAUCCAAAUCACCGAUGAUCCUAGUGCCGAACGGACGGCACCUCCGCGUUCAACACACGUACAGCCCGGUGACGUAUCCCACGCCUUGAUCCAGCAAGGAGAGAGGGAGAGGUUGAGGAAGACUCCAUCCAGCAGCAGCACAACGGCGUGGUGGUGGUGGAGGAGCGUGGCAAUCCUGCAGGGCUUCGCCAAGCACCACGGGAGAGGAGGAAGGAGAGAUGCAGGGCUGCAUCAUAUAGAGGAGAGGAACUCGCGUCUUAUGAGCAGCCCAAACCUCAACUAUAUAUAGGGGAAGGGGAGGGGCUGCGCCCCCUUUAGGGUUUCCACCCCUAGGGGUGGCGGCCAGCCUAGAUCCCAUCUAAGGGAGGCGGCCAAGGGGGAGGGGGAGAGGGAGGCGCACCAGGAUGGGCCUUAGGGCCCAUCUGCCCUAGGGUUUGCCCCCUUCUCCUCUCCCUUGCGCCUUGGGCCCUUGUGGGGGGGCGCACCAGCCCACCUGGGGCUGGUCCCCUUCCACACUUGGCCCAUGAAGCCCUCCGGGGCUGGUGGCCCCACUUGGUGGACCCCCGGGACCCUCCCGGUGGUCCCGGUACGUUACCGAUAAACCCCGAAACUUUUCCGGUGACCAAAACAGGACUUCCCAUAUAUAAAUCUUUACCUCCGGACCAUUCGGGAACUCCUCAUGACGUCCGGGAUCUCAUCCGGGACUCCUAACAACAUUCGGUAACCACAUACAAACUUCCUUUAUAACCCCAGCGUCAUCGAACCUUAAGUGUGUAGACCCUACGGGUUCGGGAGACAUGCAUACAUGACCGAGACGUUCUCCGGUCAAUAACCAACAGCGGGAUCUGGAUACCCAUGUUGGCUCCCACAUGUUCCACGAUGAUCUCAUCGGAUGAACCACGAUGGCAAGGACUUAAUCAAUCCCGUAUACAAUUCCCUUUGUCUAUCUGUACGAUACUCGCCCGAGAUUCGAUCGUCGGUAUCCCGAUACCUUGUUCAAUCUUGUUACCGGCAAGUCUCUUUACUCGUUCCGUAACACAUCAUCCCAUGAUCAACUCCUUGAUCACAUUGUGCACAUUAUGAUGAUGUCCUACCGAGUGGGCCCAGAGAUACCUCUCCGUCACACGGAGUGACAAAUCCCAGUCUCGAUUCGUGCCAACCCAACAGACACUUUCAGAGAUACCCGUAGUGUACCUUUAUAGCCACCCAGUUACGUUGUGACGUUUGGCACACCCAAAGCACUCCUACGGUAACCGGGAGUUGCACAAUCUCAUGGUCUAAGGAAAUGAUACUUGACAUUAGAAAAGCUUUAGCAUACGAACUACUUAGGAUUGGGUCUUGUCCAUCACAUCAUUCUCCUAAUGAUGUGAUCCCGUUAUCAACGACAUCCAAUGUCCAUGGUCAGGAAACCGUAACCAUCUAUUGAUCAACGAGCUAGUCAACUAGAGGCUUACUAGGGACAUGGUGUUGUCUAUGUAUCCACACAUGUAUCUGAGUUUCCUAUCAAUACAAUUCUAACAUGGAUAAUAAACGAUUAUCAUGAACAAGGAAAUAUAAUAAUAAUCAAUUUAUUAUUGCCUCUAGGGCAUAUUUCCAACAGUCUCCCACUUGCACUAGAGUCAAUAAUCCAGUUCACAUCGCUAUGUGACUAACACUCAAGGUCACAUGCCCAUGUGACUAACACCCAAAGAGUUUACUAGAGUCAAUAAUCUAGUUCACAUUUACCAUGUGAUUAACACUCGAUGAGUUCUGGGUUUGAUCAUGUUAUGCUUGUGAGAGAGGUUAUAGUCAACGGGUCUGAACCUUUCAGAUCCGUGUGUGCUUUACAAAUCUCUAUGUCAUCUCCUAGAUGCAGCUACCACGCUCUAUUUGGAGCUAUUCCAAAUAGCUGUUCUACUAUACGAAUCCAGUUUACUACUCAGAAUAAUCUGGAUUAGUGUCAAAGUUUGCAUCGGUGUAACCCUUUACGAUGAACUCUUUUACCACCUCCAUAAUCGAGAAAAUUCCUUAGUCCACUAGUUACUAAGGAUAACUUUGACCGCUGUCCUGUGAUCCAUUCUUGGAUCACUCUUGUACCCCUUGACUGACUCAUGGCAAGGCACACUUCAGGUGCGGUACAUAGCAUAGCAUACUGUAGAGCCUAUGUCUUAAGCAUAGGGGACGACCUUCGUUCUUUCUCUCUAUUCUGCCGUGGUCGAGCUUUAAGUCUUAACUUCAUACCUUACAACUCAGGCAAGAACUCCUUCUUUGACUGAUCCAUCUUGAACACCUUCAAGAUCAUGUCAAGGAAUGUGCUCAUUUGUAAGUACCAUUAAGUGUUUUGAUCUAUCCUUAUAGAUCUUGAUGCUCAAUGUUCAAACAGCUUAAUCCAGGCUUUCCAUUGAAAAAACACUUUCCAAAUAACCCUAUAUGCUUUCCAGAAAUUCUACGUCAUUUCUGAUCAACAAUAUGUCAACAACAUAUAUUCAUCAGAAAUUCUAUAGUGCUCCCACUCACUUCUUUGGAAAUACAAGUUUCUCAUAAACUUCGUAUUCACCCAAAAUCUUUGAUCAUCUCAUCAAAGCAUACAUUCCAACUCGAGAUGCUUACUCCAGUCCUUAGAAGGAUUGCUGGAGCUUUGCAUACUUAUUAGCAUAUUUCAGGAUUGACAAAACCUUCCGGUUGUAUCACAUACAACCUUUCCUCAAAAAUCGUCGAGGAAACAAUGUUUUGACAUCCUAUCUGCAAGAUUUCAUAAAUGAUGCAGUAAUUGCUAAUAUAAUUCCAACAGACUCUUAGCAUCGCUAUGAGUGAGAAAGUCUCAUCGUAGUCAACUCCUUGAACUUGUCGGAAAACAUCUUAAUGACAAGUCGAGCUUUCUUAAUGGUGAUACUUACCAUCAUUGUCCGUCUUCCUUUUAAAAUCCAUAUGUACCUAACAGCCUUACGACCAUCAAGUAGUUCUUCCAAAGUCUACACUUUGUUUUCACAUAUGGAUCCUCUCUCGGAUUAUAUGGCCUUGAGCCAUUUUGGAAUCCAUGCCCACCAUCGCUCCUCCAUAGCUCGUAGGUUCAUCGUUGUCUAGCAACAUGACUUCCAAGACAGGAUUACGUACCAUUCUGAAGCAGUACACAUCCUUGUCAUCCCACGAGGUUUGGUAGUGACUUGAUCUGAAGUUUCAUGAUCACUAUCAUAAGCUUCCACUUCAAUUGGUGUAGGUGCCACAGGAACAACUCCCUGUGCCCUGCCACACACUAGUUGAAGAGAUGGUUCAAUAACCUCAUCAAGUCUCCACCAUCCUCCCACUCAAUUCUUUCGAGAGAAACUUUUCCUCGAGAAAGGACCCGAUUCUAGUAACAAUCCCUUAUUGCUUUCGAAUCUGAGACAGGAGGUAUACCCAACCGUUUUGGGUGUCCUAUGAAGAUGUAUUUAUCCGCUUUGGGUUCGAGCUUAUCGGCCUGAAACUUUUUCACAUAAGCGUCGCAGCCCCAAACUUUUAAGAAAUGACAGCUUAGGUUUCUCUAAACCAUAGUUCAUACGGUGUCAUCUCAUCAGAAUUACGUGGUGCCCUAUUUAAAGUGAAUGUGGUUGUCUCUAAUGCCUAACCCAUAAACUAUUGUGGUAAUUCGAUAAGAGACAUCAUGGUAUGCAUCAUAUCCAAUAGGGUGCAGUUAUGAUGUUCGGACACACCAUCACACUAUGGUGUUCCAGGCUGUAUCAGUUGUGAAACAAUUUCCACAAUGUCUUAAUUCUGUGCCAAACUCGUAAUUCAGAUAUUCAUCUCUAUGAUCAUAUCAUAGAUAUUUUAUCCUCUUGUCACGAUGAUCUUUCAACUUCACCCUGAAAUUACUUGAACCUUUCAAUAAUUCAGACUCGUGAUUCAUCAAGUAAAUAUACUCAACAUCUACUCAAAUCAUCUAUGAAGUAAGAACAUAACGAUAUCCACUACAUGCCUCAGCACUCAUUGGACUGCACACAUCAAAAUGUAUUACUUCCAACAAGUUGCUUUCUAGUUCCAUUUUACUGAAACUGAGGCUUUCAGUCAUCUUGCCCAUGUGGUAUGAUUUGCAUGUCUCAAGUGAUUCAAAAUCAAGUGAGUCCAAAUGGUCCAUUUGCAUGGAGUUUCUUCAUGCAUAUACACCAAUAGACAUGGUUCGCAUGUCUCAAACUUUUCAAAAACGAGUGAUCCCAAAGAUCCAUCAACAUGGAGCUUCUUCAUGCGUUUUAUACCGAUAUGACUUACGUGGCAGUGCCACAAGUAGGUGGUACUAUCAUUACUAUCUUAUAUCUUUUGGCAUGAACAUGUGUAUCACUACGAUCGAGAUUCAAUAAACCAUUCAUUUUAGGUGCAAGACCAUUGAAGGUAUUAUUCAAAUGAACAGAGUAACCAUUAUUCUCCUUAAAUGAAUAGCCGUAUUGCGAUAGACAUAAUCCAAUCAUGUCUAUGCUCAACGCAAACAGCAAAUAACAAUUAUUUAGGUUUAACACCAAUCUCGAUGGUAGAGGGAGCGUGCGAUGCUUGAUCAUAUCAACAUUGGAAACACUUCCAACACAUAUCGUCAGCUCACCUUUAGCUAGUCUCCGUUUAUUCCGUAGCUUUUAUUUCAAGUUACAAACACUUAGCAACCGAACCGGUAUCUAAUACCCUGGUGCUACUAGGAGUACCAGUAAAGUACACAUUAACACAAUGUAUAUCCAAUAUACUUCUAUCGACCUUGCCAGCCUUCUCUUCUACCAAGUAUCUAGGGUAAUUCUGCUCCAGUGGCUGUUCCCCUUAUUACAGAAGCACUUAGUCUCGGGUUUGGGUUCAACCUUGGGUUUCUUCACUAGAGCAGCAGCUGAUUUGCCGUUUCAUGAAGUAUCCCUUCUUGCCCUUGCCCUUCUUGAAACUAGUGGUUUCACCAACCAUCAACAAUUGAUGCUCCUUCUUGAUUUCUACUUUUGUGGUGUCAAACAUCGCGAAUAUCUCAAGGAUCAUCAUAUAUGUCCCUGAUAUAUUAUAGUUCAUCACGAAGCUCUAGCAGCUUGGUGGUAAUGACUUCGGAGAAACAUCACUUUCUCAUCUGGAAGAUCAACUCCCACUCGAUUCAAAUGAUUGUUGUACUCAGACAAUCUGAGCACAAGCUCAACAAUUGAGCUUUUCUCCCUUAGUUUGCAGGCUAAGAAAAUCGUCAGAGGUCUUAUACCUCUUGACGUGGGCACGAGCCUGAAAUCCAAAUUUCAGCCCUCGAAACAUCUCAUAUGCUUCGCGGCGUUUCAAAACGUCUUCGGUGCCUCAACUCUAAACCGUUUAACUAAACUAUCACGUAGUUAUCAAAAUGUGUAUGUCAGAUGUUCGCAACAUCCACAGACAACGUUCGAGGUUCAGCACAUUGAGUGGUGCAUUAAGGACAUAAGCCUUCUAUGAAGCAAUGAGGACAAUCCUCAGUUUACGGACCUAGUCCGCAUAAUUGCUACUAUCAACUUUCAACUAAUUUUUUUCUCUCUAGGAACAUAUCUAAACAGUAGAACUAAAGUGCGAGCUAUGACAUAAUUUGCAAAAUCCUUUUGACUAUGUUGAGGAUAAACAAGUUGAUCUUAUGAACUUCCACUCAGAUAGAUAUCCCUCUAGUCAUCUAAGUGAUUACAUGAUCCGAGUCAACUAGGCCGUGUCCGAUCAUCACGUGAGACGGACUAGUCAUCAUCGGUGAACAUCUUCAUGUUGAUCGUAUCUACCAUACGACUCAUGCUCGACCUUUCGGUCUCUUGUGUUCCGAGGCCAUGUCUGUACAUGCUAGGCUCGUCAAGUCAACCUAAGUGUUUCGGGUGUGUAAAUCUGUCUUACACCCGUUGUAUGUGAACGUUAGAAUCUAUCACACCCGAUCAUCACGUGGUGCUUCGAAACGACGAACUUUCGCAACGGUGCACAGUUAGGGGGAACACUUUCUUGAAAUUUUAAUGAGGGAUCAUCUUAUUUACUACCGUCGUUCUAAGCAAAUAAGAUGUAUAAACAUGAUAAACAUCACUUGCAAUCAAAUAGUGACAUGAUAUGGCCAAUAUCAUAGUGCUCCUUUUGAUCUCCAUCUUCGGGGCUCCAUGAUCAUCAUCACCGGCAUGACACCAUGAUCUCCAUCAUCAUGAUCUCCAUCAUCGUGUCUUCAUGAUGUUGUCUCGCCAACUAUUACUUCUACUACUACAGCUAACGGUUAGCAAUAAAGUAAAGUAAUUACAUGGCGUUGUUUAAUGACAAGCAGGUCAUAUAAUAAAUUAAGAAACUCCUAUGGCUCCUGCCGGUUGUCAUACUCAUCGACAUGCAAGUCGUGAUUCCUAUUACAAGAACAUGAUCAAUCUCAUACAUCACAUAUCAUUCAUCACAUUCUUCUUGGCCAUAUCACAUCACAUAGCAUACCCUGCAAAAACAAGUUAGACGUCCUCUAAUUGUUGUUUGCAUGUUUUACAUGGCUGCUAUGGGUUUCUAGCAAGAACGUUUCUUACCUAGGCAAAACCACAACGUGAUAUGCCAAUUGCUAUUUACCCUUCAUAAGGACCCUUUUCAUCGAAUCCGAUCCGACUAAAGUGGGAGAGACAAACACCCGCCAGCCACCUUAUGCAACUAGUGCAUGUUUGUCGGUGGAACCGGUCUCACGUAAGCGUACGUGUAAGGUUGGUCUGGGCCGCUUCAUCCCACAAUGCCGCCGAAUCAAGAUUGGACUAGUAACGGUAAGCAUAUUGAACAAAAUCAACGCCCACAACUACUUUGUGUUCUACUCGUGCAUAGAAUCUACGCAAUAGACCUAGCUCAUGAUGCCACUGUUGGGUAACGUAGCAGAAAUUCAAAAUUUUCCUACGUGUCACCAAGAUCUAUCUAUGGAGAAACCAGCAACGAGGGGAAGGAGGGUGCAUCUACAUACCCUUGUAGAUCGCUAAGCGGAAGCGUUCAAGAGAACGGGGUUGAAGGAGUCGUACUCGUCGUGAUCCAAAUCACCGAUGAUCCUAGUGCCGAACGGACGGCACCUCCGCGUUCAACACACGUACAGCCCGGUGACGUAUCCCACGCCUUGAUCCAGCAAGGAGAGAGGGAGAGGUUGAGGAAGACUCCAUUCAGCAGCAGCACAACGGCGUGAUGGUGGUGGAGGAGCGUGGCAAUCCUGCAGGGCUUCGCCAAGCACCACGGGAGAGGAGGAAGGAGAGAUGCAGGGCUGCGUCAUAUAGAGGAGAGGAACUCGCGUCUUAUGAGCAGCCCAAACCUCAACUAUAUAUAGGGGAAGGGGAGGGGCUGCGCCCCCUUUAGGGUUUCCACCCCUAGGGGUGGCGGCCAGCCUAGAUCCCAUCUAAGGGAGGCAGCCAAGGGGGAGGGGGAGAGGGAGGCGCACCAGGAUGGGCCUUAGGGCCCAUCUGCCCUAGGGUUUGCCCCCUUCUCCUCUCCCUUGCGCCUUGGGCCCUUGUGGGGGGGGGGGGAGCACCAGCCCACCUGGGGCUGGUCCCCUUCCACACUUGGCCCAUGAAGCCCUCCGGGGCUGGUGGCCCCACUUGGUGGACCCCCGGGACCCUCCCGGUGGUCCCGGUACGUUACCGAUAAACCCCGAAACUUUUCCGGUGACCAAAAUAGGACUUCCCAUAUAUAAAUCUUUACCUCCGGACCAUUCCGGAACUCCUCGUGACGUCCGGGAUCUCACCCGGGACUCCGAACAACAUUCGGUAACCACAUACAAACUUCCUUUAUAACCCUAGAGUCAUCGAACCUUAAGUGUGUAGACCCUAUGGGUUCGGGAGACAUGCAGACAUGACCGAGACGUUCUCCGGUCAAUAACCAACAGCGGGAUCUGGAUACCCAUGUUGGCUCCCACAUGUUCCACGAUGAUCUCAUCGGAUGAACCACGAUGUCAAGGACUUAAUCUAUCCCGUAUACAAUUCCCUUUGUCUAUCGGUACGAUACUCGCCCGAGAUUCGAUCGUCGGUAUCCCGAUACCUUGUUCAAUCUCAUUACCGGCAAGUCUCUUUACUCGUUCCGUAACACAUCAUCCCGUGAUAAACUCCUUGAUCACAUUGUGCACAUUAUGAUGAUGUCCUACCGAGUGGGCCCAGAGAUACCUCUCCGUCACACGGAGUGACAAAUCCCAGUCUCGAUUCGUGCCAACCCAACAGACACUUUCGAAGAUACCCGUAGUGUACCUUUAUAGCCACCCAGUUACGUUGUGACGUUUGGCACACCCAAAGCACUCCUACGGUAACCGGGAGUUGCACAAUCUCAUGGUCUAAGGAAAUGAUACUUGACAUUAGAAAAGCUUUAGCAUACGAACUACACGAUCUAGUGCUAUGCUUAGGAUUGCGUCUUUUCCAUCACAUCAUUCUCCUAAUGAUGUGAUCCCGUUAUCAACGACAUCCAAUGUCCAUGGUCAGGAAACCGUAACCAUCUAUUGAUCAACGAGCUAGUCAACUAGAGGCUUACUAGGGACAUGGUGUUGUCUAUGUAUCCACACAUGUAUCUGAGUUUCCUAUCAAUACAAUUCUAGCAUGGAUAAUAAACGAUUAUCAUGAACAAGGAAAUAUAAUAAUAAUCAAUUUAUUAUUGCCUCUAGGGCAUAUUUCCAACAGUCAGAUUGUUCGGUGUUGGGCAGUGCGGUUGAGUCCGGGCUGUUAUUGCCGGGUUCCCCUUCCCAUACUACGGACGGCUUGAAUAGCCUUUCCAAGAAGAUGUUGGGAGGGACUGCAUCGCGUUUUGCGCCGAUGCGUGCCAGGACAUCCGCCGCCUGAUUAUUUUCCCGGGCUAUAUGGUGAAAUUCGAGCCCUUCGAACCGAGCUGACAUUUUUAAGACGACGUUGCGAUAAGCUGCCAUUUUUGGAUCCUUGGCAUCGAAGUCUCUGUUUAUUUGGGAUAUUGCAAGGUUCGAAUCCCCUCGCACUUCUAGGCGUUGAAUACCCAUGGAUACUGCCAUCUAGAGACCAUGUAAGAGGGCCUCGUAUUCGGCUGCAUUGUUGGAGUCUGUGUACAUAAUCUGGAGUACAUAUUGAACUAUGUCUCCUGUGGGGGACGUCAAAACGACGCCAGCCCCCAGACCGGCCAACAUUUUGGAGCCGUAGAAAUGCAUGAUCCAGUUUUAAUAUGUGCCGUACUCUUUAGGGAGUUCAGCCUCCGUCCAUUCUGUGACGAAGUCAGCCAAAACUUGCGACUUGAUAGCUCGCCGUGGCUUAUAAGUUAUGUCGAACGAGAGGAGCUCGAUGGCCCAUUUCGCAAUCCGGCCCGUUGCGUCGCGGUUGUUUAUAAUAUCGUUUAGUGGUACUUCUGAGGCUACUGUUAUUGAACACUCUUGAAAGUAGUGUCGCAGCUUCCGGGAUGCCAUGAAUACCGCGUACGCAAUCUUUUGAUAAUGCGGGUACCUUGAUUUGCACGGAGUGAGGACAGUGGCCACAUAAUAGACCGGCUUCUGAAGGGGGAAUUUGUGUCCGUCCGUUUCUCGUUCGACGACGAGCACUGCGCUCACAACCUGAUGGGUUGCUGCAAUGUAUAAUAGCAUUGGUUCGCCAAUGUUUGGCGCGGCCAGGACUGGGUUUGUUGCCAAUAUGGCUUUUAUUUUGUCGAGUCCGGCCGUGGCUGCGUCCGUCCACUCGAAGUGUUCGGUGCGCCGAAGGAGGCGGUAAAGGGGGAGUGCCUUUUCUCCCAAGCGGGAGAUAAAGCGGCUUAGAGCCGCCACGCAUCCGGUUUACUUUUGUAUUUGUUUGAGGUCCUUUGGGAUAUCCAAUUGUGACAGAGCUCGGAUCUUGGCUGGAUUUGCUUCAAUUCCUCUACCGAAUACAAUGAAGCCCAAGAGCUUACCGGCUGGAACGCCGAAAACGCAUUUUUCCGGGUUGAGCUUGAUGUCGUAUGUUCGAAGGUUAUCAAAUGUGAGCCUCAAGUCGUCUACUAGGGAUUCAACAUGUCUUGUUUUUACGACCACAUCAUCUACGUAUGCCUCCACUGUUUUGCCGAUCUGGUUUGCCAGACAUGUCUGAAUCAUGCGCUGAUAUGUUGUUUUGAGCCCGAAGGGCAUUGUGUUGAAGCAGAAUGGGCCGUAUGGUGUGAUGAAUGCCGUUGCGGCUUGGUCUGAUUCUGCCAUCUUGAUUUGAUGGUAGCCGGAAUAUGCGUCGAGCAAGCACAACAAAUCGUGUCCUACAGUAGCGUUGAUAAUUUGAUCGAUGCGAGGGAGGGGGAAGGGAUCCUUUGGGCAAGCCUUAUUAAGGUCUUUAAAAUCAACGCACAGGCGCUAGGAUUUGUCCUUCUUUGGUACCAUCACCAGGUUUGCUAGCCAGUUCGGAUGUUUUAUAUCUCUGAUGGAUCCGGCCUCUAAUAGCUUGGCUAGCUCCUCUCCCAUGGCCUGUCUCUUAGGUUCGGAAAAACGCCGAAGAGCCUGUUUGACAGGUUUGAAUCCUUUAGGAUAUUUAAGCUGUGUUCGGCCAGCCUGCGUGGGAUUCCUGGCAUGUCUGAAGGGUGCCAGGCGAAAAUGUCCCAGUUCUCACGUAGGAACUCUCGUAGUGCGGCGUCUACAUCAGGGUUUAAUUGUGCACCGAUGGAAGCUGUUUUAUUGGGGUCCGUUGGAUGGACCUGGAAUUUGACUAUUUCGUCCGCUGGUUUAAAUGAGGUGGACUUGGAUAUUUUGUCGAGUAUCACAUCAUCCCUGUUCACCGUGGAGCGCAGCGCAGUCAGCUCCUCAGCCGCUAGGGCUUCGGAUAGUGCCUCAAGGGCCAGUGCGACUGUCUUAUUUUAGGCGCGGAGUGCUAUGUCCAGAUCACUAGCGAGAGUGAUGAUUCCGUUCGGCCCGGGCAUCUUGAGUUUCAUGUACCCAUAAUGGGGUAUUGCUUGGAAGAUUGUGAACGCUUCCCGCCCUAGCAGAGCAUGGUAUCCGCUACUGAACGGGACCACUUGGAACGUGACCUCCUUGGACCUGUAAUUAUCCGGCGUGCCGAACACCACAUCUAGUGUGAUUUUUCCUGUACAGCACGCUUCCUGACUGGGGAUUAUUCCUCUAAAGGUUGUGCUGCUUCGCUCAAUGCGGUUCCAGUCUAUUUCCAUUUUUUGAAGGGUUUCCUCAUAAAUGAGGUUCAAUCCGCUGCCUCCAUCCAUGAGUACCUUGGUAAGGCGAAAGCCGUCCACUAUUGGACUGAGGACCAAUGUGGCUGGUGCUCGGGCUGUUCGGAAUUUAGGUUCAUCACUGGCAUUAAAAGUAAUAGCCGUGUCACUCCAUGGGUUUAUUGUUGCUACUUGGUAGACUUCGGCAAGGCUGCGGAGUGUUCUUUUUCGCAUAUUAUUUGAUGCGGAAGUCUCGAAGACUGUUAAUACCGUACCGGUAUCCCUGGGGUGGCUUUCUAUGGCCUCCGGAAUUAGGAGAUCUUUGCCAAUUUUGGCCACCUGCCGGAGUAUCCAACAUGCUCUAAGGCUGUGAGUUGGUGUGGCGCCCUCUGUACUGUGAAUUUUACAGGGUCGAUUAAGCCAUCCUUCCAAUACGCUUCCAUGCCCUGUAGAGGAUUUUUGCUUUUUGGUGUUUAACCCGGGUGUCUGGCGAAGAUGCACCCUUUUAUUUUGGACUGGGUUUGUAUUCAGGGCCGGAUUGUCCCAAAAUUUUAUUUUGGUUUUCCAGUCGCUAUCCAUCGCAUAGUACUUUCGUACUAUGGACGCCAAGUCAGCGAAGCAUGUAAUAUCACGGCGACUUAUGGCGUUGAGGAUUCCCUUGUCCGUGCAAUUAUUGCAGAAGAAUGAGAUUGCGUCUUCCUCGCGGCAGUCCUUGAUCCUGUUCAUAGCCAGGAGGAAUCUGGCCCAGUAAUGAUGUACUGUUUCUUCGGGCUUUUGCCUAAUUUGGGAUAGAUCGCUUAUGUUCGGGUGGGUGGGUGGAAUUAAAUCCGAAAACUGACCCGAUAUGAGACUCAGAGGCCAAGGAGUUUCCGAACUCGGAAGUUUGGAUUCUUGGAUGUUGUCCAAUGAGUCUAGCCCGUCGCCUGACUCUAAGUUCAGGUCUUGAGUGAUGUCCUCCCUUCCGCGGGUAUCCGGCUUGGAGGGAUCGGGAAUCCAGACGUAACUAGUCCUUAAGAUAGAUGAAGGGUCGCCGCACUGUCCCUCUACCAUAGCAAUGUGAUGGGUGACCUGGGGAGAGUUAAUCUCUCUUAGAUCGGGUUUAGGCCCAAUCUGGUCAUAAUCCGUGGCGACUCCCAGGGCGGCGAUGCGAUCCAAGAGCUCGUUUAUGGAAGAGAGCUCCAUUGGAUCUAACUGCUCGGCGAGUUCCGAGCUGACAUGAAUACUGCUUUUGAUGACCCGAGAGGUCAUCGUCGGCGCAGCAGCCGAACAGGCGGUCAUAAGAAAACCGCCUAGCCGGAGAGUUUGGCCGACAGCCAAAGCUCCCUUAGCAACGGUUCCGUCUUUAAAGACGGGAUGAGGCAUCCUUCCUGAUGGCGACGGCACAGAGGAACUCUCAAUGAAAGCACCAAUGUCGGUGUCAAAACCGGCGGAUCUCGGGUAGGGGGUCCCGAACUGUGCGUCUAGGCGGAUGGUAACAGGAGACAAGGGACACGAUGUUUACCCAGGUUCGGGCCCUCUCGAUGGAGGUAAAACCCUACUCCUGCUUGAUUAAUAUUGAUGAUAUGGGUAGUACAAGAGUAGAUCUACCACGAGAUCAAGGAGGCUAAACCCUAGAAGCUAGCCUAUGGUAUGAUUGUUGUUGUCCUACGGACUAAAACCCUUCGGUUUAUAUAGACACCAGAGAGGGUUAGGGUUACACAGAGUCGGUUACAAUGGUAGGAGAUCUACAUAUCCGUACCACCAAGCUUGCCUUCCACGCCAAGGAAAGUCCCUUCCGGACAUGGGACGAAGUCUUCAAUCUUGUAUCUUCAUAGUCCGGGAGUCCGGCUGAAGGUAUAGUCCGGCUAUCCAGACACCCCCUAAUCCAGGACUCCCUCACCCAGGUUUUCAGCCAAGAUUAUAACUAACCAUGUCGACAAUAACUCUUAAACAUUAUAUUAACUCUUAUGAGUAGAGGCCGCGGGAAAAAGCCUAGUAGUAGCGCGGAUAAAAGACUAGUAGUAGUGCGGGUGCCCGUGCUACUACUACGGCGCUACAGCUAACUCGUAGUAGUAGCGCAGGUGCCACCCGCGCUACUAGUACGUGUGUUAGUAAUAGCGCGGAUUCUACACACGCUACUAUUAACUAUCUGUAGCGCCUGUCUGUGACCCGCGCUACUACUAUUAAUUUCAAAAACCAAAAAAAAAAUCUCGACCCCGUGCAUGUUGUCAAUGGUGUCAUUGAUUCGAUCCAGCGACAACAAGGGUUGCCGGAGGUGUGGACGGGUAGUGGCAGACCAGAUCCGGCGAUGGCUGUUGGAGAUGGCCGGAUCCAGUGUAGAGCAAGACGACGGUGUGAGGAUCCUCUUCGCGGUCAAGGCGGAGAACUCCUGGUUGGCCAUGUCGACGACCUGUGCAGGCAUGGGCAUGGGAGGUGAGUAAAACCAAAGGGAGAGGGAGAGGAGAGGGAGAGGGAAAAAGAGAAACAAGGGAGAAAGGAGGGAGAUGGAGGGUGUAUCGGGGCUGCAUGGAGGCGAGGAGGAAGACGGGCGAGCUCUUGGAUGCCAGCGAUGCGAGGAGGAAGACGUUGGGUGCCAUGGAGGAGGAGAUAUUCUUGGGCAGGAGCACCAUGGAGAGAGGGGGAAAGUGAGGGAGAGAGGAGGAAAGUGAGAGAGGGGGAAAGUGAGGGAGAGAGGAGGGAUUCGGCCGAGGAUAUGGAGAUUUCACCUACCUCGUACUUAGUAGUAGCGAGGGGUAUAAAACCGCGCUACUACUAUCAACAUAGUAGUAGCAUGGGUUUGUACCCCUCGCUACUACUAUGGCAUGUCCCGGGAGGGCACGGUAGACACCGCUUAGUAGUAGCGAGGGUGAAAAACCCGCGCUAAUAGUAUCAACUUAGUAGUAGCGAGGGGUAAAAACCCGUGCUACUAGUAAGUAGCAGUAGCGACGGUUAUAAACCCGUGCUACUAGUAAGCGUCUGCCUAUAAGCUUUUCCCUAGUAGUGGCAUAUCUAUGACAUAAUCAACUAGCGAGCAAUAAUAAGAUAUCUCAAACAACAACACGUUGUGAAAACAACCAUGAUAUAAUAUGACAAUAGUGGUAUCUCGCUAGCCCUUUCUAAGACCGCAAAACAUAAAUGUAGAGCACCUCCAAAGUUCAAGCAGCGACCAAACAUUGUAAUUCAUGGUAGAAAAGAUCUAGUCAUGAUGCACCCAACAUUAGCAACACAUAGUGCAUCAGCAUGUCAACAGUGCUCUCUGGAUUUGGCACUUAUUUUAGAAGGUGAUGACACAACAUAAAAGUAAAUAGAUAGUCCCUUCGCAGAGGGAAGCAGUGAUUUGCAGCGGUGCCAGAGCUCAAAAUUUAAAAAUAGAGGUAAAUGAAAUUUUGGGAAAUUGAUACGUCUCCAACGUAUCUAUAAUUUUUUAUUGUUCCAUGCUAUAUUAUAUUAUGUUUUGGAUGUUUAAUGGGCUUAUUUAUACACUUUUAUAUUAUUUUUGGGACUAACCUAUUAACCGGAGGCCCAGCCCAUAUUGUUGUUUUUGUUCCUAUUUCAGUGUUUCGCAAAAAAAAGAAUAUCAAACGGAAUGAAACCUUCGGGAACAUGAUUUUUAAAACAAACGUGAUUCAGAGGACUUGGAGUCCAUGUCAAGCAGUCAAUGAGGAGGGCACGAGGCAGGGGGCGCUCCUACCUCCCCCUAGGCGCGCCCUCCACCCUCAUGGGGCCCACGUUGCUCCACCGACGUACUUCUUCCUCCUAUAAUACCUACGUACCCCCAAACCAUCAGGGGCAUCCACGAAAACCUAAUUCCACCGCCGCAACCUUCUGUACACGUGAGAUCCCAUCUUGGGGCCUUUUCCGGCGUCCUGCCGAAGGGGGCAUUGAUCACGGAGGGCUUCUACAUCAACACCAUAGCCACUCCGAUGAUGUGUGAGUAGUUUACCUCAGACUUUCGGGUCCAUAGUUAUUAGCUAGAUGGCUUCUUCUCUCUCUUUGGAUCUCAAUACAAAGUUCUCCACGAUUCUCGUGGAGAUCUAUUCGAUGUAAUCUUCUUUUGCGGUGUGUUUGUUGGGACCGAUGAAUUGUGGAUUUAUGAUCAAGUUUAUCUAUGAACAAUAUUUGAAUAUCCUCUGAAUUCUUUUAUGUAUGAUUGGUUAUCUUUGCAAGUCUCUUCGAAUUAUCAGUUUGGUUUGGCCUACUAGAUUGAUCUUUCUUGCAAUGGGAGAAGUGCCUAGCUUUGGGUUCAAUCUUAUGGUGUCGUUUCCCAGUGACAGCAGGGGCAGCAAGGCACGUAUUGUAUUGUUGCCAUCGAGGAUAACAAGAUGGGGUUUAUAUCAUAUUGCAUGAGUUUAUCUCUCUACAUCAUGUCAUCUUGCUUAAAGCGUUACUCUGUUCUUAUGAACUUAAUACUCUAGAUGCAUGCUGGGUAGCGAUCGAUGUGUGGAGUAAUAGUAGUAGAUGCAGGCAGGAGUCGGUCUACUUGUCACGGACAUGAUGCAUAUAUACAUGAUCAUACCUAGAUAUUCUCAUAACUAUGCUCAAUUCUAUCAAUUGCUCGACAGUAAUUUUUUCACCCACCGUAAUACUUAUGCUUUUGAGAGAAGCCACUAAUGAAACAUAUGGCCCCCGGGUCUAUUUUCCAUCAUAUUAAUCUUCCAACACAUAGCCUUUUCUAUUGCCCUUUUAUUUUACUUUGCAUCUCUAUUUCUCUUUAUCAUAGAAAUACUAAAAAUAUUAUCUUAUCAUAUCUAUCAGAUCUCACUCUCGUUAGUGACCGUGAAGGGAUUGACAACCCCUUUAUCGCGUUGGUUGCGAGGUUCUUAUUUGUUUUGUGUAGGUGCGUGGGACUUGAGCGUGGCCUCCUACUGGAUUGAUACCUUUGUUCUCAAAACUGAGGGAAAUACUUACACUACUUUGCUGCAUCACCUUUUCCUCUUCAAGGGAAAAACCAACGCAGUGCUCAAGAGGUAGCAAGAAAGAUUUCUGGCGCCGUUGCCGGGAGUUUACGCAAAAGUCAACAUACCAAGUACCCAUCACAAACUCUUAUCCCUUGCAUUACAUUAUUUGCCAUUUGCCUCUCGUUUUCCUCUCCCUCACUUCACCCUUGCCGUUUUGUUCGCCCUCUCUUCCGCUCACCUUUCCUUCGCCAUGUCGGAACCAAAAAGAGUUGGGGGUUCUCUCCCGAGUUUUAGUACUUUGGACGAUCCUUCUAUUCUAUCUAAACUCAUAAAUAAUGUCAUGGUAAAACCUGCCGGAGUUGUCAAUGAGAGUCUUAAUAAUUUUGAUGAAGAUGAUUCCGGAAUUUUUCGUUAUUUACUCGAUGAAUCUUUGAAAGAUGCUUGGGAUAGACUGUUAAGGAUCCGGGCUAACUAUGUGCCCCAAUACCAAAUUGAAGUUUACUUGAAGAGCUUUUAUGUUGCCCUACCUUCUUCGUUUAAGCAUGUCUUAGAUUCUAUAUUUGAAGAAGACUUUCUUGAAGGGGAUGCCGUAGAUACUUAUGAAAAGAUGAAAACCAUAUUUGGGCACCCCAUGAAUGAGAAAAUUAAAUCUACAUCUCUUUUGCUCUCCAGUCCUUGGUUCAUGUAAAUCUGAAUCUAGCCGGCACUACCCCUUCACAAGCUGUUGCAUAGUCUUCAGCGAGGUGCGGCGCAACUUCCGUGUGAGGGGAAAUGAACUUCUCCACGAAUACCUUCUCUCUCACCUUGAAAGCGGUAUAGUAGUAGCCUGGGUUGCACUUGAGCAAUCCAUUUUCCAUGAGAAACUUUACAACGUAGUACCUGGGUUUCAUCCAGCCCUCCAGCUGUAAUUGAUAAUUACUGACCGUUGAGCAAUGUAGGUAGGUUCCAACCCCACCUCAGAGAUGAGGAAAUCAGACCUGCGCUGCAGUAAUUCCUUUGACUUCCUCAGCAGACACGGAGCGUUACGCACAACAAUGCUCACCUCAGCGUCUGACCACCUGAACAUCUUCUUCAAGUAGGCCACAUUGGCGGCGAUCUUCUCCUCGCUGAGGAAUCUGACAGCAUCCAACGUGUGUCUGAACAUCCUGAGCCACGAGGCAUGCCAAGGCCUUCGGCGCAUGCCACCAUCGCCCUGACGCGUUCUGGCUUGUUGCUCAGGACACCCCGCGCGCGGAGGGACAAUUUGGUGAUAUCGCAAUCAUCUAGCCCGCAUUGCCGUAGGAGCGCGACGUUGGGUUUGACCAUCCCGUCGAUGUCAGCGCCGGCGAGGUAGCCUUGCUUGAGCACCCGGAAGAGGUUCUCCGAGGAGCUGAAUAGGAGCAGGUAGUACCGCAACUUGGAAACAAUGGACCUGGAACAGAAGUGGGCGAAGGAGAGCGCGACGAGGCGCACGAUCUCAGUACGCGAGAGGCCGAGGCCGGUGAGCCCACGACGACGGGGGCUAGAGUUUUCUCUACUUUGGCGCAGAGGAACAACGGGUCUUUGGCGACGAGGGCGGCGACGUCGGUGCCGGAGAGGCCGAGGCCGGCGAGGAAGGAAAGGACGGCGUCGGGCUUGGACGGAGACUUGAGGUGGGAGAGCUUGGCGGAGGCCUUGAGUGCCUGGGGUCGGGUGAGGCCGCAGGUGGAGACGAGGUAGUCGUCGACGACGAAGCUAGGGUUUGGGGAAACGCCGGGCGCGGCGGCCGCGGAGAGGGGGCGGUGGAGAGGGGGGCCUGAGAGGUGGCGGGGGAAGAGAGGAGCCGCACGAGGAUGCAGCCACGGAGGCGGAGCAUGGCGGCGGUGGCGGCGGAGAGAUUGAUUCCCUAUGGAGGCGGGUGCGAAUGGGAUGGUGCUUCGGAGGCGGGGAUGCGGCGCCCUGGCGAGGCAGGUGAGGAACGGAGGAAGAGAACAGGAGGAGAGAUCGAAGAGGAUGGCACUUCGGCGGCGCCGCCGAAGAGAUUUUCCGGUCCGCUGUGAGUGGAGAGGAAAAAUGGGAAAUGGCAGGUGCGAUGCGAAUGGAGGCUCCGCAAAUUGCAAUAUCACUGAAUCCCAGGGGUCUUUACGUCUUUCAAAAAUACAAACUACAUUUAAAAAACAUACAUAAUACAUUGAGCCUCAUGGAAACUUUCAUAUACACAUGGAAAAUAGAUAUCCCCUCCGUUCAAUAACGUAGUGCGUAUAGAUUUUCGAAAGUCAGACUUUGCAAAAUAUGAUCAAAUUUAUAAAGAAAACUACUUAUACCUACAUUAUCAAAUAUAUAAAAUAUGAACCUACGUCUUGUCUUAUGAUGAACCUAAUGAUAUAUGUUUGACAUCUAGAUGUAAAUGUUUUUCUUCACAAACUUGGUCAAAUUUUGUUAGGUUUGACUUUUCAAAAAAUCUGUAUGCAAUCAUUAUGCAAUCGGUAUAAUAAGGAAAAUGGCUUUGAGAGAUAAGAUUAUAUCACAAAAUAAGUUAUUAUACGACUUGUACUUAUCUUGUGAUUUUUUUGUAGGUAUAGUACUUCCUCCAUUUUUAUUUACUCUGCAUAUUAGAGUUGACUGAAGUCGAACUUCGUAAAGUUUGACCAAGUUUAUAAAAAAUAUAUAAAUAUUUACCCUAACAAAUCUAUAUGAUACGAAAGUACGUUCAAUAAUGAAUAUAAUGGUAUUGAUUUGUUAUUGUACAAGUUAAUAUUUUUGACUAUAAACUUUGUCAAAAUUUAUAAAGCUUGACUUUGACUAAAACUAAUAUGGAGAGUAAAUAAAAACGAAGGGAGUAAAUGGCUAUGCUUUUUUUAUAGGUAGUAAAUGGUUACUUUUUUCCGAUUUUUUUAAAUGGUUAUGCUUGCUAAUCAAUCCAAUCCAAAUUAUAUGUCGCUCAAACAGAUGUAUCUAAUUAAUAUGGAUUGGAUGGAGCAGAAAAGUUCAUACGGAUAUAUAUUUUCUCAAAACUUGAAAGUAUGAUUUCUACAAGUAAAAAAAAUCAUAUGUGAACUAUGUUUGUUUUUAGCAUUUUGUGUGUGUUCAUGUUUUUCUCUCUCUCUCUCUCUCUCUCUCUUCAUUCUAGCCUCUUUUCCCCCACCUCACUCUGUUCUCACAUUGACAUUGUUGCCUUUUUCAACGGACUCCUACUUAUCUUUUCUAAAUUUUGCAAGGUGAGAAUUGAGAAGGUUAUUAUUCUUUAGUUUUAUGUGUAUAGCUAUAUUAGAGUUGAGAUCAAUUGCAUCGUGUCCACAAAUCCUCUAUAACACUAAGCUCCCUAGUUUUAAAAAGCCCACACUCAAUUAAGGUCUCUAAUUAGAAUUGGAUCAUCCAAUUUUGAUCGGGUCUACAAUUUCUCAAAGCUUCACAAUCCAAUUCUUUUAUACUAUACAAUAUGCUUCCUAAUUUUUAAGGCCUCAUAAUUAUUAAGGUAUUUAAUAUAGGUUGAUCAUCCAAUUUUGACUGGGUCAACAAUUUCUCAACCUCUUCAAUUGAAUUUUUUUAAUUCACUAUGUUCCAAAAUUUUGAAUCUCUUUCAUUCAAUUGAGGUAUUCAAUUUUGAUUUGGUUGACGAUUUUGACUGGGCCAAUGAUUUUCAAAUCAAUCAGCUGCAACUGACCUAUAAAAACAUAUCAAUCCCAUGCACCCCUCCCACCACAUAGAAAAAAGAAGCGUCACCAUAUGAUAUUGUAGUAUCAAUAUAGUACAUGCAACCACCGAUGCAGAAAUUUUCCCACAUAAAUAUAGGUUGGUUAGCGGAUGACACAGUCAUCUCCCCACCCGCCUAACUUAAUAUUCCAUCAGUUACUCCCUCCGUUCCACAAUGUAGCGCAUAUAAAUUUUUCUAGAAGUCAAACUUUAUAAACUUUGACCAAGUUUGUAGAGAAAAUCAUAUACAUCUAGAAUACCAAAUACGUGUGCUUAGAUACAUCACAACACAUACUUUCAUAUUAUAUACAUUUGGUAUUGUAGAUAUAAAUAGUUUUCUCUAUAAAAUUGGUCAAAGUUUAUAAAGUUUGACUUUGUAGAAAAUCUAUAUGCGCUACAUUAUGGAACGGAGGGAGUAUAAAAUAUGAAGGGUAUUAAUUUUGUAGAAAGUCAAACUUCUUUAACUUUGACCAACUUCAGAGCAAAAAUAUCAACAUCCACAAUAUUAAACAAAAAAAGUAUGGAAAUUCAUUUCGUGAUGAAUCUAAAAAUACUGAUUUAAUCUUAUGAAUUUUGAUAUAUUUCUCUACAAAUUUGAUGAAACUUAAAAGGUUUGAUUUUAAAAAAUAUAAUACACAUUAUAUUGGGAAACAGAGUGAUUAGUUUUUUAAGAUAUCCAACAACAUGAACGGCGCAGCAAAGCGCGCACAACCCUUCUAGUUAGUAGUAUAUCUAAGAACAAUUGGCAUCCCAUUGAUGAUCGAUCAACCUUCUUAGUCCAGCUAGUGGCUGGUCGUCUAGAGAUCUAUAUGGAGUCAGUUGAGAUGCGAUGGUCAGCCAAGUGGGUUGAUCAAUGCUCCUCUUAAAAUUCGAAGCCUAAAGUAGAUGUGCUACUCGAGAAAUAAAAAGACCAACGUAGACCGUACUAACAUCUAAUAUUUGACGUCACAUUUGAAUUUGAUACUAUUCACAUCCAUAAUUGUCCCUUUGCUCAUCGAAUUAUGAAUCUUAUAUAAAUGUUGUAAAUGAUCAAUUUUAUAAUAAUUUUAGGGUUGUAGUUCGGUGCAUAGGUAGCUCAGAGGAACCAUAGCCGUCACUUCCUCUCCAAAAAAGCUUAGGGUUCCUAUGCGGCCAUGCCUCCCGUGGCGCCGCUGCCGGUCCACCUCGUCUCCGGUGGCCCUAGGGCCAUGGGGACACGGUGGAUCUCAUCCCUUACCAGCGGGAGGGCUUCGUUUUUAAAUAUUUCUUUGAAUUUUGUUAGGGUUGUGUCCUGCUAAAGAGGAUAAGACAACGACGGCUUCGUGAAGAUUGAAUAAGGUUCUUCCCGCCUAGCCCCCGUCUCGAUGGCGCAUCUAACAUCGUCGGAGAGUGUGUGGAGGUGUGUCUCCGGCGGAUCUCACAGGAUUCGGUAGGUGGUUUGUCUUUGGUGGAUCUACUCGGACCCGGUCUUCGUUCGUCUACAUUUGUCUGUCAUUAGAUUGGAUCCUUCCGAUCUAUGGGUCUCAUCAUCGGCGGGGGUUACUAUUCUAUUGCGCUGGUCCUACGAGGCCUUAGCACGACAAGUUCCCGGCUGUCUACUACAAUAAGUUCUGCCCGGCUCCGGCGAGGGAAGGGCGAUGACAACGGCGCGUCUUCGGCUCGCUUUAAUGCUUGUAGUCUUUGCUAGAUGGUCUACGGAUGGAUGCGAUUUUUAUUAUUCCUAUUGUUCAUUGUAUUGUCAUGAUUGAAAAUAAAAAGAUCGAAAGAUUUCUCACAGAUAAGAAGCUCAGAAGAACCAUUAAAAGGACAAUCGUGUGGUCUCCCUAGAUGGUCCUUGGAGGGAGCGAUGUAAUUUCAUUUCCUUUUUAUUGCAUUCUCAUGAAUCUACGGGAUACACAGAUUUGGAAUAGCCAUGCGUUAUAUAGGUUUGGAAAAGAUGAAUGGGCAGGACAAAGCCCAUCAAGGUCCAGAGUUGAACAUGGUAUUUUUCUCUUCCCUGAUCUUGUGUGGUUGUUACAUUACAACGAGGACUAGAUGCAUUCAUUAACCUGAGGAGACUAUAUACGGUGAUUAUAUCGUGGUUAUCAUAUUUACCUAUUUUACAAAGAAUGAUCGGAUAUAAUUUACUGGUACAAUCCAUUGUGUGCCUUUCACGCUUCCGUCAGUUUAGUUUCCUCACACUUUAAGUAGUCUUGUGAAGUUGUGAUCAGGUAGCUCGCAAUCCAAAUUUCUGUAAUGAAUAUUUUUUUUUGGUCCAACGAGUAAAACGUAGACUUGGUGACCCUCAAAAGGGAUGAUAUUUUACAUAACGAGUAAAUCAUGAUGUCCUUAGAUAUUUCUUAUGAGUAUUUCUUCUUUUCUGCGGAAAAGUUUCUUGUCUUCCGAACUCUUGGAUGUGGGCAGAACUCUUGAUGAGCCGAGGCACCCGCAGCAUGCCAUUGUGAGUCAAGUUUGCCAUUGUUUGAUGGGAAGUUUUCAAGUGCUACAUGUAGAAGGACGCUAUAGUGGCUGCAAUCUUGCUGCUAAGUGACACGUACUGUCACCCUGUUUCUAAUGAAAAAAACUGAAGAACAAUGACUCAUUUAAACAUUGUUCAAUUUUGUGGUUCAUGAUGUUGGAAAUAUGCCCUAGAGGCAAUAAUAAAAGUAUUAUUAUAUUUCAAUGUUCAUGAUAAAUGUCUUUUAUUCAUGCUAUAACUGUAUUAUCCGGAAAUCGUAAUACACGUGUGAAUACUUAGACCACAAUAUGUCCCUGGUGAGCCUCUAGUUGACUAGCUCGUUGUGAUCAACAGAUAGUCAUGGUUUCUUGACUAUGGACAUUGGAUGUCGUUGAUAACGGGAUCACAUCAUUAGGAGAAUGAUGUGAUGGACAAGACCCAAUCCUAAGCAUAGCAUAAAAGAUCGUGUAGUUCGUUUUGCUAGAGCUUUGCCAAUGUCAAGUAUCUCUUCCUUCGACCAUGAGAUCGUGUAACUCCCGGAUACCGUAAGAGUGCCUUGGGUGUAUCAAACGUCACAACGUAACUGGGUGACUAUAAAGGUGCAUUACAGGUAUCUCCGAAAGUAUCUGUUGGGUUGACACGGAUCGAGACUGGGAUUUGUCACUCCGUAUGACGGAGAGGUAUCUCUGGGCCCACUCGGUAAUGCAUCAUCAUAAUGAGCUCAAUGUGACCAAGGUGUUGGACACGGGAUCAUGCAUUACGGUACGAGUAAAGUGACUUGCCGGUAACGAGACUGAACAAGGUAUUGGGAUACCGACGAUCGAGUCUCGGGCAAGUAACGUACUGAUUGACAAAGGGAAUUGUAUACAGGGUUUGAUUGAAUCCUUGACAUCGUGGUUCAUCCGAUGACAACAUCGAGGAGCAUGUGGGAGCCAUCAUGGGUAUCCAGAUCCCGCUGUUGGUUAUUGACCUGAGAGCAUCUCGGUCAUGUCUGCAUGUCUCCCGAACCCGUAGGGUCUACACACUUAAGGUUCGGUGACGCUAGGGUUAUUAGGAAGACUAGUAUGUGACUACCGAAUAUUGUUCGGAGUUCCGGAUGGGAUCCUGGACGUCACGAGGAGCUCCGGAAGGGUCCGAAGGUAAAGAUUUAUAUAUGGGAAGUUGUCAAACGGGCACCGGGAAGUUUCGGGGUCAUACCGGUAUUGUACCGGGGCCACCGGAAGGGUUCCGGGGGUCCACCGGGAGGGGCCACCCCUCCCGGGGGGGCACAUGGGCUGCGUGGGGCAGGGAGCCAGCCCCUGGUGGGCUGGGCGCACCCCCUCCCUUGGGCCCUUGCGCCUAGGGUUGAGGGGGGAACCCUAGAGGGGGCGCCCCCUUGGCUUGGGGGGCAAGCCACCCUCUCCCCCUCUCCCCUUGGCCGCCGCACCCCCCUAGAUGGGUUCUAGGGGGCCGGCCCCCUUCUCCCUUCCCCCAACAAAUAGAGGGGUGAGGGGAGGGCAGCCGCACCACCCUCCAAGGCGCAGCCCUCCCCUCCCCAACACCUCUCCUCCUCUGUUGUGUGCUUGGCGAAGCCCUGUCGGAGUACUGCCUCUCCACCAUCACCACGCCGUCGUGCUGCCGGUGGAGCUGUCUUCCUCAACCUCUCCUCCCCCCUUGCUGGAUCAAGAAGGAGGAGACGUCUCCCGUCCCGUACGUGUGUUGAACGCGGAGGUGCUGUCCGUUCAGCACUUGGUCAUCGGUGAUUCGAAUCACGUCGAGUACGAUUCCAUCAUCACCUUGCAAGCUUCCGCACGCGAUCUACAAGUGGUAUGUAGAUGCAAACUCACUCCCUUGACUCGUUGCUUAGAUGAACUCAUAGAUGGAUCUUGGUGAAACCGUAGGAAAAAUUUUAAUUUUCUGCAACGUUCCCCAACAGUGGCAUCAUGAGCCAGGUUUAUGCGUAGUUCUCUUUGCACGAGUAGAACACAAUUUUGUUGUGGGCGUGGAUUUUGUCAUCUUACUUGCCUCUACUAGUCUUUUCUUGCUCAACGGUAUUGUGGGAUGAAGCGGCCCGGACCAACCUUACACGUACGCUUACGUGAGACCGGUUCCACCGAGUGACAUGCACUAGUUGCAUAAGGUGGCUGGCGGGUGUCUGUCUCUCCCACUUUAGUUGGAGCGGAAUCGAUGAACAGGGCCCUUAUGAAGGGUAAAUAGAAGUUGACAAAAUCACGUUGUGGUGAUUCGUAGGUAAGAAAAUGUUCUUGCUAGAACCCAAUUGCAGCCACGUAAAAGAUGCAACAACAAUUAGAGGAUGUCUAACUUGUUUUUGCAGCGAUUGAUCAUGUGAUGUGAUAUGGCCAGAAGUUGUGAUGAAUGAUGAAUUGUGAUGUAUGAGAUCAUGUUCUUUGUAAUAGGAUUCACGACUUGCAUGUCGAUGAGUAUGACAACCGGCAGGAGCCAUAGGAGUUGUCUUUAUUUUUUGUAUGACCUGCAUGUCAUUGAAUAACGCCAUGUAAACUACUUUACUUUAUUGCUAAACGUUAGUCAUAGAAGUAGAAGUAGUCGUUGGCGUGACAACUUCAUGAAGACACGAUGAUGGAGAUCAUGAUGAUGGAGAUCAUGGUGUCAAGCCGGUGACAAGAUGAUCAUGGAGCCCCGAAGAUGAAGAUCAAUGGAGCUAUAUGAUAUUGGCCAUAUCAUGUCACAACUAUAUAAUUGCAUGUGAUGUUUAUUAUGUAUUAUGCAUCUUGUUUACUUAGGACGACGGUAGUAAAUAAGAUGAUCCCUUAUAAAAUUUCAAGAAGUGUUCUCCCCUAACUGUGCACCGUUGCUACAGUUCGUCGCUUCUAAGCAACACGUGAUGAUCGGGUGUGAUGGAUUCUUACGUUCACAUACAACGGGUGUAAGACAGUUUUACACAGCGAAAACACUUAGGGUUAACUUGACGAGCCUAGCAUGUGCAGACAUGGCCUCGGAACACGGAGACCGAAAGGUCGAACACGAAUCGUAUGGAAGAUACGAUCAACAUGAGAAUGUUCACCGACGAUGACUAGUCCGUCUCACGUGAUGAUCGGACACGGGCUAGUCGACUCGGAUCGUGUAACACUUAGAUGACUAGAGGGAUGUCUAAUCUAAGUGGGAGUUCAUAAUUUGAUUAGAACUUUAUUAUCAUGAACUUAGUCUAAAACCUUUGCAAAUAUGUCUUGUAGAUCAAUGGCCAACGCUAAUGUCAACAUGAACUUCAACGCGUUCCUAGAGAAAACCAAGCUGAAAGAUGAUGGCAGCAACUAUACGGACUGGGUCCGGAACCUGAGGAUCAUCCUCAUAGCUGCCAGGAAACAAUAUGUCCUAGAAGGACCGCUAGGUGACGCUCCCGUCGCAGAGAACCAAGACAUUAUGAAUGCUUGGCAGUCUCGUGCUGAUGAUUACUCCCUCGUUCAGUGCGGCAUGCUUUACAGCUUAGAACCGGGGCUCCAAAAGCGUUUUGAGCAUCACGGAGCAUAUGAGAUGUUCGAAGAGCUGAAACUAGUUUUCCAAGCUCAUGCCCGGGUCGAGAGAUAUGAUGUCUCCGACAAGUUCUACAGUUGUAAGAUGGAGGAAAAUAGUUCUGUCAGUGAGCACAUCCUGAAGAUGUCUGGGUUGCACAACCGUAUGACCCAGCUGAACAUUAACCUCCCAGAUGAGGCGGUCAUUGACAGAAUCCUCCAGUCGCUCCCACCAAGCUACAAGAGCUUUGUGAUGAACUACAACAUGCAGGGGAUGGAAAAGACCAUUCCUGAAGUGUUCUCGAUGCUGAAGUCAGCAGAGGCUGAAAUCAAGAAAGAACAUCAAGUGUUGAUGGUCAAUAAGACCACUAAGUUCAAGAAGGGCAAGGGUAAGAAGAACUUCAAGAAGGACGGCAAGGAGGUUGCCGCGCCUGGUAAGCCAGUUACCGGGAAGAAGUCAAAGAAUGGACCUAAGCCUGAGACUGAGUGUUUUUAUUGCAAGGGGAAGGGUCACUGGAAGCGGAACUGCCCCAAAUACUUAGCGGAUAAGAAGGCCGGCAACACCAAAGGUAUAUUUGAUAUACAUGUGAUUGAUGUGUACCUUACUAGUACUCGUAGUAACUCCUGGGUAUUUGAUACCAGUGCCGUUGCUCAUAUUUGUAACUCACAGCAGGAGCUGCGGAAUAAACGGAGACUGGCGAAGGACGAGGUGACGAUGCGCGUCGGGAAUGGUUCCAGAGUCGAUGUGAUCGCCGUCGGCACGCUGCCUCUACAUUUACCUACGGGAUUAGUUUUGAACCUGAAUAAUUGUUAUUUAGUGCCAAGUUUGAGCAUGAACAUUGUAUCUGGAUCUCGUUUAAUACGAGAUGGCUACUCAUUUAAGUCUGAGAAUAAUGGUUGUUCGAUUUAUAUGAGAGAUAUGUUUUAUGGUCAUGCUCCGAUGGUCAAUGGUUUAUUCUUAAUGAAUCUCGAGCGUAAUAUUACACAUGUUCAUAGUGUAGAUGCCAAAAGAUUUAAAGUUGAUAACGAUAGUCCCACAUACUUGUGGCACUGCCGCCUUAGUCACAUUGGUGUCAAGCGCAUGAAGAAGCUCCAUGCCGAUGGACUUUUAGAGUCUCUUGAUUAUGAAUCGUUUGACACGUGCGAACCAUGCCUCUUGGGCAAAAUGACCAAGACUCCGUUCUCCGGAACAAUGGAGCGAGCAACCAACUUGUUGGAAAUCAUACAUACCGAUGUGUGCGGUCCAAUGAGCGUUGAGGCUCGCGGAGGAUAUCGUUAUGUUCUCACUCUCACUGAUGACUUGAGUAGAUAUGGGUAUGUCUACUUAAUGAAACACAAGUCUGAGACCUUUGAAAAGUUCAAAGAAUUUCAGAAUGAGGUAGAGAAUCAACGUGACCGAAAGAUAAAAUUCUUACGAUCAGAUCGUGGAGGAGAAUACUUAAGUCACGAAUUUGGUACACACUUAAGGAAAUGUGGAAUCGUUUCACAACUCACGCCGCCUGGAACACCUCAGCGAAACGGUGUGUCCGAACGUCGUAAUCGCACUCUAUUGGAUAUGGUGCGGUCUAUGAUGUCUCUUACCGAUUUACCGCUAUCAUUUUGGGGAUACGCUCUAGAGACAGCUACAUUCACUUUAAAUAGGGCACCGUCUAAAUCCGUUGAGACGACACCGUAUGAAUUAUGGUUUGGAAAGAAACCUAAGAUGUCGUUUCUAAAAUUUUGGGGAUGCGAUGCUUAUGUCAAGAAACUUCAACCUGAAAAGCUCGAACCCAAGUCGGAAAAAUGCGUAUUCAUAGGAUACCCUAAGGAAACUGUCGGGUAUACCUUCUACUUAAGAUCCGAAGGCAAGAUCUUUGUUGCCAAGAACGGAUGCUUUCUGGAAAAAGAGUUUCUCUCGAAAGAAGUAAGUGGGAGGAAAGUAGAACUCGAUGAAGUACUACCUCUUGAGCGGGAAAGUGGCGCAGCGCAGGAAACCGUUUCUGUGAUGCCCACACCAACUGAAGAGGAAAACAAUGAUGAUGAUCAAGGUACUUCGGAUCAAGUUACUAUUGAACUUCGUAGGUCCACAAGGACACGUUCCGCACCAGAGUGGUACGGCAACCCUGUCCUGGAAAUCAUGUUGUUGGACAACAAUGAACCUUCGAACUAUGAAGAAGCGAUGGCGGGCCCGGAUUCCAACAAAUGGCUUGAAGCCAUGAAAUCCGAGAUAGAAUCCAUGUAUGAAAACAAAGUAUGGACUUUGACAGACUUGCCCGAUGAUCGGCGAGCGAUAGAAAACAAAUGGAUUUUUAAGAAGAAGACGGACGCGGAUGGUAAUGUUACAAUCUAUAAGGCUCGACUUGUCGCUAAGGGUUAUCGACAAGUUCAAGGGAUUGACUACGACGAGACUUUCUCUCCUGUAGCGAAGCUGAAGUCCGUUCGAAUCAUGCUAGCAAUUGCCGCAUACUAUGAUUAUGAGAUAUGGCAGAUGGACGUCAAAACAGCAUUCCUUAACGGGCAUCUUAAGGAAGAACUGUAUAUGAUGCAGCCGGAAGGUUUUGUCGAUCCUCGGAACGCUAACAAAGUAUGCAAGCUCCAGCGAUCCAUUUAUGGACUGGUGCAAGCAUCUCGGAGUUGGAACAUUCGCUUUGAUGAGAUGAUCAAAGCGUUUGGGUUUAUGCAGACUUAUGGAGAAGCCUGCGUUUACAAGAAAGUGAGUGGGAGCUCUGUAGCAUUUCUCAUAUUAUAUGUAGAUGACAUACUCUUGAUGGGAAACAAUAUAGAAUUUCUGGACAGCAUUAAGGCCUACUUGAAUAAGUGUUUUUCAAUGAAGGACCUUGGAGAAGCUGCUUAUAUAUUAGGCAUCAAGAUCUAUAGAGAUAGAUCGAGACGCCUCAUAGGUCUUUCACAAAGCACAUACCUUGAUAAGAUUUUGAAGAGGUUCAAAAUGGAUCAGUCCAAGAAGGGGUUCUUGCCUAUGUUACAAGGUGUGAGAUUGAGCUCGGCUCAGUCACCGACCACGGCAAAAGAUAAAGAAGAGAUGAGUGUCAUCCCCUAUGCUUCAGCCAUAGGAUCUAUUAUGUAUGCCAUGCUGUGUACCAGACCCGAUGUAAACCUUGCCGUAAGUUUGGUAGCAAGAUACCAAAGUAAUCCCGGCAAGGAACACUGGACAGCGGUCAAGAAUAUCCUGAAGUACCUGAAAAGGACGAAGGACAUGUUUCUCGUUUAUGGAGGAGACGAAGAGCUCGUCGUAAAGGGUUACGUCGACGCUAGCUUCGACUCAGAUCUGGAUGACUCUAAGUCACAAACCGGAUACGUGUAUAUGUUGAAUGGUGGAGCAGUAAGCUGGUGCAGCUGCAAGCUGAGCGUCGUGGCGGGAUCUACGUGUGAAGCGGAGUACAUGGCAGCCUCGGAGGCAGCGCAUGAAGCGAUUUGGGUGAAGGAGUUCAUCACCGACCUAGGAGUCAUACCCAAUGCGUCGGGGCCGAUCAAACUCUUCUGUGACAACACUGGAGCUAUUGCCCUCGCCAAGGAGCCCAGGUUUCACAAGAAGACCAGGCACAUCAAGCGUCGUUUCAACUCCAUCCGUGAAAAUGUUCAAGAUGGAGACAUAGAGAUUUGCAAAGUGCACACGGAUCUGAAUGUCGCAGAUCCGCUGACUAAACCUCUCUCGCGUGCAAAACAUGAUCAACACCAGAACUCUAUGGGUGUUCGAUUCAUCACAAUGUAACUAGAUUGGUGACUCUAGUGCAAGUGGGAGACUGUUGGAAAUAUGCCCUAGAGGCAAUAAUAAAAGUAUUAUUAUAUUUCAAUGUUCAUGAUAAAUGUCUUUUAUUCAUGCUAUAACUGUAUUAUCCGGAAAUCGUAAUACACGUGUGAAUACUUAGACCACAAUAUGUCCCUGGUGAGCCUCUAGUUGACUAGCUCGUUGUGAUCAACAGAUAGUCAUGGUUUCCUGACUAUGGACAUUGGAUGUCGUUGAUAACGGGAUCACAUCAUUAGGAGAAUGAUGUGAUGGACAAGACCCAAUCCUAAGCAUAGCAUAAAAGAUCGUGUAGUUCGUUUUGCUAGAGCUUUGCCAAUGUCAAGUAUCUCUUCCUUCGACCAUGAGAUCGUGUAACUCCCGGAUACCGUAAGAGUGCCUUGGGUGUAUCAAACGUCACAACAUAACUGGGUGACUAUAAAGGUGCUUACAGGUAUCUUCGAAAGUAUCUGUUGGGUUGACACGGAUCGAGACUGGGAUUUGUCACUCCGUAUGACGGAGAGGUAUCUCUGGGCCCACUCGGUAAUGCAUCAUCAUAAUGAGCUCAAUGUGACCAAGGUGUUGGACACGGGAUCAUGCAUUACGGUACGAGUAAAGUGACUUGCCGGUAAUGAGACUGAACAAGGUAUUGGGAUACCGACGAUCGAGUCUCGGGCAAGUAACGUACCGAUUGACAAAGGGAAUUGUAUACAGGGUUUGAUCGAAUCCUUGACAUCGUGGUUCAUCCGAUGACAACAUCGAGGAGCAUGUGGGAGCCAUCAUGGGUAUCCAGAUCCCGCUGUUGGUUAUUGACCUGAGAGCGUCUCGGUCAUGUCUGCAUGUCUCCCGAACCCGUAGGGUCUACACACUUAAGGUUCGGUGACGCUAGGGUUAUUAGGAAGACUAGUAUGUGACUACCGAAUGUUGUUCGGAGUCCCGGAUGGGAUCCUGGACGUCACGAGGAGCUCCGGAAGGGUCCGGAGGUAAAGAUUUAUAUAUGGGAAGUUGUCAAACGGGCACCGGGAAGUUUCGGGGUCAUACCGGUAUUGUACCUGGGCCACCGGAAGGGUUCCGGGGGUCCACCGGGAGGGGCCACCCCUCCCGGGGGGGCCACAUGGGCUGCGUGGGGCAGGGAGCCAGCCCCUGGUGGGUUGGGCGCACCCCCUCCUUUGGGCCCUUGCGCCUAGGGUUGAGGGGGGAACCCUAGAGGGGGCGCCCCCUUGGCUUGGGGGGCAAGCCACCCUCUCCCCCUCUCCCCUUGGCCGCCGCACCCCCCUAGAUGGGUUCUAGGGGGCCGGCCCCCUUCUCCCUUCCCCCAAUAAAUAGAGGGGUGAGGGGAGGGCAGCCGCACCACCCUCCAAGGCGCAGCCCUCCCCUCCCCAACACCUCUCCUCCUCCGUUGUGUGCUUGGCGAAGCCCUGUCGGAGUACUGCCUCUCCACCAUCACCACGCCGUCGUGCUGCCGGUGGAGCUGUCUUCCUCAACCUCUCCUUCCCCCUUGCUGGAUCAAGAAGGAGGAGACGUCUCCCGUCCCGUACGUGUGUUGAACGCGGAGGUGCUGUCCGUUCAGCACUUGGUCAUCGGUGAUUCGAAUCACGUCGAGUACGACUCCAUCAUCACCUUGCAAGCUUCCGCACGCGAUCUACAAGUGGUAUGUAGAUGCAAACUCACUCCCUUGACUCGUUGCUUAGAUGAACUCAUAGAUGGAUCUUGGUGAAACCGUAGGAAAAAUUUUAAUUUUCUGCAACGUUCCCCAACACAUGAGCCUUUUCUUCAAAGUUUACUUAAAAGUUGGGUUAUUAGGUAAAAAAUGGUUCCUUUCCUUUUGUGCUUGCAAUUUAUUGUCCUGACAAAAACACUUUUUAUUGCAGUGCUAAGAAAAUGCGUCUACUACUUGACUGAGCUAAAUACUCUUGAUAGCAAACCCUCUCUGGGCAUAUUCGUAGAUUCAAGGUGAGGAGACAUGCCAGCAUACAGACCAGCCUUAAAAAUAGUCAGAUAAACAUUGCAAGAUGUACAUACAUGGCACAUGUACGAUGUUCUAACAAGAGCAUAAAGUUGAUUGAUUCUUGAUAGCAUCACCUGAAUAUAUCACUCACGGAUUCAUGAAUGUUCCCCGUUGCAAUGCACGGCCAUUCACCUAGUAAAGGCAAUGAUUUGUUGGUAGUAGAGGCAUCUCAUGUUUCAAAGGGUUAAACCUUACCGUCGUGACCCGGCUCCAUGGCUGGGUCAAUCUUGCACCUCUGUUGGUGCCGAACCCUAGGCAAAUUCCCCCAAAUCUCUUGUUGUUUCUAUUGAUUGACCGAAUGUGAGGAGCGAUAGUAGAUCAAUAACUCUCGUAUAACCGAGGGAAAAAGAAAUGAAGAGAAGUUGGCGAAAGUAUCAAGUGGUACAUCUACUUUUUAUAAUAUCACAUGAAGCCGGCAAAAAGGAAAGCCGACCAACGAAGAAACUGCAUAGGGGACCUAUCAUGAGUGAACAUUGCGUGGGCGCCACUGGCCGCAUCUCAUCAUAUUGUUGUGUAGAAGAAGAAAUGACCGCCGAUGCUGCUGGUGCCUCCAUCUCUACGACCUUGCCGUCCAAGCCCGCAAUAGCAACAAACACGUAGCACUAGAGCACGGGAGGAGAGGUGAUCAGGGAAAUUCGUCUUUCUUGAUGGCAGGAUAAUUAGUGAUGGGCGACUCCACGCGACGCUGAUGUGAUUUCAGGCCACACUAAAGGAUGUCGGAGAAGGGGGCCGUAGGACGAACUCAACAACAUCGGUAGUGGGCUUGGUGGAUAUUGUGUCGAGGGCUCGGGGACGCACUCGGUGAAGGUGGUGGACCUCGGGGAGGGGGCCCUCAUACACGUGGAUGCAGGGGAAAAGAGGGUGCACGGGCUUGGAGGCAUUACUCAUCCACCUCUUCUGGCAAAGAGAGCUCAUCGGGGCCAACCGCGUGAAGGAGGAGCUUGAGGUAGCUUGGAGGAGGCGACGACGGCAGCCAGAUCCAUGUGGCAAGCCAGAGUGGAGGCAUCCCACAUGGGAGCAGUGAUUUCAGAGCCUAAGCUUAGAUGCACCUGCUAUUAUGUUUGUUCAUUGCUGCAUGGAGAUUCGGGAAAUGGGGCAUGAGGUUGCAUUGCUAGGGCGUGGAAAAUCCCCAAAACGAACUAUACAUGCAUGAAUAGUGCGAUACAUGUGGGUCUAUCAUGUAGCACACGAGGAGGGUUCGAACGAAGGACAAGCAGUGCCAUCUUGGUUGGAUUCUGAUCCAUGGCACCUAAUCGUCUGCAUUCAUCUAAGUCGUGGCUCACUUUGCUAGCCCGUGGUGUGACUUUGAAACUUUGAAUCCGAGUCAUGGCCUAAAGAUUUGUAUAGCUCCAGUUGGGGCCUGCGGUGUAGGAUCGUCAGUACGCACACCGAAUGUCAUCCACGACCGACAUCGGCCAACAGAUUGCUAGCUUACCAGACGCUACAAGAGGUAGCGUCCUUCGUGAAGUUUGUGUGCUUCAUCACCAACCAGGUCAUCCUAAGCCAUAAUGGACAACCCAUUCAUCUACGUAGUUGACUUCAACACUGGAGACGACUUCUCAUGGUCGUUGAUCAUGUCACACCUUGCUCACCAUGGCAACAAGCUGUUUCAUGUCACGUCACUUGCCACCACAUUAAUGCACCGCACGGAUACGCAUGCACCAACAGUCGUGCAUGGUGUCCGUCGGAGUUCGCGCGCGUCCCUAGGGUCUCCCAUUCCAGUACGAUGAGAAGGACCUCCUGGUCUGGGCUGGAAGUCACGUAAUGGUACCUACAACAAUCUCGAAAAGAGUAGAAGGCCUGGAUUUCAAGAGCAUCUGAGCUCGCACUUAGAAAUCUAUUUUUGUUCCCACGGUCCAUACAUAGAGAGAAACUAGAAAAGAAAACGCAAAACACGCAUACAUGCAUGCAUGCUUCCACAAAUGGGUUACCACAUACCUUUCUAGGAUUCUGGUGACCUCACAUUCAUUGUUGACCCCUUAUGACCUCACAUUCAUGGGAGAGAUUUCCUGAUCUCACAUUGUCUCUAUAAAAGUCUAUCACCUCUACGAAUCAUGUGUCUCCACCAUUUCAAAUCCUCCGCGCGCCUAACAUACCACUUGAGAAAUUACUAAUGGCCAACAGAAAGAAUGUCAUGGCCAUGUUAUUUCUCACCACCAUUGUGGCGGUGGCGGCCACAAGGCCAGCCGAGACCUAUGGCGUUGCGGAGGAGAACACAUUGAAGAUGGCUACCCCCAGCAGGAAAGGGGUUGACGCUACCUUAGCAACUACACGUGUUGUUGCCGCCGAGAAGUCCAUCAAGAAGGCUGAAAGCGUCACCACACCAGAAGAGGCCGCGGCUGCCAAGCAAGAUGGAGCAAAAUCUGCUUCUGCUGCAUUAAAGUACAAUGCCAUCUCUCAGCAGGCAAAUGGUAAAGGUUCUUCUACCUCCCUAGGCAGGAAAGAAGCAGCCAAUACUUUAGCCGCCGCACACUAUGCCGCCACCGAGAAGUCCAUCAAGAAGGCCGAAACCACCAAGACACCUGCAAAGGUCGUGGCUGCCAAGCGAGACGCAGCAAAGUCUGUUGAUGAUGCAUUAAAGUAUGGUGCCAUCUCUCGGAAAGCAGCUGGUACAAGUUCUUCUACCUCCCCCAAUAAGAAAGAAGGCACCACUGAUGCUGCUAAGAUGUUCACCAAGAAGGCUGAAACCGCUACCACACCUGAAGAGGCCGCGGCUGCCAAGCAAGCUGCAGCCAAGUCUACCGCUGCUGCAUCAAAGUAUGGUGUCAUUUCUCAGCAAGUAGCUGGUACAAGUUCUUCUACCUCCCCUAGCAGGAAAGAAGCUGCCGGUACCUUGGCAGAUGCUCGCAUAGCUGCUGCCGAGAAGUCCAUCAAGAAGGCUGAAACCGCCACAAGACCUGAAGAGGCAGCAUCCGCUAAGAAGGAUGCCACAAAAUCCGAGGCUGAUGCAAUGAAGUACGGGGCCAUCUCUCAGCAGGCCGCCGGCAAAAAUGGUGCCUAAGUGGUGCCUUAAACACCUAUUCACACGCAACAUCAUCUACAUACUACCAUGCAUGCAAAAUAGCAGCAUUCAGAUACCACAUUAUGCUAAUUCUCAUGCAUGCACACUUUGUUUAAACGUUCCCAUUACGAAUCAUGUAUUAAUGUCUUGCUUGUUUUAUUUUUAGUAGUAAGACAUGCUUGACUUGCUUUAAAAAAAAUACAACAAUCGAUGUAUACAUGUAUUAUCUAAAAAUCAGUAAUAUGAGUUCCACCGCAAUUUGUUUCUUUUUGUCAUAAUUUGGGUGCAAUCAAUGCACACAUCCAAUACACAAAAUUGGACGACUCAAUGUGUUGUGGCUCCAUGGAGCGGCGAAUCAUGUUUUAUUGUCUUGCUUGUUUUACUUUUAGUAGUAAUGUCUUGCUGGUCAAUGUAUUAUGGCUCCAUGGAGCGGCAUAAUGAUAUAUGAUAUAUCUUCACUACUUCAAAAAGAACUUAAGGUUUCGUCAUACAUCUUUCCUUCAUCCAUCCUCCCUACGAAUCCUUCCUGUUUUGAUUUUUUUCUCCCAUCUUUGAUUUUUCUCCCCAUUGAUUCUACCUAAAAACCACCUCAAUGUCACAUGUUUACUGUAUAUGUCAAGGCCUCCUUUGGUUCAUAGGGUAGAAAAAAACAUAGGAAUAGGAAAGUCAUAGGAAAUGAGAUGACAUGUAUCUCAAAUCCUAUGAUUGGGAAUAGGAAAGGAGAUGCCCUUUGAUUCACAUCAUAGGAUUUUUUCAUUGAAUCUAGGCUAAUGUUUAUUUUCCUAUGAAAUGUGAAGGAGAGGAAGAAUUCCUCCAUAGGAUUAGGAUUCCAUUCCUACAAACCAAAGGACUCUAAAGGAAUUUUUUCUAUAGAAAUCCUAUCCUAUGAAAUUCUUACAAGAUUCCUCCAAAUCAAAGGAGGCCCAAGUGGUUGUGAUGAGACAGUGGCUGGGCACUUCAGAUUUAUUCCCGUAACUGACUGUCAAAUUGAGUCAUCUGUCGUCCUUUCGAUGAUUGUAAGAAAGUUAUAUGUUUACUGUAUGUGCCAAUUGGUUGUGAUUAUCGUUACCGGCCACAAAGUUAUAUUUUCUUGUCUUAACGAAGGGUUGCAUACAAUGCGUGUAGCUCUUGACGCCUGAUAACCCACAAGUAUAGGGGAUCGCAACAGUUUUUGAGGGUAGAGUAUUCAACACAAAUUUAUAGAUUCGACACAAGGGGAGCCAAAGAAUAUUUGUAAGUAUUAACAGCUGAGUUAUCAAUUCAACCACACCUGGAGAUUAAUUAUCUGCAGCAAAGUGAUCAGUAGCAUAGUAGUAUGAUAGUUUUGAUAGUAGUAGCAACAUCAACAGUAACGGUAAUAGUGGUAGCAAUGGUUUUGUAGCAGUGACAAUAGUAACAGCAGCAGUAGUAACUUAGCAAGAACAAUAUGUACGAAAAUCGUACGCAUUGGAUCGGUGAUUUGUUGGAUGAUAUUCAUCAUGUGACAGUUACAACCUAGGACGAUACGGCACUAGCUCCAGUUCAUAAAUAUAAUGUAGGCAUGUAUUCUAUAAAUAAUCAUACGUGCUUAUGGAAAGAACUUGUAUGACAUCUUUUGUCCUACCCUCCUGUGGCAGCGGUGUCCUAUUGGAAACUAAGGGAUAUUAAGGCCUCCUUUUAAUAGAGAACCAGAACAAAGCAUUAACACACGGUGAAUACAUGAACUCCUCAAACUACGGUCAUCACAGGGAAGUGUCCCGACUAUUGUCACUCCGGGGUUGCCGGAUCAUAACACGUAGUAGGUAACUAUAACUUGCAAGAUUGGAUCUAGAACAUAGAUAUAAUGGUGAUAACAUAAGUCAUAGCAACAUCAAUCUCAGAACAUAAUGGAUACUCGGGAUGAAGCCCUAACAAAACUAACUCAAUUACAUGAUGAAUCUCAUCCAACUCCUCACCGACCAGCGAGCCUACGAAGGAAUUACUCACUCCUGGUGGGGAGCAUCAUGGAAUUGGCGAUGGAGAAGGGUUGGUGAUGACGAAGAUCGAAGACCCCCCUCUCUGGAGCCCCAAACGGACUCCAAAUCUAGCCUCCCGAUGAAGAACAGGAGAUGACGGCGGCUCUGUCUCGUGGAUCGUGAUAAUUCUUUCUUCCUGAUUUUUUCUGGAAAAAUAGGAUUUUAUAGCGUCGGAUUCAGGGCCUGCGGGGCCACCAGGUGGGGACAACCCACCUGGGUGUGCUUGGAGGGGGGGGGCCUGGUGGGUUGUGCCCAUCCAGGUGCCCCCCUCCGGUUGUUCUUGGCUCCAGAAAUUCUCUGUAUUUGUAUAAAAAUUCCUCGCAAAGUUUUGUUCCAAUCCGAAAACUUUUAUUUCUGCACAAAAAAAACACCAUGGUAGUUUUGUUGGAAACAGCGUCAGUCCGGGUUAGUUUCAUUCAAAUCAUGCAAAUUAGAGUGCAAAACAAGAGGAAAGUGUUAGGAAAAGUAGAUACGACGGAGAUGUAUCAACUCCUCCAAGCUUAAACCUUUGCUUGUCCUCAAGCAAUUCAGUUGAUAAACUGAAAGUGAAAAAAAAAUUACGAACUCUUUUGCUCUUGUUUUCAUAAAUAAGCUUAAACAUCACCCAGUGUCGAUGUCAAAACCGGCGGAUCUCGGAUAGGGGGUCCCGAACUGUGCGUCUAGGCGGAUGGUAACAGGAGACAAGGGACACGAUGUUUACCCAGGUUCGGGCCCUCUCGAUGGAGGUAAAACCCUACUCCUGCUUGAUUAAUAUUGAUGAUAUGGGCAGUACAAGAGUAGAUCUACCACGAGAUCAAGGAGGCUAAACCCUAGAAGGUAGCCUAUGGUAUGAUUGUUGUUGUCCUACAGACUAAAACUCUCUGGUUUAUAUAGACACCGGAGAGGGUUAGGGUUACACAGAGUCGGUUACAAUGGUAGGAGAUCUACAUAUCUGUAUCGCCAAGCUUGCCUUCCACGCCAAGGAAAGUCCCUUCCAGACACGGGAAGAAGUCUUCAAUCUUGUAUGUUCAUAGUCCGGGAGUCCGGCUGAAGGUAUCGUCCGGCUAUCCGGACACCCCCUAAUUCAGGACUCCCUUAGAGCCCCCGAACCAGGCUUCAAUGACGACGAGUCUGGCACGCAAAUUGUCUUCGGCAUUGCAAGGCGGGUUCUCCUUCAAUUUCUGUGUACCUGCUGAAUAAUGUCCGGUUUCUUAUAAAUGUAGCGCUCCUCGGCUUCCACGCCCAAUAAUGGCCGUCUUCCACGUGUCAAAUGAAUACGAAAAGUCUGGGUGUUUUUACAUUCACACCCCCAGCCGCGUAAAUGAGCCGCCUAUUUAAAGGGACGGGGAUUUAGAUCCAAACCACACCUUCUCCUCUCCGCGAGUUUCAUCAGAGCGCAUCCGACAAAGGACCGUUCCAUCAUGGCCAGCCGUCGCAGCUCCUCCUCUCGCCCUUCCAGCCCUCAUCCUGGAGAUUGGGAGAGAUGCUCCGUCCCGCACAGCGAGCUAGUGUCGCUUCGGACCAAAGGGAUUUCUUCCUCCGGCCUAUAUGGUCCCGGUUCGAGCCGGACUUGCCACCUAUAAUGGCGGAGAGCAAGUGGAGAGCGCCCCCAAUCCCUCCAAAGGAGAGCGGGUAUGCCUUGUCCCUUAUUUAAUAAGAGGGCUCGGAUUUCCAAUUCAUCCAUUUCUCCGGGGGCUCCUGGAGUUCUAUGGCCUCCAGCUGCACAACCUCACGCCUGUCUCCGUAUUGCAUAUUGCGGGCUUCGUAGCCCUUUGCGAGUUGUUUUUGGGUGUUGAGGCUCAUUUCGCGCUGUGGAAGAGGCUAUUCUGCCUUGUGCCCUGUUCUUAGGAGGGGUCAAUAUAUCAAGUGGGCGGAGCCAAAGUGUGGUGUAUCGCCGGGACCGGAUAUCUAUCCGGAACCCCAAAGAAGGCGUCUGAGGACUGGCCUUCAGAAUGGUUUUAUAUAGAGGACGUCCCGUUGCCGGAUCCUGUUCGGAUCGGCCUCCCUGAGUUCAACAGCGCUCCCCUAAAGAAAAACCUAAGCUGGCGCCCACGGAGCCCUCAGAGAGAAAGUGACAAGGACAUUCUUUACCUGAUGGGCCGGAUAAGAUUAUUAGCUCAUUCCGGACUAACCAUGAUCGGAGUCAUGGCUGCAUGCAUCAUGCGAGGGGUGCAACCGCUUCAGUACAGAGGCCACCCCAUGUGGGACUUCAACGGGGAGGAUGAUGCCACCCGUCACGGCCGUAAGGGGCCGGACUCGGCUACCGCUCUAGUAAAGAUCUUGUCCGCUUUGUACAAGGGAGAAGAGGAGGAAUUUCUCCGCGUCAACCCACAGGGUGGAUUUACCAUGUACAAUCCCCCAAGUUGGGUAAGUGGGCAAUUUUACUUGCACGUCUGUUUUGUAUUCCCAUCAUUAAAUAUAUAGUCUAACGACUUCAACGCAGGAACUGCGCCUGGAAGUAAAGGACAUAAAUAGCCCGCCUCCACAGCCCGAGGACCCAGAGUUGUCCCUCGAUCCGGCCUCCGAAGAGGAUCCGGACUUAUCCAUGGAGUUAAUUGAUGGGGUGUUUUAUCAAUUGAGCAAGGACAAUGCCUUGGUGGCCAUUAAGGCCGAUUACCCGGGGCUGCUCCCGGCCUCCCAGGUAACUGAGACCGAAGUCCUAGCACCUCAAAAAGGGAUCCGCCCUCGCGUGUUUUUCAGUUUCCUGACAACAACCGUGUUUUGCAGGGGAGGUUCUUGAGACGGGAGGCCGAGCCUGCGGCGACUAGCCAACGAGGGGCUACAGGGCCCCGUGGGAUGAAAAGAAGUGCAGUCCGGAUUGAGGCGCCGGCGCAGAGGUAUAGCACGCCUUCUUAUUCCCAGGUGUUAUUCCUUCAAGGCAUAUUAACACUCGUGCUCUUUUCAGGACAAAAAGACCCCGCCGGACUAUAUCUGGAGAGGCUGCCAAUCGCGCCUCCACCAGCCAGGCUCCAAAGCCUGGUCCGGAGACGGAGGCGAACACGAGGCGCGCACCGGACGCUCCUCCAACAGAGGAUGCGGACAGGCUGUCCGCCACUAAUUCCGAGGUGGAGAGUGCCAUGAACCACAGGCGUCGCCGGACAGUUCUUCGCGACGCUUGUUUCUCCCAAGAGGCAUUGGACGCCUUCAAUUCGGGAGAUGCGUACCUCCGUGCCGCUCAAAAUGGUCUAGCCAGAGCCACGGAGCAAUAUGUAAAAGACAUACAGGUGAGAAAAUUUAAUGGUUAUAUAUAUCAGUAGCCCCCGAGACUUGAAACAGUUAGAAGAACUGAUUUAAGGAUCAUUCAUAAUGCAGGUUCUUGCGGAAAAGAAUACCCAACUGUCCCAGGAGCUAGAAGAGUGCAAAGCCCAACUUGAGGCCGCACUAGCCGCGACAGGGGAGCCCAAGGAGACCCCCUCUGGUAAUAUGUGCUUCAAAAAGAGAAGUAUUUUGUGAAGUGCGGCGUUUGUGCAAAUCUGACAAAUGAAAUUGCAGAUGGCGCCGGAUUAGAUCCGGAAAAGCAACAACUCCUACGCCAGCUAAAGGCUGGUGAGAGCGUGCUGACAAAGGUGAGGUGGGAGAAGAACGAUCUCCAAUAUGCCAACACCAAGCUGGGCGUUGAACUGAAAGAUGUUUGUGCCCAGCUGUCGGACUCCGCUAAGGAGAAUCAGCGGCUUCGACGCGGCAUAUUUAGUAAGUGCUUAAACGAACUUUGAAUAAAGAGUUCGACGAGGAAGUCGACUAACGGAGUAAUGUCUGUAGGUAUGCUAACAGGUCGUCCUGCAGAGGAGAUGCCCGGUUCUAUGGGUGACCUUCUUCCCGAGCUCUUGCAACUGCACGAGCGAGUUCGGCAGGUGAUGCAGGGCGUCGCCCAGGCCUUGUGGCCAUCCAUCUCCAUGCCCGAAGGACUUGGAGAGCUUGCAGAGAAGCUGAAGGGAGCGCGGCGGCGCUUCUGAUUGUGGAAGAUAUCGGCCUGCGUCAAGGCGCUAGGGAGGCAUGGGCCAUGGUGAAGACGCGGUACACGAAGGCUGACCCAAACCACAUGGCCGAGGUCGGACCUGUGGGGCCCGAUGGGAAGGAGAUCCCUGUAAGCUUCGUAUACGGCUAAGUAGAAUUGGCCGCAAAGUAUUCCCAGCAGGACUGUAAGCUAGACAGCCUGUUAGAUGGUAUUGAAGAGGAAUACAAUCAGUCAUAAUGACUAUGUAAUUUUAAUUGACAUGUGUAAUGCCUUCUAGCCAGAUUGUAGAUCAUUUUUCAUGGCCGACCUUUUUGCUUCGACCUCGGGACCUGCGGUCUGGAGUGUGUCCGAAUACCCUUGCGGUUAUAUAAGAACCGGGGUAUGCAUGGAGACUAGGCGUAGGGGUCAUUAGUGCUUGAACAGACAAGUGCCCGACUAGUUAUGUUAUAUUACAUGGUUAGUAAGAAACAUCUUCCAGGGAGAAUAGUUCCGUUAGGGGUUCCUUUCCCUGGGAGGCAUGCCCUAAAGUGCAUGUCCAUUCUGCGAAAAAGAGACGCAGGAAAAAACAUCUGGGGGCGCAUAGAUAAAUAAGUGAAAAAAUCAUCUUUAGUUCACCGACCGAAUAUUUCCUUAAGAACGCUAGCUUUCGGCUUCACCCAGUCUGAGGUACACAUCGGGCUGACCCGGCAGUAACAAUCGCAGAGGUGCUCCCUUUACCACCUAGCCGAACAAUCGGGAACAUAGGGGUAAGCACAGGAGCCAGGCAACCCAGCUUGGCCAAAAAUUAAGUCAUAUCGAUGCAUAUGAUGGUGAAUAAAAGGUACAUGCGGAAGUGUGACACAUGUGUUGGGCAUGAAGCCCGUAUAAGCUUCUGUUCAAAGAAGCCCCCAGGUUUAGUGAGCGUGGAUAGCGCGUCACUUGAUGAGCCUUUAAAGGCUAUAAGAGAAAGGAGGGGGAGAAGGAGAAAAUGGAAGACAGAAAAUAUAAAAAAUGGACAGAGGAAGGAGACGAACAUAGAGUCCGGCGCUAGGCAUAGAAUCUUCGGAGACGGGCUGCGUUCCAUGGGUUCGGUUCGAGUCGGUUAUCCGAUGCAUCUCGCAGGCGGUAUGCUCCACCAGUCAGGACUUGGUCAAUUAUGAAGGGACCUUCCCACUUGGGCUGGAGUUUGUCCUUUUUCUUGUCCGGCAGGCGUAGAACUAGUUCGCCAACAUUGUAAUUUUUGGCCCGUACUUCUCUGCUUUGAUAUCUUCGAGCCUGCUGUUGAUAGAAUGCGGAACGGGCUUUUGCCACGUCACGCUCCUCCUCCAAGGCAUCUAAACUGUCCUGCCGAUCGAGCUCGGCUUCUCUUUCUUCGUACAUGCGCACUCAAGGUGAGUCAUGAAUUAUAUCGCAGGGCAAAACUGCUUCUGCACCGUACACCAUGAAGAAUGGUGUGUAUCCGGUGGUGCGAUUCGACGUGGUCCGCAGCCCCCAGAGUACGGAGUCGAGCUCCUCUACCCAGUGCGUGUUAGAUUCCUUAAGGUACCGCACUAAUCUGGGUUUGAUGCCGCUCAUGAUAAGACCAUUUGCGUGUUCGACCUGUCCGUUAGUUUGUGGGUGAUAGACGGAAGCAUAAUCGAGCUUGAUGCCCAUGUUUUUGCACCAGAGUUUUACCUCAUCGACCGUAAAGUUCGUACCGUUAUCAGUGAUGAUGCUGUGGGGGACGCCGUAACGGUGUACGACCCCCGAUAUAAAGUCUAUCACCGGUCCGGAUUCGGCCGUCUUAAUAGGCUUGGCCUCUAUCCAUUUGGUGAACUUAUCCACCAUGACCAGUAAGUAUUUUUUCUUCUGGGUUCCGCCUUUAAGGGGUCCAACCAUGUCAAGCCCCCAGACCGCGAAGGGCCAAGUGAUGGGGAUAGUUUGGAGGGCGGUGGGUGGCAUAUGGCUUUGGUUUGGCAAAAGCUGGCAACCGACGCAUCGUUGGACUAAGUCCUGAGCGUCUGCCCGGGCCGUUGGCCAAUAAAAGCCUGUACGGAAAGUCUUGCUUACGAGGGACCGAGUUGCGGUGUGAUGACCAUCGAGUCCGGCAUGAAUUUCAGCCAGCAAGUUCCGCCCAUCCUCCUCGGAGAUGCACCUUUGAAGGACUCCGGUAGUGCUUUUCUUAUAAAGCUCUCCCUCAUGGACUUUAUAGGCUUUAGAUCGCCGCACUAUGCAGCGUGCCUCAUUUUGGUCUUCUGGGAGUUCCUGCCUAGUAAGGUAGGCUAGGAAUGGUUCUGUCCACGGGGCGAUGACCGCCAUUAUUACGUGGGCUGAAGAUGUGACUUCAUUGGCAGAAUCUCCAAUUAUGUCAGUGUUGGGUAACGUAGCAGAAAUUCAAAAUUUUCCUACGUGUCACCAAGAUCUAUCUAUGGAGAAACCAGCAACGAGGGGAAGGAGAGUGCAUCUACAUACCCUUGUAGAUCGCUAAGCGGAAGCGUUCAAGAGAACGGGGUUGAAGGAGUCGUACUCGUCGUGAUCCAAAUCACCGAUGAUCCUAGUGCCGAACGGACGGCACCUCCGCGUUCAACACACGUACAGCCCGGUGACGUAUCCCACGCCUUGAUCCAGCAAGGAGAGAGGGAGAGGUUGAGGAAGACUCCAUCCAGCAGCAGCACAACGGCGUGGUGGUGGUGGAGGAGCGUGGCAAUCCUGCAGGGCUUCGCCAAGCACCACGGGAGAGGAGGAAGGAGAGAUGCAGGGCUGCGUCAUAUAGAAGAGAGGAACUCGCGUCUUAUGAGCAGCCCAAACCUCAACUAUAUAUAGGGGAAGGGGAGAGGCUGCGGCCCCUUUAGGGUUUCCACCCCUAGGGGUGGCGGCCAGCCUAGAUCCCAUCUAAGGGAGGCGGCCAAGGGGGAGGGGGAGAGGGAGGCGCACCAGGAUGGGCCUUAGGGCCCAUCUGCCCUAGGGUUUGCCCCCUUCUCCUCUCCCUUGCACCUUGGGCCCUUGUGGGGGGGGGGGCGCACCAGCCCACCUGGGGCUGGUCCCCUUCCACACUUGGCCCAUGAAGCCCUCCGGGGCUGGUUUGCCCCACUUGGUGGACCCCCGGGACCCUCCCGGUGGUCCCGGUACGUCACCGAUAAACCCCGAAACUUUUCCGGUGACCAAAACAGGACUUCCCAUAUAUAAAUGUUUACCUCCGGACCAUUCCAGAACUCCUCGUGACGUCCGAGAUCUCAUCCGGGACUCCGAACAACAUUCGGUAACCACAUACAAACUUCCUUUAUAACCCCAGCGUCAUCGAACCUUAAGUGUGUAGACCCUACGGGUUUGGGAGACAUGCAGACAUGACCGAGACGUUCUCUGGUCAAUAACCAAUAGCGGGAUCUGGAUACCCAUGUUGGCUCCCACAUGUUCCACGAUGAUCUCAUCGGAUGAACCACGAUGUCAAGGACUUAAUCAAUCCCGUAUACAAUUCCCUUUGUCUAUCGGUACGAUACUCGCCCGAGAUUCGAUCGUCGGUAUCCCGAUACCUUGUUCAAUCUCAUUACCGGCAAGUCUCUUUACUCGUUCCGUAACACAUCAUCCCGUGAUCAACUCCUUGAUCACAUUGUGCACAUUAUGAUGAUGUCCUACCGAGUGGGCCCAGGGAUACCUCUCCGUCACACGGAGUGAUAAAUCCCAGUCUCGAUUCGUGCCAACCCAACAGACACUUUCAGAGAUACCCGUAGUGUACCUUUAUAGCCACCCAGUUACCUUGUGACGUUUGGCACACCCAAAGCACUCCUACGGUAACCGGGAGUUGCACAAUCUCAUGGUCUAAGGAAAUGAUACUUGACAUUAGAAAAGCUUUAGCAUACGAACUACACGAUCUAGUGCUAUGCUUAGGAUUGGGUCUUGUCCAUCACAUCAUUUUCCUAAUGAUGUGAUCCCGUUAUCAACGACAUCCAAUGUCCAUGGUCAGGAAACCGUAACCAUCUAUUGAUCAACGAGCUAGUCAACUAGAGGCUUACUAGGGACAUGGUGUUGUCUAUGUAUCCACACAUGUAUCUGAGUUUCCUAUCAAUAUAAUUCUAGCAUGGAUAAUAAACGAUUAUCAUGAACAAGGAAAUAUAAUAAUAAUCAAUUUAUUAUUUCCUCUAGGGCAUAUUUCCAACAGUCUCCCACUUGCACUAGAGUCAAUAAUCCAGUUCACAUCGUUAUGUGACUAACACUCAAGGUCACAUCCCCAUGUGACUAACACCCAAAGAGUUUACUAGAGUCAAUAAUCUAGUUCACAUUUACCAUGUGAUUAACACUCGAUGAGUUCUGGGUUUGAUCAUGUUAUGCUUGUGAGAGAGGUUAUAGUCAACGGGUCUGAACCUUUCAGAUCCGUGUGUGCUUUACAAAUCUCUAUGUCAUCUCCUAGAUGCAGCUACCACGCUCUAUUUGGAGCUAUUCCAAAUAACUGUUCUACUAUACGAAUCCAGUUUACUACUCAGAAUAAUCUGGAUUAGUGUCAAAGUUUGCAUCGGCGUAACCCUUUACGACGAACUCUUUUACCACCUCCAUAAUCGAGAAAAUUCCUUAGUCCACUAGUUACUAAGGAUAACUUUGAUCGCUGUCCUGUGAUCCAUUCUUGGAUCACUCUUGUACCCCUUGACUGACUCAUGGCAAGGCACACUUCAGGUGCGGUACAUAGCAUAGCAUACUGUAGAGCCUAUGUCUUAAGCAUAGGGGACGACCUUCGUUCUUUCUCUCUAUUCUGCCGUGGUCAAGCUUUAAGUCUUAACUUCAUACCUUACAACUCAGGCAAGAACUCCUUCUUUGACUGAUCCAUCUUGAACACCUUCAAGAUCAUGUCAAGGAAUGUGCUCAUUUGAAAGUACCAUUAAGUGUUUUGAUCUAUCCUUAUAGAUCUUGAUGCUCAAUGUUCAAAUAGCUUAAUCCAGGCUUUCCAUUGAAAAAACACUUUCCAAAUAACCCUAUAUGCUUUCCAGAAAUUCUACGUCAUUUCUGAUCAACAAUAUGUCAACAACAUAUAUUCAUCAGAAAUUCUAUAGUGCUCCCACUCACUUCUUUGGAAAUACAAGUUUCUCAUAAACUUCGUAUUCACCCAAAAUCUUUGAUCAUCUCAUCAAAGCAUACAUUCCAACUCGAGAUGCUUACUCCAGUACUUAGAAGGAUUGCUGGAGCUUUGCAUACUUAUUAGCAUAUUUCAGGAUUGACAAAACCUUCCGGUUGUAUCACAUACAACCUUUCCUCAAAAAUCAUCGAGGAAACAAUGUUUUGACAUCCUAUCUGCAAGAUUUCAUAAAUGAUGCAGUAAUUGCUAAUAUAAUUCCAACAGACUCUUAGCAUCGCUACGAGUGAGAAAGUCUCAUCGUAGUCAACUCCUUGAACUUGUCGGAAAACAUCUUAAUGACAAGUCGAGCUUUCUUAAUGGUGAUACUUACCAUCAUUGUCCGUCUUCCUUUUAAAAUCCAUAUGUACCUAACAGCCUUACGACCAUCAAGUUGUUCUUCCAAAGUCUACACUUUGUUUUCACAUAUGGAUCCUCUCUCGGAUUAUAUGGCCUUGAGCCAUUUUGGAAUCCAGGCCCACCAUUGCUCCUCCAUAGCUCGUAGGUUCAUUGUUGUCUAGCAACAUGACUUCCAAGACAGGAUUACGUACCAUUCUAAAGCAGUACACAUCCUUGUCAUCCCACGAGGUUUGGUAGUGACUUGAUCUGAAGUUUCAUGAUCACUAUCAUAAGCUUCCACUUCAAUUGGUGUAGGUGCCACAGGAACAACUCCCUGUGCCCUGCCACACACUAGUUGAAGAGAUGGUUCAAUAACCUCAUCAAGUCUCCACCAUCCUCCCACUCAAUUCUUUCGAGAGAAACUUUUCCUCGAGAAAGGACCCGAUUCUAGUAACAAUCCCUUAUUGCUUUCGAAUCUGAGACAGGAGGUAUACCCAACUGUUUUGGGUGUCCUAUGAAGAUGUAUUUAUCCGCUUUGGGUUCGAGCUUAUCGACCUGAAACUUUUUCACAUAAGCGUCGCAGCCCCAAACUUUUAAGAAAUGACAGCUUAGGUUUCUCUAAACCAUAGUUCAUACGGUGUCAUCUCAUCGGAAUUACGUGGUGCCCUAUUUAAAGUGAAUGUGGUUGUCUCUAAUGCCUAACCCAUAAACUAUUGUGGUAAUUCGAUAAGAGACAUCAUGGUAUGCAUCAUAUCCAAUAGGGUGCAGUUAUGAUGUUCGGACACACCAUCACACUAUGGUGUUCCAGGCUGUAUCAGUUGUGAAACAAUUUCCACAAUGUCUUAAUUCUGUGCCAAACUCGUAAUUCAGAUAUUCAUCUCUAUGAUCAUAUCAUAGAUAUUUUAUCCUCUUGUCACGAUGAUCUUUCAACUUCACCCUGAAAUUACUUGAACCUUUCAAUAAUUCAAACUCAUGAUUCAUCAAGUAAAUAUACUCAACAUCUACUCAAAUCAUCUGUGAAGUAAGAACAUAACGAUAUCCACUACAUUCCUCAGCACUCAUUGGACUGCACACAUCAAAAUGUAUUACUUCCAACAAGUUGCUUUCUAGUUCCAUUUUACUGAAACCGAGGCUUUCAGUCAUCUUGCCCAUGUGGUAUGAUUUGCAUGUCUCAAGUGAUUCAAAAUCAAGUGAGUCCAAAUGGUCCAUUUGCAUGGAGUUUCUUCAUGCAUAUACACCAAUAGACAUGGUUCGCAUGUCUCAAACUUUUCAAAAAUGAGUGAGCCCAAAGAUCCAUCAACAUGGAGCUUCUUCAUGCGUUUUAUACUGAUAUGACUUACGUGGCAGUGCCACAAGUAGGUGGUACUAUCAUUACUAUCUUAUAUCUUUUGGCAUGAACAUGUGUAUCACUACGAUCAAGAUUCAAUAAACCAUUCAUUUUAGGUGCAAGACCAUUGAAGGUAUUAUUCAAAUGAACAGAGUAACCAUUAUUCUCCUUAAAUGAAUAGCCGUAUCGCGAUAGACAUAAUCCAAUCAUGUCUAUGCUCAACGCAAACACCAAAUAACAAUUAUUUAGGUUUAACACCAAUCUCGAUGGUAGAGGGAGCGUGCGAUGCUUGAUCAUAUCAACAUUGGAAACACUUCCAACACAUAUCGUCAGCUCACCUUUAGCUAGUCUCCGUUUAUUCCGUAGCUUUUAUUUCAAGUUACUAACACUUAGCAACCGAACCGGUAUCUAAUACCCUGGUGCUACUAGGAGUACCAGUAAAGUACACAUUAACACAAUGUAUAUCCAAUAUACUUCUAUCGACCUUGCCAGCCUUCUCUUCUACCAAGUAUCUAGGGUAAUUCUGCUCCAGUGGCUGUUCCCCUUAUUACAGAAGCACUUAAUUAGUCUCGGGUUUGGGUUCAACCUUGGGUUUCUUCACUAGAGCAGCAGCUAAUUUGCCGUUUCAUGAAGUAUCCCUUCUUGCCCUUGCCCUUCUUGAAACUAGUGGUUUCACCAACCAUCAACAAUUGAUGCUCCUUCUUGAUUUCUACUUUUGUGGUGUCAAACAUCGCGAAUAUCUCAAGGAUCAUCAUAUAUGUCCCUGAUAUAUUAUAGUUCAUCACGAAGCUCUAGCAGCUUGGUGGUAAUGACUUCGGAGAAACAUCACUUUCUCAUCUGGAAGAUCAACUCCCACUCGAUUCAAAUGAUUGUUGUACUCAGACAAUCUGAGCACAAGCUCAACAAUUGAGCUUUUCUCCCUUAGUUUGCAGGCUAAGAAAAUUGUCGGAGGUCUUAUACCUCUUGACAUGGGCACGAGCCUGAAAUCCAAAUUUCAGCCCUCGAAACAUCUCAUAUGUUUUGCGACGUUUCAAAACGUCUUUGGUGCCUCAACUCUAAACCGUUUAACUGAACUAUCACGUAGUUAUGAAAAUGUGUAUGUCAGAUGUUCGCAACAUCCACAGACAACGUUCGAGGUUCAGCACACUGAGCGGUGCAUUAAGGACAUAAGCCUUCUAUGAAGCAAUGAGGACAAUCCUCAGUUUACGGACCUAGUCCGCAUAAUUGCUACUAUCAACUUUCAACUAUUUUUUUUUCUCUAGGAACAUAUCUAAACAGUAGAACUAAAGCGCGAGCUACGACAUAAUUUGCAAAAUCCUUUUGACUAUGUUCAGGAUAAACAAGUUCAUCUUAUGAACUUCCACUCAGAUAGAUAUCCCUCUAGUCAUCUAAGUGAUUACAUGAUCCGAGUCAACUAGGCCGUGUUCGAUCAUCACGUGAGACGGACUAGUCAUCAUCGGUGAACAUCUUCAUGUUGAUCGUAUCUACCAUACGACUCAUGCUCGACCUUUCGGUCUCUUGUGUUCCGAGGCCAUGUCUGUACAUGCUAGGCUCAUCAAGUCAACCUAAGUGUUUCGCGUGUGUAAAUCUGUCUUACACCCGUUGUAUGUGAACGUUAGAAUCUAUCACGCCCGAUCAUCACGUGGUGCUUCGAAACGACGAACUUUCGCAACGGUGCAUAGUUAGGGGGAACACUUUCUUGAAAUUUUAAUGAGGGAUCAUCUUAUUUACUACUGUCGUUCUAAGCAAAUAAGAUGUAUAAACAUGAUAAACAUCACAUGCAAUCAAAUAGUGAUAUGAUAUGGCCAAUAUCAUAGUGCUCCUUUUGAUCUCCAUCUUCGGGGCUCCAUGAUCAUCAUCACCGGCAUGACACCAUGAUCUCCAUCAUCAUGAUCUCCAUCAUCGUGUCUUCAUGAAGUUGUCUCGCCAACUAUUACUUCUACUACUACAGCUAACUGUUAGCAAUAAAGUGAAGUAAUUACAUGGCGUUGUUUAAUGACACGCAGGUCAUAUAAUAAAUUAAGACAACUCCUAUGGCUCCUGCCGGUUGUCAUACUCAUCGACAUGCAAGUCGUGAUUCCUAUUACAAGAACAUGAUCAAUCUCAUACAUCACAUAUCAUUCAUCACAUUCUUCUUGGCCAUAUCACAUCACAUAGCAUACCCUGCAAAAACAAGUUAGACGUCCUCUAAUUGUUGUUUGCAUGUUUUACGUGGCUGCUAUGGGUUUCUAGCAAGAACGUUUCUUACCUACGCAAAACCACAACGUGAUAUGCCAAUUGCUAUUUACCCUUCAUAAGGACCCUUUUCAUCGAAUCCGAUCCGUCUAAAGUGGGAGAGACAAACACCCGCCAGCCACCUUAUGCAACUAGUGCAUGUUUGUCGAUGGAACCGGUCUCACGUAAGCGUAUGUGUAAGGUUGGUCCGGGCCGCUUCAUCCCACAAUGCCGCCGAAUCAAGAUUGGACUAGUAACGGUAAGCAUAUUGAACAAAAUCAACGCCCACAACUACUUUGUGUUCUACUCGUGCAUAGAAUCUACGCAAUAGACCUAGCUCAUGAUGCCACUGUUGGGUAACGUAGCAGAAAUUCAAAAUUUUCCUAUGUGUCACCAAGAUCUAUCUAUGGAGAAACCAGCAACGAGGGGAAGGAGAGUGCAUCUACAUACCCUUGUAGAUCGCUAAGCAGAAGCGUUCAAGAGAACGUGGUUGAAGGAGUCGUACUCGUCAUGAUCCAAAUCACCGAUGAUCCUAGUGCCGAACGGAUGACACCUCUGCGUUCAACACACGUACAGCCCGGUGACGUAUCCCACGCCUUGAUCCAGCAAGGAGAGAGGGAGAGGUUGAGGAAGACUCCAUCCAGCAGCAGCACAACGGCGUGGUGGUGGUGGAGGAGCGUGGCAAUCCUGCAGGGCUUCGCCAAGCACCACGGGAGAGGAGGAAGGAGAGAUGCAGGGCUGCGUCAUAUAGAGGAGAGGAACUCGCGUCUUAUGAGCAGCCCAAACCUCAACUAUAUAUAGGGGAAGGGGAGGGGCUGCGACCCCUUUAGGGUUUCCACCCCUAGGGGUGGCGGCCAGCCUAGAUCCCAUCUAAGGGAGGCGGCCAAGGGGGAGGGGGAGAGGGAGGCGCACCAGGAUGGGCCUUAGGGCCCAUCUGCCCUAGGGUUUGCCCCCUUCUCCUCUCCCUUGCGCCUUGGGCCCUUGUGGGGGGGGGCGCACCAGCCCACCUGGGGCUGGUCCCCUUCCACACUUGGCCCAUGAAGCCCUCCGGGGCUGGUGGCCCCACUUGGUGGACCCCCGGGACCCUCCCGGUGGUCCCGGUACGUUACCGAUAAACCCCAAAACUUUUCCGGUGACCAAAAUAGGACUUCCCAUAUAUAAAUCUUUACCUCCGGACCAUUCCGGAACUCCUCGUGACGUUCGGGAUCUCAUUCGGGACUCCGAACAACAUUCGGUAACCACAUACAAACUUCCUUUAUAACCCCAGAGUCAUCGAACCUUAAGUGUGUAGACCCUACGGGUUCGGGAGACAUGCAGGCAUGACCGAGACGUUCUCCGGUCAAUAACCAACAGCGGGAUCUGGAUACCCAUGUUGGCUCCCACAUGUUCCACGAUGAUCUCAUCGGAUGAACCACGAUGUCAAGGACUUAAUCAAUCCCGUAUACAAUUCCCUUUGUCUAUCGGUAUGAUACUCGCCCGAGAUUCGAUCGUCGGUAUCCCGAUACCUUGUUCAAUCUCGUUACCGGCAAGUAUCUUUACUCGUUCCAUAACACAUCAUCCCGUGAUCAACUCCUUGAUCACAUUGUGCACAUUAUGAUGAUGUCCUACCGAGUGGGCCCAGAGAUACCUCUCCGUCACACGGAGUGACAAAUCCCAGUCUCGAUUCGUGCCAACCCAACAGACACUUUCGGAGAUACCCGUAGUGUACCUUUAUAGCCACCCAGUUACGUUGUGACGUUUGGCACACCCAAAGCACUCCUACGGUAACCGGGAGUUGCACAAUCUCAUGGUCUAAGGAAAUAUUGACAUUAGAAAAGCUUUAGCAUACGAACUACAUGAUCUAGUGCUAUGCUUAGGAUUGGAUCUUGUCCAUCACAUCAUUCUCCUAAUGAUGUGAUCCCGUUAUCAACGACAUCCAAUGUCCAUGGUCAGGAAACCGUAACCAUCUAUUGAUCAACGAGCUAGUCAACUAGAGGCUUACUAGGGACAUGGUGUUGUCUAUGUAUCCACACAUGUAUCUGAGUUUCCUAUCAAUACAAUUCUAGCAUGGAUAAUAAACGAUUAUCAUGAACAAGGAAAUAUAAUAAUAAUCAAUUUAUUAUUGCCUCUAGGGCAUAUUUCCAACAGUCAGAUUGUUCGGUGUUGGGCAGUGCGGUUGAGUCCGGGCUGUUAUUGCCGGGUUCCCCUUCCCAUACUACGGACGGCUUGAAUAGCCUUUCCAAGAAGAUGUUGGGAGGGACUGCAUCGCGUUUUGCGCCGAUGCGUGCCAGGACAUCCGCCGCCUGAUUAUUUUCCCGGGCUAUAUGGUGAAAUUCGAGCCCUUCGAACUGAGCUGACAUUUUUAAGACGAUGUUGCGAUAAGCUGCCAUUUUUGGAUCCUUGGCAUCGAAGUCUCUGUUUAUUUGGGACAUUGCGAGGUUCAAAUCCCCUCGCACUUCUAGGCGUUGAAUACCCAUGGAUACUGCCAUCCAGAGACCAUGUAAGAGGGCCUCGUAUUCGGCUGCAUUGUUGGAGUCUGUGUACAUAAUCUGGAGUACAUAUUGAACUGUGUCUCCUGUGGGGGACGUCAAAACGACGCCAGCCCCCAGACCGGCCAACAUUUUGGAGCCGUCGAAAUGCAUGAUCUAGUUUUAAUAUGUGCCGUACUCUUCAGGGAGUUCGGCCUCCGUCCAUUCUGUGACGAAGUCAGCCAAAACUUGCGACUUGAUAGCUCGCCGUGGCUUAUAAGUUAUGUCGAACGGGAGGAGCUCGAUGGCCCAUUUCGCAAUCCGGCCCGUUGCGUUGCGGUUCUUUAUAAUAUCGUUUAGUGGUACUUCUGAGGCUACUAUUAUUGAACACUCUUGAAAGUAGUGUCGCAGCUUCCGGGAUGCCAUGAAUACCGCGUACGCAAUCUUUUGAUAAUGUGGGUACCUUGAUUUGCACGGAGUGAGGACAGUGGACACAUAAUAGACCGGCUUCUGAAGGGGGAAUUUGUGUCCGUCGUUUCUCGUUCGACGACGAGCACUGCGCUCAGAACCUGAUGGGUUGCUGCAAUGUAUAAUAGCAUUGGUUCGCCAAUGUUUGGCGCGGCCAGGACUGGGUUUGUUGCCAAUAUGGCUUUUAUUUCGUCGAGUCCGGCCGUGGCUGCGUCCGUCCACUCGAAGUGUUCGGUGCGCCUAAGGAGGCGGUAAAGGGGGAGUGCCUUUUCUCCCAAGUGGGAGAUAAAGCGGCUUAGAGCCGCCACACAUCCGGUUUACUUUUGUAUUUGUUUGAGGUCCUUUGGGAUAUUCAAUUGUGACAGAGCUCGGAUCUUGGCUGGAUUUGCUUCAAUUCCUCUACCGAAUACAAUGAAGCCCAAGAGCUUUCCGGCUGGAACGCCGAAAACGCAUUUUUCUGGGUUGAGCUUGAUGUCGUAUGUUCGGAGGUUAUCAAAUGUGAGCCUCAAGUCAUCUACUAGGGAUUCGACAUGUCUUGUUUUUACGACCACAUCAUCUACAUAUGCCUCCACUGUUUUGCUGAUCUGGUUUGCCAGACAUGUCUGAAUCAUGCGCUGAUAUGUUGUUUUGAGCCCGAAGGGCAUUGUGUUGAAGCAGAAUGGGCCGUAUGGUGUGAUCAAUGUCGUUGCGGCUUGGUCUGAUUCUGCCAUCUUGAUUUGAUGGUAGCCGGAAUAUGCGUCGAGCAAGCACAACGAAUCGUGUCCUGCAGUAGCGUCGAUAAUUUGAUCCAUGCGGGGGAGGGGAAAGGGAUCCUUUGGGCAAGCCUUAUUAAGGUCUUUAAAAUCAACGCACAAGUGCCAGGAUUUGUCCUUCUUUGGUACCAUCACUAGGUUUGCUAGCCAGUCCGGAUGUUUUAUAUCUCUGAUGGAUCCGGCCUCUAAUAGCUUGGCUAGCUCCUCUCCCAUGGCCUGUCUCUUAGGUUCGGAAAAACGCCGAAGAGCCUGUUUGACAGGUUUGAAUCCUUUAGGAUAUUUAAGCUGUGUUCGGCCAGCCUGCGUGGGAUUCCUGGCAUGUCUGAAGGGUGCCAGGCGAAAAUGUCCUAGUUCUCACGUAGGAACUCUCGCAGUGCGGCGUCUACAUCAGGGUUUAAUUGUGCACCGAUGGAAGCUGUUUUAUUGGGGUCCGUUGGAUGGACCUGGAAUUUGACUAUUUUGUCCGCUGGUUUAAAUGAGAUGGACUUGGAUCUUUUGUCGAGUAUCACAUCAUCCCUGUUCACCGUGGAGCGCAGCGCAGUCAGCUCCUCAGCCGCUAGGGCUUAGGAUAGUGCCUCAAGGGCCAGUGCGGCUGUCUUAUUUUAGGCGCGGAGUGCUAUGUCCAGAUCACUAGCGAGAGUGAUGAUUCCGUUCGGCCCGGGCAUCUUGAGUUUCAUGUACCCAUAAUGGGGUAUUGCUUGGAAGAUUGUGAACGCUUCCCGCCCUAGCAGAGCGUGGUAUCCGCUACUGAACGGGACCACUUGGAACGUGACCUCCUCGGACCUGUAAUUAUCCGGCGUGCCGAACACCACAUCUAGUGUGAUUUUUCCUGUACAGCACGCUUCCUGACUGGGGAUUAUUCCUCUAAAGGUUGUGCUGCUUCGCUCAAUGCGGUUCCAGUCUAUUUCUAGUUUUUGAAGGGUUUCCUCAUAAAUGAGGUUCAAUCCGCUGCCUCCAUCCAUGAGUACCUUGGUAAGGCGAAAGCCAUCCACUAUUAGACUGAGGACCAAUGUGGCUGGUGCUCGGGCUGUUCGGAAUUUAGGUUCAUCACUGGCAUUAAAAGUAAUAGCCGUGUCACUCCAUGGGUUUAUUGUUGCUACUUGGUAGACUUCGACAAGGCUGCGGAGUGUUCUUUUUCGCAUAUUAUUUGAUGCGAAAGUCUCGAAGACUGUUAAUACCGUACCGGUAUCCCUGGGGUGGCUUUCUAUGGCCUCCGGAAUUAGGAGAUCUUCACCAAUUUUGGCCACCUGCCGGAGUAUCCAACAUGCUCUAAGGCUGUGAGUUGGUGUGGCGCCCUCUGUACUAUGAAUUUUACAGGGUCGAUUAAGCCAUCCUUCCAAUAUGCUUCCAUGCCCUGUAGAGGGUUUUUGCUUUUUGGUGUUUAACCGGGUGUCUGGCGAAGAUGCACCCUUUUAUUUCGGACUGGGUUUGUAUUCAGGGCCGGAUUGUCCCAAAAUUUUAUUUCGGUUUUCCAGGCGCUAUCCAUCGCACAGUACUUUCGUACUAUGGACACCAAGUCAGCGAAGCAUGUAAUAUCACGGCGACUUAUGGCGUUGAGGAUUCCCUUGUCCAUGCAAUUAUUGCAGAAGAAUGAGAUUGCGUCUUCCUCGCGGCAGUCCUUGAUCCUGUUCAUAGCCAGGAGGAAUCUGGCCCAGUAAUGAUGUACUGUUUCUUUGGGUUUUUGCCUAAUUUGGGAUAGAUCGCUUAUGUUCGGGUGGGUGGGUGGAAUUAAAUCCGAAACCUGACCCGAUCUGAGACUCAGAGGCCAAGGAGAUUCCGAACUCGGAAGUUUGGAUUCUUGGAUGUUGUCCAAUGAGUCUAGCCCGUCGCCUGACUCUAAGUUCAGGUCUUGAGUGAUGUCCUCCCCUCCGCGGGUAUCCGACUUGGAGGGAUCGGGAAUCCGGACAUAACUAGUCCUUAAGAUAGAUGAAGGGUCACCGCACUGUCCCUCUACCAUAGCAAUGUGAUGGGUGACCUGGGGAGAGUUAAUCUCUCUUAGAUCGGGUUUAGGCCCAAUCUGGUCAUAAUCCGUGGCAACUCCCAGGGCGGCGACGCGAUCCAAGAGCUCGUUUAUGGAAGAGAGCUCCAUUGUAUCUAACUGCUCGGCGAGUUCCGAGAUGACAUGAAGACUGCUUUUGAUGACCCGAGAGGUCAUCGUCGGCGCAGCAGCCGAACAGGCGGUCAUAAGAAAACCGCCUAGCCGGAGAGUUUGGCCGACAGCCAAAGCUCCCUUAGCAACGGUUCCGUCUUUAAAGACGGGAUGAGGCAUCCUUCCUGAUGGCGACGGCACAGAGGAACUCUCAAUGUAAGCACCAAUAUCGGUGUCAAAACCGGCGGAUCUCGGGUAGGGGGUCCCGAACUGUGCGUCUAGGCGGAUGGUAACAGGACACAAGGGACACGAUGUUUACCCAGGUUCGGGCCCUCUCGAUGGAGGUAAAACCCUACUCCUGCUUGAUUAAUAUUGAUGAUAUGGGUAGUACAAGAGUAGAUAUACCACGAGAUCAAGGAGGCUAAACCCUAGAAGCUAGCCUAUGGUAUGAUUGUUGUUGUCCUACGGACUAAAACCCUUCGGUUUAUAUAGACACCGGAGAGGGUUAGGGUUACACAGAGUCGGUUACAAUGGUAGGAUAUCUACAUAUCCGUAUCGCCAAGCUUGCCUUCCACGCCAAGGAAAGUCCCUUCCGGACAUGGGACGAAGUCUUCAAUCUUGUAUCUUCAUAGUCCGGGAGUCCGGCUGAAGGUAUAGUCCGGCUAUCCAGACACCCCCUAAUCCAGGACUCCCUCACCCAGGUUUUCAGCCAAGAUUAUAACUAACCAUGUCGACAAUAACUCUUAAACAUUAUAGUAACUCUUAUGAGUAGAGGCCGCGGGAAAAAGCCUAGUAGUAGCGCGGAUAAAAGACUAGUAGUAGUGCGGGUGCCCGUGCUACUACUAUGGCGCUACAGCUAACUCGUAGUAGUAGCGCAGGUGCCACCCGUGCUACUAGUACGUGUGUUAGUAAUAGCGCGGAUUCUACACACGCUACUACUAACUAUGUGUAGCGCCUGUCUGUGACCCGCGCUACUACUAUUAAUUUCAAAAACCAAAAAAAAAUCUCGACCCCGUGCAUGUUGUCAAUGGUGUCAUCCAGCGACGACAGGGGUUGCCGGAGGUGUGGACGGGUAGUGGCAGACCAGAUCCGGCGAUGGCUGUUGGAGAUGGCCGGAUCCAGUGUAGAGCAAGACGACGGUGUGAGGAUCCUCUUCGCGGUCAAGGCGGAGAACUCCUGGUUGGCCAUGUCGACGACCUGUGCAGGCAUGGGCAUGGGAGGUGAGUAAAACCAAAGGGAGAGGGAGAGGAGAGGGAGAGGGAAAAAGAGAAACAAGGGAGAAAGGAAGGAGAUGGAGGGCGUAUCGGGGCUGCAUGGAGGCGAGGAGGAAGACGGGCGAGCUCUUGGACGCCAGCGAUGCGAGGAGGAAGACGUUGGGUGCCAUGGAGGAGGAGAUGUUCUUGGGCAGGAGCACCAUGGAGAGAGGGGGAAAGUGAGGGAGAGAGGAGGAAAGUGAGAGAGGGGGAAAGUGAGGGAGAGAGGAGGGAUUCGGCCGAGGAUAUGGAGAUUUCAUCUACCUCGUACUUAGUAGUAGCGAGGGGUAUAAAACCGCACUACUACUAUCAACAUAGUAGUAGCAUGGGUUUGUACCCCUCGCUACUACUAUGGCAUGUCCCGGGAGGGCAUGGUAGACACCGCUUAGUAGUAUCGAGGGUGAAAAACCCGCGCUAAUAGUAUCAACUUAGUAGUAGCGAGGGGUAAAAACCCACGCUACUAGUAAGUAGCAGUAGCGACGGUUAUAAACCCGCGCUACUAGUAAGCGUCUGCCUAUAAGCUUUUCCCUAGUAGUGGCAUAUCUAUGACAUAAUCAACUAGCGAGCAAUAAUAAGAUAUCUCAAACAACAACACGUUGUGAAAACAACCAUGAUAUAAUAUGACAAUAGUGGUAUCUCGCUAGCCCUUUCUAAGACCGCAAAACAUAAAUGCAGAGCACCUCCAAAGUUCAAGCAGCGACUAAACAUUGUAAUUCAUGGUAGAAAAGAUCUAGUCUUGAUGCACCCAACAUUAGCAACACAUAGUGCAUCAGCAUGACAACAGUGCUCUUUGGAUUUGGCACUUAUUUUAGAAGGUGAUGACACAACAUAAAAGUAAAUAGAUAGUCCCUUCGCAGAGGGAAGCAGUGAUUUGCAGCUGUGCCAGAGCUCAAAAUUUUAAAACAGAGGUAAAUGAAAUUUUGGGAAAUUGAUACGUAUCCAAUGUAUCUAUAAUUUUUUAUUGUUCCAUGCUAUAUUAUAUUAUGUUUUGGAUGUUUAAUAGGCUUAUUUAUACACUUUUAUAUUAUUUUUGGGACUAACCUAUUAACCGGAGGCCCAGCACAAAUUGCUGUUUUUGUUCCUACUUCAGUGUUUCGCAAAAAAAAGAAUAUCAAAUGGAGUGCAAACGGAAUGAAACCUUCGGGAACAUGAUUUUUGAAACAAAUGUGAUCCAGAGGACUUGGAGUCCAUGUCAAGCAGUCAACGAGGAGGGCACGAGGCAGGGGGCGCUCCUACCUCCCCCUAGGCGCGCCCUCCACCCUCAUGGGGCCCACGUUGCUCCACCGGCGUACUUCUUCCUCCUAUAUAUACCUACGUACCCCCAAACCAUCAGGGGCAUCCACGAAAACCUAAUUCCACCGCCGCAACCUUCUGUACACGUGAGAUCCCAUCUUGGGGCCUUUUCCGGCAUCCUGCCGGAGGGGGCAUUGAUCACGGAGGGCUUCUACAUCAACACCAUAGCCACUCCGAUGAUGUGUGAGUAGUUUACCUUAGACUUUUGGGUCCAUAGUUAUUAGCUAGAUGGCUUCUUCUCUCUCUUUGGAUCUCAAUACAAAGUUCUCCACGAUUCUCGUGGAGAUCUAUUCGAUGUAAUCUUCUUUUGCGGUGUGUUUGUCGGGACCGAUGAAUUAUGGAUUUAUGAUCAAGUUUAUCUAUGAACAAUAUUUGAAUAUCCUCUGAAUUCUUUUAUGUAUGAUUGGUUAUCUUUGCAAGUCUCUUCGAAUUAUCAGUUUGGUUUGGCCUACUAGAUUGAUCUUUCUUGCAACGGGAGAAGUGCCUAGCUUUGAGUUCAAUCUUGUGGUGUCGUUUCCCAGUGACAGCAGGGGCAGCAAGGCACGUAUUGUAUUGUUGCCAUCGAGGAUAACAAGAUGGGGUUUAUAUCAUAUUGCAUGAGUUUAUCUCUCUACAUCAUGUCAUCUUGCUUAAAGCGUUACUCUGUUCUUAUGAACUUAAUACUCUAGAUGCAUGUUGGAUAGCGAUCGAUGUGUGGAGUAAUAGUAGUAGAUGCAGGCAGGAGUCGGUCUACUUGUCACGGACAUGAUGCCUAUAUACAUGAUCAUACCUAGAUAUUCUCAUAACUAUGCUCAAUUCUAUCAAUUGCUCGACAGUAAUUUGUUCACCCACCGUAAUACUUAUGCUUUUGAGAGAAGCCACUAAUGAAACAUAUGGCCCCCGGGUCUAUUUUCCAUCAUAUUAAUCUUCCAACACAUAGCCUUUUCUAUUGCCCUUUUUAUUUUACUUUGCAUCUCUAUUUCUCUUUAUCAUAGAAAUACUAAAAAUAUUAUCUUAUCAUAUCUAUCAGAUCUCACUCUCGUUAGUGACCGUGAAGGGAUUGACAACCCCUUUAUCGCGUUGGUUGCGAGGUUCUUAUUUGUUUUGUGUAGGUGCGUGGGACUUGAGCGUGGCCUCCUACUGGAUUGAUACCUUUGUUCUCAAAACUGAGGGAAAUACUUACGCUACUUUGUUACAUCACCCUUUCCUCUUCAAGGCAAAAAACAACGCAAUGCUCAAGAGGUAGCAAGAAAGAUUUCUGGCGCCGUUGCCGGGGAGUUUACGCAAAAGUCAACAUACCAAGUACCCAUCACAAACUCUUAUCCCUUGCAUUACAUUAUUUGCCAUUUGCCUCUCGUUUUCCUCUCCCUCGCUUCACCCUUGCCGUUUUAUUCGCCCUCUUUUCCGCUCGCCUUUCCUUCGCCAUGUCGGAACCAAAAAGAGUUGGGGGUUCUCUCCCGAGUUUUAGUACUUUGGACGAUCCUUCUAUUCUAUCUAAACUCAUAAAUAAUGUCAUGGUAAAACCUGCCGGAGUUGUCAAUGAGAGUCUUAAUAAUUUUGAUGAAGAUGAUUCCGGAAUUUUUCGUUAUUUACUCGAUGAAUCUUUGAAAGAUGCUUGGGAUAGACUGUUAAGGAUCCGGGCUAACUAUGUGCCCCAAUACCAAAUUGUAGUUUACUUGAAGAGCUUUUAUGUUGCCCUACCUUCUUCGUUUAAGCAUGUCUUAGAUUCUAUAUUUGAAGAAGGCUUUCUUGAAGGGGAUGCCGUAGAUACUUAUGAAAAGAUGAAGACCAUAUUCGGGCACCCCAUGAAUGAGAAAAUUGAAUCUACAUCUCUUUUGCUCUCCAGUCCUUGGUUCAUGUAAAUCUGAAUCUAGCCGGCACUACCCCUUCACAAGCUGUUGCAUAGUCUUCAGCGAGGUGCGGCAUAACUUCCGUGUGAGGGGAAAUGAACUUCUCCAUGAAUACCUUCUCUCUCACCUUGAAAGCGGUAUAGUAGUAGCCUGGGUUGCACUUGAGCAAUCCAUUUUCCAUGAGAAACUUUACAACGUAGUACCUGGGUUUCAUCCAGCCCUCCAGCUUGUAAUUGAUAAUUAUUGACCGUUGAGCAACGUAGGUAGGUUCCAACCUGUUAGACUAUGUAUAGCUUCUGUACCUAUGUACGUAUAUGGUACAUAUUGUAACACAACCAUUAUAUAUAAUGAGAUAAGCCACCCCUAGAGGGUUGUGCUGGUUCCCCAAAACUUAUUGUCUUACAUGGUAUCACGCUAGGUUACGAUCGCUUCCGCUUCUAAACCCUAAUACCCGCACCGCCGCCGCAGCCGCCGCCGCCUUCACCGCCGCCGCCGCGCCACCGAUCGCGCCGCCGCCAUGUCGAGCGCUGCCACCACCGGUUCCACUGCUGCGGGCUUCCUCCCGGCCUCUCUUGCGGCUCUGCUCAACCUCCCGCUCGAUGCCGUCUCUGUUCCGGCUCCGAUCGGGACAAGGAGCAUCGGCUCCGUCUUCUCCAUGCCGCCGGCGCCCUCGCUUGGGCGUGACCUCGUGGUCCACACCGCGGCGCCGCCGUCCGCUGCGGACUCCGCAGGCAUCGUCCCGCCGCUCCUGCCGCAAGCGGAUCACACUGCCCCGCUGGCGGGGUUGGCGGCGUCCGCCCCGGCCGCGGGCCUUGCGGCGUCCGCACCGGCCGCGAGCUUUGCGGCGCCCGCCCUGGCUGCGGUCCCGCCUCCUCCCGCAUCGGCUUCGGUGCCUCCAGCUGCCUCCAUGGUGUUUGCACCCCAGGCAGCCUCCUCGAUGGGAUUGUCUUCGCCGCUGCCGUUUCACUUCGGUCAUCUCAUCACCAUCAAGCUCUCCGCCGACAACUACAUCUUCUGGCGUGCGCAGGUUCUCCCGCUCUUGGGGAGUCACUACCUGCUAGGCUACAUCGACGGAUCGCUUCCCUGCCCACCCGCGCUGGUAGACAGCAUGCACGGUCCGGUCUACAAUCCGGCCCAUCGCGUCUGGACGGGGCAGGACCAGGCGAACCUCUCCUCCAUCCAGGGGUCGCUCUCGCCGGCAGUUGUCGGCCUUGUUGUCUUCGCGAAGACGUCUCAUGAGGCCUGGACCAUCCUUGAGCACACCUUUGCAGCGCAGUCCCAGGCUCGUGUCUCUGCACUCCGUCGUCAGCUUGGAGAGUGUCAGAAGCUUGACUCCACUGCCACUGAGUUCUACAACAAGGUCAAGGGCCUCGCCGACACAUUGGCCUCCAUUGGACAGCCCCUCACCGACUCCGAGUUCAACUCGUUUAUUGUCAAUGGUCUUGAUGAGGAGUAUGAUGCCUUAGUCGAGAUCAUCAACGAGCGGGGCAACUCGACACCCAUGCUGGCACACGAGGUUUUCUCUCGGCUCCUUCUCACUGAGCAACGGGUCGAGACUCGCCGCACCAGGGGCACUGGCUCCCUCUCGGCCAACGCCGCCACCAAGGGUGGCCGCUCUUCUUCAUCACCCCGGUCUCCCUUGGGGCUGCCACCGUCGCCCUCCUCGGCCCCCCACCUACUGCGACCUUACCGGGGGCUGGCGUUCCACGUGUGUGUCAGCUUUGUGGCCGCGAUGGGCACUGGGCCUCCAAGUGUCAUAAGCGCUUCCAGCGAAGCUUCCUUGGUCUUGGCAAUGACGGCAAAGAUACACGCAACAAUGCCCGUCAGGUCGCCAUGGCUGAUCGUCCCGCGCCGCAGAAGCAACAGGGACACACUCAGUCCUACUCCAUCGAUCCACACUGGUACAUGGACUCUGGGGCGAUAGAGCAUCUAACCAGCGAGAUGGGGAAGCUUCACACUCGUGAACCCUAUCAUGGCUCCGACAAGAUCCACACCGCCAAUGGAGCAGGUAUGCACAUCUCUCAUAUUGGUCAAGCAUCUCUUCUCACUAGACAUGCCAAUAGGAGUCUUCAGCUUCGCAAUGUUCUUCGAGUUCCAUCUGUGACCCGUAAUCUUCUUUCAGUUCCUAAACUCACACGUGAUAAUAAUGUGCUUUGUGAAUUUCACCCUUUUGAUCUUUUUAUUAAGGAUCGGGGCACGAGGGACAUUCUUCUUAGUGGGCGGUUGUGCCAGGGCCUCUACCGUCUGGAGCAUCCUGGUGUCGCUCGUGUUUUCAGUGGAGUUCGGGUCUCUCCGUCACAGUGGCAUGCUCGUCUUGGUCACCCGGCCACACCUAUUGUCCGUCAUAUUUUGCGUCGUCAUGAGCUUCCUAGUUUGUCUAGUCAUAAAGAUGUAGCAGUGUGUGAUGCUUGUCAGCAGGGGAAGAGUCAUCAACUUCCUUUUUCGGAGUCCAGUCGUGAGGUGAAACAUCCUUUAGAACUUGUGUUUUCAGAUGUAUGGGGUCCUGCUCAGACUUCUGUCAGUGGUCAUAAUUACUAUAUCAGUAGUCGCUUUACCUGGCUUUACCUUAUUAAACGCAAAUCUGAUGUGUUUGAUAUUUUUGUUCAGUUUCAAAAACAUGUUGAACGUCUUCUCAAGCACAAAAUUGUUCAUGUCCAGUCAGACUGGGGGGGCGAGUAUCGCAACCUCAACUCUUUCUUUCAGUCGCUUGGGAUAGCUCAUCGUUUAGCAUGUCCACAUACACAUCAGCAGAAUGGUUCAGUCGAACGUAAGCAUCGUCAUAUUGUUGAAGCUGGUCUUACUCUUUUGGCCCAUGCAUCUAUUCCGUUUCGGUUUUGGAGUGAUGCUUUCACCAUUGCAUGCUUUCUCAUCAACCAUACUCCUACUCGUGUUUUAAACAUGAAGACUCCCAUUGAGGUUCUCCUUAAUGAACAACCUGAUUAUACCUUUCUCAAGGUAUUUGGGUGUGCUUGCUGGCCGCAUCUUCGUCCAUAUAACAAGCGCAAGCUUGAGUUUCGUUCUAAGAAGUGUGUUUUUCUUGGCUAUAGCUCUCUUCAUAAAAGUUACAAAUGUCUUCAUGUUCCCACUAAUCGUGUCUAUAUAUCUCGGGACGUCGUGUUUGAUGAGCAUGUUUUUCCCUUUGCCAACCUUCCUGUGUCCACUGUCGAACCACCAUCCCUGCAUUCAUCCUCUGUUGCUUCUGACCAAUUUGAUGAUGUUGCAUACUCUCCUUUGCUGUUACCUAACCAUCUCCACUGCUCGGUCCGUUUCGCCAGCGGCCGCCGAGUCGCCCGCGACUCGGCCCGUCACGCCGUCUUCGCCUGCGGCUCGGCCCGUCACGCCGUCUUCGCCCGCGGCUCGGGUCCUCAUGUCGCCUUCAUCAGCGGAUCGGCCUGCGACACCGGCCGCGCCACGGCCCACUAUGCCGAGCUCGCCAUCGGCCCGGUCUGUGAUGCCGGAGUCGCCAGCUGCUUCGUCUGCUCUGCCGGUUUCGCCGGUGGGUCGGCCUUCUUCGCCAACCGAGUCCGAGGCUACCGUGACUGGCUCCUCGUCACCGGCUGACUCGUCAACGUCGCCGUCCUCCAGCCCGUUGCAGGCUGCUCCGUCGACCUCGGUGGUUCCUGUGUCCCGACCACAUACAUGCAGUCGCAGUGGCAUUUUCAAACCUAAGGAACGUAAGGAUGGUACGGUUGCUUGGUUGGCUGCUUGUUUGGCUGCUGCUGUUGCGGAUCCAUCUUCUGAGCCUCGCUCAUAUCAGGCUGCCCUGCGCAUUCCACAUUGGCGAGAGGCUAUGGAGCAGGAGUUUCAUGCUCUUCUUCGUAACAAGACAUGGACUCUCGUUCCUCCACCACCACGGGUAAAUGUUAUUGAAUCAAAAUGGGUAUUCAAAGUGAAGAAGCAUUCGGAUGGAUCUAUUGAGCGUUACAAAGCGCGACUUGUUGCUCGCGGUUUUCGGCAGCGUCAUGGUCUUGACUAUGAGGACACCUUCAGUCCUGUCGUCAAGCCUACCACUAUUCGACUUCUUCUCUCCAUUGUUGUUUCUCGUGGUUGGUCACUUCGUCAACUUGAUGUGCAGAAUGCUUUUCUACAUGGAUUUUUGGAGGAAGAGGUUUAUAUGAAACAGCCGCCUGGUUUCUCUGAUCCUGAUCGUCCUGACUAUAUCUGUCGUCUUUCCAAAGCACUAUAUGGUUUGAAGCAAGCUCCUCGUGCCUGGCAUGCCUGCCUUGCCUCUGCCCUUCGUGCUCAUGGGUUUGUGCCGUCUACUGCUGACACUUCGUUAUUUCUUCUACAGAAGCCAGAAGUCACUAUGUAUCUUUUGGUAUAUGUCGAUGAUAUUAUCCUUGUCAGCUCUUCUCAGUAUGAUGCUGAUGCUCUUGUCUGCUCUCUUGGUGCUGAUUUUGCGGUCAAAGAUCUUGGGAAGCUUCACUACUUUCUUGGAGUUGAGGUCACUUCUCGUGCUACUGGUCUUGUCCUUACGCAGAAGAAGUACUCCUUGGAGUUGUUACAGAGAGCUGGCAUGCUGAAGUGCAAACCGACCACCACACCCAUGUCGUCUACCGACAAGAUAACAGCUGCUGAUGGUGAGCUUUUGUCUCCUGCGGAUGCCACAGAGUACAGGAGCAUUGUUGGUGGACUUCAGUACUUGACGAUCACGAGACCAGAUAUCUCUUAUGCUGUUAACAGGGUUUGUCAGUAUCUUCAGGCUCCCAGAGAUACUCAUUGGGCUGCUGUUAAACGCAUUCUUCGUUAUGUUCAGUUCAUCCUGACAUUUGGUAUGCAUAUUCGGCCGACUUCCUCUCGGGUCCUUUCGGCCUUCUCUGAUGUAGAUUGGGCUGGUAGCCCAGAUGACAGACGAUCCACGGGGGGUUAUGCAGUAUUCUUUGGCUCUAAUUUGAUCGCCUGGAGUGCUCGGAAACAAGCUACUGUGUCACGUAGCAGUACUGAAGCUGAGUACAAGGCUGUGGCUAAUGCUACUGCAGAGAUUAUUUGGGUGCAGUCUUUGCUUCAGGAGUUGGGUUUGUCUCAACCACAGCCUCCUAUUCUUUGGUGUGAUAACAUCGGUGCUACAUACCUUUCUGCAAAUCCAGUAUUUCAUGCCCGAAUGAAACACAUUGAAGUUGACUAUCACUUUGUACGGGAACGUGUAUCACAGAAGCAACUCCAGAUCAAGUUUAUCUCAUCUAAGGAUCAACUUGCAGACAUCUUCACUAAGCCUUUACCGCUGCCACAGUUUGAGGCUUGUAGGCGCAAUCUUACCCUUCUCAGUUCUUUAGAAAGUGGCUAAGAUUGAGGGAGGGUGUUAGACUAUGUAUAGCUUCUGUACCUAUGUACGUAUAUGGUACAUAUUGUAACACAACCAUUAUAUAUAAUGAGAUAAGCCACCCCUAAAGGGUUGUGCUGAUUCCCCAAAACUUAUUGUCUUACACAACCCCACCUCAGAGAUGAGGAAAUCAGACCUGCGCUGCAGUAAUUCCUUUGACUUCCUCAGCAGACACGGAGCGUUACACACAACAAUGCUCACCUCAGCGUCUGACCACCUGAACAUCUUCUUCAAGUAGGCCACAUUGGCGGCGAUCUUCUCCUCGCUGAGGAAUCUGACAGUAUCCAGCGUGUGCCUGAACAUCCUGAGCCACGAGGCAUGCCAAGGCCUUCGGCGCAUGCCACCAUCGCCCUGACGUGUUCUGGCUUGUUGCUCAGGACACCCCGCGCGCGGAGGGACAACUUGGUGAUAUCGCAAUCAUCUAGCCCGCAUUGCCGUAGGAGCGCGACGUUGGGUUUGACCAUCUCCUCGAUGCUGUGUUUUGGUUUUCGGUUUGCGUUUUUUCUCGCCCCUGAACGAGAUGGCCGAAAUUCGGCCAUUUCAAAAAUCUCGGUAAAAUCUCGGACGAAAUUACAAAACCAAAAUUUGAAUUUUAAACGAAAUUUGACUAAAAAUUGGCCGAAAUUCGGCCGAAUUUUUUGAAAACAAGCAGAGCAAAUGUACAGCAGUCGAACAACACUGAGGAGUACAUGUAUGCGUUACCAAACUAGCUUUGGGGAUUAAUAACUCCAAAAGAAAAGAUUGAAACAAGGAUACAGAGAGGUGAUCCAGAGUUGAGGAGUUCCCGAUGGAUUCAGCCGCAGCCCGCAGCCGGCAGAGGUCAGCAGCAGGGGCCGGUCGUAGGAACGGCGAGAACGGGGUAGGAGCCGCAUGCUCGAGCGGGGAGGCAGGUGCCGACGAGCGGAGGAGCCGCGUAUUGGCGCAUCGCCGCCGCCGCAAACACAGGGGCCGCAGGGGAUCGUGGUUAGUUUAGGGUUCACGAGUUCGGUUCGAUGCUUUUAAUCCAGGCAAACCGUGGGGAGGCCCAGAAGUUGGACUGGGCCAGAAAAAAGUUUCAAUCUGGGCCGAAAGUUUUGGCCGGCACAGACAUUUACCGGGUCGAGGCGAGAUGACCGAAAUUCGGCCGAAAAUUGUUUUUUUCGGCCGAAAAUCAAAACACAGCCUCGAUGUCAGCGCCGGCGAGGUAGCCUUGCUUGAGCACCCGGAAGAGGUUCUCCGAGGAGCCGAAUAGGAGCAGGUAGUACCGCAAAUUGGAAACAAUGGACCUGGAACAGAAGUGGGCGAAGGAGAGCGCGACGAGGCGCACGAUCUCAGUACGCGAGAGGCCGAGGCCGGUGAGCCCACGACGACGGGGGCUAGAGUUUUCUCUACUUUGGCGCAGAGGAACAACGGGUCCUUGGCGACGAGGGCGGCGACGUCGGUGCCGGAGAGGCCGAGGCCGGCGAGGAAGGAAAGGACGGCGUCGGGCUUGGACGAGGACUUGAGGUGGGAGAGCUUGGCGGAGGCCUUGAGUGCCUGGGGUCGGGUGAGGCCGAAGGUGGAGACGAGGUAGUCGUCGACGACGAAGCUAGGGUUUGGGGAAACGCCGGGCGCGGCGGCCGCGGAGAGGGGGCGGUGGAGAGGGGGGCCUGAGAGGUGGCGGGGGAAGAGAGGAGCCGCACGAGGAUGCAGCCACGGAGGCGGAGCAUGGCGGCGGCGGCGGCGGAGAGAUUGAUUCCCUAUGGAGGCGGGUGCGAAUGGGAUGGUGCUUCGGAGGCGGGGAUGCGGCGCCCCGGCGAGGCAGGUGAGGAACGGAGGAAGAGAACAGGAGGAGAGAUCGAAGAGGAUGGCACUUCGGCGGCGGCGGCGGCGCCGCCGAAGAGAUUUUCCGGUCCGCUGUGAGUGGAGAGGAAAAAUGGGAAAUGGCAGGUGCGAUGCGAAUGGAGGCUCCGCAAAUUGCAAUAUCACUGAAUCCCAGGGGUCUUUACGUCUUUCAAAAAUACAAAAUACAUUUAAAAAAACAUACAUAAUACAUUGAGCCUCAUGGAAACUUUCAUAUACACAUGGAAAAUAGAUAUCCCCUCCGUUUAAUAAUGUAGUGCAUAUAGAUUUUUGAAAGUCGGACUUUGCAAAUUAUGAUCAAAUUUAUAAAGCGAACUACUUAUACCUACAUUAUCAAAUAUAUAAAAUAUGAACCUACGUCUUAUGAUGAAUCUAAUGAUAUAUGCUUGACAUUCUAGAUGUAAAUGUUUUUCUUCACAAACUUGGUCAAAUUUUGUUAGAUUUGACUUUUCAAAAAAUCUACAUGCAAUCAUUAUGCAAUCGGUAUUAUAAGGAAAAUGACUUUGAGCGAUAAGAUUAUAUCACAAAAUAAGCUAUUAUACGACUUGUACUUAUCCUAUGAUUUUUUUCUGUAGGUAUAGUACUUCAUCCGUUUUUAUUUACUUUGCAUAUUAGAGUUGACUGAAGUCAAACUUUGUAAAGUUUGACCAAGUUUAUAGAAAAGAAUAUAAAUAUUUACCCUAACAAACGAAAAUCUGCAUCUGAGCCCGGGCUCAGAUGUUCCCGCUCAGAAAAAAAUUCAAAACAAAUUCUAGAAAAAUUCAAAUAAAUCCAAUUUUUUGUGUGGUAGAUAAUUUGAUGCGUGAGGCCCGCUUCAAAUUUCAACUCAUUUGGAUAUCUGAGGAGCUCUCGGCAAAAAAGACAAAUCGGAUCAAAACAGUUCGUGAACAAUAAACUUUUUUACAGACCCGAUUUUGUCUUUUUGCAGAGAGCUGCUCAAAUGUCCAAACGAGUUGAAAUUUGCAGCAAACCUCACGCAUCAAAUUAUCUAUCACACAAAAAAUGGAAUUUUUUUGAUUUUUUCUAGUAUUUGUUUUGAUUUUUUUCGUCGGAGCGAGUGCAGUUGAGCCCGGGAGCCAAAUUGGCUUAUAUGAUGUGAAAGUAUGUUCAAUAAUGAAUGUAAUGGUAUUGAUUUGUUAUUGUACAUGUUAAUAUUUUUGACUAUAAACUUCGUCAAAAUUUAUAAAGCUUGACUUUGACCAAAACUAAUAUGCGGAAUAAAUAAAAACGGAGGGAGUAAAUGGCUAUGUUUUUUUUUGUACGUAGUAAAUGGUUACUUUUUCUGAUUUUUUUUAAAUGGUUAUGCUUGCUAACCAAUCCAAUUCAAAUUAUAUGUCGCUCAAACGGAUGUAUCUAAUUAAUAUGGAUCGGAUGGAGCAGAAAAGUUCAUAUGGAUAUAUAUUUUCUCAAAACUUGAAAGUAUGAUUUCUACAAGUAAAAAAAAAUCAUAUGUGAACUAUGUUUGUUUUUAGCAUUUUGUGUGCGUUCAUGUUUCUUUUUCUCUCUCUUCAUUCUAGCCUCUUUUCCUCCACCUCACUCUGUUCUCACAUUGACAUUGUUGCCUUUUUCAGUGGACUCCUACCUAUCUUUUCUAACUUUUGCAAGGUGAGAAUUGAGAAGGUUAUUAUUCUUUAGUUUUAUGUGUAUAGCUAUCCUAGAGUCGAGAUCAAUUGCAUCGUGUCCACUUAUCCUCUAUAACACUAAGCUUCCUAGUUUUAAAAAGCCCACACUCAAUUAAGGUCUCCAAUUAGAAUUGGAUCAUCCGAUUUUGAACGGGUCAACAAUUUCUCAAAGCUUCAUAAUCCAAUUUUUUUAUACUAUACCAUAUGCUUCCUAAUUUUUAAGGCCUCACAAUUAAUUAAGAUAUUCAAUAUAGAUUGAUCAUCCAAUUUUGACUGGGUCAACAAUUUCUCAACCUCUCCAAUUGAAUUCUUUUAAUUCACUAUAUUCCAAAAUUUUGAAUCUCUUUCAUUCAAUUGAGGUAUUCAAUUUUGAUUUGGUUGAAGAUUUUGAGUGGGCCAAUGAUUUUCAAAUCAAUCAGCUGCAACUGACCUAUAAAAACAUAUCAAUCCCAUGCACCCUUCCACCACAUAGAAAAAAGAAACGUCACCAUGUGAUAUUGUAGUAUCAAUAUAGUACAUGCAACCACCAACGCAGAAAUUUUUCCACAUAAAUAUAGGUUGGUUAGCGGAUGACACAGUCAUCUCCCCACCCGCCUAACUUAAUAUUCCAUCAGUUAUAAAAUAUGAAGGGUAUUAAUUUUGUAGAAAGUAAAACUUCUUUAACUUUGACCAAGUUCAGAGCAAAAAUAUCAACAUCCACAAUAUUAAACAAAAAAAGUAUGGAAAUUCAUUUCGUGAUGAAUCUAAAAAUACUGAUUUAAUCUUAUGAAUUUUGAUAUAUUUCUCUCAAAUUUGAAAAAACUUAAAAGGUUUGGCUUUUCAAAAAAAUACACCUUAUAUUAUGAAACAGAGUGAUUAGUUUCUUAAGAUACCCAAUAACAUGAACGGCGCAGCAAAGCGCGCAGAACCCUUCUAGUUAGUAGUAUAUCUAAGAACAAUUAGCAUCCCAUUGAUGAUCGAUAAACCUUCUUAGUCCAGCUAGUGGUUGGUUGUCUAGAGUAUAGCUGGCCAAAUGGGCCGGUUUUUUCGGGUCGGCCCGUGAGCACGCCGGCACGGCCCACCUUGGGCCAGGCACGGCACGGGCCAAACGAGCCAGGCCCAGCACGCGGCACGCCCUAGGCCGUGCCUGGGCUGGAGGCUGGGCAUGCGGGCCGGCACGGCACGGCCCGAUUAUGUUUUUUAUAUUUGUUAUACAUUUAUAUAUGAUCCAACAUGUAAAAAUAAGCUAAAAACGCUCAAUGCGUCAAAUAAUAGGCUAAAAAUAUGCGGCCCACCGUGCUAAAUGGGCCAACGUGCCGGCUCGUUUACUAACGGGCCGUGCCUGGGCCUGGGGGCGCAGCACGCGGGCCGGCACGGCACGGCACGUAUAGUAAUCGUGCCCUGGCGGACCGUGCCGGACCAGGCACGAUUAUGAUGGGCCGGGCCAUGCCGUGCCGGGCCAGCCCGUUUGGCUAGGUAUGGUCUAGAGAUCUAUAUGGAGUCAGUUGAGAUGGGAUGGUCAGCCAAGUGGGUUGAUCAAUGCUCCUCUUAAAAUUCGAAGCCUAAAGUAGAUGUGCUACUCGAGAAAUAAAAAGACCAACGUAGACCGUACCAACAUCUAAUAUUUGACGUCACAUUUAAAUUUGAUACUAUUCAUACCCAUAAUUGUCCCUUUGCUCAUCGAAUUAUGCAUCUUAUAUAAAUGUUGUAAAUGAUCAAUUUUUAUAAUAAUUUUAGGGUUGUAGUUCGGUGCAUAGGUAGCUCAGAGGAACCAUAGUCAUCGCUUCCUCUCCAAAAAAGCUUAGGGUUCCUAUGCCUCCCGCUGGCGCAGCUGCCGGUCCACCUCGUCUCCGGUGGCCCUAGGGUCAUGGGGACACGGUGAAUCUCAUCCCUUACCAGAGGGCUUCGUUUUUAGACGUUUCUUUGAAUUUUGUUAGGGUUGUGUCUUGCUAAUUAAGGAGGGCAAGACAACGACGGCUUCCUGAAGAUUGAAUAAGAUUCUCCCCGCCUAGCCCCCGUCUCGAUGGCGCAUCUAACAUCGUCGAAGAGUGUGUGGAGGUGUAUCUCCGCCAGAUCUCGCAGGAUUCGGUAGGUGGUUUGUCUUUGGUGGAUCUACUCGGACCCGGUCUUCGUUCGUCUACGUUUGUGUGUCGCUAGAUUGGAUCCUUCCGAUCUAUGGGUCUCUUCAUCGGCGGGGGUUGCUAUUCUAGUGCGCUGGUCCUACGAGGCCUUAGCACGACAAGUUCCCGACUGUGUACUACAAUAAGUUCUGCCCGGCUCCGGGGAGGGAAGGGCGAUGACGACGGUGCGUCUUCGGCUCGUUUUAAUGCUUGUAGUCUUUGCUAGAUGGUCUAAGGAUGAAUGUGAUUUUUAUUAUUCCUAUUGUUCAUUGUAUUGUCAUGAUUGAAAAUGAAUAUAUCAAAUGAUUUCUCAUAGAAAAGAAGCUCAUAAGAACCAUUAAAAGGACAAUCGUGUGGUCUCCCUAGACUUUUUUUUAGAAAAGGAGGAAGACCCCCGGCCUCUGCAUCUGAGCGAUGCAUACAACCACUUUAUUAAUUAUUCUCAAAAGACCUUACAAAGAAAUACAACAAUAAGUCUGAAGCCAUCAUCUAGGCAACAUCUGUUGCUACUCCUAUUCAUUUGAUGAAGGGAUGCUGAUAGUCUGGGCUUAAUACCAAACAGACCUCGCAGCCAAACCUAACAUCUAAGACCUGAGUUCCCAUCCAGGACGCCUGCCGGGUAUGGGUCACCCACCGGUCCGGCACACUCCUCAACAUGGACGCCUGCCGGGUAUGAGGCCGCCGCAGCCACCUGCCACCAAUCCAUCUUCAGAGAUGUAGUGUUGCAUCUACCUUGUCCGGUCUAGCUGCCGUCGACGCCACCACGAUGCCAGACAACGCCACCAUCCUGCGCUCGUCCAUCAACACACGCCCAGCAGCAAGAUCCCGCUGCUCUAUGCCCCUGAGACCCGCCAUUGUCGACGUAUCAGAUGCAACGCCGCUCCUCCUUCGCGAACACCACCUUCUACCACUGGUCCUAUCCCCUCCACCUGUAGAUCCUCUGAACUCCCAACCGAGCCCUAGUGCCCCUGACGACACCUCCAGGAAGGUCACGACGCAAAAAGCGCCGCUGCCGCCAGAUCCGAAAAGGAUUGAAGGUUUUCACCCGGCCGGGGAUCGGGGUGGAUAGAUUGGGCCCUCAGCUGCGCCUUCAUGAAGGAAAGCGGCACCCAUGAGCGUCGCCGCCGCCGGGCCGGCUAGACUGGCCAAGGUUUUCCCCGGACCCAAAGUACACCACCAGGGCUGACCACCACCGGAGCCUGCAGCCGUAAACCACCAGGACGACGACAGAGGCAGCAGGAGAAAGGGGAACCAUUAAAAGGACAAUCGUGUGGUCUCCCUAGAUGGUCCUUGGAGGGAGCGAUGCAAUUUCAUUUCCUUUUUAUUGCAUUCUCAUGGAUCUAUGGGAUACACAGAUUUGGAAUAGCCAUGCGUUAUAUAGGUUUGGAAAAGAUGAAUGGGCAGGACAAAGCCCAUCAAGGUCCACAGUUGGACAUGGUAUUUUUCUCUUCCCUGAUCUUGUGUGGUUGUUACAUUACAACGAGGACUAGAUGCAUUCAUGAACCUGAGGAGACUAUAUACGGUGAUUAUAUCGUGGCUAUCAUAUUUACCUAUUUUACAAAGAAUGAUCGGAUAUAAUUUACUGGUACAAUCCAUUGUGUGCCUUUCACGCUUCCGUCAGUUUAAUUUCCUCACAUUUUAAGUAGUCUUGUGAAGUUGUGAUCAGGUAGCUCGCAAUCUGAAUUUCUGUAAUGAAUUUUUUUUGGUCCAACGAGUAAAACGUAGACUUGGUGACCCUCAAAAGGGAUGAUAUUUUACAUAACGAGUAAAUCAUGAUGUCCUUAGAUAUUUCUUAUGAGUAUUUCUUCUUUUCUGCGGAAAAGUUUCUUGUCUUCCGAACUCUUGGAUGUGGGCAGAACUCUUGAUGAGCCGAGGCACCCGCGGCAUGCCAUUGUGAGUCAAGUUUGCCAUUGUUUGAUGGGAAGUUUUCAAGUGCUACAUGUAGAAGGACGCUAUAGUGGCUGCAAUCUUGCUGCUAAGUGACACGUACUGUCACCCUGUUUCUAAUGAAAAAAACUGAAGAACAAUGACUCAUUUAAACAUUGUUCAAUUUUGUGGUUCAUGAGCCUUUUCUUCAAAGUUUACUUAAAAGUUGGGUUAUUAGGUAAAAAAUGGUUCCUUUCCUUUUGUGCUUGCAAUUUAUUGUCCUGACAAAAACACUUUUUAUUGCAGUGCUAAGAAAAUGCGUCUACUACUUGACUGAACUAAAUACUCUUGAUAGCAAACCCUCUCUGGGCAUAUUCGUAGAUUCAAGGUGAGGAGACAUGCCAGCAUACAGACCAGCAACAUACAUGGCACAUGUACGACGUUCUAACAAGAGCAUAAAGUUGAUUGAUUCUUGAUAGCAUCACCUGAAUAUAUCACUCACGGAUUCAUGAAUGUUCCCCGUUGCAAUGCACGGCCAUUCACCUAGUAAAGGCAAUGAUUUGUUGGUAGUAGAGGCAUCUCAUGUUUCAAAGGGUUAAACCUUAGCCGUCGUGACCCGGCUCCAUGGCUGGGUCAAUCUCGCACCUCUGUUGGUGCCGAACCCUAGGCAAAUUCCCCCAAAUCUCUUGUUGUUUCUAUUGAUUGACCGAAUGUGAGGAGCAAUAGUAGAUCAAUAACUCUCGUAUAACCGAGGGAAAAAGAAAUGAAGAGAAGUUGGCGAAAGUAUCAAGUGGUACAUCUACUUUUUAUAACAUCACAUGAAGCCGGCGAAAAGGAAAGCCGAUCAACGAAGAAACUGCAUAGGGGACCUAUCAUGAGUGAACAUUGCGUGGGCGCCAUUGGCCGCAUCUCAUCAUCUUGUUGUGUAGAAGAAGAAAUGACUGCCGAUGCUGCUGGUGCCUCCAUCUCUAUGACCUUGCCGUCCAAGCCCGCAUUAGCAACAAACACGUAGCACUAGAGCACGGGAGGAGAGUUGAUCAGGGAAAUCGCCUUUCUUGACGACAGGAGAAUUAGUGAUGGGCGACUCCACGCGACGCUGAUGUGAUUUCAGGCCACACUAAAGGAUGUCGGAGAAGGGGGCCAUAGGACGAACUCAACCGCAUCGGUAGUGGGCUUGGUGGAUAUUGUGUCGAGGGCUCGGGGACGCACUCGGUGAUGGUGGUGGACCUCGGGGAGGGGGGCCUCAUACACGUGGAUGCAGGGGAAAAGAGGGUGCACGGGCUUGAAGGCAUUACUCAUCCACCUCUUCUGGCAAAGAGAGCUCAUCGGGGCCAACCGCGUGAAGGAGGAGCUUGAGGUAGCUUGGAGGAGGCGACGACGACAACCAGAUCCAUCUGGCAAGCCAGAGUGGAGGCAUCCCACGUGGGAGCAGUGAUUUCGGUGCCUAAGCUUAGAUGCACCUGCUAUUAUGUUUGUUCAUUGCUGCAUGGAGAUUCAGGAAAUGGGGCAUGAGGUGGCAUUGCUAGGGCGUGGAAAAUCCCCAAAAUGAACUAUACAUGCAUGAAUAGUGUGAUACAUGUGGGUCUAUCGUGUAGCACACGAGGAGGGUUCGAACGAAGGACAGACGGUGCCAUCUUGGUUGGAUUCUGAUCCAUGGCACCUAAUCGUCUGCAUUCAUCUAAGUCGUGGCUCACUCUGCUGCCUGUGGCAUGACUUUGACACUUUGAAUCCGAGUCAUGGCCUAAAGAUUUGUGUAGCUCCAGUUGGGGCCUGCGGUGUAGGAUCGUCGGUACGCACACCGAAUGUCAUCCACGACCGACGUCGGCCAACAGAUUGCUAGCUUACUAGACGCUACAAGAGGUAGCGUCCUUCGUGAAGUUUGUGUGCUUCAACACCAACCAGGUCAUCCUAAGCCGUCAUGGACAACCCAUUCAUCUACGUGGUUGACUUCAACAUUGGAGACGACUUCUCAUGGUCGUUGCUCAUGUCACACCUUGCUCACCAUGGCAACAAGCUGUUUCAUGUCACGUCACUUGCCACCACAUUAAUGCACCGCGCGGAUACGCAUGCACCUACAAUCGUGCAUGGUGUCCCUCAGAGUUCACGCGCGUCCCUAGGGGCUCCCAUUCCAGUACGACGAGAAGGACCUCCUGGUCUGGGCUGGAAGUCACGUAAUGGUACCUACAACAAUCUCGAAAAGAGUAGAAGGCCUGGAUUUCGAGAGCAUCUGAGCUCGCACUUAGAAAUCUAUUUUUGUUCCCACGGUCCAUACAUAGAGAGAAACUAGAAAAGAAAAUGCAAAACACGCAUACAUGCAUGCAUGCUUCCACAAAUGGGUUACCAGAUACCUUUCUGGGGCUCUGGUGACCUCACAUUCAUUGUUGACCCCUUACGACCUCACAAUCAUGGGAGAGAUUUCAUGACCGCACACUGUCUCUAUAAAAGCCUAUCACCUCUAUGAAUCAUGUGGCUCCAUCAUUUCAAAUCCUCCGCGCGCCUAAGAUACCACUUGAGAAAUUACUAAUGGCCAACGGAAAGAAUGUCAUGGCCAUGUUGUUUCUCACCACCAUUGUGGCGGUGGCGGCCACAAGGCCAGCCGAGACCUAUGGCGCUGCGGAGGAGAACACAUUGAAGAUGGCUACCCCCAGCAAGAAAGGGGUUGACGCUACCUUAGCAGCUACACGUGUUGUUGCCGCCGAGAAGUCCAUCAAGAAGGCUGAAAGCGCCACCACACCAGAAGAGGCCGCGACUGCCAAGCAAGAUGGAGCAAAAUCUGCUUCUGCUGCAUUAAAGUACAAUGCCAUCUCUCAGCAGGCAAAUGGUAAAGGUUCUUCUACCUCCCUAGGCAGGAAAGAAGCAGCCGGUACUUUAGCCGCCGCACACUAUGCCGCCGCCGAGAAGUCCAUCAAGAAGGCCGAAACCGCCAAGACACCUGCAAAGGCCGUGGCUGCCAAGCGAGACGCAGCAAAGUCUGUUGACAAUGCAUUAAAGUAUGAUGCCAUCUCUCGGAAAGCAGCUGGUACAAGUUCUUCUACCUCCCCCAAUAGGAAAGAAGGCACCACUGAUGCUGCUAAGAUGUUCACCAAGAAGGCUGAAACCGCUACCACACCUGAAGAGGCCGCGAAUGCCAAGCAAGCUGCAGCCAAGUCUACCGCUGCUACAUCAAAGUAUGGUGUCAUUUCUCAGCAAGUAGCUGGUACAAGUUCUUCUACCUCCCCUAGCAGGAAAGAAGCUGCCGGUACCUUGGCAGAUGCUCACAUAGCUACUGCCGAGAAGUCCAUCAAGAAGGCUGAAACCGCCACCAGACCUGAAGAGGCAGCAUCCGCUAAGAAGGAUGCCGCGAAAUCUGAGGCUAAUGCAAUGCAGUACGGGGCCAUCUCUCAGCAGGCCACCGGCAAAAAUGGUGCCUAAGUGGUGCCUUAAACACCUAUUCACGCGCAACAUCAUCUACAUACUACCAUGCACGCAAAAUAGCAGCAUUGAGAUACCACGUUAUGCUAAUUCUCAUGCAUGCAUGCUUUGUUUAAACGUUCACAUUAUGAAUCAUGUAUUAAUGUCUUGCUUGUUUUAUUUUUAGUAGUAAGACACGCUUGACUUGCUUUAAAAAAAAUACAACAAUCGAUGUAUACAUGUAUCAUCUGAAAAUUAAUAAUAUGAGUUCCACCACAAUUUGUGUCUUUUUGUCAUAUUUUGGGUGCAAUCAAUGCACACAUCCAAUACACAAAAUUGGACGAGUCAAUGUGUUAUGGCUCCAUGGAGCGGCGAAUCAUGUUUUAUUGUCUUGCUUGUUUUACUUUUAGUAGUAACUAGAUGACCUGUCACGCCAUUUGGCGCGCAAGACAAACUUGAACCAAGAACUAAAAGAGAUCUCUUUGCCUUUUUUUAGCAUACAGUUUUGAUGUAUACUUGUUUAUCAAGUGCUAUGAAUCAAUAUAGAAAUAUUUUGGAUUGUUUGUUGUGUAGGAAAGGCGAAAGCCCACUAUGAACUGAAAGCAAUUAUUUUGAUAAACUUAGGAGUGCAAGUGGGUUUUUAUCAUAUAAUGGCCUUGCUUUCGAGUGUACAUGAUAUUGAAAGAACAUAAAGAUUUGAUAUCAUAGAUAGCCAUAUACGCGAUUCAAAUAGUUUUUGACACAAGCGAUACAUUGCAGUUAUGUUAGUACUACAUGGUAAGAUAGGAUGAAAUGUUUGGAUUUGUUGGCAAUUGAUACAUUGUUCUUCCACAAGGAGAGAUUGUGUCCAUCUCUAUCACUCGAUUGGUAGGUCUCAUGGUCUUUGAUGGUUAAAUGGAGCCUCUUGACAACUUCUGCAAGCAUGUUUUCUCCUGUUUAUUUCACCAUGGAUUGGUGACAGCUGAAACACAUAGAAGCAGUAUAGAUUAAUGUCCUGGAAUUUAUCAAGUGAAAUAUAUGACUACACUUUUGAAGAUUCUCUAUGGGCAAUGUAGAAGAUCUAAGUCAGGCUGCUAAACCAACUACAAAAAUAAUAAUAUUUAGGCAAUAUUUCAAGUGAAUGGGUAAGGAAUUAAUAAGAUGGAGAGCUGCACUAUCAUCAUUAACAGAAGGAAAAAGCAUAGACAAUGAAGAAUAUUUGUCUCAGUUCAGAACAUACAUGAACAUGACUAUAGACACACAAGAUUUAUUUUCCACAAUAUGCACAAUUUAAUUUAAAGAAAUCCAUGUUGCUUUAUAGUAGGAAGAACACACCUGCAUUGACAAAAAUACAAAAAUGUAAGAUCCGAGUAAAUAUACAGAUAGGCGACACAAUAAAAUGUAAGGCAUGUCAACAUAGAGCACUGUGUCCAGGAGCAGUUCUUAGGAAUAGCAGUCAAAUACAUCAUAUAGUAAUGGGAUCCAACACAAUCAACCCAUGGUACCUUUUCUACAGAAAAAGCAUAAAAAAAUAUGAUAUAAAUGUUUCUUCUGAUCUUCUCUACCUAAUAUUAUCUGUCUGAUCUUCGUGACUAUGAUCAGUCUGAUAAAAUAUGCAAGCCAUAUGAUUACUACGAAAAGGAUGGACACAAAUUUGUGAGCUUCCUUGUGCACAAAUCAGAAUUCAUGUGUGUGGUUAUCAUUGGUAUACAUAGUGCUGACUGGUCUCUUAUACAGCAAGGUAGACGCAGAAGGCAGAGUAGCCUGUGAAAAUCAAAGUUACUGGGUUGCAGCUUUUUAAAUAACCAUGCUUUGCAACAACAGAAAAAAUCACUUUAAAUCUAUGAGAGAAAAUAAUGUAUUACCGACAGUAUGGAGGGGAGGAUGAAGGAGCAGCUCCCUCACUACCUCCUCUGGCCGCCUCUUCAAUUUCAUAGCCAUUCUCACAACCACUUUGAAAUAUGAAAAGGUUGAAGUACAUAAUAAUAUAGGAAAAAUAUUUUGCAGCCAUUAUCCCGAGGUGCACUCUUUUGACAAUGAUAAAUAUUAACCAUAUAUUGGAUAAUGAAAAGUACAACACAUAAGCAUACACUCCUUAUCACCAACAAUAUUUAUCAUUAGCCCCCAAAAAAGUCUCAAAUCUCAUGUGCGUGACUUAGAGCCAUGAUACAUACCUACGGACAAGUGAAUAAUUAAUAGGCUAUGCCUACGAAGAACAAACAAUAAUAAAACAACAUCUGACAUGGUAGAUUGGUAAAGAAUAGAAACAAUUACCCCUGUGAAAUAUUUUUGUAGCACUUAAUGCUUCAUGACACGGCAGGAGUAUCUAUCAUUGGUGUCACAUGCCUCAGAGCCAUCCACAACUUGAUGGAACAUUCACAAUGUACCAACAUGAUGAGAGCCUGUAUUACAUACAUCUAGCAUUAUUCACCAGUUGCGAAAAUGGAUACCAAAGAACAGCCAACUUAUCAAAUUUGUUGAAAAGUAAUCCAGAAAUUGAUGCCUAAUGAUCAGACUCAGGCCUCAGUACAAACAACGCCGUAUCGUUUUCUACCUCCAAAAGUAGUAUAUAUGUUUCAGUGGAAACCACAGAAGCUCCAGCAGCAAUAAAUAAAAUAAGGGGAACCAAAUAAAGAGGCAUUCCUCUGACGAGUUAACAUACCUCAACACACAUUCCCCGGAUCUCUCCUCUCGGAUAGAGACCAGCCGAAUUUGUCCCAUCGGAUGCCACCAGUAUCUGAUCAAGACCAGCAGUGACAGAAAAGAACCAAUUAUAACAAUGACAAAUCAUUGAGCUAGCAGACAAAAAUGAAGGAGCCAGUAAAAUGAACAAUCAAAAUGUACAGAGAGCUAAGAUGCUAUAGGAUGGAGGCGACUACGAUACUAUGCCCAAAUUUUGUUAUUUAUAUUGGCCUAAUUAUUUGACGCGGAUCUUUGAUGUAGCUCUGCAUUCAAACUGCUAGUCUGCGGCAACAGAAACUGAAACUAAAAAGAUCAGAAAUAAGGGGACAAAUAUUGUACAAACCAGCGAAUAGCUUCUUGAACCAAGCUUUAUAUUGACAGCAUUAAUCUUGACGCGUGCGCUCGUGGUUGGACUCACGGAGCUGGCCGUUCGUGGCUGGAUGGUUCACGCGAAGACUUGGCCAGGUCAUUCGUGCCGUGCCGCCGUAAGUGGAGCAGCUGGGUCAGCCAAGCCGUUGGCGUGCAUGUAGUGCGGACGUGCGUGGGCGUGCAUGUAGUUAGUGGUUAGCUAAUGCGUGUGGGCAUGGCUUAGUGGCCGGUGCAUGAGCUGUGUAUGUGCGCGUCUACUACUUAAGGUGCUGGCAGGUGGUAGAGCUAAAGUAGCUAGAGAGAGAUGAUGUAGCCUCUGGGAGUGUAUGUGCGCUCACGGUGGGGUGGUGUGCGUGUGGCAGAGUUCGAGCUCGCCGGAAAUAAAAGGGGUUGUUCGUGCGGCCGGAAGCGUUUGUGUGCCGGGAAACCUCGUGUCCUCUCUCUCUCUUGUUUCUUCCUUGUCUCCGGUGAUCGCAGUGGUUCAGUGGUAGGCUAGACAACAACAUAUAUAUCAUCUUGCAUAAAUGGCAAAGUCUGUACUAAUUGAUGCUCUUACCACAAGAAUAGAACUACUCAACUAAAAAGACAGGUGUACGUAUAGAAAAGGAGAGAGGGGAAGGGGCAGACGAGGGAGUGGAACCUUGAGGUGCAAGGGCACGAAUCUAGUUGACAUCAGGGCUUGACUAUUCUACUAUUACUACUGGUGGCCAAGGAGCAAUCCAGCAAUGGGAGUUAGAACAGCACCGCACCCGACAUUAGUGGCACGUGGUCAAUUUCACAAGUGCUUGGACAUCCCCAAUUCAAUGUGCAGACCAAGUGGAAUGAGAACCGAAAAGGAUACAAAGGAGCAAUAUUUCCUGAAAGAAUGGCUGGACCAACUAUUUGUUGGCUGCAAGCGGUCGUGUGAUGUUACAGCCUAUAGCUCCAACGACUCAAGACCAAACUCAUUAGGUAGUCGUUCAGAUUUUUUUUCAAGAAGGCCAUGAAGAAACACUAAAGGAAGAAAAGCUAUCAGCCAACAUACUGGAAAAGCACACAUUUUUCCCUAUAAGAAGAAACUCAAAGUCCUGGCCCAACCAGCCAGAGAAGAUAAAGGACAAGCAGGAAAACAAAUAACCUGGCAACUCAUAUUUCCACAAAGCCAAAAUGAGUGUUAGGUAGUUAUCCUGACAAAAGCUCAGUCUCAAAGGCAUUUUCCUAAGUAUGUCUUUAACAAAUACUCCAACAAAUGUAGAAUUGAAUGAACGGCUUUUGGAACAACAAGAAAUAAACUUAGCAGCCUGCUGUUAAGGUUGGUUAUUCAUAAAUAAACUGAAAUUUUUUUGGCGGUAAUAUUCAGAAGGUAGAAUAAAAAGGCAAUGCAGAGUAUUUGGAAUGAAGAAAACAUAUAUUGUUGUACCAAAUGGCGCAAGUUACAAAUUUAAAUGGCGAGUUAUUUGCACCCAAAAUUCAUAAAUUCUAUCAUUCUAAAAGUACAAAAGAUUAUGUGAGCUCUAAAGGGUACAAUACAUUUCCGAGUAGUUUGAUCGAUCAUCUUGCAAAAUUAGCUCACGGAAAAAGGAUGACAAAAAUGGAAAUACAGUUGAUCUUGUGCAACGGUGGUAACAAAAAUGAGUAACUUUCAAGGAAACAAACAAUUUGUAAGUAACAUAUAUAAUCUGACAUCUAAUUCUACCGAGAUAUUUGCAUAAAUAUGUGAUGGAUAACCUGAGUUUCUCGAUAGUAAUCUCCUAGGAACUUCAAUCUCUGACGGGAAGCAAACUACAUCAAUCCCUGUCAGGAACCAAGCAACCUCACUGCAUAUUUUUGUAGAGAUGAAGGCUUGUAACCAGCAGGAGCAGUGCAUAAUUUGCAACCACGCUCACGACCUGCAUAACUAAUAGAUGGUCACUCUGCAAAUGACAGAUAAGAAAUUUAUAAUGAAAAGAACUGAUGCAUCCCAAAUGGUUGAUAUGUAUGCUGACAUAUAAGCAACUACUACCUUGCUAUUGCACUAACUACCACUGAAGCACGCCGACCAUUGGCAAAUAGCAUGUCUAUCAAGAGAUUUGCAAUGACAACUUCUUUUGCUAAAUUUAAUCAAGUCAUCUGUGCAUCAUCAUUAGUGAUCUACGUCACACACAUCUUCUAGUAGCCUACAACUGAUACAUGCACCUGUAAACAUGCUGCUGUUUUUACCUGGUAAAAUAGAUAGCGUUACAAUUUAUUUAUUUUUGCCAUGUGCAAACUGUAUCAUCAACUUGUAUGAAAAAAGCAAUAUUUCAUCACGAUCACCAUCAGGCAAGUGGGUCCUUCACAAAAUAAGCAUUGUAAAGACAGUAAGAACAACAUACAUAUGCUGACGCAUGCAAAGGAAAUAGACCACACACAUGUUUGGAUGAAUAUAUAAUCAAUCACAGACCUUUCAAUUUAGAAACACAAUGACAAGCUAGCUCAAGAUGAAUCGAUUUACAUAUUUUCAACCCCAGAAAGAGGGCAUAAAAAACAAAUGUACUAAAUUUAAGAAGCAGUCAUAAAGUAACUAAUAUCUGAACUGGAGCUAUAUUUCAGUUAGAAGAAAAGUACCAAGUAUUAACACAUUUUUUCAUGCAGGAGUAGAAACAUACAAAGGCAUACAUACCCAUGAAUGGUAGUCCUUUCUUUAUAGGAAUGGAAUUUCUAGGAUAACAAAUAGUGUAUGUGUUUUCGGGUUUGUAGUGUUAUAAAUUUGAAUGGUAUCAAUUUUCUCUCCCGUAAAGAUUCUUCAACAUUUAUUCAGCUCAGCAACAAUAUUUGGUGGCAUCUGAGCUCUAUUGUGAGUUGCAGCAAAGUUGUCGUGAACUGUGGAGAUCCACAAGCAGCGCCGCAUGUACAUGGGCAAUAAAUUUAAAUAAGAAAUUUGGUUUUAGCCAUGAAUAUCAAUAGUAGUUGAGAUAUAUAUAUUUAAUUCACCCAAUGUUCAAUUAACAUCUGAACACAACAUGUGUAAGUGUGACCCUUAAAAAAACUAUUUGUAAAUGAGAAAAACUAGUGUGCAUUAUCAGGAUCAUUCUCUAACGUUCGAGAUUUAACUGGUGACGCACAUAAGAUUUACUAAUCUACAAUCUGCCUAACAAUCAUAAGACUCCAAUUAGCAAACUGACAAGCCAUUAACUCAAGUUAAUACUGAAGAUGCUCAAACAAAAAUGGCAUGCAUUAAACAAAUCAAUGUUAAACUAAUCACCGUCGCAUCACCUUCUCACCUGCAGCUUGGCAGCAAACCAACGCCGUCGACAACCACUCUGCAUCUUGGCGGUUGUAUCCAUCCCGCUGUGGCUGUCAGCGUCGAUGGAAAGUAGAGUGCUUGGAGUGGCCAGCCGUCGACUGCACUCACGUCAGGCUGCCCAUGGUCUGCGAAGAGGUGGCCAGGGCGACAACGUGGCGAAGAGGAUGAGGCAUCAUUGGAUUGGGAAGGCCUCCGGACUCUCUCAAGCUCCUGCACCCAGAUUGAAGUCUCAAUGAGCAUAACAAGGAGACAUGGAAAGCCCAUUCUCAAAUAUGUGAUAUAUCAUGGCCUGUGAAGGCUAGAAAUCUCCUUUUUGGUGACUUAGAGAUCUCAUCUAUGGAACUACAAAAGUGGAAACAUCUAACAAUAUCUGAUGUGUGUCCUUCUUAGGUACUUUAUAUGUCAAACGGACUGCAAUAAAUAGUGUUCACCCUAAAGAGACGCCUACAUCAAAAUUGAGAGGGGAAUCACCUAAUGUAGCGUGAUAUGAGGCUGUUGAACUUGGUCAUCAUGUUCUUGCUGCGCUGGAAACCCCGCUGAAGAGAUUCAAGCAGAAGCACCUAGUUGAGAGAGAGGCAAGGUAGAUGAAGAGAUAGAUCGGGAUGGAGUACAGGAGGGGAAAGAGGGAUAGGGGAGGGUGAGCAUACCGGUGUGGCGGCUCACCUCAAGUCGUCUUCCUCGCUGGCCGUUGGUCGCUUCAGGCGGUGAAUCAACCCGCGCCGCCGACGCCGCUGUUGGCCGCCACCGGAGAAGCACGCCUCUGUGCCCGCCGGUCGAGCCACCGCCGAGACGCCCGGUUCUCCUCUUCCUCCUCCAGAUCCGGGGCUGGCGGCGCAGGAGAGGACAAAGACGGCUGGGGCGAGAGAGAAAAGGGGCUGGCGGUGCGAGAGAGGAGACGAGGGAGAGGGAGGCAGACGAGAUGUGGGGAGAGGAGAGGAGCCGGCGGCGGCAAGAACGGAUGAGGGUCGCGGGGGAGACGGGGGAGACACACCCACUCCCUGCCGCCCUUUUUCUCUGUUUUUUCCUCGUGCUGCUCUCCGUCGCGCGGUGCUUUGUGCGGUCGCUGAGAUUUAUACCCCUGCACAUGAGAAGACAAAAAUGCCCUCGGCGGGGCACGAAAUUUACAGGCGGUGGCAGCAACACUGUUCAUGGAGAUUUAGGGGCGACGUGGCUGGCUUCGUCCUGCCUACUACUUCUUGAGGGUUUAUGUGUUCAAUGUCUUGCUCGUCAAUGUAUUAUGGUCCAUGGAGCAGCAAGAUGUUAUAUGAUAUAUCUUCACUACUUCAAAAAGAACUUAAGGUUUCGUCGUACAUCUGCCCUUCAUCCAACCUCCCUACCAAUCCUUCCUAUUUUGAUUUUUUUCUCCCAUCUUUGAUUUUUCUCCCCAUUGAUUCUACCUAAAAACCGCCUCAAUGUCACAUGUUUACUGUAUAUGUAAAGGCCUCCUUUGGUUCAUAUGGUAGAAAAAUCAUAGGAAUAGGAAAGUCAUAGGAAAUGAGAUGACAUGUAUCUCAAAUCCUAUGAGUAGGAAUAGGAAAGGAGAUGCCCUUUGAUUGACAUCAUAGGAGUUUUUCAUUGAAUCUAGGCUAAUGUUUAUUUUCCUAUGAAAUGUGAAAGAUAGGAAGAAUUCAUCCAUAGGAUUAGGAUUCCAUUCCUACAAACCAAAGGACUCUAAAGGAAUUUUUCCUAUAGAAAUCCUAUCCUAUGAAAUUCUUACAAGAUUCCUCCAAAUCAAAGGAGGCCCAAGUGGUUGUGAUGAGACAGUGGCUGGGCACUUCAGAUUUAUUCCCGUAACUGACUGUCAAAUUGAGUCAUCCAUCGUCCUUUCGAUGAUUGUAAGAAAGUUAUAUGUUUAUUGUAUAUGUCAAGUGGUUGUGAUUAUCGUUACCGGCCACAAAGUUAUAUUUUCUUGUCUUAACGAAGGGUUGCAUACAAUGCGUGUAGGUCUUGACGCCUGAUAACCCACAAGUAUAGGGGAUCGCAACAGUUUCUGAGGGUAGAGUAUUCAAUACAAAUUUAUAGGUUCGACACAAGGGGAGCCAAAGAAUAUUUGUAAGUAUUAGCAGCUGAGUUGUCAAUUCAACCAUACCUGGAGAUUAAUUAUCUGCAGCAAAGUGAUCAGUAGCAUAGUAGUAUGAUAGUUUUGAUAGUAGUAGCAACAUCAAUAAUAACGGUAAUAGUGGUAGCAAUGGUUUUGUAACAGUGACAAUAGUAACAGCAGCAGUGGUUACUUAGCAAGAACAAUAUGUAUGAAAAUCAUACGCAUUGGAUCGGUGAUUUGCGGAUGAUAUUCAUCAUGUGAAAGUUACAACCUAGGACGCUACGACACUAGCUCCAGUUCAUAAAUAUAAUGUAGGCAUGUAUUCUGUAAAUAAUCAUACGUGCUUAUGGAAAGAACCUGUAUGACAUCUUUUGUCCUACCUCCUGUGGCAGCGGGGUCCUAUUGGAAACUAAGGGAUAUUAAGGCCUCCUUUUAAUAGAGAACCAGAACAAAGCAUUAACACACGGUGAAUACAUGAACUCCUCAAACUACGGUCAUCACAGGAAAGUGUCCCGGCUAUUGUCACUCCGGGGUUGCCGGAUCAUAACACGUAGUAGGUGACUAUAACUUGCAAGAUCGGAUCUAGAACAUAGAUAUAAUGGUGAUAACAUAAACAGCCCAAAGAGAUAAGCAUUAAGCAUGGCAAAGUCAUAGCAACAUCAAUCUCAGAACAUAAUGGAUACUAGGGAUGAAGCCCUAACAAAACUAACUCGAUUACAUGAUGAAUCUCAUCCAACUCCUCACCGCCUAGCGAGCCUACGAAGGAAUUACUCACUCACGGUGGGGAGCAUCAGGGAAUUGAUGAUGGAGAAGGGUUGGUGAUGACGAAGAUCGAAGAUGCCCCUCUCCGGAGCCCCAAACAGACUCCAAAUCUGGCCUCUCGAUGAAGAACAGGAGAUGGCGGCGGCUCCAUCUCGUGGAACGCAAUAAUUCUUUCUCCCUGAUUUCUUUCUGAAAAAUAGGAUUUUAUAGCGUUGGUUUCAGGGUCUGCGGGGCCACCAGGUGGAGACAACCCACCUGGGUGCACUUGGACGUGGGGGGGGGGGGGCUAGUGGGUUGUGCCCAUCUAGGCCCCCUUCGGUUGUUCUUGGCUCUAGAAAUUCUCUUUAUUUGUAUAAAAAUUCCUCGCAAAGUUUCGUUCCAAUCCGAAAACUUUUAUUUCUGCACAAAAAACACCAUGGAGUCCGGGUUAGUUUCAUUCAAAUCAUGCAAAUUAGAGUCCAAAACAAGAGGAAAGGUGUUAGGAAAAGUAGAUACGAUGGAGACGUAUCAACUCCCCCAAGCUUAAACCUUUGCUUGUCCUCAAGCAAUUCAGUUGAUAAACUGAAAGUGAAAAAGAAAAACUUUUAUGAACUCUUUUGCUCUUGUUUUCAUAAAUAAGCUUAAACAUGACCCAGGUUUUUAGCCAAGAUUAUAACUAACCAUAUCGACAAUAACUCUUAAAAAUUAUAUUAACUCAUAUGAGUAGAGACCGCGGGAAAAAGCCUAGUAGUAGCGCGGGUAAAAGACUAGUAGUAGUGCGGGUGCUCGCGCUACUACUACGGCACUACAGCUAACUCGUAGUAGUAGCGCGGGUGCCACCUGCGCUACUAGUACGUGUGUUAGUAGUAGCGCGGAUUCCACACGCGCUACUACUAACUAUCUGUAGCGCCUGUCUGUGACUUGCGCUACUACUAUUAAUUUCAAAAACCAAAAAAAAUCUCGACCCCGUGCAUGUUGUCAAUGGUGUCAUUGGUUCGAUCCAGCGACGACAGGCAUCGCCGGAGGUGUGGACGGGUAGUGGCAGACCAGAUCCAGCGACGGCUGUUGGAGAGGGUCGGAUCCAGUGUAGAGCAAGACGACGGUGUGAGGAUCCUCUUCGCGGUCAAGGCGGAGAGCUCCUGGUUGGCCAUGUCGACAACCUGUGCAGGCAUGGGCAUGGGAGGUGAGUAAAACCAAAGGGAGAGGGUGAGGGAGAGGGAGAGGGAAAAAGAGAAACAGGGGAGAAAGGAAGGAGAUGGAGGGCGCAUCAGGGCUGCUCACCGGUGGUGAGGUGCUCCGCCGUGGUUGCAUGGAGGCAAGUAGGAAGACGGACGAGCUGCUGGACACCAGCGAAGCAAGGAGGAAGACGUUGGGUGCCAUGGAGGAGGAGAUGUUCUUGGGCAGGAGCACCAUGGAGAGAGAGGGAAAGUGAGGGAGAGAGGAGGAAAGUGAGAGAGGGGGAAAGUGAGGUAGAGAGGAGGGAUUCGGCCGAGGAUAUGGAGAUUUCACCUACCUCGUACUUAGUAGUAGCGAGGGGUAUAAAACCGCACUACUACUAUCAACUUAGUAGUAGCGUGGGUUUGCACCCCUCGCUACUACUAUGGCAUGUCUCGGGAGGGCACGGUAGAGACCGUUUAGUAGUAGCGAGGGUUAAAACCCCGCGCUACUAGUAUCAACUUAGUAGUAGCGAGGGGUAAAAACCCGCGCUACUAGUAAGUAGCAGUAGCGAGGAUUAUAAACCCGCGCUACUAGUAAGCGUCUGCCUAUAAGCUUUUCCCUAGUAGUGGCAUAUCUAUGACAUAAUCAACUAGCGAGCAAUAAUAAGAUAUCUCAAACAACAACACGUUGUGAAAACAACCAUGAUAUAAUAUGACAAUAGUGGUAUCUCGCUAGCCCUUUCUAAGACCGCAAAAUAUAAAUGCAGAUCACCUCCAAAGUUCAAGCAGCGACUAAACAUUGUAAUUCAUGGUAGAAAAGAUCUAGUCAUGAUGCACCCAACAUUAGCUACACAUAGUGCAUAAGCAUGACAACAAUGCUCUCAGGUUUUGGCACUUAGUUUAGAAGGUGAUAACACAACAUAAAAGUAAAUAGAUAGUCCCUUCACAGAGGGAAGCAGUGAUUUGCAGCUGUGCCAGAGCUCAAAAUUUUAAAACAGAGGUAAAUGAAAUUUUGGGAAAUGCACCCUUAUUGUUUACUCCGCAACCAUUAGUUAUCGGUAUCUUCCAUGCUAAACACAUUAGCUGCAGUUCUGAAGCGAUAAAGAAAAGGUUAAUACUCCAUAGGAGUUUUUGUUUGAUUAUUUGUAAGCUCUAUUCUUUUUGCAGGUUGGGACUAGGAAUCCCUAUUACCGCCCCUCUCGUGCGAUGACGAGUGAAUAAACACUCAUUAUGAGAAUAACCCGCUUAGUAUGGAAGAUACUGACUACCUCCUGUCGCUCUAUGAACAAUCCAGACGCACAAAAAAGAUAUUUAUUUGAAGUUUUUAGAGGUGGCACAUGCAAAUUUACUUAGGACGGCAAGUUAAUACCGUGUAUAGGUAGAUAUGGUGGACUCAUCUGGAAUAACUUGGCUUUAAGAUUUUUGAUGCACAAGAAGAAUUCCUGCUUAGUACAGGUGAAGGCUAGCAAAUAGAUUGAGAAGCGGCCAGCUAGAGAGCAACAACGGUCAUGAACAUGCUGCUACCUCUUGAGCAUGCAUUGGUUUUCCCUUGAAGAAGAAAGGGUGAUGCAACAAAGUAGCAUAAGUAUUUCCCUCAGUUUUUGACAACCAAGGUACGUAUCAAUCUAGUAGCACUACUAGAAAUACCACUACUAAUGGCGCACCUAAUAUGGCCAUUAAUGGCGCAUCACUGGUGCGCCAUUGAUAGCACGCCAUUAGUAAUUUUUACUAAUGGCGCACCACCUGGUGCGCCAUUAGUAUAUGCGAGGGUGCGCCAUUAGUAUGCCUCCCAGGGGGCAUGUAUACCCAGGUGCUUUGGCAUACUAAUGGCGCACCACCUCUGGAUGCGCCAUUAGUAACCGCAGCAUACUAAUGGCGCACUACCCGGUGAUGCGCCAUUAGUAUGCACUGUCAUACUAAUGGCGCACUGUCAUGUGAUGCGCCAUUAGUAUGAAUAUUAGGUUUUUUUUAUUUUUUUAUUUUCUGUUUUUUGCACAGGUUACAAAAUGUAUAAUUUGACAAAAUAUAGACAGCACACAUCAACAAUAGAUUCAUCAAAUACAAUAGAAGAUUAGUCUUUGAAUACAAUUCAUCAUAUUAGUCUCCGAAUACAAUUCAUCAUAUUAGUCUCCGAAUUAAAAAGACCGAACAAAGAUAGAACAUUAUAUUACAAGUCUCGAGACCGCGAGUAGCGAGUUUGUCUUCGCAUUACAAGUCGAUAUCGAUCAUCUAAACUACCAUCACAUAGAAGAGAGCUGCGGUCAUCAUGAUGAGCAUCAUCACGAUGAAACUCGUCUUCAUCCGGUUCCUCCAACGCUCCCUCCCCUCUCCCGCUAGAUAGCGGGCGUAUCUAGAUUCGGCCUCGGCCCUAGUGGUGUACCCUUUGUAACUGUUACCGCUGAAUCGGUGAACCUGUCUCCGACACUCCUCCCAGUCAUCGUAGACUCCGGGAACCUUACCCUUGCACACGACAUACGUCGGCAUCGCUAUGCACUAGCCAAACGAAACGUUAGUACCAAUUCACAGAAAAUACAUAAGCAAUAUAUAAUUAUGCAACAGAAUGAUCGGAAGAGAAAAGCAAGACAUUAAUAGCAUCGAUUACAUCUAAGUUGAACGACUCUCGAAACCAAAGAGACAUACUACAAGUUCAUUAAAGUUUAAUUACAACAUGAGCCAAUCGAUGUUUCAGAACUAGACAACUCGACUCAAGGGACCGGAGCGUGGAUGAAGCCGCCGUCUAUCGUGGGAGUCAUGAAAGAACGGGCGUUGUCAUCCUGCAUUUGUAGCAUUGUGUCGAUGUCACUGUUGGACGGUUGAUUUCUGAGGUAGAACUGCCCCGACGUACGAAGGACAUCUUGAUGGAUGAUUUCCGCAAACUCCGACUGGAUGCGAAAGAAUUCUUGUCGGAGGUCCGCGUCCUGGAUUGCCGACACGCUCGCGGCCCAAUCUUGGAGUUUACUCGGUAGCAGAAGUUGAUGAUGGUCCCGUACGAUCGCCCGCAUGUGAUGGAUGGCGUAGUAGGCACCCUUCUGACCGCCAGGCGACUGCUUGACGCAGCAGAACGUCGUAUUGUGGGAGAACACGUGCUUGCCGUACUUACGAAUAGGCCUGGUGAAGGUGCCUCCAGAUUGGGCGUAGCCGGGGAGAACAUCAUCAAGAACCUUCUUGACAUUUGUGUAGUCUACGUUCGACUGACGGUCCGGGUCGAAAUACGUGGCCAUGGAAUAUUUGGGGCUUAGGAGGAUGAGCGUGCAACGUGUGUCACUGCAGAAAACACGGAAUGUUAAAAGAAAAACGAUCGAAAAGUAAGAAUUCAUAUGUUACGGGCCGGUUGAGGGGAGGACUUACUCGGGAAAGUAAGGCACGAGGAAGUUAUCCUUAUCUUGGUUUGCCAGAAUGACGCCUUCGAGGUAAGAACUCGCGACUUGCCGGUCCCCAGCGCUGCCCAAGAUCUUGGCAUGCAUGUAGAAGGGGUCGACUAUCACGAUGUCCGGGGUCUUGUCGCGAAUGAUCCGCAUCUCCAUACUCAGCGAAAAUAGCCGAACGAAGGUGUAGUGCAGCGGAUGAAGGUUAAACAUAGCAAAGAUGUCAUCAAACCGCAGGACGAUCGUACCCCCGAUGUCGCCAUCCACAAAGCCCUUGCCCUCUGGCACCUUGGCCACGAAAACCGGGUAUGCCACAUCCUUCUCUCUGAGACGCCGCUUCUCCAAAGAAAGAACACUGUCGUGCAGACUCCGCAUAGCACCGGUUGCAGCAUUGAGCAUAUUUGGUGGUAGCAUCGCCCUACCCGCCACAUGCACCCUCCUCGAGAUAUCCUGCGGUGAAGGUGGCCCGUCCUAAGCACGGAUCGUACUCGGUGCCGGCUGGCUCGCACCCUUCUUAGUCUUUCUUUUGCGUGCCUUCUUCUUCUCCUGUAAUGGGACCGAGUUCUGCUCACAGACCGCCUUCUUGAGUGUGUUGGGGCUGAUAAUAUUUCGCACCUCGCCUAUCUGAGGCUCGGUGAAGUCGGCAGCUGGAGGCGUCUCCUGAGAGCUGAACGCCAGACGGCGCCUGUUGCAACUUGGCUUCUCCGCGGUACGAGCUAGAUCGCACACGUCUUUUGUUGGGUUUGGUUCUUGAGAAGGAGGCCCCAUGAAGUCGCCAUCGUACCCGUCGCCAUCGUACCCAUGCUCGGCAAAGUACUGAUCGACGUUGCGAAAUGUAUCAUCGUCGUCGUCGUCGUCGUUCUGAUCCUGUGCCAUAUAUCCAGUGGCAUAGGGAUGUCCGGCACCGUUACGGCGGUCUUGCCAUGGGGCCGACUUGGCGCCGGCACGACUGGCGGUGUUGUCUUUGGGGUGGUGUCCCCCGCCCCCAAACGAAUCUGGCUCUUCGGCCAAAGCAGGGGCCAGCUCAGGCAGGCGCUGAGGGUCAUCACGUCAUCAUCGUCGGCCCCGACGGGUCGAAUCGGAGGUAACAAGUCGUCGCAGCCUGGCAGCACCCGAACCAGUUGAACCCUAAACAAGUUGGGUGGCAUCUGGGUACCGUGGAACAAGGGGUUGCCCGGUUGAACGAUUUUGCCCUUGGCGACAUCGACCAACUCGUUGUUCACGAAGUGGAGGAGAGUGCACGGAACGUCGGCGGCGCCCUGCGAAAACAUGUAGGGCGUCAGGGAUGCCCAGUCAAAGGCAAGGAGAUGAAGUCCUCGGCCGAGAGAGGCUUAAUUAGUUACCGUGAUGAUGACGUUGAGCUCGGCUAAUGUCGAGGCACCGCCAACGGCGGGCGUGCAGUUGACGGAGCGGCCGCUUGCUGAAGAGGUGCCGGCCGGCGUACACCCGGGUGCAUUAAGCUCCCGUGCCGGCGUCGGAGACACCAAUGCCGCCUCCGCCGGAGGCACCAAUGGCCCCGCCAUCGCAUUAUGCGAGUUGCUGGCCGUGAAGCUAGGAAUCGGGGGCGGCCCCUGUUGGCCGCCCGCAAUCCACGCACUCAACCCCGAGAUCAAGGUAGGCACAAGGGUAGUGAUCGUCGCUCCGAGUCGUUGUUCCACUUGCUCUUGGACAAUCUCCGGAAUCCGCGCCACCUGUGCCUUGAGUUCUUGAACCUCUCGCGCCUGGCUUUCCAAGCUGGUCUUUUUCUCCUUCGGCACACCAGCGGUAUAGUAUGACCCCCAUUUUGUCGACAAGCCUUUGCCGGCCACACGACCAGCUGACGUCGGCUUACUGAGCUUAUCCUUGUUCUUCAUUAUAUUCAACCCCCUAUUUAGAGUGGUGUCCCAAGGGUUGCUCUGAGUCGACCCCGCGCUACUGCUUUCAGUCGCCUGCGGAAGGAAUGUGAACCAUUUAGAAAUUCGGCUUCAUUAAUUAGAAUGCAACCAUAUGGAGCUAAUUACACGGGGGUGUAUUCCUUACCAGAACAAGCUCAAGCCGCCUGGUCUUCGGAUCCGUGGUAAGCUCCUUUGUUUUCGGGUCCUUCUUGUACCGGGCCCUGACAAAGUUCCUGGUCUGCUUGUCACCGUAUUUAUCGAAGAGGGGCGGUAGGCCUUGCUCGGCACGGUCCGCCUCCUCCUUGUCCCAUAUAGGCUCCGCCACUCUGUAACCGCCGGGACCGAGUGUNNNNNNNNNNNNNNNNNNNNNNNNNNNNNNNNNNNNNNNNNNNNNNNNNNNNNNNNNNNNNNNNNNNNNNNNNNNNNNNNNNNNNNNNNNNNNNNNNNNNNNNNNNNNNNNNNNNNNNNNNNNNNNNNNNNNNNNNNNNNNNNNNNNNNNNNNNNNNNNNNNNNNNNNNNNNNNNNNNNNNNNNNNNNNNNNNNNNNNNNNNNNNNNNNNNNNNNNNNNNNNNNNNNNNNNNNNNNNNNNNNNNNNNNNNNNNNNNNNNNNNNNNNNNNNNNNNNNNNNNNNNNNNNNNNNNNNNNNNNNNNNNNNNNNNNNNNNNNNNNNNNNNNNNNNNNNNNNNNNNNNNNNNNNNNNNNNNNNNNNNNNNNNNNNNNNNNNNNNNNNNNNNNNNNNNNNNNNNNNNNNNNNNNNNNNNNNNNNNNNNNNNNNNNNNNNNNNNNNNNNNNNNNNNNNNNNNNNNNNNNNNNNNNNNNNNNNNNNNNNNNNNNNNNNNNNNNNNNNNNNNNNNNNNNNNNNNNNNNNNNNNNNNNNNNNNNNNNNNNNNNNNNNNNNNNNNNNNNNNNNNNNNNNNNNNNNNNNNNNNNNNNNNNNNNNNNNNNNNNNNNNNNNNNNNNNNNNNNNNNNNNNNNNNNNNNNNNNNNNNNNNNNNNNNNNNNNNNNNNNNNNNNNNNNNNNNNNNNNNNNNNNNNNNNNNNNNNNNNNNNNNNNNNNNNNNNNNNNNNNNNNNNNNNNNNNNNNNNNNNNNNNNNNNNNNNNNNNNNNNNNNNNNNNNNNNNNNNNNNNNNNNNNNNNNNNNNNNNNNNNNNNNNNNNNNNNNNNNNNNNNNNNNNNNNNNNNNNNNNNNNNNNNNNNNNNNNNNNNNNNNNNNNNNNNNNNNNNNNNNNNNNNNNNNNNNNNNNNNNNNNNNNNNNNNNNNNNNNNNNNNNNNNNNNNNNNNNNNNNNNNNNNNNNNNNNNNNNNNNNNNNNNNNNNNNNNNNNNNNNNNNNNNNNNNNNNNNNNNNNNNNNNNNNNNNNNNNNNNNNNNNNNNNNNNNNNNNNNNNNNNNNNNNNNNNNNNNNNNNNNNNNNNNNNNNNNNNNNNNNNNNNNNNNNNNNNNNNNNNNNNNNNNNNNNNNNNNNNNNNNNNNNNNNNNNNNNNNNNNNNNNNNNNNNNNNNNNNNNNNNNNNNNNNNNNNNNNNNNNNNNNNNNNNNNNNNNNNNNNNNNNNNNNNNNNNNNNNNNNNNNNNNNNNNNNNNNNNNNNNNNNNNNNNNNNNNNNNNNNNNNNNNNNNNNNNNNNNNNNNNNNNNNNNNNNNNNNNNNNNNNNNNNNNNNNNNNNNNNNNNNNNNNNNNNNNNNNNNNNNNNNNNNNNNNNNNNNNNNNNNNNNNNNNNNNNNNNNNNNNNNNNNNNNNNNNNNNNNNNNNNNNNNNNNNNNNNNNNNNNNNNNNNNNNNNNNNNNNNNNNNNNNNNNNNNNNNNNNNNNNNNNNNNNNNNNNNNNNNNNNNNNNNNNNNNNNNNNNNNNNNNNNNNNNNNNNNNNNNNNNNNNNNNNNNNNNNNNNNNNNNNNNNNNNNNNNNNNNNNNNNNNNNNNNNNNNNNNNNNNNNNNNNNNNNNNNNNNNNNNNNNNNNNNNNNNNNNNNNNNNNNNNNNNNNNNNNNNNNNNNNNNNNNNNNNNNNNNNNNNNNNNNNNNNNNNNNNNNNNNNNNNNNNNNNNNNNNNNNNNNNNNNNNNNNNNNNNNNNNNNNNNNNNNNNNNNNNNNNNNNNNNNNNNNNNNNNNNNNNNNNNNNNNNNNNNNNNNNNNNNNNNNNNNNNNNNNNNNNNNNNNNNNNNNNNNNNNNNNNNNNNNNNNNNNNNNNNNNNNNNNNNNNNNNNNNNNNNNNNNNNNNNNNNNNNNNNNNNNNNNNNNNNNNNNNNNNNNNNNNNNNNNNNNNNNNNNNNNNNNNNNNNNNNNNNNNNNNNNNNNNNNNNNNNNNNNNNNNNNNNNNNNNNNNNNNNNNNNNNNNNNNNNNNNNNNNNNNNNNNNNNNNNNNNNNNNNNNNNNNNNNNNNNNNNNNNNNNNNNNNNNNNNNNNNNNNNNNNNNNNNNNNNNNNNNNNNNNNNNNNNNNNNNNNNNNNNNNNNNNNNNNNNNNNNNNNNNNNNNNNNNNNNNNNNNNNNNNNNNNNNNNNNNNNNNNNNNNNNNNNNNNNNNNNNNNNNNNNNNNNNNNNNNNNNNNNNNNNNNNNNNNNNNNNNNNNNNNNNNNNNNNNNNNNNNNNNNNNNNNNNNNNNNNNNNNNNNNNNNNNNNNNNNNNNNNNNNNNNNNNNNNNNNNNNNNNNNNNNNNNNNNNNNNNNNNNNNNNNNNNNNNNNNNNNNNNNNNNNNNNNNNNNNNNNNNNNNNNNNNNNNNNNNNNNNNNNNNNNNNNNNNNNNNNNNNNNNNNNNNNNNNNNNNNNNNNNNNNNNNNNNNNNNNNNNNNNNNNNNNNNNNNNNNNNNNNNNNNNNNNNNNNNNNNNNNNNNNNNNNNNNNNNNNNNNNNNNNNNNNNNNNNNNNNNNNNNNNNNNNNNNNNNNNNNNNNNNNNNNNNNNNNNNNNNNNNNNNNNNNNNNNNNNNNNNNNNNNNNNNNNNNNNNNNNNNNNNNNNNNNNNNNNNNNNNNNNNNNNNNNNNNNNNNNNNNNNNNNNNNNNNNNNNNNNNNNNNNNNNNCGAGGGAGGCGGGGCGAGGGAGAGGGAAGGCGAGGAGAGGGCGAGGAAGGGAGAGGGCGAGGGCGAGGGCGAGGGCGAGGGCAGCGGCGGCGGCGGCGGUGGAUCGAGAGGGAGAGAACUGGCGAGGGGGAGAGGGAAGGGGGGAUCGGGCGAAGGGGGGAUCGGGCGAAGGGGGAUCGGGCCACAAUACUAAUGGCGCACCUCACCGUGGUGCGCCAUUAGCAUGUCCAUACUAAUGGCGCACCUCACCGUGGUGCGCCAUUAGUACUUUUUUUAUUUCAACUCGAGCCAAAAGGUUAUGUACUACGAGAACCUAUCCAUGUCAAGCCCACUCUACUAGCUCGACUGGUCAGCAGCCAGUUCUCACACCAGGAGGUCCUGGGUUCGACUCCUAGGCUCCACAAAUUUUUUUUAUCAUUUAAAAAGCUGUUUGAUACUUAUUUAUGUUUAAAUAUGUUCAAACUUGUUUAAAUAAUAACAGUAAUAUUUUUUUAUAAGACAGUAGCAUUUAAAAAGUUGUUUGAUACUUAUUUUUUUAUAAGACGGUGCGCGCGGUGUGGGGGGUCGGCGGCGGCGGUUGAGUAGGGGAAUCGAGGGUGCGGUGGGUCGGCGGCGGCGGCCGGUGGACUUGGGGGGUGCUCGGUGCCGAGGGGGACCGGAUCUGGCGAGGUGGGAUAGCGGUCGAGAUGGAGGGGGAUCGAGGUGGGCUCCACAAAUNNNNNNNNNNNNNNNNNNNNNNNNNNNNNNNNNNNNNNNNNNNNNNNNNNNNNNNNNNNNNNNNNNNNNNNNNNNNNNNNNNNNNNNNNNNNNNNNNNNNNNNNNNCGGCGGCCGGUGGACUUGGGGGGUGCUCGGCGCCGAGGGGGACCGGAUCUGGCGAGGUGGGAUAGCGGUCGAGAUGGAGGGGGAUCGAGGUGGGCUCCACAAAUUUUUUUUAGCAUUUAAAAAGCUGUUUGAUACUUAUUUGUGUUUAAAUAUGUUCAAACUUGUUUAAAUAAUAACAGUAAUAUUUUUUUUAUAAGACAGUAGCAUUUAAAAAGCUGUUUGAUACUAAUUUUUUUUAUAAGACGGUGCGCGGGGUGCGGGGGGUCGGCGGCGGCGGUUGGGUAGGGGAAUCGAGGGUGCGGGGGGUCGGCGGCGGCGGCCGGUGGACUGGGGGGUGCUCGGCGGCGAGGGGGGCCGGAUCUGGCAAGGUGGGAUAGCGAUCGAGAUGGAGGGGGAUCGAGAUCGAGUGUCCAUGAAAUUUAAAAAUAUUCAUGAUAGUUCAAAAAGUACCCAUGAAAUACAAUCGAGAAAUGAAGGCUACGAUUUAAAUACAAUCGAUCUUAGCUAACUAUCUGUUCACAAUCUUCUUGCCCUUCUUUUUCGCAAAUGGAGUUCUUCUGUGGAACGGACGUCCUUUAGGUAGGGCGGUCCUGCUUCUUCUUGUGGUGUAUGCUGCUACUUCAUCAUCGUCGUCAUGUUCGAUCCUCGGGUCGCCGUACUUGUCGAAGUCUUGCUCAUUGGCUACUCCAUCCAUUCCGAUGAUCUUCCUUUUGCCUCUCCUCACGACAACACGACUGGGCUUUGGCGGGUCGGUAAUGAAGAAGCAUUGGUCCACUUGGGAAGCCAGUACCCAUGGCUCAUUUUUCGCGGUGACGUUUGCGCCCGCGGUCUUGGAUUUGGCUUCGGGUAUAACCAUGGUGGUGAAAUACCGGUCUUCUUUUAUGACGUUCUUGGCCCAUCUGACACGGAACAUCGGGACCUUCUCUCCAGCGUAGCUCAGCUCCCAGAUCUCCUCGAUCCUUCCGUAGUAUCUGUCCUUGUCGUUACCGGUGUAGGAUUCCAUCGUUACCCCGGAGUUCUGAUAAUCAUCGCUCUUCAUGUCCUUGGCCUCGGUGUAGAAUGUGUAGCCGUUGAUAUCGUACGCCUCAUAGGUCAUCAGGUUGUGCUCGGCGCCCUGUGACAAGGCGAAUAUGAGUUGUUCUUCCGUGGAAGAAUCCUCAUGUAAAGGGUACGACAGAAGCUUAUGCUUGAACCAACGCGUGAAACAUGAGUUGUGCUCUUUGAGUGUAUCUCCGUCCGUCCUCUGUUGGCCUCGGUCAUUGUACGUCUUUUUAAUAAAGGUUUUGUGCUCUACCAACCAAGGAUCGACCACGUCUAUGUGUUGUAGCACGACUAGGUUUGCUCUUUCAAAGUCGGUGAGUCGACCCUCGAAGUCGACAUGCAUUUCGCGGCGACCCUCACGGUGACCCCAUCCAGCGAGCCUGCCGAGGUGCCUGUUGACGGGCAGACCAACGGGGUUCUCGAUGCCUAGAUAAUUCGUGCAGUAGGAGAUGCACUCUUCGAUCAGAAAGCCCCUGGCUAUGCUUCCUUCUGGACGUGACAUGUUGCGAACGUAUCCUUUGAUGACACCAUUCAUCCUUUCCAACGGCAUCAUGCUGUGCAGGAACAUCGGCCCGAGUUGGAUGAUAUCCUCCACUAUAUGGACCAGCAGAUGCACCAUAACGUCGAAGAAUGCGGGCGGGAAGUACAUCUCAAGCUCGCAUAGUAUCACCACGAUCUCUUCCUGUAGCCUUCUGAGUUGCCUCACGCCAAUCGACUUCCGAGAGAUGACGUCGAAGAAGUUGCAUAGGCCAAAUAGCAUUUCACGGACGUGCGCGUCCAUGAUCCCACGGAUUGCAACUGGAAGUAUCUGCGUCAUCAGCACGUGACAGUCGUGAGACUUCAUCCCGCUGAACUUCUGCUUCGCUGGGUCUAGGUAUCUGCUUAUCUUCCCCGCGUAACCGUAAGGAAGUUUUACUCCUAGGAGGCAGGUGAAAAACUGCUCGAUCUCCUCCUGACUUAGAGUGAAGCACGCGGGAGGGUAGUCAUUUCCGGUCUUCUUGGCCUUUUUGCCUUUGCGACGACUUUCUGUGUCCUGCUUCACCUCAUCAUCAUCAUCAUCAUCAUCAUCAUCAUCAUCAUCAUCAUCAUAUAUAGCGUGAAGCUCCUGCCUGAUGCCCAUUGAUUUCAAGUCUGCCCUUGCUUUCGUCCCAUCUUUGGUCCUCUCUGGCAUGUUGAGCAGGGUACCAAGAAGACUCUCACACACGUUCUUCAUGAUAUGCAUGACAUCAAGGCUGUGAGGCACACGGUGGAUCUUCCAGUACGGCAAGUCCCAGAAAACAGACCUCGUUUUCCAUACCUUCAGCAGCGGCUCUGGCACCUUUCGCUUCUUUCCCGGCUCUGCCGCCUUUUGCUUCUUUCCCGGCAGUGGGCAGUCUUUCUAAUUUUUCAACAGCUUGUCUACUUCCUCGCCGCUCCUCGUACACGGGCGUUUUCGGGGUUCGGUUUCACCAUCGAACAGAUCCUUGCGUUUCCUCCACGGGUCAUCGUCGCGAAGCCACCUUCGAUGUCCCAUGAACAAGGUUUUCGAAGACCCGGGAUCUCUAUCUAGCUGGCGAUACGUUGUGUCAUCCAUGCACCUUACGCAUCCAGAAAAUCCGUGGACUACCUGCCCCGCAAGAUAUCCGUAACCGAGAUAGUCGUGCACCGUUGUGAGCAGUGCGGCUCUCAUAGGGAAAUAUUCUUUCUCUGCGGCGUCCCACGUAUUGGCUGGCGUUUUCCACAGCGUGUCAAGCUCCUCUUUCAGCAGCCCCAGAUACAGAUUGAUGUCGUUCCCUGGUUGUUUCGGCCCUUCAAUUAGCAUACUCAUGUGAAUGUACUUCCUCUUCAUGCACAACCAGGGGGGAAGGUUGUACAUCCACACAAACACAGGCCAGGUGCUAUGUGUGCUUCUCUGGCUGCCAAACGGAUUGACUACAUCGGUGCUCGCGCCCAGCACGAUGUUCCUUGGAUCGUUCCCAAAUUCUGGGUAUUCGAAGUUCAAUGCUUGCCACUGGCUCGCAUCCUUAGGGUGACUCAGCAUCUUGUCUUUUUUACCUAUCUCCGGAUCAUUUGCGUCAUCUUCUCGCUUCUUCUCCUCCCUAUCCGCGUGCCAACGCAGGAGCUUUGCUACCUUAGGAUCCGCGAAAUACCGCUGCAGACGAGGAGUGAUCGGAAAGUACCACACCACUUUUCGAGGAGCUUUCUUCCUCUUCUUGUAUCGAGUGACACCGCACACCGGACAUAUUGUAGACUCCGCGUGCUCGUCCUGAUAAAUGAUGCAAUUGUUCAUGCACACAUGGUAUUUCACGUGCGGUAAAUCCAGAGGACACACGAUUUUCUUCGCCUCCUCCAAACUGGUCGGGCACUUGUUCCCCUUGGGAAGACGUUCGUGCCAGAAUGACAUGUUCUCGUCGAAGCAUGCGUCGGUCAUUUUGUGUUUUACCUUCAUCUCCAGGGCCAUGAGCGUUACUUUCAGGCGGGUAUCCUCGGGCCUGCAUCCUUCAUACAAUGGAGUAACCGCGUCUAACUCAAGUUGAUCCAUCUUGGCUUUCUCUCGGGCGGCAGCUCUUGCGUUAUCCGUCUGCUUGAGAAGCAGCUCUUGAAUAUGAGGGUCCUGCACCCAGCCCAUCGAUGGUCCAGCGUCGUCUGCUCCGCCGGCAUCAUCAUCUUCAUGAUCAUGCCCGUCGCCUGCUCCGGCAUCUUCCUCAUCAUCAUGCCCUGCAUCUUCUACAUGAUGACUGUGUACAGCAUCACAGUCGUGAUCAUCUCCUGGGGAUUCUUCGUCUUCUCGCCCGCCCGAGCCGCGGUGGUUGUCUUGCUGCCCUUCCUCAUUUCUUGCCCGGCCCGCAUGGACGACUUCGUAGUCAUCUUCAUCACCUUGCCACCGAUAGCCAUCCAUGAAACCACGCAACAGCAGGUGGUCCCGCACCUGCCCGGAAUCCGGGUCCGCAAUAAGGCUCUUCAGCUUGCAUCUUCGACACGGACAUCUUAUCUCCGUCUCGUUCUUUUGAAGCAUCUCGGCCUUCGCGGACCUCAAAAACCUAUUCAUGAUGCCUUCGGUCAUCGUGCGGACCAUGGUCGCCUGCGGGGUAGAGAAAAACGAUAUUUUAGAACCAAACAAAAAUUUGGCAUGACUUUCCCUAAAAAUAGGACCAAAAAGAAUGCUUAAUGCCAAAAUUCUUGCCGAAACGGAAAUGAAUCAACAUUCCGGCAAAAUAUUGGCAACUAUCGCAUAUCAAAUACCGGUACAUCUCCAAACACAAACACAUAUGCAACACCACAAACAUAUGCAACACCACGAACAUACAUAGAUCUAGCUAGGCCGUAAAAAGUGCAUGUGCACAUUGUUGUAAGGAGAACAACCUAAAUAUAGCUUCCCCCCUUACUUACCUAUUAAAACAAGGUAAUUUAACCACUUAAUUUGAAUGAAUCUAUGGUGGAAAUGAGGUGAAAAAGAGGAGGCACCCGAGACAAGGAGGAGGUGGAGAGAAUGAAGUGGGGAGAAAGUGAGUGUGUGGGUAGGAGAGGCUGUCCCAAAUAUCUUUUUGCUGCCCACUUACUAAUGGCGCACCUCUUGCAUGGUGCGCCAUUAGUACUUACAACUACUAAUGGCGCACUUAAGCAGGAUGCGCCAUUAGUAUGUUUGGAUAGGCGCACUAGUUCAAAAAAAAAUCUAUACUAAUGGCGCACCCACUGCCUGGUGCGCCAUUAGUAGUUACAACUACUAAUGGCGCACUUGGGCAGGAUGCGCCAUUAGUAUGUUCUGGUGCACCAUUAGUGUUAAUCCCAUCUAUAGCCCUUUUCCUAGUAGUGUAGGAGGCCACACGUAAGUCCCUCGUACCUACACAAACAAAUAAGAACCUUGCAACCAACACGAUAAAGGGGUUGCCAAUCCCUUCACGACCACUUGCAAAAGUGAGAUCUGAUAGAGAUGAUAAGAUAAUAUUUUUGGUAUGUUUAUGAUAAAGAUUGAAAGUAAAGAUUGCAAAAUAAAAAUAGAUUGGAAACUUAUAUGAUGGAAAAUAAAUCCAGGGGCCAUAGGUUUCACUAGUGGCUUCUCUCAAGAUAGCAUAAGUAUUACGGUGGGUGAACAAAUUAUUGUCGAGCAAUUGAUAGAAAUGUGCAUAAUUAUGAGAACUAAUCGUCAACCCGUGCUCCUGCACGGGCUAGCUAUUUUAUUUACACAUUAAAUCUUUAAAAAAUAUUAUUUUAAAUGAUGCAUUAAUGAAAAGCUAUAUAGAAGAGAAAGAAUUGGUAUAAGCUCUCUCAAAAUCAAGUAAAAUGGGUGUGUUAACAUAGGAAACCAAUAUAAUGUAAUGUUGAUAUCAUUAUAUGUCUUUUAGUUGGGACUUGGGACUCCAUGGAAAGUAAAGAUGCAUGUUAUAUUAAGGGGCCUAUGGUUCAACAAAAGUUAGUUCAUGGCAUGUUUGUGGCUGAACCAAGUACGACUUCGUGAACCAAUGUACUUGAUAUUUCAUUUUCCAUGUGAGGAAAUAGCGAAUUACUUUAUAUGAGGAAAACUGAAUUUUGAUAAAAAGAUCAUCCAAAUUAUAAAUCAUGGACAUCUUAUCUUAAGAGGGAAACUAAAAACACAGGAAAAGAACUUAGCAACGUAUACUUCUAUAGGAAGAUGUAUAUGCACCAGCUCAUAUAAAAUGUAGAACGCCUUUAUAAUGGGACCGUAAAGCAAGGAGAAGGAAAAGCAUAUAUACUACAAAUAUACUGAUGGUUUCUCUGCAAUGUUUUACCCGAGAGAAGAGACAGUCGAAUACCUUCUCUCGUCCCUUGGAAAAAAAGAAUACCUUCUCUCCAAUACAAACACCGGAACACCAGAAAUAUUUUCACUCCGGAGAUGGAAACUUAUCCGCCAAGGCAUGAGAUGUACUAUAUAUAAGAAUACCUUUCCCUCUGAACAAUUCUUAGAGUGAAUACUUCAUCACAAAUAUAUGUUCUCUAUAUAAUCAGCACAACAUCAAGGAGUCGGAGGCUAUUGCACAAAUUCUCCUCCUAUUCUACCUUGCAACCCUGGUACAAAAGAACAUAAUAUUUUCUUAGGUGGGCCUUUCAUUGAGCACCUAGCAAACAAUUCAGCAAAACCAUCAAAUCAUAGCCUCUCAAUCACUCCUAUAGGGAAUCAAGGUAUUAUGCAAUAAACAAAAGUAUAUUGUGGAUCGGCAAUCUAGCGGCAAGAAAAAGCCUGACACAACCAACACUAUAGUCACCCGACGUAGAGGCUACAAUUAUUGCGCGAUCUAAGAACCGUAUCUGCAAAAGCUGAUUGCAAAGCUAUAAACAGAACCUCGUGACAUCAGCAACAACAUCAUUAACGCUAGCCGAUGCCUAAUCUAAAGAUCGAAUCAGGUCACCUAUGGGGCUGAUGUAUGGAUACAUGUUGGUGGGAGGUUAAAUCUGAAAGUUGUGUGGAGACGAAACAACUACAUCGACAAAAAAUUCCAUCCGCCCAAGAAGGAAGAUGCAAUUGUGUUAUUCUGAUUGUAGGUUGAUCCACCGCGAAUUCUAUGAUGAAUUCAAUGGUGUGUAAAACAGUGCAUCAGUUCAUGCAUCCUGCUGUCACCGCCGAGCGCCUACAAACCGCCCGCUCGCAGAUGCACUCCGCAAAAGCCGCUGCCUCCGGCGUACACCUUGCCGCCACCGGCGUAGAAGACCAACAUAGAUAUGGAUAUUAGUUGGCUAGCAUCCCCCGUUCGAUCUGCAACUCUGGGCGCUAUACAUAUACAUAUGUUUACAUGCACGGCCAGGAAAAGUCCCUCUCGUGGCAUAGUUGGGAAGAACUGCAUGGUAAUUGGGAUUAAUGUGGGAGUUUGCGCGCUGCUUGGACUCUAUACACGGAGGUUAGAUUUUUUUUUUGGAUUGACGUGGGAGUUUGUACGCCGCCUGGACUCUAUACACGGACGUUAGAUCUUUUUUUUGGAUUAACUUGGGAGUUUGUACGCUGCCUACCUGGACUCUGUACAUGGAGCUUAGUUGUUUUUUUGAGAAUCACGGAGGUUAGAUCUGGAUUUCUUUUUCUUUUCUUAUGGUGACAAUUUCUAACGGAUUAAUCAACACCGUAAUAACUUGGUCCCACACUAGAUUAACGGCUCAUAAAAUCUAAUUAACGUGGGAAUUUGUAGGGACUCUAGAAUUAGUAUAGGUAUAGAUAGAUAUAGAGGUAUAGAUAGAUAGAUAGAUAUCUAGGCAUGAUCAUGUAUAUAGGCAUCACGUCCGUGACAAGUAGAUCAACUCUUGCCUGCAUCUACUACUAUUACUCCACACAUCGACCGCUACCCAGCAUGCAUGUAGAGUAUUAAGUUCAUAAGAACAGAGUAACACAUUAGGUAAGAUGACAUGAUGUAUGAUACGUCUCCAUCGUAUCUACUUUUCCAAACACUUUUUCCCUUGUUUUCGACUCUAACUUGCAUGAUUUGAAUGGAACUAACCCGGACUGACGCUGUUUUCAGCAGAAUUGCCAUGAUGUUAUUUUUGUGCAGAAACAAAAGUUCUCGGAAUGACCUGAAACUUCACGCAGAUUAUUUUUGGAAAAAAUAAAAAAUACUGGCGAAAGAAUCAAGGCCAGGGGGCCCACACCCUGUCCACGAGGGUGGGGGGCGCGCGUGCCCUCUUGGGCGCGCCCCCUGCCUCGUGGGCCCCCUGGAGCUCCACCGACCUCAACUCCAACUAUAUAUAUUCGUGUUCGGGGAGAAAAAAAAUCAGAGAGAAGGAUUCAUCGCGUUUUACGAUAUGGAGCCGCCGCCAAGCCCUAAUCUCUCUCGAGAGGGCUGAUCUGGAGUCCGUUCUGGGCUCCGGAGAGGGGAAUCCGUCGCCAUCGCCAUCAUCAACCACCCUCCAUCACCAAUUUCAUGAUGCUCACCGCCGUGCGUGAGUAAUUUCUGUUGGUGAACGUAGCAGAAAUUCAAAAUUUUCAUACGUGUCAUCAAGAUCUAUCUAUGGAGAGACCAGCAACGAGUAGAAAGAGAGUGCAUCUACAUACCCUUGUAGAUCGCUAAGCGGAAGCGUUCAAGUGAACGGGGUUGAUGGAGUCGUACUCGUCGUGAUUCAAAUCACCGAUGAUCCUAGUGCCGAACGGACGGCACCUCCGCUUUCAACACACGUACAGCCCGGUGACGUCUCCCACGCCUUGAUCCAGCAAGGAGAGAGGGAGAGGUUGAGGAAGACUCCAUCCAACAGCAGCACAACGGCGUGGUGGUGGUGGAGGAGCGUGGCAAUCCAGCAGGGCUUCGCCAAGCACCAUGGGAGAGGAGGAGUAGGAAGAGAGGUAGGGCUGUGCCAGAACUUCGUGUAUAGCUCCCAUGCGCCUCCCCACUAUAUAUAGGGGUGGAGGGGCUGGUUUCUUGCCCUCCAAGUCCAUUGGGGCAUUGGCCAAGGUGGGAGGAAAGAAAUCUCAUUAUUUCCUUCCCCACCGAUUGUUAUCCCCCCUUUUUAGGGAUCUUGAUCUUAUCCCUUCGGGAUAUGAUCUUAUUCCUUCUAAGGGGGGAUCUUGGUGCGCCUUGACCAGGGGUGUGGGGCCUUGCCCCCACUACCCACGUCCAUGUGGGUCCCCCCAUGCAGGUGGGCCCCACUCCGGAACCUUCUAGAACCUUCCCGGUACAAUACCGAAAAAUCCCGAACAUUUUCCGGUGGCCAAAAUAGGACUUCCCAUAUAUAAAUCUUUACCUCCGGACCAUUCCGGAACUCCUGUGACGUCCGGGAUCUCAUCCGGGACUCCGAACAACAUUCGGUAACCACAUACAAACUUCCUUUAUAACCCUAGCGUCAUCGAACCUUAAGUGUGUAGACCCUACGGGUUCGGGAGACAUGUAGACAUGACCGAGACGUUCUCCGGUCAAUAACCAACAGCGGGAUCUGGAUACCCAUGAUGGCUCCCACAUGUUCCACGAUGAUCUCAUCGGAUGAACCACGAUGUCAAGGACUUAAUCAAUCCCGUAUUCAAUUCCCUUUGUCUAUCGGUAUGUUACUUGCCCGAGAUUCGAUCGUCGGUAUCCAAUACCUUGUUCAAUCUCGUUACCGGCAAGUCACUUUACUCGUUCCGUAACACAUCAUCCCGUGAUCAACUCCUUGGUCACAUUGCGCAUAUGAUGAUGUCCUACCGAGUGGGCCCAGAGAUACCUCUCCGUUUACAGGGAGUGACAAAUCCCAGUCUCGAUCCGCAUAAAACAAUAGAUACUUUCGGAGAUACCUGUAGUGCACCUUUAUAGUCACCCAGUUACGUUGUGACGUUUGAUACACCCAAAGCACUCCUACGGUAUCCAGGAGUUACACGCUCUCAUGGUCGAAGGAAGAGAUACUUGACAUUGGCAAAGCUCUAGCAAAUGAACUACACGAUCUUUUGUGCUAGUCUUAGGAUUGGGUCUUGUCCAUCACAUCAUUCUCCUAAUGAUGUGAUCCCGUUAUCAACGACAUCCAAUGUCCAUAGCCAGGAAACCAUGACUAUCUGUUGAUCACAACGAGCUAGUCAACUAGAGGCUCACUAGGGACAUAUUGUGGUCUAUGUAUUCACACGUGUAUUAUGAUUUCCGGAUAAUACAGUUAUAGCAUGAAUAAAAGACAAUUAUCAUGAACAAGGAAAUAUAAUAAUAAUACUUUUAUUAUUGCCUCUAGGGCAUAUUUCCAACAGUCUCUCACUUGCACUAGAGUCAAUAAUCUAGUUCACAUCGCCAUGUGAUUAACACUCACAUGCCACAUCGCCAUGUGAUUAACACUCACAUGUCACAUCGCCAUGUGACUAAUACCCAAGAGUUUACUAGAGUCAGUAGUCUAGUUCACAUCACUAUGUGAUUAACACUCAAUGAGUUUUAUGUUUGAUCAUGUUGCUUGUGAGAGAGGUUUUAGUCAACGGGUCUGAACCUUUCAGAUCCGUGUGUGCUUUACAAAUCUCUAUGUCAUCUCCUAGAUGCAGCUACCACGCUCUAUUUGGAGCUAUUCCAAACAACUGUUCUACUUGGAGCUAUUCUAAAUUAUUGCUCCAUUAUAUGUAUCCGGUCUCUCUACUCAGAGCUAUCCGGAUAGGUGUCAAGCUUGCAUCGUCGUAACCUUUACGACGAACUCUUUUACCACCUCCAUAAUCGAGAAAAUUCCUUAGUCCACUAGUUACUAAGGAUAACUUUGACCGCUGUCCUGUGAGCCAUUCUUGGAUCACUCUUGUACCCCUUGACUGACUCAUGGCAAGGCACACUUCAGGUGCGGUACACAGCAUAGCAUACUGAAGAGCCUACGUCUUAAGCAUAGGGGACGACCUUUGUCCUUUCUCUCUAUUCUGCCAUGGUCGAGCUUUAAGUCUUAACUUCGUACCUUACAACUCAGGCAAGAACUCCUUCUUUGACUGGUCCAUCUUGAACACCUUCAAGAUCAUGUCAAGGUAUGUGCUCAUUUGAAAGUAUUAUUAAGCAUUUUGAUCUAUCCUUAUAGAUCUUGAUGCUCAAUGUUCAAGUAGCUUAAUCCAGGCUUUCCAUUGAAAAACACUUUCAAAAUAACCCUAUAUGCUUUCCAGAAAUUCUACGUCAUUUCUGAUCAAUAAUAUGUCAACAACAUAUACUCAUCAGAAAUUCUAUAGUGCUCCCACUCACUUCUUUGGAAAUACAAGUUUCUCAUAAACUUUGUACAAACCCAAAAUUUUUGAUCAUCAUCAAAGCAUACAUUCCAACUCCGAGAUGCUCACUCCAGUCCUUAGAAGGAUUGCUGGAGCUUUGCAUACUUAUUAGCAUCUUUCGGGAUUGACAAAACCUUCCGGUUGUAUCACAUACAACCUUUCCUCAUUAAAAUCGUCGAGGAAACAAUGUUUUGACAUCCUGUCUGCAAGAUUUCAUAAAUAAUGCAGUAAUCGCUAAUAUAAUUCCAACAGACUCUUAGCAUCGCUACGAGUGAGAAAAUCUCAUCGUAGUCAACUCCUUGAACUUGUCGGAAAACAUCUUAACGACAAGUCGAGCUUUCUUAAUGGUGACAUUUACCAUCAUUGUCCGUCUUCCUUUUGAAAUCCAUCUGUACUCAUUAGCCUUACGACCAUCGAGCCGUUCUGCCAAAGUCUACACUUUGUUUUCAUACAUGGAUCCUCUCUCGGAUUUUAUGGCCUCAAGCCAUUUAUCGGAAUCCGGGCCCACCAUCGCUUCUCCAUAGCUCGUAGGUUCAUUGUUGUCUAGCAACAUGACCUUCAAGACAGGAUUACGUACCACUCUGAAGUAGUACGCAUCCUUGUCAUCCUACGAGGUUUGGGAGUGACUUGAUCCGAAGUUUCAUGAUCAAUAUCAUAAGCUUCCACUUCAAUUGGUGUAGGUGCCAUAGGAACAACUCCCUGUGCCCUGUCACACACUAGUUGAAGAGACGGUUAAAUAACCUCAUCAAGUCUCCACCAUCCUCGCACUCAAUUCUUUCGGGAGAAACUUUUCCUCGAGAAAGGACCCGAUUCUAGAAACAAUCCAUAUUGCUUUCGGAUCUGAAUUAGGAGGUAUACCCAACUAUUUUGGGUUUCCUAUGAAGAUGCAUUUUAUCCGCUUUGGGUUCGAGCUUAUCAACCUGAAAAUUUUUCAUAUAAGCGUCGCAGCCCCAAACUUUUAAGAAACGACAACUUAGGUUUCUCUAAACCAUAAUUCAUACGGUGUCAUCUCAUCGGAAUUACGUGGUGCCCUAUUUAAAGUGAAUGUGGUUGUCUCUAAUGCCUAACCCAUGAACGAUAGUGGUAAUUCGAUAAGAGACAUCAUGGUACGCACCAUAUCCAAUAGGGUGCAACUAUGAUGUUCGGACACACCAUCACAUUAUGGUGUUCCAGGCGGUAUUAAUUGCGAAACAAUUUCCACAAUGUCUUAAUUGUGUGCCAAAACUCGUAACUCAGAUAUUCAUCUCUAUGAUCAUAUCAUAGACAUUUUAUCCUCUUGUCACAAUGAUCUGCUACUUCACUCUGAAAUUACUUGAACCAUUCAAUAAUUCAGACUUGUGUUUCAUCAAGUAAAUAUACUCAACAUUUACUCGAAUCAUCUGUGAAGUAAGAACAUAAUGAUAUUCACUGCAUGCCUCAGCACUCAUUCGACCGCACACAUCAAAAUGUGUUACUUCCAACAAGUUGCUAUCUUGUUCCAUCUUACUGAAAAUGAGGCUUUUCAGUCAUCUUGCCCAUGUGGUAUGAUUUGCAUAUCUCAAGUGAUUCAAAAUCAAGUGAGUCCGAACGAUCCAUUUGCAUGGAGUUUCUUCAUGCAUAUACACCAAUAGACAUGGUUCGCAUGUCUCAAACUUUUCAAAAACGAGUGAGUCCAAAGAUCCAUCAACAUGGAGCUUCUUCAUGCGUUUUAUACCAUUAUGACUUACAUGGCAGUGCCACAAGUAAGUGGUACUAUCAUUACUAUCUUAUAUCUUUUGGCAUGAAAAUGUGUAUCACUACGACCGAGAUUCAAUAAACCAUUCCUUUAGGUGCAAGACCAUUGAAGGUAUUAUUCAAAAAUAGAGUAACCAUUAUUCUCCUUAAAUGAAUAACCGUAUUGCGAUAGACAUAAUCCAAUCAUGUCUAUGCUCAACGCAAACACCAGUCUCGGUGGUAGAGGGAGCGUGCGAUGCUUGAUCAUAUCAACCUUGGAAACACUUCCAACAUAUAUCGUCAGCUCACCUUUAGCUAGUCUCCGUUUAUUCCGUAGCUUUUAUUUCUAGUUACUAACACUUAGCAACCGAACCGGUAUCCAAUACCCUGGUGCUACUAGGAGUACUAGUAAAGUACACAUUAACAUAAUGUAUAUCCAAUAUACUUCUAUCGACCUUGCCAGCCUUCUCAUCUACCAAGUAUCUAGGGUAAUGCUGCUCCAGUGGUUGUUCCCCUUAUUACAGAAGCACUUAGUCUCGGGUUUGGGUUCAACCUUGGGUUUCUUCACUAGAGCAGCAGCUGAAUUGCCGUUUCAUGAAGUAUCCCUUUGUUCCCUUGCCCUUCUUGAAACUAGUGGUUUCACCAACCAUCAACAAUUGAUGCUCCUUCUUGAUUUCUACUUUCGCGGUGUCAAACAUCAUGAAUAUUUCAAGGAUCAUCAUAUCUAUCCCUGAUAUGUUAUAGUUAAUCACGAAGCUCUAGCAGCUUGGUGGCAAUGACUUUGGGGAACAUCACUAUCUCAUCUGGAGGAUCAACUCCCACUCGAUUCAAGUGAUUGUUGUGCUCAGACAAUCUGAGCACAAGCUCAACGAUUGAGCUUUUAUCCCUUAGUUUGCAGGCUAAGAAAAUCGUCGGAGGUCUUAUACCUCUUGACGUGGGCACGAGCCUGAAAUCCCAAUUUCAGCCCUCGAAACAUCUCAUAUGUUCCGCGACGUUUUGAAAACGUCUUUGGUGCCUCUACUUAAACCAUUUAAUUGAACUAUCACGUAGUUAUCAAAACGUGUAUGUCCGAUGUUCGCAACAUCGACAAACGACGUUGGGGUUCAGCACACUGAGCGGUGCAUUAAGGACAUAAGCUUUCUACUGAUCGCAUAAUCGCUACUAUCAACUUUCAACUAUAUUUUCUCUAGGAACAUAUCUAAACAGUGGAACUAAAGCGCGAGCUUACGACAUAAUUUGCAAAAGGUCUUUUGACUAUGUUCAGGAUAAUUAAGUUCAUCUUAUGAACUCCCACUUAGAUAGACAUCCCUCUGGUCAUCUAAGUGAUCACAUGAUCCAAGUCAACUAGGCCGUGUCCGAUCAUCACGUGAGACGGACUAGUCAUCAUCGGUGAACAUCUUCAUGUUGAUCGUAUCUACCAUAUGACUCAUGCUCGACCUUUCGGUCUCCGUGUUCCGAGGCCAUGUCUGCACAUGCUAGGCUUGUCAAGUUAACCCUAAGUGUUUUCGCUGUGUAAAACUGUCUUACACCCGUUGUAUGUGAACGUAAGAAUCCAUCACACCCGAUCAUCACGUGGUGCUUAGAAGCGACGAACUGUAGCAACGGUGCACAGUUAGGGGAGAACACUUCUUGAAAUUUUGUAAGGGAUCAUCUUAUUUACUACCGUCGUCCUAAGCAAACAAGAUGCAUAAACAUGAUAAACAUCACAUGCAAUCAAAUAGUGACAUGAUAUGGCCAAUAUCAUUUUGCUCCUUUUGAUCUUCAUCUUCGGGGCUCCAUGAUCAUCAUCGUCACCGGCACGACACCAUGAUCUCCAUCAUCAUGAUCUCCAUCAUCGUGUCUUCAUGAAGUUGUCACGCCAACGACUACUUCUACUUCUAUGACUAACGCGUUUAGCAAUAAAGUAAACUAGUUUACAUGGCGUUCUUCAAUGACACGCAGGUCAUACAAUAAAUAAAGACAACUCCUAUGGCUCCUGCCGGUUGUCAUACUCAUCGACAUGCAAGUCGUGAAUCCUAUUACAAGAACAUGAUCAAUCUCAUACAUCACAUAUCAUUCAUCACAUUCUUCUUGGCCAUAUCACAUCACAUAGCAUACCCUGCAAAAACAAGUUAGACGUCCUCUAAUUGUUGUUGCAUGUUUUACGUGGCUGCUAUGGGUUUCUAGCAAGAACGUUUCUUACCUACGCAAGACCACAACGUGAUAUGCCAAUUGCUAUUUACCCUUCAUAAGGACCCUUUUCAUCGAAUCCGUUCCGACUAAAGUGGGAGAGACUGGCACCCUCUAGCCACCUUAUGCACCAAGUGCAUGUCAAUCGGUGGAACCAGUCUCACGUAAGAGUACGUGUAAGGUCGGUCCGGGCCGCUUCAUCCCACAAUACCGUCGAAACAAGAUUGGACUAGUAACGGUAAGCAUAUUGAACAACAUCAACGCCCACAACUACUUUGUGUUCUACUCGUGCAAAGAAUCUACGCAAUAGACCUAGCUCAUGAUGCCACUGUUGGGGAACGUAGCAGAAAUUCAAAAUUUUCCUACGUGUCAUCAAGAUCUAUCUAUGGAGAGACCAGCAACGAGUAGAAAGAGAGUGCAUCUACAUACCCUUGUAGAUCGCUAAGCGGAAGCGUUCAAGUGAACGGGGUUGAUGGAGUCGUACUCGUCGUGAUUCAAAUCACCGAUGAUCCUAGUGCCGAACGGACGGCACCUCCGCGUUCAACACACGCACAGCCCGGUGACGUCUCCCACGCCUUGAUCCAGCAAGGAGAGAGGGAGAGGUUGAGGAAGACUCCAUCCAACAGCAGCACAACGGCGUGGUGGUGGUGGAGGAGCGUGGCAAUCUAGCAGGGCUUCGCCAAGCACCAUGGGAGAGGAGGAGUAGGAAGAGAGGUAGGGCUGUGCCAGAACUUCGUGUAUAGCUCCCAUGCGCCUCCCCACUAUAUAUAGGGGUGGAGGGGCUGGUUUCUUGCCCUCCAAGUCCAUUGGGGCGUUGGCCAAGGUGGGAGGAAAGAAAUCUCAUUAUUUCCUUCCCCACCGAUUGUUAUCCCCCCUUUUUAGGGAUCUUGAUCUUAUCCCUUCGGGAUAUGAUCUUAUUUCUUCUAAGGGGGGAUCUUGGUGCGCCUUGACCAGGGGUGUGGGGCCUUGCCCCCACUACCCACGUCCAUGUGGGUCCCCCCAUGCAGGUGGGCCCCACUCCAGAACCUUCUAGAACCUUCCCGGUACAAUACCGAAAAAUCCCGAACAUUUUCCGGUGGCCAAAAUAGGACUUCCCAUAUAUAAAUCUUUACCUCCGGACCAUUCCGGAACUCCUCGUGACGUCCGGGAUCUCAUCCGGGACUCCGAACAACAUUCGGUAACCACAUACAAACUUCCUUUAUAACCCUAGCGUCAUCGAACCUUAAGUGUGUAGACCCUACGGGUUCGGGAGACAUGUAGACAUGACCGAGACGUUCUCCGGUCAAUAACCAACAGCGGGAUAUGGAUACCCAUGAUGGCUCCCACAUGUUCCACGAUGAUCUCAUCGGAUGAACCACGAUGUCAAGGACUUAAUCAAUCCCGUAUUCAAUUCCCUUUGUCUAUCGGUAUGUUACUUGCCCGAGAUUCGAUCGUCGGUAUCCAAUACCUUGUUCAAUCUUGUUACCGGCAAGUCACUUUACUCGUUCCGUAACACAUCAUCCCGUGAUCAACUCCUUGGUCACAUUGCGCAUAUGAUGAUGUCCUACCGAGUGGGCCUAGAGAUACCUCUCCGUUUACACGGAGUGACAAAUCCCAGUCUCGAUCCGCAUAAAACAAUAUAUACUUUCGGAGAUACCUGUAGUGCACCUUUAUAGUCACCCAGUUACGUUGUGACGUUUGAUACACCCAAAGCACUCCUACGGUAUCCAGGAGUUACACGCUGUCAUGGUUGAAGGAAGAGAUACUUGACAUUGGCAAAGCUCUAGAAAAUGAACUACACGAUCUUUUGUGCUAGUCUUAGGAUUGGGUCUUGUCCAUCACAUCAUUCCCCUAAUGAUGUGAUCCCGUUAUCAACGACAUCCAAUGUCCAUAGCCAGGAAACCAUGACUAUCUGUUGAUCACAACGAGCUAGUCAACUAGAGGCUCACUAGGGACAUAUUGUGGUCUAUGUAUUCACACGUGUAUUACGAUUUCCGGAUAAUACAUUUAUAGCAUGAAUAAAAGACAAUUAUCAUGAACAAGGAAAUAUAAUAAUAAUACUUUUAUUAUUGCCUCUAGGGCAUAUUUCCAACAAUUUCAUCGUAGGCUUGCUGGAUGGUGAUGGGUUGGAUGAGAUUUAUCGUGUAAUCGAGUUAGUUUUGUUAGGAUUUGAUCCCUAGUAUCCACUAUGUUCUGAGAUUGAUGUUUCUAUGACUUUGCUAUGCUUAAUGCUUGUCAAUAGGGCCCGACUGCCAUGAUUUCAGAUCUGAACCUAUUAUGUUUUCAUGAAUAUAUGUGAGUUCUUGAUCCUAUCUUGCAAGUCUAUAGUCACCUACUAUGUGUUAUGAUCUGGCAACCCUGAAGUGACAAUAAUCGGGACCACUCCUGGUGAUGACCGUAGUUUGAGGAGUUCAUGUAUUCACUAUGUGUUAAUGCUUUGGUCUGGUACUCUAUUAAAAGGAGGCCUUAAUAUCCCUUAGUUUCCAUUAGGACCCCGCUGCCACGGGAGGGUAGGACAAAAGAUGUCAUGCAAGUUCUUUUCCAUAAGCACGUAUGACUAUAUUCGGAAUACAUGCCUACAUUACAUUGAUGAAUUGGAGCCAGUUCUGUGUCACCCUAUGUUAUGACUGUUACAUGAUUAACCGCAUCCAGCAUAAUUCUCCAUCACCGAUCCAAUGCCUACGAGCUUUUCACAUAUUGUUCUUCGCUUAUUUACUUUUCCGUUGCUACUAUUACAAUCCCUACAAAACCCAAAAAUAUUACUUUUGCUAUCGUUACCGUUACUUCCAUAUUACUUUGCUACUAAAUACUUUGCUACAGAUACUAAGUUAUCCAGGUGUGGUUGAAUUGACAACUCAACUGCUAAUAUUUGAGAAUAUUCCUUGGCUCCCCUUGUGUCGAAUCAAUAAAUUUGGGUUGAAUACUCAACCCUCGAAAACUGUUGCGAUCCCCUAUACUUGUGGGUUAUCAAUGUAGAGGGAUAAACUCAAGCAAUAUGAUAUAAACCCCACCUUUUUAUCCUCAAUGGCAAUAAUACAAUACAUGUCGUUUCCCUUUCUGUCACUGGGAUCGAGCAACGCAAGAUUGAACUCAAAGCUAAGCACUUUUCCCAUGGAAAGAAAGAUCAAUCUAGUAGGCCAAACCAAACUUAUAAUUCGAAGAGACUUGCAAAGAUAACCAAUCAUACAUAAAAGAAUUCAGAGAAGAUUCAAAUAUUGUUUAUAGAUAAUCUUGAUCAUAAACCCACAAUUCAUCGGAUCUCGACAAACACACCGCAAAAAGAGAUACAUCGAAUAGAUCUCCAAGAAGAUCGAGGAGAACUUUGUAUUGAGAUCCAAAGAGAGAGAAGAAGCCAUCUAGCUAAUAAGUAUGGACCCCAAGGUCUGUGGUAAACUACUCACACAUCAUAGGAGAGGCUAUGGUGUUGAUGUAGAAGCUCUCCGUGAUCGAUGCCCCCUCCGAUGGAGCGCCAGAAAAGGCCCCAAGAUGGGAUCUCAUGGGUGCAGAAGGUUGCGGCGGUGGAAAUAGGGUUUCGUGGUGCUCCUGGAUGGUUUCAGGGUACGUAGAUAUAUAUAGGUGGAAGAAGUAGGUCGGUGGAGCCACGAGGGGCCCAUGAGGGUGGGGGCACGCCCAGGGGGGCAGGCGCGGCUCCCUGCCUCGUGGCCUCCUCGUUGAUUUCUUGAUGUCCACUCCAAGUCAUGUGGAUCAUGUUUGUUCCAAAAAUCAUGCUCCCGAAGGUUUCAUUCCGUUUGGACUCCGUUUGAUAUUCCUUUUCUGCAAAACACUAAAAUAGGCAAAAAAUAACAAUUUGCACUGGGCCUUGGGUUAAUAGGUUAGUCCCAAAAAUAAUAUAAAAGUGUAUAAUAAAUCCCAUUAAACAUCCAAAAUAGAAUAUAUAGUAGCAUGGAACAAUCAAAAAUUAUAGAUACGUUGGAGACGUAUCACAUGCAUUAUGCAUAAGUAACAUUUGACACUAGAAUGAGUUGGAUAUGAACACCAUGAACAUAAAUAUCAUAGAGGCUAUGUUAUUUUGAUUGAACUACAUGCAUGAACAUGUGCCAAGUCAAGCCACUCGAACAUUCAGAGGAGGAUACCAUAUCAUCAUAGUACAUCACAAUCAUUUUAACGCAAUGUUGACAUCCAAGAUAAAUCAUUAUCCACUCCUACCUGUUGGGGAACGUUGCAUGGGAAACAAAAAAUUUCCUACGCUCACCAAGAUCAAUCUAGGAGAUGACCAUCUACAAGAGGAGAGAUUGCAUCUACAUACCCUUGUAGAUCGCUAAGCGGAAGCGUUAAAAAACGCAGUUGAUGUAGUCGAACGUCUUCACGAUCCAAUCACGAUCCAUUCCGCGAACUCCCGAUCCAAGUGCCGAACGGACGACACCUCCACGUUCAACACACUAACAAAUUGAUGACGCCUUCACCUCCUCGAUCCAGCGAGUGAUGGUGAAGUAGUAGCUCGAGUCCUCUGGUAGCACAAUGGCGUGGUGGCUGUAGUGGUGGCAGAAUGUCAGCAGAGCUUCGCUAAGCACUACAGAGAGGAAGAGAGAUGCGAGGGAGAGGAGAGGCAAUGCCGUUGCAUGGAGAUGUGCUCUUUGGGUGCGAGUGCCCUAUCUCUACCUCUCUCUAUAUACAGGGGAAGGGAGGAGGGGUAGGCGCCCCUAGGGUUUCACCUAGGGGGGCGGUGGCCAGGGCAGAUGGGAUCUUCCCUAGGGUGACUUUCCCCCCAAGCCGGGAGGUGGGAAACCCUAGGGGAACGCCCCAACCCUCCUAUUACGUGAGAUGGGGUGGGGGUUGGGGCGCUUAGCCCCUUAGUGGGCUGGUUUGCCCCUCCCCUUGGCCCAUGGCCCCCCAACACUUGUCGGACCCCUCGAAACCCCUUCCGGUGAUGCUGGUCAUCACCCGGUACCCCCAGAAAAAUUCCGGACUCCAAUACCCUUCGUCCAGUAUAUCUAUCUUCACCUCCGGACUAUUCCAGAGUUCCUCGUUGAUACGUCUCCAACAUAUCUAUAAUUUUUGAUUGUUCCAUGCUAUUUUAUUAUCAAGCUUGGAUGUUUUAUAAUCAUUUUAUAGUCAUUUUAUAUCAUUUUUUGGUACUAACCUAUUGACAUAGUGCCAAGUGCCAGUUGCUGUUUUUUCCAUUUUUUUACAUCGUAGAAAAUCAAUAUCAAACGGAGUCCAAAUGCCACAAAACUCCAUGAUGAUUUUUUAUGGGCCAGAAGAAAGGCAAUGGGCCCUGGUUGCACUCGGGGGGUGCCCCGAGGGGGGCACAACCCAACAGGGCGCGCCAGGAGGCCCAGGCACGCCCUGGUGGGUUAUGACCACCUCGGGUGCCCCCGGACCGCCUCUUUGCUCUAUAAAUACCCAAAUAUUCCAGAAACCCUAGGGGAGUCGAUGAAAUAUUCAUCCAACCGCCACAGAGUCCAGAACCACCAGAUCCAAUCUAGGCACCAUCUCGAAUGGGGUUUGAUAACCCACAAGUAUAGGGGAUCGCAACAGUUUUCAAGGGUAGAGUAUUCAACCCAAAUUUAUUGAUUCGACACAAGGGGAGCCAAAGAAUAUUCUCAAGUAUUAGCAGUUGAGUUGUCAAUUCAACCACACAUGGAUAACUUAAUAUAUGCAACAAAGUAUUUAGUAGCAAAGUAGUAUGGAAGUAACGGUAACAGUGGCAAAAGUAACAAUAGUAGUUUUGUAGUAAUUGUAAUAGUGGCAACGGUAAAGUAACUAAGCAAAGAGCAAUAUGCAAAAAGCUCGUAGGAAUUGGAUCGGUGAUGGAGAAUUAUGUCGGAUGCGAUUCCUCAUGCAAUAGUUAUAAAAUAGGGUGACACAGAACUAGCUCCAGUUCAUCAAUCUAAUGUAGGCAUGUAUUCCGAAUAUAGUCAUACGUGCUUAUGGAAAAGAACUUGCAUGACAUCUUUUGUCCUACCCUCCCGUGGCAGCGGGGUCCUAUUGGAAACUAAGGGAUAUUAAGGCCUCCUUUUAAUAGAGUACCAGACCAAAGCAUUAACACUUAGUGAAUACAUGAACUCCUCAAACUACGGUCAUCACCGGUAAGUAUCUCAAUUAUUGUCACUUCGGGGCUAACAGAUCAUAACACAUAAUAGGUGACUAUAGACUUGCAAGAUAGGAUCAAGUACUCACAUAUAUUCAUGAAAACAUAAUAGGUUCAGAUCUGAAAUCAUGGCACUCGGGCCCUAGUGACAAGCAUUAAGCAUAGCAAAGUCAUAGCAACAUCAAUCUCAGAACAUAAUGGAUACUAGGGAUCAAACCCUAACAAAACUAACUCGAUUCCAUGGUAAAUCUCAUCCAACCCAUCACCGUCCAGCAAGCCUACGAUGGAAUUACUCACGCACGACGGUGAGCAUCAUGAAAUUGGUGAUGGAGGAAGGUUGAUGAUGAUGGUGGCGAUGGAUUCCCCUCUCCGGAGCCCCGAACGGACUCCAGAUCAGCCCUCCCGAGAGAGAUUAGGGCUUGGCGGCGGCUCCAUAUCGUAAAACGUGAUGAAUCCUUCUCUCUGAUUUUUUGUCCCCGAACGUGAAUAUAUAGAGUUGGAGUUGAGGUUGGUGGAGAACCAGGGGGCCCAGAAGGCAGGGGCACGCCCAAGGUGGUAGGCGCGCCCCACCCUCGUGGACAGGGUGUGGGGCCCCUGGUCUUGAUUCUUUUGCCAAUAUUUUUUAUAUAUUCCAAAAAUAUUCUCCGUGAAGUUUCAGGUCAUUCCGAGAGCUUUUAUUUCUGCACAAAAAUAACACCAUGGAAAUUCUGCUGAAAACAGCGUCAGUCCGGGUUAGUUACAUUCAAAUCAUGCAAGUUAGAGUCCAAAACAAGGGCAAAAGUGUUUGGAAAAGUAGAUACGAUGGAGAUGUAUCAACUCCCCAAGAUUAAACCUUUGCUUAUCCUCAAGCAAAUCAGUUGAUAAACUGAAAGUGAUAAAGAAAAACUUUUACAAACUCUGUUUGCUCUUGUUGGUGUAAAUAUGUAAAGCCAUCAUUCAAGUUUUCAGCAAAGAUUAUGAACUAACCAUAUUCACAAUAACACUUAGGUCUCAUGUUUACUCAUAUCAAUGGCAUAAUCAACUAACGAGCAAUAAUAAUAAAUCUUGGAUGACAACAGUUUCUCAAAACAAUCAUAAUAUGAUAUAACAAGAUGGUAUCUCGCUAGCCCUUUCUGAGACCGCAAAACAUAAAUGCAGAGCACCCGUGAAGAUCAAGGACUGACCGAACAUUAUAAUUCAUGGUAAAAGAGAUCGAGUCAUAGUUAUACUCAAUAUAAACUAAUAAUAAUGCAUGCAAAUGACAGCGGUGCUUUCUAGCUGGUUCUUUUUAAUAAGAAGGUGAUGACUCAACAUAAAAGUAAAUAGAUAGGCCCUUCGCAGAGGGAAGCAUGGAUUUGUAGAGGUGCCAGAGCUCGAUUUUGAAAUAGAGAUAAAUAAUAUUUUGAGCGGCAUACUUUCAUUGUCAAUAUAACAACCGAGAGAUCUCGAUAUCUUCCAUGCUACACACAUUAUAGGCAGUUCCCAAACAGAAUUGUAAAGUUUAUACUCCCCCACCACCAACAAGCAUCAAUCCAUGGCUGGCCCGAAACAACGGGUGCCUCCAACUAACAACAGUCCUGGGGGAGUUUUGUUUGCAAUUAUUUUGAUUUGGUUCGAGCAUGGAACUGGGCAUCCUGGUGACUAGCCAUUUUCUCGUGAGUGAGGAGCGGAGUCCACUCCUCUUGAGAAUAACCCGCCUAGCAUGGAAGAUACAGACAGCCCUAGUUGAUACAUGAGCUAUUCGAGCAUACAAAACAUAAUUUCAUUUGAAGGUUUAGAGUUUGGCACAUACAAAAUUACUUGGAAUAGCAGGUAGAUACCGCAUAUAGGAAGGUAUGGUGGACUCAUAUGGAAUAACUUUGGGGUUUAUGGAAGUGGAUGCACAAGCAGUAUUCCCGCUUAGUACAAGAGAAGGCUAGAAAAACACUGGGAAGCAACCAACUAGAGAGCGACAACAGUCAUGAACAUGCAUUAAAAUUAAUAAACAUUGAGUGCAAGCAUGAGUAGGAUAUAAUCCACCAUGAACCUAAAUAUCAUGGAGGCUAUGUUGAUUUUGUUUCAACUACAUGUGUGAACAUGUGCCAAGUCAAGCCACUCGAAUCAUUCAAAGGAGGAUAGCACCCUAUCAUACCACAUCACAACCAUUUUAAUAGCAUGUUGGCAUGCAAGGUAAACCAUUAUAAACUCCUAGCAAAUUAAGCAUGGCAUGAGAAACUAUAAUCUCUAAUUUCCAUUGCAAACAUGUUUCAUUCAUAUGGGAUGAAUCAGGAACGAUGAACUAAUCAUAUUUACAAAAACAAGAGAGGUCGAGUUCAUACCAGCUUUUCUCAUCUCAAUUAGUCCAUCAUAUAUCAUCAUUAUUGCCUUUCACUUGCACGACCGAACGGUGUGGAUAAUAAUAAUAGUGCACAUGCAUUGGACUAAGAUAGAAUCUGCAAGCAUCUGAUACAGAGGAGAAGACAAGGUAACUUGGGCUCUUUGUUAAAUCAACAAUAAUGCAUAUAAGAGCCACAUAACAUUUUCAUUAUGGUCUUCUCCUCUCGACCCCCGAAGAAAAGAAAAGGAAUAAAACUUUUACAUAGGAAAGCUCCCAACAAGCAAAAGAAGAAUGAGAAAUCUUUUUGGGUUUUCUUUUUAAUUAUUACUACUACACGCAUGGAAAGUAAACUAGCUAAAAGCUACAACUAAUUUUUUUGUUUUUCUUAAGGUUUUUCAAACACACAAGAAGAAGACUUAGAAAAGAAAAUAAACUAGCAUGGAUAGUACAAUGAAAAAGUAUGAGCACCGACAACUAGAAUGAGUGUGUGAACAUGAAUGUAAUGUCGGUGAGAAAUACGUACUCCACCAAGCUUAGGCUUUUGGCCUAAGUUGGUCUAUGCCCAUGGAUCAAAGUUGUAGCUGGGGUCGUACUGAGAUGCAUCAGCUAUUGCCUCAUGAGCUGCAGCUUGGAGGCGAGCUGCCUCUGUCCUCCUCUCAUACUCGUUCGCCUCUUCCCUGGUUAUAUUAUAUCUCCUUUUUGCCUGAAAAUCAAAGAAACCAGGAGCAGGGAGAGCAACAUGCACAGUGCGAUGUCUGCCAAAGAUUAGUCGGUACUGGAGGAACUGUUCAUUCGUCUCAACAAACUGAUGGCGAACCAUAGCAUUAUAAUCUAAAUAAGUAGGAGGCAAUUCCAUAUCAUUUUCAUGUAUGGGUAUCUCAAGAUAAUUAGCUAAAUGGGCUGCGUAAAUUCCACCAAACAAAUCUCCACUUAAACUAUUAAGAUGCAACGUUCGUGCAACGAUGGCCCCCAAGUUGUAUUGUUUAUCUCCUAAUACAACACUCUUGAGAACACUAAGGUCGGGAACACACAUGUGACAUGCCUCGUCCUUGCCGUUAAUGCGUCUACCUAUAAAGAGAGAAAAAUAAUGUAUAGUAGGAAAACGAAUGCUCCCUAUGGUAGCUUGUGUUAUUUCUCUAGAUUCCCCCACAGUGAUACUAGCAAGAAAAUCUUUAAACUCAGAUUUGCGAGGAUCACUAGCACUACCCCACUGCGGGAGUUUACAAGGAGUAUUAAAAUCUUUUAAGUCCAUGGUAUAAGAUUUAUCAUAAAUAUCAAAUAGGAUAGUGUGAGAAUUGCGUGAGGAUGUAAAUUUAAACCUUCUCACAAAGGAAUCAGUUAGGUAAUAAUAUUGGGGGCACUUAUCUGACACGAAGCCCUCAAGUUCAGCGUUACGCACAUAUGCGUCAAAUUCCUCCUUAAUGCCGUCUUGGACCAUAAAAUCUUCUGACGGCCAUUCACAAGGCCGCACUUGAGCUUCUCUUGGUAGUUCAUAGUCCAACUCACGUAUCACAGGCCUGGGUCCUUGCUUCUUUGAGGAACCACCUUGGUACAUUUUCCUAAACAUAUUUCUUCCUUUGAAAAAUUUCUGAAUUUUUUAGUGACUCAAAGUAAAAGUGAACCAAACUCAACAAGAUUGAUAGCAACUACUCCCACAAGUGCCUAGAGACUAUAUCAUGUAUUAGAACUACUUGGGACCAAAUAAAUUUGACAUGCAAGCUUAAGAACAGGGUCACCUAAACAACAAAAAUUUGCAAUAAAUAAAGCACUAGAACAAAAACUAAUUUGACCAUUGGAGGAGUCACAUACCGAAGAACAAUCCCCCAAAGCAGUUUUGUGAGUGGAGCUUUGAACAAGGAGAUCGAAAAUGGCAGCAAGGUGAGCUAGUACACGGGUUUGAGCUAGGUGGUGAUUUUUUAUGGAGGAAUACGAAGUGUGUGGGUGCUGGAAUAAGUGGAGAGGGGCCAUGUGGGGCCCACGAGGCAGGGGGCGCGCCCCAAGGGGGUGGGCGCACCCUGGACCCUCGUGGCCAAAUGGUGGGUCCCCCUGGUGUGUUCUCAGUGCCAUAUAUUCUUAAAUAUUCUACAAAAAAUCAUAUUUCAUUUUCGGGACAUUUGGAGAACUUUUAUUUUUAGGGUAUUUUUAUUGCAAGGAUAAUUCAGAAAACAGACAGAAAAUACUAUUUUUGCUUUAUUUAGUCUAAAUAACAUAAAGUAAAAGGAGGGUACAGAAGGUUGUGCUUUCUAACUUCAUCCAUCUCAUGCUCAUCAAGAGGAAUCCACUAACAAGGUUGAUCAAGUCUUGUUAACAAACUCAUUCCGAAUCGCUUGAAACCAGAGAAUUUCGAAUAGCACUAGGUUACCUCAACGGGGAUAUGCACAUCCCCAACUAUAAGGAUAUCAUAUUUCUUGUUGACGGUAGGAAGAGGAAAUUCAAAACCUCCAAUAGUAAUUGUUGAAGUUUUUCCAAUAGAAUUUAUACUGUGGACUUGAGGUUGUUUCCUCGAAAAGUGCAUGGUAUGCUCAUUACCAUUAACAUGGAAGUGACAUUGCCUUUGUUGCAAUCAAUAACAGCCCCUGCAAUAUUCAAAAAGGGUCUACCAAGGAUAAUCGACAUACUAUCGUGCUCGGGAAUAUCAAGAAUAACAAAGUCCGUUAAAAUAGUAACAUUUGCAAUCACAACAGCCACAGCCUCACAAAUACCGACAAGUAUAGCAGUUGAUUUAUCGGCCAUUUGCAAAGAUAUUUCAGUAGGUGUGAUACGUCUCCAACGUAUCUAUAAUUUUUGAUUGUUCCAUGCUAUUAUAUAUUCUGUUUUGGAUGUUUAAUGGGAUUAUUUAUGCACUUUUAUAUUAUUUUUGGGACUAACCUAUUAACCGGAGGCCCAGCCCAAAUUGUUGUUUUUUUGCCUAUUUCAGUGUUUCGCAGAAAAAGAAUAUCAAACGGAGUCCAAACGGAAUGAAACCUUCGGGAGCGUGAUUUUUGGAACAAACGUGAUAAAGAGGACUUGGAGUGGACGUCAAGAAACCAACAAGGAGGCCACGAGGCAGGGGGGCGCGCCUACCCCCCUGGGCGCGCCCUCCACCCUCGUGGCUCCACCGACCUACUUCUUCCUCCUAUAUAUACCUACGUACCCCAAACCAUCGAGGAGCACCACGAAAACCUAGUUCCACCACCGCAACCUUGUGUACCCUUGACAUCCCAUCUUGGGGCCUUUUCCGGUGUCCUGCCGGAGGGUGUAUUGAUCGCGGAGGGCUUCUACAUCAACACCCUAGCCUCUUCGAUGAUGUGUGAGUAGUUUACUGCUACCUCUUGAGCACCGUGUUGGUUUUCCCUUGAAGGAAAGGGUGAUGUAGUAAAGUAGUGUAAGUAUUUCCCUCAGUUUCUGAGAACCAAGGUAUCAAUCCAGUAGGAGACCACGCACGAGUCCCUCGCACCUACACAAACAAAUAAGAACCUCGCAACCAACGCGAUAAAGGGAUUAUCAGUCCCUCAACGGUCACUUACGAGAGUGAGAUCUGAUAGAUAUGAUAAGAUAAUAUUUUGGUAUUUUUUAUGAUAAAGAGUAAAUAAAGAUGCAAAGUAAAAUAAACGGCAAUAUAAAUAGCUAAGUGUUGGAAGAUUAAUAUGAUGGAAAAUAGACCCGGGGGCCAUAGGUUUCACUAGUGGCUUCUCUCAAGACCAUAAGUAUUACGGUCGGUGAACAAAUUACUGUUGAGAAAUUGAUAGAAUUGAGCAUAGUUAUGAGAAUAUCUAGGUAUGAUCAUGUAUAUAGGCAUCACGUCCGUGACAAGUAGACCGACUCCUGCCUGCAUCUACUACUAUUACUCCACACAUCGACCGCUAUCCAGCAUGCAUCUAGAGUAUUAAGUUCAUAAGAACAGAGUAACGCUUUAAGCAAGAUGACAUGAUGUAGAGGGAUAAACUCACGCAAUAUGAUAUAAACCCCAUCUUGUUAUCCUCGGUGGCAACAAUACAAUACGUGUCGUUUCCCCUACUGUCACUGGGAUCGAGCACCGCAAGAUUGAACCCAAAGCUAAGCACUUCUCCCAUUGCAAGAACGAUCAAUCUAGUAGGCCAAACCAAACUGAUAAUUCGAAGAGACUUGCAAAGAUAACCAAUCAUACAUAAAAGAAUUCAGAGAAGAUACAAAUAUUGUUCAUAGAUAAACUUGAUCAUAAACCCACAAUUCAUCGGUCUCAACAAACACACCACAAAAGAAGAUUACAUCGAAUAGAUCUCCACGAGAAUCAUGGAGAACUUUGUAUUGAGAUCCAAAGAGAGAGAAGAAGCCAUCUAGCUAAUAACUAUGGACCCGAAGGUGUGAGGUAAACUACUCACACAUCAUCAGAGAGGUUAUGGUGUUGAUAUAGAAGCCCUCCGUGAUCAAUGCCCCUUCGGCGGAGCACCGGAAAAGGCCCCAAGAUGGGAUCUCACGGGUACAUAAGGUUGCGGCGGUGGAAUUAGGUUUUUGGCUCCAUAUCUGGUAGUUUGGGGGUACGUAGGUAUAUAUAGGAGGAAGAAGUAUGUCGGUGGAGCAACAUGGGCCCCACGAGGGUGGAGGGCGCGCCCAGGGGGGGGUGUAUACGCGCCCCUACCUCGUGCCCUACUGGUUGCUUUCUGGAUGUAGUGUCCAAGUCCUCUGGAUCACGUUCGUUCCGAAAAUCACGCCCUGAAGGUUUCAUUCCGUUUGGACUCCGUUUGAUAUUCUUUUUCUGCGAAACACUGCAAUAGGCAAAAAACAACAAUUUUGGGCUGGACCUCCGGUUAAUAGGUUAGUCCCCAAAAAAAUAUAAAAGUGUAUAACAAAGCCCAUUAAUCAUCCAAAACAGAAUAUAAUAUAGCAUGAAUCAAUAAAAAAUUAUAGAUACGAUGGAGACAUAUCGAGCAUCCCCAAGCUUAUGAUAAAAACAAUUUUUUGAUGUGGAAUGCUACUUAGCAUUAUUUUCAAUGUAAUUCUGUUAAUUGUGGUAUGAAUAUUUAGAUCCGAAAGAUUCAAGACAAGAGUUUAGUAUUGACAUAAAAAUAAUAAUACUUCAAGCAUACUAACUAAGCAAUUAUGUCUUCUCAAAAUAACAUGGCCAAAGGAAGUUAUCCCUACAAAAUCAUAUAGUCUGGCUAUGCUCUAUCUUCACCACACAAAGUAUUUAAAUCAUGCACAACCCCGAUGACAAGCCAAGAAAUUGUUUCAUACUUUUGGUGUUCUCAAACUUUUUCAAUCUUCACACAAUACAUGAGCGUGAGCCAUGGAUAUAACACUAUAUGUGGAAUAGAAUGGUGGUUGUGGAGAAGACAAAAAGGGAGAAGAUAGUCUCACAUCAACUAGGCGUAUCAACGGGCUAUCAAGAUGCCCAUUAAUAGAUAUUAAUGUGAGUGAGUAGGGAUUGCCAUGCAAUGGAUGCACUAGAGAUAUAAUUAUAUGAAAGCUCAACAACAAAAAAACUAAGUGGGUGUGCAUCGAACUCGCUUGCUCAAGAAGACCUAGGGCAAUUCAAGGAAGCCCAUCAUUGGAAAAUACAAGCCAAGUUUUAUAAUGAAAAUUCCCACUAAUAUAUGAAAGUGCCAACAUAAGAGACUCUCUAUCAUGAAGAUCAUGGUGCUACUUUGAAGCACAAGUGUGGUAAAAAGGAUAGUAGCAUUGUCCCUUCUCUCUUUUUCUCACUUUUUUUUGAGAUGGGCCUUUCUCUCUUUGUUAUGGCCUCUUUUUUUAUCGUCCAGAGUCUCAUCCUGACUUGUUGGGGAAUCAUAGUCUCCAUCAUCCUUUCCUCACUUGGGACAAUGCUCUAAUAAUGAUGAUUAUCACACUUUUAUUUACUUACAACUCAACAAUUACAACUCAAUACUUAGAACAAAAUAUGACUCUAUGUAAAUGCCUCCAGCGGAGUACUGGGAUAUGCAAUGAAUCAAGAGUGACAUGUAUGAAAGAAUUAUGAACGUCGGCUUUGCCACAAAUACGAUGUCAACUACAUGAUCAUGCAAAGCAAUAUGACAAUGCUGGAGCGUGUCAUAGUAAACGGAACGGUGGUAAGUUGCAUGGAAACAUAUCUCGGAAUGGCUAUGGAAAUGCCAUAAUAGGUAGGUAUGGUGGCUGUUUUGAGGAAGGUACAUGGUGGGUGUAUGAUACCGGCGAAAAGUGAGCGGUAUUAGAGAGGCUAGCAAUGGUGGAAGGAUGAGAGUGUGUAUAAUCCAUGGAAUCAACAUUAGUCAUAAAGAACUCAUAUAUUUAUUGUAAAAAUCUACAAGUUAUCAAAGCAAAGUAUUACACACAUGCUCCUAGGGGGAUAUAUUGGUAGGAAAAGACCAUCGCUCGUCCCGGACCGCCACUCAUAAGGAAGACAAUCAAUAAAUAAAUCAUGCUCCGACUUCAUCACAUAACGGUUCACCAUACGUGCAUGCUACGGGAAUCACAAACUUUAACACAAGCAUCUCUCAAAUUCACAACUACUCAACUAGCAUGAUUCUAAUAUCACCAUCUUCAUAUCUCAAAACAAUUAACAAGCAUCAAACUUCUCAUAGUAUUGAACACACUCAUAAGAAAAUUCAUAUUUUAUUUUUUUCUUUACUAAUAUUGGAUGCCUAUCAUAAUUAAAGCAAGUUACCAUGCUGUUCUGUAGGACUCUCAAAAUGAUAUAAGUGAAGCAUGAGAGAACAAUAGUUUCUAUAAAACAAAUCCACCACCGUGCUCUAAAUGAUAUAAGUGAAGCACUAGAGCAAAAAACUAUAUAUAGCUCAAAAGAUAUAAGUGAAGCACAUAGAGUAUUCUAACAAAUUCCGAAUCAUGUGUGUCUCUCUCAAAAGGUGUGUACAGCAAGGAUGAUUGGGGUAAACUAAAAAGCAAAGACUCAAAUAAUACAAGAUGCUCCAAGCAAAACACAUAUCAUGUGGUGAAUGAAAAUACAGCUCCAAGUAAAGUUACCGAUGGAAGUAGACGAAAGAGGGGAUGCCUUCCGGGGCAUCCCCAAGCUUUGGCUUUUUGGUGUCCUUAGAUUAUCCUGGGGUGCCAUGGGCAUCCCCAAUCUUAGGCUCUUGCCACUCCUUGUUCCAUAAUCCAUCAAAUCUUUUACCCAAAACUUGAAAACUUCACAACACAAAACUUAACAGAACAUCUCGUGAGCUCCGUUAGCGAAAGAAAACAAAACACCACUUCAAGGUACUGUAAUGAAAUCAUUCUUUAUUUAUAUGGGUGUUAAACAUACUGUAUUCCAACUUCUCUAUGGUUUAUAAACUAUUUUAUUAGCCAUAGAUUCAUCAAAAUAAGCAAACAACACACGGAAAAAAGAAUCUGUCAAAAAUAGAACAGUCUGUAGUAAUCUGUAACUAACGCAAACUUAUGGAACUCCAAAAAAUCUACCAAAAUAGGAAGACCUAGAAAAUUUGUUUAUUGGUCUGCUGCAACUGGAAUCAAUAUUUUAUCACGUUCUGGUGAUUUUUAAUAAUUCUUUUCGUGAACAGAAAGUUUCUGGAAUUUUCAGCAAGAUCAAAUAACUAUCAUCCAAGAAGAUCCUAUAGGUUUAACUUGGCACAAACACUAAUUAAAACACAAAACCACAUCUAAAAAGAAGUUAGAUGGAAUAUUUAUUACUAAACAUAAGCAAAAAGCAAAAAAAAACUAAAAAAUAAAAUUGGGUUGCCUCCCAACAAGCGCUAUCAUUUAACGCCCCUAGCUAGGCAUAGAUAAUUUUAGUGAUGCUCGCAUGAGAGACAAGAAUUGAAGCACAAAGAGAGCAUCAAAUAGCAUAUGACAAACACAUCUAAGUCUAACAUACUUCCUAUGCAUAGGCAUUUUAUAAGGAAACAGAUUAUCAAGGAAAGCAAAAACUAGCAUAUGGAAGGAAGAAGAAAGAGACGAUAGCAAUCUCAACAUGACGAGAGGUAAUUUAGUAACAUGAAAAUUUCUACAACCAUAUUUCCUCUCUCAUAAUAAUUACAUGUAGGAUCAUAAGCAAAUUCAACAAUAUAGCUAUCAUAUAAAAUAUUUUCAACACGAUCCACAUGCAUGCAAAGUUGACACUCUUCCGAAAUAGUGGGAUUAACAUUAACUAAAGUCAUGACCUCUCCGAACCCACUUUUAUAAAAAAAUUCAUAAGAUUGAAUAUUCUCCAAAUAUGUGGGAUCUAAACUUGACAAUAUUCCAAACCCACUUUCAAUAUUAUUGCAAACAAUAUUAUCAAUCUCAUAUUCAUCAUGGGGAUCAAAUAAAUUUUCAAGAUCAUAAGAAAAAUCAUCCCAAUCAUGAUCAUUGCAACAAAUAGUGGACAUAGCAAAACUAGCAUCCCCAAGCUUAGGAUUUUGCAUAUUAUUAGGACAAUUGACAUCAAGAGAAUUUAUAGUAAAAUCAUUGCAAUCAUGCUUUUCAUCGAAGGAACUAUCAAGCAUGGGUGCAAUAGCAACAAUCUCAUUUUUGACAUAAGGAACUAUAGCAAAUUCGUCUUCAUAAAUAUUGGCAUCAUGGCCACAAGAAUAGCAAGCAUCAUGUUCAUUAAGGGAUAUUUCAAAAAAAUCAUCGGAAUCAUCAUUAUCUAUAGAUUCAUGCAUAUCAUUAUUUUCUUCCAAAGCAACGGUCAUUCUUUCAAUAAAUUCUUGGACAUAGACAUUAUGAGCAAAGUUUUCAUUGCAAUAUUUAAGUAUGACGGAAUUUUCAGAUUUGUUGAGAGUAAAAUCAUACUUUUCAAUCAAAGAAGCAACUUCAUGAGCACCCUUAAAAACGACAAAUUCUUCAAUUUGUUCGAUAUCAUAGUAACUAUAAACACCCUUUGCAUAAGAAGAUAAGAUUUCAUUAUCAUUGAACUCACAUAGGUAGGGAAGGUGUUUUUUAGGGUUCUUACAGCAACAAGUAAAAUCACAAAUUUCACAAAGAUUCCAAGCAUAGCAUAGAAAACUAUUUAUAUGAUACAAUAAGAGCUUCCCUUUUUUAGACAAACGAUGACACACAAAAUGAGCAUGCUCAUCUAAAGAUUUCCCAUCAACUAUGCUAGUUGGGGUUUCAGCACGAGCGCAUAAGGAUCGAAGAUGAUCCAAGUAGCACACUUUAAGUGGAUCCAUAAUAGAUUUUCAACAAGCGAAGAUGCAAGCAUAUAGAAGGCACAUAGAAACACGAGCAAACAAAAGGACGAAUGGAAAAGAGAGGGCAAAUAAAACGGCAAGGGUGAAGUGGGGGAGAGGAAAACGAGCGGCAAAUGGCAAAUAAUGUAAUGCGAGGGAUAAGGGUUUGUGAUGGGUACUUGGUAUUUCUUGACUUGGCGUAGAUCUCCCUAAAAAACAGCGCCAGAAAUCCUUCUUGCUACCUCUUGAGCACUGCGUUGGUUUUCCCUUGAAGAUGAAAGGGCGAUGCAGUAAAGUAGCAUAAGUAUUUCCCUCAGUUUUUGAGAACCAAGGUAUCAAUCCAGUAGGAGACCACGCACGAGUCCCUCGCACCUACACAAACAAAUAAGAACCUCGCAACCAACGCGAUAAAGGGGUUGUCAAUCCCUCAACGGUCACUUAUGAGAGUGAGAUCUGAUAGAUAUGAUAAGAUAAUAUUUUGGUAUUUUUUAUGAUAAAGAGUAAAUAAAGAUGCAAAGUAAAAUAAAUGGCAAUAGAAAUAGCUAAGUUUUGGAAGAUUAAUAUGAUGGAAAAUAGACCCGGGGGCCAUAGGUUUCACUAGUGGCUUCUCUCGAGACCAUAAGUAUUACGGUCGGUGAACAAAUUACUGUUGAGAAAUUGAUAGAAUUGAGCAUAGUUAUGAGAAUAUCUAGGUAUGAUCAUGUAUAUAGGCAUCACGUCUGUGACAAGUAGACCGACUCCUGCCUGCAUCUACUACUAUUACUCCACACAUCGACCGCUAUCCACCAUGCAUCUAGAGUAUUAAGUUCAUAAGAAAAGAGUAAUGCUUUAAGUAAGAUGACAUGAUGUAGAGGGAUAAACUCAUGCAAUAUGAUAUAAACCCCAUUUUGUUAUCCUCGAUGGCAACAAUAAAAUAUGUGCCUUGCUGCCCCUGCUGUCACUAGGAAAGGACACUGCAAGAUUGAACCCAAAGCUAAGCACUUCUCCCAUUGCAAGAAUGAUCAAUCUAGUAGGCCAAACCAAACUGAUAAUUCGAAGAGACUUGCAAAGAUAACCAAUCAUACAUAAAAGAAUUUAGAGAAGAUUCAAAUAUUCUUCAUAGAUAAACUUGAUCAUAAACCCGCAAUUCAUCGGUCUCAACAAACACACCGCAAAAGAAGAUUACAUCGAAUAGAUCUACACGAGAAUCAUGGAGAACUUUGUAUUGAGAUCAAAAGAGAGAGAAGAAGCCAUCUAGCUAAUAACUAUGGACCCGAAGGUCUGAGGUAAAAUACUCACACAUCAUCGGAGAGGCUAUGGUGUUGAUGUAGAAGCCCUCCAUGAUCAAUCCCCCCUCCGGUGGAGCGCCGCAAAAGGCCCCAAGAUGGUAUCUCACGGGUACAGAAGGUUGCGGCGGUGGAAUUAGGGUUUUGGCUCCGUAUCUGGUAGUUUGGGGGUACGUAGGUAUAUAUAGGAGGAAGAAGUACGUGAGUGGAGCAGCAUGGGCCCCACGAGGGUGGAGGGCGCGCCCAGGGGGGUAGGCCCGCCCCCUACCUCGUGCCCUCCUGGUUGCUUUCUUGACGUAGGGUCCAAGUCCUAUAGAUCACGUUCGUUCCAAAAAUCACGUUUCCGACGGUUUCAUUCUGUUUGGACUCUGUUUGAUAUUCUUUUUCUGCGAAACACUGAAAUAGGCAAAAAACAACAAUAUUGGGCUGGGCCUCCGGUUAUUAGGUUAGUCCGAAAAAUAAUAUAAAAGUGUAUAACAAAGCCCAUUAAUAAUCCAAAACAGAAUAUAAUAUAGCAUGAAGCAAUAAGAAAUUAUAGAUACGUUGGAGACGUAUCAUUUACCUCAGACCUUCGGGUCCAUAGUUAUUAGCUAGAUGGCUUCUUCUCUCUCUCUUUGGAUCUCAAUACAUAGUUCUCCUCGAUUCUCUUGUAGAUCUAUUCGAUGUAAUCUCUUUUUGCGGUGUGUUUGUCGAGAUCCGAUGAAUUGUGGGUUUAUGAUCCAGAUUAUCUAUGAACAAUAUUUGAAUCUUCUCUGAAUUAUUUUAUGUAUGAUUUGUUAUCUUUGCAAGUCUCUUCGAAUUAUCAGUUUGGUUUGGCCUAGUAGAUUGAUCUUUCUUGCAAUGGAAGAAGUGCUUAGCUUUGGGUUCAAUAUUGCGGUGCUCGAUCCCAGUGAUAGUAGGGGAAACAACACGUAUUGUACUGUUGCCAUCAAGGAAAACAAGAUGGGGUUUAUAUCAUAUUUUUGCCAUCGAGGAAAACAAGAUCUAGCUAGGGGCAUUAAAUGAUAGCGCUUGUUGGGAGGCAACCCAAUUUUAUUUUAUUUUAUUGCUUUUUUGGUUCUGUUUAGGAAUAAAUCUUUGAUCUAGCCUCUUGUUAGAUGUGUUUUUAUGUAUGUGUUUUUAUGUUUUAAUUAGUGUUUGUGCCAAGUUAAACCUAUAGGAUCUUCUUGGAUGAUAGUUAUUUGAUCUUGCUGAAAAUUCCAGAAACAUUCUGUUCACGAAAACAAUUGUUAAAAAUCACCAGAACGUGAUAAAAUAAUGAUUCCAAUUUCAGUAGAUCAAUAAACGAAUUAUCAAGGUCGUCCUAUUUUGGUAGAAAUUUUGGAGUUCCAGAAGUUUGCGUUAGUUACAGAUUACUACAGACUGUUCUGUUUUUGACAGAUUCUGUUUUUCGUGUGUUGUUUGCUUAUUUUGAUGAAUCUAUGGCUAAUAAAAUAGUUUAUAAACCAUAGAUAAGUUGGAAUACAUUAGGUUUAACACCAAUAUAAAUAAAGAAUGAGUUCAUUACAGUACCUUGAAGUGGUGUUUUGUUUUUCUUUCGCUAACGGAGCUCACGAGAUUUUCUGUUAAGUUUUGUGUUGUGAAGUUUUCAAGUUUUGGGUAAAUAUUUGAUGGAUUAUGGAACAAGGAUUGGCAAGAGCCUAAGCUUGGGGAUGCCCAUGGCACCCCAAGGUAAAAUUCAAGGACAAACAAAAUCCUAAGCUUGGGGAUGCCUCGGAAGGCAUCCCCUCUUUCGUCUUCGUCUAUCGGUAACUUUUCUUGGUGCUAUAUUUUUAUUCACCACAUGAUAUGUGCUUUUCUUGGAGCGUCUUGUAUGAUUUGAUUCUUUGUCUUUUGUUUUAAAACAAUCAUCCUUGCUGUACACACCUUUUGAGAGAGACACACAUGAUUCAGAAUUUAUUAAAAUACUCUAUGUGCUUCACUUAUACCUUUUGAGCUAUAUAGUUUUUGCUCUAGUGCUUCACUUAUAUCUUUUAGAGCACGGUGGUAGUUUUGUUUUAUAGAAAUUAUUAUUUUUUCAUGCUUCACUUAUAUCAUUUUGAGAGUACUACAAGGCAGCAUGGUAAUUUGCUUAAAUUAUGAAAAUAGUCCUAAUAUUAUAGGCGUCCAAGAUUAGUAAAUUUUUUUUUAUAAGUGCGUUGAAUACUAAGAAAAGUUUGAUGCUUGAUGACUGUUUUGAGAUAUGGAGGUAGUGAUAUUAAAGUUGUGCUAGUUGAUUAAUUAUGAAUUUGAAAAAUACUUGUGUUGAAGUUUGCAAGUCCCGUAGCAUGCCAGUAUGGUAAACGUUGUGUAACAAAUUUGAAACAUGAGGUGUUCUUUGAUUGUCCUCCUUAUGAGUGGCGGUCGGGGACGAGCGAUGGUCUUUUCCUACCAAUCUAUCCCUCUAGAAGCAUGCGCGUAGUGCUUGGUUUUGGAUGACUUGUAGAUUUUUGCAAUAAGUAUGUGAGUGCUUUAUGACUAAUGUUGAGUCCAUGGAUUAUACACACUCUCAACCUUCCAUCAUUGCUAGCCUCUUCGGUACUGUGCAUUGCUCUUUCUCACCUUGAGAGUUGGUGCAAACUUCACCGGUGCAUGCAAACCCCGUGAUACGAUAUGCUCUAUCACACAUAAACCUCCUUAUAUCUUCCUCAAAACAGCCACCAUACCUACCUAUUAUGGCAUUUCCAUAGCCAUUCUGAGCUAUAUUGCCAUGCAACUUUCCAUCGUUCCGUUUAUCAUGACAUGCUUCAUCAUUGUCAUAUUGCCUUGCAUGAUCAUGUAGUUGACAUCGUAUCUGUGGCAAAGCCAGCAUGCAUAAUUUUUCAUACAUGUCACUAUUGAUUCAUUGCCCAUCCCAGUACACCGCCGGAGACAUUCAUAUAGAGUCAUACUUUGUUCUAGUAUCGAGUUGUAAUCAUUGAGUUGUAAAUAAAUAGAAGUGUGAUGAUCAUGAUUCAUAGAGCAUUGUCCCAAAAAAAGAAAAAAAGAAGAAAGGCCAAAUAAAAAAAAGAGAAGGCCCAAAAAAAAAGAAAAUAAAAAGGGGCAAUGCUACUAUCCUUUUUCCACACUUGUGAUUUAAAGUAGCACCAUGAUUUUUAUGAUAGAGAGUCUCUUGUUUUGUCAUUUUCAUAUACUAGUGGGAAUUUCUCAUUAUAGAACUUGGCUUGUAUAUUCAACAAUGGGCUUCCCCAAAUGCCCUAGGUCUUCGUGAGCUAGCAAGUUGGAUGCACACCCACUUAGUUUCUUUUGUUGAGCUUUCAUACAUUAUAGCUCCAGUGCAUCCGUUGCAUGGCAAUCCCUACUCCUUGCAUUGACAUCAAUCGAUGGGCAUCUCCCUAGCGCGUUGAUUAGCCGCGUCAAUGUGAGACUUUAUCCUUUUUUUUGUCUUCUCCACACAACCUCCAUCAUUAUAUUCUAUUCCACCCAUAGUGCUAUAUACAUGGCUCACGCUUAUGUAUUGCGUGAAAAUUGAAAAAGGUUUGAGAUUACUAAAGUAUGAAACAAUUGCUUGGCUUGUCAUCGGGGUUGUGCAAGAUGAGAGCAUCUUGUGUGAUGAAAAUGAAGCAUGGCCAAACUAUAUGAUUUUGUAGGGAUGAGCUUUCUUUGGCCAUGUUAUUUGGAGAAGACAUAAUUGCUUGGUUAGUAUGCUUGAAGUAUUAUUAUUUCUAUGUCAAUAUUAAACUUUUAUCUUGAAUCUUUCAGAUCUGAACAUUCAUGCCACAAUAAAGAAAAUUGCAUUGAUAAAUAUGUUAAGAAGCAUUCCACAUCAAAAAUUCUAUUUUUAUCAUUUACCUACUCGAGGAUGAGCAGGAAUUAAGCUUGGGGAUGCUUGAUACGUCUCCAACGUAUCUAUAAUUUUUGAUUGUUCCAUGCUAUUAUAUAUUCUGUUUUGGAUGUUUAAUGGGCUUAUUUAUGCACUUUUAUAUUAUUUUUGGGACUAACCUAUUAACCGGAGGCCUAGCCCAAAUUGCUGUUUUUUUUGCCUAUUUCAGUGUUUCGCAGAAAAAGAAUAUCAAACGGAGUCCAAACGGAAUGAAACCUUCAGGAGCGUGAUUUUUGGAACAAACGUUGUCCAGAGGACUUGGAGUGGACGUCAAGCAACCAACAAGGAAGCCACGAGGCAGGGGGGCGCGCCUACCCCCCUGGGAGCACCCUCCACCCUCGUGGGCCCCUUGUGGCUCCACCGACCUACUUCUUCCUCCUAUAUAUACCUACGUACCCCCAAACCAUCGAGGAGCACCACGAAAACCUAGUUCCACCGCCGCAACCUUCUGUACCCGUGAGAUCCCAUCUUGGUGCCUUUUCCGGCGUCCUGCCGGAGGGGGCAUUGAUCAUGGAGGGCUUCUACAUCAACACCCUAGCCUCUUCGAUGAUGUGUGAGUAGUUUACCUCAGACCUUCGGGUCCAUAGUUAUUAGCUAGAUGGAUUCUUCUCUCUCUUUGGAUCUCAAUACAAAGUUCUCCUUGAUUCUCUUGCAGAUCUAUUCGAUGUAAUCUCUUUUUUUGGUGUGUUUGUCAAGAUCCGAUGAAUUGUGGGUUUAUGAUCCAGAUUAUCUAUGAACAAUAUUUGAAUCUUCUCUGAAUUCUUUUAUGUAUGAUUGGUUAUCUUUGCAAGUCUCUUCAAAUUAUCAGUUUGGUUUGGCCUACUAGAUUGAUCUUUCUUGCAAUGGGAGAAGUGCUUAGCUUUGGGUUCAAUCUUGCAGUGCUCGAUCUCAGUGACAGUAGGGGAAACAACACGUAUUGUAUUGUUGCCAUCGAGGAUAACAAGAUGGGGUUUAUAUCAUAUUGCAUGAGUUUAUCCCUCUACGUCAUGUCAUCUUGCUUAAAGCGUUACUCUGUUCUUAUGAACAUAAUACUCUAGAUGCAUGCUGGAUAGCGGUCGAUGUGUGGAGUAAUAGUAGUAGAUGCAGGCAGGAGUCGGUCUACUUGUCACAGACGUGAUGCCUAUAUACAUGAUCAUACCUAGAUAUUCUCAUAACUAUGCUCAAUUCUAUCAAUUGCUCGACAGUAAUUUGUUCACCCAUCGUAAUACUUAUGCUAUCUUGAGAGAAGCCACUAGUGAAACCUAUGGCCCCGGGUCUAUUUUCCAUCAUAUUAAUCUCCCGUCAACAAGCUAUUUCUAUUACCGUUUGUUUUGCAAUCUUUACUUUUUAUCUUUAUCAUAAAAAUACCAAAAAUAUUAUUUUAUCAUCUCUAUCAGAUCUCACCUUUGCAAGUGACCAUGGAGGUAUUGACAACCCCUUUAUCGCGUUGGUUGCAAGGUUCUUAUUUGUUUGUGUAGGUAUGAGGGGCUUGAGCGUGGUCUCCUACUGGAUUGAUACCUUGGUUCUCAAAAACUGAGGGAAAUACUUACGCUACUUUGCUGCAUCACCCUUUCCUCUUCAAGGGACAACCAACGCAGUGCUCAAGAGGUAGCAAGGUGUCAACUUAUUCAAAUCAAGUCUAUGAUAUAAAGAGAGAGGCAUAACACUAACACCGGCUCCAAGAUCACAUAAAGCAGUUUUAACAUAGUUUAUUUUAAUGGAGCAUGGUAUAGUUGGUACUCCUAGAUCUCCAAGUUUCUUUGGUAUUCCAACCUGAAAAGUAUAAUUAGCAAGCAUGGUGGAAAUUUCAGCUUCCGGUAUCUUUAUUUUAUUUAUGGCAAUAUCUUUCAUAUACUUAGCAUAAGGAUUCAUCUUAAGCAUAUCAGUCAACCGCAUACGUAAAAAGAUAGGUCUAAUCAUUUCAGCAAAGUGCUCAAAAUCCUCAUCAUCCUUUUUCUUGGAUGGUUUAGGAGGAAAGGGCUUGGGUUUCUGAACCCAUGGCUCUCUUUCUUUACCGUCCUUCCUAGCAACAAAGUCUCUCUUAUCAUAACAUUGAUUCUUUGAUUGUGGGUUAUCAAGAUCAAUGGUAGGUUCAAUCUCUACAUCAUUGUCAUUACUAGGUUGAGCAUCAAUAUGAACAUCAUCAUUAAUAUUAUCACUAGGUUCCUGUUCAUUACGAGAUUGUGUUUCAGCAUCAGAAAGAGAAAUAUCAUUGGGAUUCUUAGGUAUGUCGACAACAGGUUCAGUAGAAGCAUGUAAAGUCCUAUCAUUUUUGUUUUUCUUCUUCUUCUUAGAAGGACUAGGUGCAUCAACAUUAGUUCUCUGAGAAUCUUGCUCAAUUAUCUUAGGGUGGCCCCCAGGAUACAAAGGUUCCUGAGUCAUUUUCCCCCUCUAGUCAUAACUCUAACAAUAUUAUUAUUUUUCUUAUUAUUUAAUUCAUUGGGCAGAUCAUGUUGAGCUUUAAGCACUUGUUCUACUUGAGUGGUAACCAUAGAAGCAUGUUUACUAAUGAGUUUAAGUUCACCUUUAACUCUAGACAUAUAAUCACUCAAGUGUUCAAUCAUAUAAGCGCAUUACGUUGCAAUUGUCUACCAACAUAAGCAUUGAAGUUUUCUUGUUUAACCAUAAAGUCAUCAAACUCAUCCAAGCAUUGGCUAUCAAACUUACACUACUAGGGAAAAGGCUACCAGCAGCGCGGGUUUUAGGUGUAUCAGCAGCGCAGGUACCCACGCUACUAAUAAGGCGCUACAGCUAAUAGUUAGUAGUAGAGUGGUAGCGUGUGCCACCCACACUACUGCUAUUACAGACCCGCGCUACUACUAAUGAAGUAGUAGUAGCAUGCCUAUAAGACCAGCGCUACUAGUAUCCUUAAUACUAGUAGGGAACUUUUUUCCCAAUGCUACUAGUAACAAAUUAGGAAUUGAAAAAAAUAAAAAUAGAUGCAGUAUUCAUGAAUGGAGAUCAGAGACACAUCCAAUGCAAAAUAAAUUUCACAGAACCAUCUUAACACUUACAGUGUUCAUGGAUGCAACAUUGAACAUCUCAACACGAAGAGAUCAUGAGGACGCACACAACCAUCAUCAAAAGGUUGGUACCUUCCCUAGCGUUUCACCACCAACCUAACCAGACCACUUCUCUAGAUGUAUGUACAAAGCGUCGAGGUCCUCCACCUUGAGGAACUCCAGACGGUGGCGUCGUCCUCCACCUCGGUGACCUCCGGACGGUGGCGUUGAGGUCCUCUGCCCCGGGGACCUCCUGCGUCGCAAUCACCUGGAUGAUAAUCUGUAUGACGCAGUCGCGAGGCUUCACGGUGAAGUCUGCCUCCGAGUAGUUGAAGAGCACGACUCCCAUCGGGCCGCAGUAGUCCUCGUCAGUCACCCUGCACCCAGUCGAGAAAGUGAAAACUUAUUGUGCAAAACUAUAAAGCAGUAGAAGUUAGAGACGUGAACCAUCAGUUUCACAUAGGAAAUAGAAACAUAUGAUAUUAGAUGAAAGGCAGCAAGCAUACUCUUUCUCAAACAAACUUCUCGUCUGUGUACAUAACAGCAGCAUGGAGUGGGAACUGCUAGUGCAUGGUUAGAAAACGCUCUACUGACCAUGCUUUCUACCAAGCUAGAUAUUUAUGCAGUAUACCACAUACUAAGCUUGUGGUUAGCUGAUCCGUUGGUUUGCUGUAAAAUAAUAGGGAAAGAAAGGGCAUAAAGGAUGAUGAGAUGAUGGACCUACAUUUCACAUUAUACCUUAUAUGAACUGUAGUUACCAUAACUUUGCUUGCCACCUCAUAGAUGUUGAAAAAAAAGUCUUGACAGCAAGGAAACUUCAAACGAUACUUCCAUGGCAUGACAAAUGAAUGACUUCCCUGCACAAAUUGUACUGCUAGAAUAAGAAAAUUAAUGCAAGAUCCAUGAUGUGUUCAUUACCAUUUGUGUCAUCCUCUGUAUGGUACUUAAGCUAUUCCUCUGAAUCUGCUGAAAAUAGUCUCACCCUCGAGAUCUUUAAUAAAAGAAAUCAACAUUUUUGUGAUUUAAAGUUCUUUUUUAUAUGUGAUGGUCCUAGCAUUCCAAAAAAAAUCAGAAAUAUUCUGAACAUAAUCUAAUGACAGAGGAAAAAGUAAUAUACACAUGUAAUAUUCAUCUUCACUUAUUACCUGGGUUCACUGGAUAUGACUACCUCAACAUCUGCACAUGUUUCUUUUCCCUGCAGCUAAGGAGCAAAAAUGAUAUUCAUUUUCUUCAGAUGUCUUGACUUAUAAUCCCAGAAUAUAUAAGCAUAACUAAUUGCGUAGAGUAAUACUGGGAUAAAUAAAGAAACUUUAAUUCAUGUUUUCCCUAUAUGCAUAUAGUAGUAGCAAGAUCUAUAAAAAUUAAACAUCAACUCUUUUGUCAUGUAAGCAUGACGCACUUGCACAAAGAAGUUGCCGGAUUGUCGAAAACCUAUGACACUGUGAGACAGAACGAAGCUUCGCAUUCAAUACUCGUCAUUCAUGUGUUAAGAGUCUAGCACAUAGGUCUACAGAAACAGGCAAGCACGCAUCUGAACAUAGGUAGAAAAUUUAAGCUAUCUCGGUACAACAUGUUUGUGUAUAAAUUGAUGAAGUGCAUAAAUAAACUGAUGACAACUCCAAGCUGGCAGAUAGCCGGACGGAGACCGAAACAUUGGCCAGAGUAGAGCCAAAAACGAAGCCGUUGGGUAUCACUGAUCCGGCAACGAAUUGCACAAUGUAUGUAUGUAGCAUGAUGGAGCGAUCAGGAACAGCACCUGCAGCCCAAUCAUGCAACUUAGACCGGAGGCACUAACGCAUCAUCGAUCUGCAUCGCCCCUGAGGCUCCAGUGAUCCCCCGAUUUGGUCCCCGAAUCGACCCCCAAGUCCCUAGAGUUCCAUGGCGGAAUACAUGGGCCCCCGAUGGAGCGCCAUGGUGACGGCCCUGCCUACCUAGUGCCUACGCGCGCUACCGGUGGGGGGCGAGACCGGCCUCGGACGGAGGAGAUCCGGGCUGGCCGGCCAGACCGGACUCGAUCUGACUCGGUUCUUCACGCGGGAGGUCGUAUGUAAGCGAGGAAACGAAGGGAAAUCCGAGCAAAGAUAAGGGCUUCCUUACCGGGAGGAGGACGGUUUCUCACCGGUGCUCCGGUGGAGAUGGGCGGCGAGGGUUUUUGGCGGCGAGAGGCUUCGGGGCGGCCUCUCCUGUAAACGCCCUCCGACUUGUCGCCGUGCGCGGGCGCUUCUCGUCGGCGGCCGCGGGCUCCUCCCCCUCCUCGCGCUCGCGCUUCCGCGCAGGGGACUGGUGCUCCUCCUCGUCCGCGCCCAUCGCCGGCCGCCGGGAGGAAGGAGAGAGAAGGGGCGGGCAGAGGAGGAAGGGGAAGGGAGGGGAAUGAGGAGGAGGUGGGGUGUUGCGCGCGGACGGUGCUCGCCGGAACCAGCCGGCAUGGGUGGGGGCGGCGGCGAGGAGAUCGUGGGGAGAGGAGCCGGGGUGGGGUGGACCGAGGAGAUCGUGCGGAGUUCCUGAGAUAGAGAGAGUGGUGGGGUGGGAGUGGAUCGGGCCGGGGUGGAUGGUGCAGCAGUGGACACGGUUAGUAAUAGCGUGGGGUUUUUACCUGCGCUAUAGCUACCUACUUAGUAGUAGCGCGGGUUUUAUACCCCUCACUACUACUAUGACCUGUUUCAGGGGUAUGAUGAAGAACAUUUAGUAGUAGCGCGGGUUUAUACCCCUCGCUACUACUAUGAGCUUAUUAGUAGCGCGGUUUUUAUACGCCACGCUGCUACUAAUUAGCAGUAGCGCCCGUUUUUAGACCGCGGUUCUGAUAAACUUCUGUGUAUAAGGUUUUCCCUAGUAGUGUUAGUAGACGGGAUUUCAGCUUUAUCAUAUCUAUAGAGAGAAUUUACCUUACUACCUGUGAUGGGUUAUCAAGACCAUGUAUUUCUUCAAUAGGUGGUAAAUUCUUAACAUCUUCAGCUUUAAUACCCUUCUCUUUCAUAGAUUUCUUUGCCUCUUGCAUAUCUUCAGGACUGAGAAAUAGAAUACCCCUUUUCUUUGAAGUUGGCUUAGGAGUUGGUUCAGGAAGUGUCCAAUCAUUUUCAUUACUCAACAUAUUAUUCAAUAGCAACUCAGCUUGAUCAACAGUUCUUUCCCUGAAAACACAACCAGCACAAGCACUACUAGGAAAAGGGCUAUAGAUGGAAUGGACACUAAUGGCACACCUGUCAUGUGGUGCGCCACUCCUAUAUAGCAGUGGCGCACCAUGUGUUGGUGCGCCAUUAGUGUGGAAGACACUAAUGGCGCACCUGGCACAUGGUGCGCCACUAGUAACAAAUUUUUUAUUUUAUUUUUCCAAACAUACUAAUGGCACAUCACGGCACGGUGCGCCAUUACUAGUGCUAACUCAUAAUGGCGCACUGACCACACAGUGCGCCACUACUGUUGUUUUUUUUAUUCUUUUUUUUGCAAAACUACUAAUGGCGCACCGUAGCAUAGUGCGCCAUUACUAGUUUAAACUAGUAAUGGCGCACUAUGCCACAGUGUGCNNNNNNNNNNNNNNNNNNNNNNNNNNNNNNNNNNNNNNNNNNNNNNNNNNNNNNNNNNNNNNNNNNNNNNNNNNNNNNNNNNNNNNNNNNNNNNNNNNNNNNNNNNNNNNNNNNNNNNNNNNNNNNNNNNNNNNNNNNNNNNNNNNNNNNNNNNNNNNNNNNNNNNNNNNNNNNNNNNNNNNNNNNNNNNNAUAUUAUUUUUUUGCAAAACUUCUAAUGGCGCAUCAGCAGCAGGUGCGCCAUUAGUAACCAGGGUUACUAAUGGCACAUUUGCAGGUGGUGCGCCAUUAGUAACCUGGGAUCAACAAGAAUUUUGGACAGCCCACCUACCCACUCACUUUCCCCACUUCAUUCUCCACCUCCUCCUCCAAGCUUGUCUCAGCUGCCUCCUCCUCCUCACCUCAUUUGCACCAUAGAUUCAUCCAAAUUAAGUGGUUAAAUUACCGGUAUAUGUUUGUGGUGUUGCAUAUAUGUUCAUGUUUGUAGGUACCGGUAUUUGAAAUGUGAUAGUUGCCAAUAUUUUGCCAGAAUGUUGAUUCAUUUCCGUUUCAGCGAGAAUUUUGGCACUAUGCAUUCUUUUUGGUCCUAUUUUUAGGGAAAGUCAUGCCAAAUUUUUUAUUGGUUCUAAAAUAUCGUUUUGCUCUACCCCGCAGGCGACCAUGGUCCGCACGAUGACCGAAGGCAUCGUGAAUAGGUUUUUGAGCUCCACGAAGGCCGAGAUGCUUCAAAAUAAAGAGACGGAGAUAAGAUGUCCGUGUCGAAGAUGCAAGCUGAAGAGCCUUAUUGCGGACCUGGAUUCCGGGCAGGUGCGGGACCACAUGCUCUUGCGUGGUUUCAUGGAUGGCUAUCGGUGGCAAGGUGAUGAAGAUGACUAUGAAGUCGUCCAUGGGGGCCGGGCAAGAAAUGAGGAAGGGCAGCAAGACAACCACCGCGGCUCGGGCGGGCGAGAAGACGAAGAAUCUCCAGGACAUGAUCACAACGGUGAUGCUGUACACAGUCAUCAUGUAGAAGAUGUCGGACAUGAUGAUGAGGAAGAUGCCGGAGCAGACGAAGGGCAUGAUCAUGAAGAUGAAGAUGCCGGCGGAGCAGACGACGAUGGACCAUCGAUGGGCUGGGUGCAGGACCCUCAUAUUCAAGAGUUUCUUCUCAAGCAGACAAAUAAUGCAAGAGCUGCCGCCCGAGAGAAAGCCAAGCUAGAUCAACUGGAGAUAGACGCGGUUACUCCAUUGUAUGAAGGAUGCAGGCCCGAGGAUAGCCGCCUGAAAGCAACGCUCAUGGCUCUGGAGAUGAAGGUAAAACACAAAAUGAUCUUCGCAUGCUUCGACGAGAACAUGUCAUUCUGGCACGAACGUCUUCCCAAGGGGAACAAGUGCCCGACCAGUUUCGAGGAGGCGAAAAAAAUCGCGUGUCCUCUGGAUUUACCGCACGUGAAAUACCAUGUGUGCAUGAACAAUUGCAUCAUUUAUCGGGACGAGCACGCGGAGUCUACCAUAUGUCCGGUGUGCGGCAUCACUCGAUACAAGAAGAGGAAGAAAGCUCCUCGAAAAGUGGUGUGGUACUUUCCGAUCACUCCUCAUCUGCAGCGGUAUUUCGCGGACCCUAAGGUAGCAAAGCUCCUGCGUUGGCAUGCGGAUAGGGAGGAGAAGAAGCGAGAAGAUGACGCAAAUGAUCCGGAGAUAAAUAAAAAAGACAAGAUGCUGAGUCACCCAAAGGAUGCGAGCCAGUGGCAAGCGUUGAACUUCGAACACCCAGAAUUUGGGAAGGAUCCAAGGAACAUCGUGCUGGGCGCAAGCACCGAUGGAGUCAAUCCGUUUGGCAGCCAGAGAAGCACACAUAGCACCUGGUCUGUGUUUGUGUGGAUGUACAACCUUCCCCCUGGUUGUGCAUGAAGAGGAAGUACAUUCACAUGAGUAUGCUAAUUGAAGGGUCGAAACAACCAGGGAAUGACAUCAAUUUGUAUCUGGGGCUGCUGAAAGAGGAGCUAGACACGUUGUGGAAAAUGCCAGCCAAUACGUGGGAUGCCGCAGAGAAAGAAUAUUUCCCUAUGAGAGCCGCACUUCUCACGAUGGUGCACGACUAUCUCGGUUACGGAUAUCUCACGGGGCAGGUGGUCCAUGGAUUUUCUGGAUGCGUCAGGUGCAUGGAUGACACAACGUAUCGCCAGCUAGAUAGAGAUCCCGGGUUUUCGAAAACCGUGUUCAUGGGACAUCGAAGGUGGCUUCGCGAAGAUGACCCAUGGAGGAAACGCAAGGAUCUAUUCGAUGGUGAAACCGAACCCCGAAGAUGCCCGCGUACGAGGAGCAGCGAGGAAAUAGACCAGCUAUUGAAAAAUUGGAAAGAUUGCCCACUGCCGGGAAAGAAGAAAAAGGCGCCAAAGCCGGGAAAGAAGCGAAAGGCGCUAGAGCCGCUGCUGAAGGUAUGGAAAACGAGGUCUGUUUUCUGGGACUUGCCAUACUGGAAGAUCCACCGUGUGCCUCACUGCCUUGAUGUCAUGCAUAUCACAAAGAACGUGUGCGAGAGUCUGCUUGGUACCCUGCUCAACAUGCCAGAGAGGACCAAAGAUGGGCCGAAAGCAAGGGCAGACUUGAAAUCAAUGGGCAUCAGGGAGGAGCUUCACGCUAAUGAUGAUGAUGAUGAUGAUGAUGAUGAUGAUGAUGAUGAUGAGGCAAAGCAGGACAUGGAAAGUCGUCGCAAAGGCAAAAAGGCCAAGAAGACCGGAAAUGACUACCCUCCCGCGUGCUUCAGUCUAAGUCAGGAGGAGAUCGAGCAGUUUUUCACCUGCCUCGUAGGAGUAAAACUUCCUUACGGUUACGCGGGGAAGAUAAGCAGAUACCUAGACCCAGCGAAGCAGAAGUUCAGUGGGAUGAAGUCUCACGACGGUCACGUGCUAAUGACGCAGAUACUUCCAGUUGCAAUCCGUGGGAUCAUGGACGCGCACGUCCGUGAAAUGCUAUUUGGCCUAUGCAACUUUUUCGACGUCAUCUCUCGGAAGUCGGUUGGCGUGAGGCAACUCAGAAGGCUACAGGAAGAGAUUGUGGUGAUACUAUGCGAGCUUGAGAUGUACUUCCCGCCCGCAUUCUUCGAUGUUAUGGUGCAUCUGCUGGUCCAUAUCAUGGAGGAUAUCAUCCAACUCGGGCCAACGUUCCUACACAGCAUGAUGCCGUUCGAAAGGAUGAAUGGUGUCAUCAAAGGAUACGUUCGCAACAUGUCACGUCCAGAGGGAAGCAUAGCCAGGGGCUUUCUGACCGAAGAGUGCAUCUCCUACUGCAUGAAUUAUCUAGGCAUCGAGGACCCCGUUGGUCUGCUCGUCAACAGGCACCUCGGCAGGCUCGCUGGAUGGGGUCACCGUGAGGGUCGCCGCGAAAUGCAUGUCGACUUCGAGGGUCGACUCGCCGACUUUGAAAGAGCAAACCUAGUCGCGCUACAACACAUAGACGUGGUCGGUCCUUGGGUGGUAGAGCACAAAACCUUUAUUGAGAAGACGUACAAUGACCGAGGCCAACAGAGGACGGACGGAGAUAUAAUCAAAGAGCACAACUCAUGUUUCACGCGUUGGUUCAAGCAGAAGCUUCUGUCGUACCCUUUACAUGAGGAUUCUUCUGCGGAAGAGCAACUCAUAUUCGCCUUGUCACAGGGCGCCGAGCACAACCUGAUGACCUAUGAGGUGUACAAUAGCAACGGCUACACCGAGGACAAGGACAUGAAGAGCGAUGGUUAUCAGAACUCCAGGGUAACGAUGGAAUCCUACACCGGUAACGACAAGAACAGAUACUACGGAAGGAUCGAGGAGAUCUGGGAGCUGAGCUAUGCUGGAGAGAAGGUCCCGAUGUUCCGUGUCAGAUGGGCCAAGAGCGUCCUAAAAUAAGAUCGGUAUUUCACCACCAUGGUUAUACCCGAAGCCAAAUCCAAGACCGCAGGCACAACGUCACCGCGAAAAAUGAGCCAUGGGUACUGGCUUCCCAAGUGGACCAAUGCUUCUUCAUUACCGACCCGUCAAAGCCCAGUCGUGUUGUCGUGAGGAGAGGCAAAAUGAAGAUCAUCGGAAUGGAUGGAGUAGCCAAUGAGCAAGACUUUGACAAGUACGGCGACCCGAAGAUCGAACAUGACGACGACGAUGAAGUAGCAGCAUACACCACAAGAAGAAGCAGGACCACCCUACCUAAAGGACGUCCGUUCCACAGAAGAACUUCAUUUGCGAAAAAGAAGGGCAAGAAGGUUGUGAACAGAUAGCUAGCUAAGAUCGAUUGUAUUUAAAUCGUAUCCUUCAUUUCUCGAUUGUAUUUCAUGGGCACUUUUUGAACUCAUGAAUGCUUUUAAAUUUCAUGGACACUCGAUCUCGAUCCCCCUCCAUCUCGAUCGCUAUCCCACCUCGCCAGAUCCGGUCCCCCUCGCCGCCGCCGACCCCCCGCACCCUCCCCCACUCCACCGCCGUCGACGACCCACCGCACCCUCCCCCGCUCCACCGGCCGCCGCCGCCGACCCCCGGCCCGCACCCUCCCCACUCCAUCGUCGCCGACGACCCACCGCACCCUCCCCCGCUCCACCGGCCGCCGCNNNNNNNNNNNNNNNNNNNNNNNNNNNNNNNNNNNNNNNNNNNNNNNNNNNNNNNNNNNNNNNNNNNNNNNNNNNNNNNNNNNNNNNNNNNNNNNNNNNNNNNNNNNNNNNNNNNNNNNNNNNNNNNNNNNNNNNNNNNNNNNNNNNNNNNNNNNNNNNNNNNNNNNNNNNNNNNNNNNNNNNNNNNNNNNNNNNNNNNNNNNNNNNNNNNNNNNNNNNNNNNNNNNNNNNNNNNNNNNNGCACCCUCCCCCACUCCACCGCCGCCGCCGACCCCCCGCACCCUCCCCGGCCCGCUCCACAGUCACAAAUGAAUGCAACUAAAAUUGCAAAAAAAACAAAUUUGAUUAUAUUUUCAAAUAACAAAUUUGAUGAUAUUUUCAAAUAAUAAAUUUGAUGAUAUUUUUUCAUAUUCAUAAAUAUUUUCAAAUAACAAAUUUGAUGAUAUUUUUAAAAUAUUAUUACUAUUUUUAUAAAAAAUAUUACUGUUAUGAUUUAAACAAGUUUGAACAUAUUUAAACAUAAAUAAAUAUCAAAACAACAUUUUAAAUGCAUAAAAACAAAAAUUGGGGAGCCUGGGAAUCGAACCCAGGACCUUCUAGUGUGUGUGCUGGGUGCUGACCAGUCGUGCUAGUGGGCGUGUUCUGAUGGAGAUAGUGUUAGGUGGAAUAUAACCUAACCAGUCGGGCUAGUAAUUAAAACAAAAUUCUAAUGGCGCACCAGGGGGAGGUGCGCCAUUAGAAUCGUCGUACAUAUNNNNNNNNNNNNNNNNNNNNNNNNNNNNNNNNNNNNNNNNNNNNNNNNNNNNNNNNNNNNNNNNNNNNNNNNNNNNNNNNNNNNNNNNNNNNNNNNNNNNNNNNNNNNNNNNNNNNNNNNNAAAACCGGUUCGUAAGGGCCUUUAGUGCCGGUUCCAUAACCGGCACUAAAGGGUGGGCACUAAAGGCCCCCCUUUAGUACCGGUUCGGCACGAACCGGCGCUAAAGUUCCACCACGUGGCGUGAGCUCGCGCCCUGGUAUGGGGGACCUUUAGUACCGGUUGAUUACUAAAGGAUUUUUUUAUUUUGUUUUUGAAAAUUUUGGAAAUUUUUUUGAUUUGUUUUUUUAUUUUUUAUUUUUUCUGAAUUAUUUGAUGAUUUAGUCUCUAAUCACCUCUCUUAACUGCUCAAGUGUGGAUCACUCAUUCCAAAUCGCCUAACUUCCCGGCCGGUCACCCAUCCUCUCACUCCUCCAGCUUGAGCACACUUAACUUCGGAGUUCUAUUCCCCCUACAUUCCAAGUCUGCACUUGUUGUUUUCCUGACAAAUGUAAGCUGUCAAUCCUAUUAACCCUCAGCAGUUUAGCUUGAGCAUUAGGUCACACGUUUCACCGUUUUAGUUUGAAACUAUUAUUCUAAAAGACAGUAAUUAUUUAGUAACACUAAUAUUUCUUGAAUAAGUUUGACCAUAGUUUGACCAUAGUUUGACCAUAGUUUGACCAGAUUUGACCAAAAUUCAAAAAAUUGAAAUAAUUAUUUAGUAACACUAAUAUUCUUGAAUAAUUAUGUAGUAACAUUAAUACUUCUUGAAUAAGUAGUUUGACCAGAUUUAACCAUUUUUUUAAAAAAACUGAAAUUUGACCAUAUCUUUUUUCCUUUUGGAAUUUGAGGAUUCUAAAAAAAUUGCAAACAGGCCGUAGGCGGUCUCCAUUUGAUGCGGCUUUUCAUGCUGAAUUUUUUGAUAUAUUAUACGUUUUUUUCCGACAUAGCCAUUUUACAUUUUCCCUACACUUUUUGCAAAACAUGUCCAAAUUUAAGUUUUCAAAUUUGCCUAACUAGUAGAUGUAGUAAUAUAACUACCCCUCGAAGGAUUUUAUUUUUUGAAGCUUUUAUCAUUUUCNNNNNNNNNNNNNNNNNNNNNNNNNNNNNNNNNNNNNNNNNNNNNNNNNNNNNNNNNNNNNNNNNNNNNNNNNNNNNNNNNNNNNNNNNNNNNNNNNNNNNNNNNNNNNNNNNNNAAUUGCCCUAUAGUGCCGUUUUGUGUCUUCAACCGGGACUAUAGGUUAAGACUCUUUAGUGCCGGUUGGUGACACAAACCGGUACUAUAGGUUAGACCUUUAGUACCGGUUUGUGUCACAAACCGUCACUAAAGGGGCUUGUGGGGCCCUGGCCUGACGCCAGCCUGCCACCACCCCUUUAGUACCAGUUCGUGGCACGAACCGGUACUAAAGGUUCAUUACGAACCGGCACUAAUGCAUAGCCAAUCGAACCGGCACUAAUGGUCACAUUAGUGCCGGCUCAAAUACAAACCGGGGCUAAAGGGCUGAACAUUUGACCCUUUUUCUACUAGUGACACCACCUAUUCCCCUCGCACUGUGGCGUCCCUCCCUCCCUCGCCAGAUCCCCCACUCGACCCCAACCGUACGCAGCCGCCCCCUUGCUCUGCCCCCUCCGUGCGCCGCGCCUACACGCCGUCGGCGCCGCCGCCGCCGCUGUGGUCUUGCGUUGCCCUGAUGCUGCCGCCCCGACCCCCGCGGGACUCCACCCCCACCGCCCCCGCGCCCCCGAAUCAUGGAUCAUGGCAAAAUUUACCAAUUCACCAUGGCAAAUUUAGUUGGUCAUCUGACCGUUGGCAAUUUGUUCCAUGUAUAACCAGUGAUUAUGCCUUUGAGGCAGUUAGUUAACCUCUCACCUAUGUUCAUGCAGGGAUAUUAUUCUUGGAAAAGCCACUGUUGGUGACGGAAUAGAAAGAUAAGCAGGUACCUAUCUUCAGUCCCAAUCUAACAGGGUAGUCCAUGGAUUCAAACUCGCUAAAGGAGAUUCAAACUGCCAAACCUUUAGGUUAACAACUCAACACAAACCAAUCCCUGAAGCAAUAACUCAACACAAACCAAGUGCAUUAUUUUUGUGAUUGUUUUCAUGUUUGCAGAACCAAUAUUUUUGUGCCAAAAAUCAGUUUACUCCCUCAUGCCGACAACCACUCAUUUUUCAGUUAACUCCUUACAGUUUAGAUCAUAUUUUGAUUGUCAACAAUAGUGGACUUUUAAGGCUUUUUCAGAGGCAAUACUAGUGGAUAUUAUGCCUUUUUACAGGCAAUAAUAGUGGAAUUUUAGGCUUUUUUUGGAGGAGUGUGUUUCAUGCUGGCCUACAGUGAUGAAUUAGUCAGAAUUGUGUAUGAUUGUGCCUAAAGUAAAUAAAGAUACAGACAAAAUAAUUAGGGGAGCAUGUGUGAAUCUAAAGUAUAUUGUCAACUUCCAACAUUUGCUCUGUUGUCCAUGUGGUUGAAGCAAUGAAGUUGAGUGUGUCAUUCUUGCUAUGGUCAUGUAAUAGAAAUGCUCUGCCUUGCUAAUUUUACCAUGAGAUUUGGGGUAAUCAGCUAGUUCUGGUCAAAGAAAGUGGUUUUCCUGAGCUAUGCCUUGGUUAGAAAAUGACGCAUGAUGGUUUGUUCAGAAGAGGAAUAAUCCCAGGAUAGCACGUAUCAUGGGGUCAAACCUGGGACCCCUAUUAUAAUUUGAUUUUGAUUAUUAAUUUUUCUGUGAGCAGAUGAAUUACAGUGUUUGUGUUGUAAUGAAACUUGAGCUGAAAUAGAACUUGACAGCCUGUAAAGUGAAUAUAUGCAGUGAACAGAAAUUGACAGGUUUUCUUGACUGAAUUCAGUCCUGUACAGUGAAUAUAUGCAAUCAAUAUACAGUCAUUGUAAUUUUUGGGAGUAAUUUUUGGUGUCAAAUCACUCAAGCAGUAACUGAAUUUUCAAACUGAACUUGACACAAUACUAUUCAGUUAAUUUGCUUGGACAGUAGUAUGUAUGCUCAUAACUUUAUGUAUGGUGUUAUGCCCUGUUAUCUCUGUUCAGUUGACUAAUGAAGCACUAGGCUCAUCCAUGGUACAAGUUCACCUGUGAACACUUGAAAUUAGUCAGGACAUCCCGUACUGAUAGAUGUAAAUUGUGUCCAGUAGGCUUUGAAGCACCGGUUUUUCCUGUUUCUAACUCUGAAUCUGAUAUAAACCAUACUGUUGGCAUAAGUGGUCUUUUGUAUAUGUGCCGAUGCUUUGUUAAUAUAAAGCUAUAGAUGAUGUUGUACUUGUGAUGAUGCUACUUGUGAUCUUCUGAAAUGACCCAUUGGCGACUUCAUUACGCGGGGAUAAUGAUAUUGCAGGUACCCGGAGAGGCCCUUGAGUUUGCUGGGAUGUCGAUUAACUUCCGUUCUGGCAAAUUCGGGUACUCCAUAUGUCCUAUUUUCAGCAAAGGUCAUGCUGAAAUUUUCCAUGAAUUUUAGCAUGACUUUGCUAAAAAUAGGACAUAUGGGGUACUUGCGACUAAUGCAUGGGCCGGGGUAUCUUAGUACUUAGUUAAGUAGGAUCAAUUGCCCCGCCAUUCUUGCUGCAUAGGUGGCAAUACAGCCAAGUGAUUAGUGCCAAGUGCUUAGGCCCAACCUAGGGUGCCUCGGCAUCGAUAAACCCUAAAUGAUGAAAACCUAACUUAGCAUUUAGGGUGCCUCGGCGUCGACAAACCCCAAAUGAUGAAACCUUGGCUUCUAUAGGGUGCCUCGGUGUCGAUGAGAACCUAAAUGAUGUACGCUUAGGCUUUUAGGGUGCCUUGGCGUCGACAAACCCUAAAUGAUAAAAGCUUAGCUUUUAGGAUGCCUCGGUGUCGACAAACCCUAAAUGAUGAGACCAUGAUCUUGUUCCUUGACAAUAACCAACUUUUUGACCAAACUUUUUUCCUAUUUAGAGCGAAACAUGGCCCACAAUGAUGAGGCCGGCGGUUCGGGCGGCAAGCAAUUCUGGGAGCUGUCCCAGGAGAUGGAGGAACAACCUCACCACUAUGAGGACGCCGCGGAAGACACCGAUCCUGACUACACAACCACUAGUGGAGUCGGGGAUGACACCACUGAUGGCGCCGCCGAGGAUGCCACCACUGAUGAUGGUGGCGCAUGCACAGAUGGCAGCCAACCGAAGAGGCAACGGAAGGACCGGUGCCCGAGCGUGCUCGGCACUGUCAGGGAGGAAUUUACUGAAGUGAACUCCGACGGGCAUCCGACGGCGCCGAAAGAAGUAGUCAGGGGGUACUCGGUUCAGCUCGGGUGCAUUCUACGGAGCACCGUCUCGAUCAACACCGAGAACCUAAGGCAUAAGGACCGAGGGAAUUUGCACAGCCUCCUCUUCAUGAAGCUGCACGAACGAUACAAGUUCCCCACUGAGUUUGCAAACACAUGCCUCUCAGGGAAUAAAGUGAACAGUGCUGCCCUCAUGAAGAUGAGCACGGCCCUGUCUACUUGGAGAAGCACAGUGAAGGCAAUGAUUGAUAAAGGUGAUAGUUAUGACAAGAUCAAGGCGAAAUAUCCUUUGAUGAGCGAAGAUGACUACAAGGAGUUCAAGAUCAAGUGCGAGAGCCCCGCAACCUCCGAAUCAAGUCAGUGGGGGAAAGAAAUGCGGCAGUUGAACUUAGGGGUCCACCAACUCGGUCCCGACGGUUACAGAGUGGCGGAGCCUAUAUGGGACAAGGAGGACGCGGAGCGUGCCGAGCAAGGCCUACCGCCCCGCUUCGAGAAAUACAGUGACAAGCAGACUAGGAACUUUCUCAGGGCCCGGUACAAGGAGGACCCGGUAACAAAGGAGCUUACCACGAAUCCGAAGACCAAGGAGCUUGAGCUUGUUCUGGUAAGGAAUACAUCCCCGCAUAAUUAGCUCCAUAUGGUUGCAUUCUAAUUAAUCCCCAAUAUUUCUAAAUGGUUCAUGUUCCUUCCGCAGGACAAAGAAAGUAGUAGCGUGGGGUCGUCUCAGAGCUCCCCUUUUGACACCCCUUUGAAUAGGGCGUUGAACGUAAUGAAAAACAAGGAUAAGCUCAGUAAGUCGACGUCAGCUGGUCAUGUGGCCGGCAAAGGCUUGUCCACAAAAUGGUCGUCAUACUAUACCGCUGGUGGGCGAAAGGAGAAAAAGACCAGCUCGGAAAGCCAGUCGCGCAAGGUUGAAGCACUCAAGGCACAAGUUGUGCGGAUUCUAGAGCUUGUACAAGAGCAAGUGGAACAACAACUCGAACGAAGCUCAACGCCAUGGCGCCUAUGUUGAUUCAUGGGCUGACGACGUGGAUUGCGGGCGGCCAACAGGGGCCUCCCCCGGUUCCUAGCUUCAUGGCCAGCAACUCGCACAGCACGCAGGCGGCGCCAUUGGUGUCUGCGGCGGAGGCGGUAUUCGCGUCUCCGGCGCCGGCACGGGCAUUUGAGCUUAAUGCACCCGGGUGUACGCCGGCCGACACCUUGCCAGCGAGCGGCCCCUCCGUCAGUUGCACGCCCGCCGUUGGCGGUGCCUCGGUAUUAGCCGAGCUCGACGGCAUCACGGUAACUAAGCCUCUCGGCCGAUGACUUCAUCUCCUUGCCUUUGAAUGGGCAUCCCUGACGCCCUACAUGUUUUCGCAGGGCGCCGCCAACGUACCUUGCACUCUCCUGCACUUCGUGGGCGACGAGUUGGUCGAUGUCGCCAAGGGCAGAAUCGUUCAACCGGGCAACCCGGUGUUCCACGGUAAUUCGAUGCCACCCACGGUGUAUAGGGUUGAAGUGGUUCGGGUGCUGCCAGGCUGCAAUGAGCUGCUACCUCCGAUUCGACCCGCUGGGGCCGACGAAGAAGAUGAGAUGACCCUCAGCACCUGCGUAAGCUGGCCCCUGCUUUGGCCGAAGAGCCAGAUUCGUUUGGGGGCGGGGGACACCACCCCAUAGACAAGACCGCCAGUCGUGCUGGCGCCAAGCCAUGACAAGAACGCCGCAACGCUACCGGACAUGCCGGACAUCCCUAUGGCACAGGAUCCGGACAUGCAUAUGGCACAGGAUCCGGACGACGACGACAACGACGACGGUACAUUUACCAACGUCGAUAAGUACUUUGCAGAACAUGGGUACGGUGAUGAGUUCUGCGGGCCUCCUUCUCAAGAACCCAACCAAGACGACCGCGAUCUAGCUGGUACGGCGGAGAAACCCACUUGCAACAGGCGUCGUCUGGCGUUCAGUUCUUAGGAGACGCCUCCAGCUGCCGCCUUCACCGAGCCUCAAAUAGCUGAGGUGCGAAAUAUUAUCAGCCCCAACACGCUCAAGAAGGCGGUCUGUGAGCAGAACUCGGUCCCAUUAUAGCAGAUCAAGAAUAAGAGCUGGAAACGGAAGACUAAAAAGGGCGCGGUGCGAGCCAGCCGGCACCGAGUACGAUCCAUGCUCAGGACGGGCCACCUUCACCUAAGGAUAUCUUGAGGAGGGUGCAUGUGGCGGGUAGGGAGAUGCUACCGACAAAUAUGCUCAAUGCUGCAACCGGUGCUAUGCGGAGUCUGCACGACAGUGUUCUUUCUUUGGAGAAGCGGCGUCUCAGAGAGAACGAUCUGGCAUACCCGGUUUUUGUGGCCAAGGUGCCAAAGGGCAAGGGCUUUGUGGAUGGCGACAUCGGGGGUACGAUCGUCCUGUGGUUUGAUGACAUCUUUGCUAUGUUUAACCUUCAUCCGCUGCACUACACCUUCGUUCAGCUAUUUUCGCUUAGUAUGGAGAUGCGGAUCAUUAGAGACAAGAACCCGGACAUUGUGAUAGUCGACCCCUUCUACAUGCAUGCCAAGCUCUUGAGCAGCGCUGGGGACCGCCAAGUCGCGAGUUCACACCUCGAAGGUGUCAUUCUGGCAAACCCAAAUAAGGAUAACUUCCUUGUGGCUUACUUUCCCGAGUAAGUCAUCCCUUAACCGCCCCGUAACAAAUGAUUUCUUAGAUUUCGAUCGUUCUUUUUUUCCUAACAUUCCGUGUUCUGUGCAGUGACACACAUUGCACACUCAUCCUCUUAAGCCCGAAAUAUUCCAUGGCCACGUAUUUCGACCUGAACCGUGACUCCAAGAUAGACUACACAAAUAUCAAGAAAGUUCUUGAUGAUGUUCUCCCCGGCUACGCCAAAUCUGGAGGCACCUUCACCAGGGCAGUUCGUAAGUACGGCAAGCACGUGUUCGCCCACAAUACGAUGUUCUGCUGUGUCAAGCAGCCGCCUGGCGGUCAGAAGGAUGCCUACUACGACCUCCAUCACAUGCGGGUGAUCGUAAGGGACAAUCAUCACCUUUUGCUACCAGAUAAUAUCAAAGAUUGGGCCGCGAGCUUGUCAGCAAUUCAGGACGCGGACAUCAGACAAGAAUUCUUUCGCAUCUAGUCGGAGUUUGCCAACAUCAUCCAUCAAGAUGUCCUUCAUACCUCGGGGCAGUUCUACCUCAGAUAUCAACCGUCCAACAGUGAGAUAGACACAAAGCUACAAAUGCAGGCUGACAACGCCCGCGAUUUCAUGACCAUCACGACAGACGACGGCUUCAUCCACGCUCCUGUCUCAUGAGUCGAGUCGAAAGUAGUGAUGCUAUGUGUAGUUCUGAAACAUUGAUUGGCUCAUGUUGUAAUUAAACUUUAAUGAAUUGUAUGUCUCUUUGGUUUGGACAAUCAUUCAACUUAGAUGUAAUCGAUGCUAUUUAUUAGUAGGACCAUGAAUCGUGCUAUUAAUGUCUUGCUUUUCUCUUCCGAUCCUUUUGUUGCAUACUUAUAUAUUGCUUAGAGAUGCCGUCGUAUGUCGUGUACAAGGGUAAGGUUCCUGGAGUCUACGACGACUGGGAGGAGUGUUGGAGACAGGUUCACCGUUUCAGCGAUAACAGUUACAAAGGGUACACCACUAGGGCGGAGGCGGAAUCUAGAUACGCUCGCUAUCUAGCGGGAGAGAGGAGGGAGCGUUGGAGGAACUGGAUGAAGACUAGUUUCAUCGUGAUGAUGCUCAUCGUGAUGACCGCAGCUCUCUUCUAUGUGAUGGUAGUUUAUAUGAUCGAUAUCGACUUGUGAUGUGAAGACAAACUCGAUACUCGCGGUCUCGAGACUUGUAAUGUUUUAUCUUUGUUCGGUCUUUUGAAUUCGGAGACUAAUAUGAUGAAUUGUAUUCGGAGACUAAUCUUCUAUUGUAUUCGAUGAAUCUGCUGAUGCUGUGUGCUGCUGUCUAUAUUCUUUCCAAUAAUAUAUUUUGUAACCUGUGCAAAAAUCAGAAAAGUAAAAAAAAUAAAACCUAAUAUUCAUACUAAUGGCGCAUCACCUCAAGGUGCGCCAUUAGUAUGCCAAUGGAUACUAAUGGCACAUCACUACAGAGUGCGGCAUUAGUAUGCCAAAGGAUACUAACACUAGUAGAAAAAGGGUCAAAUUUGAAGCACAUUAGUGCCGGUUUGUAAAAAACCCGGCACUAAUGUGAUCAAUAGUACCGGUUCGUGGCGAACCUUUAGUACUGGUUCAUGCCAUGAAACGGUACUAUUGAGGCUGUGGCAGCCUGCGGCCAGGCUAUGGCCCCACCAUCACCAUUUAGUGCCGGUUCGUACCACGAACCGGUACUAAUGAGGUUAUGGCAAGCUGUUUUUAGUCCCACCUUGCUCCCCUAACAAGGCUUUUACCACCUUAAAUAUGUUUAUUCUCAAACUAUCACAAGCACUUGGUCUUCAUUGAACUCUAUGUGUAGAAUUUGUGGCCGCAAUAUGAGUCUUCACUGGUUUAUAAAUCGUUGAGGACUCAUAUUGAUAAUUCAGAUUGUACACAAAAAGAUCAUUGAUGAUCAAAGUAUUUUUGAUGUAUAAGAUCAUAGUGACAAUUCAGACUGUAAAGAAAUAUAAGAUCAUGAUCUAAAUGCUCUAUAUUUUUUGCAUUCAGUAUGCACCAUUCAAAGCGACGCCAUCAACUUUCAACCAUUUCUGCCUUCAUUUGCUAUUUUUCACGAAUUUAAUGAUUUGUUUUGAGAACUAAAUGACCUGGAAAUUGAAAAGCACUACAAAUGAACUCUGAAAAAGUUGAAACUUGGCAUGGUAUCAUCAUUUCACCCACAUAUAUUGUUCAAAUAAGUAGAGAGGAUUACGGCAAAAACUGGAUGCACUUUGUUUACAAACUGGAUAAUCUCUUUUGAAGUAUUCGGGUUUCUGACGAAAUUAAACUCAUCUGUUACAAAGGCAUUUCAUUUUUUAAACUUAUUACAACUCCAGACUUUUUGUGCAUUCAGUAUGCACCAUUCAAAGCGACGCCAUCAUCUUUCAACCAUUUCUGCCUUCAUUUGAUAUUUUUCAUGCAUUUAAUGAUUUGUUUUGAGCUAAAUGACACUUAACUUUGUGCAGGCAGCGCACCACCUUUAGUACCGGUUGGUGGCUGCAACCGGUACUAAAGGGUGACCAGUACUACAGUUUCUUAGUAAGCUGUUUUUUAGUCCCACCUCGCCAAGAGAGAUGGACUAGGAGCGGUUUAUAAGCCCUGAGUGCAAAGACGAUGAAGAAGAGGCUCAAUGCUCACGUUGCUUAGCUUCAAGCCUUGAGGAAUAUGGUAGACUGCACGGAGCUAUGUGCAGUGCAGUUUAUACUAUUCCGAAAGGCUUGAAGCUAAUUAACGAGCAUUGCACCUCUUUUUUAUUUUUAAUAACUUAUUACAACUCCGGACUUCUUCUGUUAUGGCAAAAACUAGAUGCAAUUCAUGUACAAACUGGACAAUCUCUUUAAAAGUAUCAGGGCCGGUUUCAGACGAAAACUCAUCUGUUACACCGAAAGGCAUGGUAUAUAAAAAUAAAUGAAUAGAAGAAAAUAAAUAAAGGAGAAAAGAAAAAAUAGCAGAAAAGAAAAAAACUAUAGUAGAAAAGAAAAAACUAUAUAAAAAACUACUCAGAAAUAAAUAGAAGAAAAUAAAUAUAGCAGAAAAUAAAAAAACUACUUAGAAAUAAAUAGAAGAAAAAAUAAAGCAGAAACGAAAAAAACUAUAUCAAAAAAUUUGGGGCGCUGCCCUGUGGGCCUGCUAGACCACGGGCGUGCAAUUUCAGACCCACAAGGCCCAGCAGACUCACAGGAGAGCGCGCCGUAGUUAGGCCCAGAAGCCUGCAUAUAGAGGAGUUCGAAAGGGCAGCCGCGGCUAGGUUUAUAAACCAGUGCGGCUGCCUUUCGCCCGGCGAGGUGGGACGAAACUUUGUGCAGGCAGCGCACCACCUUUAGUACCGGUUGGUGGCUCCAACCGGUACUAAAGUGUGACCUUUAGUACAGGUUGGAGCCACCAACUGGUACUAAAGGCCUUCGUUUCCCGCCGCUUGGCCUGGCGAAAAUAGGCCUUUAGUACCGGUUGGAGCCACCAACAGAUACUAAAGGCCCAUCCUAUAUAUAUAUAUAUAGCACUUACCAAAAUUUCAGUUUCAUCCCCCACUUCGUCUCCAACCGCGCCGCUCGAUCCCGUCGUGUCGCCACCCCUCGCCCGUCGUCCGUCGUUGUCGUCGCUGUCCCCCGCCGCCGCCCGUCGUCGUUGUCGUCUCGCGCCGCUGCCCCAAACGCCGCCGCCGUCUGUCGUCGUCGCCGCGGCGUCGCCCGUACGUCUCUCUCCUCGCACCCGCACGCCCCGGCCGGCCCGUACAUACGCCGCCGCGCGCACCCGCCCCGUACGCCGGCGCCCCCGCUCGUAUGUACGGGGCGCGGCAUACUGCACAUACACACACACACGUACGUAUACACGCAGUACACACACACAUACACACACGCAUACACACACAUACACACACAUACACACACACAUACACACACAUACACAUUUUUUACUUAUAUUUUCUGUUAUCUGUUUUUUAGAAAGUUAAUUAGAUGAUCGAAUGUUAGAUUAAUGUCAAUUGUUAGAGAUGAAUAUAGCUAGAUAUUAAUUAGGUAUAUGAGAUUUGAACUAGUUGAAUAAUUAAUAUAAGUAAUUUAUUUUUAGUAAGAAAAUAAUCGAACUAGUUUAUUUUUAGUAAGAAAAUUUAGGUAUCUGAGAUUUGAUGAUCUAGUUAAAAUAAUAUUUGUUAAUGAGUUUUUCUGUUUAUUUAUUUUUUAUAUAUAUUUUAGUUCAUAUAAAUGUUAGAUUAAUGUCAAAUGUUAGUUUAUUUUUAGUAAAUGCUUAGUUGAAUUAAUUAGUUGAAUUAAUUAAUAGAACUUGUUGAAUUAAUAGACCUAGUUGAAUUAGUUGAAAUAAUAGAAAUAGUAAUGUUUCACCUAUAUAUAGAACUUAACUAGUUUAUUUUUUCUGUUUUUUUUAAUUUUUUAUAUAUAUAGUUUAUAUAAAUGUUAGAUUAAUGUCAAAUGUUAGAUGAAUUACAUAGAAAUAUAUGUUAGAUAUUAAUGUCAAAUGUUAGAUGAAUAUUAGAAUUAGUUAGAUAUUAAUUAAUGUUAGAUAGUAAGUGUUUAAUGUUUCACCUAUAUGAACAUAGGAAAUGUCGUCUGACGAUGAAAAAGAUUUCAUUAUGUGCGAACACUGUGAAGACCAACGCGGCAUGUGCGACAGAAAUUUCCUUGUUGAUAAUAGGCGCUUCAGCAUCAAGCUGGAUGAGACAUUCGAAGUGGAUACAGUAAGUCACAGCGGCAAGUAUUUUUUCGUAAUAAAGCAUGACUUAUGCUUCAUUUGCUUGAACUUAUAAUUUUAAAUUUUCACUAUUCUACUAGCGCAUCCCUUGCCAUGCUCAAAUUUUUGUCUUGGAUAAGAUAGGUUUCAGUGCGAUGAAUGAUAUGGAGGUAAAGAUAGUUUACUUGAAGACCGAGCAUGGAUAUACUUUCAACGUCAAAUUAUACAAUGCAGACACAUACACCCAUUUUGAAUGCAAAACUUGGCAAGCACUAUGCAAGGCUUAUGCAUUUGAGCCUGAUAUGGUUAUCACCUUUGAUAUUCGUCCGGAAGAUGAUAUUGAAGGUAAUAGAGACAUCUGGGUCGAUGUGCAGACGCCUCCAGUUCUACCAUUAUGUGAGUUUUUCUCAACCAUGUUUAUGUCUUUGAUAUUGUUUAUUCAAAAAUAGUUGACAACUAAUUUCUAUUGUCAGCUUAUUUCGGUUCAAGCAAACAUGUCUGGUGCUUGGUAGACAAGACCUACUACUGUCCCGGGGCUGAACUAAACUGCGAGGAGAUAAGUCAUUAUGUUUCAUGGCUUGAGGAUCUUCAUACUGUCAAGACAAAUUUUCUUCCUACACUUAGAAAUGUUAGUACUCAAAACGUGCGACCAAUAGUGAUCGUAUUGAACUACGGUCACAUUUAUAAUGGAAAGAUGGUCAUAUUUUUACUAUUUGUCCUUAGUGCAUCUUUUGCAUACAUUAUUUUUGAAGCUAAACUUUCAUAGCUAAGUAUAUUAAUUAUUAUACGAUGUUCUUCAACAGGGACUCCCGAUGACAGUUGUGACUCAGUGGAUCGAGACAAAAGGUCGCAUGUCAAUGGUUAGCUUACGACCAAGAUAUCCUACAUUGCACAUGAGUGCAUUCAGGAUUUCUGAAAGCGAUGAAUGCUUAAUAGUGAAAGAUUGGAGCAAAAUUGUUAACGAUCGCAGAGAAGUACUAGGGGGCAGCAAGGACAAGCGCAACCCACGAUUAGGAGACAGAUUCAUCUGCAUGCUUCAGUAUGAUGAAUCAGGAGAGCUAUACAUGUUCUAUGCUAUUUUACCUGAGAGGGAGCAGCAGGAGUGAUUUAGCUAGUUCAUGCUCUUAAUUAGUACAUGUCCUCUCAUGUUCGUAUUCUCGUCCUGAACUUAAUUAAUCUCAAAUAGUGAUUUGCUUGUGAACACUUAUAAUAUCAUGACCAUGUUGAACUCGAUGAUAUCUUUGCUUCUGUUACAAGUGAAUGUUUCUUCUUUAAGCUAGUGUUGGUGGUGAUUAGAUAGCGGUAAUGACUAUGAUGUGAUAAAUAGUGGUAAUGACGACUACGAUGAAUUUUAGCUAGCUAGUGUAUAUACUAUUGUUGGUGAUGAUAUGAUGCAAGAGUUUAUUUCUAUAUUAAUAUGUGAUGAUGAUGAGUUAUUAUAUAUAUCAUUUAUGAAAGAAACCGCAAAUUAGUUUGAACUAGAUGGAUCCUAGCUAAGUGCUCAAGUAUAUAUAUGCCAUAUCCAUAUCCAUAUCAAGUAUAACAACUCAUUAUAACGUAAAACAAACCUAAAUUAAAUUGAUAACACAAAUUUAAAGGAAAAAUAAAAAAUAAAACCAAAACCCACAAACAUUUAGUACCGGUUGGUGUUACCAACCGGUACUAAUGAUCUACCGCACCCGUGGCCUGGCUCGUGCCACGUGGUUGCCCUUUAGCACCGGUUCAUGCUGAACCGGUACUAAAGGGGGGGAGCCUUUAGUGCCCACACUUUAGUACCGGUUACCGAACCGGCACUAAAGGGCCUUACGAACCGGUGCUAUUGCCCGGUUCUGCACUAGUGUAAUGGCGCAUCACCCCACAGUGCGCCAUUAGUAUGCCAAAGCACAUGGUUAAAUAUGGCCCCCUGGGAGGCAUACUAAUGGCGCAUGGUGUUCUAUACUAAUGGCGCACUGUGUGGUGCACCAUUAGUAUACCAGAUACUAAUGGCGCACUAGUGGUGCGCCAUUAGUAAAAAAUACUAGUGGCAUGAUACUAAUGGCGCACUAGUAGUGCGCCAUUAGUAGGCAAAACUAGUGCGCCAUUAAUAGGCCUUUUCCUAGUAGUGAACUAUCCAGGUAGUCUCUGGAAGCAUUGGUUAGUCCAUUAUAAAAGAUAUCAAGUAUUUCAUUUUUCUUGAGAGGAUGCUCAGGAAAAGCAUUAGGUAAUCGGAGAAGCCUCCCACAAGCUUGUGGGAGACUCUCUUCUUCAAUUUGCACAAAAUUAUAUAUUUCCCUUAAGGCAGCUUGUUUCUUAUUAGCGGGGAAAUAUUUAGCAGAGAAGUAAUAAAUCAUAUCCUGGGGACUACACACACAACCAGGAUCAAGAGAAUUAAACCAUGUUUUAGCACCACCCUUUAAUGAGAACGGAAAUAAUUUAAGGAUAUAUUAGUAGCGAGCUUUCUCAUCAUUAGUGAAUAGGGUGGCUAUAUCAUUUAAUUUAGUAAGAUGUGCGACAACAGUUUCAGAUUCAUAGCCAUAAAAAGGAUCAGAUUUGACCAAAGUAAUUAUCUCAGGAUCGACUGAGAAAUCAUAAUCCUUAUCAGUAACACAGAUAGGUGAAGUAGCAAAAGCAGGGUCAUAUUUCAUUCUAGCAUUCAAAGAUUUUUCUUUCAGCUUAACAAAUAAUUUCUUAAGAUCAUAUCUAUCGUUGCAAGCAAGAAAGUCUCUAGCAGUUUCUUCAUCAAUAACAUAACCCUCAGGCACAACAGGCAAUUCAUAUCUAGGGGGAGAAUCUUCAUCAUCACUUUCAUCAAUAUUAUCAGUUUCAAUAAUUUCAUUCUCUCUAGCCCUAGCAAGUUGUUCAUCAAGAAAUUCACCUAAUGGCAUAGUAGUAUCAAGCAUAGAAGUAGUUUCAUCAUAAGUAUCAUGUAUAGUAGAAGUGGCAUCAUCAAUGACAUGCGACAUAUCAGAAUUAAUAGCAGAAGCAGGUUUAGGUGUCGCAAGCUUACUCAAAAUAGAAGGUGAAUCAAGUGCAGAGCUAGAUGGCCGUUCCUUACCUCCCCUCGUAGUUGAGGGAAAAAUCUUAGUUCUUUCGUCUUUCAAGUUCCUCAUAGUGAUCAAUAGAUAUAAAUCCCAAGUGACUCAAAGAAUAGAGCUAUGCUCCCCGGCAACAGCGCCAGAAAAUAGUCUUGAUAACCCACAAGUAGGGGAUCGCAACAGUUUUCGAGGGUAGAGUAUUCAACCCAAAUUUAUUGAUUCGACACAAGGGGAGCCAAAGAAUAUUCUCAAGUAUUAGCAGCUGAGUUGUCAAUUCAACCACACCUGGACAACUUAAUAUCUGCAGCAAAGUAUUUAGUAGCAAAGUAGUAUGGAAGUAACGGUAACAGUGGCAAAAGUAACAGUAGUAGUUUUGUAGUAAUUUUAUUAGUGGCAACGGUAAAGUAACUAAGCAAAGAGCAAUAUGUAAAAAGCUCGUAGGCAUUGCAUCGGUGAUGGAGAAUUAUGUCAGAUGCGAUUCCUCAUGCAAUAGUUAUAACAUAGGGUGACACAGAACUAGCUCUAGUUCAUCAAUGUAAUGUAGGCAUGUAUUCCAAAUAUAGUCAUACGUGCUUAUGGAAAAGAACUUGGAUGACAUCUUUUGUCCUACCCUCCCAUGGCAGCGGGGUCCUAAUGUAAACUAAGGGACAUUAAGGCGUCCUUUUAAUAGAGUACUGGACCAAAGCAUUAACACUUAGUGAAUACAUGAACUCCUCAAACUAUGGUCAUCACCGGUAAGUAUCCUGAUUAUUGUCACUUCGGGAUUAAUAGAUCAUAACACAUAAUAGGUGACUAUAGACUUGCAAGACAGGAUCAAGAACUCACAUAUAUUCAUGAAAACAUAAUAGGUUCAGAUCUGAAAUCAUGGCACUCGGGCCCUAGUGACAAGCAUGAGGCAUAGCAAAGUCAUAGCAACAUCAAUCUCAGAACAUAAUGGAUACUAGGGAUCAAACCUAACAAAACUAACUCGAUUACGUGGUAAAUCUCAUCCAACCCAUCACCGUCCAACAAGCCUACGAUGGAAUUACUCAUGCAUGUCAUUGAGCAUCAUGAAAUUGGUGAUGGAGGAAGGUUGAUGAUGACGAUGGCGAUGGAUUCCCCUCUCUGGAGCCCCGAACAGACUCCAGAUCAACCCUCCCGGGAGAGAUUAGGGCUUGGCGGUGGCUCCGUAUCGUAAAACACGAUGGAUCCUUCUCUUUGAUUUUUUUCUCCCCGAACAUGAAUAUAUAGAGUUGGAGUUGAGGUCGGUGGAGCACCAGGGGGCCCACGAGGCAGGGGGGCGCGCCCAGGGGGGUAGCGUGCCCCCACCCUCGUGGCAUGGUGUGGGCCCCCUGGUCUUGAUUCUUUCGCCAGUAUUUUUAUAUAUUCCAAAAAUAUUCUCCGUGAAGUUUCAGGUCAUUCCAAGAACUUUUUUUGCUGCACAAAAAUAACACCAUGGCAAUUCUGCUGAAAAUAGCGUCAGUCCGGGUUAGUUCCAUUCAAAUCAUGCAAGUUAGAGUCGAAAACAAGGGCAAAAGUGUUUGGAAAAGUAUAUACGAUGGAGACGUAUCAGGGUUCACCACCUCCAUUGGUGCAUCUCCGAUGUUGCGUGAGUAGUUCUUUGUAGACCUUCGGGUUCGUAGUUAGUAGUUAGAUGGCUUUCUCUCUCUCACUGAAUUCUCAAUACAAUGGUCUCUUGGAGAUCCAUAUGAUGUAACUCUUUUGCGGUGUGUUUGUUGGGAUCUGAUGAACUUUGAGUUUAUGAUCAGUCAUAUCUUUUUAUAUCCAUGAAAGUUAUUUGAGUUUCUUUGAUCUCUUAUAUGCAUGAUCUCUUAUAGCCUCGUAUUUCUUCUCCGAUAUUUGGGUUUUGUUUAGCCAACAUGAUCUAUUUAUCUUGCAAUGGAAAGAGGUGCCCGGUAGUGGGUUCGAUCUUACGGUGCUUGAUCCCAGUGACAGAAGGGGAACCGACACGUAUGUAUCAUUGCUACUAAGGAUAAAAAUACGAGAUCUAUAUCUACACCAUAUAGAUAAACGGAUCUUUUCUACAUCAUGUCAUCGUUCUUAUUGCAUUACUAUGUUUUUCCAUGAACUUAAUACACUAGAUGCAUGCUGGAUAGCGGUCGAUGUGUGGAGUAAUAGUAGUAGAUGCAGGUAGGAGUCGGUCUACUAAUCUUGGACGUGAUGCCUAUGUAAUGAUCAAUGCCUGGAUAUCGUCAUAAUUAUUUGAAGUUCUAUCAAUUGCCCAACAGUAAUUUGUUUACCCACCAUUUGCUAUUUUUCUCAAGAGAAGACACUAGUGAAACCUACGGCCCCUGGGUCUUAUUUCUCAUAUAUUUUCCUUGCGAUCUACUUUUCCUUUGCAUUUUUAUUCAGAUCUAUUAAACCAAAAAAUACAAAAAUACCUUGCUGCAUUUUAUCUUUAUUUAUUUUAUUUGGCAUUCGAUCUAUCAAUCUACUACAAUUUAUCUCACGCCCGCUUGCCAAUUUCUGGCACCGUUACCCGAAAGGGAUUGGCAACCCCUUUAACACGUCGAGUUGCGAGGUGUUUUAUUUGUGUGUAGGUGCUGUUUACGUUGUGUUGCUUGGUUCUCCUACUGGUUCGAUACCUUGGUUUCAUAACCGAGGGAAAUACUCUACCAUCGCUGUGCUUCAUCAUCCCUCCCUCUCCGGGGAAAUACCGACGUAGUUCUAGCUGCCAUUGCUACCUCUUGAGCAUGCGUUGGUUUUCCCUUGAAGAGGAAAGGGUGAUGCAGCAAAGUAGCGUAAGUAUUUCCCUCAGUUUUCUAGAACCAAGGUAUCAAUCCGGUAGGAGACUACACGCAAAUCGCCUAGUACCUGCACAAACAAUCAAGAACCUUGCAACCAACGCGAUAAAGGGGUUGUCACUCCCUUCACGGCCACUUGCAAAAGUGAGAUCUGAUAAAGAUAAUAAGAUAAAUAUUUUUAGUAUUUUUGUUGUAUAGAUUGAAAAGUAAAGAUUGCAAAAUAAACGACGACAGAAAUAGCUAGUUGACGGGAAACUAAUAUGAUGUAAAAUAGACCCGGGGGCUAUAGGUUUCACUAGUGGCUUCUCUCGAGAUAGCAAAUAUUACGGUGGGUGAACAAAUUACUGUCGAGCAAUUGAUAGAAAAGCACAUAGUUAUGAGAAUAUCUAGGCAUGAUCAUGAACAUAGGCAUCACGUCCGUGACAAGUAGACCAAAAUGAUUCUGCAUCUACUACUAUUACUCCUCGCAUCGACCGCUAUCCAGCAUACAUCUAGAGUUUUAAGUUCGUAAGAACAGAGUAACUCAUUAGGCAAGAUGACAUGAUGUAGAGGGAUAAAGUCAAGCAAUAUGAUAUAAACCCCAUCUUUUUAUCCUCGAUGGAAACAAUACAACACGUGUCGGUUCCUGUCGGUGUCAAAACCGGCGGAUCUCGGGUAGGGGGUCCCGAACUGUGCGUCUAUGCGGAUGGUAACAGGAGACAAGGGACACGAUGUUUUUACCCAGGUUCGGGCCCUCUCGAUGGAGGUAAAACCCUACUCCUGCUUGAUUAAUAUUGAUGAUAUGGGUAGUACAAGAGUGGAUCUACCACGAGAUCAAAGAGGCUAAACCCUAGAAGCUAGCCUAUGGUAUGAUUGUUGUUCAUCCUACGGACUAAAACCCUCCGGUUUAUAUAGGCACCGGAGAGGUCUAGGGUUACACAGAGUCGGUUACAAUGGGAGGAGAUCUACAUAUCCGUAUUGCCAAACUUGCCUUCCACGCCAAGGGAAGUCCCAUCCGAACACGGGACGAAGUCUUCAAUCUUGUAUCUUCAUAGUCCAAGAGUCCGGCCAAUGGUCAUAGUCCGGCUAUCCGGACACCCCCUAAUCCAGGACUCCCUCAGUAGCCCCCGAACCAGGCUUCAAUGACGAUGAGUCUGGCGCGCAGAUUGUCUUCGGCAUUGCAAGGCGGGUUCUUCUCCAAAUUCCGUGUACCUGUUAGAUAGUGUCCGGCUUCUUGUGAAUGUUGCACUCCUUGGCUUCCACGCCCAAUAAUGGCCUCUUUCCACGCGUCGAGCGAAUAUGAAGAGCCAGGGCGUUUUUACAUUUACCCCCUAGCUAUGUGAACGAGCUGCCUAUUAAAGAGACAAGGAUUCAGAUCCAAAUCACACCAUCCUCCCUUAGCGAGCAUUCAUCGGAGCGCAUCCGACAGAGAUCCAUUCCAUCAUGGCCGGUCGACCCAGUUCCUCCUCUCUCCCCCAGCCCCAAGCCUGGAGAUUGGGGGAGAUGUUCCGUCCCGCACAGCAAACUAGUGACGCUUCAGACCAAGGGAUUUCUUCCCCUAGCAUACAUGGUCCCGGUUCGAGACGGGCUUGCCACCUAUAAUGGCGGGGAGCAGGCGGAGAGCCUUCCCAAUCCCUCCAAGGGACAGCGGGUGUGCCUUGUCCCUCAUUUAAUAAGAGGGCUCGGAUUUCCAAUUCAUCCGUUUCUCCGGGCGCUCCUGGAGUUCUAUGGCCUCCCGUUGCACAAACUUACGCCCACCUCCAUAUUGCAAAUCAUGGGCUUUGUAGCCCUUUGCGAGCUAUUUUUGGGCUACGAGGCUCACUUCGCGCUGUGGAAGAAGCUGUUUUGCCUUGUGCCCUAUUCUUAGAAGGGGUCAGUAUAUCAAGUGGGCGGAGCCGAAGUGUGGCACAUCGCCUGGACCGGAUACCUAUCUGGAACCCCAAAGAAGACAUCUGAAGACUGGCCUUCCAAAUGGUUUUAUGUAGAAGGUGUCCCCCUUCCUGAUCCUAUUCGGAUCGGCCUUCCUGAGUUCGUCAAUGCUCCUUUGAAGAAGCGCCUGAGCUGGCGUCCACGGAGCCCCCAGGAGGAAGACGAUAGGGACGUUUGUUACCUGAUGAGUCGGAUAAAGUUGCUGGCUCAAUCCGGACUGACCAUGAUCGAGGUCAUGGCCAUAUGCAUUAUGCGGGGGGUGCAACCGCUUCAAUAUAGAGGCCACCCCAUGUGGGAUUUCAACGGGGAGGACGACGCCACCCGCUGCGGCCGUAAGGGGCCGGAAUCGGUUGCCGCUCUAGCAAAGAUCUUGUCCACUUUGUACAAGGGAGAAGAGGAGGAGUUCCUCCGUGUCAAUCCACAGGGCGGAUUUUCUAUGUACAAUCCUCCGGACUGGGUAAGUUGAUACCUUUUCUCACCCAUCCGUUCCAUAUUCCCAUAGUUAAGUAUUUCAUCUUGCGCAGGAGCUGCGUAAGGCCGUGAGGGAGAUAGACAGCCCUCCUCCACAACCCGAGGAUCCGGAACGGUCCCUCGACCCGGCCUCCCAGGAGGACGUGGUCAUAUCUGUGGAGCUAAUUGAUGGGGUAUUUCAUCAAUUGAGCAAUGACAAUGUCUUGGUGGCCAUUAUGGCCGAUUAUCCUGGGCUACUCCCAACCUCGCAGGUAACUGAGACCGAAGUCCCCGCACUUCGAAAAGGAUUCGUCCUUGUGUAUUUUUGAUUGUCGUAUACCGACAGUGUUUUGCAGGGGAGGCCCCCAAGGCGAAAUACCGAGCCUGCGGCGGCUAGCCAACAAGGGGCCGCGAGGCCAAGCAGGCUAAAAAAGACAUGUGGUCCAGAGUGAUACACCGGAGCAAUGGUAUGGCGCGCCAUCUUAUUCCAAGAUAUAUUCUCAGAGGCAUACUAACGCUCGUGCUCUCUUUAGGAAAAAGAGCGCUCGCCGGACUAUAUCCGGAGAGGUUGCCAAUCGCGCCUGUACCAGCCAGGCUCCAAGGCCGGGUCCGGAAGCGGAGGUGAACACGAGGCUGGCACCAGAGGCUCCUCCAUAGAGGAUGCGGACAGGCUGUCCGCCACCAAUUCCGAGGUGGAGAGUGCCAUGAACCAUAGGUGUCGCCGAACAGUUCUUCGCGACGCUUGCUUCUCCCAAGAGGCAUUGGAUGCCUUCAAGUCGGGAGAUGCGUACCUCCGUGCUGCUCAAAAUGGUCUAGCCAGAGCCACGGAGCGGUAUGUAAAGGACAUACGGGUGAGAAAAUUUGGUGAUUAUAUAUACCAGUAGCCCCUGAGACUUGAAACAGUUAGAAUAACUGAUUUAAGGAUCAUUUGUUUAUGCAGGAUCUUACCGAAAAGAAUAGCCAACUGUCCCAUGAGCUGGAAGAGUGCAAAGCCCAACUUGAGGCCACACUAGCCGCAGCAGGGGAGCCCAAGGAGCCCCCUCUGGUACGAUAUGCUUCAAAUGAUAAGUAUCAUAAGUGCGGCAUGUAUGCAAAUCUGACAAUACCAUUGCAUAUGGCGCCAGAUUAGAUCCGGAGAAGCAACAACUCCUACGCCGGCUAAAGGCCGGCGAGAGCGUGCUUACAAAGGUGAGGCAGGAGAAGAAUGAUCUCCUGGAUGCCAACACCCAGCUGGGCGUGGAACUAAAGGAUGUUUGUGCCCAACUGUCGGACUCCGUGAAGGAGAAUCGGCGGCUUCGACGCGGCAUUUUUAGUAAGUGCUUGAACGAACUUUAAAAAGGAGUUCGGCGAGGAAGUCGACUGACAGAGUUAUGUCUAUAGGUAUGCUAACAGGUCGUCCUGCAGAGGAAAUGUCCGGUUCUACGGGUGACCUUCUUCCCGAGCUCUCACAACUGCACGAACAAGUUCGGCAGGUGAUGCAAAGCGUCGCCCAGGCUUUGUGGCCAUCCGUCUCCGUGCCCGAAGGACUUGGAGAUCUUGCGAAGAAGUUGAAGGGAGCGCGGCGGCGCUUCCGGUUAUGGAAGAUAUCGUCCUGCUGGCAAGGUGCCAGGGAAGCUUGGGCCAUGGUGAAGAUGCGGUACACAAAGGCUGAUCCAAACCACAUGGCCGAGGUCGGACCUGUGGGGCCCGAUGGGAAGAAGAUCCCUGUGAGCUUAGUAUAUGGCCAAGUAGAAUUGGCCGCAAAGUAUUGCCAACAUGACUGUAGACUAGACAGCCUGUUGGAUGGUAUUGAAGAGGAAUUCAACCAGUCAAAUUGACUAUGUAAUUUAAAGUGACAUGUAUAAUGCCUUCUAGCCGGAUUGUAGAUCGUUUGUCAUGGCGGACCUUUUCGCUUCAACCUCAGGACCCGACGGUCCGGAGUGUAUCCGAAUACCCCCUCGGUUAUGUAAGAACCGGGGCAUGCAUGGAGACCAGGCGUAGGGGUCAUUAGUGCUUUAACGGACAAGUGCCCAACUAGUUAUGUUAUAUUACAUGGUUAGUAAGAAACAUCUUCCAGGGAGAAUAGUUCCGUUAGGGGUUCCUUUCCCUGGGAGGCAUGCCCUAAAGUGCAUGUCCGGACUGCGAAACGAGACACAGAAAAAACAUCUGGGGGCGCAUAAGUAAAAAGGUGUGAAAUCAUCUUUAGUUCACCGACCGAAUAUUCCCUUAAGAACGCUAGCUUUCGGCUUCACCCAGUCUGAGGUACACAUCCGGCUGACCCGGCAGUAACAAUCGUAGAGGUGCUCCCCUUAUGCCCUAGCCGAAUUAACGGGAACGCAGGGCAUAAAUACAAGAGCCAGGCAACCCAGCUUGGCCAAAACUUAAGUCAUAUCGAUGCAUAUAAUGGUGAAUAAAGGGUACAUGCGGAAGUGUAACACAUGUGUUGGGCAUGAAGCCCGUAUGUAUAAGCUUCUGUAAAAGAAGCCCCCAGGUAUAAUGAGCGCGGAUAGCGCGUCAAUUGUGUGCAAUAAGGCACAAAUGGGCCCUUGAAGGCUGUGAGAGAAAAGAAGGGUAGAAGGAGAGAAAUGUAAGACAGAUAGUGUAUAAAAAAUGGACAAAGGAAGGAGACGAACACAGAGUCCGGUGCUAGGCGUAGAAUCUUCGAAGUCGGGCUGCGUUCCAUGUGUUCGGCUCGAGUCGAUUAUCCGAUGCAUCCCGCAGACGAUACGCUCCACCAGUCAGGACUUGGUCAAUAACGAAGGGACCUUCCCACUUGGGCUUGAGUUUGUCCUUUUUCUUGUCCGGCAGGCGUAGAACUAACUCGCCAACAUUGUAAGUUUUGGCCUGUACUUCUCUGCUUUGGUAUCUCCGAGCCUGCUGUUGAUAGAAUGUGGAACGGGCUUUUGCCACAUCAUGCUCCUCCUCCAAGGCGUCCAAACUAUCUUGCCGAUCGAGCUCGGCUUCUCUUUCAUCGUACAUGCGGACUCGAGGUGAGUCAUGAAUUAUGUCGCAGGGCAGAACCACCUCUGCGUCGUAUACCAUAAAGAAUGGUCUGUCUCCGGUAGUGCGGUUCGGCGUGGUCCGCAGCCCCCAGAGUAUGGAGUCGAGCUCCUCUACCCAGUGCAUGUUAGAUUCCUUGAGGGACCGCACUAAUAUGGGUUUGAUGCCGCUCAUGAUUAGACCAUUCGCUCGCUCGACCUGACCGUUAGUUUGUGGGUGAUAGGCUGAAGCAUAGUCGAGCUUAAUGCCCAUGUUUUUGCACCAGAGUUUUACCUCGUCGGUCGUAAAGUUCGUGCCGUUAUCAGUGAUGAUGCUGUGGGGGACGCCGUAACGGUGUACGACCCCGGAUAUGAAGUCUAUCACCGGUCCGGAUUCGGCCGUCUUAACAGGCUUGGCCUCAAUCCAUUUGGUGAACUUAUCCACCAUGACCAGUAAGUAUUUUUGCUUGUGGGUUCCUCCUUUAAGGGGUCCAACCAUAUCAAGCCCCCAGACCGCGAAGGGCUAGGUGAUGGGGAUAGUUUGGAGGGCGGUGGGUGGCAUAUGGAUUUGGUUAGCAAAAAGCUGGCAACCAACGCAUCAUUGGACUAAGUCCUGAGCGUCUGCUCGGGCCGUCGGCCAAUAGAAUCCUGUACGGAAGGCCUUGCUUACAAGGGCCCGGGCUGCGGCGUGGUGGCCGCCGAGUUCGGCAUGAAUUUCAGCCAGAAGAUUCCGCCCUUCGUCUUCGGAGAUGCACCUUUGAAGGACUCCGGUUACUUUUCUUAUAGAGCUCUCCCUCAUGGACUUUAUAGGCUUUAGAUCACAGCACUAUGCAGCAUGCCUCGUUUUGGUCCUCGGGAAGUUCCUGCCUAGUUAGGUAGGCUAGGAAUGGUUCUGUCCACGGGGCGAUGACUGCCAUUAUUACGUGGGAUGAAGAUGUUACUUCGUUGGCAGAGCCUCCAAUUAUGUCAGAAUGUUCGGUGUCGGCCAGUGCGGUUGGGUCCGAGCUGUUAUUUAUGGGUUCCCCUUCCCAUAAUACGGAUGGCUUGAACAACCUCUCCAAGAAGAUGUUGGGAGGGACGGCAUCGCGUUUUGCGCCGAUGCGUGCCAGGACGUCUGCUGCCUGAUUGUUUUCCCGGGCUAUAUGGUGAAAUUCGAGCCCCUCGAACCGAGUUGACAUUUUUAGGACGGCGUUGCGAUAAGCUACCAUUUUCGGAUCCUUGGCAUCAAAGUCUCCAUUUAUUUGGGAUAUCGCGAGGUUCGAAUCCCCGCGCACCUCUAGGCGUUGAAUGCCCAUGGAUACUGCCAUCCGGAGACCAUGUAGAAGGGCCUCAUAUUCGGCUGCGUUGUUGGAGUCCGUAUACAUAUCUGGAGCACGUAUUGAACUGUAUCUCCUGUUGGGGAUGUCAAAACGACGCCAACCCCCUUACCGGCCAACAUUUUGGAGCCGUCGAAGUACAUGACCCAGUUGGAAUAUGUGUCGUACUCUUUAGGGAGUUCAGCUUCCGUCCAUUCGGCGAUGAAGUCGGCCAAAACUUGCGACUUAAUAGCUCACCGUGGCUUGUAAGUUAUGUCGAAUGGGAGGAGCUCAAUGACUCAUUUGGCAAUCCGGCCAGUCGCGUCGCGGUUGUUUGUAAUAUCGUUAAGUGGUACCUCCGAGGCUACCGUUAUUGAACACUCUUGAAAGUAGUGUCGCAGCUUCCGGGAUGCCAUAAAUACCACGUACGCUAUCUUUUGAUAAUGCGUGUACCGUGACUUGCAUGGAGUAAGGACAGUGGACACAUAGUAAACCGGCUUUUGAAGGGGGAAUUUGUGUCCGUCCGUUUCUCUUUCGACGAUGAGCACUGCACUUACAACCUGAUGAGUUGCCGCAAUGUAUAAUAGCAUUGGUUUGCCAAUGUUUGGCGCGGCCAGGACUGGGUUUGUUGCCAAUAUGGAUUUUAUUUCUUCAAGUCCGGCUGUGGCGGCAUCCGUCCACUCGAAGUGUUCGGUGCGUCGAAGGAGGCGAUAAAGGGGUAAUGCCUUUUCUCCCAAGCGAGAGAUAAAGCGACUUAGAGCCGCCACAUAUCCAGUCAAUUUUUGUAUUUGUUUGAGGUCCUUUGGGAUAUCCAAUUGUGACAGAGCUCGGAUCUUGGCUGGGUUUGCUUCAAUUCCUCUACCGGAUACAAUGAAGCCCAAGAGCUUUCCGGCUGGUACACCGAAAACGCAUUUUUUCAGGUUGAGCUUGAUGUCAUAUGUUCGGAGGUUAUCGAAUGUGAGCCUCAAGUCAUCUACUAGAGAUUCGACAUACUUGGUUUUGACGACCACGUCAUCUACGUAUGCCUCCACUAUUUUGCCGAUCUGGUUUGCCAGACAUGUCUGAAUCAUGCGCUGAUAUGUUGCGCCGGCGUUUUUGAGCCCGAAGGGCAUUGUGUUGAAGCAGAAUGGGUCGUAUGGGGUGAUGAAUGCCGUUACGGCUUGGUCUGGCUCUGCCAUCUUAAUUUGAUGAUAGCCGGAGUAUGCGUCGAGGAAACACAAUGAAUCGUGUCCUGCGGUAGCAUCGAUAAUUUGAUCGAUGCGGGGGAGGGGAAAGGAUCCUUUGGGCAAGCCUUGUUGAUGUCCUUAAAAUCGAUGCACAGGCGCCAGGAUUUGUCCUUCUUUGGUACCAUCACCAGGUUUGCUAGCCAGUACGGAUGUUUUAUAUCUCUGAUGAAUCCGGCCUCCAAUAGCUUGGCUAGCUCCUCUCCCAUGGCUUGUCUCUUAGGUUCGGAGAAACGCCGAAGAGCCUGCUUGACUGGCUUGAAUCCUUUUAGGAUAUUUAGGCUAUGCUCGGCCAGCCUGGGUGCGGCGUCUACAUCAAGGUUUAAUUGUGCACCGAUGGAAGCUGUUUUUGUAGGGUCCGUUGGAUGGACUUGUAAUUUGACUAUUUCGUCCGCCGGUUUGAAGGAGGUGGACUUGGAUCUUUUAUCGAUUAUCACGUCGUCCCUGUUCACCGUGGAGCACAGCGCAGUCAGUUCCUCGGCCGCUAGGGCUUCGGAUAGUGCCUCGAGGGCCAGUGCGGCUGUCUUGUUUUCGGCGCAGAGUGCUAUGUCCGGAUCACUAGCAAGAGUGAUGAUUCUGUUGGGCCCGGGCAUUUUGAGCUUCAUGUACCCGUAAUGGGGUAUGGCUUGGAAGAUUGUAAACGCCUCCCGCCCUAAUAGAGCGUGGUAUCCGCUACUGAACGGGGCCACUUGGAACGUGACCUCUUCGGGCCUGUAAUUAUCCGGCGUGCCGAACACCACAUCUAGUGUGAUUUUUCCUGUACACCGCGCUUCCCGAAUGGGGAUUAUUCCUCUAAAGGUUGUGCUGCUUCGCUCAAUGCGGUUCCAGUCUAUUUCCAUUUUUCGAAGGGUUUCCUGAUAAAUGAGGUUCAAUCCGCUGCCAUCGUCCAUGAGUACCUUGGUGAGUCGAAAGUCGUCCACUAUUGGACUAAGGACCAAUGCGACUGGUGCUCGGGCUGUUUGGAAUUUAGGUUCGUCACUGGCAUUAAAAGUAAUAGCCGUGUCACUCCAUGGGUUUAUUGUCGCCACGUGGUAGACUUCGGCAAGGCUGCGGAGUGUUCGUUUUCGCAUAUUAUUUGAUGCAAAAGUCUCGAAGACUGUUAAUACCGUACUGGUAUCCCUUGGCUGGUGCUCUGUGGCUUCUGGGAUUAGAAGAUCUUCGCCACUUUUGGCCACCUACCGGAGUAUCCAACAUGGUCUAAGGCUAUGAGUUGGUGUGGCGCCCUCUGUACUGUGAAUUUUACAGGGUUCAUUGAGUCAUCCCUCCAGUACGGUUCCAUGCCCUAUAGAGGGUUUUUGCUUUUUGGUGUUUAACCCGGGUGUCUAGCGAUAAUGCACCCUUUUAUUUCGGACUGGGUUUGUAUUCAGGGCCGGAUUGUCCCAAAAUUUUAUUUUGGUUUUCCAGGCACUUUCCAUCACACAGUACUUUCGUACUAUGGACGCCAAGUCGGCGAAGCGUGUAAUUUCACGGCGACUUAUGGCAUUGAGGAUUCCCUUGUCCGUGCAAUUACUGCAGAAGAAUGAAAUUGCGUCUUCCUCGCGGCAGUCCCUUAUCCUAUUCAUGACCAGGAGGAAUCUGGCACAGUAAUGGUGUACUGUUUCUUCGGGGUCUUGCCUAAUUUGGGAUAGAUCGCUUAUGUUUGGGUGGGUGGGUGGAAUUGAAUCCGAAACCUCACCCAAUCUGAGACUCAAUGGCCAAGGAGUUUCCGAACUCGGAAGCUUGGAUUCUUGGAUGUUGUCCAAUGAAUCUAGCCCGCUGCCUGACUUUAGGUUCAGGGCUUGAGUGACGUCCUUCCCUCCGCGGGUAUCCGUCUUGGAGGGAUUGGGAAUCCGGACAUAGCUAGUCCUUAAGAUAGAUGAAGGGUCGCCACAUUGUUCCUGCACCACUUCAACGUGAUGAGUGACCUGGGGAGAGUUAAUCUCUCUCAGAUCGGAUUUAGGCCCAAUCUGAUCGUAGUCUGUAGUGACUCCCAAGGCGGCGAUGCGAUCCAAGAGCUCGUUUAGGGAGGAGAGCUCCAUUGGAUCUAACUGCUCGGUGAGUUCCAAGUUGACGUGAAGAUUGCUUUUGAUGACCCGAGAAGUCAUCGUCCGCACAACGGCCGCACAGGAGGUCAUAAGAAAACCACCUAGCCGGAGAGUUUGGCCGAUAGCCAAAGCUCCCUUAGCAACAGUGCCGUCUUUAAAGAUGGGAUGAGGCAUCCUUCCUGAUGGCGAUGGCACUGAGGAACUCUCAAUUAAAGCACCAAUGUCGGUGUCAAAACCAGCGAACCUGGGUAAAAACAUUGUGUCCCUUGUCUCUUGUUACCAUCCGCCUAGACGCAUAGUUCGGGACCCCCUACCCGAGAUCCGUCGGUUUUGACACCGACAGUUCCCUUUCUGUCAGUGGGAUCGAGCACCGCAAGGUUGAACCCAAAGCUAAGCACUUCUCCCAUUGCAAGAAAGAUCAAUCUAGUAGGCCAAACUAAACCGAUAAUUCGAAGAGACUUGCAAAGAUAUUAAAUCAUGCAUAUAAGAACUCAGAGAAGAAUCAAAUAUUGUUCAUAGAUAAUUUGGAUCAUAAACCCACAAUUCAUCGGAUCUCGACAAACACAACGCAAAAAUAAUUACAUCGAAUAGAUCUCCAAGAUGAUCAAGGAGAACUGUGUAUUGAGAUCCAAAGAGAGAGAAGAAGCCAUCUAGCUAAUAACUAUGGACCCGAAGGUCUGUGGUAAACUACUCACACAUCAUCGGAGAGGCUAUGGUGCUGAUGUAGAAGUGCUUCGUGAUCGAAUCCCCCUCCGGCAGAUCGCCGGAAAAGGCCACAAGAUGGGAUCUCACGGGUACAGAAGGUUGCGGCGGUGGAAAAGUUGUUUCGUGGCUCCCCUGGAUGUUUUUAGGGUAUACGAGUAUAUAUAGGCGAAAGAAGUAGGUCGGUGGAGCUAUGAGGGGCCGACGAGGGUGGGGGGCGCGCCCUCCUGCCUCAUGGCUGCCUCGUUGCUUCCUUGACUUCCACUUCAAGUGUGUUGGAUUGCUUUUGUUCCAAAAAAGAUCCUCGCGAAGGUUUCGUUCCGUUUGGAUUCUGUUUGAUAUUCCUUUUCUGUGAAACAUCGAAAUAGGCAAAAAAACAACAAUUUGCACUGGGCCUUCGGUUAAUAGGUUAGUCCCAAAAAUAAUAUAAAAGAACAUAAUAAAUCCCAUUAAAAUGCAAAACAGAUAAUAUAAUAGCAUGGAACAAUCAAAAAUUAUAGAUAUGUUGGAGACAUAUGAUGCAUCCCCAAGCUUAAUUCCUGCUCGUCCUCGAGUAGGUAAAUGAUAAAAACAGCAUAUUUGAUGUGGAAUGCUACCUAACAUAAUUUUCAAUGUAAUUCUCUUUAUUGUGGCAUGAAUAUUUAGAUCCAAAAGAUUCUAGACAAAGUUUUAAUAUUGACAUAAAAAUAGUAAUACUUCAAGCAUGCUAACCAAGCAAUUAUAUGUCUUAUCAAAAUUACAUAGCCAAAGAAAGCUUAUCCCUACAAAAUCAUAUAAUUUGGCCAUGCUUCAUUUUUGUCACACAAAGUACUCCCAUCAUGCACAACCCCAAUGAAAACCUGAGCAAUUGGUUCAUACUUUUUAACGCGCUUCAGCUUUUUCAACCCUGACGCAAUACAUGAGCGCAAGCCAUGGACAUAGAACUACGGGUGGAAUAGCAUAUGAUGAUGGAGGUUAUGUGAGAAGACAAAAAAGGAUAAAGUCUCACAUUGACGCGGCUAAUCAACGGGCUAUGGAGAUGCCCAUCAAUUGAUGUCAAUGUGAGGAGUAGGGAUUGCCAUGCAACGGAUGCACUAGAGCUAUAAAUAUAUGAAAGCUCAUCAAAAGAAACUAAGUGGGUGUGCAUCCAACUUGCUUGCUCACGAAGACCUAGGGCAUUUUGAGGAAGCCCAUCAUUGGAAUAUACAAGCCAAGUUCUAUAAUGAAAAAUUCCCACUAGUAUAUGAAAGUGACAAAAUAAGAAACUCUCCAUCAUGAAGAUCAUGGUGCUAUUUGGAAGCACAAGUGUGGAAAAAGGAUAGUAACAUUGUCCCUUCUCUCUUUUUCUCUCUUUUUUAUUUUUGUUUGGUCUUCUUUGGCCUCUUUUUUUAUUUGGGCUUCUUUGGCCUCUCUUUUUUCGUCCGGAGUCUCAUCCCAACUUGUGGGGGAAUCAUAGUCUCCAUCAUCCUUUCCUCACAUGGGACAAUGCUCUAAUAAUGAAAAUCAUCACACUUCUAUUUUUUACAACUCAAGAAUUACAACUCCAUACUUAGAACAAAAUAUGACUCUAUGUGAAUGCCUCCGGCGGUGUACCGGGAUAUGUAAUGAAUCAAGAGCGACAUGUAUGAAAGAAUUAUAAAGGUGGCUUUGCCACAAAUACGAUGUCAACUACAUGAUCAUGCAAAGCAAUAUGAAAAUGAUGGAGCGUGUCAUAAUAAAUGGAACGGUGGAAAGUUGCAUGGCAAUAUAUCUCGGAAUGGCUAUUGUAAUGCCAUGAUAGGUAGGUAUGGUGGCUGUUUUGAGGAAGAUAUAAGGAGGCUUAUGUGUGAUAGAGCGUAUCGUAUCAUGGGGUUUGGAUGCACCGGCGAAGUUUGCACCAACUCUCGAGGUGAGAAAGGGCAAUGCACGGUACCGUAGAGGCUAGCAAAUUGCGAAAAGGUAAGAGUGCGUAUAAUCAAUGGACUCACAUUAGUCAUAAAGAACUCAUAUACUUAUUGUAAAAGUUUAUUAGCCCUCGAAGCAAAGUACUACUACACAUGCCCCUAGGGGGACAGAUUGGUAGGAAAAGACCAUCACUCGCAAGGUUGUCAGAAUCGCGAUUUUGAAUCGGAUCGGAGCACUGAUGAUAGAAUCGUAAAUCAUAGAAUCUUCACUACCAGGAUCGUAGACACGUAGAUUUUAUGAACUAAAAUCGUAGAAUCAGAUGGGUAAGUUUGGAUCGUAAAGUCGUAGAAUCGUAUAACAGAAUCGCGAUUCUAACAACCUUGAUCACUCGUCCCCGACCGCCACUCAUAAGGAAAGCAAUCAAAGAACACCACAUGCUUCAAAUUUGUCACACAACGUUUACCAUACGUGCAUGCUACGGGACUUGCAAUCCUCAACACAAGUAUUUGUCAAUUCCACAAUUACCCAACUAGCAUGACUCUAACAUUACCACAUUUAUAUCUCAAAACAACUAUCAAGUAUCAAAUUUAUCAUAGUAUUUAAUGCACUCUAUAUGAAAGUUUUUAUUGUACCCAUCUUGGAUGCCUAUCAUAUUAGGACUAAUUUAUAGCUAAAGAAAAUUACCAUGCUGUUCUAAGGGAAUCUCAAAAUAAUAUAAGUGAAGCAUGAGAGAUCAAUAAUUUCUAUAAAAUAAAACCACCACCGUGCUCUAAAAAGGUAUAAGUGAAACACUAGAGCAAAAUUUAUCUAGCUCAAAAGAUAUAAGUGAAGCACAAUGAGUAUUCUAUCAAAUUCUGAUUCAUGUGUGUCUCUCCCGAAAGGUGUGUACAGCAAGGAUGAUUGUGGUAAACUAAAAAGAAAAGACUCAAAUCAUACAAGAUGCUCCAAGCAAAACACAUAUCAUGUGGUGAAUAAAAAUAUAGCCUCGAGUAAAGUUACCGAUAGACGAAGACGAAAGAGGGGAUGCCUUCCGGGGCAUCCCGAAGCUUAGAAUUUUGGUUGUCCUUGAAUUUUACCUUGGGGUGCCUUGGGCAUCCCAAGCUUAGGCUAUUUCCACUCCUUAUUCCAUAAUCCAUCAAAUCUUUACCCAAAAACAUGAAAACCUCACAACACAAAACUUAAAAAGAAAAUCUCAUGAGCUCCGUUAGUGUAAGAAAACAAACCACCACCAUAAGGUGUUGUAAUGAACUCAUUCUUUAUUUAUAUUCGUGUUAAACCUACUGUAUUCCAACUUCUCUAUAGUUCAUACCCCCCGAUAGUAGCCAUAGAUUCAUCAAAAUAUGCAAACAACACACCAAAAACAGAAUCUGUCAAAACAGAACAGUCUGUAGCAAUCUGAUUUGUUCGAAUACUUCUGGACCUCCAAAAAUUCUGAGAAACUAGGUCAGCCUGGAUAAUUUGUAUAUUUAUCUACUGAAAAAAUAAUUAGUAUUUUAUCACGUUCUGGUGCAUUGUAACAAUUAUAUUCGUGAGCACAAAGUUUCUGUCUUUUUCAGUAAGAUCAAACAAAUAUCACCCAAGAAGAUCCUAUUGGUUCUACUUGGCACAAACACAAAUCUAUUAUAUAAUUAAGACAAGAGGCAAACAAGCCAUUAUAUUGAUCCACAUAGAUUAAAUUAUCUUGACCACUAAUUUUAGAUAUCAAGGGCUGAGAUUAAAAGAUAUAAACGUUACAUACAAAUAUUGUUACGUAGGAACAAUUGGACCUGUCACAUCCGAAAAUAAAGUUGUGCCCAUCUAAUGUCCUGUCCUGUAUAUGGUUCUGCGAUGAGAAAGUGCAACCACACCGUGCGUAAGGAGGACACCUAGAAGUUGCAAUGCCAACAUCAUGUACGUGCUACACUAAAAAGAGAAAACAUCAGGCACGUGUUCUGUACAUGGAAAAAGGCAACAGCCAAUUCAGGUUUGGAUUCGUUUUUUCUUUUACAAUAGUAGAGGAGAAAAGAGGCAUGCUACACAUACCAAAUAAUCUCACGUACGUGCUUUCAGAAAAAAAAACAAUCUCAUGUCCGUACAUAACUAGAGAAAAGUUUUAGAAAAUAGAAAAAAAAAGCAUAACGAGAGAAUAGGAAACAAAAAAGAAACAGGCACUAUUUUCAAAGAAAAAAAAGAAAUAGGCACUGCCUAAAAAAAGGCACGCUACACAUAUUUAAACAAUCUCACGUAUGUGUACAUGACUAGAGGAAGACUUAAAAAACAUAGCAAACGGAAAGCAGUCCGGUUUGUACAGAAAGACUAUUACCCCAAUAAAACUAAUGUAUUAUUGUAAGAUAUGGUCACAUGAAGCAACCUCUCAAAAAAAAUCAGGCGCAUUUUUGAUACAUCUAAUUGCGUAUGCUAAUAUCGCUGAUGAUUUUAGCAAAAAAGAAAUCUCCGGGCAGCAAAUAAGUCAUCACGUUAAUCCACAUAGGUUAAAAACUAGUACAUAUGCCCGUGCGUUGCAAUGGGCGAAAGAAAGAACAAAAUAUGCUUGAUGUGCCAUUACGUGCCACUCACAUUCAACUCCGAUAAAAUGCUGAGGUUACCCUCGUCUCUGUAAGGUGUAUAUGCGCGUGUGUUGCUACGGGUUGCAUUAUCUUUUUUUUUAUCGUGAAGUGUUGAUGCGAAGAAGCCACCCCAGUGUCCUUUAUUGGUGCAUAUUUAAGCCAUGCACUACCAUCGGAUGAAAGAAGAGUGAUGCAUAAAAUAACUUUCUAGAAGGAAACCUACAGUAUAAUUCAUUUGAACGAUUUUUGUAGAAUUAUCAAAAGAAUUGAAUCCAGUGUUUUUGAUUAUGUAGGUUUUUGUUUUUUUAUUAAAGAUUGUUUGAUUUUUAGGAUUAUAUUUCAUUCCUAAUGUUUCUUUUCAAUAUUUGGGCUUGGACCAAACACAAGAGCAUCUCUCCCAAAGAAAAAAACAGAUAGAUGCAUUGUGCAUGUCCUUCUUUUUUAACAGGAAAAGGAUUAAGAAAAUCAACCGGCUGAUAGAAAUAAUGUUGGUUGGUUCCAGCCGACACGUACACCAUCCAUCACGUGUAUGACUCGCUCUAGAGAGGCCACGCUUCAAAGCUUAUCCAUUCGACCGCUCUUGUUCUAUUUCGUCGCUCCAUCUCUCUUAUCCGUAUGUUCCGAGCAGUCGUUGCUUCCUUUGGGAUUUUUUUUUUUUUGCGGAUUUGCCGCGUUGUUAUAGCCGGCCUGGGGAGUGGCGACUAUGAGCGAGCGCUGGAAGCCACGGGCGACUUCCCCGGAGCGCGCCGCCACCUGCAACCCCAUAUGCAGCUCCUCCCCUUGCCGCAGCCGAGGCCACCACACCAGGCGGCGGCGAGGCCUCUCCUCGUCUCUCAUCGCCUGUUGCGUGCGCCCCUCGCGGCUGUCAGCUGGCGGCGCGUCUCUCGGUGGCCGGCCGGCCGACAGAGUGGCCCCUGUUGAUCCGGGGCGCCUGUGCUCCCCUGGUUGGGCCCUCCCGUGACCCCCGCGCGUCCCCUCGCCCCUCCUGCCUCUCCGACUGUUGACCGGUGCGAUGCGUCUUUAUCUAUCCGGCGGAUCCGCCCACCCUCCCCUCUUCAACCUCUGACUGCACCGACCUCCCCGGUGAUGGCGGAUCGGCCGGGCCAUCCUAGAUGCCACAUCCCCACUCCGUAUGUGCCCGUCGGCGGCUGUCACCGCACUUCAUCUUUGUCGAGGAUGUUUUCUCCUUUCUCGUUCAAGCCCACAAUCGACGUCUGAAUGUCACGCUGCUCAUUGCGAAGCUCCUUGUGUGUUCUGACAGACUGUUUUUAGGCUAGGUAACUUGUGUAUAUGAACUAAUGUGAAUCGGUGUAAAGAAGUAAGGUGAUACUAUUUAGCCUGAUCCGAACGGAUGCGAAUUAGUUUAUUGUUGUAACCAUAUCUUAACCACACGGGAUGUCUUACUUCGAUCAUACAUGAUCAGCUAUUUUUCUCACGUGACUUAAUGGACGCUAAGAAAAGGCCCAACAGUGGAACAAGGUGGCCCAAUAUGGAUGAGGCGAGGAACGGAACUUGUUUAUGAAUUAGUACCACCUUAUGUAUUUCACAUGACGUAGGAUAAGAUGCGGGACGAAACAAAGAAUAUCACCUUGCUUUAAUUUUUUUUUGAGCAUCAGUACAGACACAAGCGCUCAUAUACACUCAUCCCUAUGAACGCACACACGCACACCCUACCCCUAUGAGCACCUCCGAGAGACUGAGCCGGCAUAUCAUCUUGAGAUUUAUGAAGUCACCGUAGGCGCCUCGUCAUCGACGGGAACGUCUCCUCCCACUGAAAGCGUAUCGCCGGAAAUCCUGAAAUAAAUCCAGGAAUAAUGCGAGCACCAGGAUUUGAACGCUGGUGAGUUGGGGAUACCACUGUCCACCUAACCAACUCAACCACAAGUUGAUUCGCUCACCUUGCUUUAAUAGUAGGUAUAGAUAUAGAUAUUCGAUGGGUGAUCUGAAUUAAAAGGGCUAAAAAAAAGAGUUACGUACAACAAUAUAGAGGUGCAUACAUAUGUUUUGUUGACACGCUCAACACAUGAAUUGGUGUCCGACAAGAGUUAUGUUUUUUUGCCAAGAAUAUAGAGGUGCAUACAUACUAAUGCAAAUCGUGAUGUGCUAGGACACCUAUGUUUUUUUGCCAAGAAGACUAUCUACCCAUGUCCGUGAAAUUCUCACGUCUAUACGCAUAUAUAGGGCAGUUCUUUUUUUAAAUACACAUCUGGAAUAUAACAAUAUUAAAACAACAAUUCGUAUUCAAUAAAAAAAGAAGCCAGUACAAAAAUAUAAAAAAAGUAAUAAGAACAAUCUCUAAUUUUAAUAAAACUAUGAAUCGGCUUUCCAGUUGAUAAAAAUAUACUACAUGUCAACGCCAAAUAAUAUGAAUACAAGCAAAAUUACCAACCUAUGAUCUAUUAUUAUGUAUCUGUCCAUUUUUUAGGGAUAUAUUAUAUUAUUAAUAAACAAAAGGAAUGGCUUAAUAGAUGGAUGACGCAAUGAGUGACAUCAGCCAAUGAAUAUAUAUUGGUCACCGUUACUUUUUUAGCAUCUUCUUUUGGACGGUGAUACGGGCUCCUAGACAGGUACAUGCAAAGAAAUUUGACCAGACCAUUGACAUGGACAUAGUGCAACUGGAGUAGUUUUUUGGUGGAUAUACAAACCGGUGUGGUUUCUGAGCUUUCACUCAAUGUGGUCUAAUAUAAUUUCAGAAGUUUUUUUCCGGAUCUGACUUUACAACGUAGCACGUAGGCACACACACACACAGACACAUUAGCGGGGCGUCUGCCAGAGGCAGUUCAAUGCUACCCUGAUGGGGGAGGCCCAGUGCCUUGACUUGGACCCGGAAGGCUGCUUCCAUGCUGCAUAAUGAAGUCGGGGGCGAGAAGAACUGACUUAUCACGAAUAUUGUUCAUAAGCAAUUCGACGGGUUUCAGCUGCCAGACGUAGGCUUCACAGAGGUGUUUGGAACUCCAGCGAGGCCUGACCUCCAUGGGUGGCAAGCUGGCAGCACACAUGUGAUAUGCAUGGCAGUGAUUUAAUGCUAAUUUUUGCGCUAGAAAGAAACCCGAUAAGCUCUAGACGAUGUUAUUUUUGAAUCUAUAAAGAAAAUAUAAUAAAUUUUUACAUCUACAAUGGUUACAAAAUGCUGAAUAAAAAACCUUUUUAAGGAGAAGAUUAGUGAGAGUAACAAAGUUUCGUCGUUAUGGUUUACUGGAGACCUUCACGCCUUGCUUGGGCCGAUCGACUUCGAUUGUACAAAGCAUACAGGCAAGCUUGCUUUGAAGAGACGACGGGUAGACAAGCUAGCAUGCACUCAAAUAUAUUGGAGUUUGAUCUGAAUGGCACCAAUGAUGUAGACAAUUUGGAAACUAGGCACAUGAGUAGCUGCACGUACAAGUUUAUACAAGCAUACCAUGAUAUGCACUACAAAAAAUAGAAGAUGAAAACAUAGAUGAAGUAGUAUAUGGGCCAACAGAAAAAUAAUAUUAUAUCAAUAGUCCAAGGAUGCGAAUUCAAAAAGGACCGCUUGCUGUAAAAACUUUGUAAGAAGUUUUAAAAAGAUGCAUAUAUUUGAUGAUUAUAUACUAUAUACAACCACUAAGCAGGCGAAUGAAGAAAUAAAAAACAAGUUCGAGAUAAGAUUCAUUAUUGUUAUACUUAAUUCUUGGUGAAAACAUCAACAAAAACAGAAAGGAAAUCAUCCAACCGUGGUUCUCCUUUUUGGGGUAUGAAUUUUCUAGUAAUAUGAUGCAUAAAGUGAGGGACAUCUAGGUAAUGAUCAUCCAAAGAUGCAUGAACAACUGGAAUUCAAUAAAUAUGAUAGGUGCAUUCAUAUGACCACAAAAAGUCUUUGAUAAUGUUAGGUUUAAUUCUUGGUAGAUCAACUCCCAUGAAAAGUUUGUUGGGGGGAUAAGGACAUCGAGAGAUUAUUACUAAAAGAUUAAACAUAGAAAAUAUUAUAAAUAUUAAUGGUGUUCCAAAUCAAAUCGAACAACAAAGAUAUUGUCUUCACGAAUCAAAUCGGAUAAUGUGUUGCGAGGAAGUGCUGGAAAACAACACCACACAUAACAUUGUAUAUUAAAUCUAGCCGUGCAAAUGCGCGGGUCACACCACUAGUUAAAACAUAAAACCAAAUCUAAACAGAAGCUAGAUGAAUUAUUUAUUACUAAACAUAAACAAAAAGCAAUGAACAAAAAUAAAAUUGGGUUGCCUCCCAACAAGCGCUAUUGUUUAACGCCCCUAGCUAGGCAUAAAAACAAGAAUAGAUCUAGGUAUUGUCAUCUUUGGUAUGCAAUCCAUAAGUGGAUCUCAUAAUAGAUUCAUAAGGUAAUUUAAUUUUCUUCCUAGGAAAGUGUUCCAUGCCUUUCCUUAAAGAGAAUUGGAAUCUAAUAAUUCCUUCUUUCAUAUCAAUAAUUGCACCAAUCAUUCUAAGGAAAGGUCUACCAAGAAUAAUAGGACAUGUAGGAUUGCAUAAGAAAAUCUGCGGGCACAAAAUACCUAUUUGCAACAAUAAGAACAUCAUUAAUCCUUCCCAUAGGUUUCUUAAUGGUGGAAUCCGCAAGAUGCAAAUUUAAAUAACAAUCAUCAAAUUCAUGGAAACCUAGCACAUCACACAAAGUUUUGGGAAUCAUGGAAACACUAGCACCCAAAUCACAUAAAGCAUAGCAUUCAUGAUUUUUAAUCUUAAUUUUAAUAGUAGGUUCCCACUCAUCAUAAAGUUUUCCAGGGAUAGAAACUUCCAAUUCAAGCUUUUCUUCAUAGGAUUGCAUUAAAGCAUCAACGACAUGUUUGGUAAAAGCUUUAUUUUGAUUAUAAGCAUGAGGACAAUUUAACACGGAUUGCAACAAGGAAAUACAAUCUAUCAAAUAACAAUUAUCAUAAUUAAAUUUCUUGAAAUCCAAAAUAGUGGGUUCAUUACUAUGUAAAGUUUUGACCUCUUCAAUCCCACUUUUACCAAUUUUUGCAUCAAGAUCUAAAAACUCUGAAUCAUUUGGACGCCUUUUAACUAAAUUUGACUCAUCUCCACUCCCAUCUUUAUGAAGAUUCAUAUUGGAAACAAAUAUUUAAUAGGAGACACAUCAAUUACUUUUAGAUCUUCAUCAUUGUUGUCAUAAAAACUAGAAGAACACGCUUUCACAAAGCAAUCUUUUUUAGCACGCAUCAUAGCGGUUCUUUCUUUGCACUCAUCAAUGGAAAUUCUCAUGGCUUUGAGAAACUCAUUGAUAUCAUGCUUAGGUGAAAUAGACCGGCAUAAUUUUUUUUAUAAUCAUCCAUAAAUUCAAACCAUGUGUCGCGCAAUUACGUAUCAUUAAUUUCAUCCUCUCCCAGGCUUGUGCAACAUGCUCAUGAUCAAGUUGCUUAAAAUUCAUAAUAUCGUUUCUAAGAGAGAUGAUCUUAGCGGGAGGAAAAUACCUAGAGAUAAAAGCAUCUUUGCACUUAUUCCAUGAAUCAAUACUAUUUUUAGGCAAAGAAGAGAACCAAGUUUUAGCACGAUCUCUAAGCGAAAACGGAAAUAGCUUCAAUAUAAUAGUAUCAUUAUCAACAUCUUUCUUCUUUUGCAUAUCCAACAAAUCAACAAAGUUGUUUAGAUGGAUAGCGGCAUAUUGAGUGGGAAGGAUAGAAAAUUGAUCUUUCAUGACAAGAUUCAACAAACCAGCAAUAAUUUCACAAGAUUCAACAUCGGUAAUAGGAGCAAUCGAAGUGCUAAUAAAAUCAUUGUUGUUGGUAUUGAAAAAGUCACACAAUUUAGUAUUGUCUUGAGCCAUCGUGACAAACAACCAAUCCAACAUAAGCAAACAAGAAGCAAGCGGAAAGAAGCGGACAGAAAAAGGGCGAAUAAAAUGGCAAACGUGAAGUGGGGGAGAGGAAAACUAGAGGCAAACGGAAAAUAAUGUAAUGCAAGGGAGAAGAGUUUGUGAUGGGUACUUGGUAUGUCUUGACUUGAGCGUAGAUCUCCCCGGCAACGGUGCCAGAAAUCCUUCUUGCUACCACUUGAGCAUGCGUUGGUUUUUCCUUGAAGAGGAAAGGGUGAUGCAGCAAAGUAGCGUAAGUAUUUCCCUCAGUUUUUGAGAACCAAGGUAUCAAUCCAGUAGAACACUACAUGCAAAUCGCCUAGUACCCGCACAAACAUUCAAGAACCUUGCAACCAACGCGAUAAAGGGAUUGUCAAUCCCUUCAUGGCCACUUGCAAAAGUGAGAUCUGAUAAAGAUAAUAAGAUAAAUAUUUUUGGUAUUUUUGUUGUACAGAUUGAAAAGUAAAGAUUGCAAAAUAAACGGCGACUGAAAUAGCUAGUUGACGGGAAACUAAUAUGAUGUAAAAUAGACCCGGGGGCCAUAGGUUUCACUAGUGGCUUCUCUUAAGAUAGCAAAUAUUACGAUGGGUGAACAAAUAACUACCGAGCAAUUGAUAGAAAAGCGCAUAGUUAUUAGAAUAUCUAGGAACGAUCAUGAAUAUUGGCGUCACGUCCGUAACAAGUAGACCAAAACGAUUCUACAUCUACUACUAUUACUCCACACAUCGACUGCUAUCCAGCAUGCAUCUAGUGUAUUAAGUAACACAUUAGGCAAGAUGACAUGAUGUAGAGGAAUAAACUCAAGCAAUAUGAUAUAAACCCCAUCUUUUUAUCCUCGAUGGCAACAAUACAAUACGGGUCGGUUCCCUUUCUGUCACUGGGAUCGAGCACCGCAAGAUUGAACCCAAAGCUCAGCACUUCUCCCAUUGCAAAAAGAUCAAUCUAGUAGGCCAAACUAAACCGAUAAUUCGAAGAGACUUGCAAAGAUAUUAAAUCAUGCAUAUAAGAAUUCAGAGAAGAAUCAAAUAUUGUUCAUAGAUAAUCUGGAGCAUAAACCCACAAUUCAUCGGAUCUCGACAAACACACCGAAAAAGAAUUACAUCGAAUAGAUCUCCAAGAAGAUCGAGGAGAACUUUGUAUUGAGAUCCAAAGAGAGAGAAGAAGCCAUCUAGCUAAUAAUUAUGGACCCAAAGGUCUCUAGUAAACUACUCACACAUCAUCAGAGAGGCUAUGGUGUUGAUGUAGAAGCCCUCCGUGAUUGAAUACCCCUCCGCCAGAUCGCCGGAAAAGGCUCCCAGAUGGGAUCUCACAGGUAUAGAAAUUUGCGGCGGUGGAAAAGUGGUUCCGUGGCUCCCCUGGAUGUUUUCAGGGUAUAAGAGUAUAUAUAGGCGAAAGAAGUAGGUCGGUGGAGCUACGAGGGGCCCACGAGGGUGGGGAGCACGCCUACCCCCCUGGGCGCUCCUUCUUGCCUUGCGGCUGCCUUGUUACUUCCAUGACUUCCACUCCAAGUCUGCUAGAUUGCAUUUGUUCAAAAAACGAUCCUCGCGAAGGUUUCGUUCCGUUUGGAUUCCGUUUGAUAUCCCUUUUCUGCGAAACACUAAAAUAGGCAAAAAAUAACAAUUUGCACUGGGCCUUCGGUUCAUAGGUUAGUCCCAAACAUAAUAUAAAAGAGCAUAAUAAAUCCCAUUAAACAUCCAAAAUAUAAUACAAUGGAACAAUCAAAAAUUAUAGAUACAUUGAAGACGUAUCAGCCAUCAAGCAGGAUUUCUGGCAUCGUUGCCGAGGAGGAUCUUCAAUAUAACGAGGUUCCUACCAAAGGCGCUUCACUCCCCGGCAAUGGCGCCAGAAAAGAGUCUUGAUGGCCCACAAGUAUAGGGGAUAUAUCGUAGUUCUUUUGAUAAGUAAGAGUGUCGAACCCAACGAGGAGCAGAAGGAAAUGAUAAGCGGUUUUCAGCAAGGUAUUCUCUGCAAGUACUGAAAUAAGUGGUAACAGAUAGUUUUGUGAUAAGAUAAAUUGUACUGAGAAACAAGUAAAAAAAGUAAAUAAAGUGCAGCAAGGUGGCCCAAUCCUUUUUGUAGCAAAGGACAAGCCUGAACAAACUCUUAUAUAGAGAAAAGCGCUCCCGAGGACACAUGGGAAUAUCGUCUAGCUAGUUUUCAUCACGUUCAUAUGAUUCGCGCUCGGUAUUUUGAUAAUUUGAUAUGUGGGUGGACCAGUGCUUGGGUGUUGUUCUUACUUGAACAAGCAUCCCACUUAUGAUUAACCUCUAUUGCAAGCAUCCACAACUACAACAAAAGUAUUAAGUAAACCUAACCAUAGCAUGAAACAUAUGGAUCCAAAUCAGCCCCUUACAAAGAAACGCAUAAACUAGGGUUUAAGCUUCUGUCACUCUAGCAACCCAUCAUCUACUUAUUACUUCCCAAUGCCUUCCUCUAGGCCCAAAUAAUAGUGAAGUGUUAUGUAGUCGACGUUCACAUAACACCACUAGAGGAUAGACAACAUACAUCUCAUCAAAAUAUCAAACGAAGACCAAAUUCACAUGAAUACUAAUAGCAAGACUUCUCCCAUGUCCUCAGGAACAAACGUAACUACUCACAAAGCAUGUUCAUGUUCAUAAUCAGAGGGGUAUUAAUAUGCAUAAAGGAUCUGAACAUAUGAUCUUUCACCAAAUAAACCAACUAGCAUCAACUACAAGGAGUAAUCAACACUACUAGCAACCUACUAGUACCAAUCCCAGACUUGGAGACAAGAAUUGGAUACAAGAGAUGAACUAGGGUUUUGAGAGGAGAUGGUGCUGGUGACGAUGUUGAUGGAGAUUUCCCUGUCCCGAUGAGAGGAGCGUUGGUGAUGACGAUGGCGAUGAUUUCCCCCUCCCGGAGGGAAGUGUCCCCAGCAGAACAGCUCUGCCGGAGCCCUAGAUUGGUUCCGCCAAGGUUCCGCCUCGUGGCAGCAGAGUCUCGUCCCGAAAGGUUGCUUAUGAUUUUUCCCUUGACGAAAGACUUCAUAUAGCAGAAGAUGGCCACCGGAGAGCCAACAGGGGGCCCACGAGGUAGGGGGCACGCCCUGGGGGGUAGGGCGCGCCCCCACCCUCGUGGGCAGGUGGUGGCCCCCUGACGUAUUUCUUCCGCUCAAAAUUUUUUAGAUAUUCUGAAAAUAACUUCCGUGGAGUUUCAGGACUUCUGGAGUUGUGCAGAAUAGGUCUCUAAUAUUUGCUCCUUUUCCAGCCCAGAAUUCCAGCUGCCGGCAUUCUCCCUCAUGUAAAACUUGUAAAAUAAGAGAGAAUAGGCAUAAGUAUUGUGACAUAAUGUGUAACAACAGCCCAUAAUGCAAUAAAUAUUGAUAUAAAAACAUGAUGCAAAAUGGACGUAUCAACUCCGCCAAGCUUAGACCUCGCUUGUCCUCAAGCGAAAGCCGAUAACGAUAAAUAUGUCCUCAUGUUUAGAGGUAGAGGUGUCGAUAAAACAAAAUACGGACAUGAGGGCAUCAUGAUUAUUCUCUUAAAAACAACGUAUAUGGAUAUUGUCAUAUGAUUUCUUAUGCUCAAGUAAUAAACUGUUCACAAUGCAAAAGUAUGAAUUAGAAACUUUAUUGAGAACUAACAAACUAUAAUUUCGGUCAUUGAAGCAAUUGCAAUUUUUCAUAACAUCAGAAAGAGUCUAUGUCAAAGCUCUCUAGCAAGUCCACAUACUCAACUAUCAUUUAGUCUUUCAUAAUUGCUAACACUCACGCGAUACUUGUGGUUACGGAGUUUUAAUCGGACACAGAGAAAGAUAGGGGCGUAUAGUUUCGCCUCCCAACCUUUUACCUUGAGGGUAAUGUCAACAAUAAUAACUCACGCUCCCCUACAUCCAAUUAGAUAUAUCUAUCAGGAUCUUUCCAACACACUGUGCUUGCCAAAGGAUAGAAUGUAAAAAGGAAAGGUGAAGAUCACCAUGACUCUUGCAUAAGGUAGAAGAUAAUAGUAACAGAUAGGCCCUUCGCAGAGGGAAGCAGAGGUUACCAUGCGCUUUCGGGGUUGGAUGCACAAAAUCUUAAUGCAAAAGAACGUCACUUUAUAUUGCCCCUUAUGAUAUGAACCUUUAUUAUGCAGUCCGUCGCUUUUAUUUCUUCCACAUCACAAGAUCGUAUAAAGCUUAUUUCCUCCACACCAAUCAAUGGUACAUGUUUAAAGAGAAAAUUUUAUUGCUUGCACCGAUGACAACUUACUUGAAGGAUCUUACUCAAUCCAUAGGUAGAUAUGGUGGACUCUCAUGGCAAAACUGGUUUAAGGGUUUUGGAAGCACAAGUAGUAUCUCUACUUGGUGCUGAGAAUUUGGCUAGCAUGAGGGGGAAAGGAAAGCUCAACAUGUUGGAUGAUCCAUGACAAUAUACUUUAUCUCAGAUAUAAGAAAACAUAAACCAUUACGUUGUCUUCCUUGUCCAACAUCAACUCUUUAGCAUGUCAUAUUUUAAUGAGUGCUCCCAAUCAUAAAAUAUGUCCAUGAUAAUAUAUUUAUAUGUGAGAUCUCUCUUUCUUCAUUACUUCCUAUUAAUUGCAACGAUGACCAAAGCUAUGCUUGUUAACUCUCAACAAUUUUUAAUCAUCAUACCCUUUUUAUGUGAAGUCAUCACUCUCAAUAAGAUCAAUAUGAACUCUUUAUUUCUUUUUAUUCUUUUCUUUUAUUCACUCAAGAUCAUGGCAAAAUAAUCAAGCCCUUGACUCAACACUAAUCUUUCUUAUAUAUAGCUCACGGACUCGAUUACAUAGAGGGAUCAUAAAGCAAAACUCAAAACUAGAUCAUGCCAAGACUUUAUUCUACUAGAUCAAGAUACUACUAAAAGGAUCGAACUAAGAAAAACUGUAAAGAUAGGAGUGUGAUGGUGAUACGAUACCGGGGCUCCUCCCCCAAGCUUGGCAGUAGCCAAGGGGAGUGCCCAUGCCCAUAUGAUUAUAUCUCCUUCGCUGGUGAGGAAGGUGGCGGAGUUAUUGGUGAUGCGGGCUUGUCGUCCAUGUUCCAAGGCAUAGGCUCACCAUCAUAAAAGGAUGAUCGAGUCUCCGGGAUCCUCAAAUCUGCAGCCAAACUCAUCCUUUUGAAUCUAUACUCAUACUCACGGUUUUGGUUUUGUAGGUCAUAGAUUUGGGCUUGAAGGUGCUCGAGCUUCUCGUGAAGCUUGAAGAUGGUCUCCCCAAUGUUCUUGGCAUCCAGCUUGUGGUUGUUGGUGAACUCCGCGAUCAUCAUGUGGUUGGAGUUGAGUCCAUGUUCCACCAACCCCUGGCACUUGAAAACUUGUUGCUCCAUUGUUUCGAGCCUCGUCUCCAUGCUUCCGGUCCCCUUCGGUCCCUCAGCAUCGCAGAUGUGCAGCAACCCAUCACGCAUCUCAAUGGUUUGAGGGUGUCACAGCACCUCUGCGAGGUAAGGGUUGAUGACCUUUUCAAAGAACUUGUCCUUGGGGGCACUUGAAGAUGUCAUGACAAUCUAGAUCUGUCAGAAAAACAGCUCGAAACAAGAACAGAGGAGAAUUGCGUGAUACAGGAGUCAAAACCUUCGGGAGAAUAUAUAAUGAAUUUUUACCGACCAAAAUACGUAUUGUGCAAGAAAACGGAGUCCGGAGGGCACGCGAGGUGCCCACGAGGUAGGGGGCGCGCCCUGGGGGGUAGGGCGUGCCCUCCACCCUCGUGGAGGCCUCGUGUCCUUCCCGGACUGCUUCUUGUUUUUCUAUUUUUCUAAAUAUUCCAAAACAGAAAAAUAUUGCCUUUAGAACUGUUUUGGAGUCGGUUUACUUACCGUACCACAUACCUAUUCCUUUUCGGAGUCUGAAACGUUCCGGAAAGUGUCUCUUGUGUAUUCCUCCGGGGUUAUAGUUUCAAUAACAUUGGUUUCAACAUUUAUAGGAUUACCUGAGAUAUAAUGUUUGAUUCUUUGAUCGUUCACCACCUUCGGAUUUGUGCCUUCGAAGUUGUUGAUUUUUAUGGCACCGGAACGAUAGACCUCCUCGAUAACAUAAGGACCUUCCCAUUUAGAGAGAAGUUUUCGUGCAAAAAAUCUUAAACGAGUUGUAUAGCAAUACAUAAUCAACUACAUUAAACUCACGCUUUUGUAUUCUUUUGUCAUGCCAUCUUUUAACUUUUUCUUUAAACAACUUGGCAUUUUCAUAAGCUUGGGUUCUCCAUUCAUCAAGUGAGCUAAUAUCAAAUAACCUCUUCUCACCGGCAAGUUUGAAAUCAUAAAUGAGCUCUUUAAUAGCCCAAUAAGCCUUAUGUUCUAGUUCGAGAGGUAAGUGACAUGCUUUUCCAUAAACUAUAUUGCGGGUUCUAUGAUUAACAUCAUACUUAGCAAGCAUUUUACGGAAAGGACCAUGAAUAACAUGUGAACCACCAUCAGUCAUCAAAUAUCUAGGGACACCAAACCUCGGAAAAAUAAAUUUUUUAAGCAUCUUAAUUGAGGUGUUAUGAUCAGCACUACCAGUUGGAAUAGCUUCUACCCACUUAGUAACGCAAUCAACAACAACUAAAAUAUGUGUAUAUCCAUUAGAGGUAGGAAAAGGUCCCAUAUAAUCAAAGCCCCAAACAUCACAUGGUUCAAUAAGAAGUGAAUAGUUCAUAGGCAUUUCUUGACGUCUACUAAUAUUACCAAUUCUUUGACAUUCAUCACAAGAUAAGACAAACUUACGUGCAUCCCUGAAGAGAGUAGGCCAAUAAAAACUAGAUUGCAAUACCUUAUGUGCAGUUCUAUCUCCAGCGUGGUGUCCUCCAUAAGCUUCCGAGUGACACUUGCGAAGGGUCUAUUCCUGUUCAUGCUCAGGUACACAACGUCUAAUAACACAAUCUACUCCUUCUUUAUAAAGAUGUGGGUCAUCCCAAAAGUAAUGCCUCAAAUCAUAGAGGAAUUUUGUCUUUUGCUAGUAAGUGAAAGUAGGGGGUAUAAAUUUAGCAACAAUGUAAUUAGCAUAAUCAGCAUACCAUGGAACAGUACGAGAAGCACUUCUGACAUUUAAUUGCUCAUCAGGAAAGCUAUCAUCAAUAGGUUGUGGGUCAUCAAGAACAUUUUCUAAUCUAGACAAGUUGUCUGCAACGGGGUUCUCAGCUCCUUUUCUAUCAACAAUAUGCAAAUCAAAUUCUUGUAGCAAAAGAACCCAUCUGAUAAGUCUAUGUUUAGCAUCUUUCUUUUCCAUAAGAUAUUUAAUAGCAACAUGAUCCGUGUAAAUAGUUACUUUAGAAUCAACAAUAUAAGGUCUGAACUUAUCACAAGCAAAUACAACUGCUAAGAAUUCUUUUUCAGUAGUAGUAUAAUUUCUCUGAGCAUUGUCUAGAGUUUUACUAGAAUAGUGAAUAACAUUUAAUUUCUUAUCAACUCUCUGCCCUAGAAAAGCACCUACAGCAUAAUCACUAGCAUCACACAUAAUUUCAAAGGGUAAAUUCCAAUCAGGUGGCUGAACAAUAGGUGCAGAGAUCAAUGCUUUGUUAAGUAUUUCAAAUGCUUCUACACAAUCAUCAUAAAAAACAAAUGGUAUAUCUUUUUGUAAUAAAUUAGUCAGAGGCCGAGAAAUUUUUGAGAAGUCCUUAAUGAACCUCCUAUAAAAUCCUACGUGACCAAGGAAACUUCUUAUACCUUUGAUGUCCUUGGGACAUGGCAUCUUUUCAAUAGCAUCAACCUUGGCUUUAUCAACUUCAAUACCUCUUUCAGAAACUUUAUGCCCCAAGACAAUACCUUCAUUAACCAUAAAGUGGCAUUUUUCCCAAUUCAAUACACAGUUAGUUUCUUCACAUCUCUGCAAAACUCAAUCAAGGUUGCUCAAGCAAUCAUCAAAAGAGGAUCCAUAGAUGGAAAAAUUGUCCAUGAACACCUCACAAAUCUUUUCACAAAAGUCAGAGAAUAUAGCCAUCAUGCAUCUUUGAAAGGUAGCAGGUGCAUUACAUAAACGAAAAGGCAUACGUCUAUAAGAAAAAGUACCAAAAGGGCAUGUAAAAGUAGUCUUUGAUUGAUCAUUGGCUAACACAGGUAUUUGAGAGAAACUAGAAUAACCAUCUAGAAAGCAAAAAUGUGUAUGUUUGGAUAAUCUUUAUAACAUUUGAUCGAUAAAAGGUAAGGCGUAAUUAUCUUUUUUAGUAGCUUUAUUUAAUUUGCGGAAAUCAAUUACCAUCCUAUAGCCUGUAAUAAUUCUUUGCGGAAUCAAUUCAUCCUUAUCAUUAGGAACGAUAGUAAUACCUCCCUUUUUAGGGACACAAUGGACAAGACUUACCCACUGACUAUCGGCAAUGGGAUAAAUUAUACCUGCCUCGAGGAGCUUUAGUAUUUCCUUUCUUACCACUUCCUUCAUUUUAGGAUUCAGCCGUCGUUGAUGAUCACAAACUGGUUUGGCACCUUCUUCCAAAUUUAUUUUAUGUUGACAUAGAGUGGGACUAAUGCCCUUAAGAUCAUCAAGAGUAUAUCCAAUAGCAGCACGAUGCUUCUUCAGAGUUUUUAAUAAUCUCUCUUCUUCAUGCUCUGAAAGGUUAGCACUAAUAAUAACAGGAUAUAUCUUCUUUUCAUCAAGAUAAGCAUAUUUAAGAGUAUCAGGCAACGGUUUAAGCUCAAACACGGGAUCACCCUUGUGUGGAGGAGGAUCCCCUAGGAUUUCAACAGGCAAGUUGUGUUUCAGGAUAGGUUCCUGUUUAAAGAAUACUUCAUCUAUUUCCCUUCUUUCAUUCAUAAACAUAUCAUUUUCACGGUCUAGCAAUAUUGUUCUAAAGGAUCACUAGGAGGUACAGCAAUAGAAGCAAGACCAAUAAUUUCAUCCUUACUAGGCAAUUCUUCUUCACGGUGUUGUCUACUAAAUUUAGAGAAAUUAAACUCAUGAGACAUAUCACCCAAGCCAAUAGUAACAACAUUAUUUUCGCAGUCUAUCCUAGCAUUGACAGUGUUCAAGAAAGGUCUAACAAAUAUAAUGGGACAAAAGCUAUCUUGUGGGGAACCAAGAACAAGAAAAUCAGCAGGAUAUUUAGUUUUCCCACACAAGUCUUCAACAUCCCUAACAAUUCCCAUUGCUGAUAUGGUAUCUCUAUUGGCAAGUUUAAUUGCAACAUCAAUAUCUUCUAACUCAGCAGGUGCAAUCUCAUGCUUAAUUUCUUGGUAUAAGCAUGAGGUAUAACACUAGCACUAGCACCCAUAUCACAUAAGCCAUGAUAACAAUGAUCUCCUAUUUUAACAGAAAUAACAGGCAUGCCUACCACAGGUCUAUGUUUAUCUUUAGCACAAGGUUUGGCAAUUAUAGCAGUUUCACCGCAGAAAUAAAUUGUAACAUCCCAAAUUUUCAAUUUGGAAUGUUAUACAUUAGAUCAUCAUUGCAUAUCAUAUUUUAUUUGCUUUUGGUUUUGAUCCUAGAAAUUCUACGCAACUCAAGGAUCCACGGAGAGAGUUGGGGAUUUUGUUAUUUUCAUAUUUGAGUUUUCUCAAAUUUGGGGAAUAGGAUCAUUUGAUUUUAAUUAUUUUAUCUUCAAUUAUUUCUAUUACAAAAAUAUGAGAGAGGGAAUAAAAUGACUUUCCCAAAAUAAAGAAAUAUUGAGAAUUUAAUAAUAAAAUCAAAUAAGAUUUUAUUUCGGAGUUUUUCGCUAUUUUAUUUGAAUUUAGGAAAAAUGUGUGUUUCUCAAAAUUGCAUUUAGGCCCCAAGUAAAUGUUCACUUUGUCCGGCUUGAUUUUAGUAGUCGGGGAAAAUUUAUUUCGGGAUUUUUGGAGUCCGUUUAGUAUUUCUUUUUUUUGUUUUUCUGCACGCGUAUUUUUUAAAAAAAAACGAACCGACCUAACCGGGCCGGGUCCGACUAGGACAGUUGGCCGGACCGUCCUUUAAAGCCGCGGGGGCCUUAGCCGCAGCCAGCCGCCCCAGCCCCCGAAACCAUAGCCACCGCUGCCCUCGAUCCGCGCGCCGCCCCGUGCUGCCGCCACCGCCCCGCCCCGCCGCACGCCGCCGCCGACGCCGCCACUGACCCCGCCGACUUCGCCGGAGGUAGCCGCCGCCCCGCCGCCGUUUUUUUAGGAAAACCGUUCGGUUUUUCCGUCGGUUUUCGUCGGUUUUUUUAGUUUCCAUUUUUUAUCAGAUUCGGUUUUUUCGGUUUAGGUUAAUUAGCGAGCGUUCGCUCAUUCGUUCGUUUUAACGAACGCGUUCGUCGUUUAGAUCCAGAUAACAAAUGUUCAUUCGUUAAUCUGUUCGUCGUUUUCUUUUUCUCGGAUUUUUCCGCGAUUAUUUCUGAUCGCGAUUUCUGAUCCGAUUUUCGUUCUAGUAUAACUUUUUGCUCGUUUCGUCUCGAGACCCUCUUUCCGUUUAACCAACUCAAACAAGUUUUUGCUUCUGUAAAAUUUGACUUAGGUCCAUAUUAGUAAAACGAAGUUUAUUUCUUUCGUCGUUUGACUUGAUUUGAUUUUUUUGCAAACCGGAGUUCUUAAGUUGAAUUUUCUGGUUAGAUCUCUUAUUUGAGUUUUACCCGUGCAUUAGAUGAGUACUUAUUGUAUGCUUGUUUGUUUGUUUGCGAUAGAGUACCCGGAGUGUGCCGCCUAUUACUUCGAAUCUCUAGGUUUCGCGGAUCAUCAGCAAGGCAAGUAACAUUUUGAUCAUACCUCUUUACUACCCAGUUUCAGUGCAUUAGAUCAAUCCUCAAACAUUGCAUGAUUAGGAUAUAAUUAAAUUGUGGGAUGGGAAGUAGUUGAGGUAGUACCUAUUACCUGUUUCUAUAUCAAACCUUUGGGAGUUACUUCUACAUUUGCUUAAUAUUCCAUGCUAUGCUAGUAGACGUGGAUUGGGUGAGUGAUAUCCAUGACAGAUGUGAGAUUAUUAAUUAAUGGUUUAUUUAAGGUGGCAACUUAAACACACAUCUGGGUGGAUUGAGGUACCUGGGUAUUCCAGGAUUGCCUGUUGUUUUUCAUAUGGACCGCCACCCAGGCUCAAAGGGAUCAUGAGAUUAUUCAUACUAGAAACUUCCGUGUGCAGCCACAAGCUACUAUGGGCUCUAGCGUAGUUGACUAAGUCGUGCGAACUCUUACAGUGGUAGACUAGCAGAUGUAGGGGAUGUAGGUGGUACGGUCUACCCGAUCGUAAGGUGCUAGCGCUUCUGAAAGACUAUGUCUCGGUCAUCCGUUUCUCAAGCACCAUGUAGUGCCAGAAUUCCAACGGAGGAGAUCGAGUCUUGUGGGGAAAAGUGUGCAACCUCUGCAGAGUGUAUAAACUAAUCAUGAUUAGCCGUGUCCCCGGUUAUGGACGUCUUGAGUACCUAGUACUUGGAUUAUCAUGUGAAUCUCAUCAUGUUACUUUAUUUAAUUUUGUUGGGUUCCUAAUGAUGAUUCUUAAUGGGAUUGAGGAUGCUGUCAACCAUUCUCAAUGUUUAACAACCACCAUGAUAGUUAAAUAAAAUUUAUUCCUUUGCAGUAGGGAAAAAUUGGCUUUACGCAAAAACUGUAACCAUAGAGUUUUCCACCAGCCAUAUAUGCAUGUAGUAUAGCCUAUUUCUUUUAUUGCUCUCUCUAUGUGUUACAUUGCCAGCAUAUUCCAUGUGCUGACCCAUUUCGGGCUGCAACGUUUCAUGUUGCAGACUUUUCAAACAAUGAGUAAGGUUCCUUUAGGUCGUGGUUCUAUACUCAGUGAUGCCGUUGGAGUUGAUGGACUUGCUUAUCUUCCAAGCCUUCCGCUGUUAUCGUUAUUAGAUGGCCUUAAGCCAUUUUUAUUGUAGUAAGUUCUCUUUUGAGACAUUAGAUGUAAUAAGUGUGUGAUUGCUACUCUAUUAUAAAUCCUUCAAGUAUUGUGCGUGUCAGCAUUACUGAUCCAGGGAUGACACUGAUGCACAGAGAUCAGACUGUUUGAGGUCUGGUCGCUACAUAAAUAACAUGCCCAUCAAUAUUAUCAGCCAAGAGAUCUUUAACAAUAGCAAUAUUAGGUUCAACUUUAACUUGCUCAGGGGGUGUAUAAGUUCUACUAUUACUUUUACAAACCACAGUUGAAGCUUUAGCAUGAUCCUUUAUUCUAACAGGGAAAGGUGGUUUUUCAACAUAAGAGGUAGGAACAACAGGAUCAUUAUAAGUGAUAAUCUUUUCUUCAACUUUAAUAGGUGCAGCUACUUUCACUUCUAUGGGGGGAUGAUAUUUAAACCACUUCUCCUUGGGGAGAUCAAAAUAAGUAGCAAAAGAUUCACAGAAAGAAGCUACUAUCUCAGAGUCAAGACCAUAUUUAGUGCUAAAUUUACGGAAAACAUCGGUGUCCAUAAAAGAUUUAACACAAUCAAACUUAGGUGUCAUACCUGGCUCCUUACCUUCGUCGAUAUCCCAAUCUUCAGAGUUGCGUUUAAUUCUAUCCAAUAAAUUCCAUUUCUAAUUCAAUAGUCUUCAUCGUAAAAGAGCCAGCACAAAAAAUAUCGAGCAUGGUGCGAUUGUUAUCAGAAAGCCGAGCAUAAAAACUUUGAAGAAUUAUUUCUCUUGGGAGCUCAUCAUUGGGGCAUGAAUAUAACAUUGAUUUAAGCCUCCCCCAAGCUUGAGAGAUGCUUUCUCCUUCACGAGGCCAAAAAUUAUAUAUAUAAUUGCGAUCACGAUGAACAAGAUGCAUAGGAUAAAACUUCUGAUGAAAUUCCAAUUUCAAUCGUUUAUAGUUCCAUGAUCUCGUAUCAUCACAUAGCCUGUACCAUGUCAAUGCAUCUCCCUCCAAAGAUAAAGGGAAGACCUUCUUCUUAACAACAUCAUCGGGUAUACCUGCAAGCUUAAAUAAUCCACAAACUUCAUCCACAUAAAUUAGGUGCUCAUCAGGAUGCUUUGUUCCAUCUCCUACAAAAGGGUUAGCUAGCAGUUUUUCUAACAAACCCGAAGGAACUUCAAAGGGAACAUUUCAUUUUCAGUAGGUUCAGUAGGUUGAGGAGAAACUCUUUGCUCUACUGGUCGGGGUGAAGAUACCCCGAACAAGCCCCUCAGAGGAUUACUUUUCAUAGUAACAAGCGACAGUAAAUUUCAGCACACUAUAUAAAUUUUCCUUACCAAAUUCCACCUACUAAAGGCGCUUCACUCCCCGGCAACGGUGCAAGAAAAGAGUCUUGAUGACCCACAAGUAUAGGGGAUCUAUCGUAGUCCUUUCGAUACGUAGGAGUGUCGAACCCAACGAGGAGCAGAAGGAAAUGAUAAGCGGUUUUCAGCAAGGUAUUCUCUGCAAGUACUGGAAUAAGUGGUAAUAGAUAGUUUUGUGAUAAGAUAAAUUGUAACGAGCAACAAGUAACAAAAGUAAAUAAAGUGCAGCAAGGUGGCCCAAUCCUUUUUGUAGCAAAGGACAAGCCUGGACAAACUCUUAUAUAGAGAAAAGCGCUCCCGAGGACACAUGGGAAUAUCGUCGAGAUAGUUUUCAUCAUGUUCAUAUGAUUCGCAUUCGAUACUUUGAUAAUUUGAUAUGUGGGUGGACCAGUGCUUGGGUGCUGUUCAUACUUGAACAAGAAUCCCACUUAUGAUUAACCUCUAUUGGAAGCAUCCGCAACUACAACAAAAGUAUUAAGGUAAACCUAACCAUAGCAUGAAACAUAUGGAUCCAAAUCAGCCCCUUACGAAGCAAUGCAUAAACUAGGGUUUAAGCUUCUGUCACUCUAGCAACCCAUGAUCUACUUAUUACUUCCCAAUGCCUUCCUCUAGGCCCAAAUAAUGGUGAAGUGUUAUGUAGUCGACGUUCACAUAACACCACUAGAGGAUAGACAACAUACAUCUCAUCAAAACCAAAUUCACAUGACUACUAAUAGCAAGACUUCUCCCAUGUCCUCAGGAACAAACGUAACUACUCACAAAGCAUAUUCAUGUUCAUAAUCAGGGGGGUAUUAAUAUGCAUAAAGGAUCUGAACAUAUGAUCUUUCACCAAAUAAACAAACUAGCAUCAACUACACAGAGUAAUCAACACUACUAGCAACCUAGUACCAAUCCCGGACUUGGAGACAAGAAUUGGAUACAAGAGAUGAACUAGGGUUUUGAGAGGAGAUGGUGCUGGUGAAGAUGUUGAUGGAGAUUGCCCUCUCCCGAUGAGAGGAGCGUUGGUGAUGACGAUGGCGAUGAUUUCCCCCUCCCGGAGGGAAGUGUCCCCGGCAGAACAGCUCUACCGGAGCCCUAGAUUGGUUCCACCAAGGUUCCACCUCGUGGCGGCGGAGUCUCAUCCCGAAAGGUUGCUUAUGAUUUUUCCCUUGACGAAAGACUUCAUAUAGCCGAAGAUGGUCACCAGAGAGCCAACCGGGGGCCCACGAGGCAAGGGGCGUGUCCCGGGGGGUAGGGCGCACCCCCCACCCUCGUGGGCAGGUGGUGGCCCCCUGACAUAUUUCUUCCGCUCAGUAUUUUUUAUAUAUUCUGAAAAUAACUUCCAUGGAGUUUCAGGACUUUUGGAGUUGUGCAGAAUAGGUCUAUAAUAUUUGCUCCUUUUCCAGCCCAGAAUUCCAGCUGCCGGCAUUCUCCCUCCUUAUGUAAACCUUUUAAAAUAAGAGAGAAUAGGCAUAAGUAUUGUGACAUAAUGUGUAACAACAGCCCAUAAUGCAAUAAAUAUCAAUAUAAAAGCAUGAUGCAAAAUGGACGUAUCAGGAUGCCGUGUCCCAUCUUAAUACCUUCGUGGAAUUAUGCGAUAUGCAAAAGAAAAAAGAUGUGGACAAUGAUGUGGUCAAGAUGAAAUUAUUUCCAUUCUCUUUGCGUGAUUCUGCAAAAAAUUGGUUCUCUUCUUUGCCUCGCAAUAGUAUUGAUUCUUGGAAUAAGUGCAAAGAUGCUUUUAUCACUAAGUAUUUUUCUCUUGCAAAAAUUAUUUCCCUUAGAACCCAGAUCAUGAAUUUCAAGCAACUUGAACAUGAGCAUGUUGCACAAUCUUGGGAAAGGAUGAAAAUGAUGCUAAGGAAUUGCCUAACUCAUGGGUUAAAUCUUUGGAUCAUCAUACAAAUUUUUUAUGCGGGGUUGAAUUUUGUUUCUCUUAAUCUUUUAGAUUCCUCCGCGGGUGGAACUUUUAUGGAAAUUACUUUGGGUGAAUCCACCAAAUUUCUUGAUAAUAUCAUGGCAAAUUAUUCACAAUGGCAUACCGAAAGAGCUCCUACUAGUAAAAAAGUUAAUUCGGUUGAAGAAAUUUCUUCUUUGAGUGAUAAAGUUGAUGCUCUUAUGAAAUUAGUUGCUAGUAAAAGUGCUCCUAUUGAUCUUAAUGAUAUGCCUUUGUCUACUUUGAUCGAGAAAAAUAGUGAUGCCAUUGAUGUGAAUUUUAUCUCUAGAAAUAAUUUCAACAACAAUGCUUAUAGAGGAAAUUUUAAUCCUAGGCCUUUUCCUAGUAAUUCCUCUAACAAUUAUGGUAAUUCCUAUGGAAAUCAAUCUUAUAAUAAUAGUAACACCUUUGAUCUUGAGAAUAAUAUUAAAGAAUUUAUCAAUACACAAAAAGUUUUCAACACUUACAUAGAAGAAUAGUUGAAUAAGUUUGAUGAUUUAUCUACAAUCAUGAUGUGGAAAAUCUCAAGAUGAAAAUUUUUGUGCCUAAAGUUGAUGAAUCAAUUAUAGCUCUUUAUGUUUCUACGGAUGAAAGUAAGAAAAGAACCGUUAUGCUUAGAGCUAAAAGAGAAUUUUUAGAAAAAGCUUUUUCUAGUGAUUAUUCUUGCAAAAAUGAUGAAGAUCUUAAAAUGUUUGGUGUUUAUUCUAUUGAUUCCUUGUUUAGUAAAGUUAAGAUUGUUGAAAAAGGGACCGUAGAAGAGUCAACUUUAGGUACAAGGCGUCCAAAUAUUUCGGAGAGGUCAAAGACUUUAAUUAUGAUAGUUGCUCUUUGAUUGAUUGUAUUUGUUUUUUGCAAUCCAUGCUAAAUUCACCCCAUGAUAAUGAACAAAACAAAGCUUUUACUAAACAUAUUGUUGAUGCUAUGAUGUAAGCUUUGGAAGCAAAAAAAAGGAAUUAGAAGUUUCAGUUCCUAGAAAAUUGCAUGAUUAGUGGGAACCUACUAUCAAAGUCAAGAUUAAAAAUUAUGAAUGUUUUGCUUUGUCUGACAUGGGUGCUAGUGUUUCUACAAUUCCGAAAUCUUUAUGUGAUGUGCUUGGUCUUACCAAUCUUGAAGAAUGUUCCUUGAAUUUGCACUUGGCGGAUUCUACUAUUAAAAAGCCUAUGGGAAGAAUUAAUGAUGUUCUUAUUCUUGCAAAUAGGAACUAUGUGCCCAUAGAUUUUAUUGUUCUUGAUAUUGAUUGCAAUCCGUCCUUUCCAAUUUUUCUUGGUAAACUGUUUUUACGCACAAUCUGUGCCAUGAUUGAUAUGAAAGAAAGCAAUAUUAAGUUCCAAUUUCCUUUAAGGAAAGGUAUGGAACACUUUCCUAGAACAAAAGUCAGGCUACAUUAUGAAUCAAUCAUGAGGGCAUCUUAUGGAUCUCGAACCAAAGAUGACAAAACUUAGAUCCUUGCCUUACGCCUAGCUAAGGGCGUAAAACUAUAGCGCUUGUUGGGAGGCAACCCAAUGAAUAAAAUUUAUUUUUGCUUUUUUGCUUUUUGUUCUUGUGAGUUAACACAAUUAUUCUACUGCUAUGAUUGUGUUUUUAUGUUUUAAUUAGAGUUUGUGCCAAGUAAAGCCUUUAGGAUCCUCUUGGGUGAUAGUUGUUUGACCUUGCUGAAAAAAAACUUCGCGCUCACGAAAAUAAUUUUCAUAAAUCACAGAAAAGAGCUCUUGCUCUGAUUAUUUUUGCAGAAAAUAAAUAUACAAAUUACCCUAGUCGUCCAAAUUUGGUAGAAUUUUUGGAGUUCCAGAAGUAUUCGCAAAAGUCAGAUUACUACAGACUGUUUUGUUUUGACAGAUUCUGUUUUGUUUGUGUUGUGUGCUUAUUUUGAUGGCUCUAUGGUUUUCUUUAAUGAAUUUUUUCCAUAGAAAAGUUGGAACACAGUAGAUAUAAUACAAAAAAAAUAUGAACUGGUUUGAUACAACACUUAUAGUAGUGAUUUAUUUUUCUUACACUAACGGAUCUCACGAAGGUUUUGCUGAGUUUUGUGUGAUUGAAGUUUUCAAGUUUUGGGUUAUAUUACGAUGGAUGAAGGAAGGAUGUAAGAGCCUAAGCUUGGGGAUACCCCGACAUCCCAAGCUAUUAUCCAAGUAUGAGCAACCAACUAAGCUUGGGGAUGCCCCCCGAGUGGCAUCCCCGCUUUCUUCCAACAACUAUCGGUAUUUUACUUGAGACUAUAUUUUUAUUCGUCACAUGAUAUGUGUUUUGCUUGGAGCGUCUUGUAUGAUAUGUGUCUUAGCUUGUUUCAUUUUGUGUUUUAAGUCAUCAAUCCUUGAUGGACACACCUAUUUGAGAGAGCUAAAAUUAUAUCAUGACUUGUUAUAAUUGCUUUCUAUGCUUCGCUUAAAUCUUUUAUGAGCUAGGACUUGCUCUAGUGCUUCACUUAUAUCUUUUUUAGCACGGUGUGCUUUGUUAUUUUUGAAGAAAUGCUCACUUGCUUCACUUAGAUUUGUUUGAGAGUUAGUAAAAUUUUCAAGAAAUUCUCUCUUGCUUCACUUAAAUUAUUUUGAGAGAAAGAAAAUUUGUUAUGCUCACGAUCUUCACUUAUAUUUGUUUGAGCUUAUGAAAAGCAACACAUGACAAUUGGUGCCAGAGUGAUAGAUAUCCAAGAAGGAUAAAGUAAAAGAAAAUGUCAUGAAGAUCAUUGGACAAAAUAAACUUGAUUCUUAGCAGUAGUUUUGAGAUAUGAUGAUGUGAUAUGUGAGUUAUGUUGAUGAGUAAUUGUGCUCUAGUAAGAAUAUUGAUGUUAAGGUUUGUGAUUCCCUAUGCAUGCAUGAAAGUCAAUAAUCAUGCAAUGAAAAUUAUAUCCUAGUUGUGGUGCAUUAUUCGGUGUUUAUUAUGCCUAAUGCUUGCCUAUGAGAUUAUUCGUUUCAUGGGCUUCUCAAUCUUUUUGCUAGCCUUCAUUUGGCACCAAGUAUGACCUCUACUUGGUGCAUCCAAAAUCCUUUAAACCAGUUUUGCCACAUGAGUCCACUAUAUCUACCUAUAUGAUGUAUUCUUUUGCUGUUCUAAGAAAAUUUGCAUGUGCCAUCUCUAAUUUUCAAAAUAAACUUCUCUUUUGUGUGUUUGUUUCGCUCGCAGAACGGUAAUGGGUGGCUAAUAUUUUCCAUGCUGGAUGUGUUAUCUUCAAGAUGAGUGUUUAUUCACUUGAUUUUGCACGAGACUAAGGCAAAGGUUUUAGGGAUGCCCAGUCCUGAAAUGCAAAAAAUAUAUUUACUUUGUGUUGUCAAAUAAUAAAUUCCUUAGAAAGUGUUGGUAUGGAGGGCACCCGUGGAUACGGUUAGCCAUCGAAAGUGAAAGUAAUGGUGCAAAAAGGAAUAAACUUUAUUUACUGUUUGGGAACCACGUAUGGCAUAUCUAGCAUGGAAAGUGUUCGGAACUCUGAGUCGUUUUCGUUGGUGGGAUGGAUACACCUCCCAAAAUGUUUUUACCUCUAAUUUUUUCGCUUUGAGCUCUGGCACCUCUGCAAAUCCCUAGCUCCCUCUGCGAAGGGUAUUUCUUUUACUUUAUGCAAUUUUUAUUUUUGAAAUUUGAGUCUCCAUCUUCUCUUACAAAAGCACCAACUAGGAGGCAAUAUGAUCGUGCUCAAGUAUUGGGUGUAGUUAAUAUUUGGGUGUGUUUCAUGAAUGGAUCAAUGUUUGAGCAUGAUGGGCUAGAGAUAGCUUGUUUUAGCAUUGAUAUUUUGAAAGACAUGGUAGCUUGUUGAUAUGCUUGAGUAUCUAAAUUAUUAUGUCAAAACUAGACUAUUGCUUUGAAUCACAUAAAAUUCGAAAUGUCCAUGCUAUAAAGAAAAGAAUAUGAUAUGACUUGAUAAACAGCACUCCACAUCAAAAAUUCUGUUUUUAUCACUUACCUACUCGAGGAUGAGUAGGAGUUAAGCUUGGGGAUGCUGAUACGUCUCCAACGUAUCUAUAAUUUUCGAUUGUUCCAUGUUGUUUUAUUAUCGAUCUUGGAUGUUUUAUAAUCAUUUUAUAUCAUUUUUUGGUAAUAACCUAUUACAUAGUGCCAAGUGCCAGUUGCUGUUUUUUCCAUGUUUGUUACAUCGCAGAAAAUCAAAAUCAGACGGAGUCCAAAUGCCACAAAACUCCACGGUGAUUUUUUAUGGGCCAAAAGAAAGGCAAUGUGCCAUGGUUGCACCUUGGGGGUGCCCUGAGGGAGGCACAACCUACCAGGGUGCGCCUGCCCAGGCGCGCCCUGGUGGGUUGUGCCCACCUCGGGUGCCCCCCAGACCGCCUCUUUGCUCUAUAAAUACCCAAAUAUUCCAGAAACCCUAGGGGAGUCGAUAAAAUAUUCAUCCAGCCGCCGCAGCGUCCAGAACAACCAGAUCCAAUCUAGACACCAUCUCGGAUGGGGUUCACCACCUCCCUUGGUGCCUCUCCGAUGAUGCGUGAGUAGUUCUUUGUAGACCUUCGGGUCCGUAGUUACUAGGUAGAUGGCUUUCUCUCUCUCUCGCUGAAUUCUCAAUACAAUGGUCUCUUGGAUAUCCAUAUGAUGUAACUCUUUUGCGGUGUGUUUGUUGGGAUCAGAUGAUUUGAGUUUAUGAUCAGUCAUAUCUUUUUAGAACCAUGAAUGUUAUUUGAGUUUCUUUGAUCUCUUAUAUGCAUGAUCUCUUAUAGCCUUGUAUUUCUUCUCCGAUAUUUGGGUUUUGUUUGGCCAACUUGAUCUAUUUAUCUUGCAAUGAGAAGAGGUGCCCGGUAGUGGGUUCGAUCUUACGGUGCUUGAUCCCAGUGACAGAAGGGGAACCGGCACGUAUGUAUCGUUGCUACUAAGGAUAAAAAUACGAGAUCUAUAUCUACCGCCAUAUAGAUAAAUGGAUCUUGUCUACAUCAUCUCAUCGCUCUUAUUGCAUUACUCCAUUUUUCCAUGAACUUAAUACACUAGAUGCAUGCUGGAUAGCUGUCGAUGUGUGGAGUAAUAGUAGUAGAUGCAGGAAGGAGUCGGUCUACUAAUCUUGGACGUGAUGGCUAUGUAAUGAUCAUUGUCUGGAUUUCAUCAUAAUUAUUUGAAGUUCUAGCAAUUGCCCAAUAGUAAUUUUUUUACCCACUGCUUGCUAUUUUUCUCGAGAGAAGCCACUAGUGAAACCUACGGCCCCUGGGUCUUAUUUCUCAUAUAUUUGCCUUGCGAUCUACUUUUCCUUUGCAUUUUUAUUUAGAUCUAUUAAACGAAAAAAUACAAAAAUACCUGGCUGCGUUUUAUCUUUAUUUAUUUUAUUUGGCGUUUGAUCUAUCAAUCGACUACAAUUUAUCUCACGUUCGCUUGCCAAUUUCUGGCGCCAUUACCCGAAAGGGAUUGACAACCCCAUUAACACGUCGGGUUGCAAGGUGUUGUUAUUUGUGUGCAAGUGUUGUUUACGUUGUGUUGCUUGGUUCUCGUACUGGUUCGAUACCUUGGUUUCAUAACUGAGGGAAAUACUCUACCCUCGCUGUGCUACAUCAUCUCUCCCUCUCCGGGGAAAUACCGACAUAGUUCUAGCUGCCAUCACUCGUCACAUCUGGGAUCUCAUCCGGGACUCCGAAGAACCUUCGGUGACCACCAUAAUGACUCAACUAUACUUAUAUUGUCACCAAACGUUAAGUGUAUAGACCCCGCGGGUUCGAGAACUAUGCAGACAUGACUGAGACACCUCUACGGUCAAGAGCUAGUAGCGGGACCUGGAUGCCCAUACUGGUUCCCACAUAUUCUACGAAGAUCUUAUCGGUCGAACCUUGAUGUCAAGGAUUCAGGUAAUCCCGUAUGUAGUUCCCUUUGUCUAUCGGUAUGUUACUUGCCCGAGAUUCGAUCGUCGAUAUCUCCAUACCUAGUUCAAUCUCGUUACCAUCAAGUCUCUUUACUCGUUCCGUAAUACAAGAUCUCGUGGCUAACUCAUUAGUCACAUUGCUUGCAAGCUCAUUGUGAUAUUGUAUUAUCGAGUGGGCCCUGAGAUACCUCUCCGUCAUACGGAGUGACAAAUCCCAGUCUUGAUCCAUGCCAACUCAACAGACACCCUCGGAGAUACCUGUAGAGCACCUUUAUAGUCACCGAGUUAUGUUGCGAUGUUUGGUACAAACAAGGUACUCCUCUAGUGUCAGUGAGUUGCAUGAUCUCAUGGUCAUAGGAACAUAUACUUGACAUGCAGAAAACGAUAGCAAUAAACUUGACACGAUCAUAUGCUACAUUCAUAGUUUGGGUCUUGUCCAUCACAUCAUUCUCCUAAUGAUGUGAUCCCUUCAUCAAAUGACAACUCAUGUCUAUGACUAGGAAACCAUAGCCAUCUUUGAUCAACGAGCUAGUCCGGUAGAGGCUCACUAGGGACAUGUUGUUGUCUGUGUACCCACACAUGUAUUUGAGUUUCCAAUCAAUACAAUUAUAGCAUGUAUAAUAAACAAUUAUCAUGAACAAGGAAAUAUAAUAAUAACCACUUUAUUAUUGCCUCUAGGGCAUAUUUCCAAUAGUCUCCCACUUGCACUAGAGUUAAUAUUCUAGCAUUACAUGGUAAUGAAUCUAACACCCAUUCAGUUCAGGUGUUGAUCAUGAUUUUCCCGUGGAAGAGGUUUAGUCAACGGAUAUGCAACAUUCAGAUCGGUAUGUAUCUUGAAAAUGUUUAUGUCUUCCUCCUUAACAUAAUCGCGGAUGGAAUUGAAGCAUCGCUUUAUGUGUCUAGUCCUCUUGUGAAACCUUAGUUCCUUAGCUAGAGCAAUGGCACCAGUGUUGUCACAGAACAGAGUAAUUGGGUCCAGUGCACCAGGCACAACUCCAAGAUCUGUCAUGAACUACUUCAUCCAGACACCCUCCUUCGCUGCCACUGAGGCAGCUAUCACUACAAAAAAAAGACACAUCCGUGACAUUAUGGGCCGAACAAAUUUUUUUUCUGUCAUACAUAUGACACUUCUAUGACGAUAAUUGUGACAAAACCCGGUAUCAUCAUAGAUGUGGUGGGCUCCUACUUCUAUAACAAAAAAUCAUGAUAAAAAUGGGCUUUUCGUCCUGGGCGGGCCGGAGACGCAGCUGCAUGACAUUCUUUGGGCCGUCGAUGACGGAAAAAACCAUGGUAGAAGCGAGGGGGAGGAAAAUUUCAAGGAGUUCCCGGUUACGGUGUGAGGUCGGGGGCCGAGCGAUGCGCGUUUCUCUCGUACACGUACGCGCGUGUGUGCGAGGCGUUGGCUCUAACUGAAACCGAGCGAUUGCACUGUAGGCUACGCGUCACUGAACCCGAGCGAUAGAUCGAUGGCUGUUAACUGAACCCGAUCGAGCGAUUCCUUCGCUACUGCUGCUAACUGAAGCCGAUCGAUUGGAUGAACAGUAAGCGUUNNNNNNNNNNNNNNNNNNNNNNNNNNNNNNNNNNNNNNNNNNNNNNNNNNNNNNNNNNNNNNNNNNNNNNNNNNNNNNNNNNNNNNNNNNNNNNNNNNNNNNNNNNNNNNNNNNNNNNNNNNNNNNNNNNNNNNNNNNNNNNNNNNNNNNNNNNNNNNNNNNNNNNNNNNNNNNNNNCUGGAUGAACAGGACCCCGUGGUGUGGAGGGCUGGAUGAACAGUAGAUGGUGGAGGGGUGCCCGUGGAGGGGUGGUUGAACAGGACCCCGUGGUGUGGAGGGCUGGAUGAACAGUAGACGGUGGAGGGGUGCCCGUGGAGUGGUGAUUGAACAGUAGCCGGUGGAGUAGCACACGGUGGAGGCUGGAUGAACAGGAGCCCGUGGAGGCUGGAGGAGGUCGACGGUAGCCCGUGGAGGCUGGACGAGGUCGACGAUGGUGAUGAACAGUAUCCCGUGGAGUCCCGUUUUGCGGUACGCCACACCCCUCCCAAUCAACAUGACCCCCCUUUCGACCGUAGGAGGUCCGUUUCGUCCGUUUUGCGGUACGCCACACCCCUCUCGAUCAACAGGACCCUCGUUUUGCCCGUAGGAGGUCCGUUUCGUCCGUUUUGUGGGACGCCACACCCCUCCCGAUCAACAAGACCCCCGUUUCGACCGUAGGAGGUCCGUUUCAUCCGUUUUGUGGUACGCUAGACCCCUCCCAAUGAAUAGGAUCCCGUUUCAAAUGUGGCCUGUCGAACACAAGGCCAUUUCCUCCAUUCUGCGGUACGCCAUGCCUCGUUUCCAUCGCCCGUUCUGUCCAAGCCCUCCCGAUGAACAUGACCACGCAUUCUGUUUCGACCCAGCCGGUUGGCUCCCACGCGUUCCAUUGCCUCCCGAUGAACACGACGCAUUCCGUUGCCUCCCCAUGAACACGACGCAUUUCGUUGCCUCCCCAUGAACACGACGAUGACGCUGUUUCUCCGUUCCGACCCAUCCAUGUCAAUGAGCCCUCGCCGUACGUAUGCGCGAGUAGGCGUUCGAGACCCCGCUCGUAUGUACACAUACGUGGCCGUAUUUUUUCUUUCUGGCACCCUGGCCGCUGUACGUAUGUGUACAUGCUAUGUGUGCGCCUCUACUACGACACGUGCGCGCCUCUACAUCCACCAGUAUAUAUGUACGUACACGUUCACGACCAGAAUGACAACGCUACGUAUGCUUGGACCAGGUGGGUCCCGACUGUCAGGCACUUCCUUGAGUGUGAAGAUGUAGCUGGUGGGUCCCAGCAGUCAGGGGGGAAACGUUUUUUUCGCGAAAUACGGUGGCCCGUCCGGUGGGUCCCUGCUGUCAGGUGGAGGAAUAAUAAUUUUGCACGUAAUAAGGAGGCACUUCCUUGCUGUGGCCGUGGACCCAGCUGUCAGCCUCUCCACGUACAGUCCACGUCCGAUGGAAGUCGUUCCUUGACCAUGUUGACCAUGCCGCGCCGAGAGCACCAGGGCGGUGGACGACGGCGAGGCCUAGGAAGGGGACGACACGGAGCCAAGGAAGAUGCGGAAGUGGAUGCCCACGCGUAGAGGAGUACGAGGGUUCACUGGUUCGCUGCGGUGUGAGGCUGCCGUCGCUGCAGAAUAACAGGGGGUGUGGGUGAGUAGAGGGAUGGCCUGGCCAGCGGUGGGAAUAGUAGGGGGCGGUGAGGCCUCCGCCGCAUCGCAGCCGGCCACGGGAGGCAGGAGCACGAGGCACGACCGACACUGGUUUGGGCGGCUGGAGCAAGAAGACCAGAGGUUGAAGAAGCACUACGGCCAUUGGAUGGACAUCGUACGGUCACUUGAGCUAGAAUCGUGCAUAUUGACUAAGUUGACAAAGCCUUCCGUUCCCGUCAACUUAGUAGGCCCACAAGUCAGCCUGCCACUAUACUGGGUCCCAGCUAACAGGGGGAGUAUUCAUUUUUUUGUUCGUAAUAAGGAGGCACUUCCUUGCGUGCGAAGAUAUAGUUGGUGGGUCUGAGCUGUCAGCGGCGGUAACAUUUUUUUUGCGAAAUACAGAGGCCCUUUCGGUGGGUCCCUGAUGUCAGGUGGAGGAGUCAUUAUUUUGCGCGUAAUAAGGAGGCAUUUCCUUGCGUGUGGCCGUGGACCCAGCUGUCGGCCUCUCCACGUACAGUCCACUUCAGAUGCAUGUCUGUCGUUGACCACGUUGACCAGGACGUGCCGAGAGCACCAGGGCGGUGGACGACAGCGAGGCCUAGGAAGGGAACGACACGGAGGCAGGGAAGACUCAGCAGUUGUUUCCCACACGGAGGGGAGUACGACUGUACGAGGGUUUACUGGUUCGUCUGCCCUCGCCGGAGAAUAACAACAGGUGUGGGUGAGUAGAGGGAUGGCUAGGCCAGCGAUGGGAGUACGGUGGGGCGGUGAGGCCUGCGCGGCAGUAGAGCCGGCCGCGGGGAGGAGGGAGCAGGCAGUCCCGCCGGCGCUUGUUUGAGCGGCUGGAGCAGGAAGAGCAGAGAUUGAAGAAGCACGACGGCCGUUGGAUGGCCAUCCAACAGUCACUGCUUGUGCGUCAACCUUUUUUAGGAAAGCCUCAAAUCUGUGGAAAACAGCAUACAGCCCAUCUGCCAUUAUUUCUAAUAAUUUACAACCCAUUUGCUAAUUAUUAAGGUUUUUUUUGAGCCCAUAUUCUUUUUGUUAGCAUUACAGCCCAUAUUGUGGCCACGGUUAAAAAAUUAUACGAAAUUUUGCAUAUUUCGGUGCGGUCCGAACUGUUUUUAAUCCCGAAAUUUCGACUCACAUUCAAACUGAUUUUAAAAAUAAAUGUAUAUCAAUAUAAAAUCCAACAAAUUAUCCACGCAUAAAAAUUAAUGUAAUUUAAAAUCUUGAAAUGAAAAUAAAGAUAUUUGAAACUAAUUGCUGGUUUGAUGUGUUUUAAAAAUGUACAUCCUAUGUCUCAUUACUGAUGGGCCAUUUUCUCGGCCAGCCGAAUGAAAGCUCUCCUCGUCUUGAAAUAUUUACAGCCCAACAGGCCUGACAAAGCGACUUACUUGGAAAAUCACAAAAAAACUAUGCUGUGGCCGUGGACCCAGCUGUCAGCCUCUCCACGUACAGUACUCUUCCGAUGGAAUGUCGUUGACCACGUUGACCACGCCGCGCCGAGAGCACCAAGGCGGUGUUCGAUGGCGAGGCCUAGGAAGGGGACGACGCGGAGCCAGGGAAGACGCGGCAGUGGAUGCCCACGCAGAGAGAAGUACGAGGGUUCACUGGUUCGGCUGCGCUGUGAGGCUGCCGUCGCCGCAGGGCCUGGCUAGCGAUGGGAGUAGUAGGGGCGAUGAGGCCUCAACGGCAGCACAGCUGGCCACUGGAGGCAGGAGCAGGCGGUCUCCCCGGCGCUGGUUUGGGUGGCUGAUGCAAGAAGAGCAACGAUUGAAGAAGCAGCAGGACCGUUCGAUUCAAAUCCAACGGUUACUGCUGCUAGAAUUGUUUGUUGACUAACUUGACAAGCCCUGCAUAUGCUUCAACUUAGUAGGCCCACAGGUCAGCCUCCCAACCAGUGUGCCCCAGAUGUCAGUGGGAGGAAUCAUUUUUUUCACGUAAUAAGGAGGCAGUUGAUUGCGUGCGGCCAGGACAGCGGAGGGAGUAGGGUGGGCCGGAGAAGCCUGCGCGGCAUCACAGCAGGCCACAAGAGGAGGGAGCAGGCAGUCUCGCCGGCGCUAGUUUAGGCGGCUUGAGCAGGAAGAUCAGAGAUUGAAGAAGCACAUCGGCCGUUGGAUGGACAUCCAACAGUCACUGCUGCUAGAAUCGUGUGUUCACUGACAAAGCCUUGCGUAAACAAGUCAGCCUCGAAAUCUGUGGCGUGUACAGUCCAUUUGCUAUUAUUUUUAUAAUUUUUACUCAUUUUCUACUUCAUAUGGAAUUUAUUGCAGCCCGUUUUCCAUUUUUAGAAUUGCUGGCCAUUUUCUGGUCAGUACCAGGGUCAAAAAGUUAACUAAAUAUGUGGGAAUUUUUCAGAAUUCACAAAUUUUUGCUGGGGAACGAAAUAUUCUUAAUCCAAAAAUUAAUAGCCAUACUAAAACAAAUUGAAAAAUAAAUAAGUACUAUGUCAUGUUAAAUCCAAUGAAAUACGUAUAAGAUAUCAGUGAAGAACAAAAACAAAAAAAGAAACUUAUAUCCCAUUUGCUAUACAUUUUUUUUGGAAUUUUCAACCCUUUUUGAUAUUACUUUUAACAGACAUUGACCAUACUCUUAAGCCAGGCCGGAAUGCAUCCCUCCUCGUCUUGAAAGAUUUGCAGCCCAUUAAUUCGGAGAAAACAAAUAGGCCUAGCUUGGGCAUUCUUCAAAAAGAAAUACUGGGCUAUCUAUUUUCCCAAAGAACUGGUGCAUGAGCAUUUAGCUUUAUUUAUUUAUUUACUUAUUUAUGUUUAGGGGACCAUGAGCAUGUACCUGGGACGGAUUCAUGUGAUAGCCUCCCUUCCAGUUAAUUAUGGGAUUCUCUAAUGGGCCUUCAUCAGUGGGAUGCAUGUUAUCAACAAGUGGAAAAUGUGUUCCGUACGAGAAAUAGUAUGCGCUACGUACGGUACGGGGCACUAAAGGAUCGAACCGUGCAACGACUUCCAAAACAUUGUGUUCGUCGUUCUAACAACACAUUUAUUCAACUAACAGACGAAAUAUACUACUGAUUGUACAUUGAAAACAACAGCAGCAACAACCAGGGCUGGGGGUGCAACAGAAGCAAUAAGCAGGCCAGAAGAGUGAAGACGCAACUCUCUCUUCCAAACCAAACAUCAGCCAUCAUUACAAAAGGGCUACCAAAAAAGAACAAGUGUAUGCAUCAAACUAAAUAAAGAUCCUACUACACCAAGUGUACGCAUCUAACUAACUGGCUCAGUUAGACGUUACUAUUUAUUAAGCUGUGGAGAUUGGCUGACGGCUUGAACCAAAUGGGUGCCUGACGGGGGAAACUCUAGCCAGCAAGUCGAAGUCUGAUACUUGCGACCCUCUCUCCUACUUUGGGCUGCAGAGCGUGGUGGCACAUAUCAGGGUAUGGUGCAUGUAGAGACGCAUGGUACGCUGUGUACACACAGUUUUGCUUGAUGAACGAAACAACGCUGCCAUCAUGAUCCUUGCUGUCGGUUAUCUCCUGGUUAAUCGGAUAAUUCAGUCCGACAAACAGAGAGCGUGUACCAAGGCUACUUACCAGCCUCUAGUCAAAAAUUCCUGAAGUCCCAGAGAAGCUGGGAUCCUACUCAAAGACCUUGCAGUGACUGUGAUUGUAUUCCGCGAAACAACACGUCCCGUACGUGCGAACGAUCAUCAAUCUUUCACAGUCAUCUGAUCAUGCCAGGAACCACCUGCAACUGCCAUGCCGCUUUUCUUUGAAAGGUUCUGGGACUAGGAAGGGUAGGGACACCAGGAGGCCUACAACAUCGUAUCAAGUUGGAGUCAAAUAAAAAAAGGCCUCUUGAUUUAGUCAAUCUUAAGAACAACAUGUUAUGAGCAUGAAUGUUUUUUCAGCAAAUGUUGACAGUAAUAUAAGCAUGCCAUCAUGAUAUCAUAGGAAAGUAACAUACUGCUGUAACAGCCGUUUGUAGCGAUGACUGGAGUAGGCCAGCAAUACGUCCAACUAUAGAAGGAGUCGACAGCGUAAAUGAAGCCCUUGUGUUCAAUGGCAUCAGAGAACCAUGGAUGAUGUAUGAUCCUGCGUUGGACGUGCAGAUUAAUGCACUUACCGCAGUGACCUGUCAGAUAGGCGAGACCGCGGUUGAAGAACGCAAUUAGCCUGAAGUCUUUAUAAUUCGCAGAUCUUGUGGGCACUUGGCACAUUACAACCUUGAGAAAAUCAAACUUGGUAUCAUGUUGGCUACUCUAAGAUUCCGAGUAUUCUGGGCCGCGGUGCCAAAGCAGUGCAGUGUUAAUCAAAGGAAGGAGGAUCAAUCGCCGGGUGUAAACCUCCAUGAGCAUCCAGCUGCCGCGACCGUCGACGAGCACCAUCCAAGAUGUGUUCAUGCCGACCUAGUACAUACUGUUUAUGUAGUUGAGGCUGACGGGGAUCGGAUCGCAGUCAAGGGGGUUGAUGCUCGCCACCCUACGAUCGUUAUGCUGCGUGACACGCCGUUUCUGAAGAUCAGGCGGCAUCAGCAAGCAAGGAGCUGGCUUAAAAAGCUCCAGCCUGAGGGCUUUGAGUAAAGGGUACAACCCCGACGAGCACGCGGCGAGCGGCAUGGUACUGAGAUUGUCCACACGCAAAACAAUGAGCUUGAUUCCCUCUGCGGGGAGCGAAUUCCAGCCACUCUUUCGGCGGAUGCUGCUCGGUUCUGCCAUUGUUAGUGCUUGGGUUACGGACGAGGGGGGGGAGGCGCCUUAGCGGGGAUGGAAGAUUGGACGAGAUUAUGUGCGGACAAAGAUGGAGAAGCGAAUAUGUGCUGUGAGAAGUGGACAGGUGAUGAUGAGUACAACACGCCGCUUGACUUACGAGACACAUACCAGCAGCGUAGGGUCAUGUCGAUGCCAGACAACUUGCUUGAGUGAUCACAGUACUGGUACUCCCUACAGUGCUAUGCCCUAGCUUGCUUGAGUAGAGUAGUAGAGUAGGACUCUGCUCUACUACUAGCACCGAAGGAGUAGUAUAUUCUAAUCUAAAAUAGUUACAAACUUCAAUGCCCGAGCGUGGAACGACUACGAACCGUGCUCAAAGACCGUGUCUACGUGGUGUUUGGACAUGGGCGACAACCUCAAUGCCAACGGUGCUGUGCCCGUUGCACCGUAUGUGUUUCUGUCCUUCCUGUUCGAAAUCAUGGUAGAAUUCAUGUUUCUACUAUGUAUCCUACUACUAUGCUAGUCCACAUGGUUAGUUUCAUCUCAGUUAUAGCCGUCAUGAUUUAUUUUGUGCUUAUUCGGAUUAAUUCUCGUAGUAACUUGCUCAUAUAUUCAACUGGCGCAACAUCCCCUACAGCCACUCCCGUUUCAUGGACGGCCUGGUCGAUGCCUCCAAGGAGCCCUUCGUCUACUGCUAUGAGUGCCCGAUGCCGUUUUGUGGCUCGCCGGCGGGCAUGGUGCAUCACCUCACGGAUGCGUGCAGCGGUCACUGCUGGCCCUUGGCGGAGAACAUCAAGUAUGAGACGUGCUACCCAUUCACCAUGCCGGAGUCGUUGGAGGAUCACCGCCGCCUGCUAGUCUCGGAGGAGGACGGCAGCGUCUUCUUCUUGAUUGUGGGCACCGGUGAGGCCCGUGCAGGCCGCCGCCCCGUCUCUGUAAUGUGCGUCAGGGGCGACACCGCUGACGCUGACACUAACACGAGGCCGAUGUACGGGUGCAUGGUCAGUGUUACUACCCCUCCGGGUCGCGUGGGCGGCGACACCGGCCUCAUCGAACGGACUUGGACCCUGGGGAGCUGGGACUAUCCCGCCAAUGUGGACUUGGAAAACCCAUGGCAUCCUUUACCCGCCGACGCGGUGCACGGGGACUCCAAGGAGGUUCACCUGGACAUACGCAUUAUCAAGUUAAAUGUUGAUCAUUAGUCUUCGCUCAAUGUAAUCCGCUGUCUAAGCAUGUGGAGACUUCCAUGCAGGAUCUUGCUCUAUUGGAGUAUCGCGCAUGAAUAAAAGUGUAUCCGUUUAUGGUUAAUAUUACUUAAUAGUAUAGCCAACUGUUGACUAUAAGAAAGUGCCAUGUCAUCUAUAGCCAACAUGUAUAACAAUUGAUACUCAAAAACUAAUUCUUAAGGAUCAUUUCUUGCAAAGCACAAUAAGUGUUAUUUCUUCACAAGUUUUGGAUGCAGGUUGAAUAGUUGACCGCUUUUGUUUGCAAAAGAUACCUUUUUAUCUAUUUCACCCGGAUGUUCGUGAGCUCUAGAGAUGAAAUAAUAUCCGAAGAAACCUAUCAAUACCCGUUACACAUGAGAUGACCCCCACAUCCUUUGACAAAAUAAACAACUCCCCGAUCAAUGCAUUUCACUCUUCGGUGCAACGCACGGGCACCUUACUACUAUAGAUUAGUACGACCAAGAAUUGAACUAACAUUAUAUAUAGUACGAUAAAUGCUGAUGCAUGUCACCUAAAAUUAUAUCAUUCAAAACAAUGUUCAAAUACGAAUCCAACGAUAUAGUUUUUGUUGACAUGCACUAACAUUUUGUCAGUUAAAUCUUCAUUCAAAUUCAAUGGGGGACUAAUAAACCAUGACCGAUGUAGUACAAGUGUAGAGGGCGAUGCUGAAUGGGAGUCUCCCCUCUCACCCCGCUCAUGGCGCGGCAGUAAAGCCGUCAUAUCACAAAACCCAACCACUCCCAGUAAUAAGUGGCCUGGUAAAAUAAACGGACAACAACCAUCACAUCCCUCCGUCUUUUUGCAUUUCAUCUCUCUGCAUUUACUUUCUCCGGUUCAUCUCGCACACUCGAUCUCUAGCUACUACUCCUAGGGCCAGUUCUUUUGGCGGCUUCCCCAGCUUUUCCCACAAGACUAGUCACAGUGGAGAGUAACAAUAAGGCGCCUCACUCAUUUAUUUGGGCUUCUAAACUACUACUCCGUCCUGGUUUAUUCCUCACUAUUGUAAUUUGUGCUAAAUUUUGACCAAAGAUUUAACUGGUUUAUUCCUCACCAUUGUAAUACCUCCGUCUAGGUGUGUAAGUCAUCUUACGAAAACCAAAUAAUCCCAAAACACUUAGGCGUGGUGCAUUAACUUCUACCUUGUUUCUUGUUUCUUGACAUAUCAACCAAUAAGAGAUAAAGAGUUUGCAUGCUUUUAAUGACUUGAGAUAUCAAACACGACAUGCAGUGGUUAGUUCAUUGCAUGCAAUACUAUUAAUUAGCAAAUAAACAUUAACGUUUCUCAUUUUCUCCUCCUCCUUGGUCAUGGUGCACAGCCUAAGAUGACUUACUCACCUAGACGGAUGGGGUAGUGCAUGUGACAUGCACUAACAUUUCAUUAGUUAAAUUUAUGAUCAAAAUUUGACACAGAUUACAAUGGGGACCAAUAAACUAGGACGGAGGUAGUAGUUAUGGGAUUACUAAUCUAGAAGCCUAAAAGAACUGGCCCCUAGUACUCCUACUAGUAGUAGUACUCAAGUUGGAAUUCCAAUUGCACGGCACAACUUGUUAGGCAAAAAAUUCGAUACAGGGUGUAGGAAGCGGUUUGGGAAUUUGCAUGCCUUUCCAACCAGUGAGAUACUCCGUACAAAGUACAACAAAGAAAUAACCACAGAGAAGGAAGCUAAAAGUAAACAAUCAAACGAGCAUUUUUGCAUUUGUUUUGCAUUGAAUUGUUUCACAAGCUUGACUAGUGCUGUUUUUCUACUUUUACAAAAACCGCAUUUGCAGUAAUGUUAAAACGUGCAUUUGCACGUACAUAAGUAAUAGUAGUAUUCCCUCCGUCUAGGUGUAUAAGUCAUCCCUCCUUCUUGGUCACGGUGCACAACCAAAGAUGACUUAUUGACCUGGACGGAGGGAGUAGCACAGUCUGCAAGCAUAUAUCGAGAGAGACGUGUAGUGCGAUAGUAUAUAGUAAAGUUUGUGCUAUAUGCACGUACUUGCAAAAUGCGUACGAAUACACAAGGUUUCCAAACUUUCCCUUUUACAUACUUAAUUAAGGAUGCUAAAAAUUCCUGAACGUUCGGGAUUUAUCAUUUGCGUCCCAAAACUAAUGAGAUCGCCUUACGGAACAAAAAUUAUACUCCUCCUAAAAGCCACGACACUCGCAGGAGCGCUUGCGGCACGCCACGAGUGCCCUGGUGCAUGGCCGUUUCCCAGCGCGCCGACACAACGCCUCUUCCUCAGCCUCACAACUCGUGAGGUGCUGAUUGGCGGCUUGCCGGCGGGCGAGCGCGAUCUCACCGGUGUGGUGAUCCAGCGCCAACAGGUACUCCUCCUCGCUGGAAGCGUGCACCCGGUCCACGUACCGCCAAGCAUAGGUGAGGCGCUUGGGCCCGACUGCACUCAGGGCGUCGGCACGGGCGUCCUCUGCCACCCUCACGGCCCUCGCACGAGCCUUCUGCCAAAGAGCCAAUUGCGUGACUCUCUCGGAAGCGACAUAGGCCUCCCAGGCAGCUUGUUCCGCUGUGCGCUUCUCUUCCUCAGCCUUCUUUUCCGCCUCUAUUUUGGCGCGCUCUGCUGGAGGCAAAGCCUCCCACAAGGUGACAUCCAUUUCUUUCCAAAGCUCCUCAAGGCUGGGAUGCUCGGCGGGCGGCGCGGUGUUCUCCUCGUAGCGGGGAGCCGACGCGUCCUCUGGCGCGCGUGCUGGCGAGAUUGGGAACGCCGACGCGUCCACCUCGACGCGUCGCGGCGAGGAGCGGAACACCGACGCGUCCUCCUCGACUAGUGGCGGCGAGGAACGGAACGGCAACGCGUCGCGUCGCGGCGAGGAGCGGAACACCGAUGCGUCCUCCGCGACUAGUGGCGGCAAGGAACGGAACGGCAACGCGUGACCGUCCGCGCAGUGCAGCAAGGGGCUCCUAGGGCUUGGGAGGGGCGAUGCCAUGGUGGUCGACGUGAGAGGGAGGGGGAGGAGAUAGCGAUGAACGUGAACGUGAGGGGGAGGAGAUAGCGAUGUCGUGGGAGGCAUAGUAUUUAUAGCGAGCAAUGGCACACCUACAUAAGAUAUGGACGGAGCUGCACUGACUUAACUGCAGGUCCAGUUGCGUCACUGACAUGUGGGCCAGACCCCUGUUUGGCCCAUAUGUUAGUGACCCAAUGCACCUGCAGUUAAGUAACAACUACGUGGGCAUAUUUGUUGGAGUAAAUUACGGGGGAGCGAAGGGGUGGAAUAUUGCUGGUCACAACGGAUUGGACGAGCGUGGGGGAGGAGAGUCAUGCAUGCAGAUUUUUUCACACGGGGUGGAGUGGUGGGACCGCCGGAGGGAGAAGGAGAGUUUGGCAGGCAUAUUGUUUCCACACAUGGAGAUGAAAAGAUUUGGAGACGAACGGGCUUCCUGCAUGUAUGGGUAAUGGUGCAUAAUAAGUCAUCUUGCAUGCCGGGCUAGGUAUAGUCUCAAGUCAUUAAAAACAUACACGCCCCACACAUGUUCAUAUUUCAAGGUGCACUAAAUUAUUGCAUGCGAUGAUUAAGGCUGGCCAUAAUGGUGGUAUCUUAGCUGGUAUCAUGCACACGAGAAUAGCAAACAUGCUGAUAUGGCAAAGAAUUAAAGAAGAGAGGGGGUUAGAGUAACUAGUGUUCAUGCAUGCAUUGGUAAACACAUUUUUUGUGAAGAACGACAACACUAGUUGAGUACUUUUGCAGACUUCAAAAACUAUUCCACCGCCUCUACUAUCUUGCUAAGAGUAGGUGAAAAUUUUAAAUUGAGCCCUUUAAACUAGAAGGGAGGUAGUGGUACUCUAAUAGCUAACCUUGUUGUGAUGACAAGAUAGGACAUGGCACGCACCUGGACGGAGGAACUAGUCUGCAUUGUGCAUUUAAGUUUUGUCUGAAGUCAAUGUACCUCUACUUUCACCAGACUUAUAGAAAAAUGUGUCAACAUUCACAAUGUCAAAUCAAUAUUUUUACACUCAUUAUAAAACGUAGUUCUUAUACUCAUUAUAAUCAGUAUUGUAGAUAUUGAUAUUUUUAGUAUAAAUAUGGUCGUGGGAUUUCAUUGAUGCCUGUCAAAGCAUGGAGGAAGCGGAGCUUAAUUAGGCUUUGCAUUGCCGGUCUCUACAUAGGUAUCUCUCUUCAUAAUCCUGUAAUUUUAGAGACUGAUUGCACUUUUGUGGUAGCGUCUCUUGCAUCGGGGGACUAUGAUAGGUCUGCUAUGCGUGACCUGAAGAUGAAAGCAUUGAGCAUCUCGAAGUUGAUCAAUAAUCUUCAAUUGUGAAAGAUUAGCCAUUCGGCCAAUAAGGUGGCACACUUAAUUGCUAAGUAUAGCUUUGACAAUAGAUUAGGUGGUAUUCUUGUAAAUAACAUACCACCCUGUGUGGUGAAUAUUGUAUCGAAUGAGUGUACUGGUGUGGCUGGUUAAUUAAUAUAAGGUGGUGUUAAAAAAGUAUAAAUUCGGUCAAACACUUUGCAAACGGUUGACGAGAGUAAAAAGGACCAGAGGGAGUAUCAUGAAUGCGGAGUAGGCAAAAAAAUGCUUUUAUAAAAAAAGGCAAAUUUUUUUUGCUCAUUUAUAGCCGAUCGAAGUCUCAAAGGGCGCGACCGCGCGAGGGAGGCGAAGGUCGUGGGAGGCGCGACGUUUGACGGAAUUAAGUGAAGUUACAUCCACGCUCCGGCAUGGCGUGCAAACAGGCAGAAGCUAUACCACCAGGCCUACGAUAUGGGUCUAGUAGACAUGACAUCUAGUGGGUCCCGCAUAGUUCUCGAGAACUCUUUGGGGGCUUGCAGCCGUUUAUCCACCGAGCAAGCCAGCAACCCCACGCCAUUCGCACGCCCUACUCGUCCCCGUCUUCUACCUUACAACAGUUCGCUCCCAGUCGUCCCGUCCUUUCGCAUUAGUUCGCUCCCAAUUUUUUGCGGGGUACAACAGUUCAACUCCUCCUAACCCUCCUCCAAAAUCCAUGGGCUCCCAAAUCUCCAUGGUCGCCGCUGAGUACCAGGCUAGAGCCAUCACCAGCGAUCAGUUCAUCGUCAUCUACACACGUGGAUCCGAGACGGUGAAAGCAUGGCUUGCUCACUUCCUAUGCAUGUUCAAUAGUUCAAUGGAUGAGUGGGUCGCUGGGCUAGAUGUUGAGUACACCACAGUCCUGGGACGAGAGAAGGAUCUAAAGGACGAAGAGAGGAAGAAGACCGCUGUCGGUGUCAAAACCGGCGGAUCUCGGGUAGGGGGUGCCGAACUGUGCGUCUAGGCAGAUGGUAGCAGGAGACAAGGGACACGCUGUUUUUACCCAGGUUUGGGCCCUCUCGAUGGAGGUAAAACCCUACUCCUGCUUGAUUAAUAUUGAUGAUAUGGGUAAUACAAGAGUAGAUCUACCACGAGAUCAAGGAGGAUAAACCCUAGAAGCUAGCCUAUGGUAUGAUUAUUGUUGUCCUACGGACUAAAACCCUCCGGUUUAUAUAGACACCAGAGAGGGCUAGGGUUACACAAAGUCGGUUACGAUGGUAGGAGAUCUACAUAUCCGUAUUGCCAAGCUUGCCUUCCACGCCAAGGAAAGUCCCAUCCUGACACGGGACGAAGUCUUCAAUCUUGUAUCUUCAUAGUCCAGGAGUCCGGCUGAAGGUAUAGUCCGGCUAUCCGGACACCCCCUAAUCCAGGACUCCCUCAGUAGCCCCCGAACCAGGCUUCAAUGACGACGAGUCCGGCACGCAAAUUGUCUUCGGCAUUGCAAGGCGGGUUCUCCUCCAAAUUCCGUGUACCUGUUGAAUAAUGUCUGGUAUCUUGUGAAUGUAGCGCUCCUUGGCUUCUACGCCCAAUAAUGGCCGUCUUCCACGUGUCAAACGAAUAUGAAAAGUCUGGGUGUUUUUACAUUCACACCCCUAGCCGCGUAAAUGAGCCGCCUAUUUAAAGGGACGAGGAUUUAGAUCCAAACCACACCUUCUCCCCUCGGCGAGUAUUCAUCAGAGCGCAUCCGACAAAGGUCCAUUCCACCAUGGCCAGCCGUCGCAGCUCCUCCUCUCGCCCUUCCAGCCCUCGGCCUGGAGAUUAGGAGAGAUGCUCCAUCCCGCACGGCGAGCUAGUGUCGCUUCAGACCAAGGGAUUUCUCCCCCCGGCCUAUAUGGUCCCGGUUCGAGCUGGACUUGCCACCUAUAAUGGCGGAGAGCAAGCGGAGAGCGCCCCAAUCCCUCCAAAGGAGAGCGGGUAUGCCUUGUCCCUUAUUUAAUAAGAGGGCUCGGAUUUCCAAUUCAUUCGUUUCUCCGGGGGCUCCUGGAGUUCUAUGGCCUCCAGCUGCACAACCUCACGCCUGCCUCCAUAUUGCAUAUCGCGGGCUUCGUAGCCCUUUGCGAGCUGUUUUUGGGUGUUGAGGCUCAUUUCGCGCUGUGGAAGAGGCUAUUCUGCCUUGUGCCCCGUUCUCAGGAGGGGUCAAUAUAUCGAGUGGGCGGAGCCGAAGUGUGGCACAUCGCCGGGACCGGAUGUCUAUCCGGAACCCCAAAGAACGCGUCCGAGGACUGGCCUUCAGAAUGGUUUUAUAUAGAGGAUGUCCCGUUGCCGGAUCCUAUUCGGAUCAGCCUCCCUGAGUUCAACAGUGCUCCCCUGAAGAAGCGCCUAAGCUGGCGUCCACGGAACCCUCAGAGAGAAAGUGACAAGGACGUCCUUUACCUGAUGGGCCGGAUAAGAUUAUUAGCUCAUUCCGGACUAACCAUGAUCGGAGUCAUGGCCACAUGCANNNNNNNNNNNNNNNNNNNNNNNNNNNNNNNNNNNNNNNNNNNNNNNNNNNNNNNNNNNNNNNNNNNNNNNNNNNNNNNNNNNNNNNNNNNNNNNNNNNNNNNNNNNNNNNNNNNNNNNNNNNNNNNNNNNNNNNNNNNNNNNNNNNNNNNNNNNNNNNNNNNNNNNNNNNNNNNNNNNNNNNNNNNNNNNNNNNNNNNNNNNNNNNNNNNNNNNNNNNNNNNNNNNNNNNNNNNNNNNNNNNNNNNNNNNNNNNCAGUAUAGAGGCCACCCCAUGUGGGACUUCAACGGGGAGGAUGACACCACCCGUCACGGCCGUAAGGGGCCGGACUCGGCUGCCGCUCUAAUAAAGAUCUUUCCGCUUUGUACAAGGGAGAAGAGGAGGAAUUUCUCCGCGUCAACCCAUAGGGUGGAUUUACUAUGUACAAUCCUCCAAGUUGGGCAAGUGGACAAUUUUACUUGCCCAUCCGUUUUAUAUUCCCAUCAAGAACUAUAGCGACUUCAACGCAGGAAUUGCGCCAGGAAGUAAAGGAAAUAAACAGCCCUCCUCCGCAGCCCGAGGAUCCAGAACGGUCCCUCGAUCCGGCCUCCGAAGAGGAUCCGGACUUAUCUGUGGAGCUGAUUGAUGGGGUGUUUUAUCAACUGAGCAAGGACAAUGCCUUGGUGGCCAUUAUGGCCGAUUACCAGGGCUACUCCCGGCCUCCCAUGUAACUGAGACCGGAGUCCCAGCACCUCAAAAAGGGAUCCACCCUCGCGUGUUUUCAGUUUCCUGACAACAACCGUGUUUUGCAGGGGAAGUUCUUGAGGCGGGAGGCCGAGCCUACGGUGACUAGCCAACGAGGGGCUGCGGGGCCCCAUGGGAUGAAAAGAAGUGCAGUCUGGACUGAGGCGCCGGCGCAAAGAUAUAGCGCGCCCUCUUAUUCCCAGGUGUUAUUCCUUCAAGGCAUAUUAACACUCGUGCUCUGUUCAAGACAAAAAGACCUCGUCGGACUAUAUCCGGAGAGGCUGCCAACCGCGCCUCCACUAGCCAGGCUCCAAAGCCUGGUUCGGAGGCGGAGGCGAACACGAGGCGUGCACCGGACGCUCCUCCGAUAGAGGACGCGGACAGGCUGUCUGCCACCCAUUCCGAGGUGCAGAGUGCCAUGAACCACAGGCGUCGCCGGACAGUCCUUCGCGACGCUUGUUUCUUCCAAGAGGCGUUGGAUGCCUUCAAUUCGGGAGAUGCGUACCUCCAUGCCGCUCAAAAUGGUCUAGCCAGAGCCACGGAGCAGUAUGUGAAAGACAUACGGGUGAGAACAUUUGAUGGUUAUAUAUAUCAGUAGCCCCCGAGACUUGAAACAGUUAGAAUAACUGAUUUAAGGAUCAUGUAAUAUGCAGGUUCUUUCAGAGAAGAAUACCCAACUGUCCCAGGAGCUAGAAGAGUGCAAAGCCCAACUUGAGGCCGCACUAGCCGCGACAGGGGAGCCCAAGGAGACUUCCUCUGGUAAUAUAUGCUUCAAAAAGAUAAACAUUGUGUGAAGUGUGGCGUGUGUCCAAAUCUGACAAAUGAAAUUACAGAUGGCGCCGGAUUAGAUCCGGAAAAGCAACAACUCCUACGCCAGCUAAAGGCUGGUGAGAGCAUGCUGACAAAGGUGAGGCGGGAGAAGAGUUAUCUCCAUGAUACAAACACCAAGCUGUGCGUUGAACUGAAAGAUGUUCGUGCCCAGCUGUCGGACUCCGCUAAGGAGAAUCAGUGGCUUCGACGCGGCAUAUUUAGUAAGUGCUUGAACGAACUUUGAAAAAAGAGUUCGGCGAGGAAGUCGACUAACAGAGUGAUGUCUGUAGGUGUGCUAACAGUUCGUCCUGCAGAGGAGAUGCCCGGUUCCAUGGGUGACCUUCUUCCCGAGCUCUCGCAACUGCACGAGCGAGUUCGGCAGGUGAUGCAAGGCAUUGCCCAGGCCUUGUGGCCAUCCAUCUCCAUGCCCGAAGGCCUUGGAGAGCUUGCAGAGAAGCUGAAGGGAGCGCGGCAGCGCUUCCGAUUGUGGAAGAUAUCGGCCUGCCGUCAAGGCGCUAGGGAGGCCUGGGCCAUGGUGAAGACGCGGUACACGAAGGCUGACCCAAACCACAUGUCCGAGGUCGGACCUAUGGGGCCCGACGGGAAGGAGAUCCCUGUAAGCUUAGUAUACGGCCAAGUAGAAUUGGCCGCAAAGUAUUCCGAGCAGGACUGUAAACUAGACAGCCUGUUAGAUGGUAUUGAAGAGGAAUACAAUUAGUCAGAAUGACUAUGUAAUUUGAAUUGACAUGUGUAAUGCCUUCUAUCCGGAUUGUAGAUCGUUUGUCAUGGCCGACCUUUUCGCUUUAGCCUCGGGACCUGACAGUCCGGAGUGUGUCCGAAUACCCAUGCGGUUAUAUAAGAACCGGGGUAUGCAUGGAGACCAGGCGUAGGGGUCAUUAGUGCUUGAACAGACAAGUGCCCAACUAGUUACAUUAUAUUACAUGGUUAGUAAGAAACAUCUUCUAGGGAGAAUAGUUCCGUUAGGGGUUCCUUUCCCUCGGAGGCAUGCCCUAAAGUGCAUGUCCAUGCUGCGAAAAGAGAAGCAAGAAAAAUCAUUUGGGGGCGCAUAAAUAAAUAAGUGAAAAGAUCAUCUUUAGUUCACCGACCGAGUAUUCCCUUAAGAACGCUAGCUUUCGGAUUCACCCAGUCUGAGGUACACAUCCGGCUGACCCGGCAGUAACAAUCACAGAGGUGCUCCCUUUACCACCUAGCCAAACAAUCGGGAACGUAGGGGUAAGCACAGGAGCCAGGCAACCCAGCUUGGCCAAAACUUAAGUCAUAUCGAUGCAUAUAAUGGUGAAUAAAGGUACAUGCGGAAGUGUGACACAUGUGUUGGGCAUGAAGCCCGUAUAAAUAAGCUUCUGUUUAAACAAGCCCCCAGGUUUAAUGAGCACGGAUAGCGCGUCAAUUAUUGGGCCUUUAAAGGCUAUAAGAGAAAGGAAGGGGAGAAGGAGAGAAAUGUAAGACAGAAAAUAUAAAAAAUGGACAGAGGAAGGAGACGAACACAGACUCCGGCGCUAGGCAUAGAAUCUUCGGAGACGGGCUGCGUUCCAUGGGUUCGGCUCGAGUCGGUUAUCCGAUGCAUCUCGCAGGUGGUACGCUCCACCAGUCAGGACUUGGUCAAUUAUGAAGGGACCUUCCUACUUGGGCUUUAGUUUGUCCAUUUUCUUGUCCGGCAGGCGUAGAAUUAAUUUGCCAACGUUGUAAUUUUUGGCCCGUACUUCUCUGCUUUGAUAUCUUCGAGCCUGCUGUUGAUAGAAUGCGGAACGGGCUUUUGCCACGUCACGCUCCACCUCCAAGGCGUCCAAACUGUCCCGCCGAUCGAGCUCGGCUUCUCUUUCUUCGUACAUGCGCACUCGAGGUGAGUCAUGAAUUAUGUCGCAGGACAAAACUGCCUCUGCGCCGUACACCAUGAAGAAUGGUGUGUAUCCGGUGGUGCGAUUCGGUGUGGUCCGCAGCCCCCAGUGUACGGAGUCGAGCUCCUCUACCCAGUCCGUAUUAGAUUCCUUAAGGGACCGCAGUAAUCUGGGUUUGAUGCCGCUCAUGAUAAGACCAUUUGCACGUUCGACCUGGCCGUUAGUUUGUGGGUGAUAGACGGAAGCAUAAUCGAGCUUGAUGCCCAUGUUUUUGCACCAGAGUUUUACCUCAUCGGUCGUAAAGUUCGUGCCGUUAUCAGUGAUGAUUCUAUGGGGGACGCCAUAACAGUGUACGACCCCGUAUAUAAAGUCUAUCACCGGUCUGGAUUCGGCCGUCUUAACAGGCUUGGCUUCUAUCCAUUUGGUGAACUUAUCCACCAUGACCAGUAAGUAUUUUUUCUUGUGGGUUCCGCCUUUAAGGGGUCCAACCAUGUCAAGCCCCCAGCCCGCGAAGGGCCAAGUGAUGGGGAUAGUUUGGAGGGCGGUGGGUGGCAUAUGGCUUUGGUUUGCAAAAAGCUGGCAAGGAGUUUCCGAACACAAGGAGUUUCCAGGACUCCCUCACCCGCCGUGAUCCAGGUUUGCAUAUAUAACGUUUGCUUGGUCUACCACAUAUGCCAUGCCGACGUUGAGUGCCAGGAUUUUAAGAACUUCCUCAAGGAUAGAAGAGUGAAAUUCGUUACUGUAGGCUUUAAGAACGACAGGGAUGUCCUGCAUUGGAUAGGUCUCGUUGUCGGCCAGCCCUUCGAUCUCCAGAAGGCAAGCCUGGUGUCCUCCUCUCAACCUUCAAUGCUGACCCUAGCAGCAGCCAUGAUUGGUCCUUCGUACACUAAACUGAAGAAACCUCAUCACGAGUUUCAUCAUGCAUGGGAGUCGAAGACAUUAGAUGAAGAUCACAUCCUGUACGCAACAAUGGAUGCCUACCUUUCUUUAAAUAUCUACAAGGGUUGUAUGAAGAAGCAGAGCUCAGUGUCCGGUUCAAGCAAAGAAGCGUCGGCGAAGAGGAAGAGGGACGAGGACAAAGUAGAGGACGUGGACUCGGACUCCGAGUAGGUGAUAGUGCCGUCGAUCAUGCUGGUUCUACUGCAGUGUCAAGCGGACUAGUUGCUUAGUUUAUUUUCAAGGGUGUGUUGUGCUGAGGCCCCAACAGAACUAUGUUUAUGUUCUUUCUCGUUAUUUGAACUCUUUAGUACGUACAGUAGUACUAGUACUAUGUCUUACUACUGUUCUUCUUGCAGUUGGUACUACUGCUCGUAUCUUUGUGUUCCUACUGUACUUAAUACGUUCGUACUAUUAGUAUAAUUUGGGUCAGUCGAUUUGUGAAAGAAGUUCGACGGAGCGAAGGAAGAAGACGACAGAUGAGGUGGAAGAAGCCUCUAGCCAUCCAUGUUGCAUGAAACGGCUCACAUGAGUCGACUGACCCAAAUUGCUCUUUCAGAUUGCAGGAUCCACGUGGCAUUCAAGGUCUCGAAGGUAGGUUCCGCGUCCGCACCCGGUUUGUGGGAUCGACGCGCGCGCGACCGGCUUCUGCCGCGACACCCACAAUGCGCGCCUCCUCCGCGCGGGCGGAGACGACAAUGACACGCUAGUUCCUCCUCGCCGGCGUGCUGCAGCACACGCUCGUCCUCCUCUUCGUACGCUGCAUGCAUAGACGCGGCUCCACCAGCUGCUCGCGUGCUUUGCAGUGUGACGACAUCGCGAGGAGGGAUUGCAGACGACGUGAGUGGGCGAGCCUUCGGCUUCAUGGCAGAGGGAUGGCGGCGACACGGUGGUGAUGGGCGAGAAAUUGUUGGCCGGAGCAGGCGGGCGCCGGCAUAUUGAUGAGUGCGCGUGUGGGAGCUUACUUUAGUUUUAUAUAUAAGGUUGGUCAAACUUCAAAGAAAACCGUACUCGUACACAUAAACAUUAGACUUAGGCAGCGCUUUUAUUAGUUAGUACCACAGCCACGAUACGGAAACCUGUGCAAGCGUGUGAACCGCGGCCGCGCGGUCGAUCGAACGGUGCGUCACCAUGUCACGCUCGAAGGACAUCCACUGAACCUUUUUAUGUGUGUGAAAACAAUCCUCGAAUAUUACUCAACUUUUUUUUCCUCUGAAAGUUCUUGACGCUGUAAUAUUUCCAUAUAUUUGAAUUUAGCUCCAAUUCGUGUUUAUUUGGAUUUGGACGUUUUAGGUGCGCCCUAGUUUUUUUAAUACUGAUUUUUUGUGUGUGACUGAGAGAGAACGUGUAUGUGUCCAUAUGUGUGUUGUGGCGGAAGGGCAAUGUGGAGACGGUGUGCAUGUGAUACAGACAUAGCGAGGUGUGAAUGUGCAAAUGAUCAUGCAUGAGUGAGACAUAGACAGAUGCCGAUACGUUGUGUAUACAUGAGAGAACGGUCUUCUAGUUUACUUGUAUGUGUGUGUGUGUGAGAGAGAGAGGGAGAGAGAGGGGAGAGAGAGAGACAAAGAGAGGAGCAUCCUUAACACAACAACCAUCUCUCUCGAUUCGUCCGUCCCUUGCACGGUCGCAUGCAACACAUGCAUCAAUGCGCACAUUUUGACACGCUCACUCGGCCCCUGCCCACCUCAAGGCCCGCACAAUCUCUUCGUGAAUACCCAUUUCUAUCCUUAGGUUUGUUUUCUCUCAAUAUCUGACACACACACACACACACACAUACACACAGAGACAUGCAGCACAACACACACACACACUCCCCCGAGCACACAAUGCAUCCCCAUCCAAGGUUAUACGGCGACCACUCUUGCUUGUGCUUCUUUGCACCCCAACAUGCACAACACCUCAAUCUUCAAAGAGGGCAUCGAGCAGAUCGAAGACGGCGACCACACCGUGCUAGAGAAUGCGGGGUCAUUUGGAAGCAGGGUGAUGUGACGAUGGCUGACUGACUCCUCCCACACCCUCUCACUCUCUCUUGCACAAAAUUACCAAUCCCUGUCUCCCACGCACAAAAUUGGCAAUCCCUCAACCCACGAGAUCCUUCCCUCUCGUCCAUGUAUUUCCAACUUUCUCAUAAAACAUGUUGUCUCUUCUCCUUCCACGUUAUAGAAUCCAGAUGCACACGCAUCUCAUGUAUAUUACAUGUAUCCAUCUUUCUCACAGACCUAACUUCUUCCUCUCUCUUUCUCUCUCUAUCUCUCUCUCUCUCUGUCUCGUUAGGUUUGUCUCCUACUCUCUCGUCCACAUACAUACAAUCUUUCCCGCCCUAUCUGCUCCGUCUUCAAAAGCUCUCUCUGCAUGUUUCAUUCACACAUUGGGAUAUGUCAAAAUGUUGCUUCUAUAAUGGCUGAUGUAGAGUUAUGGUUGUUUUUGUUGCAUCCUACAAAGUAAUAACUAUGAAAUGCAUUUAGAUUCUCAUUUGACUGGGAUUAUGUGAGUUUGAGCAUGUUGUGAAGUACUAUAGACCUUGUAUACAUCUUGGAAUUCGACAAUGACUAUUGAAUUGUAUAGACCAUUACAUUCGAAGUCAAUAGCCUAAUAUAUUUAUUUCACAAUUUCAACAAAUGAUUAGUUCACUACAAACUAAGAAAACAAAUGUGUACUCCCUCCGUUUUUAUUUAAUUCCGCGUAUUAGCAUUGGUCAAAGUCAAGUUUUGUAAACUCUCAGAAAGCUUAUAACAAAAAAUAUUAACAUAUACAAUAACAAAUAAAUACCAUUAGAUUCAUUAUUGAAUGUACUUUCACAUCACACAUAUUUGUUAUGGUAAAUUUUUAUAUUUUUCUAUAAACUUGGUCAAACUUUAGGAAGUUUGACUUCGGUCAAACCUAAUAUGCAGAGUUUACUUCUACUACUCGCUAGUUGCUUAGCCGAAUCACUCAACACGCCACACGGGGAGUCCAGUGUCACACAAUUUUGAGGUCGGCGGGAAAAUCUCCCGCGACCCUGAUUCGAGCAGUGGGAAGUUACCAUCAUAGCCUUCGGAACAGGCCUACGGAUGACGCUUGCUAGGGGGCUAUUUUCGUAACUUCAUGUUCACCUACCCAGCCAACCCCACCCCGGCACCUAGAGUAGUACACCUGAAUACUCCCCAUUUUCUAUCCCCACCGCAAAAUAGACUUCUCCACGACACCGCAGGCUUCGUGCUCCUCCCCUUUACAUCGGCGCACUCGUCCACCGCAGCGCAUCUGCCUCAUCGAUGACCUCGUACGCCGCACUAGAGCCGGUCCACCGUCGUCGUCGUACACGGAGCCUCUUCCCUGGCAUCGUCUUCCACGGUCUCGGAUCUACUUCCCGGAAGCCGACGCCAAGCACAGAAGUACCACCAUCGUGGACAAUGAACUGACUCCCAUUGCCGACCAUGACUCACAGAGGCCGCCGCGACCAUCGUUCUCCUCCUUGAUUGGUAAUGUGUGUAUUGAAUCACUUAGCAGUACAUGUGCAGUUCCAAUUUUGUUCAUACCUACCUUCAAAUUUCCUGGGUGCUAUUGUUCCCGUAAAAGUAAUUGGUUAUAGCCUCCAUUGUCCAACAUAAUAUCAGCUUGUAAUUGUGCGUUGCUCCUGUAUCGCGCUGUGCUUGGGUAGGUUUUUCAUCUGCAACCAGUAGUGUGGCAAAUGAUGGAAAGGUUUUUAGAACAAGCAAGAUGCCCAUGCGUUGCACACAUCAAGAUGCAUUUGUAUGAGUUGUUUAUCUUGUGGGAGAAAAGGAUGAACGAGGGAAGGCCUUAUUUGCAAAUCUGGAGAGGGGUAUGGGUAUCUUUUUGCAAAAUUCCCAUUUGUUUCCUUCCUAUCUAUCAGAUAUAAAUCGGACAACCUAUAUUGCAAGAAAAAAAGUAUAGAGAAAAAAAGUAGACAAUAAAGGAAGUAGAGAUAAAUAUCAAAUAUAAAAUAUAAAAUAAAUAUAACAGUCGAGAAGAGAGUAGAGAUAGCAGAGACGUCGGGAAAGGAUCGCGCGCGCGCGAGAAAAAGCGGUCGGGCGUGCACUAGUUUUUGCGCGCGGCGUCCGUGUGCUUUAUAAAAUCCAAUGCCAUCCCACCGCUCUAUGCCUUGCCACCGCUCUCUCCCCGCUCCGUGCCUUGCCACCGCUCUCUGCCCGCUCUUUUUCGUCUCGCCGCCGUGUCACCGGGAAACUUGGGGAUACCGCAGCGUCCGUGCGCGUCCCUCCGGCGGCUUCUCCGCCGAGAUCUAGUUCCACGGGAUGCGCCUCGGCCUCGGCAAUUUCGACACCGCCAACGAGGCCGCCUGCGCGUACGACGCAGCGUUGUGGUGCCUCCGGUGGCCUCACAGAACAUUAAACUUCCCCAACGUGCCGACGCGGGAGCGGGCGCAGGAGCUCGCGCCUCUGCCAUGGCUUAGCACCGACGAGGAUCAUCGCGACAACCGGAGGCGGGAGCACCGUCUCGGCAUCACGAAGAUGGACGAGGAAUCCAUGGCGCUGUGGCGCCAACACUUCCCACAGGACAUCAUCAACAAGCGCGAGUUCUACGCGCAAAGCAGGGCGGAGAGGGAUAAGAGGAGGGCGGAGCGAGCCGCCUAUCGCAAGGACAAGCAUAGGCGAAAAGCGGACGCUCAAUUCAAUAUGAGGCUAGGAGCAGCAUCACCCUGGGAAUGCAACGACGAUCGGUAUCUUCACGCCUACAGUCAGACGUCGGAGGAGGACAUCACCGAGGAGGAGUCGGACAACGAAGAGUAGUUGAAUUAUCUUUUUUUUAUCUAUCUAUGCUUAGAACUAUCCUCUACUCUCUAGUAUAUACUUCUCAAUCUCAGCACUGUAAACGCUUUUUUAAAGAGCCGCGCGUUGCGAUUCUGUUGGAGAUGCUCUAACAUGGCAGACGAGUGCUUUAAUGUUGCCCACAAGAUGCGCGAGUAUUACUAGUAGUACAUUUUUCUUGCCAUGUUGAGAUUUUAAAACCACGAGUGCGAACAUGCAGAGGAGCAAUGAAGACCAAACACGGGAUAUUCGGGACAUCUUCAAGGAGCGUGGCAAGUUAAGGAGGAGCUGCACCAAACCUGUAAAACAAGCUUUGGUAAGUAACACCCUUUCAAUUACUUCCGUGUAGCCUCGUGUUCUUUGAUGUGUAUAUGUUGUAGUUUCUGUUUCUCUUAAGCGUGGUGUUCUUCGAUUGUAAUAAGAAGAGUCUUAAUCGUCCUAAUGCUUUCGUUUUUAGCUUGAUGUAGGAAGUGGGUGUUCUCACCUUGUAGUCUGUUUUUUUUCUUUUGAAUUCACUUAUCCGAGUUCUGUUUAUCUGGCUUCUACUAAAUGGAUCUAGGUUUCUCUGAGUAUUGAUCUAAAAAAGAAGUAAAUUCAUGUCAGGAUGCAGUUCUUGCGAGGAGGGAAGUAUGGUCAACCUCGAGAUCAUGUUUCCAAAAUGAGGCUGGAUUACACACGAGGUGCCAGUUCCCUAAUGAUGCUGGAUUAGACACAAGGUGCAAAUUCCCAGAUGAUGCUGGAUUACACACAAGCUAGGUGGAGUCGUCAGCUGUUCGUGUCCUUGUGGCAUUAGUAAAGGCUGAAACAAAGCGUGCACCAGCCCUUGAGAAUGUAUCUGAGUUCUUGAAGAAGCGAAAAGAGCAAUUAGAUGCUCUCUUCACCCAAGCCAAAGAAGAGAUGGAAGAAGCCAGAAAUAAGCUAGCAGAGGAAGAGCAGGCUAGGCCUCUCCUGCUAUCUAAAACUGUUGUCAAUACAAAAUUUCCUUCAUAAUAGCUAGGUUCAAAUGUUUAUCCAGUCAGCAUGCCUGUUGUGAUGUCCGUGCAUCUACUGAUGUGGCACAAAAUGUUUUUUUCGGGUCAUGUAAUAACAGCAAUUACUUUCCAAACAAUAACAGACGAAGCAUUGGACAUGGUAUAGUUAACGCGCAAGCCCGACAUUCCAAGUUCAACUUCCACAUCAAACUCUUGUUCACAGAUAUCUGCACACAUUCAUACAUAAUGUCCACAACCAUGAUUCACUUCAAAGCCAAAAAAAAUGUGAGGAGAGUUAUAAAUAAAGAAAAUCCUCUACUAGUUCCUGCUACCAGUGCGAGCACAACAAGUCAAGACCAUGCGUAAAUUAAUUAUAUUUUAGUCAUUUUUUGUGUUCUAAAAUGCCUGCCAGCUCACGGAAGGAAGUGUUGCCGGCAAAUGCGCGGAUUCAAUGAAGGCAGGCAGGGCAGUCUUAAGCUGGUUGCACGCGGCGAGGAGGCGUGCUCAGCCAGGCCUGCAGCGAGUGCAACCCUCUUGGCCGGCGCGCUUGUUCAAUGUCUGCACUAUGAGAGGUCGCAUCCGUGUCAGAGCAAUCACUCCCUCCAGUCCUUUUUUGUUUGGGUGUAACAAAAUCUCGUUUUCCAUUAACAUUUUACAAGUAAAAUUCGUGGACAAACUUUGACCCAAAGUACGAUGGGGAAUAGUAAACCAGAAUGGAGGUAGUAGUUUUUUUAAUCAAAGAAGGGUUUCCCCUUCCGAUUUUCAUUACUGAAAACCAGCAUCUAAAUCUAAACCAUAUUAUUUGCCAUAGAACUACCAGGUUCAACAUCUCGCAACAUAAACCCAUACAACCUCCAUCGCAAAAAAAACCAUACAACCAUACGCCAAGGAGGUACGUAGUACUAUGAAUUCCAUUUUCGCUCCAUACCAAUCGUUCUAGAAACUACUUACUACUUAUAACACGCCAUUGAAAAUCAGAACUCUUAACCUCGCUAAAAAAUGAUAUUUUAAAUGUGGCUACUCGAUCUGUGGCAACUGGUGAGCCACCGUGCUCCAAGUCGUUCACCUGUGGUCCCGACCAUCAACUCCUACGUACAAAUUAUCACGCGAGCUGACUAUUCCUACAAAGGUGCUCCACCAUGUAACGGGUACCCGCGAGUGCAGCAAUCGUGCACCUAGGUUUUAGGGUUUAUUUGUUAACGUCGCCUUUACGUAACACUCAUGUGUGCGAGACAGCGAGAGGCCGACUGCGUGCGUGCGCCUCUUCUCUUCGUAUAUGUACUCCACCGUUUGUCUGGUGUCCAAAAAAUUAUAAUAACUACUAGCAAUGUGGCAAUGCAUUGCCACACGAUCAAAGUAGAUUAAUACAUAUUCACCGAUUUGAUAGAAAAAAAAUCUAGUUUUGAAAUACAUAUAUCACUAAAAAUAUGUUAUGUUUCACUCAAAAUAUAUUCCUUUGGCGGUUUUGAUGAGACAAGGGAGGAAUGUUGUUGGUUUCAAGAUUCGAGAAGUGGUAUAUGUCUAAUUUUUAUUCUUACUAGCAAGAUGCCUGUGCAUUGCAUGGAACAUCAAGAUCUUGUGGGAGAAAAGGAUGAACGAGGGAAGGCCUUAUCUGCAAAUGUGGUGAAGACUGCGGGUAAAUUGCCAUAUUUUCCUUCCUAUCCGUCAGAUAUAAAUCGGACGACCUACAUUGCAGGAUGGCAGGCCCACCAUCAUCACCAACUCUAUUUUUUAUCCCUACUCUUAUAAAAAGCAUUGUCGGUGCUGAUCGUGUGCCUGCCAUCCUAUCUAGAGGCUAGCUAGUUGAUAAAUGUUUGUGAGAGAAAUACGAGUCAGGGUGCGAAAGCAAGAGUUUUGUGUGUGUGAGAGAGAGAUGGUAGUCGGGAAGCAGAGUGGAAGCAGGAGUUGUGUGUGUGUGUCUGUGAGAGAGAGAGAGGAGACGGUAGUCGGGGUUGUCUGAUCGGUAAACAAAUGAAUAAUGUCAGUCUAGGAUGGAGACGAAAAGGAGACCGCAACAAAUGUUGUGUCUAAAGGAGAGAGAGAGAGUAAUUUUAGUGGUAUGAGUCAUAUGUAGAGACAUAUAGGGUGUGUGAGAGAAUCCCAUUGAGAGAAAGACAAAGUGAGAGACGAGUGGAGACUGUGUGUGUGGCGGUGAAAAAGAAAGCUUAGGUACCGAGUGAUACCAGAGAACAGUAGAGACGUGAGAGAUAAUGAAAACCGUGUAAUGUAUAAUGAUAGGGAGAGUGUGACACUUCCCAAGGGAGACGUCGAGAGACCAUGUUUGCGAGGAUAGGAGAAACAUGAAGUGAGCGUGCGGGUGAGCUGGAGAAAAGAGAGUGAUAGCUACCUGAAGGAGCAUGCAUGCGAGAGAGAUGGGCGUGAAAGGAGUGAACAAAAAAAAGAUUCAAAUAUUUGAAUUCAGAUGAUGAUACAUGUAAUCCUUACUCGAACCAAAAUUGAUCUAUGAAACAUGCAUACUCAUAUGAAUUCACGCACAUCUAUGUUAUUUAAUAUGUAGAUAUUACUGAUCCAUACAUUUUAGUAGAACAUAAUUUGGUUAAUUUUUUUCGAAUUCAAACUUAAGAUUUCGAGAUCGUUGUAUUUGUAAAUCAUAUUAUACAUAUAAUGCAGCAGAAUUCUUUGUUGUGCUUUUGAAAGUACAUAUAAAAAUGAUGUAUAUAGAAUGUAAUUCCAAUUGAAAAUGGAUCCCGCCCGAAAAAAAUAGAAUACAAACGGGAUUCGAAUUGAGUUGGGACGGUAAAUGUGCACUCUGCAAAAUUUGAACGAAGCAGGGAAAGUCACAGUAACCGCCCGAAACCAAAAUCUGCGAGAUGGAAAUCACUACUGCCUAUCCCUACCACGCAAAGCCUAUCUGCUGGAUUUCUAUAGGUUUCGAUAGGGGUAGGUUUGUAAUUUCACCCAAACGUGACGUAACCGCCUCUCACCCGGAUUCAUACACGAUGGGCGCCAAAACACACUGUGUCCUCGGCCUAAAUCAACUCCCUCCCCGAUUCAACUUCAUACACGAUGGGCGCCAAAAACAAACUCUCGUCGGCAAAUAUUCAGUGUAUGCGAGAUUACCGUCCUAUCCCCAACCGACUAAUGUUGCUGUGAUGUAGUAGAAAUUUGAAACGGGGGCUAAGUUUGUAAUUUUCCUCGCAUUUGAGACAAGCGCGCCCUGAAUAUAUGGUUCCCCCUUCCUCUCUACCUCCCUUUUCCCCAUUCGUACUCCGUGGGCGCCAAAACACCCUCUCCACCCCACCCUCCUCCGUCCGCCGCCAUCUGCCACCCCAUCCACCGCCGUCCUCCUCCACCAUGCCGGAGCUGAUACCCCAAUGCCGCCGUCCAUUACAAGAGAUCGACCUCUCUCAUCCACAGCUUCGGACUGGGAUCCUUGCAUCCCGUCCUCUCGCUUCAUCCCUGCCGUCGUCCACCUUGCCAGCGCCGCUCCUAUGACCGUCUCGUCCACUGCGCCCCGCCGCCACCGUCUACCCUCCUAGAUCUGCUUCCACGCCGCCGACAGCCAUCGCUACCGCAGCACCGUCCUCAGCAGAUGCGUACACGGCGCCGCACCAGGGGCGGUACUCUUUCAUAUCUGCUCAACUUAUUUAUCGCGGCAAGAAAAUAGAUCGCCCUGCUUUACUCUGAUUUUUUGUCUUGGUUGCGAAGUUGCCUUUGUCCGGUUUGCACCUUCAGAUCCGCCAUGGCACGCUCAACACUAUACACCCAAUGCUUAUGGUUUUCCCCUUUUAUAUUCCACACUAGUUAAAUCACAGUAGACUAAAUUUCAAAAUUGGGUCAAUCAAUUUUUCAGAGCUCGCCGUAGUUCGCCGGUGCGAUCGAAGGGGCUCGGGUGGUUGUGGGGCCUCGCCGAACGAAGAAAACUCGACGUGGGUGGGGUUUUGGGCGGGGGUGGCGGAGGAACACAGGCGGUGGGGGCCGGUGGUUCGGCCGGCGGCCCGUGCGGUGUUCUGUAUGGGAAGAAUCAGAGACGAUGAAGAAGAAGGGUUAGGAACGUAGGAUCUUCAUCCAACCGCCUGAAAUGGUCGAGAGAUAGCUGGGAGUUGCAUUCUUAAUGCGCUCGGGUUCAUCAUGUGUGGGCACUGCACAACCAACAUUUUAUUAUCCAAAAUCUGCUUGCUCUUCUUUAUCAUGUUCCUCUUCCGUUCUUCUUUAAUAUGUACUCUCUCUGUUCCUAAAUACAAGUCUUUGUAUAGAUUCCACCAUGGACUACAUAUGGAGAAAAAUGAGUGAAUCUACACUCUAAAAUGUAUCCAGAUACAUCUGUAUGUGAUCCAUAGUGGAAAUCUGUACCAAGACUUAUAUUUUGGAACGGAGGGAGUAUGAUAGUAGUACAAUAUGUUCCUUGUAUUGAAGAUGAGCAGGGACAUUUGCAGUGUAGAGGUCUAUACGGUCGGUUGUGGUGGACACUUUGAGCCUCUUUGAUUUGUAGGAUCUUGUAAACAUAGGAAUAGAAUUUGUAGUGGCCUGCCCACUUGGAUCCUAUAAGAAUAGCAAGGAAAUGAGGGGAGCUGUGUCGCCUUUGAGAGUUACAAUGAUAUUAACAGUACCGCACCUUCACUUGAAGAGAGCUGGUAUCCGAAGCCUUUCUAUCCGUACCGGCAAUACUAGCACAUAUAUUCCAGCAAGUUCCACUUUGCUGAUUUUACUCUGAUGCUUCAGGUUUUCCCGUUAUAUCUACACUAUGAUCUGUGUAGCUGCUUUGUGUCGCACUAGCAGCAGUCCACUCUUGAAGCUAAACACUGCAAUGACUUACAAAAUUGGCACCAAGGCAUUGAGUGCCAUUCUGGAAGCAAUGAAACUCAUACGCUCCCCACCUGUUGAUUGUUGUUCAGAAUAUGAUCCUAAUGACUAUUCUAACCUCGAGGAGUCAAAGGCAGAUGGCCUGUCCUAUUCACCCAUCAAGGUGCCUGUUCUAAUUUGGCAAUGUUUAUUGAUUGCGGGUAUCUUGCAUAUGUUGUCUUGCAUUUCUUCUACUUUAUUGCACCGCGAUCUGCUUAGUUUCACUACUAGGGAAAACCUUAUACACAGAAUCUUAGCAGCGGUGCGGUAUAAAAACAGGCGCUACUACUAAUUAGCAGCAGCGAUAUUUAGAAAAGAGCGCUGCUAAUGACUGAGUAGCAGUAGCGCUCUAGGUGAAAACAACGCUACUACUAUAAUUGCCACGGUGUUGUCUCUAGGCUAGAUAUAGUAGUAGCGCCCUUACGACGGGCGCGCUACUGCUAAAGAACUUAGUAGCAGCGGUUUUCCUCAAAACUCGCUACUGCUAAGUAUCACCGCAACUAAUUAAGUUUAGUCCCAUAUUGCUAAGCGAAUAAGGUGUUUACGACCUUAAAUAUGUUGCUUCGCAACCUAUCUCGAGCACUUGGUCUUCAUUGAAUUAUAUGUGUAUGAUUUGUGGUUGCAAUAUGAAUCCUCGCCUGUACCUAUACAGCUACAGUGAGGAUUCAUGUUGACUAUUUAGAUUAUACACAAAAAGAUCAAUGAUGACCAAUGUAUAUUUUUGAUGUUUUUACUAAACAAAAGAAAUAAAUGCUUCCAUUAGCAGUACCGGUUUUAUGUAAAACGCGCUAUAGAUAAUUUAGCUACAGCGCGUUUUCCAUACGAGCGCUACUGCUAGUUCGAGUUAACCACCCCCCGAAUCAAAAUUUCGCUAAGUCCUCUCCUCCCACCCACCGGCCUGUUCCCCUACCUGUCGCCGCCGCCCGAGCCCGAGCGCGCCUGCCCUCACCGCUUGCCGCCGCCGCCCGCCCUCAACCUAACCGCCGCCGCUCUUGACCUCACCGCAGCCCUUGACCUCACCGCCGCCGCCCUUGACCUCACCGCUGCCGCCCUCGACCGAGCCCGCCGCCUAGGACCGCCGCCUCCCGAUCCCGAGCCCGCCCUCGCCGCCCCUCCGUCGCCGAGCACCUCCUCGCCAUCGUCUCUCCCUCUAUAAGCCCCCCACCCCUCCCCCACCCCCUCUCUCUUUGCUUAGUUAGUAGAUGAUUUUAGUAGUAGUAGAUGUUAAUUUAGGGUUCAUAGAUAAUGAUUUUUAGAAGUAGUGGAUAUUAAUUACUAGUAGUGAUAGUAAACUAGUUGUAUAAUUAGCAGUACUAGAUGUUAAUUAGUAGUAGUAGAUGUGCUAGUUUCUUUCUAUUUAUAGUAAGUUUAUAUUUAGUAAGAACGAGUUGAAUUAAUAGAACUAGUUUAGUUUUAGUUGAACUAGUUAAGUUUUAGUUGAACUAGUAUAGUAAGUAAAUUAAUAACUAGUUGAACUACUUCAUUUUUAGAAAUAACUAGUUUCUUUCUAUUUAUAGUAAGUUUGUAUUUAGUAAGAACUAGUUGAAUUAAUAGAACUAGUUUAGUUUUAGUUGAACUAGUUAAGUUUUAGUUGAACUAGUAUAGUAAGUAAAUUAAUAACUAGUAUAGUAAGAACUAGUUGAAUUAAUAGAACUAGUUGAAUUAGUAGAACUAGUUGAACAUGCCAUAUUUGUUGUUAUUUUUUAGUUUAAGCAAUUAUUUCAUGUUUUGGUUACACCUCCGAGUGUCCUAUGUUUUGCCGGAGUGUUGAUUAAUUUCCGUUCUGGCAAAUUUCAGGCGCUCGAUAUGUCCUUUUUUAGCAAAGGUCAUGCCGGAUUUUUCCGUGAAUUCUGACAUGACUUGUGCUAGAAUAUGUAAUCUUUGAAUUAUGAACGUAGGAAAUGUCGUACUCGGACAUCGACAGUCUCCCGGGGGAGUGCAGCUGGUGCCACGAUGAUCGAGGUAUGUGCGACAGGUUCGUUGAGCUGGAUGGAGAUCGGCGCUUCAGCAUUAAGCUCAAGGAGACCUUCGAUGUUGAAACGGUACGCAACAACAACAAGUUUUUUUUCGUAAUUAAGCAUGACUUCAACUAUUUCAACGUCUAAUGUUCAUCUUUUACAAUUCGACUAGCUUAUCCCAUGCCAUGCAAGACAUGGAGAGGAUGGGUUUUGAAGACCAUGAAAAUUUUCAAACAAAGAAAAUACACCUAAGGACUCAUCAUGAUAUCGAUUUUGAAGUAAAUCUGUACAAUUCUUAGAGCGUAACCCAUUUUGGUUGCCAAAAUUGGGAAGCACUUUGCAAAAUGUAUGGUUUUUAUGAGGGUAUGAUGGUCACCAGGGAUCUUGGUGAUCCUGACAUCGAGCAAGACAAUAUGGACAUUUGGGUCCUUGUUGAUACGCUUCCGAUUCUACCGCAAUGUGAGUUUCUCAAACAUAGUUAUUAACUAAUUUAUAUUGUUUAUUUCAAAAUAGUUGACAGCUUAUUUCUGUUGACAACUUAUUUUGAAUCUUCAAAGAGUGUGCAGAAGAUGGUAGACAAAACCCACUACAUUGAGGGCUCCGGAUUAACUUAUAAGGAGAAAAAUCAUCUGAUUGCUUAUUGUACUUUUUUUGAGAAUUAUAAUACCUAUUAUCGAACUCCUCCAAAUUAUGGUGAAUACGUGCCACUAGUGCACGUGUUGAACCGCGGUAACUUCAAUGGAGAUACCCUGGUAAGAAUUUUUACUAUUACGACAUCCGUGCAUCUUUUGCAUACUUCUAAAACUAGUACAUCAUUGCUAACUACGAAGUUAUUACUAUGUUUUUCAAUAGAAAAUCUCGACGGAUUGUGUGCCUCAUCUGAUGUAUCAGAAUGGUCGCCUUGCUAUUAUGAACCUACAGCCAGGUCAUUCUAAGGAGCUCUUGUGUGGAUAUCGGAUUUCUAAAAGCGGUGAACACAUGCUAAUCAAAGAAUGGAAAAAAUGUUUGGACAUUCACAAGGAGGUUCUUCGAAGUAACAUUAAGUGAAAGGCAAGAAUUGGAGACAGGAUAAUCUCCAUUCUCCAUAAUGAAGAGUCAGGGGCUAUCUUGUUUUUUGCUAUUUUACCUUAGAGAAUAUAGUAGGUCCUAAGAGAGAAUGUAGUAGGUCCUAUGAGGUACAAUAUGUUUAUUAUGUGAUACAAUGUGUUAGAGUUGAAGAUGCGAGGAGUACUUGUGAUUACGACUAGUGACCAAUGAUAUGAUGAUGAUGAUGAUGAUAUAUAAGUUGUUAAUGAUAUGAUGAUGAUGAUGAUAUUUAUUAUAUCAUUGGGUGAAAGAACCACGGAUUAGUUUCAAAUGGAUGGAUCCAAAGUGACCAUUGGUUACUUUGGAUCCAUGCACUUGAAACUAAUCCAAGGUUCUUUCACCUAGUGAUUUAAUAACUCAUUAUGAUAUAAAAAUAAUCUCUAAAUUGAUAUUGUAUGAAAAAUUGUAUACAGGUAUAUGAAUACGACCUAAAAUUCAAGAGAAAUGGAAUAGGGAAUGAUAGUAGUAGCGAUUGUUUUCGAAAGCGCUGCUAGUAAUUAGCAGUAGCGCUUGACUAGGAAGGCGCUACUACCAAGUAGAUAUAGCAGUAGCGAGUGCCUGUAGGCGCUACUGCUAAGCAUUAGAUGUAGCGCCUUAUUAGUAGCGCGCUUACCCACGCUACUGAUAGGCCAAAAACCAGCGCUACUGCUAGGCUUUUCCCUAGUAGUGUUUACUCAUCAUAUAUGUCGAGAUGCCAUGCCCAUCCAUUAUCAAUACAUAUUCCAUCUGUCAUCAUACCAUGUUUUUCCACUCAAAUGCUGUUCUUGUGCAUUAGACAUCAAAAAGGAAGAGGGUGAUUGCCGAACCUGAAGGAGCACAGCAAAGUCCUUGAAAAACGUGGUGGUGCCGGAGAAAUCAGACAGCACCCUACUUAUAUUGGCUAUACAACUAGUGACACAAAACGUAGGACCGACUCCAGUAGACUGUACCCAUACUUCACUGGCCACACCACUAGCCCCACCACACAGGACCUGCACUCCAGCAAAAGGUAUACCGAUUUAAUUUUCCAUAGCACUAGAUGUACCACAGAAAAAUCCCACUCCAGUAAAAAGUACAGUAAGUCCACCGGCCGAAGACCUAUCCCAACUAUAGAGACGGCCAAUUCCUGCAGAUUGGAAGCCCAUUCCAUUUAUUCCCAGUGUAAAAGACAAUGCUUUCAAUGUUGUUAGGGACUACAUGCAUAUAUUCCCAUCAUGGGAAGAUUAUUAUGAAGACAAACACCAUUUUCACAUCUUCAUGUCCAACUUACGUGUAAGUGCUAUUAUUCAUGGUUAUUAUUUUCCUGUUUUCUGCUAAUUGAACACAUCAAUGAUUUACAUUACAUUGUUGUAACUAGGCGAGGGUCAAUCUGGAUAGUCAUGACGAGCAAAGCUUGCUUGUGCUUUUCAAGGAAGCAUUGCAGCAGUAUCGGUGUUACCUGAGGAAAUCACACUUUGAUGGCAAGUCUAUAAAUGAAUUUCCGGUGAAGUCUCCUGUGCUAAAUUUAGAAGACAUUGAAUGGAAAAACAUUGUUACGCAUUGGUCUCGUUCCCAGGAUGAGGUACUGUCUAGGAAAUCACAUGACAAUUUGAACUUCUACUUUUCUGCAUGUGCCUUACGGAUCUUUUUUGCAGGAAAUCAGAUUGAAGAAGAAUUUUGGUUUGACAAGAAUGACAGGAUAUCGCAAAUAUGCUUCCCGCUACUUUGCUCUUGUUAGUACUUGUUGUCCUGUAUCACUCUACUUGCAUACAUACCUAGUUCAUUAUGUGACAGCAGUAUGCAUAAUAGCUUGCUUAUCAAUUGUUCGCUCCAAAUUAUCUGAUCUGUGUGAAUGGUUACAUUAGUGUAGAAUAUAUCCAAUGCCAAUGUUUUUUUAGCUGUGCAUUGUUCUUGUAAGUACAUGCCGUCCUUUAUCAGUGUACUUAUAAUGACAGGUAGUUGUUCAUGUACCAUCAAUAUACAGCUUAUUUUCCUUUGCCCUCCAUUUUCUACACAUCAGAUCUAUAUUUACUCUUACCAUCAGGUUGCUACUGAAGAAGUUUAGCUGUGCAUUGCUCUUGGCUGUACCUUUUGCCUGUAUCGCUGCACUUACAUUUAUAGCUACUUGGUUAUGUAGCAUCACUCUUCAUCUUAUCUUAAAUAUUCUCCAUUUUUUCGUAUAUUAUCACAUCUAUAUUUACUCUUAACAAAAUGUAGAAUAAAGGCAAUGCUUUUGAAAAAGAUUCUAUGGUAAACUUCUUAUAUUGCCCCCCCAUCAGCAUGGACAAGGCCUUUAUAGAGCCUGUCUUCACCAAUAAUGUAAGUUUCUCCAUCUCAAGCCUUCAAACUUUGUUGUAUAUAUUUGGUUAGGCAUGACUGCAACAGCUGUUUAUUUUUGGUGUUUGCAUCAAAUUGCUUGUUUAAAGUUUAUUAUGUAGUUCAUAAACAAAAGUUUGUCCUUUCUCAAUUUAAGUUUUCAGUUGUACAACCAAGUUCCUUCUUCAUACCAUGUAAAUUAAACUAUACAGAGCAAGUGAACUUCUUUUGCACUGCAUGUAUGCUUCUGUUCUUCAUCCGUAAUCCAGUGGUGUGGUGAACCUACCCACUACAGCACAAUGUCAUAUUCUGCAAUGUCUUAACUAUGAACAAUGUCAUAUCAUUCUACUAUUAUUUAAACCAUCUCUUUAUUUGCCAAUCUGAAAUGGUAUAAAUUGACAGCACACUAACCAUUGAUACUUAUGAGUUCUUGAUCUGUAAUCUAGUGGUGUCGUGAAGCUACCAACUCCUUCACAAUGUCAUUUCCUACCAUUUCUUGACCUGAACAAUACCAUAUUGUGUUAAUGCAAUUUUAAACUGUGUCACUUUAUUCGUCAGUAAGAAAUGUGAUGAAUUGUCAGCAUUGAUACUUUUAUGUGCAAAACCUGUCAUAUGUCUGCUUGUUUAUCUUUCAAAGUGAGGAAGACAUAUGUGUUGAACAAGCGGAGUCUCAUCAUCUUGCUCAGCUGCUUGCGCUGCAGCUCCCCGGCAGGGCUAACCUUUCUUGAACUCUAUUGAAGUGUUGUCGGUUUUGUAUAUUAUUUUGUCGGCGUGUUUAUUUGCACUGGUGGCGAUCUUUGAUGCCCAUUGUAUGUAAUCUGUUGUCUGUUGGUGCUUUAUUAUCAUAGUGGCGAACUUUGAUGCCCAGUCGAUGUAAUAUGCCGUUUUUUCUUAUUCACGAUGUUGCAGUUAUUUUACUGUAUAUAUAUCCUGUCUCCGCAGUAAACCAGCCAAACCGUAAAAUUACGGUACAUAAUCGGGUCGUCAUGCAAUCACGAUGUAGGUUGGACCUGAAACAUGCUGAACAGCUCACGGGCCGGCAGCAGCCUGAAAUGAACCCCGACCCAUGAUUGUGCGAAUCAAAUCAUGGGCUUUUAACAAGCUAAAAUUGUCUCGGUCCUUAUUUGGCCUAAUCAGAUAUCGGCUGCGAGCAGGCCGGAUGCAAACCGGGCCGUAGUUAGGCCCAACUAUAUGACGGGCUUUUAACAGGCCAAAAUUAAUAUAGGGCCGAAAUGUUAAACGGGCCCUUAACAGGCCAAAACUAAUAUCAGGCCGAAUUACUAAGUGGGCCUUUAGCAAGUGGGCCCAAAAGCAUAGUGUCCAGUUGAUGGGCCGAAUAUGAUAUGGGCCAUAAUUGAGCCCAAAGCCUCUUAAAGGGCCGGACCUGAUCUGGGCCGCAAUUUGGCCCAGAACGUGGUAAGCUUUUAACGGGCCGGAUCUCAUAUGGGCCAAUAUUUGGCCCGGAGCGCGGCAGGCCAUUAAUGGACCGGAUGAAAUAUGGGCUGGCAUUUGGCCCAAAACAUGGCAGCCAGUUAAUGGGCCGGACUACUAGGGUCCUCAAAAUCUUGUGGGCCUACAGCUGGGCCGGCCCAUUAAUGUCGGCGAAAUCUCGUGGGCCAUUAGCUGGGCCGGCCCAUUAUGAUCCGCAAGAAUCUUGUGGGCCUUUACCUGGGCCGGCCCAUUAUGGCACACAAAAAUCUUGUGGGCCUUUACCUGGGCCGGCCCAUUAUGGCCCGCAAAUUCUUGUGGGCCUUUAGCUGGGCCAGCGCAUUAUGGUCCACAAAAUCUCAUGGGCCUUUAGCUGGGCCAGCCCAUUAUGGUCCGCAAAAUCUUGUGGGCCUUAAGUUGGGCCGGACCAUUUAAACUUGAUGGGCCGGUCCACGUGUCAACAUAUCAUAGGCGCGUCUCGCCCAUUGGAUGAGUGACACAUGUGCCAACACGGACCUGACACGUGUCUCCUCUAGCCAAUGAUGAUUUUACACAUGGAAAAUCCCCAUUGGUCGGGGCUGUUAACAGGUUAUUGGAUCCAAAACCCGACACAAUAGCUUAACUGUGUUCCGUUAUGGUGGAUGCCACAUGUCGGUAACCCUUGGCGAAAGCACUUCUAUGACGCGCGAUAUAUCGUCAUGGAAGUGGACACUUCCGUGAUGAUAAUUUUGGUAAUGUCAUGGAACACUUCUACGACAGCACAUGUAUGACUAUCUUGAUUCUAUCAUAAAAUCAUCAUAGAUGUACAUGACAGAAAACGCGACCUACUAUGACAAACACGUAUCAUCACGGAAGUGUAUUUUUUAGUGUAUGUACUCCGCUUCACAUGUAGAAUUAGCAACCACGCUCUGCUUGGAACUGCACCAGCUUACCACUCCACCGCUCAGAACAUAUAUGUAUCCGGUUUGAGACUUAGAGUCAUCUGUAUCAGUGUCAAAGCUUGCAUCAACAUAACCCUUUACGACGAGCUCUUGAUCACCUCCAUAAAUGAGAAACAUUUUCUUAGUACUUUUUGGGUACUUAAGGAUAAUCUUCACGGAUGUCCAGUGAUCCGCUCCUGGAUUACUUUGAAACAUCCCAGCCAUACUUAUGGGAAGGCUGACAUCCGGUCUUGUGCACAGCAUCGCAUACAUGAUAGAUCCUAUGGCAGAAGCAUAGGGGAUGACACUCAUCUUUUCUCUAUCCUCUGUAGUCGCUGGGCAUUGUGUCUGACUCAACUUCACACCUUGCAAAACAGGGAAGAACCCCUUCUUGGACUUAUCCAUUUUGAACUUCUUCAAAAUCUUAUCAAGGUAUGUGCUUUGUGAAAGUGCUAUUAAGCGUCUUGAUCUAUCUCUAUAGAUCUUGAUGCCUAAUAUGAAAGCAGCUUCUCCUAGGUCCCUCAUUGAAAAACUCUUGUUCAAAUAUUCCCUCAUAUUUUCCAAAAGUUCUAUAUUAUUUCCAUUCAGCAAUAUGUCAUCCACAUAUAACACCAGAAACGCUAUAGUGCUCCCACUCACUUACUUGUAAAUACAAGCUUCUCCAUAAACUUGUAUAAACCCAAAUGCUUUGAUCACCUCAUCAAAGCGAAUAUUCCAACUCUGAGAUGCUUGCACCAGCCCAUAAAUGGAUCGUUGGAGCUUGCACACUUUGUUAGCAUUCUUUGGAUCAACAAAACCUUCCGGUUGCAUCAUAUACAACUCUUCCUUAAGGAAAUCGUUAAGGAACGCUGUUUUGACAUCCAUCUGUUAGAUUUCAUAAUCGAAAAAUGCAGCUAUUGCCAACAUGAUUCUGACAGACUUAAGCAUCGCUACGGGCGAGAAAGUCUCAUCAUAGUCAACUCCUUGAACUUGUAAAAAACCCUUUGCCACAAGUCGAGCUUCAUAGACGGUGAUAUUACCGUCUACGUCUGUCUUCUUCUUGAAGAUCCAUUUAUUCUUAAUGGCCUUUCGCCCUUCAGGUAAUACUUCCAAAGUCCACACUUUGUUUUCAUACAUGGACCCCAUCUCAAAUUUCAUGGGCUUUAACCAUUUGUCGGAAUCCGGGCCCACCAUCGCUUCUCCAUAGCUCGUAGGUUCGUCGUUGUUGUUGUCCAACAACAUGACCUCUAAGACAGGGUUGCCGCACCACUCAGGAGCUGUACGUACCCUUGUCGACCUACAAGGUUUGAUAGUAACUUGAUACGAAGCUUCAUGAUCAUCAUCAUUAGCUUCCUCUUCAACUGACGUAGGUGCCACAGAAACAUCUUUCUGUGAUGUACUACUCUCUAGUUGAAGUAAAGGUUCAACAACCUCAUCAAGUUCUAUCUUCCUCCCACUCAAUUCUUUUGAGAGAAACUCUUUCUUGAGAAAGGACCCGUUCUUAGCGAUAAACACUUUGCCUUCGGAUCUAAGAUAGAAGGUAUACCGAACCAUCCGUGACUGCCUGGUUUUUGCCCUCUCUCAUUUGCUUGAUUUUAUUUGGAUGAAAUUUGAAACUUGGAGUUUUUGAAUCUUUUCAUAUGGACUUAAACACUUGGGUACUCUUGGCUUUCACCCAAGUGCUCCAUUUCCCUCUCUGAUUAUCAUUCCCUUUCUGAUCCAUCCCAAAAUAAUCUUUGGAAUAUUUUUCUUAAAUGAAAAAUAUUCACUUUCUCUCAAAAACCAUAGCCAGAUCAGUGUGCUCCAAAGCAACCCUAAUUUUUAUGGCCCAGUAAAAUCUGAAAUAAUUCAAAAAUAUUCUUUGAACCCUAGGGCACCUGCCUGAGCAAAAAUAUCUCAUCACCUUUUGGAAUAUUUUUGCUACAGAAAAUAUUUUAUGUUCUGGACAGAAAUGGUGGGUUCUACAGCAACUACCAUUUUACUUGCUCCAUUGUGCCUGGGUUUUCUUGUGCAUUUUCACCUUAGUAACUCUUGGCUAACCUCCAAAGCACAACCUCUAACUCCCAGCCAUUUGACCUCAGUAACCUCUCAAAGUUACUAACCAGAAACUUACCUGGCGUGUAAAAACUUCUCUACUCACCUGGGUCCAAACCAAAGCGUGGUAACAUCUCAAACUACCACGAACAACACGCCAGACAUGAAGUUUAGGCUUAGCUCGGCCUGAUGUCAUAGUCCACGUGGUAACCACGUUCGUCCAGGGGUGCUGGCAUGCGUGUCGACGUGGUUUGAGUGCCGCCGAGCGCUCUGUUUUGUGCGUGCUCGCUUCCCCGACUGCUGUAGCAUGCCAAACUUCACCACUAUCUUCGUCUCAACUCCCUUAACUCCCCUCUGGCGCUCGCCGACGCCAGAGCUUACCGCAGCAAGAACGGGCACGGUCUGGCCAACCCAACAGUAUGGUGCACACUGUGCUCGUCGCCUUCUCCUCGUUCCUGUGCUCGUCUCCGUCCGCCAACAGUUGCCGCGUGAGCUGCGUCGCCUUCUUCCCCUCUCACUGACGCCAUUCAUCGCCGGGCGCCGUGGACAGGUGUCCACCGGCAGAGCACGAAUUCCCCUCGCCGCUCGCCUAUAAAUGGAGCCACCCCCAGCCUCCUGAAGCACCAUCCAGCACUCCCACACACCCCUCAAGCGAGUAGGAAGCCGUAGCCCGGCCGGGCAGGAAUCGGGCCGCCGUCCCCGAGCUCGAGCUCGUCGGCGAUCCCCUUUGGUCGCCGCGGUAGCUCCAGCCCCUCCCAGGCCAGGGCGACCCUUCCAGGGCCUCCGCCCCUCUCCGGUGAAGCUGUUCCGCCCCUCUGGAGCCCCUGGAGUUGCCUCUGCUCGCCGUCUUCUUCAUCUCUAGCGACCGCCGUGUUCUGCCUCCGCUUGCGAGGUUGAUUCCGACGCCGUCCGACCGCCCCUAGCUAGAAUACGUGUACGGGCAGGUGCGCCUCAACCCCCUGUUGCCAUCCCUCCCUCUCGUUUUGGCCAAGGAGUCCUCGUCACCGGCGAGAGCUCCGGUGGAGCUGCGACUCCCUCUGUUUCCUUCUCCCCCUCCUCCUAACCUGACUAGCGGGGCCCGCUAGUCAGCCACUCUGUACACGCGCGAAGCGGUACGAGUGGUGGCGCCCCUAGGCUUUACGCCUUCAACGUCACCCCCCAGCCUGUUUAUUUUUAUUCAAAUUCAUUUCAAUUUACAGAGCACUUCAAAUAGCCAUAACUCCUCAACCAUAAGUCCAAAUGAAUUGAUUCUUUUUGCAUCUUGUUCUUUGCAAAGAAAUCUAGCAGCUCACCAAAGAUGAGAUUUUUCUGAGCUGUUUAGAAUUUCUGGUGAUUUUCAGAAGUGUUCUUGAUAUUUUCUUUUUGUGUUUAAAAUUAUUUUCUGAGGGUGAUGCUUGUCUUGAGGAUCACCAGAAGGCUUGUGAACCUCAUCUGCACUAAGGCAAGCCACAGCAACAUUUUCAUGGUAUCAUUUCAAUAUUUAUGAUUUUCUUACUUGAAUGAAAUGAUUAAUCCAUGCAUUUAAAUAACUAUUAUGUUAUUUAUAUUCUGUUAAGUGUUUGCUAGUUAAUAUGCUUGAUUUACAAAAUGUGGAAACUAGCUUAGUUGGUGAAGCAAAGGUAGGAUCUAUUUGUGGUGAUGAUAGAAAUAAUUUUUUUAUGCAUGUUAUUAAUUACUUAAAGUAAUGUUCUUGCAUAAAUAAAAUGAUAAAAAAUUGCUAGAAAAUAUUCUGUUAAGUACUUGUUUAGUCAUAUUACUUGACUUACAGAAUGUUUGAACCUCGCUUGGUUGGUAAAGAAAUUAGGAUUUGUGUUUGGUAAAAUCUUUGUUAGUCAUAUGAGAAAUUAAUCGGAGUUACGUUCUUGCAUGAGAAAAUAAUAAAACUUGCUGCAAAAUAUUUUGAUUAAUAUGUGAGUUAUCUUGAUCAGCAAAGUAAUAUAAGCUAUUGAUGUUUAUGCUUAAUGUGAAUAUGGAUGACAUCAGACAUUUUCGUUAUUAAGUGAUGCAUGUGUAGUUUUGCAUUUCAUGGCAUGCUAUGACACCGGUCAUUUUCAUUUUAAGUUGAACCUGAAUAUAACUCAACUUGAAUAUACCGUUGACUGGGUCAUGGUGCCGCUGAAUCGAGUUUUUAUGAGUGCAACCACAUUUGCCUUUGUGGGAAGGCCUUGAUUCGGUCCAUUGACAUUGCCUCUGGUCGGUGCCCCCAACUAGGGAAGGUUACGUUGUGCUUACCCUGGCCCGGUAAGCAGGCAUAACCUAGUGUGCCCGUUGUUUAGAUUAUGGUACCGGGUCACCGAGUGGGAUUGUUUUGGCCACGACGGUUGUCGGUGCGUCUUUGGUAGACGCGGGGCCACCCAGGACUAGCCCAUUGGGGGAUUGGGUCGGAGUGGCCGGGAGAGUGUCAUGGCAAUGGAAGGGUUUCGUCGAAAUGUCGUUGGUCCACCCGAAUGGGAGUGCGAGGCCAUGGGUUCCAUGGUGUGGGUACAGUGUGCUACCUAUGCAGAGUGUAUAAUCUAUCGAUAGCCGAGUCCACUGUCACGGACACCUCGUAGUAGGUCCCACCAUGAGUCAACGUUUAAUAAAACUUGCACACUAAGCUAUGAACUUUGCAUUGUUGAGGAUGGCAGAAAGGCCAUCGACAUAUUCGGGACUAGAUAUUGGUCAUGGUUGUGAUCGCCGUAAGGAUCACGAGUUACUCUUGUUAAGACCACGUUGGUGGCUGGUUUGUGAUCCGAGAAUGAUCAUGGUUGGUAAGUUGUUCCGAGGGACGUUCGAGCAUGAUCACAGCAUGUUUGACAUAUAGUGUUACCUUAUUAAUAAUUGGUUAAGUAUCAUGAUAUUGUUUGCCAUUAUGAUUAUGCUUGUUGUGAGCUUGCAAGUACAUUCAAUGUACCGACCUGGCGUGUCAUGCCAGAUUUCAGGAAAGUAUCGUUGGAGAAGAGCGCUGCCGAGUCUAGAUCGUUUCCACAUAGGUGUUCCUGUGAUAUGGAGCUUCCGCUACGACGUUAUUCCGCUUCCACGUAGUUGUUCUGAUCGAGGCCCCUUUAUGUUCACUAAAUAAUGUACAUAUUGUUCAGCCGCACCGGGUGUGCCACUUGGCCUCGACAACUGUUGUAAUAUAAACUCUGUUCCGCUAGCAUCAAUAAAGCGAUUGUUUUCUAUACCAAGAUGUUGUGUGUUGCCAGAAGACAUGAUCUCUAGGCUGGCAAUGCAUGGUAAACCGGUCGCUCGGAGCCGGGGUGCCACAACGCUUGGUAUCAGAGCCGUGCUGACUGUAGGCCACGCUAGACUAUGACGUGUUAACUGGACAUUAGAUACGAGUUUAAGUUGAGUGCCGGUAGUAAUUUUUGCUGGUUGUUGCAUUGCAUGCAUUUGGCUUAUAAAUUUUUAUGCUAACCUGCUAAUGGUUGUGGGUGUAGAUGGCUCCGGUGCCGUAUCCGUGCCAGUUGCAGCUGAUGCCGUACAUGUCACCACACCUCCUUCGCAACGCGUGGUGUCAGUUGUACCCUCUCGGAGACGACCAAGUUUAUCGUGUGUACCGGGAGCAUCUAGCUGAUUCAGUGUAUGAGUAUCAUGCAGUGGUCACUCUACGCACUAGUUCCGAUUCCAGCUCUUACACUCGUACUUCUCGGAGCGGUUACACCUCCACCGCUUCUCAGGCUAUCCAGUUUGCUGCAUUCGAGGUCCUUGUCGAGCUUCACUACAAUGAGGUCUAAAUGCAGAACCACCCAGGUUUCUAUUAUUACCCAGCUCUGCACGACAACGGUCGUGUCCGUUUUCCUAUCAUUGAUCCGGAGUCUGAUACCGUUGCGAGCCACCUUGCUCAUUAUGUCACUGUUACCUAUCUUAUGAUCCACGAGCUGGCUCGAGAGCUGACUCGUGCCCGUACUGCUUUAGCCGCUGCUUUAGUCACUACUAGAUCUGCCACUACUCCAUCUUCUCUGGAAUUUACCCCGUAUAUUCGAGCCAGUUCUAGUUCCCCUAUUUCGCUGGUUACUCCUCCAAGUAGCACGGGCGUCUCGGCCGUGAAUCCUCUCAGUACUCCUGUCGAGUGGGUUUCACUUCUCGCUACUCCUGCUGAGUGACAAUAAUCAGGAUACUUCUUGGUGAUAACCAUAGUUUGAGGAGUUCCCUUAGUUUCCAAUAGGACCCCGCUGCCACGGGAGGGUAGGACAAAAGAUGUCAUGCAAGUUCUUUUUCAUAAGCACGUAUGACUAUAUAAGGAAUACAUGCCUACAUUAUAUUGAUGAAUUGGAGCUAGUUUUGUGUCACCCUAUGUUAUGACUGUUACAUGAUGAACAACAUCCUGCAUAAUUAUCCAUUACUGAUCCGAUGCCUACGAGCUUUCCAUAUACUGGUUUAUGCUUAUUUACUUUUCCGUUGCUGCUGUUACAAUCACUACAAAACACCAAAAAUAUUACUUUGCUUUCUUUACUCUUUUGUUACCAUUUCCACCACUAUCAUAUUACUUUGCUACUAAACACUUUGCUGCAGAUAUUAAGUUUCCAGGUGUGGUUGAAUUGACAACUCAGCUGCUAAUACUUGAGAAUAUUCUUUGGCUCCCCUUGUGUCGAAUCAAUAAAUUAGGGUUGAAUACUCUACCCUCGAAAGCUGUUGUGAUCCCCUAUACUUGUGGGUUAUCAGUGUGCAAGCUAUGGUUGGACAGAAUGGAAAUCAGAAUGGUCAUCACUCAAAGCUAUCAGAUUUUCAAAGGACCAAGCCACCCAGCUUCAGUCAGAUUGUUGACCCAUUGGAUGCAGAUGAUUGGUUGUGCACCAUUGAGAAAAAGCUUGAGAUUGCUCGUACUGAAGAAAUGAUAAACUUCCAUUUGCAACUCAUUACCUUGAAGGCGCAACUGCCAUAUGGUGGGAAAAUACAAAAGCCAUGUGGCCGGUUGAUGAGGAAAUCACCUGGGGAAAGUUUAAGGAUCAGUUCCGAAAAUAUCAUAUCCCUACUGGAGUUAUAAAGACCAAGCAGCGUGAAUUUCUCGCACUCGUCCAAGGAAAUCUGUCUGUGACUGAAUAUUUGCAAAAAUUCAAUCAUCUGGCCCGUUACUCUCUUUAUGACGUGGCCACCGAAGAAAGGAAGAUUGACAGAUUUCUUGGAGGCCUAAAUCUGCAACUCCGGUGUACUCUCAGUAUGCUUGAUUUCCCAGAUUUUCAAACUCUGAUGAACAAGGCUUUCAUUGCUGAACGGGAGCACAAGCUUAUAGCAGAUAAUAGGCCUAUUGACAACGACAACAAGCGCAAGUUUGAGCAAAAGAAGGAUGGGAAACCAGUGCAAAAGGCUCGUACCUGGCAGCAGACUCAGGUGGAAUACAAGCCAAAUUGGCAGCAGAAUGUUAACAAGACCACCACUCAAGUCAAGAAUGUCGUGACCAAACCAAUACAUGAAGAGCGUUAGUGCAAUAAUUCUUGCUUUAAUUGUGGGCAGAACGGACAUUAUGCCAGACAGUGCCCCAAGAACAACAAGGCGAAUGCCCUAAUCAGGCCACAACUCAACUUUAUGGAGUCAUGGCCAAUCCAGCAAAACUUCACGGGGCACGUGCAUCAUAUCUCCACCGAUGAAGCCCAAGAGAAGCCAGAAGUCGUCAUUGGUAUGUUUUCUGUUAAUGACAUACCUGCCAUAAUUUUAUUUGACUCUGGGGCUUCCCAUUCUUUUAUUUCUCAGAGUUUUGCUGCCCAAAACAACUUUCCUUGCACGAUUUUGGGCAAAAAUAUGCUGGUACAAACCCCAGGAUCUAUAAUCAAGAGCAAUCUGGUCUGCCGUGAUCUGGAAAUCAAUAUCAACGGAGUCCACUUUCCAACCUCUCUGAUAAUCAUUGAGUCUAAAAAGUUGGAUAUUAUAUUGGGUAUGAAUUGGUUGACCAAAUAUCAAGUUUGCAUAAACUGCGCAACCCAAGAAGUCACUUUAACCAGUCUGAAUGGGCAGACUAUCAAAUUCUAUGCUCGCAAGAAUAUACCCAAGCAAGAAUUGGUUUGCACCGCUGUGGCUGAAUUGGAAUUUAUUCAUGUGGUUAGCGAGUACCCUGAUGUAUUUCCAGAAGAACUGCCAGGCAUGCCACCAGAUCGGGAACUGUAAUUUGCAAUAGAUCUUGUGCUCGGAACUGCACCAUUAUACAAGAAGUAUUACCGGAUGCCCUCAUCAGAAUUAGUGGAGCUAAAGAAACAGCUUAAUGAAUUGCUCCAGAAAGGAUAUAUUCGUCCCAGCUCUUCACCAUGGGGAUCACCUGCUAUUUUCGUGGGCAAAAAGGAUGGCAGUCUCCGUAUGUGCGUAGAUUACCGCCAGCUGAAUGAGGUCACUAUCAAAAAUAAAUAUCCACUGCCAAGGAUUGAUGAUCUGUUUGAUCAGCUCAGUGGGGCUAAAGUAUUCUCUAAGAUCGAUUUACGGCCCGGAUAUCAUCAGCUCAAGAUUAAAAAGGAGGAUGUUCCUAAGACCGCAUUCACUGCUCAGUACAGUCUUUAUGAAUGUACCGUGAUGUCCUUUGGUCUCACCAAUGCCUCUGCUUUCUUCAUGCAUAUGAUGAACAAAGUAUUCAUGGACUUCCUCGACAAAUUCGUGGUAGUCUUCAUCGAUGACAUCCUCAUUUACUCCAAGGGUGAAGAAGAGCACAAGGAUCACCUCCGAGCAGUGCCACAACGACUCCGCGACCAUCAGCCAUACGCCAAAUUCAGUAAAUGCGAAUUUUGGCUCAAGCAAGUUGGGUUUCUCGGACAUGUACUAUCCGCCGAAGGUAUAGCCGUGGACCCGAGCAAAGUAAAAGAUGUGCUCGAUUGGGUGCCGCCCACGACUGUGAUGCGGAUCCGUAGUUUUCUUGGAUUGGCUGGAUAUUACCAUCGUUUUAUUGAAGGGUUUUCCAAGAUUGCUAAAGCCAUGACGGAGCUGCUCAAAAAGGAUAAGAAGUUUGAAUGGAUGGAGGACUGUGAAAAAAGUUUUAAUGAGUUAAAGAUACGUCUGACAACUGCACCUGUAUUGACUCUUCUAGACAUUUAUCGCAAUUUUGAUAUGUAUUGUGACGCCUCCAGGCAAGGUAUUGGUUGCGUACUUAUGCAAGACAGCAAGGUAGUGGCAUAUGCAUCGCGACAGCUACGACCCCAUGAGGGAAAUUAUCCUACUCAUGAUUUGGAAUUGGCUGCGGUGGUACAUGCAUUAAAAAUUUGGAGACACUACCUCAUUGGAAAACGGUGCCAAAUUUUUACCGACCACAAGUCUCAAAUACAUCUUCACUCAGCCAGAUUUAAACCUCCGUCAGCGAAGAUGGCUAGAGUUGGUCAAGGAUUAUGACCUUGGAAUAAAUUACUACCCAGGCAAGGCCAACGUAGUUGCCAAUGCACUCAGUCGAAAGCCCGUCAGCUUAAAUGUCAUAUUGAGAUCCUUGACGCCCGAACUCCAAGAGGAGAUCGCUCAGCUCAACUUGGUCAUAGUGGAUGCUGGCCUCGCUAAUAUUUUGGAAGUUACACCCACACUUGAGAUAGAGAUCCACAAGGCCCAGCCAGCUGACACCGAGCUGCAAAGACGUGCCGAGGGCCAGAUGGCAGAACAAACCCCAGAUUUCUUCAAGGACAAAUUCGGUACCCUUCGAUUCCGUGGACUGAUUUGUGUACCCAAUCAACCGGAUUUAAGGAAGAAAAUUCUGUCAGAAGCAUACGAAUCCUCAUAUUCCAUUCACCCGGGAGGUACGAAAAUGUAUGAGGACCUUAGACAAAUAUUCUGGUGGGAUGCAAUGAAGAAAAACAUUGCCUAUUUUGUAGCCUAUUGCGACAUAUGCAACAAGGUGAAGGCAGAGCACCAGAAGCCAGCCGGACUCCUCCAACCGCUACCGGUUUCACAAUGGAAAUGGGAUGACGUUUGUAUGGAUUUCAUUAAGGGAUUGCCUAAGACUCAGUGAGGCAACGAUGCAAUCUUGGUUAUAGUGGACACCCUAACCAAGGUCGCUCACUUCAUUCCAAUCAGCACCAAAUACAGGGCAGAUCAACUUGCACAGCUGUAUGUAUCCAGAAUAGUCAGUCUGCAUGGAGUACCCCGAACUAUCACUUCCGAAUGAGGUUCCCUGUUUACCUCUGCUUUUUGGUCACGCCUCCAUCAAGCCUUGGGGAUAGCACUGAAAUAUAGCACUGCUUAUCAUCCUCAGAUGGAUGGAUAGACAGAAAGGGUAAAUCGAAUACUCGAAGAUAUGUUGCGAGCCUCUGCUUUAGCCCAAGGACCCAAAUGGGAAGACUGUUUGCCAUAUGCCGAGUUUUCCUAUAACAACAGCUUCCAGACCAGUCUGAAAAUAUCACCAUAUGAAGCUCUGUAUGGCCGUAAGUGCCGCACUCCUUUAAAUUGGUCUCAAACUGGAGAUAGCCAUAUCUUCGGAACAGAUCUCAUGAUGGAAGCUGAGAAACAAGUUAAGGAAAUCAAAGACAGAUUGCAAUUGGCCAAAUCUCGACAGAAAAGUAAUUAUAAUGCAAAGCACCGACAGAUAAGUUUUGAACCCGGAGAGCACGUAUACCUGCGAGUCACUCCUAUGAAAGGACUCAAGAGAUUUGAUACUCGUGGAAAGUUGGCCCCCAGAUUUGUUGGUCCAUUCCCAGGCAUGUCUUGAGUAGGUACUGUUGCGUAUCAAUUAGAACUACCCGCUGAGUUGGCAGACGUGCACAAUGUGUUUCAUGUUUCACAAUUGAGACGAUGCAUAUCCCCGCCUAAGAAAAGGACUGCUAUAGCUGAGGUAGUGUUGGCAAAUGAUUUAACUUAUGAAGAGAGACCGUUCAGAAUUUUGGAUCAGAUGGAAAGGGUUACUCGCAGUAAAGUAAGGAAAUUUUACAAAGUUCAGUGGGAGCAUCACAUAGAGCCAGAAUCAACUUGGGAGCGGGAAGAAUUUCUACAGUCACAUUAUCUAGAUGGCUUUUCCCAAGCAACCAAAUCUCGAGGACGAGAUUCAUUCUAAGUGGGGGAGGUUUGUGACAGCCUGGUUUUUGCCCUCUCUCUUUUGCUUGAUUUUAUUUGGAUGAAAUUUGAAACUUGGAGUUUUUGAAUCUUUUCAUAUGGACUUAAACACUUGGGUACUCUUGGCUUUCACCCAAGUGCUCCAUUUCCCUCUCUGAUUAUCAUCCCCCUUCUGAUCCAUCCCAAAAUAAUCUUUGGAAUAUUUUUCUUAAAUGAAAAAUAUUCACUUUCUCUCAAAAACCGUAGACAGAUCAGUGUGCUCGAAAGCAACCCUAAUUUUUAUGGCCCAGAAAAAUCUGAGAUAAUUCACAAAUAUUCUUCGAACCCUAGGGCACCUUCCUGAGCAAAAAUAUCUCGUCACUUUUUGGAAUAUUUUUCCUACAGAAAAUAUUUUCUGUUCUGGACAGAAAUGGUGGGUUCUACAGCAACUACCAUUUUACUUGCUCCAUUGUGCCUGGAUUUUCUUGUGCAUUUUCACCUUAGUAACUAUUGGCUAACCUCCAAAGCACAGCCUCUAACUCCCAGCCAUUUGACCUCAGUAACCUCUCAAAGUUACUGACCAGAAACUUACAUGGCGUGUAAAAACUUCUCUACUGCACCUGGGUCCAAACCAAAGCGUGGUAACAUCUCAAACUACCACGAACAACAUGCCAGACAUGAAGUUUAGGCUUAGCUCGGCCUGAUGUCAUAGUCCAUGCGGUGACCGCGUUCGUCCAGGGGUGCUGGCAUGCGUGUCGACGCGCUUUGAGUGCCGCUGAGCGCUCUAUUUCACACGUGCUUGCUUCCUCGACUGCCAUAGCGCGCCAAACUUCGCCACCAUCUUCGUCUCAACUCCCUUAACUCCCCUCUGGCGCUCGCCGACGCCGGAGCUCGCCGUAGCGAGCACGGGCACGGUCCGGCCAACCCAACAGUCGGUCCGCACUGUGCUCGUCGCCUUCUCCUCGUUCCUAUGCUCGUCUCCGUCCGCCAAUAGUUGCCUUCUUCCCCUCUCACUGACGCCACUCGUCGCUGCGCGCCGUGGACAGGUGUCCACCGGCGGAGCCCGAAACCCCCUCGCCGCUCGCCUAUAAAUGGAGCCGCCCCCAGCCUCCUUGAGCACCAUCCAGCACUCCCACACACCCCUCAAGCGAGUAGGAAGCCGUAGCCCGGCUGGGCAGGUCUCGGGCCGCCGUCCCCGAGCUCAAGCUUGCCGGCAAUCCCCUCUGGUCGCUGCAGUAGCUCCAGCCCCUCCGAGGCCAGGGCGACCCUUCCAGGGCCUCCGCCCCUCUCCGGUGAAUCCGUUUCGCCCCUCUGGAGCCCCUGGAGUUGCCUCUGCUCGUCAUCUUCUUCACCUCCGGCAACCACCGUGUUCUGCCUCCACUUGCGAAGUUGAUUCCGACGCCGUCCAACCACCCCUAGCUACGCUACAGGUACGGGCAGGUGCGCCUCAACCCCCUCUUGCCAUCCCUCCCUCUCGUUUUGGCCAAGGAGUCCUCGUCGCUAGCGAGAGCUCCGGCGGAGCUGUGACUCCCUCUGUUUCCUUCCCCCCUCCUUCUAACCUGACUAGCGGGACCCGCUAGUUAGCCACUCUGUACGCGCGCGAAGCGGUACGAGUAGUGGCGCCCCUGGGCUUUACGCCUUCGACGUCACGCCCCAGCCUGUUUAUUUUUAUUCAAAUUCAUUUGAAUUUAUAGAACACUUCAAACAGCCAUAAAUCCUCAACCAUAAGUCCAAAUGAAUUGAUUCUUUUUGCAUCUUGUUCUUUGCAAAGAAAUCUAGCAACUCAACAAAGAUGAGAUUUUUCUGAGCUGUUUAGAAUUUCUGGUGAUUUUCAGAAGUGUUAUUGAUAUUUUAUUUUUGUGUUUAAAAUUAUUUUUAGAGGGUGAGGCUUGUCUUGAGGAUCACCAGAAGGAUGGUGAACCUCAUCUGCACUAAGGCAAGCCACAGCAACAUUUUCAUGGUGUCAUUUCAAUAUUCAUGAUUUUCUUACUUGAAUGAAAUGAUUAAUCCAUGCAUUUAACUAACUAUUGUGUUAUUUAUAUUUUGUUAAGUGUUUGCUAGUUAAUAUGCUUGAUUUAUAGAAUUGGAAACUAGCUUAGUUGGUGAAGCAAAUCUAGGAUCUAUUUGUGGUGAUGAUGGAAAUAAUUUUUGUUAUGCAUGUUAUUAAUUAUUUAAAGUUAUGUUCUUGCAUAAAUAAAAUGAUAAAAAUUUGCUAGAAAAUAUUAUGUUAAGUACUUGUUUAGUCAUUUUACUUGACUUACAGAAUGUUUGAACCUCCUUGGUUGGUAAAGAAAUUAGGAUGUGUGUGUGGUAAAAUCUUUGUUAGUCAUAUGAGAAAUUAGUCGGAGUUACGUUCUUGCAUGAGAAAAUUAUAAAAAUUGCUGCAAAAUAUUUUGGUUAAUAUUUGAGUUAUCUUGAUCAGCAAAGUAAUAUGAGUUGUUGAUGUUUAUGCUUAGUGUGAAUAUGGAUGACAUCGGUCAUUUUCGUUAUUAAGUGAUGCAUGUGUAGUUUUGCAUUUCAUGGCAUGCUAUGACACCGGUCAUUUUCAUUUUAAGUUGAACCUGAAUAUAACUCAACUUGAAUAUACUGUAGACUGGGUCAUGGUGCCGCUGAAUCGAGUUUUUCCCAGUGCAACCACAUUUGCCUUUGUGGGAAGGCCUUGAUUCAGUCCAUUGACAUUGCCUCUGGUCGGUGCCUCCAACUAGGGAAGGUUACGUCAUGCUUACCCUGGCCCGGUAAGCAGGCAUAACCUUGUGUGCCCGUUGUUGAGAUUAUGGUACCGGGUCCCCGAGUGGGAUCGUUUUGGCUACGACGGUGGUCGGUGUGUCUUUGGUAGACACGGGGCCACCCAGGACUAGCCCGUUGGGGGAUUGGGUCGGAGUGGCCGGGAGAGUGUCAUGGCAAUGGAAGGGUUUCCUCGGAAUGCCGUUGGUCCACCCGAAUGGGAGUGCGAGGCCAUGGGUUCCGUGGUGUGUGUACAGUGUGCUAUCUCUGCAGAGUGUAUAAUCUAUCGAUAGCCGAGUCCACGGUCAUGGACACCUCAUAGUAGGUCCCACCAUGAGUCAGUGUUUUAUAAAAUUUGCACACUAAGCUAUGAACUUUGCAUUGUUGAGGAUGGCAGAUAGGCCAUCGAUAUAUUCGGGACCAGAUAUUGGUCGUGGUUGUGAUCGCCGUAAGGAUCACGAGUUACUCUUGUUAAGACCACGUUGGUGGCUUGUUUGUGAUCCGAUAAUGAUCACGGUUGGAAAGUUGUCCCGAGGGAUGUUCGAGCAUGAUCACAGCAUGUUUGACAUAUAGUGUUGCCUUAUUAAUAAUUGGUUAAGUAUCAUGAUAUUGUUUGCCAUUAUGGUUAUGCCUGUUGUGAGCUUGCAAGUACAUUCAAUGUACUGACCUGGCUUGUCAUGCCAGAUUUCAGGAAAGUCUCGUUGGAGAGGAGCACUGCUCGAUCAAGAUCGUGUCCCCAUCGGUGUCUCUGUGAUAUGGAGCUUCCGCUACGACGUUAUUCCGCUGCCACGUAGUUGUUCUGGUCGAGGCCCCUUUAUGUUCACUAAAUAAUGUACAUAUUGUUCAGCCGCACUGGGUGUGCCGCUUGGCCUCGACAGCUGUUGUAAUAUAAACUAUGUUCCGCUAGCAUCAAUAAAGCGGUUGUUUUCUGUACCAAGAUGUUGUGUGUUACCAGAAGACAUGGUCUCUGUGCUGGCAAUGCAUGAUAAACCCGUCGCUCUGAGCCGGGGUGCCACACUGUCUCUUUUGGGUAUCCUAUGAAGACACAUUUGUCCACUUUGGGUUCGUGCUUUUCCGGCUGAAGCCUUCUGACAUAAGCAUCGCAGCCCCAAACCUUAAGAAAUGACAACUUAGGUUUCUUGCCAAACCACAGUUCAUACGGUGUCAUCUCCACAGACUUAGAUGGUGCCCUAUUUAAAGUGAAUGCAGCUGUCUCUAACGCAUAACCCCAAAACGAUAGUGGCAGAUUGGGAAGAGACAUCAUAGAACGCAUCAUGUCCAAUAAGGUACGAUUAUGAUGUUUGGACACACCAUUACGCUGUGGUGUUCCAGGCGGCGUAAAUUGUGAAACAAUUCCACAUUGUGUUAAGUGAUUGCCAAACUCAUAACUCAGAUAUUCUCCCCCUUGAUUGGAUCGUAGUAAUUUAAUCUUCUUGUUACGGACAUUCUCAACUUCACUCUGAAAUUGCUUGAACUUUUCAAACGUUUCAUACUUAUGCUUCAUCAAGUAAAUAUACCCAUAUCUACUCAAGUCAUCGAAGAAGGUGAGAAAGUAACGAUAUCCACCGCGCGCGUCAACGCUCAUCGGACCGCACACAUCAGUAUGUACGAAUUCCAACAAGUCAUUUUCCAGUUCCAUUGUUUUGGAAAACGGGGUCUUAGUCAUCUUGCCCAUGGGGCAUGGUUUGCAUGUGUCAAGUGAUUCAAAAUCAAGUGACUCCAAAAGUCCAUCAGCAUGGAGUUUCUUCAUGCGCUUUACACCAAUAUGACCUAAGCGGCAGUGCCACAAGAAAGUGGUACUAUCAUUAUCAACUCUACAUCUCUUGGCACACUGGUGCGCGUCGGUCCUAAACAAACGGUUUAAAACCCCUUUCCACGAUGGCAUCUGGAACCGUCGCCAAGUGAGUGUGGGUGAUAGGGGGGGUCCUUCCCACACGACCCAGAAACCAUCGGGGAUAUGACCUCCUGGCACACGCGUUCGGCAAAACAAGGUCGUGUGCGACCGGCGAGCGCUCAAAUAUGGAAAUACGUACAGAACAGCUAAAAAUACAAUUAUACGGCGAAAUUGUUACCGGUCGCAAGUACAUCCCACACAGUCCGCUAAAUGUUUCCAUUCAUAUGUACAUCCCACACAGUCGCUCCAAGGAAAACGUUUCCGUUCACAGGUACAUCACACACAAUUUUUCCCGUUAAAUCAUUUGUGAUAGCACUGCCAUUGCACACGAUAUUAAUAAUUUUAUCGUUUGCGUUAUUGAAUGCAUCACACACGGUGCGUAGAAAGAAACUGUGUGGCAAAGGCUCUCCAUCACACACACUUUUUAUGUGAUAAACAUUUGCGCAAGGUGGACUAACGCAAACAGUCUUCAAGAGAAAGUUGUGUGUGCAGUGGAGAUUGACCGCACACGUAGUGGAUCCUAGAAACGUUUCUGAUCUCCACGUAUAUCACAGACGUUUCUCUAUCGUAAACUGUGUGUAGUGCAAUCCCUAUUUAAUCCAUAAUUAAUCAAAUUAAUCCCUAAUUUAAAAAUCACAUGUUAUGAAUUUGAAAGUAGGCAAUCACUUAUUUCAUAUCCAACCAUGUUUAUUACGAAUAUAGGUUCAACCACGAAUCCAUAAUUCAAUGCACAGGUACAUAUACUGAAGAACUACAGAAGCACCGAGUAAAGAAUGAUGAACCAUAGUUAUACUAAAGACUAUAAAGAGAGAGGCGAAAGACAUUCUGGUUGCUGGAGAAGGUGAAGCGGAAUGCCCAUAUUGUGCCCUCCUCCAUGCGUAAGGCGCACUGGACUCUAGGCCAACCCCUGGUGAUGGCUGCCUGUCCAUCCUUCACUGUCUUCAUUAGGACUUCUCGAUGCUCAUUGUAGUCUGGAUGAAAUACUUUAACCUUCAUUGCAUGUCCACCAAUCAUCUACUUUGCGAGGUAAUCUUGAGUGAACUGCUUCGGGAACCACUGGGAGCGAAAAAGAUUCAGACAUUGUUGUCUAACAACUCAUUAUGGGCAGUAAAAAGAGAAGGCUGGAGAGUUUGUAGUUACCAUCCUACAACUCACUGUUGUGUUGGAUAGAGCAUAAACAAAUAAUUUGUUUGCCACCAUUCGUAUCUUUUUGCUAAUAAUCCUUAUCAGUUUCCUCACCUGAUGCUUGUUCAUCAAUAUCUCAUUGCCCCAUACGCAAAAAGGUUCGAUGUGUGGAUCCUUGCCAAGGGCAUAUGUACCUACAAGCAACAAGUCAAUAUUGGAAGCUAACUAGUGUCCAGGCCUCGAUCUAUAUGCACUACAUUAUGGAAUGACGAGGGAGUACAAGCUGAGGGAUGAAGCUAACCUCGUCGGAAAAUGGUGGCCACUCCCGUUGUUGUCCUACAUAAGUAGUGGAAAGGCAUGAUAAGUACAGCAAUCUUAACAUAAAAAAAUAUAGCAAAGGUAAACAACAUCAUCUCCAAAUGAUAGCUUGAAUGUGUUGGUUUCAGCAUGCUGUUAAAGCAGAUAUAGAAUGGAAGGCAAUGUUACCGACAGCAGGCUUAACAGCCAUCAAAUAUUGCAAUUCAAACUGGUAUUGUUGAAAAUGAAUAGAACGUAGGUAAUGCUUAAACAUCACACUGGAUAAAUGAGUAAAACUAAAAAUAAAGGGCAUGUGUUAACUACACCAGGAAUAACUGGAACCAAAUAUAGCUGUUCAAACUGGUAUUGAUGUAGUCGAGCGGCACAAUUCCGACUUGCAUAUAAUGAACCACACAUUGUUAAUGACUGAAAUAAACAAGGCAUAAAUGACCAGUAUAACAUCCAAAUAUAGCCAUUGAAAACUGGACAGAGUCUCACUGCAACCAACCUAACAAGCAAAUAUAGAUAAACAUGGCAUAUGCUUGAAAACUGGACAAAUGCUCACUGCAACCAACCUAACAAGCAGAUAAAGAUAAACAAGGCAUCUGCUUGAUAACUGGAGAAAUGCUAAAAAAAGCAACCUAUCAACCAAAUACAGAUAAACAAGGCAUCUGCUUGAUAACUGGACAAAUGCUAAAAAAACAACCUAUCAACCAAAUACAGAUAAACAAGGCAUCUGCUUGAUAACUGGACAAAUACUCACUGCAACCAAACAAAGAACUAAAUACAGAUAAACAAGGCAUAUACUCAAUAACUAAAAAAAUGCUCACUCCAACCAACCUAACAACCAAAUACAGAUAAACAAGGCAUCUACUCACUAUAAACAACCAAAUAUAGCCAUUCGUGAAACUAAAGUGGAAAAUUCAUACUUAAGCAUCACAUAGACCUAUUGAACAAUACAUUUUUGCAUAACUGAAAUAAUUAAACAUGACACAGUUAAAGCACCGCACGGAAAAUGCUACUACAAUAAAGGGUACGGGUUGGCAAGCUAGAAAAAGUAAUAUUUGCUGAUAGAAUGUUGCCUCACAUUUCAUGGACGGGAUCCUUCCAGUUGGAAGAGCACAGACCCAUGGUGUGAUCUCUGAUGUCAUAGAUGGGUUGUUUCACCUUGGAAGAACCUUCAUGGGUGCCCUCCUCGUGGUCGUGGUCAUAGUCGAUGAGAUCUGACUUGGCAAUUGAGGAUCCCAAGCCCCCACCGUAGAACGUGUCCUUCAGAAGUGAAAAAUGGGCUCGAUGGCGUAUAAAGCUCGCAAAUCCUUGACCUCUUGGCAAAGGAGAUUAGCGGCAGGGCCGUCGAAUAGAUCGAUGGCGCUUGAACCAGAGGGGUUGGGGAUGUACCACUUAACCCGUGACAUGGCCCGCGUGAAGCUGUCGGUGUGGACGAGCUUGAUGUAGUAGCCAGAUUUCCCGAGAUACAGUAAUACGCUAGCCCGCUGACAUGAAGCCUUCGGCAUGGCAACAUAGUCAAUGUCUUCACCGGCUUCUGCGGUCGCGUGCUGCUCCGGGAUAAACAGGUCGGGAUGAACGGCGGCCACCUCGCCAACAUCCGCCGGAGAGGCCAUGAUAAACCUCUUCUUGGUCGAAUGCUCGCCGGGCUCCCCGGGAUAUGUGGUCGAGUUUAGGCUGCGACAUUAUGGAGCAGGGGAUGUGGAUCCGGCAGGGAGGGGACACCGCAGGCCUCAUCUAAAAACUCAGGGGAGUGGGUUGACGGUAUAGGAAUCGCUGGAUAACCUGAACUUUAUUAUCUAAGCUAGGAGGAACGAGCAGACCGGUAGGGUUGGUGGCGGCGGCGCCGCCGCCGCUGGCGGCGGCAGCGGCGGCGAGCUAGGGUUCGAAGGGGGGCGGGUGGGGGACUGUGGAGGGGAGGGGUGGUGUUUGAGGAUAUGCCACAGCUACUAAAAAUUUUAGUAAUGGUGGGUGGAGAUGGUGGUGGAUGAGGGAGGGCGACAGUUCAAAUGCCUCGGCUGCUAAUUUUUUUACUAUAAGGUCGGUUCUGGAGGAGUGUGGGCGACGGUUGAAGUACGAUGGCUACUAAAAUUUGGGUAAAGGAAUUGAUGCGGGGCGGGAGUGCCCAAGAUUGUGCACGGUCCAAUAACAAUAUGCGUGUAUGAUAAUAAGGAAAAGUGGCGCGGAUCUGCUGAUUUUUGCAAUGCUCAAGGUGGCUAGUUUGUUUUUUAUAUUUGUAGCUAGCUGGUCUAUCGCACACUGCUACCUCUUGAGCAUGUGUUGGUUUUUCCCUUGAAGAGGAAAGGGUGAUGCAGCAAAGUAGCGUAAGUAUUUCCCUCAGUUUUUGAGAACCAAGGUAUCAAUCCAGUAGGAGGCCACACGCAAGUCCCUCAUACCUACACAAACAAAUAAGAACCUUGCAACCAACACGCUAACACUAGUGCAGAACCGGGCAAUAGCACCGGUUCGUAAGGCCCUUUAGUGCCGGUUCCAUAACCGGCACUAAAGUGUGGGCACUAAAGCCCCCCCCCCCUUUAGUACCGGUUCAGCAUGAACCGGUGCUAAAGGGCAACCACGUGGCACGAGCCAGCUCCGGGGCCGGNNNNNNNNNNNNNNNNNNNNNNNNNNNNNNNNNNNNNNNNNNNNNNNNNNNNNNNNNNNNNNNNNNNNNNNNNNNNNNNNNNNNNNNNNNNNNNNNNNNNNNNNNNNNNNNNNNNNNNNNNNNNNNNNNNNNNNNNNNNNNNNNNNNNNNNNNNNNNNNNNNNNNNNNNNNNNNNNNNNNNNNNNNNNNNNNNNNNNNNNNNNNNNNNNNNNNNNNNNNNNNNNNNNNNNNNNNNNNNNNNNNNNNNNNNNNNNNNNNNNNNNNNNNNNNNNNNNNNNNNNNNNNNNNNNNNNNNNNNNNNNNNNNNNNNNNNNNNNNNNNNNNNNNNNNNNNNNNNNNNNNNNNNNNNNNNNNNNNNNNNNNUGAUUUCUUUUUCAUUUAAUUUUGUGUUUUCCAUUUUAAUUCUUUUUCGUUUGCUGGUAUUUUCCGAUACUACACAUUGAACACGUUAUGCAUAUAUAUCUAUAUCUAUAUAUCUAUAUAUAUAUAAAUAGAAUUUCUAGUAGAACCAAUCAUAUAUAUAUCAUCAAUGUCUCACAAACCACCAUAUUAAUUCACACAUACACACAUGUAUAGCUAUAUACAAUUUCUCCUACAUAUGCAUGUUGCCUUCGGAGCCAGUGGCAUUAGCCUAAUUGGUGCCUUCGGAGCACGAUGACAAUUGGAAGUGGUUCAUGGGGGCGGUAGCGGGUAAUAGUAUUCUCCCUUCGGAUUUAUGAUCUGGUCGAGCAAAAAUCCCGCUAUUUCCUCUUGAAGUGCUUCUACGCGCUCCGUUUCUAGGAGCUUGUCCCGCACCUCUGUGAACUGUUAAGAAGGAGAUCAAUAUGCUUGUGUAUUAGUUGUGUGACUAGAUAUCGAUAAUGGUUUAAAAAUUGUGAAUAGUGUUCUGACAAGCGUACCCAUUCCUGUCUUUGAGAUCUGCUCCUUUCAGACGCCAUCGUGCGAAUGUUCUCGCAAACGCAGAAUGCACACAGAUCAGUCCCCUGCGCCUGCUUCAGGGCCUUUACGAGAAUGGAAUUUGAUCAGAUAAUAAUUAAUCAAGCAUGAUAAUUAAAGAGAUGGCGGCUAGCUAGCUAGCUAGUACUACUUAAUUACUUACCUUGGGUCGAAACCAUUUCAGCUUUUGUUUCCAUUCGCCUUCCAUGACGCUGAUGAAUCUUGCCCAAGCCCUGCCCGCCGAUAAAGAAAAUGAAUAAAGGGGUUAUUAAUUAAAUAGUUCAUAUCAUGAAAUGACGAACUAAAUAGGCCGAGAUAUAGAGUUAAUAAUGAUUGAAAUUACCUGUUGACUAUCCCAAACAAGAUGUUAUAGUCACUUUGUUUUUUAAGUAGUGAGUCCAGUAUUUCAACUGUUCCGGCGUCAACUUUAAUGAUACACAAGAUCCAGUGAAAUCUGCAUGCACACACGUUUGCAUGUCUUAAUUAAGCGGGCAUAUAUAAGCAAAAAAAUGUAGCUACCUAGUAGGCAAAAACAGAGAAUUUGUAGUACAAGACAGUGUGACUCACUGGAAGUUGUAAGGAAGUAGUAUAUCUUCAUUGUAUUUGAGGCGCUUCAAGAACUCUAGCAUGUUGUCCUCUACCUGCUUUUCAUGAUGUGGAUUUACUUUCCAUGUGUAUUCAUUAACGGUGUUUGGGUCAAUGAAACCAAUGCCAUAGCAUCCACCUUUUCUCAUUUCAUACAUCUUCAUCCUGCAUAAUACCAUAGAAAAGAAUAUAGUGAGGAUAAUUAUAGGUAAUGAUUGAUCAAAAGGAUCACUACAGCUAGCUUGAGACUUAAAUUACAAAAAGAAAUCACUUACAGACAAUAACAACUGACCAUAGAUUUGUCGAGUGCGUCUUGAUUGUAUAACUGAAAUAGUUCAGAAUACUCAACGGUCAUAGCUUUCUGAUGGUAGUAAUGAUCCUUCUUGACUUGCACCAUGAGGGACUCUCGAUUGGAUCUCUUGGUAAUGUCCAUGUACCAUUGAUGCAAUUCAUACAUUCUCGUUGGGAGCUUCUUGACCUCUUCUGGCUUGACCAAAGGUUCGCCUCGGACAUAUUUCCGUUUUAUUUCCUCCUCUCUAAGCACAGGCAUGUCCUCGAUCUCGAGGAGUUGUCCAACAGUGAUGUUGAGAAUUUCAGCCUGCAUUAUAUGCUCCUGGGUUAUUACCACAUCGCCCACCUCGGGAACGUAAACUGUUUGCCCACAAUAAUAUUGGGCGCGCGUACUGUCACGUGUUGUUGGCACAACAAUCCGGGGGGUUGAUUGCGCCGCCUGUUCUCCCAGCUGGGCAACGGUUUUCCCGCAUUUUUUGACAGUUGCUUGUUGUUUGCUCGAGCUCGAGCUCGCCUCCUUCUGUAGACGUGCUCGAUUUAACUUCCUGAUGUGGCACUCAUAGUCUGUGUCAACAGGCUUAGAAGCUGGUGGUUGAGCCACACGAAUGAAGUGGUCAAUCUUUUCCACAGGCACUUUCUCCCUUGGCGGAGGUGGCGGUUUCGGUCCAAAAUGGGCGUCGACUUUUGCCCGAACUAUGGCAUUGGUUUGCUCCUCGGUCCUGUCGUAAGCCCUCUGAGGAGGAGGAGUAGUGAGGCUUGGACCAUAUUUAUAUCCCUUGCCUCUGCCUGUACUUCCUGUACUAUGACCUCGACUCGUACCGCUACGGACCAUAGCUGCGGGGUGUCUCUUCUGUGAUUGCUGAGGCGGCAGAGACGACUGACGGGGCUGAGUUGGACGAGGAGGAGUGGCCUGAAGCUGUGCCGGACUUAGAUGUGGAGUUGCCUGAGGUUGUGCCGGACUUGGAGGAGGAGUGGACGUCUGACGCUGUGUCGGACUUGGAGGAGGAGUGGCCUGACACUUUGCCAGACUUGGAGGAGGAGGAGUGGCCACACGCGUUGGUGGACUUGGAGGAGCGGGAGUAUGCUGACUCGGUGGCGGACUUCGACGAGGAGUCGGGUGACGCGGUGUCGGUGGCCUUCGAAAGAUGAUGCAAUCCUUUCUCCAUAGGAUUAUAUGAUGUUUGGCCUCUCCGAGUGUGUGCUCCUCGUCACCUCCAGGAAUGUCAAGCUCUAGCCCCGAAUAUUGGUCCACCACCUCAUCAACCACGACACGAGCAUAGCCUGCUGGAAUCGGGUUGCAAUGGAAGGUUGCAUCGGGGGAAUUUGUAUAAGCAACGACGUCCGCCACCUUCAUGGAUAUGUUCUUCAUUUUGAAGUGUAGCUCGCAGUUAGUGUUCUCGAUGAUGUCCUCCACGGGGUAUCUAUCCAGCAUUGCAUCAAACGGGGCGGAACCCACGCUGCUUCUCGGGAUGGAUGGGGCGGUGGUAUCCAAUGCUGGAUCAUCCGCUAGCUGUUGCAGCUGCUGAGACCUCCUUUGCUGGCUAAGUGAGUCGAUCUGCUCCUGCUGCCGCUGGAAUUUGACUGCCAAGUCCGCGUGCUUUGAUUCUAGGCCAUGAAGGCGUUCAUAGUCCAUCUUCCUCUUCUCCUCCUCCAUCUUCUUCUGCUUCUCCUCCGCAAUCUUCCUUCUCGCACGGGUUCUGUAGUCGGCGUUCCAGUACGAAAACCUCUCAUACCACGGAAUAGCGCCCUUGCCUCGUGUUCUUCCCGGGUGUUCAGGAUUUCCCAGGGCAUGCGUAAGCUCGUUGUUCUCUCUGUUGGGCUGGAACACCCCCGUUCGAGCCUCUUCUAUUGCAACAAGUAUCUUAUCGUCGGCUCCGUUCAGACAUGCCUUCAUCGAAACUUUGCCUGUCUUCGGGUCCAACUCCCCCCCGUGCGCAUAGAACCAAGUCCUGCACCUGGGGGGCCAGCUCUUAGUAACCGGAGUGACACCUGCAUCCUCCAUCUCUUUCUCAGACUUAUCCCACUUAGGCAUUGCCACCGCGUAGCCACCUGGCCCCAGCUUAUGGAACUUAUCCUUUUUUCGGCAUUCUUCUUGUUUAUUCUCGACCGUUCCUUAGCUAAUUCUUAAAUCCUUGAAUUUCACGGAAUCGUCCCAAUGAGCACUUUGAUUCUCUAGUCUUCCCUUGAAUACUGGAGUCUUCCUGCCAUCCUUGAUAUACUUGUCCCAUACACGAUUCUUGUGGUUGUUGAAUGCAACCACCAUCUUUCUAAGAGUGGCGUCCUUGACUUUCUCCACAUCUGCAUCUGUGAAAUGAUCUGGUAGGGUGAAAUGUUCCAUGAGAGUAUCCCAAAGCAGACUUUUUUGUCUGUUGUCGACAAAAGUAACAUUUGGAUGUGGCUUUGCUGGCUCUCUCCAUUCUUGAAGGGAGAUCGGGAGUUGGUCCUUCACAAGAACUCCGCACUGACGAACGGACUUGUCCGCAAUCUUCUUAGGCGCUAAUGGUUCGCCAUUAGGUCUGAUUGCCUCGAUAGUGUACUUUACGCCCUCCUUCAACUUUUGGUUCGGGCCUCGUUUCAUCCUGUUUCCUGAAGAUUUGCUCGAUCCGGAUGGCUGAAAGAAGAAAGAUCGAUUCGUUAAUAUAUAUAUCUUCAACUCAUUUAAAACAUGUGAUGAUCACCAGAUGCCUGCUUAUAUAAAUAUAUAUACCUCACCUGUCUUUGUUGUUUCAAGAUCAACAUUUUCUUCGUCAUCAUCAUAAUCGUAGUUCAUGACUUCAUCAAUUCGGUGGUCGCGAUCGAAUAUCAUAUCACCCUCUCCGGUGUUGUUUACAAAUUCGGAGCCGUCAUAAUCUUCUUCAUUCUGAUCAUCAUCUGGCCUGCGAGGAUGGCAUAUCAUAUCGAACAGGGUCUGUUCUCCCUCUCUGCUGGUUUGUCCGCCAUAGCUUUUAUUUAACUAAUCCAAAAUAAAUAUAAAACAAUUUAGUAUUCAAAUUACAUCGUCUCGAAUAAUAGAUAUAAUCUCGAAUACAUCGUCUUGAAUAAUAGAUAUAAUCUCGAAUACUUCAUCUCGAAUAAUAGAUAUAAUAUCGAAUACAUCACUGGCUAGGUAGCUAAUAAAGAUCGAAUACUACAGAAGAAUCUAGGACAGGAUCAUAGCUGAAGUGAGAUCCCUGAAGAAACUGCCAGGUAUUGGAGAACCUGGCGCCCUCUAACGCAACCAUGUAGCGAUGGACGUGCUCGUCCUCCUCCCUGACACGGCGACGUACCACCUCCGGCGGGGCCGGCUCCCUCCGCACCGAAACUGGCCCAUGCGAACGCCACCAAACGAGAUCAGGGUCGACGACGGGACCCGGGGCCGGGUUCCUCAUCAAGCGGCAUGCCCCUCCAUGCAGCACCUCCCAGUGCCAGCCCGGCGGAGCCCAGUCCCGGACAUGGGUCAGCCGGACGUCGUCGCGGACGUGUCGACAGCGAGGAUGCGGGCCGGGCAUCAUCGAGAACAAAUACUAGCUAUAUGCCCGCAAAAAGUAACAUUUUUUUAAUGAUUGGAUUUUGAUAACUAAAAUUUCUAGCAUUUCUAUAUAACUAACAUUUCUAUAACAUUUCUAACAAUGCUAUAUAUAACUAACAUUUCUAUAACAUUUCUAAUAUUUCUAUAACUAAAAAACGGAAGAAAAAAAAUUAUAAUAUUUCUAUAUAUAUAACUAACAUUUGUAUAACAUUUCUAAUAUUUCUAGAACUAAAAAAAAGAAAAAAUUCUAACUNNNNNNNNNNNNNNNNNNNNNNNNNNNNNNNNNNNNNNNNNNNNNNNNNNNNNNNNNNNNNNNNNNNNNNNNNNNNNNNNNNNNNNNNNNNNNNNNNNNNNNNNNNNNNNNNNNNNNNNNNNNNNNNNNNNNNNNNNNNNNNNNNNNNNNNNNNNNNNNNNNNNNNNNNNNNNNNNNNNNNNNNNNNNNNNNNNNNNNNNNNNNNNNNNNNNNNNNNNNNNNNNNNNNNNNNNNNNNNNNNNNNNNNNNNNNNNNNNNNNNNNNNNNNNNNNNNNNNNNNNNNNNNNNNNNNNNNNNNNNNNNNNNNNNNNNNNNNNNNNNNNNNNNNNNNNNNNNNNNNNNNNNNNNNNNNNNNNNNNNNNNNNNNNNNNNNNNNNNNNNNNNNNNNNNNNNNNNNNNNNNNNNNNNNNNNNNNNNNNNNNNNNNNNNNNNNNNNNNNNNNNNNNNNNNNNNNNNNNNNNNNNNNNNNNNNNNNNGGGGACGUCCAGGCCGGGCGGCGACGACGACGGGGACGUACGGGGCGGCGACGCCGGGGAUGGGGACGACGCGGGACGGGCCGGGACGGGGCGGCAGUGACGACGGGGACGACGGGGAUGGGGAUGACGGGGAGGCGACGAAGGGGAUGGGGCGGCGACGGGGGUGGCAACGAGGGAUGGAGACGUACGGGGGCGGCGGGCGACGGUGCAGAGGAGAAGAACCAGAUGAGAAACUGAAAUUUUGGUAAGUGUUGUUUAUAUAGGAGGGGCCUUUAGUGCCGGUUGGAGCCACCUCGCUAGCCGAGGCGUGACCGCACUGGUUUAUAAACCCCCGUGCGGUAGCUCUCUCGAGCUCCUCUCCAAAGCAGGCCUACUGGGCCAACAUGUUCUGUGCUGCCCUGUGGGCCUACUGGGCCUUUCGGGCCUGCAUCCUGGCCCAACAACAGGUUGGGUUUCUAGUCGUAUGCAGGCCGCUCUGGCCUAGUAGGCGGGCUUUUUUUAUUUUUUUGCUUUAUUUAUUUUUGAGUUGUUUUUUUUGUAUUUAGAGUUUCUUUGUGAAUAUUUUUUGCUUUAGGUACAAAAAAAUUACAAACUUUCUGUUAGUGCCCGUAGUUUUCAAAUUUGAAUACUUUAAAUUUUGAAUUAUUUGAAAUUAGUGUGAAUCACUAGUUUGUGAAUAACUUAACUUUAAAAAUCAGUAAAGGCAUGAAAGAAUUUGUUUGCACAUAAAAUUUCUUCACGUUUCAAAUGCCAAAACACAUAACUACCCUAACUAUUACAGAGAUUCCCUUCUGGGUGUGAAACACAGAAGAAAGUGAUGAUAGUAAAGCCGAUCACAUCCCAGAUCUUUGGGUGUGAAACUUUUUCUUCGCGUGUAUCCCUUUGCGCCGUAACCAUGGAAAAUCUUCAUCAUUUAACGGGAUGCUCGGGUCAAUAUUCACUGUGAAUGGAGCAAUUUCAUCAAACUUUUCAUAAUCUUCUGACUUGUCUGUCUUGUCAUCCACUCCCACGAUGUUUCUCUUCCCAGAAAGAACUAUGUGCCGCUUUGGCUCAUCGUACGAUGCAUUCGCUUCCUUAUCUUUUCUUUUUCUUGGCUUGGUAGACAUGUCCUUCACAUAGAAAACCUGUGCCACAUCAUUGGCUAGGACGAAUGGUUCGUCUGCAUACGCAAGAUUGUUGAUAUCCGCUGUUGUCAUUCCGUACUGCGGGUCUUCCGUUACCCCGCCUCGUGUCAUAUUCACCCAUUUGCACCGAAACAAAGGGACCUUCAAACCACAUCGAUAGUCAAGUUCCCAUAUGUCCUGUAUAUAACCAUAAUAUGUUUCCUUUCCCGUCUUGGUUUCUACAUCAAAGCGGACACCACUGUUUUGGUUGGUGCUCUUCUUAUCUUGGACGAUUGUGUAAAAUGUAUUACCAUUUAUCUCGUACCCUUUGAAAGUCAUUAUAUUCGAAAAUGGUAACUGGGACAGCAAGUACAGGUCAUCUUCAAUAGAGGUGUCAUGCAUGGUACGUGUCUGCAACCAGCUGGCGAAACUCCUGGUUUGUUCACGUGUAAUCCAGUCAUCAGACCACUCCGGGUGUUUGGAGCGUAGCAAAUUCUUGUGUUCAUCAAUAUACGGAGCCACCAAGGCGGAAUUCUGUAGAACUGUGUAGUGUGCUUCAGUGAGAGAAUGUCCGUCCAUACAUAUUAUUUGUUCCCCUCCUAGCGUGCCUUCUCCAUCCAGUCUGCCCUUAUGCCGCGAUUCAGGAACACCAAUCGGCUUAAGGUCAGGAAUAAAGUCAAUACAAAACUCAAUGACCUCCUCAUUUUGAUGGCCCUAGGAGAUGCUUCCUUCUGGCCUAGCACGGUUAUGAACAUAUUUCUUUAAGACUCCCAUGAACCUCUCAAAGGGGAACAUAUUGUGUAGAAAUACUGGACCCAAAACGUUAAUAUCUUCGCAUAGGUGAACUAGGACGUGCGUCAUGAUGUUGAAGAAGGAUGGUGGGAACACCAACUCGAAACUGACAAGACAUUGCACCAAAUCAUUCUCUAACCUUGGUAUGAUUUCUGGAUUGAUUACCUUCUAAGAGAUUGCAUUGAGAAAUGCACAUAGCUUCACAAUGGCUAAUCGAAUGUUUUCUGGUAGAAGCCCCCUCAAUGCAACCGGAAGUAGUUGCGUCAUAAUCACGUGGCAGUCAUGAGACUUUAGGUUCUAGAACUUUUUCUCUGCCAUGUUUAUUAUUCCCUUUAUAUUCGACGAGAAGCCAAACGGUACCUUAAUACCGAGCAGGCAUUCAAAGAAGAUUUCCUUCUCUUCUUUGGUAAGAGCGUAGCUUGCAUGACCCUGAUGUAUGUCGUAUUUUCCGUGCAUACAUUGCUGGUCCUCCCGUGCCUCAGGUGUAUCUUUUGUCUUCCCAUACACGCCCAAGAAGCCAAGCAGGGUCACACAAAGAUUCUUCGUCACGUGCAUCACGUCGAUUGCGGAGCGGACCUCUAGGUCUUUCCAAUAGGGCAGGUCCCAAAAUAUAGAUUUCUUCUUCCACAUGGGUGUGCGUCCGUCAGCGUCAUUCAGAACAGGUUGUCCACCAGGACCCUUUCCAAAGACCACCUUCAAAUCCUUGACCAUAUCAUGUACAUCAGCACCAGUACAGUGGCGAGGCUUCGUCCGGUGAUCUGCCUCACCUUUGAAAUGCUUGCCUUUCUUUCUUAUGGGAUGCCUGCUCGGAAGAAAUCGACGAUGUCCCAGGUACACAUUCUUCUUACAAUUAGCCAAAUAUAUAUUGUCGGUAUAGUCCAAACAGUGCGUGCAUGCACGGUAUCCCUUGUUUGUCUGUCCUGAAAGGUUACUGAGAGUAGGCCAAUCAUUGAUGGUCACGAACAGCAACGCCUUUAGGUCAAAUUCUUCCCCCAUGUGCUCAUCCGACGCACGUACACCUGUUCCAUUCCACAGUUGUAUGAGUUCUUCAACUAAUGGCCUUAGGUACACAUCAAUGUCGUUGCCGGGUUGCUUAGGGCCUUGGAUGAGCACUGGCAUCAUAAUGAACUUCCGCUUCAUGCACAACCAAGGAGGAAGGUUAUACAAACAUAGAGUCACAGGCCAGGUGCUAUGGUUGCUGCUCUGCUCCCCAAAAGGAUUAAUGCCAUCUGCGCUUAGACCAAACCAUACGAUCCUUGCGUCAUCUCCAAACUCCUUCCCGUACUUUCUUUCGAUUUUUCUCCACUGCGACCCGUGAGCGGGUACUCUCAACUUUCCGUCUUUCUUACGGUCUUCUCUGUGCCAUCGCAUCGCCUAGGCAUGCUCUUUGUUUUGGAACAAACAUUUCAACUGUGGUAUUAUAGGAGCAUACCACAUCACCUUGGCAGGAAUCUUCUUCCUGGGGCGCUCGCCCUCGACAUCACCAGGGUCAUCGCGGCUGAUCUUAUAGCGCAAUGCACCACAUACCGGGCAAGCGUUCAAAUCCUCGUACUCACCGCGGUAGAGGAUGCAAUCAUUAGGGCAUGCAUGUAUCUUCUUCACCUCUAACCCUAGAGGGCAGACAAACUUCUUUGCUUCGUACGUACUCUCGGGCAAUUUGUUGUCCUUUGGAAGCAUAUCCUUUAUCAUUACCAGCAACUUUCCAAAUCCCUUGUCAGAUACACCAUUCUCUGCCUUCCAUUGCAGCAAUUCCAGUGUGGUGCCCAGCUUUUUCUUGUCACCUACGCAAUUCGGGUACAACAAUUUUUUGUGAUCCUCUAACAUGCGCUGCAACUUCUUCUUCUCCAAAUCACUUGCGCAGUUUCUCUUUGCAUCGGCAAUGGCCCGACCUAGAUCAUCAACGGGCUCAUCUGAUGCCUCUUCUUCAGCUUCUUCCCGCAUUGCCGGCUCAGCUUCUUUCCGCAUUACCGGCUCAUCUUCAUCCCCCAUUAUUGUAUCAUCAUAUUCAGGGAACCCAUGGCCAAGAUAGCUGUCAUCAUCCUCUUCUUCUUCAUUUUCUUCCAUCAUAACCCCUCUUUCUCCAUGCUUGGUCCAAACAUUAUAGUGGGGCAUGAAACCGGAUCAAACAGGUGGACGUGAAUGGUUCUUGACGUAGAGUAAUUGUGACCAUUCUUACAGCCAGCACAUGGACAAGGCAUAAAACCAUCCGCCGGCUUGUUUGCCUCAGCUGCAAGCAGAAAAGUAUGCACGCCCUCAACGAACUAGGGAGAGCAUCGGUCAUCGUACAUCCAUUGUCAGCUCAUCUUCAUUACACAACGCCGAAUAGACCAAAUUAAUACAAGUUCAUACAUAAAGUUCAUACAACACUUAAAUGCAAAAAACAAAUAACUCUCUAGCUAAAGCAUUUAAAUGCAACAACAAAUGCGAUCAAGAUCGCAACUAAGGUAACAAUUGAUCCAACAGCAUAAUGAUACCAAGCCUCACUAUCGAUGGCAUAUUUUCUAAUCUUUCUAAUCUUCAAGCGCAUUUUCUCCAUCUUGAUCUUGUGAUCAUCGACGACAUCGGCAACAUGCAACUCCAAUUCCAUCUUCUCCCCCUCAAUUCUUUUCAAUUUUUCUUUCAGGUGCUUGUUUUCUCUUUCAACUAAAUUUAACCUCUCAACAAUAGGGUCGGUUGGAAUUUUCGGUUCACAUACCUCCUAGAGAAAAUAUCUAUGUCACCUUGAUGGGCAUAAUUUUUCAUAAACACGAAAUGUUAAAAUAGAAUAUAUAUACCACAUUCGAAUCAUAACAAGGACGAGGGCCGACGGGGACGGAUAUCAAAACCAUGGCACUAUAUGUAUAACAAACAACAUACGGGUAAGAUAAUUAUACGAGUAACUAUAUAUCCAAAUCACACAAACAUCAAUUUUUAUAUAAAAUUUCAUGAACAAGAGGCUCACCACAAGGUGGUGCCGGCGACGGGACGGUGCGGGCGAUCGACAGUGGUUACGACGGAUAUUUAGAAGGCACUAAGUAAACCACACCUACAUAUGCAAACUAAGUGUUAUUUUUGACCUCAGAUUGCAUAUAAAUCAAAUACUAGCACAUAUAUAUAUUUCCUCCCAAAUUACUAAACUCACAAAUUAAUCACUAUAUAAAGCAUUGCAAGAGCUAAUCUAGCAAUGAGAGAUGAAAGGACAAAUUGCUAACCUUUGUGAUCAUUUGAAUGGAUGGGGCCUUCAAAUCUCGACAAAUUUUGGGCAAAAUGUGUGAUGAGCUCGAGAGGAAGAGGGGAACAACAGAGAGGAGAGGGGAAAGGGGAAGAACAGAGCGAGCUCGGGUGGACGAAGGGUUUAUGUAGGACGACCUUUAGUACCGGUUCGUGCCAAGAACCGGUACAAAAGGGGCUGGAGGGGCCCCAGUCUGACAACAUCCUACCACCACUCUCAUUAGUACCGGUUCAUGGCACGAACCGGUGCUAAAGGUUCACCACGAGCCGGUACUAAUGAAAGCGGCUCGGCUAGCCGUUGGGACCGGCACUAAUGUAUACAUUAGUGCCGGUUCAAAUUCAAACCGGCACUAAUGUGCUUCACGUUUGACCCUUUUUCUACUAGUGUAAAGGGGUUGUCAAUCCCUUCACGGCCACUAGCAAAAGUGAGAUCUGAUAGAGAUGAUAAUAUUUUUUGGUAUUUUUAUGAUAAAGAUUGAAAGUAAAGAUUGCAAAGUAAAAAUAGAUUGGAAACUUAUAUGAUGGAAAAUAGACCCGGGGGCCAUAGGCUUCACUAGUGGCUUCUCUCAAGAUAGCAUAAGUAUUAUGGUGGGUGAACAAAUUAUGGUCGAGCAAUUGAUAGAGAAGUGCAUAAUUAUGAGAAUAUCUAGGCAUGAUCAUGUAUAUAGGCAUCACGUCCGUGACAAGUAGACCGACUCCUGCCUGCAUAUACUACUAUUACUCCACACAUCGACCGCUAUCCAACAUGCAUCUAGAGUAUUAAGUUCAUAAGAAUAGAGUAACUCAUUAGGCAAGAUGACAUGUUGUAGAGGGAUAAACUCAAGCAAUAUGAUGUAAACCCCAUCUUUUUAUCCUCGAUGGCAACAAUACAAUAUGUGGCAUUUCCCUUUCUGUCACUGGGAUCGAGCAACGCAAGAUUGAACCCAAAGCUAAGCACUUCUCCCAUUGCAAGAAAGAUCAAUCUAGUAGGCCAAACUAAACUGAUAAUUCGAAGAGACUUGCAAAGAUAACCAAUCAUACAUAAAAGAACUCACAGAAGAUUCAAAUAUUGUUCAUAGAUAAUCUUGAUCAUAAACCCACAAUUCAUUGGAUCUCAACAAACACACCGCAAAAAGAGUUACAUCGAAUAGAUAUCCAAGCAGAUCGAGGAGAACUUUGUAUUGAGAUCCAAAGAGAGAGAAGAAGCCAUCUAGCUAAUAACUAUGGACCCAAAGGUCUGUGGUAAACUACUCACACAUCAUCGGAGGGGCUAUGGUGUUGAUGUAGAAGCCCUCCAUGAUCGAUUCCCCCUCCGGCUGAGCGCCGGAAAAGGCCCCAAGAUGGGAUCUCACAGGUACAGAAGGUUGCGGCGGUGGAAAUAGGGUUUCGUGGCGCUCCUAGUUGGUUUUGGGGUACAUGGGUAUAUAUAGGAGGAAGAAGUAGGUCAGUGGAGCCACAAGGGGCCCACGAGGGUGGGGGCCGCGCCCAGGGGGGCAGGCGUGCCUCCCUGCCUUGUGGCCUCCUCGUUGAUUUCUUGACGUCCACUCCAAGUCCUUUGGAUCACAUUUGUUCCAAAAAUCAUGCUCCCGAAGGUUUCAUUAUGUUUGGACUCCUUUUCUGGGAAACACCGAAAUAGGCAAAAAAAUAGCAAUUCGCACUGGGCCUUGGGGUAAUAGGUUAGUCCCAGAAAUAAUAUAAAAGUGUACAGUAAAGCCCAUUAAACAUCCAAAACUGAUAAUAUAAUAGCAUGGAACAAUAAAAAAUUAUAGAUACGUUUGAGACGUAUCAAGCAUCCCCAUGCUUAAUUCCUGCUCGUCCUUGAGUAGGUAAAUGAUAAAAACAUAAUUUUUGAUGUGGAAUGCUACCUAGCAUAUUCCUCAAUGUAAUUUUAUUUAUUGUGGCAUGAAUGUUCAGAUCCAAAAGAUUCAAGAUAAAAGUUUAAUAUUGACAUAAAAAUAAUAGUACUUCAAGCAUACUAACCGAGCAAUUAUGUCUUCUCAAAAUAACAUAGCCAAAUAAAGCUCAUCCCUACAAAAUAAUAUAUCUUGGCCAUGCUUCAUUUUCGUCAGACAAGAUGCUCUCAUCUUGCACAACCCCGAUGACAAGCCAAGCAAUUGUUUCAUACUUUAGUAAUCUCAAACUUUUUUUCAACUUUCACGCAAUACAUGAGCGUGAGCCAUGGAUAUAACACUAUGGAUGGAAUAGAAUAUGAUGAUGGGGGUUGUGUGGAGAAGACAAAAAAGGAGAAAGUCUCACAUUGACGCGGCUAAUCAAUGGGCUAGGGAGAUGCCCAUCAAUUGAUGUCAAUGCAAGGAGUAGGGAUUGCCAUGCAACAGAUGCACUAGAGCUAUAAAUGUAUGAAAGCUCAACAAAAGAAACUAAGUGCGUGUGCAUCCAACUUGCUUGCUCACGAAGACCUAGGGCAUUUGAGGAAGCCCAUUGUUGGAAUAUACAAGCCAAGUUCUAUAAUGAAAAAUUCCCACUAGUAUAUGAAAGUGAAAAAACAAGAAACUCUCAAUCAUAAAGAUCAUGGUGCUACUUUGAAGCACAAGCGUGGACAAAGGAUAGUAGCAUUGUCCCUUUUUAUUCCCCUUUUUGUUCUUUUCUUUUUUUUCUUUUUUUGGGCCUUUUGUUUUAUCUGGCCUUUAUCUUUUUUUAUUUGGGACAAUGCUCUAUUAAUGAUGAUCAUCACAAUUCUAUCUAUUUACAACUCAAUGAUUACAACUCGAUACUAGAACAAAAUAUGACUCUAUAAGAAUGCCUUCGGCGGUGUACCGGGAUGGGCAAUGAAUCAAGAGUGACAUGUAUGAAAUAAUAUGCAUGGUGGCUUUGCCACAAAUACGAUGUCAACUACAUGAUCAUGCAAGGCAAUAUGACAAUGAUGAAGUGUGUCAUAAUAAACGGAACGGUGGAAAGUUGCAUGGCAAUAUAUCUCGGAAUGGCUACGGAAAUUCCAUAAUAGGUAGGUAUGGUGGCUAUUUUGAGGAAGAUAUAAGGAGGUUUAUGUGUGAUAGAUCGUAUCGUAUCACGGGGUUGGAUGCACCGACGAAGUUUGCACCAACUCUCAAGGUGAGAAAACGCAACGCACGGUACCGAAGAGGCUAGCAAUGAUGGAAGGUUGAGAGUACGUAUAAUCCAUGGACUCAACAUUAGUCAUAAAGAACUCAUAUACUUAUUGCAAAAAUCUACAAGUCAUCAAAAACCAAGCACUACGUGCAUGCUCCUAGGGGGAUAGAUUGGUAGGAAAAGACCAUCAUUCGUCCCCGACCACCACUCCUAAGGAUGACAAUCAAAGAACACCUCAUGUUUCAAAUUUGUUACACAAUGUUUACCAUACGUGCAUGCUACGGGACUUGCAAAUUUCAACACAAGUAUUUCUCAAAUUCACAACUACUCAAUUAGCAAAACUUUAAUAUCACUAUCUCCAUAUCUCAAAACAAUCAUCAAGUAUCAAACUUCUCCUAGUAUUCAAUGCACUUAUAUGGAAGUUUUUAUUAUAACCAUCUUGGAUGCCUAUCAUAUUAGGACUAAUUUUAUAGCCAAAGCAAAUUACCAUGCUGUUCUGAAGGACUCUCAAAAUAAUUUAAGUGAAGCAUGAGAGAUCAAUAAUUUCUAUAAAAUAAAACCACCACCGUGCUCUAAAAGAUAUAAGUGAAGCACAAGAUCAAAAUUAUCUAACUCAAAAGAUAUAAGUGAAGCACAUAGAGUAUUCUAAUAAAUUCCGAUUAAUGUGUGUAUCUCCCACAAGGUCUGUACAGCAAGGAUGAUUGUGUUGAACUAAAAAUCAAAGACUCAAAUCGUACAAGACGUUCCAAGCAAAACACAUAUCAUGUGGUGAAUAAAAAUAUAACUCCAAGUAAAGUUACCGAUGGAUGAAGACAAAAGAGGGGAUGCAUUCCGGGACAUCCCCAAGCUUAGGAUUUUUGGUUGUCCUUGGAUUUUACCUUGGGGUGCCUUGGGCAUCCCCAAGCUAAGGUUCUUGCCACUCCUUGUUCCAUAAUCCAUCAAAUCUUUACCCAAAACUUGAAAACUUCACAACACAAAACUUAACAGAAAAUCUCGUGAGCUCCGUUAGCGAAAGAAAACAAAACAUCACUUCAAGGUACUGUAAUGAACUCAUUCUUUAUAUAUAUUCGUAUUAAACCUACAGUAUUCCAACUUCUCUAUGGUUCAUAACCUCCGAUACUAGCCAUAGAUUCAUCAAAAUAAGCAAACAACACACGAAAAACAGAAUCUGUCAAAAACAGAACAGUCUGUAGUAAUCUAUAUCAAACUCAUACUUCUGGAACUCCAAAAAUUCUAAAAUAAAUUGAUGGACGUGUAAAAUUUAUAUUAAUCAUCUGCAAAAAGAAUCAACUAAAUAUCACUCUCCAGUAAAACGUUGUAGCUAAUCUCGUGAGCACUAAAGUUUCUGUUUUUUAUAGCAAGAUGAAAAAAGACUUCACCCAAGUCUUCCCAAAGGUUCUACUUGGCACAAACACUAACUAAACAUAAAGCCACAUAUAAACAGAAGCUAGAUGGAUUAUUUAUUACUAAAUAGAACCAAAAAGCAAGAAACUAAAAUAAAAUUGGGUUGCCUCCCAACAAGCGCUAUCGUUUAACGCCCCUAGCUAGGCAUAAAGGCAAGGAUAGAUCUAGGUAUUAUCAUCUCUGGCUUUUAAUUUUUUAGCGGAAUCAUGCUCGAAUCCGGGAGGUUCUUUAGAUUUCCCUUCAUAUUCGGAAAUUUUUAGAUCUAAAGAAUCCAACCGCUUAUUGCAAAGGGUAAUAAACAUAUUCAUGCGGUGAAGAUGUCCGCUAACACUCUUCGGAGGUUCAAGAGACUUUUGUAAAAUCUUAGUUACUUCACAAAUCUUUUCAAAAACUUUUGUCUCUUCCUGGGUUUGUUGUGGCCCCUUUUGUUGAGGUAGUGUUCCCACUACCCCCUCUAUGAUUUCAUGCACAAUACUGGGAGCAAUUUCAAUAAAAUUUGCUUUGGCAACACAAUCCAAGAGUUGUCUAUGGGACAUAUUUAGUCCAACGUAAAAAUUGCGAAGCAAAAUUCUAAAACUCACCUCUAAGGUGCAAUUACGAUAAGAUUCCAUCAUCCUAUACCAAGCAUGUUUCAAAUUUUCUCCUUGUCUUUGUUUGAAGUGAAGAAUUUCAAACUUGGGAGACAAGGGAGCAGAUAAGAGACUGGCCAUGACGGCACACGGGACACAAGAGGCAUGCGAAAAAGAGGCGAACGGAAAGAGAGGGCGAAUAAAACGGCAAUGGUGAAGUGGGUGCCGGGGGAAUAAUCCACGAGCACCUAUGGGACCGGCGGACCGAGUCCCUUUCGGUUCGGUGGGGGCGAGGGUCGCACGAAGAGCGGAUCGAGGCGAAGGUUCGGGCCGCACGGAUGCGUAAAACCCUACUCCUGCUUUGUGGUUUGUAUUGAGUUCUUGCUCGGGAGCGCGGAGUUCUACAGUACACCCCAGCAGCUAACGAGACCGAGCGUGAGUGUUCUCUUCCCCCUUCUAUGUUGCGCAUGGGCCUCCUUUUAUAUGCUCAAGGGGUCACCGACAGGUGGCAACGUAGACAAGGGUAAAAAUGGAAAGGUGUUGCGGUUGGUACAGCUACCUGCUACAAUGUAUCAUACCUAACCCUGACGGUAGGGGACAAGGGCAUUAAAUGCCCGUCUGCGUCGCCUAAAUAGUGCAAAAGGGACCGUCAGGGACGCCACCGCUCGCCACGAUGGCAAUCUUGUUAGUGCUGCUUGCCACCGCGCACCCUGGCUGCACAGCCUCCCGCCACGUACGCCUGGAAGGGUCCCAGAGCGACACGUUGGUGGAUGUGCUGGAGCGCGGGCAGAGAGUGGUGGCUUGCCGCAGCAAGCGCCUUGCCGUGGUUGUUGUCUUGUCACGUCCGGGAGCUUGUCGCCCACCGGGCCUUGCCGGGACGCGUGGCGCGUCGCGGCAAGUUCCUUGAGAUGCCUUGGUUGGCCUUCCCGGCAAGCUCCUCUUGCCGGGGUCUUGUCUCCUUACGCGCCUUGCCUUAGUUGGCCUUCCCGGCAAGCUCCUCUUGCCGGGGUCUUGUCUCCUUGGCUUGGAUACUUUGUCCUUGAAUGGCUCCAAAGGAACCACGGAGGACCUUGGCGGUCACCCAGCAAGCCUUGCCGCGGGAUGCUGCGACUGCCCGUGCACAAGUUCGGGAUACUAGGGUACCCCUACUCUAGUACACCGACAGGAGCCCCCGGGCCUGGGCCAUACACGGUGCCGAGCGCUAUUGGGCCAGGCCCAAAAAAGGGCACGGGCACGCGCGGCCUGGGUUACACCGUAUCUCUCCCCGUAUCCACCGCACCCUCCCCGAAUGGCACGCGUUGAAUGCGGCAUCAUGGGAGAGAUCGUGGGUGGUUUAUUUAUUUGGAAAGGCGGAACGUCCGCCCCCUCCCUCUUUAUAAGCAUGGGAAAUAGGGGUAGUUCGCCCAUUCGCCGGUUGCUACUCCAAUCUCGGAAACCUCCGGUGCUCCCUCUUCUUCCCAAAGCUGAAAGAGAGCAGCGCCCCGCCCCCCAUCGCCACCAGCACCACCAAUGCCGCCGACCUCCUCCACCACUUCCGCCAUGGCUCCGAGAGCCGACAAUGGGAAGGUUGUGAAGUCGACCGAGGCGCAGCGGCUUGCGGCGCUGCGAAAGGAGCGGGCAAUCCCCCCCCCCCCCAAGCUCGCCGCGAGGGAGUUGAGGGAGAAUUACUACCUCUUCUGGUCGACGGAGACGCGAGCGCAUCCGCGCACGAAGGUACUUCCAGCCGCCGCUUGGAAAAUGGCUCCAAAUGGAUAUCCUUUCUUCGCCUUGUUCUUCUACUGCAGGCUCUGCCCGCCUUUCUCUGAGUUUUUCUGCGAUAUUAUGAACACCUACGGGUUCCGCCUCCUUGACUUCACCCCCAAUGCUGUUCUGACCAUGGCAGUUUUCGCACAUCUCUGCAAAAACUUUGUCGGAGUCUAUCCCAAUGUAGCCCUUUUUCGCCACUUCUUUAUGCCCUGAGUAGAGAGAGGAGAGGCUUUAUCCGGCGGAAUCGCCUGGAUCUCGAGGGCCGGCAAGAAGGACACUUAUCUGGAGGGAGAGUUCCGCGGCAAGUGGGAGGAAUGGAGAGCAGACUGGUGCUGGAUUGUCGAGGAAAACCCGCAGCCGUUUACCGCCCGGCGCCAAGCCCCAGUAGCACGCGGCAGCGAUUGGAGUGACGUGGCCUUGGAAGAUGAUAGGCUAAAGAUUGCCGUCACCCGGAUCCAACGCCUCAGGCUUGCCAGGCUAACUGUAGGCGCUAUUGGCGCAGAUUUUCUUCGCCGCCGCAUCGCCCCCCUGCAGGAACGGGAGAGACCCGCCUGGGAAUUCAAGAAUGCGGCGGAUAUCAUGAGCCUGCGUCCGGGCCUCAACUUCAACUUCACUGUUCUGGAGCUUAAUGCGAUGCUCCAGGAGUUGUUCAAGUACGACCCUCAACAUCCCGAAGUGUACAGGUUGCCGAGGGAUGUCGUUCCGCUGUGCAACAACUCCGUGCUCGACCGCAUCCGUGCAAUGAUGCCGCUGUGCGAUUCGCAUGGAAUUGUCCCAACUUGGCAAGAGCCUGCAGACGACGUCGUGCAGGAGUUCUUUGACGGCUUGGUAGAAGUGCCGGUCUGCUCCGACGAAAAGAAUAGCCUCACCCACGACACCACCGAUGCGGAGAUGACACGCAUCGCCACUAGGCUGGAAGAGGCGGCGGCAGCCGCAGCCGCGGGCGAAUUUGGAUUCACCGUGGAGGAGGCAGAGGCAGCAGAGGUGGCAAGCUGUGCCGAGCGAGAGGAGCUUGUCGGCGAGAAAGAACUUGCCGGGCAUGGCGUCGAGUCGAGCGAGCCCGCCGAGGAUAUGAGCGGCUCGCUGGAGAUCAACUCCUCUUCCUCCUCAUCUUCAGGCAGCUUGCCGCAAGCAGAACCUCCAUCCCUACCAAGAAGGCGUCUCCGCAAGGCCGGGGACGUAGCGGGGCGGCGGGCGAGUCAACAGUCGCCGCGCCGCGCGACACGCUCCACCGCGGCAAGCACUGUUGCCGCGGGAGCACCUCACACUGCUGCGGCAACUGGAGCGGGGUGCACCCGGACCACCGCUUCUGCUCCUGCCGCUUCUCACGCCGCGGCGGCAGCCGGAGCGGGGUCGUCUCAGACCACCGCCACUGUUCCCGCCAAGCGGCCAAGGGAAACUACUCGUCCGCCUCCUCGCGCCGGACAUGAGCCGGACUUUGACUUCUCCGCGUUCAGCUCCAACGAGGAAGAAGAAGAGUAAGAUUCUCUUGUUGUACUUGUAGUUCUUCAAUUCUUGCUGUUUUGUCUUGUAUCUCAUUUGCUUUACUCUGAACUUAUUCCUUUUCAGGACUCUGGCCCAGAGAGCAGCGAAGAGAGCCAAGGUCCCAGUGAUUGUCAACGAGGACGAGCCCACCGCGACAGCAGGGGGUGCGUCCGAGUCAACCUUGCCGGACCCGGCAACUGUUCUCCAGAGCAGCCCCCAGCGUAAGUAUAUGGUUCGCUUUCCGCUGUUGGGCGCGCAUGGAUACUCUUUCUUUGCUGACAUCUGACUGUUGGUUUGUGUAGGAGUAGAGCAGCCCCACCAGGAGCGCCCGGAGGCCGCUCCCGAAAUGCCAAGGGAGAGUCCUCCGGCAAGGGAUAGCACCAGCGUCCCCCCGGCGGCGGAGACUACGACUGCCGAACCUAGUACAGGUAAUCUUCUCUUCAAAGCUUCCCUUGGGUUCUUCUUCUUGUUGGGUAUUUGCUUGACUUUUCUCACUUUUCCGGCCAUCAGACCCAUCUGCUGCGGAGCCGAUGGAGACCGAGGUUGCUGCCGACGACGCCACUGCCACUGAAGAAGCAGCCGGCGCUGAUGAUCCCGCCGGCGACGAGGCCGCCAAAGCUGCCGCCGCAGCAGCUGGCGAGGGGUCUGGCGAUCGCACUGACGGCCCUGAGGCCGUAGGAGCGCCAGGUGCUACGUCGACCGCUGACCCGUCCGCCGCUGCCGCUGCGCCAGGCUCCGAAGAGCCCCAGCCAGGCGUCUACUUGAAGGCCGGCAAUGGCGUCUUCAUCAACCUCCCCUGGGCGUCAAUCUCCAGGGCGCCAGUCGAGGGAGAGAGCUUUGAUGGAGAGGUGCUCGCCUCCGCUGGGCUGACACUAGUUGAUGCGCCGAGCAGCAGCAGCGGCGAGCCCGAGGAGGAGAGGCUGCUGCGGAAGUUGUUGUCGCUCUACCGCGCGCGGCAAGCCAAGCUGGAAUCCCGCGAGGCGCUUGUCGCGAAGGCGGGAGCGGACAUCGAGAAGCGCGCGAAGGAGCUCCGGGGUCUCAACCAGGAAGCUCUUCGGUCCCUGGCAGAGGAGCGGGAGCAACUCGCCGAAGAGCAGAAGGCCUUCUUCCUCGAGAAGGCCGAAGUUGAAGAGCAACGGCGGCUUGCCGCUGAGAAGCUGUCUGUGCAGGAGGGCGAGCUGGUGCAGCGGAAGGUCAACCUUGACGCCCACGAGGAGGAGCUUGCCGCGCGCGAGCGAACAUUCGGCGGAGCCCUCAAGCAAGCGGAGGAUGCUGCCGCAGCUGCCGAGGCCGCCAAGAAGGAGCUGGAGAUGAAGGUGGCGCAGCUGGAGGCCGAUCUCAAGGCAAGCGGUGAGGAGCUUAGCGCCGCCAAGGACUCCAACGCAGAUCUUGAGUUGAAGCUGACCACUUUGACCAAGACGCUAGACGACGCCAGGGAGCAGGAGGUGGCCUUGAAGGAGGAGAUCAAGGCCGACAAGGCGCUGCUGGCAAGUGCUGCCGCCGCCCAGAAUGCUUUUAGGGAGAAUGUGGAGCACUGGACGGAGGGUCUCGUGAAAGCUGCCGCAGAUAUCGACAGGGAGCUGGCGCAGUUGGGGAUGGAGGAUCCCGGGUAUCCCUCUGAUGAGAACCUCCAACCCAGCGCCAAGCUCACCUUGUUCUUCAAAGGCGUGGCGACGGCCCUCCAGCGGCUCUGGGAGAAGAUCCCAAAGCGGCUGGCCAACGAGUCGCGCAAGAUCUGCGCGGGAGCUCUUCAAAAGGUGUUGGUGAAGGUGGCCUUCCGCAACCUGGGCCUCCACCUCACCAACGUCCUCAAGACCCUACCGCCGGAUGUUGAUCUGGAGGCGCUCAAGACCCUUGUCACACCCAUUGUGGACAAGGUGAGCGGGAUCAAGAGGAUUGAGGGCGAUCGCGUAGACUAGGCCGCCCGUUUUCUUCUUUUCUUGUCGCUGCUGGUCAUGUUAUGAGAACAAUCUGUUAGAGCCGCGACAAGCUACCUUGUAAUAUAACUCUAUUCCGGGUAAUGAUUGCAAUGUUAUUCCCUUUACUUGAUUCCUCCCUUUGUAUGUUUUUGCCCUACGCUUUUAGGGAACUUGCCGGUGCAGGCACCUUAGCCGCGAGCGCUGAGUGCGGAACGUCAGCAGCCUACUGGCGGUGCCGCUACCGACAAGAAACCUUGUCGCAACUAGUCGCAACUCACUUAAGUUGUUGAGCGGACUCGAAACAAAGUAAGGGCGCAACUAGCUACGAGUUGGUUCCUCCGCGCACAGGUUUUCCAUACAAAGUGCGGUCGUUCAAGGGAGAUAACUUAAAAUUUAAAAAAACUGAUUGCUCAAACUUUGGCAACUUAGCUUUUCUAUUGUUUGCUUCCCGGUAAGGCGAAACUUUCUUGAACGACGCCUGGUCCAUACCAUUAUCUUCUCCUUCCCCCCCGGCAAACUUGUGGGUGAGGGAACCUUCCUUUCCUUGAGAAAAAAGAAAGAGGAGAAAAAUAAAGAUAUGGAGCCUUACGGCUCGUUAUUGCUUACCGUGGAGUAGGUGCUGCACAAACUGUCAGAUUACAUAUGCAAAAAAUAGAAAGCAUGAAAUUGACAAGAUGUGCGGAGCAUAUGAGCUUUACUUAUGCACGGGGUCUGCGCCCGGCUUUGUACAAAGGAUUACAUGCAACAGCGGCAAGACUUGGACAAAAGGUGGUUGCCAGAACAGGUUCCGGCAACCGCGCCUUACGGGUAAAACUUACGAAGAUGCUCAAUGUUCCAGGAAUUGCUCACCGGAAUGCUAUCUUCGGUCUCAUGGCGGACAGCGCCAGGCCUAGUGACUCGUUUCACCCGGUAAGGGCCUUCUCACUUCGGCGUCAACUUGUUGGAAUUCUUGGCGGACUAAACACGCCGAAGAACAAGGUCGCCUUCCUCGAGACUUUUGGCGUUAACUUUGCGGCUAUGGUAGCGGCGCAAAGCUUGCUGGUAGUGAGCAGCUCGUACAGCAGCCUGAAGACAGUCUUCCUCAAGGAGUAGCGCGUCAUCUUGUCGCAGCUGCUCUUGCUCAAGCUCAUCAUAAGCGAGCACUCGAGGUGACCCGUAUACGAGUUCCAUGGGGAGAACUGCCUCUGCUCCAUAGACUAGAGCGAAAGGUGUCUGGCCAGUGGCUCGAUUUGGCGUCGUCCUGAUCGACCAAAGAACCACCGGCAGCUCCUCGAUCCAGUUUCUUCCGCACUUGUGCAGCCUGUCGAAAGUUCUGGUCUUGAGCCCACGCAGCACUUCAGCAUUUGCCCUCUCCGCUUGACCGUUGCUUCUCGGGUGAGAAACAGAAGCAAAGCAGACCUUGGCGCCAAGAUCUUGGACGUACUGCAUGAAGGUGCGGCUCGUGAAUUAUGUACCGUUGUCGGUGAUUAUCCUGUUAGGGAUCCCGAAGCGGCAAACAUUCGACCUGAAGAACUUGACUGCUGACUGUGCUGUCACCUUCCUCACUGCUUCCACUUCUGGCCACUUUGUGAACUUGUCGAUUGCAACGUACAAGUACUCAAAGCCCCCGACUUCUCGGGGAAAGGGGCCGAGGAUGUCGAGCACCCAGACCGAAAAUGGCCAGGAUAAAGGGAUCGUUUGGAGAGCUUGAGCUGGUUGGUGUAUCUGCCUGGAAUGGAACUGGCACGCUUCACACUUGGUUACUUGUGCAGUUGCAUCCUGGAGGGCUGUCGGCCAAAAGAAACCUUGCCAGAAUGCUUUGCCGGCAAGUGCUCUUGCACCAAUGUGGUGACCACAUAUGCCUCCAUGUAUCUCUGCCAACAGCUUUUGUCCGUCUUCCCGGUGAAUACACUUCAAUUUCACACCGUUGAGUCUUCUUCUGUACAGUGUGUUGUCGACAAACUGGUACAUACUUGACUGUCGGGAUACUCUUUCCGCUUCUUCUUGUUCUUCGGGAAGUUCUCCUGUCUGAAGGAAACGGACAAUCUGCUGUGCCCAUGGUGGAGCUUGUGGCUCGACAACAAGGACUAAAGGCAAAUCUGCUGCUGCGGGAACAUCCGCUUCUACGGCGAGAACCUGCAGCUCUGCUGGAGCUUGAUGUUCCCCGGCAAGCUUGCCAGAGCAAAACUUGUCGGGAGCUUCUGCUUCAACGGAACAAACCCUAGGGCUUGGAGGAGCAGACUGCUCCUCAGCGCUCUUGGCGUUGAUCUUGGGGACCUUCUUGGCGGCGGCUUCGGGAAGCUCUGCCGGAAAAUAGUCACCAGAAAUCAACUUCAUCUUCUUGCUUUGUCCAGUUGAUGGCGUUACAGACGGUUGAGUCAGCUUGAGCACAAAGAUCCCUGGUUCCACAGGUAACUUAAGUGCGGCGCACUUUGAUAGGCCAUCGGCAAUGGCGUUCUGAGCUCUUGGAACAUGCUCCAUCUGUAGGCCGUCAAAGUGCUCUUCUAGCUUUCUCACUUCGUCGACGUAGGCUUCCAUCAACGGACUCUGAUAGCUCUUGUUCACUUGGCGGAUGACAAGCUGUGAGUCACCCCUGACAAUGAGCUUCUUGAUCCCAAGGUCUGCCGCGAUCCUGAUACCGGCAAGCAAGCCUUCAUACUCUGCAGUAUUGUUUGUUGCUUGCUCCUUGGGAAAGCGCAUCUGGACUACGUACUUGAGGUGCUCUCUGGUGGGUGCGACAAGCAGCACGCCAGCACCGGCGCCUUGCAGCGAAAAGGCACCAUCAAAGUACAUUAGCCACUCUUUGCUUGCUUCCUCGAUGGGGAUGCUUGUUUCUGGAAUUUCUUCAUCUGGUGUUGGCGUCCAUUCUACUAUGAAUUUUGCCAAUGCUCUGCUUUGGAUAGUUGAAGUAGUCUCAAACUUGAGGCCAAAGCUUGACAGUUCCAGUGCCCACUCAACAAUCCUGCCUGUCACUUCUGGAUUCUGUAGUAUCCUCUUCAGCGGAAAAUGAGUGACAACUGUGAUCUCAUGUGCUUGGAAGUAAUGGCGCAGCUUUCUCGAGGCCAUGAGAAGGCCGAAAAGCAAUUUCUGCAUGCCAGAGUACCUUGACCUAGCCCCCUGCAGAAGGGAACUGACAAAGUAAACUGGGCGCUGUACCAUUCUCUUCUGUAUCUCCUCACGCGUCUGCGCAGAUCCAUCCUUGUCGGGACCAGAGCUUGUCGGGGAAGCCCCCUGCUUGUCGCUGGAUGCGCCUGCCAUGGUUGCUGGCUCGUCAUCUGCCUCCCUCUCUGCUACUAAUGCAGCACUAACCACUUGAUUGGUUGCCGCUAUAUACAGCAACAACUUCUCUUGUGGCUUAGGUGCGACAAGUGUUGGAGUGGAGGACAGGUAUCUCUUCAAGUCUUGCAGCGCAGCCUCCGCUUCCGGAGUCCAUUUCAUUGGACCUGCCUUUUUCAAUAUUUUGAAAAACGGCAGGGCGCGCUCAGCAGACCUAGAGAUAAACCUGCUGAGAGCAGCCACGCAACCGGCAAGUCUUUGUACAUCCUUGACGCGCUUUGGUGCUUCAAUCUUCUCAAUGGCCUUGAUCUUGUCGGGAUUGGCUUCGAUUCCCCGCUGAGACACGAAGAACCCGAGAAGCUUGCCGGAGGGGACUCCAAACAUACAUUUCUCGGGGUUGAGCUUGAGGCUGAUCUUGCGUAGAUUUGCAAAGGUCUCGUCUAAAUAUUGAAUCAGAGUUGCCUUGUCCUUGCUCUUGACCACUAUGUCAUCCAUGUAGGCUUCCACAUUUCUGUGUAUUUGUGGCUCAAGAGCGACAUGGACUACCCUUACAAAUGUUGAACCAGCAUUUUUUAAACCGAAAGGCAUCCGUAUGAAAUAGUACAUGCCACAUGGAGUGAUGAAUGCGGUCUUCUCCUCAUCCUCUUCUGCCAUGAAGAUCUGAUGGUAUCCUGAGUAUGCGUCAAGAAAUGAAAGCAAGUCACAUCCGGCCGUGGAGUCAACAAUCUGGUCAAUGCGCGGCAAAGGAAAUGGGUCUUUGGGACAAGCUUUGUUAACAUCGGUAAAGUCGAUACAAAGUCUCCAUUUCCCUUUCGCCUUGCGCACGACUACAGGAUUGGCCAACCACGUAGGAUGGAGCACUCCUCUGACAAGGCCUGCUGCUUCCAACUUCUUGAUCUCUUCUGCGAUGAAUUCUUGGCGCUCCACUGCUUGCUUCCUGACCUUCUGCUUGACGGGCCGCGCAUGAGGACAAACGGCAAGAUGGUGCUCAAUUACUUUCCUGGGUACACCGGGGAUGUUAGACGGUUGCCACGCAAACACGUCGACGUUCUCCCCAGGAAAGCAAUGAGCGCGCUUUCCUAUUUAGGGUCGAGAGUGGCGCUGAUGGUGAUCUCCAGCGAACCUUCACCAUCAGCGCCACUCUCGACCCUAAAUAGGAAAGCGCGCCAAAGAUGCCGGGGGACUAAUCCACGAGCACCUAUGGGACUGGCGGACCGAGUCCCUUUCGGUUCGGCGGGGGCGAGGGUCGCACGAAGAGCGGAUCGAGGCGAAGCACACGAGCAGUUUACCCAGGUUCGGGCCGCACAGAUGCGUAAAACCCUACUCCUGCUUUGUGGUUUGUAUUGAGUUCUUGCUCGGGAGCGCGGAGUGCUACAGUACACCCCAGCAGCUAACGAGACCGAGCGUGAGUGUUUUCUUCCCCCCUUCUACGUUGCGCAUGGGCCUCCUUUUAUAUGCUCAAGGGGUCACCGACAGGUGGCAACGUAGACAAGGGUAAAAAUGGAAAGGUGCUGCGGUUGGUACAGCUACCUGCUACAGUGUAUCAUACCUAACCCUGACGGCAGGGGACAAGGGCAUUAAAUGCCCGUCUGCGUCGCCUAAAUAGUGCAAAAGGGACCGUCAGGGACGCCACCACUCGCCACGAUGGCAAUCUUGUCAGUGCCGCUUGCCACCGCGCACCCCUGGCUGCACAGCCUCCCACCACGUACGCCUGGAAGGGUCCCAGAGUGACACGUUGGUGGAUGUACUGGAGCGUGGGCACAGAGUGGUGGCUUGCCGCGGCAAGCGCCUUGCCGCGGUCGCGGUUCGGUGGGGGCGAGGGUCGCACGAAGAGCGGAUCGAGGUGAAGCACACAAGCAGUUUACCCAGGUUCGGGCCGCACGGAUGCAUAAAACCCUAUUCCUGCUUUGUGGUUUGUAUUGAGUUCUUGCUCGGGAGCGCGGAGUGCUACAGUACACACAAGCAGCUAAUGAGAUCGAGCGUGAGUGUUCUCUUCCCGCCCCCUUCUAUGUUGCGCAUGGGCCUCCUUUUAUAUGCUCAAGGGGUCACCGACAGGUGGCAAUGUAGACAAGGGUAAAAAUGGAAAGGUGCUGCGGUUGGUACAGCUACCUGCUAUAGUGUAUCAUACCUAACCCUGACGGCAGGGGACAAGGGCAUUAAAUGCCCGUCUGCGUCGCCUAAAUAGUGCAAAAGGGACCGUCAGGGACGCCACCGCUCGCCACGAUGGCAAUCUUGUCAGUGCCGCUUGCCACCGCGCACCCUUGGCUGCACAGCCUCCCGCCACGUACGCCUGGAAGGGUCCCAGAGCGACACGUUGGUGGAUGUGCUGGAGCGCGGGCACAGAGUGGUGGCUUGCCGCGGCAAGCGCCUUGCCGCGAUCGUUGUCUUGUCACGUCCGGGAGCUUGUCGCCCACCGGGCCUUGCCGGGACGCAUGGCGCGUCGCGGCAAGUUCCUUGAGAUGCCUUGGUUGGCCUUCCCGGCAAGCUCCUCUUGCCGGGGUCUUGUCUCCUUAGGCGCCUUGCCUUGGUUGGCCUUCCCGGCAAGCUCCUCUUGCCGGGGUCUUGUCUCCUUGGCUUGGAUACUUUGUCCUUGAAUGGCUCCGAAGGAACCACGGAGGACCUUGGCGGUCACCCGGCAAGCCUUGCCGCAGGAUGCUACGACUGCCCGUGCACAAGUUCGAGAUACUAGGGUACCCCUACUCUAGUACACCGACAGGAGCCCCCGGGCCUGGGCCAUACACGGUGCCGAGCGCUAUUGGGCCAGGCCCAAAACAGGGCACGGGCACGCACGGCCUGGGUUACGCCGUAUCUCUCCCCGUAUCCACCGCGCCCUCCCCGAACGGUACGCGUUGAAUGCGGCGUCGUGGGAGAGAUCGUGGGUGGUUUCUUUAUUCGGAAAGGCGGAACGUCUGCCCCCUCCCUCUUUAUAAGCAUGGGAAAAAGGGGUAGUUCGCCCAUUCGCCAGUUGCUACUCCAAUCUCGGAAACCUCCGCUGCUCCCUCGUCUUCCCAAAGCUGAAAGAGAGCAGCGCCCCGCCCCCCAUCGCCACUAGCACCACCAACGCCAUCGACCUCCUCCACCACUUCCGCCAUGGCUCUGAGAGCUGACAAAGGGAAGGUUGUGAAGUCGACCGAGGCGCAGUAGCUUGCGACGCUGCGAAAGGAGCGGGCAAUCUCCACCCCCCCCCCCCAAGCUCGCCGCGAGGGAGCUGAGGGAGAAUUACUACCUCUUCUGGUCGACGGAGACGCGAGCGCAUCCGCGCACGAAGGUACUUCCAGCCGCCGCUUGGAAAAUGGCUCCAAAUGGAUAUGCUUUCUUCGCCUUGUUCUUCUACUGCGGGCUCUGCCCGCCUUUCUCUGAGUUUUUCUGCGAUAUUAUGAACACCUACGGGUUCCGCCUCCUUGACUUCACCCCCAAUGCUGUUCUGACCAUGGCAGUUUUCGCACAUCUCUGCAAAAACUUUGUCGGAGUCUAUCCCAAUGUAGCCCUUUUUUGCCACUUCUUUAUGCCCCGAGUAGAGAGAGGAGAGGCUUUAUCCGGCAGAAUCGCCUGGAUCUCGAUGGCCGGCAAGAAGGACACUUAUCUGGAGGGAGAGUUCCGUAGCAAGUGGGAGGAAUGGAGAGCAGACUAGUGCUGGAUUGACGAGGAGAACCCGCAGCCGUUUACCGCCCGGCGCCAAGCCCCAGUAGCACGCGGCAGCGAUUGGAGUGACGUGGCCCCGGAAGACAAUAGGCUGAAGAUUGCCGUCACCCGGAUCCAAUGCCUCAGGCAUGCCGGGCUCACUGUAGGCGCUGUUGGCGCAGAUUUUCUCCGCCGCCGCAUCGCCCCCCUGCAGGAACGGAGGAGACCCGCCUGGGAAUUCAAGAAUGCGGCGGAUAUCAUGAGGCUGCGUCCGGGCCUCAACUUCAACUUCACUGUUCUGGAGCUUAAUGCGAUGCUCCAGGAGCUGUUCAAGUACGACCCUCAACAUCCCGAAGCGUUCAGUUUGCCGAAGGUUGUCGUUCCGCUGUGCAACAACUCCGCGCUCGACUGCAUCCAUGCAAUGAUGCCGCUGUGCGAUUCGCAUGGAAUUGUCCCAACUUGGCAAGAGCCUGCAGACGACGUCGUGCAGGAGUUCUUUGACGGCUUGGUAGAAGUGCCGGUCCAUUCCGAUGAAAAGGAUAGCCUCACCCGCGACACCACCGAUGCGGAGAUGACACGCAUCGCCACUAGGCUGGAAGAGGUGGAGGCAGAGCUAUGCGAAAACUGCCAUGGUCAGAACAGCAUUGUGGGUGAAGUCAAGGAGGCGGAACCCGUAGGUGUUCAUAAUAUCGCAGAAAAACUCAGAGAAAGGCGGGCAGAGCCCGCAGUAGAAGAACAAGGCAAAGAAAGGAUAUCCAUUUGGAGCCAUUUUCCAAGCGGCGGCUGGAAGUACCUUCGUGCACGGAUGCGCUCGCGUCUCCGUCGACCAGAAGAGGUAGUAAUUCUCCCUCAGCUCCCUCGUGGCGAGCUUGGGGGGGGGGGGAGAUUGCCCGCUCCUUUCGCAGCACCGCAAGCCGCUGCGCCUCGGUCGACUUCACAACCUUCCCUUUGUCGGCUCUCGGAGCCAUGGAGGAAGUGGUGGAGGAGGUCGACGGUGUUGGUGGUGCUGGUGGCGAUGGGGGGCGGGGCGCUGCUCUCUUUCAGCUUUGGGAAGACGGGGGAGCGGCGGAGAUUUCCGAGAUUGGAGUAGCAACCGGCGAAUGGGCGAACUACCCCUAUUUCCCAUGAUUAUAAAGAGGAAGGGGGCGGACGUUCCGCCUUUCCGAAUAAAGAAACCACCCACGAUCUCUCCCACGAUGCCGCAUUCAACGCGUGCCGUUCGGGGAGGGCGCGGUGGAUACGGGGAGAGAUACGGCGUAACCUAGGCCACGCGUGCCCGUGCCCGGUUUUGGGCCUGGCCCAACAGCGCUCGGCACCGUGUAUGGCCCAGGCCCGGGGGCUCCUGUCGGUGUACUAGAGUAGGGGUACCCUAGUAUCCCAAACUUGUGCACGGGCAGUCGCAGCAUCCCGCGGCAAGGCUUGCCGGGUGACCACCAAGGUCCUUCGUGCUUCCUUUGGAGCCAUUCAAGGACAAAGUAUCCAAGCCAAGGAGACAAGACCCCGGCAAGAGGAGCUUGCCGGGAAGGCCAACCAAGGCAAGGCGCUUAAGGAGACAAGACCCCAGCAAGAGGAGCUUGCCGGGAAGGCCAACCAAGGCAUCUCAUGGAACUUGCCGCGACGCGCCACGCGUCCAGGCAAGGCCCGGUGGGCGACAAGCUCCCGGACGCGACAAGACAACGACCGCGGCAAGGCGCUUGCCGCGGCAAGCCACCACUCUGUGCCCGCGCUCCAGCACAUCCACCAACGUGUCGCUCUGGGACCCUUCCAGGCAUACGUGGCGGGAGGAUGUGCAGCCAGGGAUGCGCGGUGGCAAGCGGCACUAACAAGAUUGCCAUCAUGGUGAGCGGUGGCGUCCCUGACGGUCCCUUUUGCACUAUUUAGGCGACGCAGACGGGCAUUUAAUGCCCUUGUCCCCUGCCGUCAGGGUUAGGUAUGAUACACUGUAGCAGGUAGCUGUACCAACCGCAACACCUUUCCAUUUUUACCCUUGUCUACGUUGCCACCUGUCGGUGACCCCUUGAGCAUAUAAAAGGAGGCCCAUGCGCAACGUAGAGGAGGGGGGGGGAAGAGAACACUCACGCUCGGUCUCGUUAGCUGCUGGGGUGUACUGUAGCACUCCGCACUCCCGAGCAAGAACUCAAUACAAACCACAAAGCAGGAGUAGGGUUUUACGCAUCCGUGCGGCCCGAACCUGGGUAAACUACUCGUGUGCUUCGCCUCGAUCCGCUCUUCGUGCGACCCUCGCCCCCGCCGAACCGAAAGGGACUCGGUCCGCCUAGCACCUAUGGGACCGGCGGACCGAGUCCCUUUCGGUUCGGCGGGGGCGAGGGUCGCACGAAGAGCGGAUCGAGGCGCAGCACACGAGCAGUUUACCCAGGUUCGGGCCGCAUGGAUGCGUAAAACCCUACUCCUGCUUUGUGGUUCGUAUUGAGUUCUUGCUCGGGAGCGCGGAGUGCUACAGUACACCCCAGCAGCUAACGAGACCAAGCGUGAGUGUUCUCUUACUCCCCUUCUAUGUUGUGCAUGGGCCUCCUUUUAUAUGCUCAAGGGGUCACCGACAGGUGGCAACGUAGACAAGGGUAAAAAUGGAAAGUUGCUGCGGUUGGUACAACUACCUGCUACAGUGUAUCAUACCUAACCCUGACGGCAGGGAACAAGGGCAUUAAAUGCCCGUCUGCGUCACCUAAAUAGUGCAAAAGGGUCCGUCAGGGACGCCACUGCUCGCCAUGAUGGCAAUCUUGUUAGUGCCGCUUGCCACCGCGCACCCCUGGCUGCACAGCCUCCCGCCACGUACGCCUGGAAGGGUCCCAGAGUGACACGUUGGUGGAUGUGCUGGAGCGCGGGCACAGAGUGGUGGCUUGCCGCGGCAAGCGCCUUGCCGCGGUCGUUGUCUUGUCGCAUCCGGGAGCUUGUCGCCCACCGGGCCUUGCCGGGACACGUGGCGCGUCGCGGCAAGUUCCUUGAGAUGCCUUGGUUGGCCUUGCCGGCAAGCUCCUCUUGCCGGGGUCUUGUCUCCUUAAGCACCUUGCUUUGGUUGGCCUUCCCGGCAAGCUCCUCUUGCCGGGGUCUUGUCUCCUUGGCUUGGAUACUUUGUCCUUGAAUGGCUCCAAAGGAACCACGGAGGACCUUGGCGGUCACCCGGCAAGCCUUGCCGCGGGAUGCUGCGACUGCCCGUGCACAAGUUCGGGAUACUAGGGUACCCCUACUCUAGUACACCGACAGGAGCCCCCGGGCCUGGGCUAUACAGGGAAGCAAACAACAGAAAAUAAUGGUAUAGACCAGGCGUCGUUCAAGAAAGUUUCACCUUACCGGGUAGUAAACAACAGAAAAGCUAAGUUGCCAAAGUUUGAGCAAUCAGAUUUUUUAAAUUUUAAGUUAUCUCCCUUGAACGACCGCACUUUGUAUGGAAAACCUAUGCGCGGAGGAACCAACUCGUAGCUAGUUGCGCCCUUACUUUGUUUUGAGUCCACUCAACAACUUAAGUGAGCUGCGACUAGUUGCGACAAGGUUUCUUGUCGGUAGCGGCACCGCCAGCAGGCUGCUGACGUUCCGCACUCAGCGCUCGCGGCUAAGGUGCCUGCACCGGCAAGUUCCCUAAAAGCGUAGGGCAAAAACAUACAAAGGGAGGAAUCAAGUAAAGGGAAUAACAUUGCAAUCAUUACCCGCAAUAGAGUUAUAUUACAAGGUAGCUUGUCGCGGCUCUAACAGAUUGUUCUCAUAACAUGACCAGCAGCGACAAGAAAAGAAGAAAACGGGCGGCCUAGUCUAUGCGAUCGCCCUCAAUCCUCUUGAUCCCGCUCACCUUGUCCACAAUGGGUGCGACAAGGGUCUUGAGCGCCUCCAGAUCAGCAUCCGGCGGCAGGGUCUUGAGGACGUUGGUGAGGUUGAGGCCCGGGUUGCGGAAGGCCACCUUCACCAACACCUUUUGAAGAGCUCCCGCGCAGAUCUUGUGCGACUCGUCGGCCAGCCGCUUUGGGAUCUUCUCCCGGAGCCGCUGGAGGGCCGUCGCCACGCCUUUGAAGAACAAGGUGAGCUUGGCGCUGGGUUGGAGGUUCUCAUCAGAGGGAUACCCGGGAUCCUCCACCCCCAACUGCGCCAGCUCCCUGUCGAUAUCUGCGGCAGCUUUCACGAGACCCUCCGUCCAGUGCUCCACAUUCUCCCUAAAAGCAUUCUGGGCGGCGGCAGCACUCGCCAGCAGCGCCUUGUCGGCCUUGAUCUCCUCCUUCAAGGCCACCUCCUGCUCCCUGGCGCCGUCCAGCGUCUUGGUCAAAGUGGUCAGCUUCAACUCAAGAUCUGCGUUGGAGUCCUUGGCGGCCCUAAGCUCCUCACCGCUUGCCUUGAGAUCGGCCUCCAGCUGCGCCACCUUCAUCUCCAGCUCCUUCUUGGGUCCUCUCCUUGUCGCGUCGCUCGUAUUCAGCCUUCUGCUGCUGGACGAGCUGCUCGUCCUUCUUGCAGCUCUGGAGGUCAUGGCCCUUGGUGCGGUGGAUCUUGCAGUACUGCUGGUCGGUGCCGUCCUGCUUGUCGGCGACCGCCACAGCCUGGCAGUUGGUGCAUGCGGCAAUCUCCUUGCCGGAGCUACCAGCUUUGGCUUUCUUGGCGCCACCUUCGUUGCUGGACUGCUCAAUGACUAGCACAUCUUUGCCUUUCUUCUUCCUGUUGUUCCGCCACCGGUUUUUCUUUGCCGGGGCAGCAUCCUCGCUGUCAGAUCCUCCUGCUCCUGUAUUCUCUCCGGGGAGUUUCCUCCCUUCCUCAGCACGUGCACACUUGUCGGCCAGGGCAUACAGCUCAUUGACGUCUAUGAUUUUGCACAUCGCCAUCUCCUCCCGCAUCCUGCGGUUACGCAUGUUCUGAUGGAACGCGCUGAUGACCGCGGCAGGGUGGACAUCUGGGAUGUUGUGUUGUACAUGGCUGAAUCUCUGAAUGUACUUGCGCAGGGGCUCUCCUUCCUUCUGGGCGAGCAGAUGAAGGUCACUCUCUUGGCCAUGAGGUUUGUGGCCGCCUGUAAAGGCGCCGACAAACUGAUGGCAUAGGUCUGCCCAGGAGGAUAUGGAGUUGUUCGGCAAGUGCAUGAGCCAGGACCUGACAUUGGGCUUGAGCACCAGCGGGAAGUAGUUGGCAAGGAUCUUGUCGUCCCGCCCCCCGGUAGCCUGCACUGCGAUGGUGUAGAUGCUGAGGAACUCCGACGGAUGCGACUUGCCGUCGUACUUCUCUGGUACGUCUGGCUUGAAAUUCUUCGUGCUGGGCCACUGGACUUGCCGCAGCUCAUGGGUAAACGCAGGGAAACCUACUGCGUACGGCAAGUCGCCUGGUUCCCCUGGCGCAUGCAUGUCGACAGAGGGCCCAGUGCGCUGGUCCGAUUGACGUCGCGCUUCUCUUUGGCGCUCGAUGCGAGUACGACCAUCUUCUUGCUGUCGUUCGUGAAGAACUUGGCGCUGAUCGCGAUGAGCUCGUGGAUCUGAUGACGCGGUGGAGUCGCUGUCGAGGUGGAUCCGGCGAGUCGGCGAUCUUGGCCUUCGGGCGGAGAGUGCACAGUGGUUGCACCCCCACCAGUCUUGUCGCCACCUGCUCGUGCCUGGCUGACUUGCCGCGGCUGCAACAUGCUCGGCUGCCGUUGAGUGUCGCGGUUGGCGAAGCCGAUGAGACUCUGAAUGGUGGCCCUCCAGUCGUCGAUCUUGUCUGCCGUUGGAGGGUAGUCCAGGAGCAGUUGAGCUCGCGCCAAAGCUUCUGUUGUAGUGGCGGGUGGCGGUGGCGAACGGUGCUCGGACUUCUAACUAUGUUAGAAGGAGCAGUAUCCCGUCCAGGCGAGCGUGCCUUGCUCGUGCCAACAUGUUGGCGUGCAUGCUGUUCUUGAGCACUCCGAGAUCCACCAGCUCGAUCUUGGUCCAACAAACGCAUGGUACCGUGAGUACCAUGACGCUGCCGGUCCCGCGCCUCCUGAGAUGGGCGCGGUGCAUGUACGGACGCCGAGGUCUUGGAGUGCGCCCGGUCGUUGUGGGAGCCGGCUACGCCGCCGAUGGGCAGCGCAGCCUUGUCCUUGGACCUGGCAGCACCGUGAGCUCCCUCGUCGACGCCCGUUCUUCUGCCGGCGUCUGCCCCAUCAGCCGUUUGCUCCGGCGGUGGUGGGUUCGGCGCGGACGGAGCAGCCGCCUCCGAAGCCUUCUUCGUCAGCGACAUGUCGAUGAAGAUGAUGAAGAUCUAGCUCGUGUGAAUGCCGGAUCUGGUUCACACAACCUCGACCCCCCUACCUGGCGCGCCAAAGAUGACGGGGGACUAAUCCACGAGCACCUAUGGGACCGGCGGACCGAGUCCCUUUCGAUUCGGCGGGUGCGAGGGUCUCACGAAGAGCGGAUCGAGGCGAAGCACACGAGCAGUUUACCCAGGUUCGGGCCGCAUGGAUGCGUAAAACCCUACUUCUGCUUUGUGGUUUGUAUUGAGUUCUUGCUCGGGAGCGCGGAGUGCUACAGUACACCCCAGCAGCUAACGAGACCGAGCGUGAGUGUUCUCUUCCCCCCCUUCUAUGUUGCGCAUGGGCCUCCUUUUAUAUGCUCAAGGGGUCACCGACAGGUGGCAACGUAGACAAGGGUAAAAAUGGAAAGGUAAUGCGGUUGGUACAGCUACCUGCUAUAGUGUAUCAUACCUAACCCUAAUGGAAGGGGACAAGGGCAUUAAAUGCCCGUCUGCAUCGCCUAAAUAGUGCAAAAGGGACCGUCAGGGACGCCACCGCUCGCCACGAUGGCAAUCUUGUCAGUGCCGCUUGCCACCGCACACCCCUGGCUGCACAGCCUCCCGCCAUGUACGCCUGGAAGGGUCCCAGAGCGACACGUUGGUGGAUGUGCUGGAGCGCGGGCACAGAGUGGUGGCUUGCCGCGGCAAGCGCCUUGCCGCGGUCGUUGUCUUGUUGCGUCCGGGAGCUUGUCGCCCAUCGGGCCUUGCCGGGACGCGUGGCGCGUCGCGGCAAGUUCCUUGAGAUGCCUUGGUUGGCCUUCCCGGCAAGCUCCUCUUGCCGGGGUCUUGUCUCCUUAAGCGCCUUGCCUUGGUUGGCCUUCCCGGCAAGCUCCUCUUGCCGGGGUCUUGUCUCCUUGGCUUGGAUACUUUGUCCUUGAAUGGCUCCAAAGGAACCACGGAGGACCUUGGCGGUCACCCGGCAAGCCUUGCCACGGGAUGCUGCGACUGCCCGUGCACAAGUUCGGGAUACUAGGGUACCCCUACUCUAGUACACCGACAUGGGGGAGAGGAAACGAGAGGCAAAUGGAAAAUAAUGUAAUGCGAGGGAUAAGAGUUUAUGAUGGGUACUUGGUAUGUGUUGACUUGUGCGUAGACUCCCCGGCAACGGCGCCAAAAAUCCUUCUUAAUACCUCUUGAGCAUGCGUUGGUUUUUCCCUUGAAGAGGAAAGGGUGAUGUAGCAAAGUAGCGUAAGUAUUUCCCUCAGUUUUUGAGAACCAAGGUAUCAAUCCAGUAGGAGGCCACACGCAACUCCCUCGUACCUACACAAACAAAUAAGAACCUUGCAACCAACACGGUAAAGGGGUUGUCAAUCCCUUCACGACCACUUGCAAAAGUGAGAUCUGAUAGAGAUGAUAAUAUUUUUUGGUAUUUUUAUUAUAAAGAUUGAAGGUAAAGAUUGCAAAGUAAAACUAGAUUGGAAACUUAUAUGAUGGAAAAUAUACCCGGGGGCCAUAGGUUUCACUAGUGGCUUCUCUCAAGAUAGCAUAAGUAUUAUGGUGGAUGAACAAAUUACGGUCGAGCAAUUGAUAGAAAAGUGCAUAAUUAUGAGAAUAUCUAGGCAUGAUCAUGUAUAUAGGCAUCACGUCCGUGACAAGUAGACCGACUCCUCCUUGCAUCUACUACUAUUACUCCACACAUCGACCGCUAUCCAGCAUGCAUCUAGAGUUUUAAGUUCAUAAGAAUAGAGUAACGCAUUAGGCAAGAUGACAUGAUGUAGAGGGAUAAAAUCAAACAAUAUGAUAUAAACCCCAUCUUUUUAUCCUCGAUGGCAACAAUACAAUAUGUGUCGUUUCCCUUUCUGUCACUGGGAUCGAGCAACGCAAGUUUGAACCCAAAGCUAAGCACUUCUCCCAUUGCAAGAAAGAUCAAUCUAGUAGGCCAAACCAAACUGAUAAUUCGAAGAGAGUUGCAAAGGUAACCAAUCAUACAUAAAAGAAUUCAGAGAAGAUUCAAAUAUUGUUCAUAGAUAAUCUUGAUCAUAAACCCACAAUUCAUCGGAUCUCGACAAACACACCGCAAAAGGAGUUAUAUCGAAUAGAUCUCCAAGAAGUCGAGGAGAACUUUGUAUUGAGAUCCAAAGAGAGAGAAGAAGCCAUUUAGCUAAUAACUAUGGACCCGAAGGUCUGUGGUAAACUACUCACACAUCAUCGGAGGGGCUAUGGUGUUGAUGUAGAAUCCCUCCGUGAUCGAUCACCUGCAUCCUCAAGAUAUCACGUUGGAGAUGUUCUACUUCGUCGGGGACGUCACCUCCGCCAAGGAUGCGCUCAAGCUGGCCACCACAUCAUCGGGAUCGAGGUUGACACGGCCACCGUGAGCAAUGAUGAAGCCGCAGGCUGCCUUUGUCUUGACUGAAUCGCAGAGGUCCUGUGCCCAUUCCUUGCUCGGCAUCAGGCUCUCGUUGAGCACUGGUUACGGUGGUUCUUCGGGUGGGUCGUCGAUCAUGCCGCCGAGUAGCUCUGGAUCUUUUGCAUGGUGGAUGGCAAAAUUCUCAUCACACCUCCUCUACAAUAUGUCAAUUGUGCUCCCAAGGACUAUGACGCCGAUAUCGCUGCCGAUGGGCCAUGGUGCCUGCACCGGCUGAUGAAGCUCUUGCUCCCCGACCUGCUCUGACUCGUUCUCCUUGCUGAAGAUGUAAUGCAGGUAGGCGUCGACGUCGAAGCUUUGGUCGUUGCCUGGCAUGCUUGGAAUAACUAAUGGUAGAUGGAUGAGGACUAGAUCUUCGCAGAGUGUCGCUGCGGUGCGUUGCCGCCUGGGUUAUAUGCAGCAAGCCAUUAGCUGGUGGCGGGAAACCGGUGAGGGAAUAGGCAUGGAUUUAACAAUUCACCCAUGUGGAGCGCGGGAAGCAUUCGCUGGAGCGCGGGAAGACUAAGUGGAGCACACACACAACCCGAAUACCGUAGCCGGUGCCACGUGUUAUUUAUCACACAAGUGUUAACGUAAGGAAAUGCAUCUGUAACUUACUAAUCAUCGUAGAUGAGUACUCGCAGAUGCAUCGUGUGCGAUACUCCUAGCCACCGCAAGCAACUAGUUUGCAUUUUUCAAAGUUUUUUGUACACACAGAAUCACACACGAACUAAAUGUAUUAACCGUCUGUGUUGUAUAUUCUCAUCGCAAACAGUUCAUCCGAGUCGGCUAUUUGCCAUGUUAAGUUGAACCAUUUCUGUUGCAUUCACUAAUCAAAAAUAGUUCGUCCGAGUGAACGUAUGCCCUAUAUCACACACACCUUUAUGUGGCUAACUGUUUAUGUUGCACUCUCUAAUAGCAAAAAGUUCAUCGGAGCAAACUGUAUGCCGUAUAUCGCACACACAUUGAUAUGGCUGCCCGUUUCUGUUGUUCUGCCUCAUCGCAAACAGUUCGAACAGGUUAACCGUGUGGCCUGAAUCGCACACGCAACUAAAAUCUGAACCGUGUUUAAUGCAUCCAUCGCAAACGUUUGGCACCUUUUUUGACGGUUUUCAUACACCACCAUUUGUGAUUACUGCAUCACACACAGUUUCUUGAUGGGUCUUUGAUCGUAGUGUCGCGUUAGCAGCAUCCUGCUGUAGUGGCAUCAAUGUUAGGAACAUGUGUAUCAUCACUAUCGAGAUUUAAUAAGUAUAAACCCCUCACAAUGGGUGCAUGACCUUAAAAGAUAUUACCCAUAUAAAUAGAACAACCAUUAUUCUCUGAUUUAAAUGAGUAACCGUCUCGCAUUAAACAAGAUCUAGAUAUAAUGUUCAUGCUCAACGCAGGAACUAAAUAACAAUUAUUCAGGUUCAUCACUAAUCCCGAUGGUAAUCGAAGAGCGAGCGUGCCGGCGGCGAUCACAUCAACCUUGGAACCAUUUCCCACGUGCAUCGUCACUUCAUCCUUUGCCAGCCUCCUUCUAUUCCGCAGUUCCUGCUUUGAGUUGCAUAUGUUAGCAACUAAAUCGGUAUCAAAAACCCAGGCACUACAACGAGAGUUGGUAAGGUACACAUCAAUAAAAUGUAUAUCAUAUAUACUUUUGUUGACGUUGGCUCCCUUCUUGUCGGCUAGAUACUUGGGGCAGUUCUGCUUCCAGUGGACACUUCCCUUGCAAUAGAAGCACUUAGUUUCCGGCUUGGGUCCAGCCUUGGGUUUCUUCAUGGGAGGAGCAACUGCUUUGCCACCCUUCUUGAAGUUUCCCAUCUUUCCCUUGCUCUUCUUGAAACUAGUGGUUUUAUUCACCAUCAACACUUGAUGCUCCUUCUGGAUGUCUGACUCAGCGACUUUCAGCAUCGCAAAUAGCUCGAAGGCUGACUUGUUCAUCCCUUGCAUGUUAUAGUUCAACACAAAGCUCUUGUAGCUAGGUGGUAGAGAUUGAAGAACUCUUUUAGUGACAGCCUCUGGCGGGAGCUGAAUUCCCAACUCAGCCAGACGUUGUAAUACCCAGAUAUUCUGAGUAUGUGCUCACUGACACACCCGUUCUCCUCCAUCUUGCAGGCAUAGAACUUAUCGAAGGUCUCAUACCUCUCGAUCCGGGAAUUCUUCUCAAAGAUAAACUUCAACUCAUGGAACAUCUCAUAUGCUCCAUGACAUUCAAAACGCCUUUGAAGUCCCAGCUCUAAGCCAUACAACAUGGCACACUAAACUAUUGAGUAGUACUCAACACGCGACUGCCAGGCGUUCACAACAUCCACAAUCACUAGAGGGGGUGGCGCACCAAGCGGUGCAUCAAGGACAUAAGACUUAUGGGAAGCCGUGAGGAUAAUCCUCAGAUUAUGGGCCAUGUCCACAAAGUUACUUGCAUCAUCUUUCAGCUUAUCUUUCUCUAGGAACGCAUUGAAAUUCUGGGGAGCUACUGCGCGAGCCAUUUAUCUACAACAUAAGUUUGCAAAGAUAACUUAGACUAUUGUUCAUGAUAAAUGAGUACAAUUAAUCAUAUUACCUAAGAACUCCCACUCAAAUCGACAUCCCUCUUGUUGUCCGAGUGUAACACGAUCCAAAUUCACCAACCCAAGUCCGAUCAUCACGUGAGAUGAGGUGGUUUCAACGGUGAACAUCUCCAUGUUAAUCAUAUCUACUAUAUGACUCGUGUUUGACCUUUCGGUCUCUUGUGUUCCGAGGCCAUGUCUAUACAUGCUAGGCUCAUCAAGUUUAACCCAAGUGUUCUGCAUGUGCAAAACUAGCUUGCGCCUGUUGUAUGCGAACGUAGAGUCUAUCACACCCGAUCAUCACGUGGUGCUUUGAAACGACGAACUUUUGCAACGGUGCACACUUGGGGAGAACACAAUUUUAUCUUGAAAUUUUAGUGAGGGAUCACCUUAUAAUGCUAUCGUCGUCCUAAGAAAAAUAAGAUGCAUAAAAGGAUUAACAUCACAUGCAAAUCAUAAGUGACAUGAUAUGGCCAUCAACUUGUGCUUUGAUCUCUAUCUCCAAAACACAGGCAUGAUCUCCAUCGUCAUCGGCAUGACACCAUGAUCUCCAUCAUCGUGCCUCCAUCGGGGUUGCCACGCCAACCAUGCUUCUACUACUAUUGCUACCGCUUAGCGAUAAAGUAAAGCAUUACAUAGCGCUUAAUGAUUGACAUGCAGGUCAUACAAUAAUUAAAGACAACCAUAUGGCUCCUGCCGGUUGCCGUAUGCAUCGACAUGCAAGUUGAUAUUAACUAUUACAAACAUGAUCAUCUCAAACAUCAAAUAUAUCUCAUCAUGUAUUUGGCCAUAUCAUAUCACAACAUACCCUGCAAAAACAAGUUAGACAUCCUCUAAUUGUUGUUGCAUGUUUUACGUGACUGCUAUGGGUAUCUAGCAAGAAUGAUUCUUACCUAUGCAAAGCCACAAUGGUGAUAUGCAAGUUGCUAUUUAACCUUCUACAAGGACCGCCUUUGUCGAAUCCGAUUCAACUAAGGUGGGAGAGAUAGACACCUGCCAGCCAUCUUUAUGCAACAAAGUCAGCUGUGUGUCGAUGGAGCCGGCCUCAUGUACGUGGACAUGCAAAGUUGGUCCGGGACGCUUCAUCCCACAAUACUGCCGAAUCAAGAAAAGACCAGGAAGGAAGAAAUCUGAAUAUCAACGCCCACAUACUCCUUUGUGUUCUACUCGUGAUGUCAUCUACGCAUAGUCCUAGCUCUGAUACCACUUUUGGGGAACGUUGCAUGGGAAACAAAAAAAUUCCUAUGCUCACCGAGAUCAAUAUAGGAGAUGACCAUCAACGAGAGGAGAGAUUGCAUCUACAUACCCUUGUAGAUCGCUAAGCAGAAGCGUUAAGAAACGAUGUUGAUGUAGUCAAACGUCUUCGCAAUCCAAUCAAUAUUCGUCCCAUGAACUCCCGAUCCAAGUGCCGAACGGACGGCACCUCCACGUUCAACACACGUAUGGCUUGAUGACGCCUUCACCUCCUCGAUCCAGCGAGCGAUGGAGAAGUAGUAGCUCGAGUCCUCCGGCGGCACGACGUCAUGGUGGCGGUGGUGGUGGCGGAAUCUCAGCAGAGCUUCGCUAAGCACUACAAAGAGGAAGAGGGAUGCGAGGGAGAGGAGAUGCAGCGCCGUUGCAUGGAGAUGUGCUCUUUGGGUGUGGCGGCCCUCUCUCUACCUCUCUAUAUAUAAGGGAAGGGAGGAGGGGGUGGCAUCCCUAGGGUUUCCCCUAGGGGGGCGGCGGCCAGGGCAGAUGGGGUCUCCCUAGGGUGACUUGCCCCCAAGCCGAAAGGUGGGAAGCCCUAGGGGAAUGCCCCAACCCUCCUGUUACGUGAGAUGGAGUGAGCGGGCGCUCAGCCCCUUAGUGAGCUGGUUUGCCCCCUCCCCUUGGCCCAUGGGGCCCCCAGCACUUGCUAGGGGCCCUCGAAACCCCUUUCGGUGACGCUGGUCAUCAUUCGGUACCCGCAGAACAAUUCCAGACUACAAUACCCUACGUCUAAUAUAUCGAUCUUCACCUCCGGACCAUUCUGGAGUUCCUCGUCACAUCCGAAAUCUCAUCUAGGACUCCGAACAACCUUUGGUAACCACCAUAAUGACUCAACUAUACUUAUAUUGCCACCAAACGUUAAGUGUGUAGACCCUGCGUGUUCGAGAACUAUGCAGACAUGACCGAGACACCUUGAUAAUCCCCAAGUGUAGGGAAUCACCGUAGCAAUUCCAAAAGGUGGAAGUGAUAAGUAUGGAGUGUCGAACCCACAAGGAGCUAAAGGUAAGAUCAAUAUUCUCUCAAGUCCUAUCUGCCACUGAUAUGACUCUACCUACACCGAACGUUUGCUUCCAACUAGAAACGAGAAAUAAAACUACGUUGUGGGUAUGAAGAGGAUAACUUUGCAUGAUAUCGGAGUGCUAAAACAUAAAAGUAGGUGCUGUUAUCAUAAAGUUAGAAUAUAUUACUAAAUAUUAUAAAUAGCGAGUGUGGAAUAAUGAUGGGUCGGUGUGCGAAAUUAACCUAGGCAAUCAUUAACAAGACCGGUAGUCGUCAUUGCAAUUUCAUAUGAGGGAGAGGCAUAAGCCAACAUACUUUCUCUCCUUGGAUCAUAUGCACUUAUGAUUGGAACUCUAGCAAGCAUCCACAACUACUAAAGAUCAUUAAGGUAAAACCCAACCAUAUCAUUAAAGCAUCAAGUCCCCUUUAUCCCAUACGCCACAACCCCCUUGCUCGGGUUUAUGCUUCUGUCACUCAAGCAACCCACUAUAAGCGAAUCACGAACGUAUUGCAACACCCUACAGCGGGAAUCCCUCACGCUUGCGUGACACGGAGGGCACAAUAGGACAGCACCAAAAUAAAACAUACAACUCGUACCGAUCUAGAUCAUCAAUCAACCCAAAGACAAAGGAUGUCUACUCAAAACAUCAUAGGAUGGCAACACAUCAUUGGAUCAUAAUAUGUGGCAUAAAGCACCAUGUUCAAGUAGGGAUUACAGCGGGUGCGGGAGAGUGGACCGCAUAAAAUAGAUGAGGAUGGUGCUGAUGAUGGUGAUGUUGAUAAAGACAAUCACCGCGGCGAUGGUUCCCCUCCCGACGGCACUCCGGCGCCACUGAGAGAGAGGAGGAGAGUUUCUCCCCCUUGUGCUUCCUCCUCCAUGGCCUCCCCCUAGAUGGGGAGAGGUUCUCCCUCAGGUAAUUGGCCUUCAUGGCGAUGAUGGCCCCUCUGGGAUCCUCCUCCAUGGCCUCCGGUGAUAAUGGCCGCCUCCAGCAGGGUGCCAAAGAGGGCCUAGAAUGAUUUAUUGUGGCUACAGAGUCUUGCAGCGAUGGAACUUCUGAUCUAGGUUAUUUUCUGGGGGUUUGGGCAUUUAUAGGAGAGGUUGGCGUCGAGAACAAGUCAUGGGGCCCCACGGGGAGUCCACGAGGCAUAGGGGCGUGAAGGAAAUAUGCCCUAGAGGCAAUAAUAAAGUUAUUAUUUAUUUCCUUAUAUCAUGAUAAAUGUUUAUUAUUCAUGCUAGAAUUGUAUUAACCGGAAACAUAAUACAUGUGUGAAUACAUAGACAAACAGAGUGUCACUAGUAUGCCUCUACUUGACUAGCUCGUUAAUCAAAGAUGGUUAUGUUUAAUAACUAUGGACAAAGAGUUGUUAUUUGAUUAAUGGGAUCACAUCAUUAGUUGAAUGAUCUGAUUGACAUGACCCAUUCCAUUAGCUUAGCACCCGAUCGUUUAGUAUGUUGCUAUUGCUUUCUUCAUGACUUAUACAUGUUCCUAUGACUAUGAGAUUAUGCAACUCCCGUUUGCCGGAGGAACAUUUUGUGUGCUACCAAACGUCACAACGUAAAUGGGUGAUUAUAAAGGAGCUCUACAGGUGUCUCCAAUGGUAGAUGUUGGGUUGGCGUAUUUCGAGAAUAGGAUUUGUCACUCCGAUUGUCGGAGAGGUAUCUCUGGGCCAUCUCGGUAAUGCACAUCACAUAAGCCUUGCAAGCAUUGCAACUAAUGAGUUAGUUGUGGGAUGAUGUAUUACGGAACGAGUAAAGAGACUUGCCGGUAACGAGAUUGAACUAGGUAUUGGAUAGCGACGAUCGAAUCUUGGGCAAGUAACAUACCGAUGACAAAGGAAACAACGUAUGUUGUUAUGCAGUCUGACCGAUAAAGAUCUUCGUAGAAUAUGUAGGAGCCAAUAUGGGCAUCCAGGUCCCGCUAUUGGUUAUUGACCGGAGAUGUGUCUCGGUCAUGUCUACAUUAUUCUCGAACCGUAGGGUCCGCACGCUUAACGUUACGAUGACAGUUAUUAUGAGUUUAUGCAUUUUGAUGUACCGAAGUUAGUUCGGAGUCCCGGAUGUGAUCACGGACAUGACGAGGAGUCUCGAAAUGGUCGAGACAUAAAGAUUGAUAUAUUGGAAGCCUAUGUUUGGAUAUCGGAAGUAUUCCGGGUGAAAUCGGGAUUUUACCAGAGUACUGAGAGGUUACCGGAACCCCCCGGGAGCCAUAUGGGCCUUAGUGGACUUUAGUGGAAAGGUGAAAGGGGCAGCCCAAGGUGGGCUGUGCGCCUCCCCCCUCCCCUAGUCCUAUUAGGACUAGGAGAGGUGGCCGGGCCCCCUCUCUCUCUUUCCCCCCUUGGGAAUCCUGUUAGGAAUAGGAUUGGGGGGGGAGUCCUACUCCCGGUAGGAGUAGGACUCCUCCUGCGCCCUCCUCCUGGCCGGCCGCCCCCUCCCCCUUGGAUCCUUUAUAUACGAGGGCAGGGGGCACCUCUAGACACACAAGUUGAUCUUUGAGAUCGUUCCUUAGCCGUGUGCGGUGCCCCCUGCCACCAUAUUCCACCUCGAUCAUAUUGUUGUAGUGCUUAGGCGAAGCCCUACGUCGGUAGAACAUCAAGAUUGUCACCACACUGUCGUGCUGACAGAACUCUUCCCCGACGCUUAGCUGGAUCGGAGCGCGGGAAUCGUCAUCGAGCUGUACGUGUGCUAAGAACUCGGAGGUGCCGGAGUAACGGUGCUUGGAUCGGUCAGAUCGGGAAGACGUAUGACUACUUCCUCUAUGUUGUGUGAUCGCUUCCGCAGUUGGUUUGCGUUGGUACGUAGACAACACUCUCCCCUCUCGUUGUUGUGCAUCACCAUGAUCUUGCGUGUGCGUAGGAAAUUUUUUGAAAUGACUACGUUACCCAACAGUGGCAUCCGAGCCUAGGUUUUAUGGUUUGAUGUUGUAUGCACGAGUAGAACACAAGUGAGUUGUGGGCGAUAUAAGUCAUAUUGCCUACCAGCAUGUCAUUCUUUGGUUCGAUGGUAUUGUUGGACGAGACGACCCAGACCAACAUUACGCGUACGCUUACGCGAGACCGGUUCCCCCGACGUGCUUUGCACAUAGGUGGCUUGCGGGCGAUUGUCUCUCCAACUUUAGUUGAACCGAGUGUGGCUACGCCCGGUCCUUGCGAAGGUUAAAACGGAGUCUAUUUGACAAACUAUCGUUGUGGUUUUGAUGCGUAGGUGAGAUUGGUUCUUACUUAAGCCCGUAGCAGCCACGUAAAACUUGCAACAACAAAGUAGAGGACGUCUAACUUGUUUUUGCAGGGCAUGCUGUGAUGUGAUAUGGCUAAGACAUGAUGCUAAAUUUUAUUGUAUGAGAUGAUCAUGUUUUGUAACCGAGUUAUCGGCAACUGGCAGGAGCCAUAUGGUUGUUGCUUUAUCGUAUGCAAUGCAAUCGCGAUGUAAUGCUUUACUUUAUCACUAAGCGGUAGCGAUAGUCGUGGAAGCAUAAGAUUGGCGAGACGACAAUGAUGCAACGAUGGAGAUCAAGGUGUCGCGCCGGUGACGAUGGUGAUCAUGACGGUGCUUCGGAGAUGGAGAUCACAAGCACAAGAUGAUGAUGGCCAUAUCAUAUCACUUAUAUUGAUUGCAUGUGAUGUUUAUCUUUUUAUGCAUCUUAUCUUGCUUUGAUUGACGGUAGCAUUAUAAGAUGAUCUCUCACUAAAUUAUCAAGAAGUGUUCUCCCUGAGUAUGCACCGUUGCCAAAGUUCAUCGUGCCCAGACACCACAUGAUGAUCGGGUGUGAUAAGCUCUAUGUCCAUCUACAACGGGUGCAAGCCAGUUUUGCACACGCAGAAUACUCAGGUUAAACUUGACGAGCCUAGCAUAUGCAGAUAUGGCCUCGGAACACGAAGACCGAAAGGUCGAGCGUGAAUCAUAUAGUAGAUAUGAUCAACAUAACGAUGUUCACCAUUGAAAACUACUCCAUCUCACGUGAUGAUCGGUUAUGGUUUAGUUGAUUUGGAUCACGUGAUCACUUAGAGGAUUAGAGGGAUAUCUAUCUAAGUGGGAGUUCUUAAGUAAUAUGAUUAAUUGAACUUAGAUUUAUCAUGAACUUAGUCCUGGUAGUAUUUUGCAAAUUAUGUUGUAGAUCAAUAGCUCGCGUUGUUGCUUCCCUGUGUUUAUUUUGAUAUGUUCCUAGAAAAAAUUGUGUUGAAAGAUGUUAGUAGCAAUGAUGCGGAUUGGAUCCGUGAUCUGAGGUUUAUCCUCAUUGCUGCACAGAAGAAUUAUGUCCUUGAUGCACCGCUAGGUGACAGACCUAUUGCAGGAGCAGAUGCAGACGUUAUGAACGUUUGGCUAGCUCAAUAUGAUGACUACUUGAUAGUUUAGUGCACCAUGCUUAAUGGCUUAGAAUCGGGACUUCAAAGACAUUUUGAACGUCAUGGACCAUAUGAGAUGUUCCAGGAGUUGAAGUUAAUAUUUCAAGCAAAUACCCGAGUUGAGAGAUAUGAAGUCUCCAACAAGUUCUAUAGCUAAAAGAUGGAGGAGAAUCGCUCAACUAGUGAGCAUGUGCUCAGAUUGUCUGGGUACUACAAUCGCUUGAAUCAAGUGGGAGUUAAUCUUCCAGAUAAGAUAGUGAUUGACAGAAUUCUCUAAUCACCAUCACCAAGUUAGUAGAACUUCGUGAUGAACUAUAAUAUGCAAGGGAUAACAGAUACAACUCCCAAGCUCUUUGUGAUGAUGAAAUCAACGAAGGUAGAAAUCAAGAAAAAAAUCAAGUGUUGAUGGUUGACAAGACCACUAGUUUCAAGAAAAGGGCAAAGGUAAGAAGGGGAACUUUAAGAAGAACGGCAAGCAAGUUGCUGCUCAAGUGAAGAAGCCCAAGUCUGAUCCUAAGCCUGAGACUAAGUGCUUCUACUGCAAAGGGACUGGUCACUGGAAGCGGAACUACCCCAAGUGAUUGGCGGAUAAGAAGGAUGGCAAAGUGAACAUAAGUAUAUUUGAUAUACAUGUUAUUGAUGUGUACUUUACUAGUGUUUAUAGCAAACCCUCAGUAUUUGAUGCUAGUUCAGUUGCUAAGAGUAGUAACUCGAAACGGGAGUUGCAGAAUGAACAGAGACUAGUUAAGGGUGUAGUGACGAUGUGUGUUGGAAGUGGUUCCAAGAUUGAUAUGAUCAUCAUCGCACACUCCCUGUACUUUCGGGAUUAGUUUUGAACCUAAAUAAGUGUUAUUUGGUGUUUGCGUUGAGCAUGAAUAUGAUUUGAUCAUGUUUAUUGUAAUACGGUUAUUCAUUUAAGUAAAAGAAUAAAUUGUUGUUCUGUUUACAUGAAUAAAACCUUAUAUGGUUACACACCCAAUGAAAAGAGUUCAUUGGAUCUCGAUCUUAAUAAUACACAUAUUCAUAAUAUUGAAACCAAAAGAUGCGAAGUUAAUAAUGAUAGUGCAACUUAUUUGUGGCACUGCCGUUUAGGUCAUAUUGGUGUAAAGCGCAUGAAGAAACUCCAUGCUGAUGGGAUUUUGGAAUCACUUGAUUAUGAAUCACUUGAUGCUUGCGAACCAUGCCUUAUGGGCAAGAUGACUAAAACGCCGUUCUUCGGAACAAUGAAGCAAACAACAGAUUUGUUGGAAAUCAUACAUACUGAUGUAUGUGGUCCGAUGAAUAUUAAGGCUUACAGCAGGUAUCAUUAUUUUCUGACCUUCACAAGAUGAUUUCAGCAGAUAUGGGGAUAUCUACUUGAUGAAACAUAAGUCUGAAACACUUGAACAGUUCAAAGAAUUUCGGAGUGAAGUGGAAAAUCAUCAUGACAAGAAAAUAAAAGUUUCUACGAUAUGAUCGCAGAGGUAAAAUAUUUGAGUUACGAGUUUGGUCUUCAGUUAAAACAAUGUGAAAUAGUUUCACUACUCACACCACCUAGAACACCACAACAUAAUGGUGUGUCCGAACGUCAUAACCGUACUUUAUUGGAUAUAGUGCAAUCUAUGAUGUAUCUUACCGAUCUACCACUAUCGUUUUGGGGUUAUGCAUUAGAGACAGCUGCAUUCACGUUAAAUAGGGCACCAUCAAAAUCCGUUGAGACGACGCCUUAUGAACUAUGGUUUGGCAAGAAACCAAAGUUGUCAUUUCUUAAAGUUUGGGGUUGUGAUGCUUAUAUGAAAAAGUUUCAUCCUAAUAAGCUCAAACCCAAAUCGGAGAAAUAUGUCUUCAUAGGAUACCCAAAGGAAACUGUUGGGUACACCUUCUAUCACAGAUCCGAAGGCAAGACAUUCGUUGCUAAGAAUGGAUCCUUUCCAGAGAAGGAGUUUCUCUCGAAAGAAGUGAGUGGGAGGAAAGUAGAAAACUUGAUAAGGUAAUUGUACCUUCUCCCUUAUUGGAAAGUAGUUCAUCACAAAACCUGUUCUUGUGACUACUACACCAAUUAGUGAGGAAGCUAAUGAUGAUGAUCAUGUAACUUCAGAUCAAGUUACUAACGAAUCUCGUAGGUAAUCCAGAGUGAGAUCCGCACCAGAGAGGUACGGUAAUCCUGUUCUGGAAGUCAUGUUACUAGACCAUGACGAAUUUACGAACUAUGAGGAAGCAAUGAUGAGCCCAGAUUCCGCGAAAUGGUUUGAGGCCAUGAAAUCUGAGAUAUGAUCCAUGUAUGAGAACAAAGUUUGGACUUUGGUUGACUUGCCCGAUGAUCAGCAAGCAAUUGAGAAUAAAUGGAUCUUCAAGAGGAAGACGGACGCUAAUAGUAGUGUUACUAUCUACAAAGCUAGAAUUGUCGCAAAAGGUUUUCGACAAGUUCAAGCUGUUGACUACGAUGAGAGUUUCUCACUCGUAUCUAUGCUAGAGUAUGUCAGAAUCAUGUUAGUAAUUGCCGCAUUUUAUGAAAUCUAGCAAAUGGAUAAACAAAACUGCAUUCCUUAAUGGAUUUAUUAAAGAAGAGUUGUAUAUGAUGCAAUCAAAAGGUUUUGUCAAUCCGAAAGGUGCUAACAAAAUGUGCAAGCUCCAGCGAUCCAUCUGUGGACUGGUGCAAGCAUCUCGGAGUUGGAAUAUACGCUUUGAUGAGUUGAUCAAAGCAUAUAGUUUUAUAUAGACUUGCGGUGAAGCCUGUAUUUACAAGAAAGUGAGUGGGAGCACUACAGCAUUUCUGAUAAGUAUAUGUGAAUGACAUAUUGUUGAUCAGAAAUAAUGUAGAAUUAUUCUGUAAAGCAUAAAGGAUUGUUUAAAAGGAGUUUUUCAAAGAAAGACUUCGGUGAAGCUGCUUACAUAUUGAUCUUCAAGAUCUAUAGAGAUAGAUCAAGACGCUUGAUAAGUUUUUUCAAUGAGUACAUACCUUGACAAGAUUUUGAAGUAGUUCAAAAUGGAGCAGUCAAAGAAAGAGUUCUUGCAUGUAUUACAAGGUGUGAAGUUGAGUAAGACUCAAAGCCCGACCACGGCAGAAGAUAGAAAGAGAAUGAAAGUCAUUCCCUAUGCCUUGGCCAUAGGUUCUAUAAAGUAUGUCAUGCUGUAUACCAGAUCUAUUAUAUACCCUGCACUGAUUUGGCAAGGGAGUACAAUAGUGAUCUAGGAGUAGAUCACUGGACAGCGGUCAGAAUUAUCCUUAGUGAAAUAAGGGUAUGUUUCUCGAUUAUGGACGUGACAAAAAGGCUCGUCAUAAAGGGUUACGUCGAUGCAAGUUUUUUACACUAAUCUAGAUGACUCCAAGUCUCGUUCUAGAUACAUAUUGAAAGUGGGAGCAAUUAGCUAGAGUAGCUCCAUGCAGAGCAUUGUUGACAUAGAAAUUUGCAAAAUACAUGUGGAUCUGAAUGUGGCAGACCCGUUGACUAAAAAUUCUCUCACAAGAAAAACAUGAUCACUUUUUGGGUGUUAAUCACAUAGCGAUGUGAACUAGAUUACUGACUCUAGUAAACCCUUUGAGUGUUGGUCACAUGACGAUGUGAACUAUGGGUGUUAAUCACAUGGUGAUGUGAACUAUUGCUGUUAAAUCACAUGGCGAUGUGAACUAGAUUAUUGACUCUAGUGCAAGUGGGAGACUGAAGGAAAUAUGCCCUAGAGGCAAUAAUAAAGUUAUUAUUUAUUUCCUUAUAUCAUGAUAAAUGUUUAUUAUUCCUGCUAGAAUUGUAUUAACCGGAAACAUAAUACAUGUGUGAAUACAUAGACAAACAGAGUGUCACUAGUAUGCCUCUACUUGACUAGCUCGUUAAUCAAAGAUGGUUAUGUUUCCUAACUAUGGACAAAGAGUUGUUAUUUGAUUAACGGGAUCACAUCAUUAGUUGAAUGAUCUGAUUGACAUGACCCAUUCCAUUAGCUUAGCACCCGAUCGUUUAGUAUGUUGCUAUUGCUUUCUUCAUGACUUAUACAUGUUCCUAUGACUAUGAGACUAUGCAACUCCCGUUUGCCGGAGGAACACUUUGUGUGCUACCAAACGUCACAACGUAAAUGGGUGAUUAUAAAGGAGCUCUACAGGUGUCUCCAAUGGUAGAUGUUGGGUUGGCGUAUUUCGAGAAUAGGAUUUUUCACUCCGAUUGUCGGAGAGGUAUCUCUGGGCCCUCUCGGUAAUGCACAUCACAUAAGUCUUGCAAGCAUUGCAACUAAUGAGUUAGUUGUGGGAUGAUGUAUUACGGAACGAGUAAAGAGACUUGCCGGUAACGAGAUUGAACUAGGUAUUGGAUACCGACGAUCGAAUCUCGGGCAAGUAACAUACCGAUGACAAAGGGAACAACGUAUGUUGUUAUGCGGUCUGACCGAUAAAGAUCUUCGUAGACUAUGUAGGAGCCAAUAUGGGCAUCCAGGUCCCGCUAUUGGUUAUUGACCGGAGAUGUGUCUCGGUCAUGUCUACAUUAUUCUCGAACCGUAGGGUCCGCACGCUUAACGUUACGAUGACUGUUAUUAUGAGUUUAUGCAUUUUGAUGUACCGAAGUUAGUUCGGAGUCCCGGAUGUGAUCACGGACACGACGAGGAGUCUCGAAAUGGUCGAGACAUAAAGAUUGAUAUAUUGGAAGCCUAUGUUUGGAUAUCGGAAGUGUUCCGGGUGAAAUCGGGAUUUUACCGGAGUACCGGGAGGUUACCGAAACCCCCCGGGAGCCAUAUGGGCCUUAGUGGGCUUUAGUGGAAAGGUGAAAGGGGCAGCCCAAGGUGGGCUGCGCGCCUCCCCCAUCCCCUAGUCCUAUUAGGACUAGGAGAGGUGGCCGCCCCCCCUCUCUCUCUUUCCCCCCUUGGGAAUCCUAUUAGGAAUAGGAUUGGGGGGGGGGGAGUCCUACUCCCGGUAGGAGUAGGACUCCUCGUGCGCCCUCCUCCUGGCCGGCCGCCCCUCCCCCUUGGAUCCUUUAUAUACGGGGGCAGGGGGGCACCUCUAGACACACAAGUUGAUCCUUGAGAUCGUUCCUUAGCCGAGUGCGGUGCCCCCUGCCACCAUAUUCCACCUCGAUCAUAUUGUUGUAGUGCUUAGGCGAAGCCCUACGUCGGUAACACAUCAAGAUCGUCACCACGCCGUCAUGCUGACGGAACUCUUCCCCGAGGCUUUGCUGGAUCGGAGCGCGGGGAUCGUCAUCGAGUUGUACGUGCGCUAAGAACUCUGAGGUGCCGGAGUAACGGUGCUUGGAUCGGUCGGAUCGGGAAGACGUACGACUACUUCCUCUACGUUGUGUGAUCGCUUCAGCAGUCAGUCUGCGUUGGUACGUAGACAACACUCUCCCCUCUCGUUGUUGUGCAUCACCAUGAUCUUGCGUGUGCGUAGGAAAUUUUUUGAAAUUACUACGUUACCCAACAGGGCGCGCCCCCACCCUCGUGGGGCCCAUGGGACUCCCCUCCGGUAGAUUUUUGUUCCAGUAUUUUUUUGUAUUUUCCAGAAAAAUUCUCCGUUGAUUUUCAUCGCAUUCCGAGAACUUUUAUUUCUGCACAAAAACAACACCACGGUAGUUCUGCUAAAAACAGCGUCAGUCCGGGUUAGUUCUAAUCAAAUCAUACCAAAAUCGUAUAAAACUAUUGUAAACAUGGCAUAAAUACUUCAUAAAUUAUAGAUACAUUGGAGACGUAUCAGCACCCCCAAGCUUAAUUCUUGCUCAUCCUCGAGUAGGUAAAUGAUAAAAGAAAUAAUUUAUGAAGUGCGAAUUCUAGCAAGUGCAUAAGUUUGAUCAAUGAUAGUUCCAAUCACUUUUUCUAGCAUCAUUAUAUAUCAUAACAAUAGCUCAACUCAUAAAACUUCUCAUGAUCAAGUAACAAGCUAUUCACAUGUUAAAGUAUAGAUCAUAAACUUUCUUGAAAACUAACAAACCGUGCUCUUAGUCAUCAAACAAUUGCAAUUCAUCUUAUUUUCGGGAAGGGUCUAUUUAAGAGCUUUGAUUUAGCAAACUCCACAUACUCAACUAUCAUUUAAUCUUUCACAAUUGCUAACACUCAUGUGAUAUUUAUGGGUUCAAAGUUUUAAUCGGACACAGAGAAAGAUAGGGGCUUAUAGUUUCGCCUCCCAACCUUUUACUUCAAGGGUAAUGUCAACCAUAAUAAUUUAUGAAAACCUACAUCCAAGUGGAUAUAUAUAUCCGGAUCACUCCAACACAAAGUGCUUGCCAAAGGAAAAAGUGUAAAAAGGAAAGGUGAUGAUCACCAUGAGUCUUGUAUAAGUGUAGAAGAUAAAAGAAAAAGAUAGGCCCUUCGCCGAGGGAAGCAGAGGUUGUCAUGCGCUUUUAUGGUUGGAUGCACAAAAUCUUAAUGUGAAAGAAGUCAUCGAAACCCCAUCAAUUCCAUCACAACUAGACGUAGGCUUUUACCUUCAUCGAAGGGGCCGAACUAGUAUAGAACCCUCUUGCGUCCCUGUGUCCGCUUUAACCCCUUCAAGCUAACCCGUCACGAUGGCUCCACGACUAAGUCCUUUCAUGAGGACAUCUGCAGUGACAAAACCACGACAGAUCUCCUCCUCGAAGAACUCCUUCCAAAGAGGUUCAUCAUAUUCACGUACAAUUUUCAAGCAACAAUCCCAUGAAACAGUUUCGGAAACGGAGUUUUUAGCAAAGAGAUCGAAAUCCGCGAAUGGUGAAUUUUUUCUGGAGGUAGGUGGUGAUGUGGGAUGAAGAGAUAAGUGAGGGGGCCCACAUGGGGACCACAACCCACCAGGGCGCGCCUGGGGGUCCUGGCUCUCCCAAGUGAGUUGUGCCCACAUGGUGCACCUCCCUCUGAUGUUAUUUGCACCAAAAAUUCUUAAAUAUUCAGGAAAAAAAUCGUAUUAAAUUUUUGGAGCAUUCUGAGAACUUCUAUUUUUUGGGUCAUUUUUUAUUGCACGGGAAAUUCAUAAAACAGACGAAACAUGGCAUUUUAUUUUAUUUAACUAAUAAAAACAAAAAACAAAAGGUAGGGACAGAAGAUAGUGAUUACUAAAUUCAUCAACCUCUAAAAAAUGAUCCAUUAAUAAGGUUGAUCAAGUCUUAUUAACAACCACUUUCGAUUAGCAUGAAACCGAAGAACUUUCGUAAAUCACUAAGUUACCUCAACGGGGAUAUGAAUAUCCCCAACAAUAAGCAUUUCAUAUGUCUUUUUAACAGUAGGUAGAGGUAGUUGAAAACUUCCAAUAGUGAUUGUCAGAGAUUUUUCAAUAACAUUAAUACCAUUCACUGGGAAUUGUUUCUUCGAAAAGUGCACCGUAUGCUCAUUACCAUUGAUAUGAAAAGUUACCUUGCUUUAAUUGCAAUCAAUAACAGCCCCUGCAGUAUUCAGGAAGGGUCUACCAAGGAUAAUCGACAUGUUGUCGUCCUCGGGCAUCUCAAGUAUAACAAAGUCAGUCAAGAUAGUAACAUUAGCAACAACAACAGGCACAUCCUCACAAAUACCGAUAGGUAUGGCAGUUGAUUUGUUAGCCAUUUGCAAAGGUAUUUCAGUAGGUGUGAGUUUAUUAAAUCAAGUCUUUCAUAUAAAGAGAAAGGCAUAACACUAACACCAGCUCCCAAAUCACAUAAAGCAGUUUUCACAUAGUUUCUUUUGAUGGAGCAAGGUAUAGUUGGUAUUCCCGGAUCUCCAAGUUUUUUAGGUACUCCAUCCUUAAAACUAUAAUUAGCAAGCAUGGUGGAGAUUUCAUCUUCCGGUAUUUUUCUCUUAUUGGUGAUGAUGUCUUUCAUGUACUUUGCAUCAGGAGGCUUUUUCAAGAUAUCAGUCAAACGAGUAUGCAAAAAUAUUGGCCUCAGCAUUUCAGCAAAGCGUUAAAGUUCUUCAUCAUCUUUCUUUUUAGUUGACUUAGGUGGAAAGGGCAUAAGUUUUUGAACCCACGGUUCUUUUUCCUUACCGUGUUUUCUAGCAACAAAGUCUCUUUUAUCAUAUCUUUUAUUCUUGGGUUGUGGGUUAUCAAGACCAACUGCUGGUUCUAUCUCAACAUCAUUGUCUGGUUCUUUAUUAUUUGUUUGAGUAUCUACAUGAACAUCAUCAUUAUCCUUUUCAUUAUCAGAAGGUGAGUGUUCACUACCAGAUUAAGUUUUAGCAUCAGAGAUAGAAACUUCAUUAUCAUUAUCAGCAGGUUUUUCCACUUCAGGUUCACUAGAGGCAUGCAAAGUCCUAUCGUUUUUCUUCUUAUUUUUCUUUUUAGAAGGGCUAUGUGCAUCAGUGUUAACCCUUUGAGAGUCUUGUUCAAUUCUUUUUGGGUGUCCCUCAGGAUAAAGUGGUUCCUGAGUCAUCCUACCUCCUCUAGUCAUUACUCUAACAGCAUGAUCAUUGAUAUUAUUAUUCAUAUCAUCUAGCAACUCUCUUUGAGAUUUAGCAACUUGUUCUAACUGAGUUUGAACCAUAGAAGCAUGUUUUCCUACACCUCUAACAUCAUUUGAGAUUCUAAAUAACAAGUCACACAAGCGAUCCAUCAUAUCAGAAUUGUAUUUCAAUUGUUUCAUAACAUUUGUAUUGAAGUGAUCUGUGACACCCCAAAAAUUUGGCCUUGUUUUAUUAAAUUAAAAUUUUGCCAGGAAUUAAAACUUUGGAUUUCUGAGCUCCAUUUUGAUUUUUGACUCAUUUCCUUCCCUGUUAUGAUGAGUUUUUCCCAAAGAGAAAACUUUUCAAAUGUGUUAUUGGACUUGUUUAACCUCUCAAGAAAAACUUUCCUUUUAUCAGUGUAACUAAUUAACUAACUUAAUUUCUUGAUCUUUACUUUCUUGAAAAUAGUUUUUCAAGGUUAAAUGGCCAUAUUUGAACUACAACCAUUUGAUAGAUUCACUUAAAAUUUCCACAAAAAUUUGGAGAUGUCAGGUUAUGUUUUUAAAUCACUUUUAUGCAAAAAUAUAUUUCCUUCAUGGAAUAUUUUGAGCCCUGCACUCAAUUUUUCUUCUCUGGUCCAGAGUGCAUUUUGCACUACAACCCUUUUAUAUAUUUCUUUAAAACUUCUACCAAAAUUAGGGGAGGUCAGUAGGAGCAUAUUAUUCCACUUUGUGCAAAAAUCUAGGGUUGUUCUUUGAAAAUUUUGAGUGAAUCAACCUCAUUUCCAUUCUGGACCAACUUGAUGAUUUGUACAGCAACACCCAUUUUAGUUGCUCCUAUAUCCAUGGUUAUUUCUCCUACUUGUAGUCCUCCAUGUUAAACCCCUUAACCCAGGAGCAUGCACCCAUUAGAUCAAUUUUGGUUCAUGAAAUAAUGCCAUUUAUUUCCUGUCCAGAAUUGAAAUUCUGCUAGACUUGCACUAACAAGUUUGUGCAUUUCACCAAAUAACCACACCACCCUCUCUUUCAUCCACAGAGACCCCCAUCUGGAGUUUUUGGCCACUCCAAGACAUGCCUAGGUGCCAUUGGCAUUUUGUCAAACACCUGGAGAGCAUGACCAGUUUUGACAUGAGUUUUGGCAUUGCACUGUGAACUUGCACCUUUGAUCAAAAUAGCAUGUCCACUAGACUCCCCGUUGAUCCUAACCUCGAUCUGGUAAACCCCACCCUCACCUGCGACCUAUAGCAUGCCGCGGCAUUGUGUCGAACAUCUGGUGUGCGUGCACUGGACGCGCCCAGAGCGCGCAUAUUGCAUGCUGCGCACACGAGCCGACACGCUGGCCCCACGGCUUUGGCCUGCUCUGCAGAACCUCGCCACACGCUCCCCUCCUCGCAGCAACGUGCCAAGCAGCCCCCGCCGCGCCCGGCAGGCCAAGCGCUAGCCGCCGUCGCCGCCCGACAGCCCUGCGCCGUUCAGCGCCGCCCAAGCCUCGCCCGCUCGCCACCUGGCCCUGGAGCAGUGCGAGCUCAUCCACAAGCGUGUCUGCUAGCCCUCGUCGCCGCCACGUCGCCCUAGCUACAGAACGUCGGUUCACCGGCCGCCCUUAUCCACCGCUGCGGAACCGACCUCGGCGAGCUAUAAAUGGACACCACGAGCCCCUCUGAGCAAGCAGGCGACCUUAUGCUACCCCCAUGGCGCUCCCCUGCCUCGCAUUCGACCCGGGGAGGCCUCCUUCCUCGUCUCCGGCAACUCCUGCUGCCGCCACCGCCCCGGCCAAUCCGGCACCUCCAGUACCUCCCCCUCUCCGUUCUCUUCGCCAGGAACUUCCUCAUUCCCCUGUGAACCGAACCCCCUACUUAAUUUUGAUCAGGAGCCAUCGCCGCCAACAAAUCACUUUGUCACCGGAGAUUCCUUCCACCGCGGAGCUCGCCGCCGGCGAUUUCCUCCACCUCCGACGACCCCACGACCACCGGGAGAACCGCCCCAGCCGUGCGGAUCCAUCCCUACCCUCUGGAGCCCGCGAGGAGCAGCCAAACGCCGGCGACGAUCACCGGAGCCCCGCUCCGCUCGGGCAGAGGAGGGAGACGACGCGCGGCGACUGGUCAAACCUGACCAGUGGGCCCCUGGACCCACUGUCAGCGACCCCGCGCCGUCCAUGCUGGAGUAAGUGGAGGCGUCAUACCCGUAAUACGUCUUCUCUGCGCGAAAGCGUAAUCUCUUCAAAACGUUUUCUUUUCUGUUUUAAUUUAAAAACAGAUUUUGAUCAGAACUUUGACUGGCUAUAACUUUUUAAAUAUAACUCCAAAUGAGUUGAUUCUUUUUCCUACCUUCCUCAAAUUUGGUCUAGUUUAUUUUAAGAUUUAUUUGAAAAAAUUUCAAACAACUUUUUUGUUCUGUUUUUGAAAUGUGUGUUAAUUCAAAUAUAUUUUCAAAUAGGAUUUUGGGGAGAGAGAAGAAACUUUCAAAAGUUUGGAGAGCACCCUGCCUUUCCACACAUUGAAGGCAAGCAUUCUGAAUCCCGGCAUAAUAUUUUGGUGUGAUCGUUGAUGCAUUUAUAACACCACCGCGUUUCGAAGGCUUGUUAUUUCAUGUGAUAUGAUCAUAUGCAUGGGUGCAUGUUAUUGAUUUUCCAUGAUGUUGGAAAUGAACACACUUGUGAUGAUAACCAUCCUCAUGUGCCUUGCAUGCAUACCGGUAGGAACCGGGAAAACCUCUGCCUUGGGUAGGCAUGAGUUUGUCGCCGGUCACCAUCGGGACGGUUAUGUCCGGUAUGGCAUGGUAAGAUAUAAUGAGUGUUGAUUGUAUUGGUUGAAAUAUAUUCGUUAUACUAAUCAUGCAGGGAAUACUUAAACCUCCUGAGUCGACCGUAGAUCGAGUCUUGUUCCUGUAACCCCCAUACUUUUUUCGUACUACCACUCGUCUCUACAGCAAGUAGAGUACGGUUCAGUAAGUUGUCAACCUCUUGCUAGCACACACCGUACAGAGAGGCCAUGGUGGAAGAUACCGGUUGUAGCUGGUAGGUAGGCCACCUGGUCUGGGGGCAUGGGUGUUUCCGGUUGGGACCGAGAGGGGAGACCACCCCUUAGAGGGCGCGAUAUAAGUUUGAUCCCAUGCUACGCGAGGUUGUAGCCUCCCCACUUAGAGUUGCCUAACAGGUGUCGUGGGUGAUUCCAGACACGUGUGAGUUAAGCUGGUGUGUGCAAGUUAGGUGUGUUUUCAACAAAAAGACCGUAGACGGAAUUAGUCCCGAUGGACUAAAGAAAUCUGUUACUCGUGGGUAAAGAGUACACCCUCUGCAGAGAAUAAACCUAUUCGAAUAGCCGUGUCCGUAGUUAAGGAUUUCAGUCUGGGAUGGGUCAGGUGUCGGUCUUAGUGUCGGUCUUCGGAGGUGAAACGGUUAACCAGAAAAUGGAAUUACUACUCGUGACUUGUGAUAUCUAUGAUUAUUGUUAUUGUUGACUAACACGUGAUAUUAUUGUUAUUACCGAGUAUCUCUGGGAUGGUUCUACCUCCGGGAUAUUCAUUAUGAUUGUUUCUUUUAAAGCCCUUUAUGUGGCGUCGCUCAGAUGCCCGACUGCGGCAUUUCUUUUAAAGCCCUUAAUGAGGCGUCGCUCAGACGCCCGACUGUGGCAUUUCUUUUAAAGCCCUUUAUGUGGCGUCGCUCAGACGCCCGACUGUGGCAUUUCUUUUAAAGCCCUAUAUGUGGCGUCGCUCAGACGCCCGACUGUGGCAUUUCUUUUAAAGCCCUUUAUGUGGCGUCGCUCAGACGCCCGACUGUGGCAUUUCUUUUAAAGCCCUUUAUGUGGUGUCGCUCAGACGCCCGACUGUGGCAUUUCUUUUAAAGCCCUUUAUGUGGUGUCNNNNNNNNNNNNNNNNNNNNNNNNNNNNNNNNNNNNNNNNNNNNNNNNNNNNNNNNNNNNNNNNNNNNNNNNNNNNNNNNNNNNNNNNNNNNNNNNNNNNNNNNNNNNNNNNNNNNNNNNNNNNNNNNNNNNNNNNNNNNNNNNNNNNNNNNNNNNNNNNNNNNNNNNNNNNNNNNNNNNNNNNNNNNNNNNNNNNNNNNNNNNNNNNNNNNNNNNNNNNNNNNNNNNNNNNNNNNNNNNNNNNNNNNNNNNNNNNNNNNNNNNNNNNNNNNNNNNNNNNNNNNNNNNNNNNNNNNNNNNNNNNNNNNNNNNNNNNNNNNNNNNNNNNNNNNNNNNNNNNNNNNNNNNNNNNNNNNNNNNNNNNNNNNNUGGUGUCGCCCAGACGCCCGACUGUGGCAUUUCUUUUAAAGCCCUUUAUGUGGCGUCGCUCAGACGCCCGACUGUGGUAUUUCUUUUAAAGCCCUUUAUGUGGUGUCGCUCAGACGCCCGACUGUGGCAUUUCUUUUAAAGCCCUUUAUGUGGUGUCGCUCAGACGCCCGACUGUGGCAUUGCUUGUUAUCUAUUUCAUAAAUUUUAAUACUACUAUGUUAUUGCAUUUUAUAAAUAACUUGCUUGCAUGCAUUAGAGUUUCAUUUAUCUAUUGUGACUGACGUCAUGAGCAUAAAAUGUUUUCAGCACAUCAUUGUUAUAUUAUACCUGUGUUCAUAAUGUUUGCGAGUACAUUCAAAGUACUCACUGGCUUGUCCCUGGCUAUUGUCUUGGCCAGAUUUUCUUGCACGGGGAGGAGCGACGCGAUGCCAGCCCCGGAACCCACUCAAUGGAGAUAGGAGCCUCGCGAAGAUAGGAAUUAACCUGGUCAGCUGUUCCCGUGGGAAAUGGAGUCCCAUAGACACUGAUGUUUCACAACCCGCUUCCGCCAUCAACCACUAGAAACCAUUUGUUGUACUCACAGGCCAGAAUGGUCUUGUACUACAUAUUUUGUAUUUUGCUUGGAAUUUCUGUAUCAAGUUGGAGCCUCAUCAGCUAACAGUAAUCCUGGGGCUGAUGAGCACGACGGUCUUUUCUAGAAAUUUAUUACCCGGAAAACCCGGUCGUGACAGGCUUGGUAUCAGAGCUAGGCUGACCAUUGGCUAAUCCUAUCUUAGCCAGGUCAAUAAACUUAGGCAAACCAACCCACUAGACCUUAGCCAAACCCCAGCCAAGCUUCUCAUGCAAGAUAGCCACACAGUGACCCAACACCUUUUGGCAGUCGGUGCCCAACCUAUCAACCUAACCUGUCGCUCAUGCGCCAGUGACCGGCCCCUAAAUAGUCCUUUCUCGCAAGCGUGCGGAGGAAGACUCCGUCCCCUUUUUCUUAUAAAAAGGGCACGCUAGCCUCAACCAGCACAUCACAGCCGCUACCCCAAACCGAGCCACAAUGCCUGGCCCUGUCGUGCACAACGAGACCACCGCAACCAACCUUGGAGGUUUUGUGACCAUCCUCGCAAACCUCACCCGUCGUGCCUAUGCAUUAGAGGAGCCACCAGAAUAUGUUGUGUAUCAAGGACCCAUGAGCGGUGAAGACCGUCAAUUCUGGGCCACUGUGCACAUCUACGGUAGGGGUCUAGCACCCGAGCGCCCCUACAGGUUCACUGGAAGGACAACUUCCUUUGAGCCACAAGCCAUCCAACUAGCCGCUCGAGAGGCUAUAGUUCAUCUCAGGCAGUUAUCGCCCAGAGUUAACUGUCGCUCGUUCCACUACUACCCCAGGCGUGAAGGGUAUGGUAGACCACCCCAAGUUGCCAAUGGAGAUCACGAGACGGACCCCGCAUUGUUGCACCUAGUGCGCUAUGUAAGUGCACUAGAGGCACUGUUCGACCAAAUCACUAUUGAUCUAAUCGCAGCUCGUGGAGAGCUGGUUCGUCGAGACCCGGCGAGAGGAGAAAACGAGCCCAACGCCGACAACCUAGUCGUGUUGUUUGGACAACCGAUCGAGACCCCGAGGUCUGCCCCAGCCAUCGGCCAAGGUGCUGCGAUAACCCCAGAAGUGCUUCGUCGCAUAUUGGGAGCACACUCCAACGGGGUUGUGGCCAACAAUCCCCGCGAUGGUCAUCAUCACUACCCCGACCCCGCAGUUCCCCCGCCAUCUCCGACUAAUCCCGGCAGUGAGACACGUGGAGAAGCCUCGACAUCCACCAGGCACGCCCGUUUAGACAUAAACGAGGUAGACUAAGCCGUAUGAGUAGUACCGAGCCUCAGUGUAUCCUUGCUUUGUAAUCACGCGACCGUGUAUUUUAACACAGCCUGUCGUUGUGCCUCUGUCUUAAUAGUAGCCUUGCAUAUUUAGUCAGCGCAUAGCUGCAUAUUUUUCCGGGCACAACUACCAAAACCAACCCGACGACAACCACAGUAACGCGUUUAUUAUGAGAUAUGUGUAUCUCUGACACUGACCCGACCUUUGGAGCUAAGCUGGCAAAUUUUUACCUUUCACCACGGUAAAACGAUCCGGCUCCAUUGCUAUAUAGAGGCCACCUUCUGACCUUACCCAGCAACCCUCACCUUGUGCACCACACUCACGCUUUUUCCUGUCAUGCCGAACCCCAGCAUUCAUCUGAGAACCCCAGAUGCUACCCCAGGUAGCUUUGUCAAAAUAUUGUGGGAUUUUACCCGCAGUACCAUGGGUUCUACCCAACCACCUCAGUACGAGCUGUUCAAAUCAAGGAUCACCCCAUCCACCUCGGAAUAUUGGGCAGCAGUACACAUUCCUCCUGUAGACCCCAACCAAGAUCCAACGGAAAUUUCCUUCAUGGGAAAAUCUAUGCCAACCCCACACCUGGCCAUAGAAGCUGCUGCGAAAGAAGUGAUUGCUCGUCUUCGAUCCGCAGUACCCUAUGCCCGCGAACGAGGAUAUUAUUACUUUCCGAGUCGUGCAGCACCCAGAGAAGUUACAUCUUUUCCCGGUGGAUGUAUUGAGAGAGACCCAGUUCUGGCCAACCUUAUCCAGUACAUCAUUGCUCAAGAGCAUUUGAACCAGCGGGUGAUGGAUUAUCUUCAGAGCCUCGCAGAUUUAAAUCCUCAGAUUGCCAUCGGCAGACCACUGAGACCCGACACGGAGAGACGCAUACAUCGACUGGUCAAUCCACUUCCUCCAAUAGAAGAGGAGUGUAUUCCUUUACCAGAGACAUUUUAUCAGGACCCCAUUCAGUUACCGUUUUCAUUUUAGACGUCGCUACUGUAUUUGUUUUUGCAGCAUUUAUAUUUAUAUGUGUGACUUAUGCGUGAUACCCUGAAUUUGUGCGACGAGUCAAUUAUUUGGGCUUCUGCUAAUCUGUGUAGUUUUUGUUGUGGUUUAUGCUCCUUUAAAUUAACUGUUUUUCCCUCGCGAAACCCUGGAGUGAGAUUUCUUUUCCCUGAGUUGCUACAUCUACACUUUCUCACGACGUGGAUUGUUUAAUUUCACUCAGCACCACGCGCAGGCUCACAACCAUAAUCAUUCGGACACAUACACUGUUUGCAAAAUUUUGCAACGGUGUUACAUCCAGCUAAUCACCCCCUAACAACAGUUAGCACCCGACGCACUCCAUCUACUCUUCAUGAUCACCACCACCGCGGAGAACCAACACCCGAGCCGCAGCAUCGUGAUACUCAUCGAAGAUCAUCACGCACAGGAGCACAGAGAGCCCCAGCAGUGUCGCCAGCCCUCCGCAUAUCAGGAUCACAAACCAGUCCGGCAUCGCCUCCGCCAUUAGAGCCUCACCCAAGCUUCUGUAAGCAGUAAUGGAGAAUGAAGGAGGAGGAGAAGUGAGGCCAGAUGUGAGGAAGAAGAGAGAGGCACCCCGGCCGUUUUUAUAGCUCGAGCUCGGUGUACGAUGGGCGAAGUCCACCAACGCCGCUCGUCGCUGAUCGCCAGUGUUCGGAGUCGAACCCGCGAGCAGUGCCGACAGCGCGCUGGCCCGCGAGGUGAGUGCACGCUGCACCGGCAGCUAGCACGCCGCGCACUACCACGGUACGGCCUAGAUGCCCUAAGCAUUAGGCAUCGCCGGUGGAGAAAGCGCGAGAAAGCGUGCGGGAGAGAGGAGGAAGAGAGAGCCAGAGGUAGAAGGAAGAGCCAGUGGGAGAAGAAGAGGCUGACAGUGGGCCCCGGGUCCACCUGUCGGCCAGAGAGAGCACUGUGCUCUCGGGUACGACCAGCGUAUAUUUAAAUUUAGAAGAUUAUUCUAAAUUUUUAUCCAGCGUAGAAAUCACCCGAUUUUGUUCCGAACCGUAGACUUUUCCACACAGCACCAGUAUUCACACUGUGGUUUUUCACCACUUAUUGCCCUCUCACUGUAGCCACUUUUUAUUGCGUAUAGUUUUCUUAAAACAGCUUUUAACAAAUCUCGAGGACGAGAUUUUUCUUAAGGGGGGUAGUAUCUGUGACACCCCAAAAAAUUUGGCCUUGUUUUAUUAAAUUAAAAUUUUGCCAGGAAUUAAAACUUUGGAUUUCUGAGCUCCAUUUUGAUUUUUGACUCAUUUCCUUCCCUGAUAUGAUGAGUUUUUCCCAAAGAGAAAACUUUUCAAAUGUGUUAUUGGACUUGUUUAACCUCUCAAGAAAAACUUUCCUUUUAUCAGUGUAACUAAUUAACUAACUUAAUUUCUUGAUCUUUACUUUCUUGAAAAUAGUUUUUCAAGGUUAAAUGGCCAUAUUUGAACUACAACCAUUUGAUAGAUUCACUUAAAAUUUCCACAAAAAUUUGGAGAUGUCAGGUUAUGUUUUUAAAUCACUUUUAUGCAAAAAUAUAUUUCCUUCAUGGAAUAUUUUGAGCCCUGCACUCAAUUUUUCUUCUCUGGUCCAGAGUGCAUUUUGCACUACAACACUUUUAUAUAUUUCUUUAAAACUUCUACCAAAAUUAGGGGAGGUCAGUAGGAGCAUAUUAUUCCACUUUGUGCAAAAAUCCAGGGUUGUUCUUUGAAAAUUUUGAGUGAAUCAACCUCAUUUCCAUUCUGGACCAACUUGAUGAUUUGUACAGCAACACCCAUUUUAGUUGCUCCUAUGUCCAUGGUUAUUUCUCCUACUUGUAGUCCUCCAUGUUAAACCCCUUAACCCAGGAGCAUGCACCCAUUAGAUCAAUUUUGGUUCAUGAAAUAAUGCCAUUUAUUUCCUGUCCAGAAUUGAAAUUCUGCUAGACUUGCACUAACAAGUUUGUGCAUUUCACCAAAUAACCACACCACCCUCUCUUUCAUCCACAGAGACCCCCAUCUGGAGUUUUUGGCCACUCCAAGACAUGCCUAGGUGCCAUUGGCAUUUUGUCAAACACCUGGAGAGCAUGACCAGUUUUGACAUGAGUUUUAGCAUUGCACUGUGAACUUGCACCUUUGAUCAAAAUAGCAUGUCCACUAGACUCCCCGUUGAUCCUAACCUCGAUCUGGUAAACCCCACCCUCACCUGUGACCUGUAGCAUGCCGCGGCAUUGUGUCGAACAUCUGGUGUGCGUGCACUGGACGCGCCCAGAGCGCGCAUAUUGCAUGCCGCGCACACGAGCCGACACGCUGGCCCCACGGCUUUGGCCCGCUCUGCAGAACCUCGCCACACGCUCCCCUCCUCGCAGCAACGCGCCAAGAAGCCCCCGCCGCGCCCGGCAGGCCAAGCGCUAGCCGCCGUCGCCGCCCGACAGCCCUGCGCCGUUCAGCGCCGCCCAAGCCUCGCCCGCUCGCCACCUGGCCCUGGAGCAGUGCGAGCUCAUCCGCAAGCGUGUCUGCUAGCCCUCGUCGCCGCCUCGUCGCCCUAGCUACAGAACGUCGGUUCGCCGGCCGCCCUUAUCCACCGCCGCGGAACCGACAUCGGCGUGCUAUAAAUGGACACCCCGAGCCCCUCUGAGCAUGCAGGCGACCUUAUGCUACCCCCAUGGCGCUCCCCUGCCUCGCAUUCGACCCGGGGAGGCCUCCUUCCUCGUCUCCGGCAACUCCUGCCGCCGCCACCGCCCCGGCCAAUCCGGCACCUCCAGUACCUCCCCCUCUCCGUUCUCUUCGCCAGGAACUUCCUCAUUCCCCUGUGAACCCAACCCCCUACUUAAUUUUGAUCGGGAGCCAUCGCCGCCAACAAAUCACUUUGUCACCGGAGAUUCCCUCCGCCGCGGAGCUCGCCGCCGGCGAUUUCCUCCACCUACGACGACCCCACGACCACCGGGAGAACCGCCCCAGCCGUGCGGAUCCAUCCCUACCCUCUGGAGCCCGCGAGGAGCAGCCAAACGCCGGGGACGAUCGCCGGAGCCCCGCUCCGCUCGGGCAGAGGAGGGAGACGACGCGCGGCGACUGGUCAAACCUGACCAGUGGGCCCCUGGACCCACUGUCAGCGACCCCGCGCCAUCCAUGCUGGAGUAAGUGGAGGCGUCAUACCCGUAAUACGUCUUCUCUGCGCGAAAGCGUAAUCUCUUCAAAACGUUUUCUUUUCUGUUUUAAUUUAAAAACAGAAUUUGACCAGAACUUUGACUGGCUAUAACUUUUUAAAUAUAACUCCAAAUGAGUUGAUUCUUUUUCCUACCUUCCUCAAAUUUGGUCUAGUUUAUUUUAAGAUUUAUUUGAAAAAAUUUCAAACAAAUUUUUUGUUCUGUUUUUGAAAUGUGUGUUAAUUCAAAUAUAUUUUCAAAUAGGAUUUUGGGGAGAGAGAAGAAACUUUCAAAAGUUUGGAGAGCACCCUGCGUUUCCACACAUUGAAGGCAAGCAUUCUGAAUCCCGGCAUAAUAUUUUGGUGUGAUCGUUGAUGCAUUUAUAACACCAUCGCGUUUCGAAGGCUUGUUAUUUCAUGUGAUAUGAUCAUAUGCAUGGGUGCAUGUUAUUGAUUUUCCAUGAUGUUGGAAAUGAACACACUUGUGAUGAUAACCAUCCUCAUGUGCCUUGCAUGCAUACCGGUAGGAACCGGGAAAACCUCUGCCUUGGGUAGGCAUGAGUUUGUCGCCGGUCACCGUCGGGACGGUUAUGUCCGGUAUGGCAUGGUAAGAUAUAAUGAGUGUUGAUUGUAUUGGUUGAAAUAUAUUCGUUAUACUAAUCAUGCAGGGAAUACUUAAACCUCCUGAGUCGACCAUAGAUCGAGUCUUGUUCCAGUAACCCCCAUACUUGUUUCGUACUACCACUCGUCUCUAUAGCAAGUAGAGUACGGUUCAGUAAGUUGUCAACCUCUUUCUAGCACACACCGUACAGAGAGGCCAUGGUGGAAGAUACCGGUUGUAGCUGGUAGGCAGGCCACCUGGUCCGGGGGCAUGGGUGUUUCCGGUUGGGACCGAGAGGGGAGGCCACCCCUUAGAGCGCGCGAUAUAAGUUUGAUCCCAUGCUACGCGAGGUUGUAGCCUCCCCACUUAGAGUUGCCUAACAGGUGUCGUGGGUGAUUCCAGACACGUGUGAGUUAAGCUGGUGUGUGCAAGUUAGGUGUGUUUUCAACAAAAAGACCGUAGACGGAAUUAGUCCCGAUGGACUAAAGAAAUCCGUUACUCGUGGGUAAAGAGUACACCCUCUGUAGAGAAUAAACCUAUUCGAAUAGCCGUGUCCGUGGUUAAGGAUUUCAGUCUGGGAUGGGUCAGGUGUCGGUCUUAGUGUCGGUCUUCGGAGGUGAAACGGUUAACCAGAAAAUGGAAUUACUAGUCGUGACUUGUGAUAUCUACGAUUAUUGUUAUUGUUGACUAACACGUGAUAUUAUUGUUAUUACCGAGUAUCUCUGGGAUGGUUCUACCUCCGGGAUAUUCAUUAUGAUUGUUUCUUUUAAAGCCCUUUAUGUGGCGUCGCUCAGACGCCCGACUGCGGCAUUUCUUUUAAAUCCCUUUAUGAGGCGUCGCUCAGACGCCCGACUGUGGCAUUUCUUUUAAAGCCCUUUAUGUGGCGUCACUCAGACGCCCGACUGUGCCAUUUCUUUUAAAGCCCUUUAUGUGGCGUCGCUCAGACGCCCGACUGUGGCAUUUCUUUUAAAGCCCUUUAUGUGGCGUCGCUCAGACGCCCGACUGUGGCAUUUCUUUUAAAGCCCUUUAUGUGGUGUCGCUCAGACGCCCGACUGUGGCAUUUCUUUUAAAGCCCUUUAUGUGGUGUCGCUCAGACGCCCGACUGUGGCAUUGCUUGUUAUCUAUUUCAUAAAUUUUAAUACUACUAUGUUAUUGCAUUUUAUAAAUAACUUGCUUGCACACAUUAGAGUUUCAUUUAUCUAUUGUGACUGACGUCAUGAGCAUAAAAUGUUUUCAGCACAUCAUUGUUAUAUUAUACCUGUGUUCAUAAUGUUUGCGAGUACAUUCAAAGUACUCACUGGCUUGUCCCUGGCUAUUGUCUUGGCCAGAUUUUCUUGCACGGAGAGGAGCGACGCGAUGCCAGCCCCGGAACCCACUCAAUGGAGAUAGCAGCCUCGCGAAGAUAGGAAUUAACCUGGUCAGCUGUUCCCGUGGGAAAUGGAGUCCCAUAGACACUGAUGUUUCACAACCCGCUUCCGCCAUCAACCACUAGAAACCAUUUGUUGUACUCACAGGCCAGAAUGGUCUUGUACUACAUAUUUUGUAUUUUGCUUGGAAUUUCUGAAUCAAGUUGGAGCCUCAUCAGCUAACAGUAAUCCUGGGGCUGAUGAGCACGACGGUCUUUUCUGGAAAUUUAUUACCCGGAAAACCCGGUCGUGACAUGAUCUUCCUUUCUAAUGUAAUUUUCAAACUCAUAAAGGCAUUGGCUAGGGUGCAUACUAUGAGGAUUAUCAUUAUCAUUAAAUUUCAUUAUAGAACUUACCUCUACCACCUUAGGUGGUGGUGGUGUAUCAAGCCCAUGUAUUUCUUCAAUAGGAGGUAAAAUUUUAACAUCCUCAGCUUUAAUAUCUUUUUCUCUCAUAGAUUUCUUUGCUGCUUGCAUAUCUUUAGAACUGAGAUAUAAGAUACCCCUCUUCUUCGGAGUGGGUUUAGGUGGUGGUUCAGGAAGAUUCCAAUCAUCAUAAUUUUUCAAUAUGUUAUUCAAUAUUUCUUCAGCUUGUCCAAUAGUUCGUUCCCUGAAAACACAACCAGCACAACUAUCUAGGAAAUCCCCAGAAGCAUCGGUUAGUCCAUUAUAGAAGAUAUCAAGUAUUUCAUUUUUCUUAAGAGGAUGAUCAGGCAAAGCAUUAAGCAAUUGGAGAAGCCUCCCCCAAGCUUGUGGGAGACUCUCUUCUUCAAUUUGCACAAAGUUCAAUAUUUCCUGUAAGGCAGCUUGUUUCUUAUGAGCAGGAAAAUAUUUCUCAGAGAAGUAAUAAAUCAUGUCCUGGGGACUACGCACACAACCAGGAGCAAGAGUAUUGUACCAAACUUUAGCAUCACCCUUUAAUGAGAAUGGGAAUAAUUUGAGAAUGUAAUAAUAGCGUAUUUUCUCAUCAUGAACGGGAAUAAUUCGGAUGUAACUUUUCGAGUAGAUGAUUUUUCAUAUAAAAACUUUUUCAUCCGAGUUAGUAUGCAAAAGUUAUGCCCCUUUUUACAAAUUUCAGAGAGAUUUUGCAAAUAAAGUCAAAAUUCACAUUUGCAAAUUUUCCCAACAACUAGACCACAUAUCACAUGAGAAACUUAUUUUCUUUUAUUUUUUUGACAUUUCCAUUAUUUUCUUUUAUUUUUUUUUAAACUGAANNNNNNNNNNNNNNNNNNNNNNNNNNNNNNNNNNNNNNNNNNNNNNNNNNNNNNNNNNNNNNNNNNNNNNNNNNNNNNNNNNNNNNNNNNNNNNNNNNNNNNNNNNNNNNNNNNNNNNNNNNNNNNNNNNNNNNNNNNNNNNNNNNNNNNNNNNNNNNNNNNNNNNNNNNNNNNNNNNNNNNNNNNNNNNNNNNNNNNNNNNNNNNNNNNNNNNNNNNNNNNNNNNNNNNNNNNNNNNNNNNNNNNNNNNNNNNNNNNNNNNNNNNNNNNNNNNNNNNNNNNNNNNNNNNNNNNNNNNNNNNNNNNNNNNNNNNNNNNNNNNNNNNNNNNNNNNNNNNNNNNNNNNNNNNNNNNNNNNNNNNNNNNNNNNNNNNNNNNNNNNNNNNNNNNNNNNNNNNNNNNNNNNNCCCCAAACCGGGACUAAAGGUCUAAUCUUUAGUCCCGGUUUGAGGCACGAACCGGGACUAAAGGUCAUCACACCCUUUAGUCCCGGUUCAUGUCUUAAACCGGGACUAAAGGGCCCGAGUGAACCGGGACUAAUGCGUUAGCCGCACGAACCGGGACCAAUGCUCACAUUAGUCUCGGUUCUAGACUGAACCGGGACUAAUGGGCUGAGCCGGCCUGGACCAUAGCCCUGUUUUCUACUAGUGUAUGGGCUCGGGCCUCGCUCUCAAGAACAAAAUAUCUUCCCCUAUUGUGAACAUCAAAGAGACAAGGUGCAAGCAAAUAUGUGUCCACAACGGAACUUUGAUUAAACAACAAUUUAUAAGUGAAAUUAUGGGGUUCACCUCUAAGGAUCUUAUGACGUUUCAUAGCAUCAAAGUCAAAGUACUACAUGGGUAAAAUAGGGUCAUAGGGCAAAGGUGAAACACCCAGCUCUCUUGCUAAGCUUGUGCCAUAAAUUCCACCAUAAAAAUAUCCACUACCAGCGUUGUGUUGCAACCUACGCACAAAAACGCUCCAAGAUUAUAACUUUUGUCACCGGUGAGAGCGAUGCGUGUGAGGCUCAAGUCUGGAGCACAAAGUGUACUACAAUCUUGUUUACCUACAAUACAUUUUCCAUUAAAUAAUGCAAAGUACUGGAUUGAGGGAAAAUGAAUGCUCUUUAUUCUACCUUGCAUCACUCCCCUAGUGUCACCAUAGCAAAGACUAGUCAAGAAUAUCUCAAACUCAGAUCUCGGUGGUUUGUCAAGCGAACCCCAGAAUGGGGAUUUUACAGUGGUGAGAAAAUCUCUCUAAAGAUAUGGUAAAUGGAUUUACAUACAGUUUAAAUGACACCCUAGACUCACGGGGAUGGAGUUUAAAUCCUUUGGUAAACGAUUCAGUGAGAGUGAGGUGUUGGUUGCACUUAUCUGAAAUGUAGGGACCGAGAUCGACAUUGUGAACACAUUGCUCAAAUUCUUCCUUAAUGCCCACACUCACCAUAUAAUCAUUGCAUGGCCAUAAGCAUGUUUUGGUAGCAGCAUCUCGAAUGGAACUUUCACUUGGUUCAACAUAAGACCGACGAGCAGAGCUGCUACUAAAAGAUGCCUUCGAGGAUCUUGUUGGGGAUAUUACUACUGGGCAUAAACCGGCCUAUUUGGGCCGGGUUAACUUCAUCAGUAGUUCAAAGGUGUUAAAGCCCAAAGAGGCAGAUAAGGGCCCAAGGCCCGUAGUCGGUUUAGGACUUGCAGCCGUAAACCGGCUUUGUAUGUAAACUUGUAUUGUAAGUAAGGAAUAAGGAGAGACCAACCCGGAUACGAGUAUGAACCGGUGUUGGGACUCUAUGAACCGACGGGCGUCACCCAUGUAUAUAAGGGGACGACCCGGCGGCGGUUCAGGACAGACAACAACAACUCGAGACUUAGGCGAAGCUUGUUUGCUCCCUAGUCAUCGAAACCCCAUCAAUUCCAUCACAACUAGACGUAGGCUUUUACCUUCAUCGAAGGGGCCGAACUAGUAUAAAACCCUCUUGCGUCCCUGUGUCCGCUUUAACCCCUUCAAGCUAACUCGUUGCUAUGGCUCCACGACUAAGUCCUUUCAUGAGGACAUCUGCCGUGACAAAACCACGACAGUUGGCGCCCACCGUGGGGCUAUCCCACGAUGGUUUGAAGUUCUUGGAGGGCCGCUUCAAAGGACUCGAGGGCUACGCUGUGGGCCGGAUGACUAAGAGUCGUCGCGGCAAGCUCUAAAUCAACGAUGCAGGCUGGGGCCCCGAGGCCGGCUCGAUUGAAUACGGGUACUGGGUCCCCUUUGGUGGCAUACACGUUUUCAUUGGCAAAAUCGGUGAACCGGGCCCUGAGCUGGACAUCUGCACCGACCUCGUCGAAACAGCUCAGCAUGCACGAUCUGCCCAGGUUAAACCAGCCGUGAAGCGUGCCUUUGUGGGAGUCAUCCAUGGAGGAAGUUAUGAGGAUGGAUCAGAAUCUAGUGGCAAGACCGUCGUUUAUUCCGGCGACGAGUCGUCAACCGGAGAAACUGAAUCUCUGUAUCAGCUACAAGAUGGCUGGAUUGGGGGCUGUUCCGAUGGUGAGAGUAUUCCGGACCCCUCCGAUCUACCCAACCGGGUUGGAAUAUUCAUGGCUGGUACACAGGCAGUGCUUCAUUCUUCGACCGCUGCAGCAAUGACCUCCGGUUCAGUAGCAGUGAUGGCUGCCGGGGUAGGAGGCUCUGUGCGCCCGCCGGCUCAAGUCUUAUCAGAUCUGUUCGAUGCGUUGGCUGCGCUCAUGGAAGAGGCUAACCCGGCGGAUCAGGACGCUCACAAUGCGGAGAUUGUAAAGGUGAGGGAGAAGAUCACUCAGGCCAAAGCGGAUCUAGCAGCUGAAGAGGUCAGGAUGACGGCAGAGCGGGCUGCUUUGGACGCACAAGCUUACAGGCUCAUGCUGGACCAGAACGCGUCGCAGGAAGUCACGAGGAGGAAGUACCAAUCUCGUCUGCCUUCAGUCUUCGAAGCGAGAGACCUCUUCAACACCCCUAGAGCGGGAACCAGUAAUCCGCCAGCGGUAAACCGGGCGGAGGCACCUGGGACGGGCGCACCAGUCCAGCCCCGUUUAAUAGAUCUGCCCCGUAAUAAUACUGGUGUACCUCAGGCUGUGCCAACACCUCCGGGUCACUACUCCAAUCCGAUGGACAACCUUGUUGCAGCUGCUGCACGGCUGGAGGCCAUUCCAAUUGAAGGUGAUUCGCUACAGGCGAUAGAGACGCGCCGGGUCAAGGAGCUCCUUAGGAAAGCUUUGGUCCAAUAGGAAGCGUAUUCAUACAGCCGCGACCGGAUCCAUUCUACCCCUCGUCCAAGCCGGAGCUAUAGCAGACAUAUGGAUGAACCGGCCGUGUCGAGUAAUGCGCGGCGUGGAGCGCCCCGUGGUAACAACCCGGCUGGUGGUGUCAAUAACGCUCAGGAAGUGGUGGACCAGGCCCGAGCGCGCAGGGAGGCCGAGUUAGCGGCACAAUAUCAAGCUCGUCAGCUUACACCGGUUCGUCCGACCACCUCGGUCGAUCCUGGAGUUACCUCUAGCUCUUUGGGGGUGCCUUGCCUUGUCCCCGCUUUACGCAAUCUGUGCCUGCCCAAGGAUUUCAAGGGCCCGCGCAAGGUACCAAAUUAUACGGCAGAUCAACCUCCAGAGACAUGGGUGGAGAGCUAUGAGAUGGCCAUGGAGAUGCUUGAUGUGGAUGAUGCAGUGUGUGCGAAGUAUUUUACCAUGAUGCUUGAGGGGACGGCCCGUACAUGGUUAAAAAGCUUACCGGCCAACUCUAUCAGUUCAUGGGCCCAGUUACGAGCCCGGUUUAUCAGUAAUUUCAAGGAUACAUGUAAGCAGCCUAUGUCGAUAGUGGACUUGACUGCCUAUGUCCAGGAGGAAGGAGAAUCGACGACUCAUUGGGUGCGCCGGAUUUCACAAGUUCUGCACUCAUCAGACCGCAUCAACGCUGACACCGCGGUUAUAACCCUAGAAGGCAAUUGCCGGUUUGGGCCCCUAAAGUUGAAGUUAGGGCGGAUGAAGCGCCACUGCACUGACAUGGGGACUCUCAUGGCCGCUUUGGUAAAGUAUGUUGAUUCUGAUAGUACCAAGGAUCCCGAGUCUGAUGAUGACAAGGCAGGGAAGGGAAAGAAGAACGGCAACUCCAAAGGUCAGCAACAUCACUCGACAGGUAAUGGUGGCGGAGGCAAGCGUAAAGUGGAUGGCAACAUGGACUUUGUGGCUAAUACCAGCGCGCAGGACAAGGGCCAGCGACGCAAGGGUAAACCACCGAAUCGCAGUGGAGCGCCUAACCCUAAACCGGACCGCCUAAAUUAUCAAUUGAACCAGCCCUAUCCGAAGCAUGGGACGAAGGAGGUGCCAGCGAACCACCUUUGGAAGGAUUGCUACAUUAUGCAGGAGUUCAAGAAUUCUAAUGCUUUCCGGAAUGACCACGGCUCCGACGGAGGCUCUAGAUUCGGGCCAGGUUACGGUGGAGGAAAUUCCGGUUCAGGAUUUAAUGGUAAUCCGGGCGGACAUAACAAUCAGAAUAAUCAGAAUAACCAGGGUGGUUACAAUCAGCAACAGCAGCAGUCGGGUUACCAGAGCAAUCCAAAACAGUUGAAUAGUGGGCAGUAUCAUGUAUUUACCACUAGCUUGGACAAGCGAGACCGAAAGGCUCAGAAGCGGGCUGUCAACUCCGUUGAACCGGCCGUGCCCCGAUAUCUAUGCUGGUCAGAGCAGCCAAUCAUAUGGAGUAGAGAGGAUCACCCUCCCUGGGUUGACAAUCCGGGUCAGCUAGCGUUGGUGGUGGCACCUUAGGUGGGAGGUUAUAAGUUCACCAAGGUACUCAUGGAUGGAGGAAGCAGCAUUAAUAUCCUGUACUAUGAGACCUUCCGUCGUAUGUGACUAACAGAUAAAGAUCUCAGACCAUCCAAUACGGUGUUCCAUGGUGUGGUACCUGGCAAGUCAGCAUAUCCUAUUGGUAAGAUAGCGCUGGAAGUGGCUUUUGGAGAUGAUCAUGAUUCCAGGUCGGAGACACUGACGUUUGAAGUGGUAAAAAUCCAAAGUCCGUAUCAUGCCUUGUUUGGGUGACCGGCCUACGCCAAGUUUAUGGCACGGCCCUGUUAUGUGUAUUUGCAGCUCAAAAUGCCGGGUCACAAGGGGACAACAACGGUUCACGGAAGCCGGAAAGUCGCUUUGGAAUGUGAGGAAGGUGAUGCGGCCUACGCAUAGUCGGUUUGUGCCACCGAGGAGCUGAAGUAUUACAAGGACAAUGUUGAUCCGACGAACAUGACUCCAUUGAAGAAACCAACAACGGAGCAUGAUCCCGCCCUGAAGUUCAAAUUGGCAGCUGAGACUAAGCUUGUUGACUUCGUGCCUGGCGAUUCGUCCAAGCAGUUCAGCAUCAGUGCCAAUCUGGAUCCGAAAUAGGAAAGCGCGCUCAUCAAGUUCAUCCGUGAGAAUCGGGACAUUUUUGCAUGGAAGCCUUCUGACAUGCCAGGUUUACCGAGGUGACUCACUAAGCACACUCUUAAUGUGGAUCCUAAGUACAAACCGGUGAAACAGUUCCUCUGCCGGUUUAACGAAGAAAGGCGCAAGGCUAUUGGAGAAGAGGUGGCCAGGCUCUUAGCAGCUGGCUUUAUUGUUGAAGUUUUUCACCCUGAAUGGCUUGCUAAUCCGGUGCUGGUCCUUAAGAAAAAUGGCACCUGGCGUAUGUGUGUGGAUUACACAGACCUUAAUAAGGCUUGUCUAGCAGAUCCUUUUGCUCUCCCUCGUAUUGAUCAAAUCAUUGAUGCUACGGCGGGUUGUGAGCGUUUGAGCUUUUUGGAUGCAUAUUCUGGCUAUCAUCAGAUCAAAAUGGCAGUUAAGGACCAGGAGAAGACGGCGUUCAUAACUCCCUUUGGAGCCUUCUGCUAUGUGUCUAUGCCUUUUGGGCUCAAGAGUGCCCAGACAACCUAUCAACAGUGUGUGCAAAAUUGUCUUCACAAGCAGAUUGGCCGUAAUGUACAUGCUUACGUGGAUGAUAUUGUGGUUAAGUCAAGGAAGAAGGAGACUCUGGUUGACGAUUUGAAGGAAACUGUUGAUAACCUGAGGACAUACAAGAUGAUGCUCAAUCCGGCCAAGUGUGUCUUUGGUGUACCGGCAGGCAAGUUAUUGGGUUUUCUGGUGUCCAAUAGGGGAAUCGAGGCUAAUCCGGAGAAGAUCACAGCCAUCACCUCCCUGGCUAAGCCUAAGUGUAUCAAUGAUGUUCAACGCCUGGCAGGCCGGAUUGCCGCGUUGAGCCGGUUUAUGAGUCGCCUUGGUUAGAAGGCAAUCCCUUUGUAUCAGAUGUUGAAGAAAACGGAUCAGUUCGUCUGGAGUUUGGCUGCGCAUAAGGCGUUUGAGGACUUAAAGCGGCAAUUGGCCAAUCCGCCUGUGCUUGCCGCUCCCAUUGACAAGGAGCCGCUACUGCUAUAUGUUGCUGCUAAUGCUCGUGCAGUCAGUGUGGCUAUUGUGGCGGAGCGGAAGGAGGCAGGCAAGGAGCAUCCGGUUCAGCGUCCGGUUUACUAUAUCAGCGAGGUACUCAUUGAAUCCAAGCAAAGGUAUCCGCAUUGGCAAAAGCUGGUAUAUGGAGUUUUCAUGGCAAGCCGGAAACUGAAGCAGUAUUUCCAAGGGCACCCCAUCACAGUGGUCAGUUCUGCCCCCUUGGGUGAUAUCAUCCAGAACCGGGAAGCAACUGGCCGGAUUGCCAAAUGGGCUAUACAAGUUGGGCCGCAUGGGUUGAAGUACGUGCCUCGAACGGCGGUGAAGUCUCAGGCACUUGUUGAUUUCAUCAAUGAUUGGACGGAGUUGCAAGCACCUGAAGAGAAGCCGGAUCCCACAUAUUGGACCAUCCAUUUUGACGGAUCACGACAAUUGGAGGGCUCGGGGGCUGGAGUCGUCUUAACUUCCCCACGAGGUGACAAGUUAUGUUACGUUCCCCGCUUAAUGUUCCCUUGUACUAACAAUGCAGCUGAGUAUGAAGCCUUGCUGCAUGGUCUCUGGAUGGCUAAAGAGAUGAAUCUAGGCCGGGUUAAGUGCUUCGGUGACUCGGACCUAGUGGCUCAACAGGUGUCUGGCUCUUGGGAUUCUAAGGACCCACUCAUGGCUGCAUAUCAUCGUGAGGUGGACAUUGUUGCAGGUCACUUUAAAGGCUAUCAGGUGGACCACGUGGACCGUUGGAAGAAUGAAGCGGCGGACGCUUUAAGCCGGUUGGGAUCUCAGCGUAAACCGGUCCCGCCUAAUGUUUUUCUUGAUGUGCUGCACAACCCGUCGGUCAAGCUCCCUGGUGAAGCGGAUUUGGCUAUUCCUGAUCCGGAGGCUCAAUUGGUGGCAGCUCUUCACGUCAUUCUGGAUUAGACGCUUCCUUACCUGGCGUACAUGAACCGGGGCGAGUUACCAGAGGAUGAGACUCUGGCCCGGCAGAUAAUACGGCGGUCCAAGUCCAUGACUAUCGUCAAUGGUGAGUUGCAUCAUUGCAGUGUAUCAGGGGCGUUUCAACGCUGUGUAUCUCCUGAAGAAGGCCGUGAAAUUUUGCGUGAAAUCCACGAAGGGGAUUGCGGUCACCACGCCGGUUCAAAAUCUUUGGUGGCUAAAGCAUUCCGCCAUGGCUUCUAUUGGUUAACUGCCCAUGCUGAUGCGGAGGAUCUGGUCAGACGAUGUGACGGUUGCCAAAAGUUCUCAAGACGCGCUCAUGUGCCGGCUCAAGAAUUGAGGAUGAUUCCAAUCACUUGGCCGUUUGCAACUUGGGGGCUGGAUAUGGUUGGGCCUUUCAAAAGGUCCAAGGAUAAGAAGACCCACCUACUGGUGGCGGUUGAUAAGUUUACAAAGUGGGUGGAGGCAGAACCUGUUAGCAAGUGUGAUGCGGCCACGGCGGUUCAGUUCAUCAAAAAGGUGAUUUUCCGGUUUGGCUUUCCACACAGUAUCAUCACAGAUAAUGGUACCAAUUUAUCCAAGGGGGCCAUGAAGGAGUUCUGCGAACGAGAGCACAUCUGGCUUGACGUUUCAUUAGUAGCCCACCCACAGUCCAAUGGUCAAGCAGAAAGAGCUAAUCAAGAGAUCUUGAGAGGCAUCAAACCCCGGCUUAUGGUUCCUUUGCAAAGGACACCGGGUUGUUGGGUAGAAGAGCUACCAUCUGUGUUAUGGAGUAUCAAUACUACGCCUAACAGAUCCACAGGAUACACACCGUUCUUCAUGGUCUAUGGAGCGGAGGCAGUUCUCCCCAGUGAUAUCCGUCAUGACUCACCUCGUGUGGCGGCUUAUGUUGAAGCGGACAAUGAGAAGGCGCGGCAAGAUGCUUUGGACCUUUUGGAUGAGGAGCGUGACAUAGUAGCUGCCCGCUCGGCGAUUUACCAAUAGGAUCUUCGUCGUUAUCACAGUCGCCGAGUCAGAACCAGAACCUUUCAAGAAGGAGAUUUGGUGCUCCGGCUAAUCCAAGAUCAGACUGAUAUGCAUAAGUUAUCCCCGCCUUGGGAGGGACCUUUUGUGGUCAGCAAGAAUCUGCACAACGGGUCAUACUAUCUGAUCGAUAUUCGAGAGCAUAGAGACUCACGUACAUCAGAGGAGGAGACCAACAGGCCGUGGAAUAUAGCUCAUCUUCGGCCUUACUAUACCUGAGCCAUCGGCUCUACUUAUGUACAUACUAUGACAGUGUAUAUAUUAUGAUUAAUAUAAUAAACCGGAGCCUCAGCUAAAGCGGGGUAUCUGUUCUUUUACAUCAUGCGAGGUUACACGGAGUUGUUCUGUCUUAAAGCGGCCUCCAGUUUACCCCUUGAAAGUUUUAUAAACAUCACUUGGGGGCUUGGUCGUGUCCGAACCAAUGCAACACCUUUUGAUAGGCGAUUCGCCACCAGUUCACUUGGGGACAUGGUCAAGUCUGAACCAGUCAUGCCUCUUGAUCGGCCUAAGGCCAUAGAAUCAUUUGGGGGCUUGGUCGAACCCGAACCAUUGCCACACCUCUUGAUCGGCAUAAUGCCACGGUUUCAUUUGGGGACCUGGCUGACUUGAACCAUAGCUACACCUAUCGGGAGCUUGGUCGCGUCCGACCAUGGUAACACCAUCUGAUCGGCUCAGUAAAGCCUCUUUUUGCAAACGGUUUUAUCAUUGCCUUUGCUUCAAUAUUUUUCUUAAUAACUAUUGCUUUAUCUUUGUUGCGUUUUUAAAUCGACAACGUUUUAAAACCGGUUCAAACUGUCAAUUGACGGGACAUGGUCCAUUUUUAAUCCGGAGAUUAUUUGCCCGGUUUGAUUUUUUCUGUUAACAUCCUAUUAUGGAGUAGCAUGGUCUUUAUCAUAACCCGGCCCGGUUUACAUGAUAAACCGGUAUUGAAUACACAGGAGCUGUUUUCUCCUUUGACGGUCUAGGUUUCUAAACCUCCACUUCAAGAGUGGCUAUGCCAACUCCAUGCCUAGUAAUGGCAGGUAUUUUGUAUCACAAAAUUUGAUCACAUACCUCAAUUUCAUUGCAUAUAUAUGUAAAAGUCAUAAACCGGCUGGCGGAACAACCACCGCAGCAGUUUAAGAUUUUGUGAUUGCAGGAAAUAUAGAUUGAAGGUUUUGAUCAUUCAAACAAAAGUACCAGCACCUAUGCACGAAGGCAUCUCAAAAGCAAGAGUAUUGGCUAUCCUAUUACAAGGCAACAUGGUGCCCAAAUAAGAUCAUUGUUUUUCUUGGCGGAAUAUAAUGAAGCAGCCAUUUAAACCGGUCUCCGAUUCAAGCUUGUUCACCGCCCUGGUCUGAUGGUUGUGGGUCGUCCUGCGCCGCUUCAGCUUCUUCUUCCCUACCCAGUGGCUGGAAGUCAACAGUGGUCCAGUUGAUUCCCAUUAAGGCUUGAAAGACAGCUUCGUCAUGGAUCAGUGAAGAUGGUUCAAUAUCAGGAGCGUAAGUAUGCUUACGGAUUGGAGGGAUCAGAUUCUCCGCUUCAGGAAUUGGUGCAGCCACUCGUUUGUUUUGAUUGUUAUAUUCAGCUUGAUAAUGCGACAAGUCUGCCUCUUCCACCAAUUGGCAGGCCAGAGGGCGCACCGCCCGGUUUAUUGCUCUCAGGUCAUCUUCAUUGAACUCUGAACCGUCUUCCUUCAAGCUGGGAUAGCCCUGAGCUGCCUCAACAGGAUCGAAAUCCGGCACCCAUGCUUUUGCCCGGAUUAAGGCAUUGAUGGCACCGGUUCGAGCAGCAGAUUUCUUAAGCUCUUCAACCCGGGCGGGAAGCAUUGACAACCUCUUAAGAGUAUCUUGAAUUAAAGUGGGCGCUGAAUUGUUAUGUGAUGCAGUAGAAAUGAUCCGCUGCGCUCCAGUAUACAGCUGUUCGAUUAAGGUGUAGGCGGCUUUCAAUUUUAUCCGAACAUCUGACCCCAAGUGACCAAUGCGUGUGCCUGCAACAUGACAAAAAAGUUCACAAACCGGAUCUAUCAUCAGAAGGCCAAAUUAUUACAAAAGACAAAGGACGUUUACUAAAGAUGGCGGCAGUCAUGGCAUGCACUUGUCGCUUUACGUUGUACAGCUCAUCCACCACCGGUUUAAGGGCGGCUUCAGCAGUUUCAAUUUUCUUGGUCAAAGCGGCCUUCUCAGUGGCCCAAUCCGUCCGCUCUUUCUUGAAGCCCUCUUUAAGUUGUUCCAUGAUGCUUAAAGCGCUGGUCAAUUCCUCUUUCGCCUUUGAGGUUUCAGCUUGGUGGGAUUUCAAAUUUUCUUGAAGAUCGGCGAGUUGGCUUUAUUUGGUCUUCAGCUCAGCCUGAAUACAGACAAUCAUAUGAUUUAACAAACGGUACAAGAAUUGAAGUACCAACCACAUAACAAGUUAUGCACUUGGCACUUGGGGGCUAAUGCAUAUUUGAUCUUCAAUUGUCAAUUGAUUGCAAAGUCCCAAGCUCAAUACAAGUAUUAAACUUGGCACUUGGGGGCUAAUGGCUAUUUGCUCCAGUAAGUUCUGAUGUUGCCAUGUUAAUUACUUAAGUCCCGGUUUAACUACAAUAAGUUGAACCGGCCCUUGGGGGCUACAUCAGUGAAUUCUGAAGCAUUGAUAUAUGUAUUGGAAAUUCCCAGUUUGAAUGAAGAUUCUAAACCGGCCCUUGGGGCCCAGGAGAGUGGACAAGAUUGACAUAUCUAAGCAGGAAAAAGCACAUGGAAGUUACCUCAAAUUUUUCUUUCAUCAUAUUCACCAAACCGGCUUCAUAGUCACGGCUGGUAUACAGCCGGUUCAGAUAGCCGGAAUGAAGAUCUUGGGCAUUCAGAGCGGCGUAAGUCGCCAGAUCAACAUUCCACUUGCCUUUGCUCAUGGCGGUGAAUUCUUCCUUGGCAGUAUGCUUGGAUAAGGCGACCGGAUUGCUUGGCUCGGUAUGGCCAACACUAGUAAUAACAACUUCAUCAUCCUGGGCGUCACCGGUUUGCACUAGGACUAUCGGUUUACCAGUAGUCUUGGAUGGGCUGGCGGAUUUCUCAAUCCGGAUGGGACUUCUGGCUGGUUGGUCGGACCGGAGGAGCCAACAGGCCUUUCUUCAGCAAUAAAAUCCUCAUCUUGCAGUGGCGGGUCAUUGGGCACGUCUUCACGAAUAGCCGCUUCAAGAUCUGGGGUGUUGUCCAGUUCAGGGGCAGUUUCUUCUUCGGCCGCUUUAUCCAGGCGAGCCUUCUUGCUCGGCCUAGGCUUGGCCCUGAAAAGUAGUGAUAAAUCAAAAACAGCGUAUGUUACAAAGUAACGCACCAGAAAUAUUAAGUAUAAGCUUACCCAAGCAGAGUUUUCAGUGGUGGCAGCUUAGUAGCUGAUGACUCGCCGGAGGAUGAGUGGGAAGUAACCUGAUAAUCGGAGUCAGAUGGAUUAAGCUGUUGACGAAAAUAGCCCGCUUUAGGACAAGUACUGACAAGCAAAUUAGAGACCUCUGAACGGCGUUUUCGAACCGGGUUGUUCGGUAAACCGGCGGAGGUAACUACCUGGCCGCUGUGCCGAGUUGUGCGGCGAGCUUCGUGCUGUUGGGUCUUCAAAAGAAAUUUGGGAUCCAAGUAUGCAAGAGGAUGAGAAAAAUUAACUUCCCGGUUUGCCUGACGAAUUUUUAGUGAAGGCAAAAGGUUCGAAUCAGAAGAGACAGUAAUUACCUCUGCAGCAUCAGCAUGACUAGCCUCGGCAUCAUUCUGACAAGUAUUAUCAUCAAUAAGGCGUGUAAAAAGUAAGCCAAGUGAAUCAAGUUCUACCUCAAGGUCCGGAUUACCCACAUCGUCAUCAGCGGGCGGAUCAGAAGAUGCAGUGGUUUUUCUCUUAUGAGCAGGCCUCUUAACGACUUUGGUCUUUGGCCGGAUUGGUCUUUCCGAUUUGUCUGGCUUUUUCUGGUUUCUCCUGAGGAAGCUUCUUGCUCCAAAACGGAUCAUCGCCCUGUUUAAGCAGCAGUUGAUAUUAAAGAAUAUACAGGAAUAACAAUGACAUGUUCAGUAAAAAAGUACAGUCAAAAUCUUACAACUGGCAGUUUGUUGGUAGCACAGAAGGGAAGCAGGCCGGUUCGAGCGCAGAGGUGUUCCGAUUCGUUCAACAUUUUCUUCACAGCUUCUGUGACCUCGUCGUCUGUGAGCUGGAUGUUAAUAUGUCAGAGUGGGUCAUCGACAUUACCAGUAUACUUGCACAUCAAACCGGAGCGCUGGCUGAGGGGUAGUAUGCUCCAUGAUAUCCAACAGCGUGCGAGAUCAAUUCCUGUUAAACCAUUGGCCAUGAAGGCUCUGAGCUUGGAUAGUUGAGGAGUGUAUUUACUUCUCUCCUUGGCAGUCAACCUUUGCGGAAAGGGGUGUGUAUUGCUAAGCUGCUCAGGACGAAAGCCAUGCAAAGGAUUUUCAUUAGCAAGGAAGGUGUCUUUGCAAUAGAACCAUGUUUGAUUCCACUCCUUGGGGUGGCUGUGCAGUUUGGCAUGAGGAUAAGUGACCUCCUUCCUUUUCUGAAUCGCCAUACCACCCAAUUCCAUAUUGGAACCAUCAGUGAAUUCCGUGCGGCGGUUUAGGUGGAAGCAGUCUCUGAACAACUCAACUGUGGGUUCCUCUUGAAAGUAUGCCUCACAGAGCACUUGGAAGUGGCAUAUGUUGGUAACAGAGUUGGGGCCCGUGUCUUGCGGGCGGAGUUGAAAAUUGGCUAAGACAUCCAGAUAGAAUUUUGAUCCAGGAGGACUAAAACCCCGGGCUAAGUGAUCUGCAAAAACGACAACCUCUCCCUCUUGAGGUGUGGGCGGACAUUCUUUACCAGGGACCCUCCAGUGGAUGGUGUCUUUGCUGCUUAAAGCGCCAGUCAGGACCAGAUUGUUCAAUUGAGUUUCUAUGACGCGAGAAGGAGCCCAGUUGCACUCAUAUACUUGUUUGGCCAUGAUGAAAUCUACAAAUAAGUAAUUCCGGUUCAAGCAUGUGUUGGGACAAGUGUGCACUGGUGUGUACAAUGUUAAAUCGAAGACAGCUACAUCCAAACCGGAGUUCAAUGAAGCGACAGUGUCUGGUUAAAGAGUUCUGGCGGUUCAACAAGGGGACUAAUGGUAUAUACCGGUUUAUUAAUUUUUUCUACACUAAGUUAAACCGCCUGAUCUAAACAGUGAAGCAAUUGAGGUUGCGGAUGGCUAAGUAUACAGAAACAGGUUUCACAAAGUCUUGCUGCAGCGAUGGAUCUAAAGCGAGUUCAGAAAGAAAAAAUAUUCAAAGACUUAAAGCAGAGCGGAAGUGAAUCAAUGGACAGAUAUAUAGAUCAGAUCUAUGGACUUAAGCAUGAAACUACAGGCGGAUGCGAAAAACUACUGUUACUCAGAGCAGGGUUUCACAGAUCUAUCCAGGAGCUAAUACAUGAAUAUGAACAGUUGAUGAGCACCGCAAGAACAUGAAACCCUAGAACUGAUCUAGGUUGAGAAGAACAAAGGACCUACCAGAGCUGGGGAAGAUGCGGGAGAUCGUAGCGGUUUUCUGGUGCGUUCAGGUUGAUGCAGCGGCCAAAGUUGGUGCUGGAGACGACGGUGGCGGCGGAGCUCUAAAGCUGGCGACGCGAGGAAGACGAAGAAGAGAAGGCACGAAGGGAAGAAAGGAAAUGACCUCUCGGUCUUAUUUAUAAAGCAAAAGGACAUGUGUCAGGCACGACAAACCAGGGGACAUGUGUCAGGCACGACAAACCUUGGUGAGAAGGCAAUAUCCUCGAUUUUCGCAGAUCUACUAAAUGAAGAGAUAUCAUGGAUACUUUCUUUAUGACGGACGACGUCACCCCGGUUUAAUAGAAUUGGAGAAGAUGACAUCACGGCGGUUCAACAAUUGCAAGAAGAUGUUGAAGAUGAAGAUUUCUGCUAAGGAUUGACAUGAACUUGUUCAAAUCAACCUGGGGCCUAAUGUUGGGGAUAUUACUACUGGGCGUAAACCGGCCUAUUUGGGCUGGGUUAACUUCAUCAGUAGUUCAAAGGUGUUAAAGCCCAAAGAGGCAGAUAAGGGCCCAAGGCCUGUAGUCGGUUUAGGACUUGCAGCCAUAAACCAGCUUUGUAUGUAAACUUGUAUUGUAAGUAAGGAAUAAGGAGAGACCAACCCGGAUACGAGUAUGAACCGGUGUUGGGACUCUAUGAACCGACGGGCGUCACCCAUGUAUAUAAGGGGACGACCCGGAGGGGUUCAGGACAGACAACAACAACUCGAGACUUAGGCGAAGCUUGUUUGCUCCCUAGUCAUCGAAACCCCAUCAAUUCCAUCACAACUAGACGUAGGCUUUUACCUUCAUCGAAGGGGCCGAACUAGUAUAAAACCCUCUUGCGUCCCUGUGUCCGCUUUAACCCCUUCAAGCUAACCCGUCGCGAUGGCUCCACGACUAAGUACUUUCAUGAGGACAUCUGCAGUGACAAAACCACGACAGUUGGCGCCCACCGUGGGGCUAUCGCAUGAUGGUUUCAAGUUCUUGGAGGGCCGCUUCAAAGGACUCGAGGGCUACGCUGUGGGCCGGAUGACUAAGAGUCGUCGCGGCAAGCUCUACAUCGAUGAUGCGGUCUGGGGCCCCGAGGCCGGCUCGAUUGAGUACGGGUACCGGGUCCCCUUUGGUGGCAUACACGUUUUCAUUGGCAAAAUCGGUGAACUGGGCCCUGAGCUGGACAUCUGCACCGACCUCAUCGAAACAGCUCAACAUGCACGAUCUGCCCAGGUUAAACCAGCUGUGAAGCGUGCCUUUGUGGGAGUCAUCCACGGAGGAAGUUAUGAGGAUGGAUCAGAAUCUAGUGGCAAGACCGUCGUUUAUUCUGGCGACGAGUCGUCAACCGGAGAAACUGAAUCUCUGUAUCAGCUACAAGAUGGCCGGAUUGGGGGCUGUUCCGAUGGUGAGAGUAUUCCGGACCCCUCCGAUCUACCCAACUGGGUUGGAAUAUUCAUGGCUGGUACACAGGCAGUGCUUCAUUCUUCGACCGCUGCAGCAAUGACCUCCGGUUCAGUAGCGGCGAUGGCUGCCGGGGUAGGAGGCUCUGUGCGCCCGCCGGCUCAAGUCUUAUCAGAUCUGUUCGAUGCGUUGGCUGCGCUCAUGGAAGAGGCUAACCCGGCGGAUCAGGACGCUCACAAUGCGGAGAUUGUAAAGGUGAGGGAGCAGAUCACUCAGGCCAAAGCAGAUCUAGCAGCUGAAGAGGUCAGGAUGACGGCAGAGCGGGCCGCUUUGGACGCACAAGCUUACAGGCUUAUGCUGGACCAGAACGCGUCGCAGGAAGUCAUGAGGAGGAAGUACCAAUCUCGUCUGCCUUCAGUCUUCGAAGCCAGAGACCUCUUCAACACCCCUGGAGCGGGAACCAGUAAUCCGCCAGCGGUAAACCGGGCGGAGGCACCUGGGACGGGCGCACCGGUCCAGCCCCGUUUAAUAGAUCUGCCCCGUAAUAAUAUUGGUGUACCUCAGGCUGUGACAACACCUCCGGGUCACUACUCCAAUCCGAUGGACAACCUUGUUGCAGCUGCUGCACGGCUGGAGGCCAUUCCAAUUGAAGGUGAUUCGCUACAGGCGAUAGAGACGCGCCGGGUCAAGGAGCUCCUUAGGACAGCUUUGGUCCAACAGGAAGCGUAUUCAUACAGCCGCGACCGGAUCCAUUCUACCCCUCGUCCAAGCCGGAGCUAUAGCAGACAUAUGGAUGAACCGGCCGUGUCGAGUAAUGUGCGGCGUGCAGCGCCCCGUGGUAACAACCCGGCUGGUGGUGUCGAUAACGCUCAGGAAGUGGUGGACCGGGCCCGAGCAGGCAGGGAGGCCGAGUUAGCGGCACAAUAUCAAGCUCGUCAGCUUACACCGGUUCGUCCGACCACCUCGGUCGAUCCUGGAGUUACCUCUAGCUCUUUGGGGGUGCCUUGCCUUGUCCCCUCUUUACGCAAUGUGCGCCUGCCCAAGGAUUUCAAGGGCCCGCGCAAGGUACCAAACUAUACGGCGGAUCAACCUCCAGAGACAUGGGUGGAGAGCUAUGAGAUGGCCAUGGAGAUGCUUGAUGUGGAUGAUGCAGCGUGUGCGAAGUAUUUUACCAUGAUGCUUGAGGGGACGGCCCGUACUUGGUUAAAAAGCUUACCGGCCAACUCUAUCAGUUCAUGGGCCCAGUUACGAGCCCGGUUUAUCAGUAAUUUGAAGGAUACAUGUAAGCAGCCUAUGUCGAUAGUGGACUUGGCUGCCUGUGUCCAGGAGGAAGGAGAAUCAGCGACUCAUUGGGUGCGCUGGGUUUCACAAGUUCUGCAUUCAUCAGACCACAUCAACGCUGACACCGCGGUUAUAACCCUGGAAGGCAAUUGCCGGUUUGGGCCCCUAAAGUUGAAGUUAGGGCGGAUGAAGCGCCACUGCACUGACAUGGGGACUCUCAUGGCCGCUUUGGUAAAGUAUGCUGAUUCUGAUAGUACCAAGGAUCCCGAGUCUGAUGAUGACAAGGCAGGGAAGGGAAAGAAGAAUGGCAACUCCAAAGGUCAGCAACAUCACUCGACAGGUAAUCGUGGCGGAGGCAAGCGUAAAGCGGAUGGCAACAUGGACUUCGUGGCUAAUACCAGCGCGCAGGACAAGGGCCAGCGACGCAAGGGUAAACCGCCGAAUCAUAGUGGAGCGCCUAACCCUAACCCGGACCGCCUAAAUUAUCUAUUGAACCAGCCCUAUCCGAAGCAUGGGACGAAGGAGGUGCCAGCGAACCACCUUCGGAAGGAUUGCUACAUUAUGCAGGAGUUCAAGAAUUCUAAUGCUUUCCGGUAUGACCACGGCUCCGGCGGAGAAGAUCCGGGCCGGGUUACGGUGGAGGAAAUUCCGGUUCAGGAUUUAAUGGUAAUCCGGGCGGACAUAACAAUCAGAAUAAUCAGAAUAACCAGGGUGAUUACAAUCAGCAACAGCAGCAGUCGGGUUACCAGAGCAAUCCAAAACAGUUGAAUAGUGGGCAGUAUCAUGUAUUUACCACUAGCUUGGACAAGCGAGACCGGAAGGCUCAGAAUCGGGCUGUCAACUCCGUUGAACCCGCCGUGCCCCGAUAUCUACGCUGGUCAGAGCAGCCAAUCAUAUGGAGUAGAGAGGAUCACCCUCCCCGGGUUGACAAUCCGGGUCAGCUAGCAUUGGUGGUGGCACCUCAGGUAGGAGGUUAUAAGUUCACCAAGGUACUCAUGGAUGGAGGAAGCAGCAUUAAUAUCCUGUACUAUGAGACCUUCCGUCAUAUGGGACUAACAGAUAAAGAUCUCAGACCGUCCAAUACGGUGUUCCAUGGUGUGUUACCUGGAAAGUCAGCAUAUCCUAUUGGUAAGAUAGCGCUGGAAGUGGCUUUUGGAGAUGAUCAUGAUUCUAGGUCGGAGACACUGACGUUUGAAGUGGUAAAAAUCUAAAGUCCGUAUCAUGCCUUGUUUGGGUGACCGGCCUACGCCAAGUUUAUGGCACGGCCCUGUUAUGUGUAUUUGCAGCUCAAAAUGCCGGGUCACAAGGGGACAACAACGGUUCACGGAAGCCGGAAAGUCGCUUUGGAAUGCGAGGAAGGUGAUGCGGCCUACGUAGAGUCGGUUUGUGCCACCGAGGAGCUGAAGUAUUACAAGGACAAUGUUGAUCCGGCGGACAUGACUCCAUUGAAGAAACCAACAACGGAGCAUGAUCCGGCCCUGAAGUUCAAAUCGGCAGCUGAGACUAAGCUUGUUGACUUCAUGCCUGGCGAUUCGUCCAAGCAGUUCAGCAUCAGUUCCAAUCUGGAUCCAAAAUAGGAAAGCACGCUCAUCAAGUUCAUCCGUGAGAAUCGGGACAUUUUUGCAUGGAAGCCUUCUGACAUGCCAGGUGUACCGAGGUGACUCGCUGAGCACACUCUUAAUGUGGAUCCUAAGUACAAACCGGUGAAACUGUUCCUCUGCCGGUUUAACGAAGAAAGGCGCAAGGCUAUUGGAGAAGAGGUGGCCAGGCUCUUAGCAGCUGGCUUUAUUGUUGAAGUUUUUCACCCUGAAUGGCUUGCUAAUCCGGUGCUGGUCCUUAAGAAAAAUGGCACCUGGCGUAUGUGUGUGGAUUACACAGACCUUAAUAAGGCUUGUCUAGUAGAUCCUUUUGCUCUCCCUCGUAUUGAUCAAAUCAUUGAUGCUACGGCGGGUUGUGAGCGUUUGAGCUUUUUGGAUGCAUAUUCUGGCUAUCAUCAGAUCAAAAUGGCAGUUAAGGACCAGGAGAAGACGGUGUUCAUAACUCCCUUUGGAGCCUUCUGCUAUGUGUCUAUGCCUUUUGGGCUCAAGAGUGCCCAGGCAACCUAUCAACGGUGUGUGCAAAAUUGUCUUCACAAGCAGAUUGGCCGUAAUGUACAUGCUUACGUGGAUGAUAUUGUGGUUAAGUCAAGGAAGAAGGAGACUCUGGUUGACGAUUUGAAGGAAACCUUUGAUAACCUGAGGACGUACAAGAUGAUGCUCAAUCCGGCCAAGUGUGUCUUUGGUGUACCGGCAGGCAAGUUAUUGGGUUUUCUGGUGUCCAACAGGGGAAUCGAGGCUAAUCCGGAGAAGAUCACAGCCAUCACCUCCCUGGCUAAGCCUAAGUGUAUCAAUGAUGUUCAACGCCUGGCAGGCCGGAUUGCCGCGUUGAGCCGGUUUAUCAGUCGCCUUGGUGAGAAGGCAAUCCCUUUGUAUCAGAUGUUGAAGAAAACGGAUCAGUUCGUCUGGAGUUCCGCUACGGAUAAGGCGUUUGAGGACUUAAAGCGGCAAUUGGCCAAUCCGCCUGUGCUUGCCGCUCCCAUUGACAAGGAGCCGCUACUGCUAUAUGUUGCUGCUAAUGCUCGUGCAGUCAGUGUGGCUAUUGUGGUGGAGCGGAAGGAGGCAGGCAAGGAGCAUCCGGUUCAGCGUCCGGUUUACUAUAUCAGCGAGGUACUCAUUGAAUCCAAGCAAAGGUAUCCGCAUUGGCAAAAGCUGGUAUAUGGAGUUUUCAUGGCAAGCCGGAAACUGAAGCAGUAUUUCCAAGGGCACCCCAUCACAGUGGUCAGUUCUGCCCCCUUGGGUGAUAUCAUCCAGAACCGGGAAGCAACUGGCCGGAUUGCCAAAUGGGCUAUACAACUUGGGCCGCAUGGGUUGAAGUACGUGCCUCGAACGGCGGUGAAGUCUCAGGCACUUGUUGAUUUCAUUAAUGAUUGGACGGAGUUGCAAGCACCUGAAGAGAAGCCGGAUCACACAUAUUGGACCAUCCAUUUUGCCGGAUCACGACAAUUGGAGGGCUCGGGGGCUGGAGUCGUCUUAACUUCCCCAUGAGGUGACAAGUUAUGUUACAUUCUCCGCUUAAUGUUCCCUUGUACUAACAAUGCAGCUGGGUAUGAAGCCUUGCUCCAUGGUCUCUGGAUGGCUAAAGAGAUGAAUCUAGGCCGGGUUAAGUGCUUCUGUGACUCGGACCUAGUGGCUCAACAGGUGUCUGGCACUUGGGAUUCUAAGGACCCACUCAUGGCUGCAUAUCAUCGUGAGGUGGACAUUGUUGCAGGUCACUUUAAAGGCUAUCAGGUGGACCACGUGGACCGUCGGAAGAAUGAAGCGGUGGACGCUUUAAGCCGGUUGGGAUCUCAGCGUAAACCAGUCCCGCCUAAUGUUUUUCUUGAUGUGCUGCACAACCCGUCGGUCAAGCUCCCUGGUGAAGCGGAUUUGGCUAUUCCUGAUCCGGAGGCUCAAUUGGUGGCAGCUCUUCACGUCAUUCCAGAUUAGACGCUUCCUUACCUGGCGUACAUGAACCGGGGCGAGUUACCAGAGGAUGAGACUCUGGCCCGGCAGAUAAUACGGCGGUCUAAGUCCAUGACUAUCGUCAAUGGUGAGUUGCAUCAUUGCAGUGUAUCAGGGGCGUUUCAGCGCUGUGUAUCUCCUGAAGAAGGCCGUGAAAUUUUGCGUGAAAUCCACGAAGGGGAUUGCGGUCACCACGCCGGUUCAAAAUCUUUGGUGGCUAAAGCAUUCCGCCAUGGCUUCUAUUGGUUAACUGCCCAUGCUGAUGCGGAGGAUCUGGUCAGACGAUGUGACGGUUGCCAAAAGUUCUCAAGACGCGCUCAUGUGUCGGCUCAAGAAUUGAGGAUGAUUCCAAUCACUUGGCCGUUUGCAACUUGGGGGCUGGAUACGGUUGGGCCUUUCAAAAGGUCCAAGGAUAAGAAGACCCACCUACUGGUGGCAGUUGAUAAGUUUACAAAGUGGGUGGAGGCAGAACCUAUUAGCAAGUGUGAUGCGGCCACGGCGGUUCAGUUCAUCAAAAAUGUGAUUUUCCGGUUUGGCUUUCCACACAGUAUCAUCACAGAUAAUGGUACCAAUUUAUCCAAGGGGGCCAUGAAGGAGUUCUGCGAACGAGAUCACAUCCGGCUUGACGUUUCAUUAGUAGCCCACCCACAGUCCAAUGGUCAAGCAGAAAGAGCUAAUCAAGAGAUCUUGAGAGGCAUCAAACCCCGGCUUAUGGUUCCUUUGCAAAGGACACCGGGUUGUUGGGUAGAAGAGCUACCAUCUGUGUUAUGGAGUAUCAAUACUACGCCUAACAGAUCCACAGGAUACAAACCAUUCUUCAUGGUCUAUGGAGCGGAGGCAGUUCUCCCCAGUGAUAUCCGUCAUGACUCACCUCGUGUGGCGGCUUAUGUUGAAGCGGACAACGAGAACGGCAAGAUGCUUUGGACCUGUUGGAUGAGGAGCGUGACAUAGUAGCUGCCCGCUCGGCGAUUUACCAAUAGGAUCUUCGUCGUUAUCACAGUCGCCGAGUCAGAACCAGAACCUUUCAAGAAGGAGAUUUGGUGCUCCGGCUAAUCCAAGAUCAGACUGAUAUGCAUAAGUUAUCCCCGCCUUGGGAGGGACCUUUUGUGGUCAGCAAGAAUCUGCACAACGGGUCAUACUAUCUGAUCGAUAUUCGAGAGCAUAGAGACUCACGUACAUCAGAGGAGGAGACCAACAGGCCGUGGAAUAUAGCUCAUCUUCGGCCUUACUAUACCUGAGCCAUCGGCUCUACUUAUGUACAUACUAUGACAGUGUAUAUAUUAUGAUUAAUAUAAUAAACCGGAGCCUCAGCUAAAGCGGGGUAUCUGUUCUUUUACAUCAUGCGAGGUUACGCGGAGUUGUUCUGUCUUAAAGCGGCCUCCGGUUUACCCCUUGAAAGUUUUAUAAACAUCACUUGGGGGCUUGGUCGUGUCCGAACCAAUGCAACACCUUUUGAUAGGCGAUUCGCCACCAGAUCACUUGGGGACAUGGUCAAGUCUGAACCAGUCAUGCCUCUUGAUCGGCCUAAGGCCAUAGAAUCAUUUGGGGGCUUGGUCGGACCCGAACCAUUGCCACGCCUCUUGAUCGGCAUAAUGCCACAGUUUCAUUUGGGGACCUGGCUGACUUGAACCAUAGCUACACAUAUCGGGAGCUUGGUCGCGUCCGACCAUGGUAACACCAUCUGAUCGGCUCAGUAAAGCCUCUUUUUGCAAACGGUUUUAUCAUUGCCUUUGCUUCAAUAUUUUUCUUAAUAACUAUUGCUUUAUCUUUGUUGCGUUUUUAAACCGACAACGUUUUAAAACCGGUUCAAACUGUCAAUUGACGGGACAUGGUCCAUUUUUAAUCCGGAGAUUAUUUGCCCGGUUUGAUUUUUUCUGUUAACAUCCUAUUAUGGAGUAGCAGGGUGUUUAUCAUAACCCGGCCCGGUUUACAUGAUAAACCGGUAUUGAAUACACAGGAGCUGUUUUCUCCUUUGACGGUCUAGGUUUCUAAACCUCCACUUCAAGAGUGGCUAUGCCAACUCCAUGCCUAGUAAUGGCAGGUAUUUUGUAUCACAAAAUUUGAUCACAUACCUCAAUUUCAUUGCAUAUAUAUGUAAAAGUCAUAAACCGGCUGGCGGAACAACCACCGCAGCAGUUUAAGAUUUUGUGAUUGCAGGAAAUAUAGAUUGAAGGUUUUGAUCAUUCAAACAAAAGUACCAGCACCUAUGCACGAAGGCAUCUCAAAAGCAAGAGUAUUGGCUAUCCUAUUACAAGGCAACAUGGUGCCCAAAUAAGAUCAUUGUUUUUCUUGGCGGAAUAUAAUGAAGCAGCCAUUUAAACCGGUCUCCGAUUCAAGCUUGUUCACCGCCCUGGUCUGAUGGUUGUGGGUCGUCCUGCGCCGCUUCAGCUUCUUCUUCCCUACCCAGUGGCUGGAAGUCAACAGUGGUCCAGUUGAUUCCCAUUAAGGCUUGAAAGACAGCUUCGUCAUGGAUCAGUGAAGAUGGUUCAAUAUCAGGAGCGUAAGUAUGCUUACGGAUUGGAGGGAUCAGAUUCUCCACUUAAGGAAUUGGUGCAGCCACUCGUUUGUUUUGAUUGUUAUAUUCAGCUUGAUAAUGCGACAAGUCUGCCUCUUCCACCAAUUGGCAGGCCAGAGGGCGCACCGCCCGGUUUAUCGCUCUCGGGUCAUCUUCAUUGAACUCUGAACCGUCUUCCUUCAAGCUGGGAUAGCCCUGAGCUGCCUCAACAGGAUCGAAAUCCGGCACCCAUGCUUUUGCCCGGAUUAAGGCAUUGAUGGCACCGGUUCGAGCAGCAGAUUUCUUCAGCUCUUCAACCCGGGCGGGAAGCAUUGACAACCUCUUAAGAGUAUCUUGAAUUAAAGUGGGCGCUGAAUUGUUAUGUGAUGCAGUAGAAAUGAUCCGCUGCGCUCCAGUAUACAGCUGUUUGAUUAAGGUGUAGGCGGCUUUCAAUUUCAUCCGAACAUCUGACCCCAAGUGACCAAUGCGUGUGCCUGCAACAUGACAAAAAAGUUCAAAAACCGGAUCUAUCAUCAGAAGGCCAAAUUAUUACAAAAGACAAAGGACGUUUACCAAAGAUGGCGGCAGUCAUGGCAUGCACUUGCCGCUUUACGUUGUACAGCUCAUCCACCACCAGUUUAAGGGCGGCUUCAGCAGUUUCAAUUUUCUUGGUCAAAGCGGCCUUCUCAGUGGUCCAAUCCGUCCGCUCUUUCUUGAAGCCCUCUUUAAGCCGUUCCAUGACGCUUAAAGCGCUGGUCAAUUCCUCUUUCGCCUUUGAGGUUUCAGCUUGGUUGGAUUUCAAAUUUUCUUGAAGAUCGGCGAGUUGGCUUUCUUUGGUCUUCAGCUCAGCCUGAAUACAGACAAUCAUAUGAUUUAACAAACGGUACAAGAAUUGAAGUACCAACCACAUAACAAGUUAUGCACUUGGCACUUGGGGGCUAAUGCAUAUUUGAUCUUCAAUUGUCAAUUGAUUGCAAAGUCCCAAGCUCAAUACAAGUAUUAAACUUGGCACUUGGGGGCUAAUGGCUAUUUGCUCCAGUAAGUUCUGAUGCUGCCAUGUUAAUUACUUAAGUCCCGGUUUAACUACAAUAAGUUGAACCGGCCCUUGGGGGCUACAUCAGUGAAUUCUGAAGCAUUGAUAUAUGUAUUGGAAAGUCCCAGUUUGAAUGAAGAUUCUAAACCGGCCCUUAGGGGCCAGGAGAGUGGACAAGAUUGACAUAUCUAAGCAGAAAAAAGCACAUGGAAGUUACCUCAAAUUUUUCUUUCAUCAUAUUCACCAAACCGGCUUCAUAGUCACGGCUGGUAUACAGCCGGUUCAGAUAGCCGGAAUGAAGAUCUUGGGCAUUCAGAGCGGCGUAAGUCGCCAGAUCAACAUUCCACUUGCCUUUGUUCAUGGCGGCGAAUUCUUCCUUGGCAGUAUGCUUGGAUAAGGCAACCUGAUUGCUUGGCUCGGUAUGGCCAAUACCAGUAAUAACAACUUCAUCAUCCUGGGCGUCACCGGUUUGCCUGGGACUGUCGGUUUACCAGUAGUCUUGGAUGGGCUGGCAGAUUUCUCAAUCCGGAUGGGACUUCUGGGCUGGUUGGCAGGACCGGAGGCGCCAACAGGCCUUUCUUCAGCAAUAAAAUCCUCAUCUUGCAGUGGCGGGUCAUUGGGCACGUCUUCAAGAAUAGCCGCUUCAAGAUCUGGAGUGUUGUCCGGUUCAGGGGCAGUUUCUUCUUCGGCCGCUUUAUCCUAGCGAGCCUUCUUGCUCGGCCUAGGCUUGGCCCUGAAAAGGAGUGAUAAAUCAAAAACAGUGUAUGUUACAAAGUAACGCACCAGAAAUAUUAAGUAUAAGCUUACCCAAGCACAGUUUUCAGCGGUGGCAGCUGAGUAGCUGAUGACUCGCCGGAGGAUGAGUGGGAAGUAACCUGAUAAUCGGAGUCAGAUGGAUUAAGCGGUUGACGAAAAUAGCCCGCUUUAGGACAAGUACUGACAAGCAAAUUAGAGACCUCUGAACGGCGUUUCUGAAUCGGACUGUUCGGUAAACCGGCGGAGGUAACUACCUGGCCGCUGUGCCGAGUUGUGCGGCGAGCUUCGUGCUGUUGGGUCUUCAAAAGAAAUUUGGGAUCCAAGUAAGCAAGAGGAUGAGAAAAUUUAACUUCCCGGUUUGCCUGACGAAUUUUUAGUGAAGGAAAAAGGUUUGAAUCAGAAGAGAUAGUAAUUACCUCUACAGCAUCAGCAUGACUAGCCUCGGCAUCAUCCUGACAAAUAUUAUCAUCAAUAAGGCGUGUAAAAAGUAAGCCAAGUGAAUCAAGUUCUACCUCAAGGUCCGGAUUACCCACAUCGUCAUCAGCGGGCGGAUCAGAAGAUGCAGUGGUUUUUCUCUUAUGAGCAGGCCUCUUAACGACUUUGGUCUUUGGCCGGAUUGGUCUUUCCGAUUUGUCUGGCUUUUUCUGGUUUCUCCUGAGGAAGCUUCUUGCUCCAAAACGGAUCAUCGCCCUGUUUAAGCAGCAGUUGAUAUUAAAGAAUAUACAGGAAUAACAAUGACAUGUUCAGUAAAAAAGUACAGUCAAAAUCUUACAGCUGGCAGUUUGUUGGUAGCACAGAAGGGAAGCAGGCCGGUUCCAGCGCAGAGGUGUUCCGAUUCGUUCAACAUUUUCUUCACAGCUUCUGUGACCUCGUCGUCUGUGAGCUGGAUGUUAAUAUGUCAGAGUGGGUCAUCGACAUUACCAGUAUACUUGCACAUCAAACCGGAGCGAUGGCUGAGGGGUAGUAUGCUCCAUGAUAUCCAACAGCGUGCGAGAUCAAUUCAUGUUAAACCAUUGGCCAUGAAGGCUCUGAGCUUGGAUAGUUGAGGAGUGUAUUUACUUCUCUCCUUGGCAGUCAACCUUUGCGGAAAGGGGUGUGUAUUGCUAAGCCGCUCAGGACGAAAGCCAUGCAAAGGAUUUUCAUUAGCAAGGAAGGUGUCUUUGCAAUAGAACCAUGUUUGAUUCCACUCCUUGGGGUGGCUGUGCAGUUUGGCAUGAGGAUAAGUGACCUCCUUCCUUUUCUGAAUCGCCAUACCACCCAAUUCCAUAUUGGAACCAUCAGUGAAUUCCGUGCGGCGGUUUAGGUGGAAGCAGUCUCUGAACAACUCAACUGUGGGUUCCUCUUGAAAGUAUGCCUCACAGAGCACUUGGAAGUGGCAUAUGUUGGUAACAGAGUUGGGGCCCGUGUCUUGCGGGCGGAGUUGAAAAUUGGCUAAGACAUCCAGAUAGAAUUUUGAUCCAGGCGGACUAAAACCCCGGGCUAAGUGAUCUGCAAAAACGACAACCUCUCCCUCUUGAGGUGUGGGCGGACAUUCUUUACCAGGGACCCUCCAGUGGAUGGUGUCUUUGCUGCUUAAAGCGCCAGUCAGGACCAGAUUGUUCAAUUGAGUUUCUAUGACGCGAGAAGGAGCCCAGUUGCACUCAUAUACUUGUUUGGCCAUGAUGAAAUCUACAAAUAAGUAAUUCCGGUUCAAGCAUGUGUUGGGACAAGUGUGCACUGGUGUGUACAAUGUUAAAUCGAAGACAGCUACAUCCAAACCGGAGUUCAAUGAAGCGACAGUGUCUGGUUAAAGAGUUCUGGCGGUUCAACAAGGGGACUAAUGGUAUAUACCGGUUUAUUAAUUUUUUCUACACUAAGUUAAACCGCCUGAUCUAAACAGUGAAGCAAUAGAGGUUGCGGAUGGCUAAGUAUACAGAAACAGGUUUCACAAAGUCUUGCUACAGCGAUGGAUCUAAAGCGAGUUCAGAAAGAAAAAAUAUUCAAAGACUUAAAGCAGAGCGGAAGUGAAUCAAUGGACAGAUAUAUAGAUCAGAUCUAUGGACUUAAGCAUGAAACUACAGGCGGAUGCGAAAAACUACUGUUACUCAGAGCAGGGUUUCACAGAUCUAUCCAGGAGCUAAUACAUGAAUAUGAACAGUUGAUGAGCACCGCAAGAACAUGAAACCCUAGAACUGAUCUAGGUUGAGAAGAACAAAGGACCUACCAGAGCUGGGGAAGAUGCGGGAGAUCGUAGCGGUUUUCUGGUGCGUUCAGGUUGAUGCAGUGGCCAAAGUUGGUGCUGGAGACGACGGUGGCGGCGGAGCUCUAAAGCUGGCGACGCGAGGAAGACGAAGAAGAGAAGGCACGAAGGGAAGAAAGGAAAUGACCUCUCGGUCUUAUUUAUAAAGCAAAAGGACAUGUGUCAGGCACGACAAACCAGGGGCCACGGAACGGGGCUGUCACCUCGAUUUUCGCAGAUCUACUAAAUGAAGAGAUAUCAUGGAUACUUUCUUUAUGACGGACGACGUCACCCCGGUUUAACAGAAUUGGAGAAGAUGACAUCACGGCGGUUCAACAAUUGCAAGAAGAUGUUGAAGAUGAAGAUUUCUGCUAAGGAUUGACAUGAACUUGUUCAAAUCAACCUGGGGCCUAAUGUUGGGGAUAUUACUACUGGGCGUAAACCGGCCUAUUUGGGCUGGGUUAACUUCAUCAGUAGUUCAAAGGUGUUAAAGCCCAAAGAGGCAGAUAAGGGCCCAAGGCCUGUAGUCGGUUUAGGACUUGCAGCCAUAAACCAGCUUUGUAUGUAAACUUGUAUUGUAAGUAAGGAAUAAGGAGAGACCAACCCGGAUACGAGUAUGAACCGGUGUUGGGACUCUAUGAACCGACGGGCGUCACCCAUGUAUAUAAGGGGACGACCCGGAGGGGUUCAGGACAGACAACAACAACUCAAGACUUAGGCGAAGCUUGUUUGCUCCCUAGUCAUCGAAACCCCAUCAAUUCCAUCACAACUAGACGUAGGCUUUUACCUUCAUCGAAGGGGCCGAACUAGUAUAAAACCCUCUUGCGUCCCUGUGUCCGCUUUAACCCCUUCAAGCUAACCCGUCACGAUGGCUCCACGACUAAGUACUUUCAUGAGGACAUCUGCAGUGACAAAACCACGACAGUUGGCGCCCACCGUGGGGCUAUCGCAUGAUGGUUUCAAGUUCUUGGAGGGCCGCUUCAAAGGACUCGAGGGCUACGCUGUGGGCCGGAUGACUAAGAGUCGUCGCGGCAAGCUCUACAUCGAUGAUGCGGUCUGGGGCCCCGAGGCCGGCUCGAUUGAGUACGGGUACCGGGUCCCCUUUGGUGGCAUACACGUUUUCAUUGGCAAAAUCGGUGAACUGGGCCCUGAGCUGGACAUCUGCACCGACCUCAUCGAAACAGCUCAACAUGCACGAUCUGCCCAGGUUAAACCAGCUGUGAAGCGUGCCUUUGUGGGAGUCAUCCACGGAGGAAGUUAUGAGGAUGGAUCAGAAUCUAGUGGCAAGACCGUCGUUUAUUCUGGCGACGAGUCGUCAACCGGAGAAACUGAAUCUCUGUAUCAGCUACAAGAUGGCCGGAUUGGGGGCUGUUCCGAUGGUGAGAGUAUUCCGGACCCCUCCGAUCUACCCAACUGGGUUGGAAUAUUCAUGGCUGGUACACAGGCAGUGCUUCAUUCUUCGACCGCUGCAGCAAUGACCUCCGGUUCAGUAGCGGCGAUGGCUGCCGGGGUAGGAGGCUCUGUGCGCCCGCCGGCUCAAGUCUUAUCAGAUCUGUUCGAUGCGUUGGCUGCGCUCAUGGCAGAGGCUAACCCGGCGGAUCAAGACACUCACAAUGCGGAGAUUGUAAAGGUGAGGGAGCAGAUCACUCAGGCCAAAGCAGAUCUAGCAGCUGAAGAGGUCAGGAUGACGGCAGAGCGGGCCGCUUUGGACGCACAAGCUUACAGGCUUAUGCUGGACCAGAACGCGUCGCAGGAAGUCAUGAGGAGGAAGUACCAAUCUCGUCUGCCUUCAGUCUUCGAAGCCAGAGACCUCUUCAACACCCCUGGAGCGGGAACCAGUAAUCCGCCAGCGGUAAACCGGGCGGAGGCACCUGGGACGGGCGCACCGGUCCAGCCCCGUUUAAUAGAUCUGCCCCGUAAUAAUAUUGGUGUACCUCGGGCUGUGACAACACCUCCGGGUCACUACUCCAAUCCGAUGGACAACCUUGUUGCAGCUGCUGCACGGCUGGAGGCCAUUCCAAUUGAAGGUGAUUCGCUACAGGCGAUAGAGACGCGCCGGGUCAAGGAGCUCCUUAGGACAGCUUUGGUCCAACAGGAAGCGUAUUCAUACAGCCGCGACCGGAUCCAUUCUACCCCUCGUCCAAGCCGGAGCUAUAGCAGACAUAUGGAUGAACCGGCCGUGUCGAGUAAUGUGCGGCGUGCAGCGCCCCGUGGUAACAACCCGGCUGGUGGUGUCGAUAACGCUCAGGAAGUGGUGGACCGGGCCCGAGCAGGCAGGGAGGCCGAGUUAGCGGCACAAUAUCAAGCUCGUCAGCUUACACCGGUUCGUCCGACCACCUCGGUCGAUCCUGGAGUUACCUCUAGCUCUUUGGGGGUGCCUUGCCUUGUCCCCUCUUUACGCAAUGUGCGCCUGCCCAAGGAUUUCAAGGGCCCGCGCAAGGUACCAAACUAUACGGCGGAUCAACCUCCAGAGACAUGGGUGGAGAGCUAUGAGAUGGCCAUGGAGAUGCUUGAUGUGGAUGAUGCAGCGUGUGCGAAGUAUUUUACCAUGAUGCUUGAGGGGACGGCCCGUACUUGGUUAAAAAGCUUACCGGCCAACUCUAUCAGUUCAUGGGCCCAGUUACGAGCCCGGUUUAUCAGUAAUUUGAAGGAUACAUGUAAGCAGCCUAUGUCGAUAGUGGACUUGGCUGCCUGUGUCCAGGAGGAAGGAGAAUCAGCGACUCAUUGGGUGCGCUGGGUUUCACAAGUUCUGCAUUCAUCAGACCACAUCAACGCUGACACCGCGGUUAUAACCCUGGAAGGCAAUUGCCGGUUUGGGCCCCUAAAGUUGAAGUUAGGGCGGAUGAAGCGCCACUGCACUGACAUGGGGACUCUCAUGGCCGCUUUGGUAAAGUAUGCUGAUUCUGAUAGUACCAAGGAUCCCGAGUCUGAUGAUGACAAGGCAGGGAAGGGAAAGAAGAAUGGCAACUCCAAAGGUCAGCAACAUCACUCGACAGGUAAUCGUGGCGGAGGCAAGCGUAAAGCGGAUGGCAACAUGGACUUCGUGGCUAAUACCAGCGCGCAGGACAAGGGCCAGCGACGCAAGGGUAAACCACCGAAUCAUAGUGGAGCGCCUAACCCUAACCCGGACCGCCUAAAUUAUCUAUUGAACCAGCCCUAUCCGAAGCAUGGGACGAAGGAGGUGCCAGCGAACCACCUUCGGAAGGAUUGCUACAUUAUGCAGGAGUUCAAGAAUUCUAAUGCUUUCCGGUAUGACCACGGCUCCGGCGGAGAAGAUCCGGGCCGGGUUACGGUGGAGGAAAUUCCGGUUCAGGAUUUAAUGGUAAUCCGGGCGGACAUAACAAUCAGAAUAAUCAGAAUAACCAGGGUGAUUACAAUCAGCAACAGCAGCAGUCGGGUUACCAGAGCAAUCCAAAACAGUUGAAUAGUGGGCAGUAUCAUGUAUUUACCACUAGCUUGGACAAGCGAGACCGGAAGGCUCAGAAGCGGGCUGUCAACUCCGUUGAACCCGCCGUGCCCCGAUAUCUACGCUGGUCAGAGCAGCCAAUCAUAUGGAGUAGAGAGGAUCACCCUCCCCGGGUUGACAAUCCGGGUCAGCUAGCAUUGGUGGUGGCACCUCAGGUGGGAGGUUAUAAGUUCACCAAGGUACUCAUGGAUGGAGGAAGCAGCAUUAAUAUCCUGUACUAUGAGACCUUCCGUCAUAUGGGACUAACAGAUAAAGAUCUCAGACCGUCCAAUACGGUGUUCCAUGGUGUGUUACCUGGAAAGUCAGCAUAUCCUAUUGGUAAGAUAGCGCUGGAAGUGGCUUUUGGAGAUGAUCAUGAUUCUAGGUCGGAGACACUGACGUUUGAAGUGGUAAAAAUCUAAAGUCCGUAUCAUGCCUUGUUUGGGUGACCGGCCUACGCCAAGUUUAUGGCACGGCCCUGUUAUGUGUAUUUGCAGCUCAAAAUGCCGGGUCACAAGGGGACAACAACGGUUCACGGAAGCCGGAAAGUCGCUUUGGAAUGCGAGGAAGGUGAUGCGGCCUACGCAGAGUCGGUUUGUGCCACCGAGGAGCUGAAGUAUUACAAGGACAAUGUUGAUCCGGCGGACAUGACUCCAUUGAAGAAACCAACAACGGAGCAUGAUCCGGCCCUGAAGUUCAAAUCGGCAGCUGAGACUAAGCUUGUUGACUUCAUGCCUGGCGAUUCGUCCAAGCAGUUCAGCAUCAGUUCCAAUCUGGAUCCGAAAUAGGAAAGCACGCUCAUCAAGUUCAUCCGUGAGAAUCGGGACAUUUUUGCAUGGAAGCCUUCUGACAUGCCAGGUGUACCGAGGUGACUCGCUGAGCACACUCUUAAUGUGGAUCCUAAGUACAAACCGGUGAAACUGUUCCUCUGCCGGUUUAACGAAGAAAGGCGCAAGGCUAUUGGAGAAGAGGUGGCCAGGCUCUUAGCAGCUGGCUUUAUUGUUGAAGUUUUUCACCCUGAAUGGCUUGCUAAUCCGGUGCUGGUCCUUAAGAAAAAUGGCACCUGGCGUAUGUGUGUGGAUUACACAGACCUUAAUAAGGCUUGUCUAGUAGAUCCUUUUGCUCUCCCUCGUAUUGAUCAAAUCAUUGAUGCUACGGCGGGUUGUGAGCGUUUGAGCUUUUUGGAUGCAUAUUCUGGCUAUCAUCAGAUCAAAAUGGCAGUUAAGGACCAGGAGAAGACGGUGUUCAUAACUCCCUUUGGAGCCUUCUGCUAUGUGUCUAUGCCUUUUGGGCUCAAGAGUGCCCAGGCAACCUAUCAACGGUGUGUGCAAAAUUGUCUUCACAAGCAGAUUGGCCGUAAUGUACAUGCUUACGUGGAUGAUAUUGUGGUUAAGUCAAGGAAGAAGGAGACUCUGGUUGACGAUUUGAAGGAAACCUUUGAUAACCUGAGGACAUACAAGAUGAUGCUCAAUCCGGCCAAGUGUGUCUUUGGUGUACCGGCAGGCAAGUUAUUGGGUUUUCUGGUGUCCAACAGGGGAAUCGAGGCUAAUCCGGAGAAGAUCACAGCCAUCACCUCCCUGGCUAAGCCUAAGUGUAUCAAUGAUGUUCAACGCCUGGCAGGCCGGAUUGCCGCGUUGAGCCGGUUUAUCAGUCGCCUUGGUGAGAAGGCAAUCCCUUUGUAUCAGAUGUUGAAGAAAACGGAUCAGUUCGUCUGGAGUUCCGCUACGGAUAAGGCGUUUGAGGACUUAAAGCGGCAAUUGGCCAAUCCGCCUAUGCUUGCCGCUCCCAUUGACAAGGAGCCGCUACUGCUAUAUGUUGCUGCUAAUGCUCGUGCAGUCAGUGUGGCUAUUGUGGUGGAGCGAAAGGAGGCAGGCAAGGAGCAUCCGGUUCAGCGUCUGGUUUACUAUAUCAGCGAGGUACUCAUUGAAUCCAAGCAAAGGUAUCCGCAUUGGCAAAAGCUGGUAUAUGGAGUUUUCAUGGCAAGCCGGAAACUGAAGCAGUAUUUCCAAGGGCACCCCAUCACAGUGGUCAGUUCUGCCCCCUUGGGUGAUAUCAUCCAGAACCGGGAAGCAACUGGCCGGAUUGCCAAAUGGGCUAUACAACUUGGGCCGCAUGGGUUGAAGUACGUGCCUCGAACGGCAGUGAAGUCUCAGGCACUUGUUGAUUUCAUUAAUGAUUGGACGGAGUUGCAAGCACCUGAAGAGAAGCCGGAUCACACAUAUUGGACCAUCCAUUUUGCCGGAUCACGACAAUUGGAGGGCUCGGGGGCUGGAGUCGUCUUAACUUCCCCAUGAGGUGACAAGUUAUGUUACGUUCUCCGCUUAAUGUUCCCUUGUACUAACAAUGCAGCUGGGUAUGAAGCCUUGCUCCAUGGUCUCUGGAUGGCUAAAGAGAUGAAUCUAGGCCGGGUUAAGUGCUUCUGUGACUCGGACCUAGUGGCUCAACAGGUGUCUGGCACUUGGGAUUCUAAGGACCCACUCAUGGCUGCAUAUCAUCGUGAGGUGGACAUUGUUGCAGGUCACUUUAAAGGCUAUCAGGUGGACCACGUGGACCGUCGGAAGAAUGAAGCGGUGGACGCUUUAAGCCGGUUGGGAUCUCAGCGUAAACCAGUCCCGCCUAAUGUUUUUCUUGAUGUGCUGCACAACCCGUCGGUCAAGCUCCCUGGUGAAGCGGAUUUGGCUAUUCCUGAUCCGGAGGCUCAAUUGGUGGCAGCUCUUCACGUCAUUCCAGAUUAGACGCUUCCUUACCUAGCGUACAUGAACCGGGGCGAGUUACCAGAGGAUGAGACUCUGGCCCGGCAGAUAAUACGGCGGUCUAAGUCCAUGACUAUCGUCAAUGGUGAGUUGCAUCAUUGCAGUGUAUCAGGGGCGUUUCAGCGCUGUGUAUCUCCUGAAGAAGGCCGUGAAAUUUUGCGUGAAAUCCACGAAGGGGAUUGCGGUCACCACGCCGGUUCAAAAUCUUUGGUGGCUAAAGCAUUCCGCCAUGGCUUCUAUUGGUUAACUGCCCAUGCUGAUGCGGAGGAUCUGGUCAGACGAUGUGACGGUUGCCAAAAGUUCUCAAGACGCGCUCAUGUGUCGGCUCAAGAAUUGAGGAUGAUUCCAAUCACUUGGCCGUUUGCAACUUGGGGGCUGGAUACGGUUGGGCCUUUCAAAAGGUCCAAGGAUAAGAAGACCCACCUACUGGUGGCGGUUGAUAAGUUUACAAAGUGGGUGGAGGCAGAACCUAUUAGCAAGUGUGAUGCGGCCACGGCGGUUCAGUUCAUCAAAAAUGUGAUUUUCCGGUUUGGCUUUCCACACAGUAUCAUCACAGAUAAUGGUACCAAUUUAUCCAAGGGGGCCAUGAAGGAGUUUUGCGAACGAGAUCACAUCCGGCUUGACGUUUCAUUAGUAGCCCACCCACAGUCCAAUGGUCAAGCAGAAAGAGCUAAUCAAGAGAUCUUGAGAGGCAUCAAACCCCGGCUUAUGGUUCCUUUGCAAAGGACACCGGGUUGUUGGGUAGAAGAGCUACCAUCUGUGUUAUGGAGUAUCAAUACUACGCCUAACAGAUCCACAGGAUACAAACCAUUCUUCAUGGUCUAUGGAGCGGAGGCAGUUCUCCCCAGUGAUAUCCGUCAUGACUCACCUCGUGUGGCGGCUUAUGUUGAAGCGGACAACGAGAACGGCAAGAUGCUUUGGACCUGUUGGAUGAGGAGCGUGACAUAGUAGCUGCCCGCUCGGCGAUUUACCAAUAGGAUCUUCGUCGUUAUCACAGUCGCCGAGUCAGAACCAGAACCUUUCAAGAAGGAGAUUUGGUGCUCCGGCUAAUCCAAGAUCAGACUGAUAUGCAUAAGUUAUCCCCGCCUUGGGAGGGACCUUUUGUGGUCAGCAAGAAUCUGCACAACGGGUCAUACUAUCUGAUCGAUAUUCGAGAGCAUAGAGACUCACGUACAUCAGAGGAGGAGACCAACAGGCCGUGGAAUAUAGCUCAUCUUCGGCCUUACUAUACCUGAGCCAUCGGCUCUACUUAUGUACAUACUAUGACAGUGUAUAUAUUAUGAUUAAUAUAAUAAACCGGAGCCUCAGCUAAAGCGGGGUAUCUGUUCUUUUACAUCAUGCGAGGUUACGCGGAGUUGUUCUGUCUUAAAGCGGCCUCCGGUUUACCCCUUGAAAGUUUUAUAAACAUCACUUGGGGGCUUGGUCGUGUCCGAACCAAUGCAACACCUUUUGAUAGGCGAUUCGCCACCAGAUCACUUGGGGACAUGGUCAAGUCUGAACCAGUCAUGCCUCUUGAUCGGCCUAAGGCCAUAGAAUCAUUUGGGGGCUUGGUCGGACCCGAACCAUUGCCACGCCUCUUGAUCGGCAUAAUGCCACGGUUUCAUUUGGGGACCUGGCUGACUUGAACCAUAGCUACACCUAUCGGGAGCUUGGUCGCGUCCGACCAUGGUAACACCAUCUGAUCGGCUCAGUAAAGCCUCUUUUUGCAAACGGUUUUAUCAUUGCCUUUGCUUCAAUAUUUUUCUUAAUAACUAUUGCUUUAUCUUUGUUGCGUUUUUAAACCGACAACGUUUUAAAACCGGUUCAAACUGUCAAUUGACGGGACAUGGUCCAUUUUUAAUCCGGAGAUUAUUUGCCCGGUUUGAUUUUUUCUGUUAACAUCCUAUUAUGGAGUAGCAGGGUGUUUAUCAUAACCCGGCCCGGUUUACAUGAUAAACCGGUAUUGAAUACACAGGAGCUGUUUUCUCCUUUGACGGUCUAGGUUUCUAAACCUCCACUUCAAGAGUGGCUAUGCCAACUCCAUGCCUAGUAAUGGCAGGUAUUUUGUAUCACAAAAUUUGAUCACAUACCUCAAUUUCAUUGCAUAUAUAUGUAAAAGUCAUAAACCGGCUGGCGGAACAACCACCGCAGCAGUUUAAGAUUUUGUGAUUGCAGGAAAUAUAGAUUGAAGGUUUUGAUCAUUCAAACAAAAGUACCAGCACCUAUGCACGAAGGCAUCUCAAAAGCAAGAGUAUUGGCUAUCCUAUUACAAGGCAACAUGGUGCCCAAAUAAGAUCAUUGUUUUUCUUGGCGGAAUAUAAUGAAGCAGCCAUUUAAACCGGUCUCCGAUUCAAGCUUGUUCACCGCCCUGGUCUGAUGGUUGUGGGUCGUCCUGCGCCGCUUCAGCUUCUUCUUCCCUACCCAGUGGCUGGAAGUCAACAGUGGUCCAGUUGAUUCCCAUUAAGGCUUGAAAGACAGCUUCGUCAUGGAUCAGUGAAGAUGGUUCAAUAUCAGGAGCGUAAGUAUGCUUACGGAUUGGAGGGAUCAGAUUCUCCGCUUCAGGAAUUGGUGCAGCCACUCGUUUGUUUUGAUUGUUAUAUUCAGCUUGAUAAUGCGACAAGUCUGCCUCUUCCACCAAUUGGCAGGGCAGAGGGCGCACCGCCCGGUUUAUCGCUCUCGGGUCAUCUUCAUUGAACUCUGAACCGUCUUCCUUCAAGCUGGGAUAGCCCUGAGCUGCCUCAACAGGAUCGAAAUCCGGCACCCAUGCUUUUGCCCGGAUUAAGGCAUUGAUGGCACCGGUUCGAGCAGCAGAUUUCUUCAGCUCUUCAACCCGGGCGGGAAGCAUUGACAACCUCUUAAGAGUAUCUUGAAUUAAAGUGGGCGCUGAAUUGUUAUGUGAUGCAGUAGAAAUGAUCCGCUGCGCUCCAGUAUACAGCUGUUUGAUUAAGGUGUAGGCGGCUUUCAAUUUCAUCCGAACAUCUGACCCCAAGUGACCAAUGCGUGUGCCUGCAACAUGACAAAAAAGUUCAAAAACCGGAUCUAUCAUCAGAAGGCCAAAUUAUUACAAAAGACAAAGGACGUUUACCAAAGAUGGCGGCAGUCAUGGCAUGCACUUGCCGCUUUACGUUGUACAGCUCAUCCACCACCAGUUUAAGGGCGGCUUCAGCAGUUUCAAUUUUCUUGGUCAAAGCGGCCUUCUCAGUGGUCCAAUCCGUCCGCUCUUUCUUGAAGCCCUCUUUAAGCCAUUCCAUGACGCUUAAAGCGCUGGUCAAUUCCUCUUUCGCCUUUGAGGUUUCAGCUUGGUUGGAUUUCAAAUUUUCUUGAAGAUCGGCGAGUUGGCUUUCUUUGGUCUUCAGCUCAGCCUGAAUACAGACAAUCAUAUGAUUUAACAAACGGUACAAGAAUUGAAGUACCAACCACAUAACAAGUUAUGCACUUGGCACUUGGGGGCUAAUGCAUAUUUGAUCUUCAAUUGUCAAUUGAUUGCAAAGUCCCAAGCUCAAUACAAGUAUUAAACUUGGCACUUGGGGGCUAAUGGCUAUUUGCUCCAGUAAGUUCUGAUGCUGCCAUGUUAAUUACUUAAGUCCCGGUUUAACUACAAUAAGUUGAACCGGCCCUUGGGGGCUACAUCAGUGAAUUCUGAAGCAUUGAUAUAUGUAUUGGAAAGUCCCAGUUUGAAUGAAGAUUCUAAACCGGCCCUUAGGGGCCAGGAGAGUGGACAAGAUUGACAUAUCUAAGCAGAAAAAAGCACAUGGAAGUUACCUCAAAUUUUUCUUUCAUCAUAUUCACCAAACCGGCUUCAUAGUCACGGCUGGUAUACAGCCGGUUCAGAUAGCCGGAAUGAAGAUCUUGGGCAUUCAGAGCGGCGUAAGUCGCCAGAUCAACAUUCCACUUGCCUUUGUUCAUGGCGGCGAAUUCUUCCUUGGCAGUAUGCUUGGAUAAGGCAACCUGAUUGCUUGGCUCGGUAUGGCCAAUACCAGUAAUAACAACUUCAUCAUCCUGGGCGUCACCGGUUUGCCUGGGACUGUCGGUUUACCAGUAGUCUUGGAUGGGCUGGCAGAUUUCUCAAUCCGGAUGGGACUUCUGGGCUGGUUGGCAGGACCGGAGGCGCCAACAGGCCUUUCUUCAGCAAUAAAAUCCUCAUCUUGCAGUGGCGGGUCAUUGGGCACGUCUUCAAGAAUAGCCGCUUCAAGAUCUGGGGUGUUGUCCGGUUCAGGGGCAGUUUCUUCUUCGGCCGCUUUAUCCUGGCGAGCCUUCUUGCUCGGCCUAGGCUUGGCCCUGAAAAGGAGUGAUAAAUCAAAAACAGUGUAUGUUACAAAGUAACGCACCAGAAAUAUUAAGUAUAAGCUUACCCAAGCACAGUUUUCAGCGGUGGCAGCUGAGUAGCUGAUGACUCGCCGGAGGAUGAGUGGGAAGUAACCUGAUAAUCGGAGUCAGAUGGAUUAAGCGGUUGACGAAAAUAGCCCGCUUUAGGACAAGUACUGACAAGCAAAUUAGAGACCUCUGAACGGCGUUUCCGAACCGGACUGUUCGGUAAACCGGCGGAGGUAACUACCUGGCCGCUGUGCCGAGUUGUGCGGCGAGCUUCGUGCUGUUGGGUCUUCAAAAGAAAUUUGGGAUCCAAGUAAGCAAGAGGAUGAGAAAAUUUAACUUCCCGGUUUGCCUGACGAAUUUUUAGUGAAGGCAAAAGGUUCGAAUCAGAAGAGAUAGUAAUUACCUCUGCAGCAUCAGCAUGACUAGCCUCGGCAUCAUCCUGACAAAUAUUAUCAUCAAUAAGGCGUGUAAAAAUUAAGCCAAGUGAAUCAAGUUCUACCUCAAGGUCCGGAUUACCCACAUCGUCAUCAGCGGGCGGAUCAGAAGAUGCAGUGGUUUUUUUCUUAUGAGCAGGCCUCUUAACGACUUUGGUCUUUGGCCGGAUUGGUCUUUCCGGUUUGUCUGGCUUUUUCUGGUUUCUCCUGAGGAAGCUUCUUGCUCCAAAACGGAUCAUCGCCCUGUUUAAGCAGCAGUUGAUAUUAAAGAAUAUACAGGAAUAACAAUGACAUGUUCAGUAAAAAAGUACAGUCAAAAUCUUACAGCUGGCAGUUUGUUGGUAGCACAGAAGGGAAGCAGGCCGGUUCCAGCGCAGAGGUGUUCCGAUUCGUUCAACAUUUUCUUCACAGCUUCUGUGACCUCGUUGUCUGUGAGCUGGAUGUUAAUAUGUUAGAGUGGGUCAUCGACAUUACCAGUAUACUUGCACAUCAAACCAGAGCGCUGGCUGAGGGGUAGUAUGCUCCAUGAUAUCCAACAGCGUGCGAGAUCAAUUCCUGUUAAACCGUUGGCCAUGAAGGCUCUGAGCUUGGAUAGUUGAGGAGUGUAUUUACUUCUCUCCUUGGCAGUCAACCUUUGCGGAAAGGGGUGUGUAUUGCUAAGCCGCUCAGGACGAAAGCCAUGCAAAGGAUUUUCAUUAGCAAGGAAGGUGUCUUUGCAAUAGAACCAUGUUUGAUUCCACUCCUUGGGGUGGCUGUGCAGUUUGGCAUGAGGAUAAGUGACCUCCUUCCUUUUCUGAAUCGCCAUACCACCCAAUUCCAUAUUGGAACCAUCAGUGAAUUCCGUGCGGCGGUUUAGGUGGAAGCAGUCUCUGAACAACUCAACUGUGGGUUCCUCUUGAAAGUAUGCCUCACAGAGCACUUGGAAGUGGCAUAUGUUGGUAACAGAGUUGGGGCCCGUGUCUUGCGGGAGGAGUUGAAAAUUGGCUAAGACAUCCCGAUAGAAUUUUGAACCAGGCGGACUAAAACCCCGGGCUAAGUGAUCUGCAAAAACGACAACCUCUCCCUCUUGAGGUGUGGGCGGACAUUCUUUACCAGGGACCCUCCAGUGGAUGGUGUCUUUGCUGCUUAAAGCGCCAGUCAGGACCAGAUUGUUUAAUUGAGUUUCUGUGAUGCGAGAAGGAGCCCAGUUGCACUCAUAUACUUGUUUGGCCAUGAUGAAAUCUACAAAUAAGUAAUUCCGGUUCAAGCAUGUGUUGGGACAAGUGUGCACUGGUGUGUACAAUGUUAAAUCGAAGACAGCUACAUCCAAACCGGAGUUCAAUGAAGCGACAGUGUCUGGUUAAAGAGUUCUGGCGGUUCAACAAGGGGACUAAUGGUAUAUACCGGUUUAUUAAUUUUUUCUACACUAAGUUAAACCGCCUGAUCUAAACAGUGAAGCAAUUGAGGUUGCGGAUGGCUAAGUAUACAGAAACAGGUUUCACAAAGUCUUGCUACAGCGAUGGAUCUAAAGCGAGUUCAGAAAGAAAAAAUAUUCAAAGACUUAAAGCAGAGCGGAAGUGAAUCAAUGGACAGAUAUAUAGAUCAGAUCUAUGGACUUAAGCAUGAAACUACAGGCGGAUGCAAAAAACUACUGUUACUCAGAGCAGGGUUUCACAGAUCUAUCCAGGAGCUAAUACAUGAAUAUGAACAGUUGAUGAGCACCGCAAGAACAUGAAACCCUAGAAUAGAUCUAGGUUGAGAAGAACAAAGGACCUACCAGAGCUGGGGAAGAUGCGGGAGAUCGUAGCGGUUUUCUGGUGUGUUCAGGUUGAUGCAACGGCCAAAGUUGGUGCUGCAGACGACGGUGGUGGCGGAGCUCUAAAGCUGGCGACGCGAGGAAGACGAAGAAGAGAAGGCACGAAGGGAAGAAAGGAAAUGACCUCUCAGUCUUAUUUAUAAAGCAAAAGGACAUGUGUCAGGCACGACAAACCAGGGGCCACGGAACGGAGCUGUCACCUCGAUUUUCGCAGAUCUACUAAAUGAAGAGAUAUCAUGGAUACUUUCUUUAUGACGGACGACGUCACCCCAGUUUAACAGAAUUGGAGAAGAUGACAUCACGGCGGUUCAACAAUUGCAAGAAGAUGUUGAAGAUGAAGAUUUCUGCUAAGGAUUGACAUGAACUUGUUCAAAUCAACCUGGGGCCUAAUGUUGGGGAUAUUACUACUGGGCGUAAACCGGCCUAUUUGGGCUGGGUUAACUUCAUCAGUAGUUCAAAGGUGUUAAAGCCCAAAGAGGCAGAUAAGGGCCCAAGGCCCGUAGUCGGUUUAGGACUUGCAGCCAUAAACCAGCUUUGUAUGUAAACUUGUAUUGUAAGUAAGGAAUAAGGAGAGACCAACCCGGAUACGAGUAUGAACCGGUGUUGGGACUCUAUGAACCGACGGGCGUCACCCAUGUAUAUAAGGGGACGACCCGGAGGGGUUCAGGACAGACAACAACAACUCGAGACUUAGGCGAAGCUUGUUUGCUCCCUAGUCAUCGAAACCCCAUCAAUUCCAUCACAACUAGACGUAGGCUUUUACCUUCAUCGAAGGGGCCGAACUAGUAUAAAACCCUCUUGCGUCCCUGUGUCCGCUUUAACCCCUUCAAGCUAACCCGUCGCGAUGGCUCCACGACUAAGUACUUUCAUGAGGACAUCUGCAGUGACAAAACCACGACAGUUGGCGCCCACCGUGGGGCUAUCGCAUGAUGGUUUCAAGUUCUUGGAGGGCCGCUUCAAAGGACUCGAGGGCUACGCUGUGGGCCGGAUGACUAAGAGUCGUCGCGGCAAGCUCUACAUCGAUGAUGUGGUCUGGGGCCCCGAGGCCGGCUCGAUUGAGUACGGGUACCGGGUCCCCUUUGGUGGCAUACACGUUUUCAUUGGCAAAAUCGGUGAACUGGGCCCUGAGCUGGACAUCUGCACCGACCUCAUCGAAACAGCUCAACAUGCACGAUCUACCCAGGUUAAACCAGCUGUGAAGCGUGCCUUUGUGGGAGUCAUCCACGGAGGAAGUUAUGAGGAUGGAUCAGAAUCUAGUGGCAAGACCGUCGUUUAUUCCGGCGAUGAGUCGUCAACCGGAGAAACUGAAUCUCUGUAUCAGCUACAAGAUGGCCGGAUUGGGGGCUGUUCCAAUGGUGAGAGUAUUCCGGACCCCUCCGAUCUACCCAACCAGGUUGGAAUAUUCAUGGCUGGUACACAGGCAGUGCUUCAUUCUUCGACCGCUGCAGCAAUGACCUCCGGUUCAGUAGCGGCGAUGGCUGCCGGGGUAGGAGGCUCUAUGCGCCCGCCGGCUCAAGUCUUAUCAGAUCUGUUCGAUGCGUUGGCUACGCUCAUGGUAGAGGCUAACCCGGCGGAUCAAGACGCUCACAAUGCGGAGAUUGUAAAGGUGAGGGAGCAGAUCACUCAGGCCAAAGAGGAUCUAGCAGCUGAAGAGGUCAGGAUGACGGCAGAGCGGGCCGCUUUGGACGCACAAGGUUACAGGCUCAUGCUGGACCAGAACGCGUCGCAGGAAGUCAUGAGGAGGAAGUACCAAUCUCGUCUGCCUUCAGUCUUCGAAGCCAGAGACCUCUUCAACACCCCUGGAGCGGGAACCAGUAAUCCGCCAGCGGUAAACCGGGCGAAGGCACCUGGGACGGGCGCACCGGUCCAGCCCCGUUUAAUAGAUCUGCCCCGUAAUAAUAUUGGUGUACCUCAGGCUGUGCCAACACCUCCGGGUCACUACUCCAAUCCGAUGGACAACCUUGUUGCAGCUGCUGCACGGCUGGAGGCCAUUCCAAUUGAAGGUGAUUCGCUACAGGCGAUAGAGACGCGCCGGGUCAAGGAGCUCCUUAGGACAGCUUUGGUCCAACAGGAAGCGUAUUCAUACAGCCGUGACCGGAUCCAUUCUACCCCUCGUCCAAGCCGGAGCUAUAGCAGACAUAUGGAUGAACCGGCCGUGUCGAGUAAUGUGCGGCAUGCAGCGCCCCGUGGUAACAACCCGGCUAGUGGUGUCGAUAACGCUCAGGAAGUGGUGGACCGGGCCCGAGCAGGCAGGGAGGCCGAGUUAGCGGCACAAUAUCAAGCUCGUCAGCUUACACCGGUUCGUCCGACCACCUCGGUCGAUCCUGGAGUUACCUCUAGCUCUUUGGGGGUGCCUUGCCUUGUCCCCUCUUUACGCAAUGUGCGCCUGCCCAAGGAUUUCAAGGGCCCGCGCAAGGUACCAAACUAUACGGCGGAUCAACCUCCAGAGACAUGGGUGGAGAGCUAUGAGAUGGCCAUGGAGAUGCUUGAUGUGGAUGAUGCAGCGUGUGUGAAGUAUUUUACCAUGAUGCUUGAGGGGACGGCCCGUACUUGGUUAAAAAGCUUACCGGCCAACUCUAUCAGUUCAUGGGCCCAGUUACGAGCCCGGUUUAUCAGUAAUUUGAAGGAUACAUGUAAGCAGCCUAUGUCGAUAGUGGACUUGGCUGCCUGUGUCCAGGAGGAAGGAGAAUCGGCGACUCAUUGGGUGCGCUGGGUUUCACAAGUUCUGCAUUCAUCAGACCACAUCAACGCUGACACCGCGGUUAUAACCCUGGAAGGCAAUUGCCGGUUUGGGCCCCUAAAGUUGAAGUUAGGGCGGAUGAAGCGCCACUGCACUGACAUGGGGACUCUCAUGGCCGCUUUGGUAAAGUAUGCUGAUUCUGAUAGUACCAAGGAUCCCGAGUCUGAUGAUGACAAGGCAGGGAAGGGAAAGAAGAAUGGCAACUCCAAAGGUCAGCAACAUCACUCGACAGGUAAUCGUGGCAGAGGCAAGCGUAAAGCGGAUGGCAACAUGGACUUCGUGGCUAAUACCAGCGCGCAGGACAAGGGCCAGCGACGCAAGGGUAAACCGCCGAAUCGUAGUGGAGCGCCUAACCCUAACCCGGACCGCCUAAAUUAUCUAUUGAACCAGCCCUAUCCGAAGCAUGGGACGAAGGAGGUGCCAGCGAACCACCUUUGGAAGGAUUGCUACAUUAUGCAGGAGUUCAAGAAUUCUAAUGCUUUUCGGUAUGACCAAGGCUCCGGCGGAGAAGAUCCGGGCCGGGUUACGGUGGAGGAAAUUCCGGUUCAGGAUUUAAUGGUAAUCCGGGCGGACAUAACAAUCAGAAUAAUCAGAAUAACCAGGGUGAUUACAAUCAGCAACAGCAGCAGUCGGGUUACCAGAGCAAUCCAAAACAGUUGAAUAGUGGGCAGUAUCAUGUAUUUACCACUAGCUUGGACAAGCGAGACCGGAAGGCUCAGAAGCGGGCUGUCAACUCCGUUGAACCGGCCGUGCCCCGAUAUCUACGCUGGUCAGAGCAGCCAAUCAUAUGGAGUAGAGAGGAUCACCCUCCCCGGGUUGACAAUCCGGGUCAGCUAGCAUUGGUGGUGGCACCUCAGGUGGGAGGUUAUAAGUUCACCAAGGUACUCAUGGAUGGAGGAAGCAGCAUUAAUAUCCUGUAUUAUGAGACCUUCCGUCAUAUGGGACUAACAGAUAAAGAUCUUAGACCGUCCAAUACGGUGUUCCAUGGUGUGUUACCUGGAAAGUCAGCAUAUCCUAUUGGUAAGAUAGCGCUGGAAGUGGCUUUUGGAGAUGAUCAUGAUUCUAGGUCGGAGACACUGACGUUUGAAGUGGUAAAAAUCUAAAGUCCGUAUCAUGCCUUGUUUGGGUGACCGGCCUACGCCAAGUUUAUGGCACGGCCCUGUUAUGUGUAUUUGCAGCUCAAAAUGCCGGGUCACAAGGGGACAACAACGGUUCACGGAAGCCGGAAAGUCGCUUUGGAAUGCGAGGAAGGUGAUGCGGCCUACGCAGAGUCGGUUUGUGCCACCGAGGAGCUGAAGUAUUACAAGGACAAUGUUGAUCCGGCGGACAUGACUCCAUUGAAGAAACCAACAACGGAGCAUGAUCCGGCCCUGAAGUUCAAAUCGGCAGCUGAGACUAAGCUUGUUGACUUCAUGCCUGGCGAUUCGUCCAAGCAGUUCAGCAUCAGUUCCAAUCUGGAUCCGAAAUAGGAAAGCACGCUCAUCAAGUUCAUCCGUGAGAAUCGGGACAUUUUUGCAUGGAAGCCUUCUGACAUGCCAGGUGUACCGAGGUGACUCGCUGAGCACACUCUUAAUGUGGAUCCUAAGUACAAACCGGUGAAACCGUUCCUCUGCCGGUUUAACGAAGAAAGGCGCAAGGCUAUUGGAGAAGAGGUGGCCAGGCUCUUAGGAGCUGGCUUUAUUGUUGAAGUUUUUCACCCUGAAUGGCUUGCUAAUCCGGUGCUGGUCCUUAAGAAAAAUGGCACCUGGCGUAUGUGUGUGGAUUACACAGACCUUAAUAAGGCUUGUCUAGUAGAUCCUUUUGCUCUCCCUCGUAUUGAUCAAAUCAUUGAUGCUACGGCGGGUUGUGAGCAUUUGAGCUUUUUGGAUGCAUAUUCUGGCUAUCAUCAGAUCAAAAUGGCAGUUAAGGACCAGGAGAAGACGGUGUUCAUAACUCCCUUUGGAGCCUUCUGCUAUGUGUCUAUGCCUUUUGGGCUUAAGAGUGCCCAGGCAACCUAUCAACGGUGUGUGCAAAAUUGUCUUCACAAGCAGAUUGGCCGUAAUGUACAUGCUUACGUGGAUGAUAUUGUGGUUAAGUCAAGGAAGAAGGAGACUCUGGUUGACGAUUUGAAGGAAACCUUUGAUAACCUGAGGACGUACAAGAUGAUGCUCAAUCCGGCCAAGUGUGUCUUUGGUGUACCGGCAGGCAAGUUAUUGGGUUUUCUGGUGUCCAACAGGGGAAUCGAGGCUAAUCCGGAGAAGAUCACAGCCAUCACCUCCCUGGCUAAGCCUAAGUGUAUCAAUGAUGUUCAACGCCUGGCAGGCCAGAUUGCCGCGUUGAGCCGGUUUAUCAGUCGCCUUGGUGAGAAGGCAAUCCCUUUGUAUCAGAUGUUGAAGAAAACGGAUCAGUUCGUUUGGAGUUCCGUUGCGGAUAAGGCGUUUGAGGACUUAAAGCGGCAAUUGGCCAAUCCGCCUGUGCUUGCCGCUCCCAUUGACAAGGAGCCGCUACUGCUAUAUGUUGCUGCUAAUGCUCGUGCAGUCAGUGUGGCUAUUGUGGUGGAGCGGAAGGAGGCAGGCAAGGAGCAUCCGGUUCAGCGUCCGGUUUACUAUAUCAGCGAUGUACUCAUUGAAUCCAAGCAAAGUUAUCCGCAUUGGCAAAAGCUGGUAUAUGGAGUUUUCAUGGCAAGCCGGAAACUGAAGCAGUAUUUCCAAGGGCACCCCAUCACAGUGGUCAGUUCUGCCCCCUUGGGUGAUAUCAUCCAGAACCGGGAAGCAACUGGCCGGAUUGCCAAAUGGGCUAUACAACUUGGGCCGCAUGGGUUGAAGUACGUGCCUCGAACGGCGGUGAAGUCUCAGGCACUUGUUGAUUUCAUUAAUGAUUGGACGGAGUUACAAGCACCUGAAGAGAAGCCGGAUCACACAUAUUGGACCAUCCAUUUUGCCGGAUCACGACAAUUGGAGGGCUCGGGGGCUGGAGUCGUCUUAACUUCCCCGUGAGGUGACAAGUUAUGUUACGUUCUCCGCUUAAUGUUCCCUUGUACUAACAAUGCAGCUGGGUAUGAAGCCUUGCUCCAUGGUCUCUGGAUGGCUAAAGAGAUGAAUCUAGGCCGGGUUAAGUGCUUCGGUGACUCGGACCUAGUGGCUCAACAGGUGUCUGGCACUUGGGAUUCUAAGGACCCACUCAUGGCUGCAUAUCAUCGUGAGGUGGACAUUGUUGCAGGUCACUUUAAAGGCUAUCAGGUGGACCACAUGGACCGUCGGAAGAAUGAAGCGGUGGACGCUUUGAGCCGGUUGGGAUCUCAGCGUAAACCGGUCCCGCCUAAUGUUUUUCUUGAUGUGCUGCACAACCCGUCGGUCAAGCUCCCUGGUGAAGCGGAUUUGGCUAUUCCUGAUCCGGAGGCUCAAUUGGUGGCAGCUCUUCACGUCAUUCCAGAUUAGACGCUUCCUUACCUGGCGUACAUGAACCGGGGCGAGUUACCAGAGGAUGAGACUCUGGCCCGGCAGAUAAUACGGCGGUCUAAGUCCAUGACUGUCGUCAAUGGUGAGUUGCAUCAUUGCAGUGUAUCAAGGGCGUUUCAGCGCUGUGUAUCUCCUAAAGAAGGCCGUGAAAUUUUGCGUGAAAUCCACGAAGGGGAUUGCGGUCACCACGCCGGUUCAAAAUCUUUGGUGGCUAAAGCAUUCCGCCAUGGCUUCUAUUGGUUAACUGCCCAUGCUGAUGCGGAGGAUCUGGUCAGACGAUGUGACGGUUGCCAAAAGUUCUCAAGACGCGCUCAUGUGCCGGCUCAAGAAUUGAGGAUGAUUCCAAUCACUUGGCCGUUUGCAACUUGGGGGCUGGAUACGGUUGGGCCUUUCAAAAGGUCCAAGGAUAAGAAGACCCACCUACUGGUGGCGGUUGAUAAGUUUACAAAGUGGGUGGAGGCAGAACCUGUUAGCAAGUGUGAUGCGGCCAUGGCGGUUCAGUUCAUCAAAAAUGUGAUUUUCCGGUUUGGCUUUCCACACAGUAUCAUCACAGAUAAUGGUACCAAUUUAUCCAAGGGGGGCAUGAAGGAGUUCUGCGAACGAGAUCACAUCCGGCUUGACGUUUCAUUAGUAGCCCACCCACAGUCCAAUGGUCAAGCAGAAAGAGCUAAUCAAGAGAUCUUGAGAGGCAUCAAACCCCGGCUUAUGGUUCCUUUGCAAAGGACACCGGGUUGUUGGAUAGAAGAGCUACCAUCUGUGUUAUGGAGUAUCAAUACUACGCCUAACAGAUCCACAGGAUACACACCAUUCUUCAUGGUCUAUGGAGCGGAGGCAGUUCUCCCCAGUGAUAUCCGUCAUGACUCACCUCGUGUGGCGGCUUAUGUUGAAGCAGACAACGAGAACGGCAAGAUGCUUUGGACCUGUUGGAUGAGGAGCGUGACAUAGUAGCUGCCCGCUCGGCGAUUUACCAAUAGGAUCUUCAUCGUUAUCACAGUCGCCGAGUCAGAACCAGAACCUUUCAAGAAGGAGAUUUGGUGCUCCGGCUAAUCCAAGAUCAGACUGAUAUGCAUAAGUUAUCCCCGCCUUGGGAGGGACCUUUUGUGGUCAGCAAGAAUCUGCACAACGGGUCAUACUAUCUGAUCGAUAUUCGAGAGCAUAGAGACUCACGUACAUCAGAGGAGGAGACCAACAGGCCGUGGAAUAUAGCUCAUCUUCGACCUUACUAUACCUGAGCCAUCGGCUCUACUUAUGUACAUACUAUGACAGUGUAUAUAUUAUGAUUAAUAUAAUAAACCGGAGCCUCAGCUAAAGCGGGGUAUCUGUUCUUUUACAUCAUGCGAGGUUACACGGAGUUGUUCUGUCUUAAAGCGGCCUCCGGUUUACCCCUUGAAAGUUUUAUAAACAUCACUUGGGGGCUUGGUCGUGUCCGAACCAAUGCAACACCUUUUGAUAGGCGAUUCGCCACCAGAUCACUUGGGGACAUGGUCAAGUCUGAACCAGUCAUGCCUCUUGAUCGGCCUAAGGCCAUAGAAUCAUUUGGGGGCUUGGUCGGACCCGAACCAUUGCCACGCCUCUUGAUCGGCAUAAUGCCACGGUUUCAUUUGGGGACCUGGCUGACUUGAACCAUAGCUACACCUAUCAGGAGCUUGGUCGCGUCCGACCAUGGUAACACCAUCUGAUCGGCUCAGUAAAGCCUCUUUUUGCAAACGGUUUUAUCAUUGCCUUUGCUUCAAUAUUUUUCUUAAUAACUAUUGCUUUAUCUUUGUUGCGUUUCUAAACCGACAACGUUUUAAAACCGGUUCAAACUGUCAAUUGACGGGACAUGGUCCAUUUUUAAUCUGGAGAUUAUUUGCCCGGUUUGAUUUUUUCUGUUAACAUCCUAUUAUGGAGUAGCAGGGUGUUUAUCAUAACCCGGCCCGGUUUACAUGAUAAACCGGUAUUGAAUACACAGGAGCUGUUUUCUCCUUUGACGGUCUAGGUUUCUAAACCUCCACUUCAAGAGUGUCUAUGCCAACUCCAUGCCCAGUAAUGGUAGGUAUUUUGUAUCACAAAAUUUGAUCACAUACCUCAAUUUCAUUGCAUAUAUAUGUAAAAGUCAUAAACCGGCUGGCGGAACAACCACCGCAGCAGUUUAAGAUUUUGUGAUUGCAGGAAAUAUAGAUUGAAGGUUUUGAUCAUUCAAACAAAAGUACCAGCACCUAUGCACGAAGGCAUCUCAAAAGCAAGAGUAUUGGCUAUCCUAUUACAAGGCAACAUGGUGCCCAAAUAAGAUCAUUGUUUUUCUUGGCCGAAUAUAAUGAAGCAGCCAUUUAAAUCGGUCUCCGAUUCAAGCUUGUUCACCGCCCUGGUUUGAUGGUUGUGGGUCGUCCUGCGCCGCUUCAGCUUCUUCUUCCCUACCCAGUGGCUGGAAGUCAACAGUGGUCCAGUUGAUUCCCAUUAAGGCUUGAAAGACAGCUUCGUCAUGGAUCAGUGAAGAUGGUUCAAUAUCAGGAGCGUAAGUAUGCUUACGGAUUGGAGGGAUCAGAUUCUCCGCUUCAGGAAUUGGUGCAGCCACCCGUUUGUUUUGAUUGUUAUAUUCAGCUUGAUAAUGCGACAAGUCUGCCUCUUCCACCAAUUGGUAGGCCAGAGGGCGCACCGCCCGGUUUAUCGCUCUUGGGUCAUCUUCAUUGAACUCUGAACCGUCUUCCUUCAAGCUGGGAUAGCCCUGAGCUGCCUCAACAGGAUCGAAAUCCGGCACCCAUGCUUUUUCCCGGAUUAAGGCAUUGAUGGCACCGGUUCGAGCAGCAGAUUUCUUCAGCUCUUCAACCCGGGCAGGAAGCAUUGACAACCUCUUAAGAGUAUCUUGAAUUAAAGUGGGCGCUGAAUUGUUAUGUGAUGCAGUAGAAAUGAUCCGCUGCGCUCCAGUAUACAGCUGUUCGAUUAAGGUGUAGGCGGCUUUCAAUUUCAUCCGAACAUCUGACCCCAAGUGACCAAUGCGUGUGCCUGCAACAUGACAAAAAAGUUCAAAAACCGGAUCUAUCAUCAGAAGGCCAAAUUAUUACAAAAGACAAAGGACGUUUACCAAAGAUGGCGGCAGUCAUGGCAUGCACUUGCCGCUUUACGUUGUACAGCUCAUCCACCACCGGUUUAAGGGCGGCUUCAGCAGUUUCAAUUUUCUUGGUCAAAGCGGCCUUCUCAGUGGCCCAAUCCGUCCGCUCUUUCUUGAAGCCCUCUUUAAGCUGUUCCAUGACGCUUAAAGCGCUGGUCAAUUCCUCUUUCGCCUUUGAGGUUUUAGCUUGGUGGGAUUUUAAAUUUUCUUGAAGAUCGGCGAGUUGGCUUUCUUUGGUCUUCAGCUCAGCCUGAAUACAGACAAUCAUAUGAUUUAACAAACGGUACAAGAAUUGAAGUACCAACCACAUAACAAGUUAUGCACUUGGCACUUGGGGGCUAAUGCCUAUUUGAUCUUCAAUUGUCAAUUGAUUGCAAAGUCCCAAGCUCAAUACAAGUAUUAAACUUGGCACUUGGGGGCUAAUGGCUAUUUGCUCCAGUAAGUUCUGAUGCUGCCAUGUUAAUUACUUAAGUCCCGGUUUAACUACAAUAAGUUGAACCGGCCCUUGGGGGCUACAUCAGUGAAUUCUGAAGCAUUGAUAUAUGUAUUGGAAAGUCCCAGUUUGAAUGAAGAUUCUAAACCGGCCCUUAGGGGCCAGGAGUGUGGACAAGAUUGACAUAUCUAAGCAGGAAAAAGCACAUGGAAGUUACCUCAAAUUUUUCUUUCAUCAUAUUCACCAAACCGGCUUCAUAGUCACGGCUGGUAUACAGCCGGUGCAGAUAGCCGGAAUGAAGAUCUUGGGCAUUCAGAGCGGCGUAAGUCACCAGAUCAACAUUCCACUUGCCUUUGCUCAUGGCGGCGAAUUCUUCCUUGGCAGUAUGCUUGGAUAAGGCGACCGGAUUGCUUGACUCGGUAUGGCCAACACCAGUAAUAACAACUUCAUCCUGGGCGUCACCGGUUUGCACUGGGACUGUCGGUUUACCAGUAGUCUUGGAUGGGCUGGCGGAUUUAUCAAUCCGGAUGGGACUUCUGGGCUGGUUGGCAGGACCGGAGGCGCCAACAGGCCUUUCUUCAGCAAUAAAAUCCUCAUCUUGCAGUGGCGGGUCAUUGGGCACGUCUUCAUGAAUAGCCGCUUCAAGAUCUGGGGUGUUGUCCGGUUCAGGGGCAGUUUCUUCUUUGGCCGCUUUAUCCAGGCGAGCCUUCUUGCUCGGCCUAGGCUUGGCCCUGAAAAGGAGUGAUAAAUCAAAAAUAGUGUAUGUUACAAAGUAACGCACCAGAAAUAUUAAGUAUAAGCUUACCCAAGCACAGUUUUCAGCGGUGGCAGCUGAGUAGCCGAUGACUCGCCGGAGGAUGAGUGGGAAGUAACCUGAUAAUCGGAGUCAGAUGGAUUAAGCGGUUGACGAAAAUAGCCCGCUUUAGGACAAGUACUGACAAGCAAAUUAGAGACCUCUGAACGGCGUUUCCGAACCGGACUGUUCGGUAAACCGGCGGAGGUAACUACCUGGCCGCUGUGCCGAGUUGUGCGGCGAGCUUCGUGCUGUUGGGUCUUCAAAAGAAAUUUGGGAUCCAAGUAAGCAAGAGGAUGAGAAAAUUCAACUUCCCGGUUUGCCUGACGAAUUUUUAGUGAAGGCAAAAGGUUCGAAUCAGAAGAGACAGUAAUUACCUCUGCAGCAUCAGCAUGACUAGCCUCAGCAUCAUCCUGACAAAUAUUAUCAUCAAUAAGGCGUGUAAAAAGUAAGCCAAGUGAAUCAAGUUCUACCUCAAGGUCCGGAUUACCCACAUCGUCAUCAGCGGGCGGAUCAGAAGAUGUAGUGGUUUUUCUCUUAUGAGCAGGCCUCUUAACGACUUUGGUCUUUGGCCGGAUUGGUCUUUCCAGUUUGUCUGGCUUUUCUGGUUUCUCCUGAGGAAGCUUCUUGCUCCGAAACGGAUCAUCGCCCUGUUUAAGCAGCAGUUGAUAUUAAAGAAUAUACAGGAAUAACAAUGACAUGUUCAGUAAAAAAGUACAGUCAAAAUCUUACAGUUGGCAGUUUGUUGGUAGCACAGAAGGGAAGCAGGCCGGUUCGAGCACAGAGGUGUUCCGGUUCGUUCAACAUUUUCUUCACAGCUUCUGUGACCUUGUCGUCUGUGAUCUGGAUGUUAAUAUGUCAGACUGGGUCAUCGACAUUACCAGUAUACUUGCGCAUCAACCGGAGCGCUGGCUGAGGGGUAGUAUGCUCCAUGAUAUCCAACAACAUGCGAGAUCAAUUCCUGUUAAACCGUUGGCCAUGAAGGUUCUGAGCUUGGAUAGUUGAGGAGCGUAUUUACUUCUCUCCUUGGCAGUCAACCUUUGCGGAAAGGGGUGUGUAUUGCUAAGCUGCUCAGGACGAAAGCCAUGCAAAGGAUUUUCAUUAGCAAGGAAGGUGUCUUUGCAAUAGAACCAUGUUUCAUUCCACUCCUUGGGGUGGCUGUGCAGUUUGGCAUGAGGAUAAGUGACCUCCUUCCUUUUCUGAAUCGCCAUACCACCCAAUUCCGUAUUGGAACCAUCAGUGAAUUCCGUGCGGCAGUUUAGGUGGAAGCAGUCUCUGAACAACUCAACUAUGGGUUCCUCUUGAAAGUAUUCCUCACAGAGCACUUGGAAGUGGCAUAUGUUGGUAACAGAGUUGGGGCCCGUGUCUUGCGGGCGGAGUUGAAAAUUGGCUAAGACAUCCCGAUAGAAUAUUGAACCGGGCGGACUAAAACCCCGGGCUAAGUGAUCUGCAAAAAUGACAACCUCUCCCUCUUGAGGUGUCGGCGGACAUUCUUUACCAGGGACCCUCCAGUGGAUGGUGUCUUUGCUGCUUAAAGCGCCAGUCAGGACCAGAUUGUUCAAUUGAGUUUCUGCGACGCGAGAAGGAGCCCAGUUGCACUCAUAUACUUGUUUGGCCAUGAUGAAAUCUACAAAUAAGUAAUUCCGGUUCAAGCAUGUGUUGGGACAAGUGUGCACUGGUGUGUACAAUGUUAAAUCGAAGACAGCUACAUCCAAACCGGAGUUCAAUGAAGCGACAAUGUCUGGUUAAAGAGUUCUGGCGGUUCAACAAGGGGACUAAUGGUAUAUACCGGUUUAUUAAUUUUUUUCUACACUAAGUUAAACCGCCUGAUCUAAAUAGUGAAGCAAUUGAGGUUACGGAUGGCUAAGUAUACAGAAACAGGUUUCACAAAGUCUUGCUACAGCGAUGGAUCUAAAGCGAGUUCAGAAAGAAAAAAUAUUCAAAGACUUAAAGCAGAGCGGAAGUGAAUCAAUGGACAGAUAUAUAGAUGAGAUCUAUGGACUUAAGCAUGAAACUACAGGUGGAUGCGAAAAACUAUUGUUACUCAGAGCAGGGUUUCACAGAUCUAUCCAGGAGCUAAUACAUGAAUAUGAACAGUUGAUGAGCACCGCAAGAACAUGAAACCCUAGAACAGAUCUAGGUUGAGAAGAACAAAGGACCUACCAGAGCUGGGGAAGAUGCGGGAGAUCGCCGCGGUUUUCUGGUGCGUUUAGGUUGAUGCAGCGGCCAAAGUUGGUGCUGGAGACGACGGUGGCGGCGGAGCUCUAAAGGUGGCGACGCGAGGAAGACGAAGAAGAGAGGGCACGAAGGGAAGAAAGGAAAUGACCUCUCGGUCUUAUUUAUAAAUCAAAAGGACAUGUGUCAGGCACGACAAACCAGGGGCCACGGAACGGAGUUGUCGCCUCGAUUUUCGCAGAUCUACUAAAUGAAGAGAUAUCAUGGAUACUUUCUUUAUGACAGACGACGUCACCCCGGUUUAACAGAAUUGGAGAAGAUGACAUCACGACGGUUCAACAAUUGCAAGAAGAUGUUGAAGAUGAAGAUUUCUGCUAAGGAUUGACAUGAACUUGUUCAAAUCAAUCUGGGGCCUAAUGUUGGGGAUAUUACUACUGGGCGUAAACCGGCCUAUUUGGGCCGGGUUAACUUCAUUAGUAGUUCAAAGGUGUUAAAGCCCAAAGAGGCAGAUAAGGGCCCAAGGCCCGUAGUCGGUUUAGGACUUGCAGCCAUAAACCGGCUUUGUAUGUAAACUUGUAUUGUAAGUAAGGAAUAAGGAGAGACCAACCCGGAUACGAGUAUGAACCGGUGUUGGGACUCUAUGAACCGACGGGCGUCACCCAGGUAUAUAAGGGGACGACCCGGCGGCGGUUCAGGACAGACAACAACAACUCGAGACUUAGGCGAAACUUGUUUGCUCCCUAGUCAUCGAAACCCCAUCAAUUCCAUCACAACUAGACGUAGGCUUUUACCUUCAUCGAAGGGGCCGAACUAGUAUAAAACCCUCUUGCGUCCCUGUGUCCGCUUUAACCCCUUCAAGCUAACCCGUCGUGAUGGCUCCACGACUAAAUCCUUUCAUGAGGACAUCUGUAGUGACAAAACCACGACAGUUCUCCUCCUCGAAGAACUCCUUCCAAAGAGGUUCAUCAUAUUCACGUACAAUUUUCAUGCAACAAUCCCAUGAAACAGUUUCGGAAAUGGAGUUUUUAGCAAAGAGAUCGAAAUCCGCGAAUGGUGAAUUUUUUCUGGAGGUAGGUGGUGAUGUGGGAUGAAGAGAUAAGUGAGGGGGCCCACAUGGGGACCACAACCCACCAGGGCGCGCCUGGGGGUCCUGGCUCUCCCAGGUGAGUUGUGCCCACAUGGUGCACCUCCCUCUGAUGUUAUUUGCACCAAAAAUUCUUAAAUAUUCAGGAAAAAAUCGUAUUAAAUUUUUGGAGCAUUCUGAGAACUUCUAUUUUGGGUCAUUUUUUAUUGCAUGGGAAAUUCAUAAAACAGACGAAACAUGGCAUUUUAUUUUAUUUAACUAAUAAAAAACAGAAAACAAAAGGUAGGGACAGAAGAUAGUGAUUACUAAAUUCAUCAACUUCACACCUCUAAAAAUGAUCCAUUAAUAAGGUUGAUCAAGUCUUAUUAACAACCACUUUCGAUUAGCAUGAAACCGAAGAACUUUCGUAAAUCACUAAGUUACCUCAACGGGGAUAUGAAUAUCCCCAACAAUAAGCAUUUCAUAUGUCUUUUUAACAGUAGGUAGAGGUAGUUGAAAACUUCCAAUAGUGAUUGUCGGAGAUUUUUCAAUAACAUUAAUACCAUUCACUUGGAAUUGUUUCUUCGGAAAGUGCACCGUAUGCUCAUUACCAUUGAUAUGAAAAGUUACCUUGCUUUAAUUGCAAUCAAUAACAGCUCCUGCAGUAUUCAGGAAGGGUCUACCAAGGAUAAUCGACAUGUUGUCGUCCUCGGGCAUCUCAAGUAUAACAAAGUCAGUCAAGAUAGUAACAUUAGCAACAACAACAGGCACAUCCUCACAAAUAUUGAUAGGUAUGGCAGUUGAUUUGUCAGCCAUUUGCAAAGGUAUUUCAGUAGGUGUGAGUUUAUUAAAUCAAGUCUUUCAUAUAAAGAGAAAGGCAUAACACUAACACCAACUCCCAAAUCACAUAAAGCAGUUUUCACAUAGUUUCUUUUGAUGGAGCAAGGUAUAGUUGGUAUUCCCGGAUCUCCAAGUUUUUUAGGUACUCCAUCCUUAAAACUAUAAUAAGAAAGCAUGGUGGAGAUUUCAUCUUCCGGUAUUUUUCUCUUAUUGGUGAUGAUGUCUUUCAUGUACUUUGCAUCAGGAGGCUUUUUCAAGAUAUCAGUCAAACGAGUAUGCAAAAAUAUUGGCCUCAGCAUUUCAGCAAAGCGUUAAAGUUCUUCAUUAUCUUUCUUUUUAGUUGACUUAGGUGGAAAGGGCAUAAGUUUUUGAACCCACGGUUCUUUUUCCUUACCGUGUUUUCUAGCAACAAAGUCUCUUUUAUCAUAUCUUUUAUUCUUGGGUUGUGGGUUAUCAAGACCAAUUGAUGGUUCUAUCUCAACAUCAUUGUCUGGCUUUUUAUUAUUUGUUUGAGUAUCUUCAUGAACAUCAUCAUUAUCCUUUUCAUUAUCAGAAGGUGAGUGUUCACUACCAGAUUAAGUUUUAGCAUCAGAGAUAGAAACUUCAUUAUCAUUAUCAGCAGGUUUUUCCACUUCAGGUUCACUAGAGGCAUGCAAAGUCCUAUUGUUUUUCUUCUUAUUUUUCUUUUUAGAAGGGCUAUGUGCAUCAGUGUUAACCCUUUGAGUGUCUUGUUCAAUUCUUUUUGGGUGUCCCUCAGGAUAAAGUGGUUCCUGAGUCAUCCUACCUCCUCUAGUCAUUACUCUAACAGCAUGAUCAUUGAUAUUAUUAUUCAUAUCAUCUAGCAACUCUCUUUGAGAUUUAGCAACUUGUUCUAACUAAGUUUGAACCAUAGAAGCAUGUUUUCCUACACCUCUAACAUCAUUUGAGAUUCUAAAUAACAAGUCACACAAGUGAGCCAUCAUAUCAGAAUUGUAUUUCAAUUGUUUCAUAACAUUUGUAUUGAAGUGAUCUUGCUUUCUAAUGUAAUUUUCAAACUCAUAAAGGCAUUGGCUAGGGUGCAUACUGUGAGGAUUAUCAUUAUCAUUAAAUUUCAUUAUAGAACUUACCUAUACCACCUUAGGUGGUGGUGGUGUAUCAAGCCCAUGUAUUUCUUCAAUAGGAGGUAAAAUUUUAACAUCCUCAGCUUUAAUACCUUUUUCUCUCAUAGAUUUCUUUGCUGCUUGCAUAUCUUUAGGACUGAGAUAUAAGAUACCCCUCUUCUUCGGAGUGGGUUUAGAUGGUGGUUCAGGAAGAGUCCAAUCAUCAUAAUUUUUCAAUAUGUUAUUCAAUAUUUCUUCAGCUUGUCCAAUAGUUCGUUCCCUGAAAACACAACCAGCACAACUAUCUAGGAAAUCCCCAGAAGCAUCAGUUAGUCCAUUAUAGAAGAUAUCAAGUAUUUCAUUUUUCUUAAGAGGAUGAUCAGGCAAAGCAUUAAGCAAUUGGAGAAGCCUCCCCCAAGCUUGUGGGAGACUCUCUUCUUCAAUUUGCACAAAGUUCAAUAUUUCCUGUAAGGCAGCUUGUUUCUUAUGAGCAGGAAAAUAUUUCUCGAAGAAGUAAUAAAUCAUGUCCUGGGGACUACGCACACAACCAGGAGCAAGAGUAUUGUACCAAACUUUAGCAUCACCCUUUAAUGAGAACGGGAAUAAUUUGAGAAUAUAAUAAUAGCGUAUUUUCUCAUCAUGAGCAAAAAUGGUGGCUAUGUCAUUCAACUUAGUAAGAUGUGUCACUACAGUUUCAGUUUCAUAACCAUGAAAAGGAUCAGAUUCAACCAAAGUUAUCAACUAUGGGUCGACAGGGAAUUCAUAAUCCUUAUCGUUAACAAAGUUAGAUGAAGUAGCAAGCUGAGGAUCACAUUUCAUUUUUGCAUUCAAAGCUUUUCUUUAUACUUGCAUAAUAAUUUUUCUAGAUCAUCUCUAUCCUUACAAGCAAGAAUAUCUCUAGUUGUGUCCUCAUUCAUAACAUAACCCUCCGGUACCUUAGGCAAUUCAUAUCUAGGAGGACUAGUUCUAAUUGGUGUUUCAAGAUUUUCAGUUUCAAGCUCUUCAUCAGUUUCAGCAUUCUCAAAAAGCUAUAGUUCUAGCAAGUUGUUCAUCAAGAAAUUCACCUAGUGGCACAUUAUCAUCAAGCAAGGUACUAGCAUCAUCAUAAGUAGCAUACAUAACAGAAGUAGCAUCAUCAAUAACUUGCGACAUAUCAGAAUUGAUAGCAUGUGGUGGUGUUGCAAAUUUACUUAUAACAGAAGGUGAAUCUAAAGCAGAGCUAGAUGGCAGUUCCUUACCUCCUCUCGUCUUAGAGGGAAAAAUCUUAGUCUUAGCAUCCUUCAGAUUCUUCAUAGUGAUAAAUUGAUAAUAAUUCCAAGUGACUCAACAAAUAUAGCUAUGCUUGCCGGCAACGGCGCAAGAAAAGGUCUUGAUAACCCACAAGUAUAUGGGAUCACAACAGUUUUCGAGGGUAGAGUAUUCAACCCAAAUUUAUAGAUUCGACACAAGGGGAGUCAAAGAAUAUUUAUAACUAUUAGCAGCUGAGUUGUCAAUUCAACCACACAUGGAGAUUAAUUAUCUGCAGCAAAGUGAUCAGUACCAAAGUAGUAUGAUAGUUUUGAUAGUAGUAGCAACAACAAUAGUAACGGUAACAAUGAUAGCAAUUGUUUUGUAGCAGUGACAAUAGUAACAACAGCAGUAGUAACUUAGCAAGAAUAAUAUGUAGGAAAAUCAUUGGCAUUAGAUCGGUGAUUUGUUGAAUGAUAUUCAUCAUGUGACAGUUACAACCUAGGACGAUACGGCACUAGCUCCACUUUAUAAAUAUAAUGUAGGCAUGUAUUCCGUAAAUAGUCAUACGUGCUUAUGGAAAGAACCUGCAUGACAUCUUUUGUCCUACCCUCCCGUGGCAGCGGGGUCCUAUUGGAAACUAAGGGAUAUUAAGGACUCCUUUUAAUAGAGAACCAGAACAAAGCAUUAACACACGGUGAAUACAUGAACUCCUCAAACUAUAGUCAUCACCGGGAAGUGUCCCGACUAUUGUCACUCCGGUGUUGCCGGAUCAUAAUAUGUAGUAGGUGACUAUAACUUGCAAGAUCGGAUCUAGAACAUAGAUAUAAUGGUGAUAACAUAAACGGUUCAGAUCUGAAAUCAUGGCACCCGGACCCAAAGUGACAAGCAUUAAGCAUGGCAAAGUCAUAGCAACAUCAAUCUCAGAACAUAAUGGAUACUAGGGAUCAAGCCCUAACAAAACUAACUCGAUUACAUGAUGAAUCUCAUCCAACACCUCACCGACCAGCGAGCCUACGAAGGAAUUACUCACUCCCGAUGGGGAGCAUCAUGGAAUUGGCGAUGCAGAAGGGUUGGUGAUGACGAAGAUCGAAGAUCCCCCUCUCCGGAGCCCCAAACGGACUCCAGAUCUGGCCUCCCGAUGAAGAACAGGAGACGGCGGCGGCUCCAUCUCGUGGAACGCGAUAAUUCUUUCUCCCUGAUUUUUUUCUGGAAAAAUAGGAUUUUAUAGCGUCGGUUUCAGGGUCUGCGGGGCCACCAGGUGGGGACAACCCACCUGGGCGCGCUUGGAGGGGGGCCCUGGUGGGUUGUGCCCACCCAGGUGCCCCCCUCCGGUGGUUCUUGGCUCCAGAAAUUCUUUUUAUUUGUAUAUAAAAAUUCCUCGCAAAGUUCCGUUCCAAUCCGAGAACUUUUAUUUCUGCACAGAAACAACACCAUGGUAGUUCUGCUGAAAACAACGUCAAUCCGGGUUAGUUUCAUUUAAAUCAUCUAAAUUAGAGUCCAAAACAAGAGGGGAAGUGUUAGGAGAAGUAGAUACAACGGAGACGUAUCAACGCCAACGUUGUCAACUCCAUGUACAAUCAAUCAAUCACAAAUCACGAUUUUUUUGUUCAUCAACCUCGUGUAUUUUUUUUUGCAGAAAGAACCUCAAAAUUUCAUAAUUUGUCAACAAUGAUCAGGUGCAGAUGAUAUAUUCUCCCUGGCGGGCGUCAAUGGGCGAUGGGUCGAGGUUACAAAGCAUGAAUACAAGAAGGAUUCAAACUAUUGAAAUUUUGAUCGGGUCAACAAUUUCUCAAAGCUUCAUAAUCCAAUUCUUUUAUAGUAUACAAUAUGCUUCCUAAUUUUUAAGGCCUCACAAUUAAUUAAGGUAUUCAAUAUAGAUUGAUCAUCCAAUUUUGACUGGGUCAACAAUUUCUCAACCUCUCCAAUUGAAUUCUUUUAAUUCACUAUGUUCCCAAAUUUUGAAUCUCUUUCAUUUAAUCGAGGUAUUCAAUUUUGAUUUGGUUGACGAUUUUGACUGGGCCAAUGAUUUUCAAAUCAAUCGGCUGCAACUGGCCUAGAAAAAAGAAGUGUCACCAUGUGAUAUUGUAGUAUCAAUAUAGUACAUGCAACCACCGACGCAGAAAUCUUCCCACAUAAAUAUAGGUUGGUUAGCGGAUGACACAGUCAUCUCCCUACCCGCCUAGCUUAAUAUUCCAUCAGUGAUAAAAUAUAAAGGGUAUUAAUUUUGUAGAAAGUCCAACUUCUUUAACUUUGACCAAGUUCAGAGCAAAAAUAUCAACAUCCACAAUAUUAAACAAAAAAGGUAUGAAAAUUCAUUUCGUGAUGAAUCUAAAAAUACUGAUUUGAUCCUAUGAAUUUUGAUAUAUUUCUCUACAAAUUUGAUGAAACUUAAAAGGUUUGACUUUUCAAAAAAUUAAUACACCUUAUAUUGUGAAGCAGAGUGAUUAGUUUUUUAAGAUACCCAACAACAUGAACGGCACAGCAAAGCGCGCACAACGCUUCUAGUUAGUAGUAUAUCUAAGAACAAUUGGCAUCCUAUUGAUGAUCGAUCAACCUUCUUAGUCCAGCUAGUGGUUGUGUCGUCUAGAGAUCUAUAUGGAGUCAGGGCCGGCCCUGGGGUAUGGCCAGAGGGGCAUGAUAUAGUACACGUGUAAGUAUAGCCCAGCACAAAAUAGGCAACGGAAAAAAUCAAGAGAGGAAAGAAAAAACAAGAUGGCCUAGGCCCGUCAGAUAGCUAGCGCACUUACGUGUCAAACAAAUCAAUGGGAACUCAGAAGAUCUGGCUUUUGAUUCUUGAAAAAAAAAUGAUCUGGGUUUUCGUUUUCGUCGGUUCUUAUUCGUUGUCCCAUCGGCCCACGGCUCCAUCGCUCCUCGCUCGGUGCCUCGGCCGCUCCCGCUCGUUGUCGCCGCUGGCCCGUUAUAGUGUUAUCGGUACGGGGCGCACACCCCCGAUCGGCAAUGGGCCAGCCCAUUUGUCAUUUUAUUCCUUUUUGUAAACUGCUGCAAAAAUGACGCUGGUGUGGGUUUCGAACUCACGCAGCCAAGUUUAUGUACAAGACACACUAACCACCCCAGCCAGCCUUCCUUACGAUCUAGCAAACAAGUUUGUACCUCUUUAAUUAUUAUUUUAUUUUUUUCCAUUUUUUUUCUUUUUCUUUUUCCUUCUUUUCGUUUUCUUUUUUCUUUUUUCCAAUUCAAUGCAACAACUUCAUCGGAUUUUAUGAACGUUUUUCUAAAUUUCCUGAAGUUUUUUCAAAAUAGAUGAACGUUGUUCUCAUUGGAUAAACAUUUUCUAAAAUCGGUGAACUUUUUCCAAAUUUGAUGAACUUUUUUUGAAGUCGAUGAACCUUUUUCAAAAUCUGUGCAUUUGUUUUCUAAUUCGAUGAACCUUAUUUUUAAAUUCGUGAACUUUUUUAAAGUUUAUUAAAAAAAUUCAAAAUUGAUGAUUUUUUUUUCAAAAUAAGUUAUUCUUUUUUCAAAUUCGAUGAACUUUUUGUAAAUCGAUGAACUUUUUUUAAAAUUCGUGAACUAUUUUUUAAGUUUGACAACUUUUCUUCAAAACCGAUGAACUAUUUUUCAAUUCGAUGAACUCUUGUUCAAAAUCGAUGAACUCUUUUCAAAACCGAUGGAUUUUUUUCAAAUUGAUGAAGUUUUUUCAAAAUCGAUGAACUUUUUUCAAAACCGAUGAACUUUUGUUCAAAAUCAAUGAACUCUUUUCAAAACCUAUGAACUCAUUUUUUCAAAACGAUGGACUCUUUUCAAAAUCGAUGAACUCUUUUUCUUUUUUUCAAAAUGGAUGGACUUUUUUCAAAAUCGAUGCUAUAAUCAAUGAACUUUUAGAUAAAUCUAUGAAAUUUUCUUAAAAUCGAUGAUCUUUUUUUCAAAUUUACCUUUUCUUUUUUCAAAAAGAUUUAUAUUGGCUUUACUAAAGGAAACGUUAACUGGGAUGGUUUUUCUAGGAGCGUACAGAAGAACUAGUUCGGUGUAGUGGUUCGAAUGAUGUUGUGCUAGGUUCGAAUCCCACUGUUCCCAUAUUUUCAGUUCGGAUUUGUUUUUUUCUUCUUCACGUCUGCUUUGUUCACUCGGUUCGUGGGCCGGCCCGUUAUGCGUCGCUAGCGAGCGCCGGUAGAGCCAGCCGGCGCCUGAAGCGCUGGUUAGGAGCUCCCAUCAAUGCCCCUCUUAAAAUUCGAAGCCUAAAGUAGAUGUGUUACACGAGAAAUAAAAAGACCAACGUAGACCGUACCAACAUCUAAUAUUUGACGUCACAUUUGAAUUUGAUACUAUUCACAUCCAUAAUUGUCCCUUUGCUCAUCGAAUUAUGCAUCUUACAUAAAUGUUCUAAAUGACCAUUUUUUAUAAUAAUUCCAGGGUUGUAGUUCGGUGCAUAGGUAGCUCAGAGGAACCAUAGCCGUCGCUUCCUCUCCAAAAAAGCUUAGGGUUCCUAUGCCUCCCGCUGGCGCCCCUGCCGGCCCACCUCGUCUCCGGUGGCCCUAGGGCCAUGGGGACACGGUGGAUCUCAUCCCUUACCAGCGGGACGGCUUCGUUUUUAGAUGUUUCUUUGAAUUUUGUUAGGGUUGUGUCCUGCUAAGGAGGGCAAGAGAACGACGGAAGAUUGAAUAAGGUUCUCCCUACUUAGCCCCCGUCUCGAUGGCGCAUCUAACAUCGUCGGAGAGUGUGUGGAGGUGUGUCUCCGGCGGAUCUCGUAGGAUUCAGUAGGUGGUUUGUCUUUGGUGGAUCUACUCGGACUCGGUCUUGGUUCGCCUACGUUUAUGUGUCAUUAGAUUGGAUCCUUCCUAUCUAUGGGUCUCUUUAUCGACGGCGGUUGCUAUUCUAGUGAGCUGGUCCUACGGGCCUUAGCACGACAAGUUCCCGACUGUCUACUACAAUAAGUUCUGCCCGGCUCCGGCGAGGGAAGGGCGAUGACGACGGCGCGUCUUCGGCUCUCUUUAAUGCUUGUAGUCGUUGCUAGAUGGUCUACGGAUGGAUGUAAUUUUUAUUAUUCCUAUUGUUCAUUGUAUUGUCAAGAUUGAAAAUGAAUAGAUCGAAAGAUUUCUCACAGAAAAGAAGCUCAGAAGAACCAUUAAAAGGACAAUCGUGUGGUCUCCUUCGAGGGAGCGAUGUAAUUUCACUUCCUUUUUAUUGCAUUCUCAUGAAUCUAUGGGAUACACAGAUUUGGAAUAGCCAUACGUUAUAUAGGUUUGGAAAAGAUGAAUGGGCAGGACAAAGCCCAUCAAGGUCCAGAGUUGGACAUGGUAUUUUUCUCUUCCCUGAUCUUGUGUGGUUGUUACAUUACAACGAGGACUAGAUGCAUUCAUGAACCUGAGGAGACAAUAUAGGGUGAUUAUAUCGUGGCUAUCAUAUUUACCUAUUUUACAAAGAAUGAUCGGAUAUAAUUUACUGGAACAAUCCAUUGUGUGCCUUUCACGCUUCCGUCAGUUUAAUUUCCUCACACUUUAAGUAGUCUUGUGAUCAGGUAGCUCGCAAUCUGAAUUUCUGUAAUGAAUAUUUUUUUUUGGUCCAACGAGUAAAACGUAGACUUGGUGACCCUCAAAAGGGAUGAUAUUUUACAUAAUGAGUAAAUCAUGAUGUCCUUAGAUAUUUCUUAUGAGUAUUUCUUCUUUUCUGCGGAAAAGUUUCUUGUCUUCCGAACUCUUGGAUGUGGGCAGAACUCUUGAUGAGCCGAGGCACCCGCAGCAUGCCAUUGUGAGUCAAGUUUGCCAUUGUUUGAUGGGAAGUUUUCAAGUGCUACAUGUAGAAGGACGCUAUAGUGGCUGCAAUCUUGCUGCUAAGUGACACGUACUGUCACCCUGUUUCUAAUGAAAAAAACUGAAGAACAAUGACUCAUUUAAACAUUGUUCAAUUUUGUGGUUCAUGAGCCUUUUCUUCAAAGUUUACUUAAAAGUUGGGUUAUUAGGUAAAAAAUGGUUCCUUUCCUUUUGUGCUUGCAAUUUAUUGUCCUGACAAAAACACUUUUUAUUGCAGUGCUAAAGAAAAUGCGUCUACUACUUGACUGAACUAAAUACUCUUGAUAGCAAAUGCCCUCUCUGGGCAUAUUCGUAGAUUCAAGGUGAGGAGACAUGCCAGCAUACAGACCAGCCUUGAAAAUAGUCAGAUAAACAUUGCAAGAUGUUGGCAGAAAUACAUACAUUGCACAUGUAUGAUGUUAGAACAAGAGCGUAAAGUUGAUUGAUUUUUGAUAGCAUCACCUGAAUAUAUCACUCACGGAUUCAUGAAUGUUCUCCGUCACAAUGCACGUCCAUUCACCUAGUAAAAGCAAUGAUUUGUUGGUAGUAGAGGCAUCUCAUGUUUCAAAGGGUUAAACAUUAGCCGUCGUGACCCGGCUCCAUGGCUGGCUCAAUCUCGCACCUCUGUUGGUGCCGAACCCUAGGCAAAUUCCCCCAAAUCUCUUGUUGUUUCUAUUGCUUGACCGAAUGUGAGGAGCGAUAGUAGUUCAAUAACUCUCGUAUAACCGAGGGAAAAAGAAAUGAAGAGAAGUCGGCGAAAGUAUCAAGUGGUACAUCUACUUUUUAUAACAUCACAUGAAGCCGGCAAAAAGGAAAGUUGACCAACGAAGAAACUGCAUAGGGGACAUAUCAGGAGUGAACAUUGCGUGGGCGCCACUGGCCGCAUCCCAUUGUUUUGUUGUGCAGAAGAAGAAAUGACCGCCGAUGCUGUUGGCGCCUCCAUCUCUAUGACCUUGCCGUCCAAGCCCGCGAUAGCAACAAACACGCAGUACUAGAGCAUGGGAGGAGAGCUGAUCAGGGAAAUCGCCUUUCUUGACCACAGGAGAAUUAGUGAUGGGCGACUCCACGCGACACUGAUGUGAUUUCAGGCCACACUAAAGGAUGUCGGAGAAGGGGGCCGUAGGACGAACUCAACAACAUCGGUAGUGGGCUUGGUGGAUAUUGUGUCGAGGGCUCAGGGACGCACUCGGUGAUGGUGGUGGACCUCGGGGAGGGGGACCUCAUACACGUGGAUGCAGUGGAAAAGAGGGUGCACGGGCUUGGAGGCAUUACUCAUCCACCUCUUCUGGAAAAGAGAGCUCAUCGGGGCCAACCGCGUGAAGGAGGAGCUUGAGGUAGCUUGAAGGAGGCGACGACGGGAGCUGGAUCCAUGUGGCAAGCCAGAGUGGAGGCAUCCCACGUGGGAGCAGUGAUUUCGGUGCCUAGGCUUAGAUGCCCCUGCUAUCAUGUUUGUUCAUUGCUGCAUGGAGAUUCAGGAUAUGGGGCAUGAGGUGGCAUUGCUAGGGCGUGGAAAAUCUCCAUAACAAACUAUAAAUGCAUGAAUAGUGCGAUACAUGUGGGUCUAUCGUGUAGCACACGAGGAAGGUUCGGACGAAUGACAAACGGUGCCAUCUUGGUUGGAUUCUGAUCCAUGGCACCUAAUCGUCUGCUUUCAUCUAAGUCGUGGCUCACUCUGCUGCCCGUGGCGUCAGUUUGAAACUUUGAAUCCGAGUCAUGGCCUAAAGAUUUGUGCAGCUCCAGUUGGGGCCUGCAGUGUAGGAUCGUCGGUACACACACCGAAUGUCAUCCACAGCCGACACCGGCCAACAGAUUGCUAGCUUACCAGACGCUACAAGAGGUAGUGUCCUUCAUGAAGUUUGUGUGCUUCAUCACCAACCAGGUCAUCCUAAGCCAUCAUGGACAACCCAUUCAUCUACGUGGUUGACUUCAACAUUGGAGACGACUUCUGGUGGCCGUUGCUCAUGUCACACCUUUCUCACCAUGGUAGCAAGUUGUUUCAUGUCACGUCACUUGCCACCACAUGAAUGCACCGCACGGAUACGCAUGCACCUACAUUUGUGCACGGUGUCCGUCGGAGUUCGCGCGCGUCCCUAGGGGCUCCCAUUCCAUUACGACGAGAAGGACAUCCUGGUCUGGGUUUGAAGUAACGUAAUGGUACCUACAACAAUCUCGAAAAGAGUAAAAGUCCUGGAUUUCGAGAGCAUCUGAGCUCGCGCUCAGAAAUCUAUUUUUCUUCCCACAGUCCAUACAUAGAGAGAAACCAGAAAAGAAAACGCAAAACACGCAUACAUGCAUGCAAGCUUCCACAAAUGGGUUACCACAUACCUUUCUGGGGCUCUGGUGACCUCACAUUCUUUGUUGACCGCUUAUGACCUCACAUUCAUGUGAGGGAUUUCUUAACCUCACAUUGUCUCUAUAAAAGCCUAUCACCUCUAUGAAUCAUGUGUCUCCACCAUUUCAAAUCCUCCGCGCGCCUAAGAUACCACUUGAGAAAUUACUAAUGGCCAACGGAAAGAAUGUCAUGGCCAUGUUAUUUCUCACCACCAUUGUCGCGGUGGCGGCCACAAGGCCAGCCGAGACCUAUGGCGCUGCGGAGGAGAACACAUUGAAGAUGGCUACCCCCAGCAGGAAAGGGGUUGACGCUACCUUAGCAGCUACACGUGUUGUUGCUGCCGAGAAGUCCAUCAAGAAGGCUGAAAGCGCCUCCACACCAGAAGAGGCCGCGGUUGCCAAGCAAGAUGGAGCAAAAUCUGCUUCUGCUGCAUUAAAGUACAAUGCCAUCUCUCAGCAGGCAAAUGGUAAAGGUUCUUCUACCUCCCUAGGCAGGAAAGAAGCAGUCGGUACUUUAGCCGCCGCACACUAUGUCGCCGCCGAGAAGUCCAUCAAGAAGGCCGAAACCGCCAAGACACCUGCAAAGGCCGUGGCUGCCAAGCGAGACGCGGCAAAGUCUGUUGACGAUGCAUUAAAGAAUGGUGCCAUCUCUCAGAAAACAGCUGGUACAAGUUCUUCUACCUCCCCCAAUAGGAAAGAAGGCACCACUGCUGCUGCUAAGAUGUUCACCAAGAAGGCUGAAACCGCUACCACACCUGAAGAGGUCGCGGCUGCCAAGCGAGCUGCAGCCAAGUCUACCGCUGCUGCAUCAAAGUAUGGUGUCAUUUCUCAGCAAGCGCCUGGUACAAGUUCUUCUACCUCCCCUAGCAGGAAAGAAGUUGCCGGUACCUUGGCAGAUGCUCGCAUAGCUGCUGCCGAGAAGUCCAUCAAGAAGGCUGAAACCGCCACCAGACCUAAAGAGGCAGCAAAGAAGGAUGCCGCGAAAUCUGAGGCUGAUGCAAUGAAGUACGGGGCCCUCUCUCAGCAGGCCGCCGGCAAAAAUGGUGCCUAAGUGGUGCCUUAAACACCUAUUCACGCGCAACAUCGUCUGCAUACUACCAUGCAUGCAAAAUAGCAGCAUUGAGAUACCACGUUAUGCUAAUUCUCAUGCAUGCACGCUUUGUUUAAACGUUCCCAUUACGAAUCAUGUAUUAAUGUCUUGUUUGUUUUAUUUUUAGUCGUAAGACAUGCUUGACUUGCUUUAAAAAAUACAACAAUCGAUGUAUACAUGUAUUAUCUGAAAAUUAAUAAUAUGAGUUCCACCGCAAUUUGUGUCUUUUUUUCAUAAUUUGGGUGCAAUCAAUGCACACAUCCAAUACACAAAAUUGGAC